rnacentral:lncRNA from 1 species
GAUGGAUUUCUUUGUUUCUUGAUCAUGUAAGAUCAACGAGGACAUUCCUUCGCAUAUUGGAAGCCUAUUUAUUUUUUUCUAUUUCUAUGUCUGUUAAAAUCCUAUGAAUCAAUGAGAACCAAUAAUCAUACCAAUGCAAACAACAAGUGAUGAGGCUAUGCCCAAUUUUUUUAAUACACACAAAAAAGGUCAAAUACACAGCAAAUGCCAUUAAUCUGACAUCAUUCUUUGCUUUAUUUAAUUAUUUCUCCAUUAUGAAAAUGGUCUUACACUUAAGGCCUAGGUACUUGCCGCAGGUGGAGGUGGUAGAUUUAUUUCCGGAACACGAUAACCUGCAAAAUUUCAUUCUUCACAUCACAAUGAUGAACAUGAGAAGUUAUAUAAAGUGUAAAUAUAUAUAUUUGUGUGUGUUAUGUGUUUGUGCAUGCGCGUGCAAAUAUGAAAAUAUACCGACCUGCAUAGUGAGUGUCUGUGUGCAACCCAUUGCCGCAUACAUGUGUAGCCACGGCAAACUUGGCAAGACUGAGCAAAGUCAAUCCGUGUGCGGUGAACCGAUCACAGACGUAGUGGAUGUCUUUUGCAUCUCUUAUUGCAUUGCAACAUGCGCUAUGGAGUGGCGGGUACUGGUCACCAAGUUUCUUUUCGAUGUGUUGCCAACAGUCUCGCAUCACCCUUUUUUUUAUCAAGGAAGCAGUGAUCUAUGUCGUUGGGUGCUCGUGCACGGAGCGAACAAGAAGAGAGAGCCACAAGGACUAGGAAGCAUAACACUCUAGCUACUUUUGCGUUGUUCAUGUUCUAUGUUGUUUAGCACUAUUGGUAUGUGUUUAUGCACGACUUCUGUGCCACUCAGUCUCUAUAUAUAGUGGUCAUAGUGAAGUUUUUAGACUCCAUUCGCUCAUCAGUCGCUUAAUUGGACUCUUUUAACUAAGUGAGAGAUAUAUGACUUGGAUAUGUUAUAAUUUAAUGUUUGCACAUCUAGAUCUUGUAUAAAGUUGUUGGCAAUGGAUGUGGAUGCAACCUAUUAAUUAUUGGCAAUGGAGUAUGUGAUUUUGAACUCUUAACAAAUAUGUGUACAUAACUUGGGUAUGUUAAUAAUUAAUGUAGGGACAUGUGUGGUCCUUGUAGUAUCACAUCGAUGGCAAAGGAUACUUCUAAUUAAAUAUAGCUAGGUGCAUCCAUUUCUUGUAUCAAAUUGAUGGUAACGGAUAUGUAGAUAAGCCUAUUUAUUUGUCUAUCUAUCUCUAUCACUAUCUCUAUCUCCAUCUCUAUCUAUCUAUCUAUCUAUCUAUCUCCAUCUAUCUAUCUCUCUAUCUAUCUAUCUAUCUAUCUAUCUAUCUUUCUAUCUAUCUAUUUAUCUAUCUAUCUAUCUAUAUCUAUAUCUAUAUCUAUAUCUAUAUCUAUAUCUAUAUCUAUAUCUAUCUCCAUCUCUAUCUCUAUCUCUAUCUAUCUAUCUAUCUAUCUAUCUAUCUAUCUAUCUAUGUCUAUAUCUAUCUGAUACUAAUAACGGACUCCCUACAUAUUAAAACGUUAAUCCGUGAAAACAAGAAAUAGAAACCAGUGAUUUUAGCGGGCCUGAAUUACUAUGGUUACGAUCUAUUAAUAAAUCCCUUGGAUAUUUCAUAUGAAAAAUAGAACUUGGAUCUCAAUCAGGGAAAAAAGGAAAAGAUACGAUGCAAUCUAAACUACCGUUCAGAUUUGACACGGUAGCUAAGACAUCAUGCAAUUGUCAAAAUCAUGACCGUGUUUCUUUGUGACUAACCCAGAUACGACCUGACACUACAAAAAAAUACACUUCCAUGAUGAUACAUGUUUGUCACAGUAGGUCGCGUUUUUUGUCAUGUAUGUACAUCCAUGACGAUUUUAUGAAAGAAUCAAGAUAGUCAUACCUGUCCUGUCGUAGAAGUGUUCCAUGACAUUACCAAAAUUAUCAUCACGGAAGUGUCCACUUCCAUGACGAUAAAUCACGCGUCAUAGAAGUGCUUUCGUCAAGGGUGACCGACACGUGGCAUCCACCGUAACGGAACGCCGUUAAGCUAUCGAGUCGGGUUUUGGAUCCGAUAACCCGUUAACAUCCCGGACCAAUGGGGAUUUUCCACGUGUAAAAUCAUCAUUGGCUGGAGGAAACACGUGUCGGCUCACCGUUGGGACAGAUGUCAUCCGCUCAUUGGACCGAAGGCGCCUAUGAUACGGUGACACGUGGCACGGCUCAACAGAGGUCCAUUCCUGUAAAAAGGCCGGCCCGUUUGACUUAGUAAAAAGUUGGCGGGCCGGCCCAGGGAAAGCGUGUUAACGACCUGUUCGCAUAUAUCCCAUUUAUAGCCCGCUAACCCAGGGCCCAUUACACCCUAUCCGAAUUAGGCCCAAUAGUGUCGUCUGGGCCGUCCAAUAUGAUUCAGCCCGUUUUAACUUCUGGCCCAUGUGUGGCCCAUGAAUUCUUUCGGCCCAUAUGAGGACCUUUGUAAAUCUUGGCCCAUUAAUGGCCCGUGGUGAAACUGGCCCGUAAUGAAGAAUGUAUCACUUUAUACCCAUUAACGGCCCGUUAUUCCAUUGGGACGUUUCAAACCCAAGUUAUGAUUCGGCCUUCUCAGGGCCCAUUGAUUCUUGGGCUCAUUUGCAGCAUUCGGUUACAUACGGCCCGUUACUGUCAUUUUCUGCUUGUCGGCCAAAUUCAGUCCGUCAUUACAGUCGGCCCGUUUGCGGACCGUUAAUACGUUGGGCCGUUUUCAUGUCAAAAAACCCCGUUGGGCUGUUUUCAUAGAGUUAUCAAAUACGGCCUAUUAACGGCCCGGUAUAGUCCACGAAUAGUAUGGCCCAUGAUUGGCGAAAUGAUGAUAUGCCCCGUAGAAGGCCCAUGGAUCCUACGGCCCGUAUGAGGCCCAUGGAUAGUACGGCCCGUGGAAGGCCCAUGGAUCGUACGCCCCGUAGAAGGCCCAUGGACCCUACGGCUCGUAGAAGGCCCAUGGACCCUAAGGCCUAUAUAGAAGGCCGAUGGAUCCUAUGGCCCGUAUAGAAGGCCAAUUGAUCUUACGGCCGGACAAAGGCCCAUGGAUCAUAUGGCCUGCAGGAGGCCCAUGGUUACAACAGUCCGUGUGUUGCCAUGAUUAUUUUGGCCUAGUUACCAAAAAUAGGCUAUUGUGGCCACUAGAAAAAACAGAAAAAGAACUGCAGUGACUACAAGCAAACAACUAAACAAGACAAUAAGGAAAUAAAUAAGCAAGCAAUUAGCACUAGCGUAUUACCAUUAUUACACAUAUUACAUCCACUGGGCAUCAAAGUUCGCCACCAGUGCAAAUAUAGGGAACAAAGCAGCACAUUACAUACACUGGCCGUCAAAAUUGGCCACCAUGGCAAAUAAAUGAGACAGCAAAACAAGAGCAUAACCGAAACAACUUCAGAAGAGCUCAAGAAACGUUAUCUUGGGUAUCCACCAUGCUGGCAAUAAGUUUAGCAAGCUGAUUAGCUUUGUCCUGUUUGGCGCUAAAAUCCUCCAACGCUUGCUGUUGCACCAGAAAGUAUGCAUCUGAAUGCUCCAGGGACUUCCACAGUCCUUCCGCUUCUUGUCGCAGCACAGCUGAUCGAUGUCUUUCAGCUUGUAGUUGAGACUGAAGAAACCGAACUGGUCCAGACAGUGAGUUUGAAUAGCUUGUGCAAGCGGUAGUGUCCAGUAACUCGAACACUAAACCAAGACAGGACUUUGGGGUUGUCUCGCUGUCUUCAAGAAAGUCUUCCUUAGCUGUUUUAUCAGCUUUGUUGGAGACCAACAAGGAUGUGUCACUAUCCUGAACCUUAUCUACAUUACUUCCUUUACCAUUGAUUAAUAAGGCACUCUUCCCCAAUAUUCUGUCAGCAUUCUAAAAGAAGAAACAAGCAGACAUAUAACAAGUUCAGCAUGUACUAGUAUAUGAAACUCAUUUCGGUGAACCAGUUCAUCAGUAAGGUGGACAGGAUUAAACUACCAAGUCUUCUAUUGCAAAGUACUAGUACAUAAUAAAAACAUCAAACAAACAUAUAUCUAUGUCCUAUGGUCACUUCAUUGUCUUGCCAAAUCAAAAUAGAGACACGGUUCAAAUCAUAUCAGUUGAAGACAAAGCAGCAGUGAAAGAAUACAAAGCGUGGGAAACUACACGGCACAACAAGAUUUCAGAUGGGUACCACGGGUCUACAUGUACAACAAUACUAUUGGCUAUGUUGUGAUGCUAGUAAUGUGCACGAUAUGAAAGUCAACUGUAUACACAAUUGAAAUUGAAAUCAAUAGAGCUAUUAAUAAGAGCAAACCUGUUAAAGAAACAUGCAUGAACAUACCUGCUGUGCCAUUGGAGUUUCGAUUGGAUCCUUCAAUUUAAAAAUAAGUUUGUAUGAGUAAAUAUAGUGAUACAAGAGCAAUGCAAUCAUAGUUAAAAAAGGCGCGCCUAAGCGAGCGCUUAAGCGCGCCUAGGCUCUAGGCGCUGGCAAAACGCAUUGCGCAUAACUACACAUAAUCUAUGCAUAACUGCGCAUAAGCAUGCGCUUUCGUUAGUAAAGCGCAAGGCGGUGGCAAAACACACACUUAACGCCUAGCACUUUUUUGAACUAUGAUAGCAAUGGAAUCUUAAAUUAGAACAGUUGUUCUUUAGGUUUAGGCACUUGUUCUACAUGAACAGAGUACAGUAAGACGCAAGAAUAUAAUACUUAAAAAUAGAAAAUGAGCUCAUAGACCUUACCACAUUCUUGGUUCGGGACCAGCAUAGAACAAGGCAUUCCCAGUCAUCGUCCAGUAAAUGUGUCUCAGGAGAACGUAAGGGAAUUUGAUGAGUUUCUUUGCCGGUGAAGUAUGUCUUCUUCAGGUAAUUUCGAUACUGCCACCAAGCAUGCUUGAAGAUAGCAGAGGUAUUAACACAGGUUACCUCAUCCUAAGUUUCCAAAUAGGUCCUUCUCUAUAGACAAAAAUGGGAAAAUUUGCUGUAUUAUAACCAUCAUGGAGGUAGGAUGUAUGGGACGAAGCAAAGUAAUUGCCAUGAAUAACAUUACUUACACAUAACUCCUGGACAAACACCUGCAACUAUCAUUUUCCUUCAUCUUCAGUAUAAUAUUUCCAAGAUGGGAAGAUACGCACAAACGAUUUAACAACAUCAAAUGCGAUAGAUGCUAAACUAUGAUUAGCUGGUUGUGCUUCCUCCAUAGGAAUAGGCGUACUAACUGGUGGAGUUGGGGUUCGCCGUGAUAGUACUGGACCUUUGGGCACUGGAGCUGCCUUACUAACUGCUGUUGUUUGGGAGCUCUGUGGUGGAGAUGGUGUUGUGUCAACAGGAACUGGGUUACUAUCGGCUGGGGUUGGGGUUAGAUUGGGUGAAGCUGGUUCUCUGUCCAUCGCAGUAGGGGUACAAUCUGUGAGAGUUUGGGUUAUGUGUGGUAGGGCUGGUUCUUGUGCAUGUACAACCGGGGUGCUAUCUCCACCAAGAGGUAGCACUGUUUUAUUUGAAGACCAUGUUUUUAUUCCGCUAGAUACUGGCGUCACCCGCUCUAAUUCAAAUGGCUGAUAAAUAGGAAACAUAGUUGAAUGUACAGACAUUGUAUGAGAGACAGAUGCAAUAGAUAGUGUGGAAAAAAGAGGGCAUGAAAUAGUUGACAUGUAUAUUGCUUAAGUAAAACGGAUAGCAUGACAUAAUUUAACAUAUAUGAUGUCUAUCUAAACUGGAUAGCAGAGCAUAACAUAAUUCAAAGAUAUGAUGAAUAACUAAACAGGAUCGCAUGACAUAAUUCACCUACAUGUUAUCUAAGUAAUCAUGAUCGCAUCAUUUAAUUCACAUAUGUGAUUUAUAUGCUAAACAGAGGGCAUUCGAUAUGAUGUCUGAACUAAGAACAUGGUGUUGAAUAUUGUGUAUAUGAUGUCUAAACUAUGCAAUGCAAGACACUGUAUGCAUGAUAUGAGCAGUAUAACCGUGCCAAGUUAGAGCAUACACCUCAGUGUGGGAAUAGGACUGGUCAUCUGUCUCUGAAUCAAUCUCUGAGGAGCUAUCGGGACCCAACAAGAGAUCUGCUUCGACAGGUAGCACUGUCUGCUUUGAAGGCCUUGUUUUCACUCCAGAUUUUUCCAUCUCCCACCCAAAUGGCUGAUUCACAGGAAGAUUAGUUUAAUGUACAAACAUUGUCAACAAAUGGAAAUGUAAUGAAGAAAAGGAUGGGCAAGAUAUCAUUCAAAUAUAUGAUGCCUGGUUAAACAGGAUGGCAUUGCACAUUUCACAUAUAUUAUGGCUGGCUAAAAGACAUGAGACUGCAUAAUUCCCAUAUAUGAUAUAGAAACUAAACAGGUAGGCACUGCAAGGCAACAUAUGCAUGAUAUGACUAACAUCAUCAUGCCAAGGUAGAGCAAACACCUUGGGGGGUAAAUAGGAGUGGUCAGCGGCGUCUGAAUCCGCCUCAGAACAGAUAUCUUCCUCUAGAUUACAAUCUGGAGAGGGGUCGGGAGGGUUUGCCAUUGAACCCACCAUAGAGCGAUGUAUGCAUGACAUUGUAUUGCCGCGCAAAACUCUUCUCUUUUUCUCUACAUGUUCAGCAUGACUGUGUACAAUAUCUGACAUGCAUACGAAAAAAAAUAUGGUGAGAUUAUGUAAGGAGAGCAUGCAAAAAUUUACAGUGAUUGUAACAACCAGUGGAUCGACGUUUUUCCGUUGAACCAAAAUAGACCUAAUGGAUCGACGUGAAUGUUAGUAAUAAGUGAUGCAACAAGUGUACAACCUCUUUGCCGUAGCCGUGUCGACCUCAACAUCAUUUGGUUGGUCGCUGAAGCAGUUGAGGCAGAGGUGGCUGUCAGAGGUGUGGAGGAAGAUCUGAGGAAUCUGUAGACGGCGUCCAGGGCACUGCUUUGUUGUGAUAGAUCGUUGUGUCACUGGAGCAGCUCCGGUGAGCCGUAAGACGUCAAGGCUAAAGCAGCACAAGACAGACAUCGUCAAUCUCAAGUGGGAUUCUAAUGGCAUCUCCAAUAGAUGUUGUGAAAUGAAUGUAAAAUGAACAUCACCAAAAACCACCUGACUACAACAGAUGAGGUAAAAACUGUUGACUCUGAACUUAACUGUCGAAACUGAAAUUUACUGUGGAAUCUGAAUGCUACUGUCGAAACUGAAUGCAAUGGUAGCAGAGAGGCACUUGACAUGUAGUUUAGGGAGGGCCUAUAGUUCAUCUUCAACCUGCACCCCCCUGAGCCGCCAGCCNNNNNNNNNNGGUCGCUGAAGCAGUUGAGGCAGAGGUGGCUGUCGGAGGUGUGGAGGAAGAUCUGAGGAAUCUGUAGACGGCGUCCAGGGCACUGCUCUGUUGUGACGGAUCGUUCUGUCGUUGGAGCAGCUCCGGUGAGCCGUAAGACGUCAAGGCUGAAGCAGCACAAGACAGACAUCGUCAAUCUCAAGUGGGAUUCUAAUAGCAUCUCCAAUAGAUGAUGUAAAAUGGAUGUAAAAUUAACAUCACCAAAAACCACCUGACUACAACAGAUGAGGUAAAAACUGUUGACUCUGAACUUAACUAUCGAAACUGAAAUUUACUGUGGAAUCUGAAUGCUACUGUCGAAACUGAAUGCAAUGGUAGCAGAGAGGCACUUGACAUGUAGUUUAGGGAGGGCCUAUAGUUCAUCUUCAACCUGCACCCCCCUGAGCCGCCAGCCACCACCGGCCGAACCGCCAGCCCAGCGCCGCCUCGCCGCCCCGAAACAACUCGCCACCGNNNNNNNNNNNNNNNNNNNNNNNNNNNNNNNNNNNNNNNNNNNNNNNNNNNNNNNNNNNNNNNNNNNNNNNNNNNNNNNNNNNNNNNNNNNNNNNNNNNNNNNNNNNNNNNNNNNNNNNNNNNNNNNNNNNNNNNNNNNNNNNNNNNNNNNNNNNNNNNNNNNNNNNNNNNNNNNNNNNNNNNNNNNNNNNNNNNNNNNNNNNNNNNNNNNNNNNNNNNNNNNNNNNNNNNNNNNNNNNNNNNNNNNNNNNNNNNNNNNNNNNNNNNNNNNNNNNNNNNNNNNNNNNNNNNNNNNNNNNNNNNNNNNNNNNNNNAUAGUGGGGUACCUCUCCGACGAGCCCCCAUCCCCGAUGCGGGUGGUUCUUCCUUAACUCCGGCGAGCCCCCCAACCCCUGAAAAUCGACUGACCCAAAAGUCGAUUCAGUCGACUGAAGUGUGGCUUAAUCGGAGCAGAGCAGCAACACGAGCGAGGGGGAGAGCAGCAACGGCAGCUGUGCGAGCGAGCGAUCAAGCGAGAGCCAGAGCAGCAGUACCCCCCAUCGAUUUGAACUAGCGGCCCUUUCGGCUCAGGGUUAGAAGGGGGAUUUCGCUUGUCGGGAUUUGGCACCUGGAGGGAGUUUUCGCGCGCGUUGUAAUUUCAGGAUAGCAAGGCGCGGGUUGUGAAGGCACCAGUUUUGGGAGCACAAUAUCUGAAUUUUCGGGAUAUAACAAGACGCGGGUUGAAUUUUAGGGACAAGCCUAACGUGUAGUAAUAUUUUACUUGUACGUACCAAAUCAAUUCGCACUUCCCUCAACCAAAAAGAAAACAAAAAAAAUAAAACUAUUCACACCAUACAAAGAGAGAGUCUUGCCCCGUUUUACUAUACAAAUGCUAUUCAAAGCUACUCCCUCCUUCCAUCUAUAUAGGGCCUAAUGCGUUUUUCGAUGCUAACUUUGACCAAAUAUUAGAGCAAUGAUAUAUGACAUGCAACUUACACAAAGCACACCGUGAAAUUUGUUUAUGGAAGGUUCUUUCAAUGAUAUAAUUUUCACACUGUGCAUGUCAUGUACUAUUAAUCUUGUCAAUAGUCAAAGGCUGUCUUAAAAAAUCUCAUUACGUCCUAUAUAGAUGGAAGGAGGGAGUAUGAAUCCAUGUUAUGUCCGAUUAAAUUUUUUCGCUUGCUAUAUAAUGCAUGUAACCUACUCAUACCAACAUUUUAGUGCAUUCCAACUGUCUAUACUACCGCUGCAUUUCGAACUAAAUUUGAAUCCGUUUCUCUAUUUCAAUAAGAAUCUACAAUCAUGAUUGUUGCCAACUUAAACCAUCAUAGUUUCCUUGCUAUCCGCCAGAUAUAAAUCGGACGACCUAUAAUGCAGGAUGGCAGGCACACCAUCAUCAACAACUCCGUUUUUUAUAAGAGUAGAGAUAAAAUAUAUUAAAUGUAGUAUAACAUGUUCAUAAACACACCAUGUGUAACACCGUUAUAUAUAUUCACACAUGCGUCGGUUUAAAACACUAUGAUAAAUUCUUCAAAUAUCCGAAUUCGCUUUUUAUAAUGAAGUAUGUAUGAUCUCUAUUCUUCUUUUACACCCACGCAACCCUCUUAUCUUUGUAGCUAGCGCUAACUUUCUCUUGUGCAUGCACACGCCCGCAUCCCUCUCACCCUCCCUCAGCAUUCUCUAGCUCCAUCGCGCAAAUUCAUCUUUUCACUUUAGUCGUUCACCCAUGGUGUGUGUAUGCCCCCCAACUCCUUCUUUACAGCACACAUCGAUCGAUAUACCUCUCUAGCUAGGUGUUCCUAGCACAAACACAAGCUUCCCCUCUUCUCUUGUCACUAUCCAUGCCUCACUCCCACUACUCUUUUCAUCGUUCUCGUACUCGCACACUCCUCUCCCCUCGAUAUAGUAUGCCUCUCGUACCACCUCCUACAUGCAUCCCUCUCUCUCUAUCCUUCUUCUCGUGCCUCAUUUGCUUCUAACACACACAUGCAUGUAUACCGACCGAUCUCCCAACAUAUACCUAGAUUGACUUUAACUACCCACCACAUCGAUCGACGUACCUCACAAGUUAUGUCUCUCCUUUCUCUAACAAAGGGCGAUUGAUCUUCCUAUGUAGUUACAUAUGCUUACCACAGCCACAUCGUCCCCCCUCAUCAUUCGUGCAUGCCUCCUGACCCGUCUCUCACACGCACGUGCACAGACAACAAGCAGCCAUCUCCUCUCUUAUUGAUAUUGCGGGCGUGCCCUCCGUUUGUCUAGCAAGCCUAUCCCACCAUUUGUUAGAAGCAACUCCACUACCACCCCCUCCAACACUCUAGCUCUGUCUCUCUCCCAACCUUAUUCCUCUCCUGCACAUAUGCAUGGAUGCCGAUCGAUCUCCCUUAAUACAUGAGGCAGAUCGAUCUCCUUAAUACAUGAGGUAGGCGUCUCUCCUCCUCCACACAUAUACCAGCCAUUGUACCUCUAUAGUUAAUUGGGCCUCCCUCUUCCCCAACCACACACCGAUAGUCGAGUGUUGCAGGUAGGUAUCCAUGCCACAGACACAAACUGCACAUGUCCCCUCUCACGUUCCAGUAGGCCAUCCACUCUAUAUCUUUGACGUGGGCACACACAAAUUCGAUGGCACUCUUUAUCGAUCGCACGCGCACACACACACACAUCAUCCCUCUCUUUGAUUCUGUGAACACCUCAAGCCGAUGAUACCUCCACUCUCUUCUCGUGGAUCGCCCCCUCUAUAUAUAUGUUAUAUCCAGGACUCUAUUUCACACACAUUGCAUAUGUUACAUUUUUUGAUUGACCCCCCCCCCCAAAAAAACUCUCAAGAUCCCACACACUAUAUCUCUCUAGGUUUGUAUCUCUCUCACACAAUGCCACGUAGGUUGUGUGCGUAUACAAGAAGAGAAUAGGUGCACCAUGCACGUACUCACGCUUCGUGCCCAGCCACACCCGCGCGGGUACACGGUGGAGCUCAUUUCUUUACGAAAUGGCAGCCCACAUGCUAAUUUGAACGCCUGUAGCAGUUGUUUACCUAGGGAGGUCAUGUACCACGCGUGCACGAAAUAAAGUUUGACUUUACGCGUUGCCGCGUUAUUUUUAAAUAAAGUAAUAGCGCUCAAUGGCACAUACAUAGAAUAUAAAACUUUUUUUAUGGAGAAAAAGGUAGUCCGCUCACUAUAUACAAUGGAGCGUGCCUGCCUGGUUUGUCGCUGUUCAGAGUAUCUCACGCAAGGCUGCGGUGGCCUCUCUCUCUCUCUCACCGUUGGUCACUGAUACGGCCACAUCCCGUCCGUCGGGGGAAAGGGAGUGCAGUGGCCUCUCUCUCUCUCAUCGUUGGUCACUGAUCCGGCCGCAUCCCGUCCUCCGGGGAAAGGGAGAAAGUGCAUCGUUUCUCUGUUCGACGGUGCCGAGGCAGCUUGUCCCGAUCUGCGGUACACGCCGUUCUCUCUGACCAAGCUCCGGCGCGACAGGGCCUACGCCACCUGCUCGCAGAUUCCUGUUGGGGAACGUAGGAAUUUCAAAAUUUUCCUACGCACACGCAAGAUCAUGGUGAUGCAUAGCAACGAGAGGGGAGAGUAUUGUCCACGUACCCUCGUAGACCGUAAGCGGAAGCGUUAUGACAACGCGGUUGGUUGAUGUAGUCGUACGUCUUCACGAUCCGACCGAUCCAAGCACCGAACGUACGUCACCUCCGAGUCAGCACACGUUCAGCUCGAUGACGAUCCCCGGACUCCGAUCCAGCAAAGUGUCGGGGAUGAGUUCCGUCAGCACGAUGGCGUGGUGACGAUGAUGAUGUUCUACUGACGCAGGGCUUCGCCUAAGCACCACACGAUAUGACCGAGGUGGAAUAUGGUGGAGGGGGGCACCGCACACGGCUAAGGGAAGGAGAAGGAGAAGGAAGGAGAGGGAGGAAAAGGAGGAAAGGGGGGCCGGCCCCUUAGUCCAAUUCGGUUUGGGCUAGGGGGGCCGCGCGCCCUGCCUCCUCUCUUCCACCACUUGGCCCAUUAGGCCCAUUGCUUCUUCCUCGUAUUCCUGUAACUUCCCGGUACCCCCGAAAAUACCCGAAUCACUCGAAACCUUUCCGAAGUCCGAAUAUAGUCGUCCAAUAUAUCGAUCUUUACGCCUCGACCAUUUCGAGACUCCUCGUCAUGUCCCCGAUCUCAUCCGGGACUCCGAACUCCUUCGGUACAUCAAAACUCAUAAACUCAUAAUAUAACUGUCAUCGAAACCUUAAGCGUGCGGACCCUACGGGUUCGAGAACAAAGUAGACAUGACCGAAACACAUUUCCGGUCAAUAACCAAUAGCGGAAUCUGGAUGCUCAUAUUGGCUCCUACAUAUUCUAUGAAGAUCUUUAUCGGUCAAACCGCAUAACAACAUCCGUUGUUCCCUUUGUCAUCAGUAUGUUACUUGCCCGAGAUUCGAUCGUCGGUAUCCAAUACCUAGUUCAAUCUCGUUACCGGCAAGUCUCUUUACUCGUUACGUAAUGCAUCAUUCUGUAACUAACUCAUUAGCCACAUUGCUUGCAAGGCUUAUAGUGAUGUGCAUUACUGAGAGGGCCCAGAGAUACCUCUCCGACAAUCGGAGUGACAAAUCCUAAUCUCGAAAUACGCCAACCCAACAUGUACUUUCAGAGACACCUGUAGAGCUCCUUUAUAAUCACCCAGUUACGUUGUGACGUUUGGUAGCACACAAAGUGUUCCUCCGGUAAAUGGGAGUUGCAUAAUCUCAUAGUCAUAGGAACAUGUAUAUAUCAUGAAGAAAGCAAUAGCAACAUACUAAACGAUCAAGUGCUAAGCUAACGGAAUGAGUCAAGUCAAUCACAUCAUUCUCCUAAUGAUGUGAUCCCGUUAAUCAAAUGACAACUCUUUUGUCCAUGGCUAGGAAACUUAACCAUCUUUGAUUCACGAGCUAGUCAAGUAGAGGCAUACUAUUGACACUAUGUUUGUCUAUGUAUUCACACAUGUAUUAUGUUUCCGGUUAAUACAAUUCUAGCAUGAAUAAUAAACAUUUAUCAUGAAAUAAGGAAAUAAAUAAUAACUUUAUUAUUGCCUCUAGAGCAUAUUUCCUUCAGUCUCCCACUUGCACUAGAGUCAAUAAUCUAGUUCACAUCAGCAUGUGAUUCAACACCAAUAUUCACAUCUGUAUGUGAUUAGUACCCAUAGUUCACAUCGUCAUGUGAUCAACACCCAAAGGGUUUACUAGAGUCAAUAAUCUAGUUCACAUCGCUAUGUGAUUAACACCCAAAGAGUACUAAGGUAUGAUCAUGUUCUGCUUGUGAGAGAAAUUUGGUCAACGGGUCUGUUACAUACAGAGCCGUAUGUAUUUUGCGAAUAUUCUUAUGUCUUCAAUACUCUGCACGGAGCUACUAUAGCUAAUUGCUCCCACUUUCAAUAUGUAUCCAGAUUGAGACUUAGAGUCAUCUGGAUUAGUGUAAAAGUUUGCAUCGAUGUAACUCUUUAUGAUGAACUCUUUUAUCACCUCCAUAAUCGAGAAACAUCUCCUUAGUCCUCACUAAGGAUAUUCUUGACCGCUGUCUAGUGAUCUACUAUUACAUCAAAAUUGUAUCCUUUGCCAAACACAGAGCAAGGUAUACAAUAGGUCUGGUUCACAGCAUAGCAUACUUUAUAGAACCUAUGAUUGAGGCAUAGGGAAUGACUUUUUAUUCUCUUUCUAUUUUCUGCCAUGGUUGGGUCUUGAGUCUUACUCAAACUUCACACCUUGCAACACCGGCAAGAACUCCUUCAUUGACUGUUCCAUUUUGAACUAUUUCAAAAAAAAAUUAUCAAGGUAUGUACUCAUUGAAAAAUCUUAUCAAGCGUCUUGAUCUAUCUAUAUAGAUCUUGAUGCUCAAUGUGUAAGCAGCUUCACCGAGGUCUUGCUUUGAAAAACUCUUAUUCAAGUAUCCUUUCAUGCUAUCCAGAAUUUCUAUAUCAUUUCCAAUCAACAAUAUGUCAUCCACAUAUAAUAUUAGAAAUGCUACAGAGCUCCCACUCACUUUCUUGUAAAUACAGGCUUCUCAAAAAGUCUGUAUAAAACCAUAUGCUUUGAUCAACUCAUCAAAGCGUAUAUUCCAACUCCGAGAGGCUUGCACCAGUCCAUAAAUGGAUCACUGGAGCUUGCACACUUUGUUAGCACCUUUAGGAUUGACAAAACCUUCUGGUUGCAUCAUAUACAACUCUUCUUUAAUAAAUCCAUUAAGGAAUAUAGUUUUGACAUCCUUUUGCCAGAUUUCAUAAAAUGUGGCAAUUGCUAACAUGAUUUGGACAGACUUAAGCAUCGAUACGAGUGAGAAAAUCUCAUCGUAUUCAACACCUUGAACUUGUCGAAAACCUUUCAUAACAAGUUGAGCUUAGUAGAUAGUAACACUACUAUCAGUAUUCGUCUUCCUCUUGAAGAUCCAUUUAUUUAACAUGGCUUGCUGAUAAACGAGAAAGUCAAUCAAAGUCCAUACUUUGUUCUCAUAGAUGGAUCUCAUCUUAGAUUUUAUGGCCUCAAGCCAUUUCGUGGAAUCUGGGCUCAUCAUCGCUUCCUCAUAGUUUGUAGGUUCAUCAUGGUCUAGUAACAUGAUUUCUAGAAUAAGAUUACCGUACCACUCUGGUGCGGAUCUUAAUCUGGAAGAUCUACAAAGUUUGGUAGUAACUUGAUCUGAAGCUUCAUGAUCAUUAUCAUUAGCUUCCUCACUAAUUGGUGCAGGAAUCACUAGAACUGAUUUCUGUGAUGAACUACUUUCCAAUACGGGAGAAGGUACAAUUACCUUAUCAAGUUCUACUUUCCUCCCACUCACUUCUUUUGAGAGAAACUCCUUCUCUAGAAAGGAUCCAUUCUUAUCAACAAAGAUUUUGCUUUCGGAUCUGUGAUACAAGGUGUACCCAACAGUUUCCUUUGGGUAUUCUAUGAAGACGCACUUCUCCGAUUUGGGUUCUAGCUUAUCAUGUUGAAACUUUUUCACAUAAGCAUCGUAGCCCCAAACUUUAAGAAACGACAACUUUGGUUUCUUGCUAAAUCACAGUUCAUAAAACGUCGUUUCAAUGGAUUUUGAUGGUGCCCUAUUUAAGUCAAUGCAGUUGUCUCUAAUGCAUAACCCUAAAACGAUAGUGGUAAAUCGGUAAGAUACAUCAUAGAUCGCACCAUAUCCAAUAAAGUGUGGUUACGACAUUCGGACACACCAUUACGUUGUGGUGUUUCUUGUGGCGUGAGCUGUGAAACUAUUCCACAUUCUUUAUAUGAAGGCCAAACUUGUAACUCAAAUAUUCUCCUCCACGAUCAGAUCGUAGAAACUUUAUUUUUUGUUACGAUGAUUCUCCACUUCACUCUGAAAUUCUUUGAACUUUUCAAAUGUUUCAGACUUGUGUUUCAUUAAGUAGAUAUACCCAUAUCUGCUCAAAUCAUCUUGUGAAGGUCAGAAAAUAACGAUACUUGCCAUGAGCAUCAACACUCAAUGGAUCGCAUACAUCGGUAUGUAUUAUUUCCUAUAAGUCAGUAGCUCGUUCCAUUGUUCCGGAGAACGGAGUUUUAGUCAUCUUGCCCGAAAGUCACGGUUCGCAAGCAUCAAAUGAUUCAUAACCAAGUGAUUCCGAAAAUCCAUCUUUUAUGGAGUUUCUUCAUGCGCUUUACACCGAUAUGACCCAAACUGCAGUGCCACAAAUAAGUUGCACUAUCAUUAUUAACUUUGCAUCCUUUGGCAUCAAUAUUAUGAAUAUGUGUAUUACUACAAUCGAAAUCCAACAAACUAUUUUCAUUGGGUGUAUGACCAUCGAAGGUUUUAUUCAUGUAAACAGAACAACAAUUAUUCUUUGACUUUAAAUGAAUAACCGUAUCGCGAUAAACAUGAUCAAAUCAUAUUCAUGCUCAACGCAAACACCAAAUAACAUUUAUUUAGGUUUAACACUAAUCCAGAAAGUAUAGGGAGUGCGCGAUGAUGAUCAUAUCAAUCUUGGAACCACUUCCAAUACACAUCGUCACUUCACCCUCAACUAGUUUCUGUUUAUUCUAUAACUCCUGUUUCGAGUUACUGAUCUUAGCAACCGAACAAGUAUCAAAUACUCAGGGGUUACUAUAAACACUAGUAAGGCACACAUCAAUAAUUUGUAUAUCAAAUAUACCCUUGUUUAGUUUGCCAUCCUUCUUAUCCACCAAAUAUUCAGAGUAUUUCCGUUUCCAGUGACCAUUUCCUUUGAAGUGUAAGCACUCAGUUUUAGGCUUUGGUUCAGAUUUGGGCUUCUUCGUGGGAGUGACAACUUGCUUGUCAUUCUAGUUGAAGUUCCCUUUCUCUCCCUUUGCCCUUUUCUUGAAACUAGUGAUCUUGUCAACCAUCAACACUCAAUGCUCUUUCUUAAUUUCUACCUUCGUCGAUUUCAACAUCACGAAGAGCUUGGGAAUCGUUUUCGUCAUCCCUUGCAUACUAUAGUUCAUCACAAAGUUCUACUAACUUGGUGAUGGUGACUAGAGAAUUCUGUCAAUCACUAUCUUAUCUGGAAGAUUAACUCCCACUUGAUUCAAGCGAUUGUAGUACCCAGACAAUUUGAGCACAUGCUCACUAGUUGAGCGAUUCUCCUCCAUCUUUUAGCCAUAGAACUUGUUGGAGACUUCAUAUCUCUCAACUCGGGUAUUUGCCAAACGUUCAUAACGUCUGCAUCUGCUCCUGCAAUAGGUCUGUCACCUAGCGGUGCAUUAAAGACAUAAUUCUUCUGUGUAGCAAUGAGGAUAAACCUCAGAUCAUGGAUCCAAUCCGCAUCAUUGCUACUAACAUCUUUCAACACAAUUUUCUCUAGGAACAUAUCAAAAUAAACAUAUGAAAGCAACAACGCAAGCUAUCGAUAUACAACAUAAUUUGCAAAAUACUACCAGGACUAAGUUAAUGAUAAAUUUAAGUUCAAUUAAUCAUAUUACUUAAGAACUCCCACUUAGAUAGACAUCUCUCUAGUCAUCUAAGUGAUCACGUGAUCCAAAUCAACUAAACCAUGUCCAAUCGUCACGUGAGAUGGAGUAGUUUCAAUGGUGAACAUCACUAUGUUGAUCAUAUCUACUAUAUGAUUCACUUUCGACCUUUCGGUCUCCGUGAUCCGAGGCCAUAUCUGUUAUAUGCUAGGCUCGUCAAGUUUAACCUGAGUAUUCUGCGUGUGCAACUGUUUUUCACCCGUUGUAUUUGAACGUAGAGCCUAUCACACCCGAUCAUCACGUGGUGUCUCAGCACGAAGAACUUUCGCAACGGUGCAUAGUCAGGGAGAACACUUCUUGAUAAUUUUUAGUGAGAGAUCAUCUUAAAAUGCUACCAUCAAUCAAAGCAAGAUAAGAUGCAUAAAGGAUAAACAUCAGAUGCAAUCAAUAUAAGUGAUAUGAUAUGGCCAUCAUCAUCUUGUGCUUGUGAUCUCCAUCUGCGAAGCACCGUUGUGAUCACCAUCGUCACCGGCGCGACACCUUGAUCUCCAUCGUAGCAUCGUUGUCGUUUCGCCAUCUAUUGCUUCUACGACUAUCGCUACCGCUUAGUGAUAAAGUAAAGCAAUUACAGGGCGCUUGCAUUUCAUAGAAUAAAGCAACAACCAUAUGGCUCCUGCCAGUUGCCGAUAACUUGGUUACAAAACAUGAUCAUCUCAUACAAUAAAAUAUAGCAUCACGUCUUGACCGUAUCACAUCACAACAUGCCCUGCAAAAACAAGUUAGGCGUCCUCUACUUUGUUGUUGCAAAUUUUACGUGGCUGCUACGGGCUGAGCAAGAACCGUUCUUACCUACGCAUCAAAACCACAACGAUAGUUUCUCAAGUUGGUGGUGUUUUAACCUUCGCAAGGACCGGGCGUAGCCACACUCGGUUCAACUAAAGUGAGAGAGACAGACACCCGUCGGUCACCUUUAAGCAACGAGUGCUCGUAGCAGUGAAACCAGUCUCGCGUAAGCAUACGCGUAAUGUCGGUUCGGGCCGCUUCAUCUCACAAUACCGCUGAACCAAAGUAUGACAUGCUGGUAAGCAGUAUGACUUGUAUCGUCCACAACUCACUUGUGUUCUACUUGUGCAUAUAACAUCUACGCAUAAAACCUAGGCUCGGAUGCCACUGUUGGGGAACGUAGUAAUUUCAAAAUUUUCCUACGCACACGCAAGAUCAUGGUGAUGCAUAGCAAUGAGAGGGGAGAGUAUUGUCCAUGUACCCUUUUAGACCGUAAGCGGAAGCGUUAUGACAACGCGGUUGAUGUAGUCGUAUGUCUUCACGAUCCGACCGAUCCAAGCACCGAACGUACGGCACCUCCGAGUUCAGCACAUGUUCAGCUCGAUGACGAUCCCUGGACUCCGAUCCAGCAAAGUGUCGGGGAUAAGUUCCAUUAGCAUGACGGCGUGGUGACGAUCAUGAUGUUCUACCGACGCUGGGCUUCGCCUAAGCACCGCAACGAUAUGACCGAGGUGGAAUAUGGUGGAGGGGGGCACCGCACACGGCUAAGGAACGAUCACGAAGAUCAACUUGUGUGUCAUGGGGUGCCCCCCUGCCCCCGUAUAUAAAGGAGCAAGGGGGAGGGGGCGGCCGGCCAAAGGAUGGCGCGCCAGGGAGGAGUCCUACUCCCACCGGGAGUAGGACUCCCUCCUUUCCUAGUCCAACUAGGAGAGGGGAAGGAAGGGAAGGAGAAGGAGAAGGAAGGAGAGGGAGGAAAAGGAGGAAACGGGGGGCCGGCCCCUUAGUCCAAUUCGGUUUGGGCUAGGGGGGCCGCGCGCCCUGCCUCCUCUAUUCCACCACUUGGCCCAUUAGGCCCAUUGCUUCUUCCUCGUAUUCCCGUAACUUCCCGCUACGCCCAAAAAUAUCCGAAUCACUCGGAACCUUUCUGAAGUCCGAAUAUAGUCGUCCAAUAUAUCGAUCUUUACGUCUCGACCAUUUCAAGACUCCUCGUCAUGUCCCCGGUCUCAUCCGGGACUAUGAACUCCUUCGGUACAUCAAAACUCAUAAACUCAUAAUAUAACUGUCAUCGAAACCUUAAGCGUGCGGACCCUACGGGUUCGAGAACAAUGUAGACAUGACCGAAACACGUUUCCGGUCAAUAACCAAUAGCGGAACCUGGAUGCUCAUAUUGGCUCCUACAUAUUCUACGAAGAUCUUUAUCGGUCAAACUGCAUAACAACAUAGGUUGUUCCCUUUGUCAUCGGUAUGUUACUUGUCCGAGAUUCGAUGGUCGGUAUCCAAUACCUAGUUCAAUCUCGUUACCGGCAAGUCUCUUUACUCGUUAUGUAAUGCAUCAUUCCGUAACUAACUCAUUAGCCACAUUGCUUGCAAGGCUUAUAGUGAUGUGCAUUACCGAGAGGGCCCAGAGAUACCUCUCCGACAAUCAGAGUGACAAGUCCUAAUCUCGAAAUACGCCAACCCAACAUGUACCUUCGGAGACACCUGUAGAGAUCCUUUAUAAUCACCCAGUUACGUUGUGACGUUUGGUAGCACACAAAGUGUUCCUCCGGUAAACAGGAGUUGAAUAAUCUCAUAGUCAUAGUAACAUGUAUAAGUCAUGAAGAAAGCAAUAGCAACAUACUAAAUGAUCAAGUGCUAAGCUAACGGAAUGAGUCAAGUCAAUCACAUCAUUCUCCUAAUGAUGUGAUCCCGUUAAUCAAAUGACAACUCUUUUGUCCAUGGCUAGGAAACUUAACCAUCUUUGAUUCACGAGCUAGUCAAGUAGAGGCAUACUAGUGACACUAUGUUUGUCUAUGUAUUCACACAAGUAUUAUGUUUCCGGUUAAUACAAUUCUAGCAUGAAUAAUAAACAUUUAUCAUGAAAUAAGGAAAUAAAUAAUAACUUUAUUAUUUCCUCUAGGGCAUAUUUCCUUCAAUUCCGCCCGCCGCUGCUCACCUAGUUACAUCCCGACGACCUCCAGGUAUCCCCUCCGGCCUUGCUCCACUGCCCGUCUUCCAAGUCGCUGCAUGUGGAUCUUCCAUAGUUCAUUGCCCAAAACGUAGCUCGUCCGGCGUACUUUCCAUAUUGCAUUCUCGUCCUCACACCGUUUUAGACAAACACAACCGUGUUGUUAUCUUCCCUUAGGACAAGGAAUAUGCUUCUUUUUUGUCCUCGCAUGUGUCAUCAACUAUUAUUGGCCAGUAAUAGUUUCCUUUCUACCUCUUUUUUGCAAACAGGGCUAUCCAUUUCACCUCGUUGCUAUUGCGACCUUUUGGUGAACUACACAAAUCACUUUUUUCUUAAGAGUGUUUUGUGCAGUUGUACUAAAAUGUCACACGGGAAAUGUCUCUACAUUUCAGUCCGACUACACAAAGGGAGAUUGGUUUUGCUCUAUCCUCCUCAUCCAACUCCGAGCCUAAUCUGCUCCAACUAGUUAAUCUUAAGAGAGACUGCAAAGGUGACCGGCUUCUAUUUGUGUGUUUAUUGUUUCAUCAACAGUCCUCUAUUAUCGUAAUCACACUUAAUAUCUUUGGAACAGGGAUGCUCACACUUAAUAUCUUUGGAACAGGAAUUGCACAAAAUGAUCGGAAUGUUGCAUGCUCCAGAUAGCUACUUUUUUUCCCAACAUGCCUUGUUGAUUUAGACAGAGCUGGGGGGACGUUGCUGCCAAUGAAAGCAUGGACCAAUUUUAAUUUUAACACCUUCUCACAACUCUGUCUUCAGUUGUGAUGUAAUUAUUAGCUCUGAUCUGCUAAUAAUUGACAUGCAUUAGCAAGGAAGUUAGCUUUUUAUUGUUUCCGAAAGAGCAUCAAUGGCAAGACACGCGAAACAAAAGGUGAAAGCUCACACCAUUGUACAAUUUCAUGUCGCUGGAAAAUUAUUUGUAUAGUACGUCAAUUAUCUAAACAAAUGAUGGAAGCUUGAUAGCAUUGCCAGAAGCCUCUUCACCAUCCGGGUCCAUGUGCCAUGCACAAUAUUAUACUCAUUCGUUCCUAAAUAUUUGUCUUUUUACAAAUUUCAAACGGGCAUAUUUUAGAGUGUAGAUUCGCUCAUUUUGCUUCGUAUGUGUACUCCCUCUGUUCCUAAAUAUUCUAUUCGUCUUUCUAGAGAUUUCAACAAGUAACUACAUACGGAGCAAAAUGAGUGAAUCUACACUCUAAAAUAUGUCUAUAUACAUCCGUAUGUGCCAGUCCAUUUGAAAUCUCUAAAAAGACAAAUAUUUGAGUAGUCACUUGUUGAAAUCUCUAAAAAGACAAAUACUCCGGAGCAUAUAUAAGAACCGAGGGGGUAGUGCACAACCGCAUGGGAGACUCAUCUCGGUCAUUGCGCCGCAUUAAUAGUGAGUAAUGAGCAGUCAAAUCAUAAGCCCCACCUUUCCCAUUGUAAGUUGCUCUGAAGAAGCAACCAUCAAUACGCUCUUCUUUGAAUCCGCUCAUACGACUCCAUCCGUCACUGUUUACACAACGCGCUUCAGAAAAAAGAAAAAAAAUCUGUGGGACCAAGGCGACUAGCGAUCGGCCUGAAAAACAGCACUGGUAGUUAUAGCAUGGCGUCAAUUACUAGAGGGAAUAAUGCGUACACACAUGCAUGCAGUGCUUCCACCUAGGGUACACACAUGCAUGCACUUACUCCACUCCAUAGUACUCCCUCCAUUCCUAAAUGUUAGUCUUUUUAGAGAUCCAAAUGUACUACCACAUACCGAUGUAUAUAGACAUAUUUUCGAGUGUAGAUUCACUCAUUUUGCUCCGUAUGUAGUCACUAGUUGAAAUCUCUAUAAAGACUUAUAUUUAGGAACGGAGGGAGUAGUACAGAGUACAUGGAGAGAAAAUUGUGGACUUGAUUGCGGUUACCACGCCCUAAUUAAUUAAGCAUUAAAGCAAACGCGUCUAAAGUCUCUCUGGUGGUGGAAAUGCAUUGAGAGAAAUGCAUCAUAAUGAAGCACGCCUUGUAAACUGUGAUGGAGGGAGGAGUAGUAUGAACAUGCAAAACCAAGUACGCGUAUGGCCAGUCGGUCAACGCACCUCCUCUUGGCAUAUCACUGACAUGUGGGACAGGAGUGUGAGCAAACCGAUCUCAAUUGACAGCAAAGAGCCAACCCACCGUUCCUUGAGACAGACGAGGAUCGAGAACACACAGACGGGCACGCACGGAGGCCAAGAUAUAUUCGAGCAUGGCUGGUUGAUCGAUAUCAUUCCUUACAUGUUGGGCUGUCGUUUCCCGCCCUUCUCCGGAAUAAAUGUGUACUUUACAGAGAUAAAAAAAUAAGAGUACAGACGCUCCACCAUGCGGUUCUAGUAGUAGUACUACUCGUACUACUGCGCUUGGCUCUUCGCCUCUUCGUGAAGUCGAACAAUGACGGUACUCCGCAUGUUGGGUACUACAGCGUAUGCCUCUGACAAUCUGACACCGAAUGGACUGAUGCAUGUCCACCGAGGGUUGGUUGCAUUAGUCAAAAGGCGUAAGCGACCUUCACCUUGUCCUGCAAGCUUCUCCUCAUUCUACGAGUUGACGGGACACACCAAAAAGUAGUGCUAGUCCAUACUCCCUCCUUUCCGGUUAAUAUGGCUUAAUAUUUUUUGCGGGUAAAUGAGAGAGCUUUAUUCAUAUAUAAGCAUUCUUAGGACGAUCGGCCAAGACAAUGGUCACUAGGAAGCGAGGCACCUCGCAAAAAAAGAAGUAGGAAGCGAGGUGUUUCAUCAAGCCAGCUCUCGACCACAUUCAAAGUGCAGCAAGCACGGUUCGCACGAAGAUGCGCCGAAGGUUUGCUGACCUGUUUACAUGCUGAAUAACAAAAAAAGAGGAAAUAUUACCGAGCACUACUAUUUGUAACAGGAUAUGUGCCAGAAUUAAGCGAGAAUUGUGGCGAGUGUUCCAUGCAAUCAACUUCCAUUAUCACAUGCGAGAACCCUCGAAGAAAACCAAAUGUGUUGAAGAUUGCUUUAUCACAUUCUAAAAUUAUAAUAAGAGUGCAGACGCUCCUCCAUCUGGUUCCUAGUACUAGUAUAGUACGUACCUUUAUAGAGUAUAGUAGUAGUACUAGUACUAGUAAACUUUGCGCUUGGUUGUUCGCCUAUUCGGGAAGUCGAACAAUAAUAGCACUAGUAGUAUAGUGUAUGCUUCUGGCAAUCUGACACCCAAUUAACUGUUCAAUGUCCAUCGCCUGAGCGAGGGAGAGCUUGCAUUAGUCAAAAGUUUCUCCUUGUCCUGCAAGCCACCGCGAGCAAGCUUCUCCCGUCUCGCAACCUUCUCCUCGUUCGACAAGUUGACGGGACACAUCAAAGUAAUGCUAGUCCAUACUGCCUCAUCUCCGGUUAAUAUGGCUUAAUUUCAAACGAGAUAAAUACACUGUCUGUCACUAUAUAUUUGUAAAAAUAUGGUCAGUGGACUUCAUAAUACGCUAAUUGCGCUCAAUAUAUAUAUUUUCCGGUGUUUAUAUGGUCACUAGCUCACCCUGACUGAGUAUGUGUGUGCAUGCACGUGUAGGUUGAGCACUUAGCGUGACCGUGCGUGUUCUGUCGUGUGCUCGGACAUGCAUGCAUUAGGGCAUCGCGCGCGUUUUGCGUCCAUGUGUACGUGUGACUGUUGCAUACAUGUAGGGGGAGUACAUGUAGGGGCCACUAAGGAGCAGUCAAAUCACACAGUAAGUUAGUUGGAAGAAGCAACCAUCAUUUCACUCUUGAAUGACACGUAUGCAAUAUAAAAUGGUUGAUAUGGAGAGAAAAAGAAAACCACUAUAUAUAGACUAGCAGGAGACUAAGCUACAAGCCUGCUUGCUUAGGUUGCUCUCUUCACAAGCAUAGAACGACGGGCCUGAUCCUGCAGCUGGGGGAAGGGAACAAUGUUCUGCGUAGACACGGUCGACAUCGGCGAGGGAGAAAACCCAUAGUCGGUGUGUCCCAAUCGGGGGUCACCGCGGUAUGAGCUGAUGCCGCGUCCGAACCGCCCUUCUAGCUACAGCCCGACAUCCCAGGUAGUCCAUCUUCCUUUUGGAGCCGGCUUGCUCCACUGCCGUAGCUCCAUCUCCAUGUCGAUCUUUCUCUACUUCUACCGACUUCUACUUGUGAUGAUUUUAUGUCUCAUGAACUAGUGCCAGUACUAUUAUUCUAAUCACACUUCUUCAAUAUCUUUGCCAUCAGGGAUGCUCAGGUCAAUUUUAAUGGAACUGCACAAAAGCAUCAUAUGAUCCGAGGGUGCCAGCCAUCUUUCCUUCGAUAGGUUCUACUUGGCCAGGGAAUAAAAUCAUGUUUAGGGUUUAGGGUUUAAGUCGUAGUGAACCCAUCAGUAGUUUUUCUUUCGUACACGCUCUCACAACUUUUUUCUUUAGUUGUGAAGUAAAUAUUGGCUAUGAUCUGUGAAUCAUUGAGAUGCAUCAGCAUGUGUGUUAGUUUUCCUUUGUAUUUGAUGGAAUAUUGUAACGGGGCAACCUUGGAAUAGGAAUUGAAAUGGAGUGGAAAGUUUCCGUUUUUCUGGAGAAAAAAAUGGAAACGGAGAGAAACCAAUGUUUUGUUUCGUUGGAUCGCGCCAUCGAGCAAAACCAACGUUUAAAUCACGUCUAUCGUGUUCGUGUCUCACCCUCCUGCACGGCUCGACCCCACACGGUCGCUCGGCAUGCCACUCACCGCAAACCGAGUAUACGAUAACUUUCCCGCCUGCUUGUCGAUGGAUCGCGCCAUGGAGUACUAGCACUACUGGAAGAGAUUGACAAGUUGGGGGAGGACAGCUAGCUGUAGCACGGACUCCCAAGAACUUUUUACAUGCAUGUUGUAGCCGGCUAUUGUGACCUUUGAACACGGAGCAGCCGUGUGCACCCGGAAGCGGCGCGGCGACGGUCUCUCAGCCGGCGCUCCGCUUCAAUACCGGCGCCUGUGAGAGGUCGCGUCCGCUCUGGCCGGGCAUGAAUGCGGCACUGACCGUUUCGGGCGGGAAGCACGCGCGGGUGAUGAAGAGGGUUUGGAUUGGUCAGGACCGGCCGUGGCAGCGGUCCGGACGUGCGCAAACAAGAGAUGCUAUACAUUAAUAUUGCUGCGUAUAUAACUAACAACAUAAAUAAUCUUCCAGUUGGACAAAUAUGAUUGGAGAUGGAGAUGGAAAUGGAAUUUUACGUAAACACGGAUAUGCAUGUCUAUGUAUAUGUGUGUGUGCGCGACGACUCUCGCGACCUGGAAGCGGGGGUGUGUUUUUGAUCGAGUUUUCUUUCUUGGUAAGUUAGAAAAUCAGUUUGUCUAAUUCACAUCUAGAUGUUAUUUAAGGAUAUCACAUCUAAGCCCGCACAACUAUAUAAUGUAGCAACAAGAAAUAAAAAAAACUAGGACAAAAAAAUAGACCACAAACAGAGUGGACAUCAACUUAAAUAUGACAUAACUAUGUCACAUCUAGAUGUGUCCUAGACAGACCCUUAAAAAAUUGUCCGCCAGUUUUCGUUUCUUUUUUCCGGGAACGCGCGUAUUCUAUUUAAAACCACUGCUAUGGAGAGAUUUUUUUACUCCAUUAUAGCCUCUUGUUUGAUAGAGUUUCUCGCAUCUCGCUCUCUCACCCUCACCAUAUCAAAACAAGAUGAGAGUGUCCACUCUAUCUCUCUCCUCACCGGUUGUCACAAAUCCGGCUGAAUCCCGUCCGCUGCGGGAAAUGAGGAGGUGCAGCGUUGACGUUGUCGCCGUCGGCGACGGAGGAAGCCGAUGCGCACCGUCCUCUAGGAGCCGGCGCUGGCGCGCACGAAGAUCCUCCGCGCCCUUAUUCGCUGCCGUCGUGUGGGAAGAUCCCGCCCACCCACCUGAACGACAUCUCACCCACCUGAGGUAUAACUUCUUGUACUGGUCCAGCUCCCCAGUUCGCUGCGUGCGGGUUUUCUUCUAUGCGACUACUCCCCAGCUCCCCAUGCGUAGUAGCUAGGGUUCGUCGGCUGGUCCAACAUCACCUACUAGUACUAUUAUAGAGGAAAUGCCACUCGAAAAGUUGUCCUGAUUUAUGCCUCGGUGGAGGUAUACAUGUUGUUUCGACAAAAAAUACAUGGUGGUUGUGCGACCAUUGUCCAUAUGGUGGUAGUACUAUCACUGGUUAAAUGAAGAAAUGUUUUUUUCUCGGGUAUCCUGGUUUAGUUCCCAUCAAGAUAAUUAUGAUGCUUCUGUUUGUUGGUGUACUUUUCAUUAAUUCUUGUUGACAAUUGAGAUGUCAUUGCUAACCCUUUUUUAUAUUUUUGGAAACAGUGAUGCGUGUCUCCAUACCCGGGCAUGUCUUCCUCAAUUUUAGUGGAACUGCACAAAAUUGGAUGGCCAUUGUUGUUCCGCCUCACUGUCCUCUGCCACGUGGUUCUUCCUUCCUCGAGCUUGAUUACUGAGAAGAAACAGACCACAGUGAGGAUUUGUCGAACUUCAUAGGUGCCUCACCCAAACUUGAUGCCAAAUGGAUGAUGCAUCACCACGAUGACCUAUCGAUGCUCAUGGUUGCGCCUCAUGGUUGCCUUGGCUGGUGAAGCUGAUCGAUUUUCAAUGAAAAACAAGCUAUCUUCCAUCAGUGCACUUUGCUUGUUAGGCACAAAGAUGAUAUCCUUCGUUAGUUCCCCUUGGUUGCGUUGGAGACGCAGUCGUCUUUCACGUUGAUGCAAUUUUAUCACACAAUUGGCUAUGAACCAAAUGUUUCCUUGAAGAAGGAUCGACGUUGGUACUAAGAGCAUAAAUUUUGUAUUGAUUUCUAAGCCUUCUCACAACUUUGUCUCUAGCUCCCCUGAAAUUUUAUUUGUCCAGCUAUUAACUUUGAUUUAAAAAAUGGUGUGGACUAAAAGCCUGGAUGGACGUAGUAGCCCUCCAUUUUUAUUUACUGCGCAUAUUAGAUUUGACUGAAGUCAAACUUUGUAAUACUCUCAAACCUUUCCGAUAAUUAAAAUUAAAAUUCUUUAUUUGUACACACUCUCACACAUUUCCGAUAAUCUGGCGCAUGUGUGGUUGUUCACUUAAGGGAGGGUAGUGUACCACAUGUGAAAGACAGGAAGUGCGACCAGGACGCGUGGGUGUGGAUCGUUAGUUCAUCGGAAGUAGUACUAGUUUUCUUCACUGUACAAUAAAUAAAGAGUUUCGUUUCGUACUUACACAGUUUAAAACGAUUGUUAUGGAGUGAAUAAGAAAACCACUCCACUAUAUAUUAGUCCUAUACAUGAGAGUACUAUAUGGACGCACCUUCAUUGACUUAAUGCACCUGCCUUUGGGUUUAUGACAGGUGGGCCCAAAAUGUGGCUGGCUCACCUGUCAUACAGCCAAAAGCAGGUGCAGUGAAGGCACUGGAGCUCAGUCCGUGCUACAAUGGUAUAUAUAUAAGCGGGAGCCUCAGCGCUUGUUUGCUAGGGUUUGCACUCUCCACACGCUCGCCGCAUUAUAUAUAUGUUACACACUGGAGGCUCAGCGUUCAUUUGCUAGGGUUUGCUAUAUUCACAGUCUCUCACCCUCUCUUCAUCAGAUCUAAACAAGACUGCAUUGGCCUCUUGUCUCUCUCUCCCCCCUCACAGCUGCUAAAGGAGGCGUCCGUAUCCCGUCGCACCGGGAAGGGGAGGAGGUGCAGCCAUCACUCUAUCGCCUUCGGCGAGGGAGGCAAUCCACUGCCGGCUGCGUUGUUCUCUUUCACCCAGCGCCUGUGCAGGAGGGCCACCGACCCCUUCUUCCUCGCUGCCGUACGUAGUGUGGGCAGAUCCGGCCUCCCGCCGAACGCUUUGCCACAUCCCAACGACCCUGAGGUAUAAGUUUCUUUGAAACCGUCGUUGCUCUAGCUGCAUGUGGAUCUUUUUUGAUCUGUAGUCAAAUCUAGGUCUUGGUUCAAAGAGGAAAGAAAGGUGCAGUGGGUGGAGCAUGAAUCUAGGACGUGGUUCAAUGAGGAAAGGAGGUAGGAAAAGUAGUAUAGACUGGCUAUCUAGCCGCUUUGUUGGUCGAAAAGGGAAAAAGGGGGUAACCCAGUACACACAUCUGUAAGGAACCGAUCUCUUUUUUGAAAAGGGAAAGAAACUGGGGGGUCGGGUAGUUUGUGCAGGACUAGAUUUGCUACCCUCACAUAGGGAAAAUUUUCAAAGAGAACAAAUAUGGGACCAACACAGAUAUGCUGCUGGGCUACAUACUCUGCAUCACCCAUUUAUACGUGUGGAUGCACAUGGUGCUAGCAUGUCCCAUAUAGCUAUUUUGCUAUUGUUAAUCUAAGAAUGCCGCCGAAAAAUUGAAGCAAUGCCACUGUUAAAAGUAAAUUACAUUUUUUAACGAAUGUUGUUUCAAGAGAAUGUCUCUGUUAAUAUGAAUCAAUGCAACCGUUUUAUAAAUGCUACUAUCCUACUUUGUUUUCCAUCCAAGAUAAUUAGAUGCUUCUUUCUGUCACCGUUUAUUUCAUCCUUUAUCGGCAAGUAAUUGUUUCCUUUUUUGCCUCUGUUAAAACAGGGGUAUCGAUUCAACUUGUUGCUAUUGCGACAUUUUGCUUCGCUACUCGAAUUACUUAUGUUUUAAGAGUGUUUUGUGCAGUUCAACUUCAAUGUCACACCGAUGACUUUGCUUAAUUUUGGUGGAACUGCACAAAAGGAGAUCGAGAUUUGUUUCCAGUCUUCGUGGCGAGUUGUUUCAAAUCUUGGUCUCAACCACAUGAUGUACAGUGUGCUUUGAGAUGUUGUGCUACUGGUUUUGGUACUGUUUUAAAUAAAUGUUGACUUUAAGCUAUUGUAUUGCUGUCUUUUCCCAUUAACUAGUGAACAAAAAUGGGACCAACCCAGAAAUGAUGCUUGUUGCUUUGUUAUAACAAAUUCAGCAUCACCCCCUUUAUAAGCCAGUAAUUGAUGCCACUCUCAGAAUUAACUACUGAAUCUUAUUUCAAAACUGCAACACUUGUUAGGGAUUGGCGGGAUUACCAUUUUUGUGGUCGCAUGUUUCAUCCUCCUUUAUUAGCCAGUAAUUGAUUCCUUUUUUGCCUCUGUUUAAACAGGGAUAUCUAUUCAACUUGUUGCUAUUGCAACAUUUUUCUUCACUACGCGAAACACUUUGCUUGAUUUCAGUGCAACUUCACAAAACGAGAUUGGAUUUCCUAUUCGUGUUGGCAGAUUCGUAUUUUAUCUUGUCUGUCUCAUGAAAGGUUAGUAUAGGCCUUCAUCCAUAUGAUUAUGCAGUGUGCUUUGAGAUGUUGUCCUACUUGUAUUGGUACUGUUUUAAAUAAAUGUUGAAUUGAAGCUAUUGUAUUGCUCUCUUUUCCCAUCAAGUAGUGAACAAAAAUGGGACCAACCCAGACAUGAUGCUUGUUGCUUUGUUACAACAAACGCUACAUCACCCCCUUUAUAAGUAGAUGGAAGCACAUAAUGUUGUUGCGCCCACUCUCCCCUGGAACUGUUUAUGCUUUUCGUUAAUCUAAUGCCGCUGGUAAAAUUCAGCAAUGCCACUCUCAGAAUUAAUUAACUACUGAAUCUUAGUUCAAAACUGCAACACUUGUUAGGAAUGGUACUAUCCUACUUUGUAGUUCUUUCUACAUGUUUAACCAAGGUAUUGUUAAGAUAAUGUCUCUGUUAAAAUGAAUCAGUUUCAUUGUUUUAGGAAUGGUACUUUUCUGCUUUGUCAUUCUUUAUACGUGUUGAAACAAGGCAGUGUUAAGAUAAUGUCUCAGUCAAUAUGAAUGAAUCACACUGAUGGAGAAUUGCUACUCUCCUGCUUUGUUUCCCAUUAACAUAUAUAAAGUAGAUCAGUAGAUGUUUUUCUUCUGGGAGUACAAGUCAUCAACCGUUAUUUCUCAGUAAUUGUUUCCCUUAUACCUAUUGUUGCUUACAGGGAUAUCAAAAUUAAAACUUGGUUUUAUUCCGACUUUGAUUUUAGUUGAACUGCACAAAAGGAGCCAAUGUGUCCAAGGCAAACUGCUGAAUUACUGGGUCUAGUUGGUCGUUCCACUUUGUAGAAAGAAGCAGUCACUGUUUGCGCUACAUUACAUAAGGAAUGACCGAGAUGCUUUACAGAGUAUUAUUAGACACCGGUGACCUGACUAGUCUGCAUAGACCAUUGGCAAUUUAAUAACACGUGGAGUGCCCUAGGCAAAAAGUGCCCAAACAAGUACAAGAAGCUACGACAGGACUCGACGAUCAUAGGCAUUACAUAUUUUGAAUGGGAAAAGCUUGUCAAAGUUUAAUCAUUGAUGUUACCUAGAAGACAUUAGUUUAAUAUAUUGGAAUUGGAAAACCUUGUCAAAAUUUGCUCAUUGAUGUUAGCCAGAAGACAUGCAUUUGAUAUUUUUGAGUGGUACGCCCUUGCUGUGAGCAGCGUCGAGUGUUUUUUCCUAUUCCUGUGUUCAGUUUAGAAGUAAAUAGGUACUCUGCUGAGAUAUUCCUGUGUUAAGAAUUUGUUCUUAAUAUUGUCUAUGUAAUGCCAGGCAUUGUGUUUGAUUGCACAGUUGAGCUUGGAAUGUUAUGGCAUGCGGCAUCACGAGUUGUUCACCGUGCCUCCUGAGAAUAAUGCUUCAUAUUGUUUUGCAUGUCGAUCUAAUGCCAGUGAUUUGCUUGUUAAGAAGAUCAUCCUCUUCUGUUGUUUUCGUGCUUAAAAAGUUCAUCGUCUGAUGUUUCAUUCAUAGCCUAUACGACAAGUCGGGUAGGUUAGACGUGAAACCAUAUGAUCUUCCGACCAACUCAUGAUAUUAGGCCGUGAUUGGAUCGUCGUUUUCCAACCAAAACCGCUUGUAAAACUGACGCUUGUAAAUUAAAGCAGAUGGUCUUGGGCGAAGGCGCUUGGUUGGUCGAUUUGACUAGUAAAAUAUUCGAAGUACUUCACACACGAUAAAAACGCUGAACGAUACUCAGAGAUUGCUAAUCCAGCCGUUAGUUGUUAUUUCAGACUUGCCCAUCGAUGGCAUGAUACGCACGUCAUACAUGUAUCAUCUGGUAAUGUUAUCCAUAUACCAGUGCUCGUAAAAUAUACACUGGUCUCUCAAAUUACACGCAUAACCCGCCGGUUUUACUUACAGACCUCGGGCCCUCGGCUUCAUUAUGCCUGUAUUUUACGCGUUGUUUCCGGUGACAAGUAAAUUACACUUGUAUGUUAAUACAGGUUUGAAAUAAACCAGAGCUCCCAAGCGCGGCCUUACUGUUUCAUGCCGUCUCAGUUUCUUGAAGGUGCUCAUAGGUGUCCGAUAAUCCUAGCUUCCUGAAUGAGCAGCGGGCGCUAUAUCAGACCAUCCGUAGGGCCCGCGAGGCCCUCUCCGUUGUCCUUCGAGUUGUUGCGCUCGCCGUGGCACCGAGCAUUGUUAACAUCAUCAACGAACAUGAGGAUUCAGGAGAUGACUUUAUUUUGACUGGAUGACACUAGGGACCCACUAGGGCCAUAGCCGUACGUACGCAAGUGCCUCCUUAUUAUGUACAAAUAUAUUUUUUGCUUUCUCCUGGUUUCCUGACAUCAGGUCCCACACCAUUGUCAACCUAUGUAGUCAAUAUGAACGAGAGAAUUGCACAAGGUGCGGCUGACAGCUGGGACCAAGCUGCUCGAGCAGUAUUUGUGUUUUUUAGGCGUGAGCACUGUAGAGUUUUUCUUGGCGAUGAUUUUGUUGUUGUUCAGAGGAGAGUAGGGUAUUAACUGGACGGGCUGUGACCCGUCUAGCCCAGGCCAGAUAUCCAGCCCAUAUACUAAUCUUUUCAAGAUGAAAAUGGCUAGCCCAGCUAUACGUCUUUUUGAGGAAUACCCAGGCAAGGUCAACUUGUUAUUCUCUGCCCCGCUGGGCUGUAAAUCUUUCCUAGGAGGGAUGCAUUAGGCUUAACAGGAAAAUGGGCUUUAAAAAUAAUAAAUGGGAUGUAAUUAUAAAAACUGGGCAGUAACUAUAAAAAAAUUCACCAAACACGAAAUUAGUUUAUAAAAUAUUAUUUAUGCAUUUUGAAAAUCUUAAAUUUUCAUUGUUGCGCACGCAUUGUUUCAUUCAAUUUUUACGUAAUACAAAUUUAUAUUUAAUAUGACUAGAAAUUUCGGGAUAAAAAUAUUUCGGAUCCCAUCAAAAUGUGGGAAAUUUUAUUGAAUUCUGUCUUCAACGGUUGGUUGAAAUUAUUAAUCGUUCCUAGCUAGAAAAUAGGCUGUACUUUUAACAAACUGUAAAUGGGUUGUUGUAAAUUCCAUUAGAAUUCAAAAAUGGGUUGUACAUUCGUACAAAACGCAAAUGGGCUAUAAGUUCUCUUCCACACACUUGUGGGCCUACUAAGUGAUGCGUCCCCUAAAAAAAUAAGUUGACGCGUAUGCAAGGCUUUGUCAACUUAUUAUAGUCAACACAUGGUUCUAGCAGCAGUGGCUGUUGGAUGUCUAUCCAAUGGAUGUCGCGCUUCUUCUUCAAUCUCGAAUAUUCUUAGCAUCGGCCGCCCAAAAAAUGAUUCCUCCCCCUAACAUCUGGGGUGCACCGUUUCGGAGGCUGACCUGUGGGCCUACUUAGUUGGAGCGUACCAAGGGCUUUAUCAACUUAGUCAAUAUAAACGAUUCUAGCUUCAGUGACCGUACGAUGUCCAUCCAACGGCCGUAGUGCUUCUUCAACCUCUGGUCUUCUUGGUCCAGCCGCCCCAAGCAGCGCCAGUCGUGCCGCUUGAUCCUACCUCCCAUGGCCGGCUGUGCUGCCGCGGAGGCCUCACCGCCUCCAUACUACUCCCACCGCUGGCCAGGCCAUCCCUCCACUCACCCACACCCCCUGUUAUUCUACGGCGAUGGUAGCCUCACACCACAACCGAACCAGUGAACCCUCGUACUCCUCUUCGCGCGGGCUUCCAAUGCUGCGUCUGCCCCGGCUCCGCGUCGUCCCCUUCCUAGGCCUCGCUGUCGUCCACCGCCCUGGUGCUCUCGGUGUGGCGUGGUCAACGUGGUCAACGAUCGACUUCCAUCGGAAGAGUAUUGUACGUGGAGAGGCUGACAUCUGGGUCCACGGCGGCCGCAAGGAAGUGCCUCCUUAUUACGCGCAAAAUAAUUAUUCCUCCACCUGACAGCAGGGACCCACCGGACGAGCCACCUUAUUUCGUGAAAAAAACAUUUCCCCCUGACUGCUGGGACCCACCAGACGGGCCACCGUAUUUCGUGAAAAAAACGUUCCCCCCACUGUUAGCUCGGACCCACCGGAAGUGCCUCCUUAUUACGCAGAAAAAAAUGAAUACUCCCCCUGCUAGCUGGGACCCACCUUGGUGUGAGGCUGACUUGUGGGCCUACUAAGUUGACGGGGACGGAAGGCUUUGUCAACUUAGUCAAUAUGAACGAUUCUAGGUCAAGUGACCGUACGAUGUCCAUCCAACGGCCGUAGUGCUUCUUCAACCUCUGCUCUUCUUGCUCCAGCCGCCCAAAGCAGCGCCGGUCGUGCCGCCUGCUCCUGCCUCCCGUGGCUAGCUGUGCUGCCGCGUAGGCCUCAUCGCCCCCUACUAUUCCCACCGCUGGCCGGGCCCUGCGGCGACGGUAGCCUCACACCGCAGCAGAACGAGUGAACCCUCAUACUCCUCUCUGCGUGGGCAUCCACUGCCGCGUUUUCAUCGGCUCCGCGUCGUCCCCUUCCUAGGCCUCGCCGUCGUCCACCGCCCUGGUGCUCUUGGCGCGGCGUGCUCGACGUGGUGAAGGAAUGACUUCCAUCGGACGUGGACUGUACGUGGAGAGGCUGACAGCUGGGUCCACGGCUGCAGCAAGGAAGUGCCUCCUUAUUACGCGGAAAAUAAUGAUUCCUCCACCUGACAGCAGGGACCCACUAGACGGGCCACCGUAUUUCGCGAAAAAACGUUUCCCCCCUGACUGCUGGGACCCACCAGCUACACCUUCGCACGCAAGGAAGUGCGUCUGGCUAAAAAAAACAGUUCGCCCGCCUGACUGCUAGGACCCACCCGCUACAUCUUCGCACGCAAGGAAGUGUGUCCAGGCAAAAAAAACCCAAAACGAUUCGCCCCCCUGGCUGUUGGGACCCACCAGCUACAUCUUCGCAGGCAAGGAAGUGCCUGACAGUUGGGCCCACCUGGUCGAAGCGUACUUAGCGUUGUCAUUCUAGUCGCGAACAUGUACGUACAUAUAUACUGGUGGAUGUAGAGGCAAGCACGUGUCGUAGUAGAGGCGCGCACGUAGCAUGCACACGUAUGUACAGCGGCCAGGGUGCAAGAAAGAAAAUACGGCCACGUAUGUGUACAUACGGGCAGGGUCUCGAACGCCUACUCACGUAUACAUACGGCGAGGGCUCGUGUACAUGACUGCGUCAGAACAGAGAAACAACGUCAUCGUCGUGUUGAUGGGGAGGCAACGGAAUGCGUUGUGUUCAUGGGGAGGCAACGGAAUGCGUCAUUUUCAUGGAGAGGCAACGAAAUGCGUCGUAUUCAUCGGGAGACAACGGAAUGCGUGGGAGCCAACCAGCUGGGUCGGAAUGGAAUGCGUGGUCGUGUUCAUCAGGAGGGCUUGGACGGAACAGGCGAUGGAAAUGAAGGCUGGCAUACCGCAAAACGGAGGAAAUGGACCUCCUACGUUCGGAACGGGGGUCCUAUUGAUCGGGAGGGGUGUGUCGUACCGAAAAAUGGAGGAAACGGACCUCCUAUGGUCGAAACAGGGGUCCUGUUGAUCGGGAGGGGUGUGGCGUACCGCAAAACAGACGAAACGGACCUCCUACGGCCGAAGCGGGGGUCCUGUUCGUCAGGAGGGGUGUGGCGUACUGCAAAAUGGGACUCCAUGGGAUACUGUUCAUCUCCACCGUCGACCUCCUCCAGCCUCCACGGGUUACCGUCGACCUCCUCCAGCAUCCACGGGCUCCUGUUCAUCCAGCCUCCACCGUGCGCUACUCCACCGGCUACUGUUCAACCAACCCUCCAUGGGCACCCCUCCACCGUCUAUUGUUCAUCCAACCCUCCACAACACGAGGUCCUAUUCAACCACCCCUCCACGGGCACCCCUCCAUCGUCUACUAUUCAGCCAGCACUCCACCACACCAAGGGGUCAUGUUCAUCCAGAGGCAACGCCACCGGUCACUGUUCAUCCAACCCCCCCCUCCCCGCAACGCUCACUGUAAAUCCCAAAGGCAGCAUCGAUCGACUUCAGUUAGCAGCAGUAGCAAAGGAAUCGCUCGAUCAGGUUCAGUUAAUAGCCAUCGAUCGAUCCCUCGGGUUCAGUAACACGUAACCUGCGGUGCAAUCGCUCGGGUUCAGUUAGAGCCCAACGCCUCACUCGGGUUCAGUUAGAGCCAACGCCUCGCACACACGCGCGUACGUGUACGAGAGAAAUGCGCAUCGCUCAGCCCCCGACUUCCCAACGUAACCGGGAACUCCCCAAAAUUGUCCUCCCCCUCGCUUCUACCACUGUUUUUUCCGUCAUGGACGGCCCAAAGAAUGUCAUGGAGCUGGGUCUUCGGCCCGCCCAGGACGAAAAGCCAAUUUUCUGUCAUGAUUUUUUGUCAUAGAAGUAGGAGCCCACCACAUCUAUGAUGAUACCGGGUUUUGUCACAAUUAUCGUCAUAGAAGUGUCAUAUGUAUGACAGAAGAAAAAUUCGUUCGGCCCAAAAUGUCACGGAUGUGUCUUUUUUUUGUAGUGUGAUUUGUAUAUCUCCAGCCAAUUUGCAGUCCAUCGAUUAUUCCAUUGCCAUCUCAUGGCCUUGGCAUGGAGGAACUAUGCCACAUGAUAAAGCAGUCCUGAUGUAAUCUCUCUGGCCUUCUCAGCAUUCUCCAUGCCUGUUCCUAGCCAUGGAUAUCUGCCGGCACCAACCAGCACACAAACUGUAAGUAGAAAAAGACGAUCGAGGGUUAUGGUUAUAGGGAUUUAGACAUAGUUUUCUUAUGUUUUAGAUCCGCUGAGGAUGUUGUUACAGUGAUUGAACAUACGUCUGGCUACCUAUAUGCUCAACACAGGGUGGUGCAUAUUUGAUUCCAUCAAUAAUUUAACGCACUAACCGACAUUGAAUCUUUGUUUCUCUUUUGUUCUUUUUUACAUCCUUCGCUAGUUCUUGCAAUCUUCUAAAUAAGUCACAUUCAGUUGGUCACUGUUUGUUCACAGAGUUCUUUCAUGAUCAGUAGAAACUUGAUGUGUGUUGACAUUGGCAUUGGUGGCCCAAAAUAAGGACAUGAAUAUGUUGCAUUAAACUUCUCUCCUUGCCAUCGAUGCUCAUAUUUGCGCCUUGGGGGUGAUCUUGGUUUCUUUGCAUGGUUUGGCCGAUAAGCAUUCUUGUCUUCACUCUUCUUUUGAUAUUUAUCCAAUAGUUCAGUGAAGGUGAUUUUUAAUCUCUUACACUUGUGCUUAUUUCGGCCUUUGUUUUCCUUUUGUUUUCUUUCAUCGAUCAUUGGAGUUUCUUCUUGCCCUCUAGUCCUUAGCGUCUUCAUUGUAGCUUCGAUAGAAUUUUCACCCUCAAGAAUAUUAUCAUUGUGCUCUUAAAAGAUUUUCCUACCUGAAAGCUUAAUCCCAUUCUCUAUAGUUUUUACCUUCUCAUGCUUAAAUAGACCAGCAUGAAGCAGCCGAUGCAAAAACUAUUUACCAUCUGGACCAAUUGGAAUAGACUGGUCAUCUCUUGGUGUCUCAACAAAUUUGAACCGUCCUUAUCAAUGGCCGAUUUAACUAUUUGAUGAAACAUAUUGCAAUCCUCGAAAUUAUGUUUGAACGAAUGAUGCAAUCUACAUCACAUUCGUCCUUGGUUUGAUGGCUUGACGUGGUGAUCAAGAAUUCAAAUGUAAUUAUUUUUCAGCAACAACUCAAAUAUUUGAUCACACAUGCUUGAAUUGAAGGUUAACCUUAUAUUUUCUAGACGAUCUUGUUGUGAGAACGGCUUUAGAGGUAAGCACACAAAUGGUUCAGAUUUGGAAUCUCCCCAUUUGGCUAUGAAUUUUCUUUUGCAUUCUUUUUACGAUGUCAUUGGAUAACAUAUUAUACUAGCAUCCAUUUUCUCAACAGGAUCUAAACUUGACAUUAUGUUUCUGAAACAAAAAUAGUUAGAACACACAUGUUUCAAUUGAGACGAAAAGCAUGCCAUGUAAGAAAUAAGGAAAGCUACCCAACUAGAUAUGAAGUUUAGAUAAAGCAAUGGGGAAAGCCUUGGCUAUAACAAUUAGUCACUCUCGGUCUAUAUAAAUGGCGCAAUGGGUUGACCGAUAUGCUCUAUAACAAUUUUAUCGCUUACAAGUAAAUUACCCUUCUUCACUGGUCUUUCAAAGUUACUUAUUAGGAUUUUUUCUAAUAGAUGCAUCAACAAUAAAGUUGUGACCAAAUAUGAAAACAAGUAAGUUAAUUGAUAGACAUACCUCUUCAAAUUUAUUGGAAGAGCAUGAUGGUGGUGUGACUUGAACAAUAUCUUGCUCCGUCUUUGGAUGGCUCCCCAACGCCUUUUGAUCAUAAUCUUUAUUCUUGAUUCCGUGCAUUAUUACAUCGAAGAUCUUUGUCAGCCGAGCUUUUUCGGCUACUUGUUCUUGUCCUCAAGGCUUGUCAAUUUCUACGGCAAGGAACUCAUAGGGCAGGAAGUAGGUUCCAUUAACUUUAGAAAAAUCAGGCACAACUGUUUUCCUAUGCUUGCGAUGACCUUUCUCAAUAAUGCUUGCCUAUUCGGAUUUGAUGGAUUCAGAAUAUACACUACUUGAUUCGGGGUUUUCAACCGAAGCAUUUUCAUGUUACGAAUCAUCCUUCUUUUCAUUGACUCUACCAAUUGGCAAUGCUUCUUUUAUAUAUUUGAGCCAAUUAUUUUUCUGUUUGUUUCUGGUAGUGUGCGGCAAAAUUGGCUUUAAGCUGUUUCUCAAUUUCAGCCGACUCUGGAUAUGAUUGCCCCCCAAUGCUUUUAGAUUCUUUCGGAAUGACACAUGAGUGUUGCCAAAACAUUGCAAUUGCAUGGGGGUGUAUAAUAUUUGUGCAGUAUAACCGCACCUAAUCCCUGCUCUCUCACGCCAUUUGGCUUUGUGGCUAUUUGUUUUGCUGAUUUAACCAUUCCUGGCUGUCAGAUCUACUUGAUGUAGCAUCAUGGCCCAAUUCCUAUAGCAUUCAGGCCCAACUAUCCUAAGGGGCUGCUACUCUGGAAGAAAAAACUGAGGCCUCUUGUUAAUUGGGCCACUUGAGGCAGCCCAUUUAACCUUCCUGACUCCAAUCUUUCGAUGGCUCGCUGCAGCUGUCGCUUGUACGUAAAAAACAAAUGUGAGGUCAAUAGGAUGUGUUGGACUCGAAUAGAGGAGGCGCUCGAGGGAGCCAGGCACGCGAGGGGACCGAGCGGUGGCGAAGCAAGAUGAGUCGAGCGACGGGAGCCGAGGCACGCUAGUGGAUCCGCCGUCACGCGGUUCAGCCGAUGCGUGCGAGGGGAACCGAUCCAACCUAUGAGGGGAUCCAGCGGAUGUGCGGGAUUCAGAUGAAUCAGGAGGACGUGAGGCAGUCAUCAGAGAUGAAUUGGGUUAUUUUGUAGCUGUAGCAACAUGUUCGUGCCACAUGUUUCUGAUGUAGCUACUGCUGAAGCAAUUGCUCUCAGGAAUGGUAUUAAUUUGGCAGCUCAUGUGGGAUGCUUGAGGAUAGAUGCUGAGUCAGAUUGUGAACUUGUGAUCAAUGCAGUAAAAGAUACUUAUAGAUUCAAUGGUUCCCAAGCAACAAGAAUUAUUGAAUGCGUUCAACUCUCUUGUGACUUCGGACAGGUGAAAUGUUCUUUACGCAACCGAGAAGCAAACAGUGUAGCAGAUGCUUUGGCUAAGCAAGCAUAUAUGCUGAAGAAUUCUUCUGUUUGGGAAGAUGAUCGGCCCAAUUUCAUUUCCUCUUUGAUUGUAAAUGACAUUGCUAUUGUCUGAGAAAUGAAAUCUUUACUUUGUCAAAAAAAAUAUUAUUUCUCCCCAAUUAUUUGCUCAUCAUUGGAAUUGUUCUCAAAGUUGAUAAAAUUUACCCCAUGCAACAGACAAAAAUAUUGAUCCGCUUGCACUUUCAAUCAGUAAUUUGGACCAAAGUGUCUGGUCUGAACCAAAGUGCCUCUUUCUAGAUGCUUAAGAAAUGACACUUCAAAAUAUGACUGACCGUUUCGUAAAGAAAACAUGAUCGAUCAUGAUCUAGAAGCCUCUAAACAAAACCAAGUUUGCCAAUUGGAACUGGAAAAAUGAUGCAAAAUAAUGAACGCACCAGAAGGGGAGCUCAAAUCCAAGUUGUAUUUUGCGCCCAUCUUAUACUAUUUACUAAUUGGAGGCACCAAAUGAGGUUCCAUGUUAAUCCCGGUAGUUAGAAAAUUUGGACCAUUAGGUUUACUAAUGAUACAUCGAUGGCCGUCAGAUAAUGUCUUGAUGCACCUCUUCACGUGCGGGAAACAGACUCCUCUAUUUGCACCUCCUUACGUGAUACUUGAGAAUAUACUUUGGCUCCCAUUGUGUCGAAUCAAUAAAUUUGGGUUGAAUACUUUACCCUCGAAAACUGUUGCGAUCCCCUAUACUUGUGGGUUAUCAUUUACAAAAUCAUAUCAAAGAUGCUUGCAAAUAGAUUGAAAAGGAUCGUGCCUAAGAUUAUAUCACCCACCCAAAGUGCAUUUGUUCCUGGGAGACUAAUAACACAUAAUGUGCUAGUUGCUUAUGAAUGUUUUCAUGCAAUCAAAAAUAAAACACAUGGAUCGGCUGGCUUGUGUGCUGUAAAGCCUGACAUGCAUAAAGCAUAUGAUAGAGUCGAAUGGGGGUUUCAGAAGGCAAUGAUACAACAUAUGGGUUUUCAUGAACAUUGGGUUGAAUUGAUGAUGGAAGGCCGUUUCUCACCUUCUUUUUGCAAAUGAUUCAUUAAUUUGGAUGAAGGAAAAUUUGGCAAAUGCAAACACACUGAGAAAUGGUCUGCAUAUGUAUUGUCAGAGUUCGGUUCAAUUAGUCUCAAGUGCUAAAUCCAACAUUUUCUUGAGCCCAAAUAAUUCAAUGCUAGUAAGAUAGAAUAUUUGUAAUCAACUGUUUAUAUUUACUAAGGCCCUCAUUGAUAAAUACAUGGGGUUGCCUUCCAUGGUGGGAUUGAUAGGAGUGACUGUUUUCAACAUCUUGUUGAUCGGGUAUGUGAGAAUCUUAAAGGCUGGAAAGAAAAUAUGUUAUCUGUUGGGGCCAAGGAGACUUUGUUGAAAGUUAGGGCACAGGGAAUUCUCUCAUAUGCAAUGUUAGUGUUUAAUUUUCCUUUGAGAAUUUGCAAAGCUAUUAUUGAUGAGAUUGCAACCUUCUGGUGGGGAGAUGAUGAAGCUAAGAAAAAGAUGCAUUGGAUGGCGUGGUGGAAGAUGUGCAUUCCAAAGGGGAUAGGAGGUAUGGGCUUUAGGGACCUUCAUAGAUUUAAUCUUGCUAUGUUAGCAAAGCAAUGUUGGUGACUAAUCCAGAAUUCAGAAUCUUUUUGUGCCCGCGUUGUCAGUGCAAAAUACUUCCCAGAUGGUGAUAUUCUAAAUGCAUGGUCAAAGGGUUGUUCUUAUUAUAGAUGGCAAAUCUUUGUGCAGGCAUCCAAACCUUUAAACGGGGGUGUAUUUGGAGAGUGGGAACAGGUCGGGAUUAAGAAUUAAUCCGUGAUACAUUCUACCCUAUUGAUGUGCAUCACAUAUUUCGAAUCCCUUUGAAUGUCCAAGGAAUUGACGACUAUGUUGCAUGGCACUAUACAAAGUCUGGUACAUUCUCAGUUUGAUCUGCUUAUCAUAGGGAAUUGGAGCAUAAAUUUGGACAACGUAUGCCUGCGGAGGAUGGCCAAGGUCGAGCAAAUCCUAUCCCCAUUUGGGAUGACAUGGUGUCGGCUAAGGUUAAAAUUUUGCUCUAGAAAGUAUUACAUGGGAUCCUUCUCUGUAAGGUGUACUGGAAAACAGACAUGUUUUAAAACAAGCACAAUGUCCGACCUGUUUGAGGGGAACUGAUGAUAUUCAACACUGUCUUUUUAGCUGUAAGAGGGUUAAAUUUAUUUGGGAACAGUUGGAUCUAACAGAGAUGAUCAGGAAGGCCAUAUGUCGAGAUCGGUCGUGUUUUUUUAACUUGAAUCAAAUUACAAAAGAGAACUUAGGGAAGAGUAUUGGAGGUCUACAUAUACCCGAGCUUGUGGUUGCGGCAUCUUGGUAUCUUUGGUGGCAAUGUCGGCAGCUAAUAAAGGGUGCAUCAGUAUUGCCAGCAGAUAGAACAACAACAUCCAUCAGAGGAUUCUUCAAGUCAGUAUUCCGGGCUCAAAUCCUCCUCAUCUUCGUCAUUCCGAACAGAUUAGACAGAGAUCCCAUAUAGAUUCAUGCCAGCUCCUCGGAGCGGCAAGGUUAGGGUUUCUCAACAUGCGUACACAAUAGCGAGAUUUGCUGUGAUUUUCUUGAGAUCGAUUCACGGAUUCAAUGGCGACGACUGCGGCUCCCGAAUACUGGUCCUUAGGGGCACGUGCACGAAGACAUCCCGGCUGUCAUCGAUAAGGUUAGGUCGGAUCCGGUAUGGGAGCGGUGACAGUGAUGCGAGGCGGCUUGUUCAGCCGGCGGCAAUGGUCGUUCGGUUGUACAUGGACCACCAUGUAAUUUUUUUUAUGUUUCGGUGCUUUGUAUUUCUGAUGAAUCUUUAUAAUAAAUCUGAUAUUUUCGCAAAAAUAAAAACUAACUAGAUACUUAAUUUAUGUUUAUGUGUUUGGAUUGCUAAACCUCAGUCGACUAAAACUUAAUCAAAUCUCAGUGGAUGCUAUAUUCAUCAGAUCUUAUGUGGUGAUUCAUGCAAAAUUUUCGUUUUAAUUUUUAAUUUUUAAUUUUUAUAUGUUAUACGUCAUUUGACUGAGACUUGGUUAAGUCUCAAUCAACUGAGAUCUAGACACACCCUUUAUGUAUUUUUGGGCUAAGGACAUUUUUUUCCGUUGCAGCGCACAGACAUUUUUACUGCUUGGUAAAAAAGGAAUUAUAGAAUCCGUCGGACAUCUUGACGUACGAUGUUCUCAGCCACGGCCAGCUCCCGAAGCCACAAGCACGGCUUGAGCUUGACUGAGCUAUGGACGGAACAGGCGGGCGUGGCUUUCCAAUGGACAAGCGGGCUAGCGUUUAUAUAGCCGGCGCGAGAGUGCGGGAAGCGGUCACCUAAUUCUGACUGUGUACGUACUGCACCGUCGAAUCAGAUGCCGAUCAUCAUGCACGAGAGCGUGCGGCACUGUUGAGGUCGUGGGCGAUCAGGGCAUAGCUCUACUGUUUACACCCGUACCUUAGUGCAUCCAUGGUCAUUGAAUGCUAUUGCUGCCUCAUGGUAGCACCACGUACCGUUCUGUACCUGGAUGGUUACAAGUCUCGCUGGACUUCUCGACGUGGAUGCACAUAUGAACGGCGUACGUGCAGUCGUGCAUCCUUGGAUUUAAAAUAUUUUUUCGGAGUAUGACACACACUUACGGCGCAGAAAAUCAAAUAGCAUUUCAGCUUAUAAUUUGAGAGGGGGAGGCAGAUAGGCACCGGGGAAUAACAAGGUUGCUGUCCGGAACGAAAAGACGAUGCAUGUCUUGUUGUGCGCACGUGCCCUGCCGCUCAUGGCAUCGCCGGGUGGUCGCGGUCGACGUACCAUUUCCGGAUAGACGACGCCACGUGCCCGCAGAUGGUCGUCCGGCCGUAGAAAUUUUCUAUGGACCCGGGUUAACGGCAUCGCGGGCCAAGCCGCCCAGAGCAGCACGGCGGGCACAUGUAUGACCGGUCGUCUUAAUCAAUCCGCUGUCGCGCACCUUUCCGUGGAGGCAUGCGUACGAAUCGUAGAUGCCCUCGCCAAUGUAUAUCGAUUCGGUGAUAGACAUGAUUCUAUUCUGGAAUUGUGAAAUCCACCUCUCCAUUUUGACAACCCUUAUUGAUCUUCAUUAUCAGAAAAGGGCAAUGCCAGCAAGCCUUUUUUUCAACGCUAUCCUACCAUGUCACUCAUUCCCUGGACGAGCACGGUUCGCUUCCGUUCGCUUAAUGAUGACGUGGCCAUGACAUCCGUGUCCCGCAACAUGAUCACCGAGUCCGUCCUCAACUCCGAGCCCAUCCAGAUGCAACCGGUGCUAAGCCAGCUUUGGUGUAGCUCCAUUUACACCAACCUCUCCACACGUUGAUCCACUUCCGUGCACACCACCACAGCAUGGUAGAUCGUAGUGCCGGAGUUCUAGCGAGAUUUGUGUGCUUAAACAUGUGUGCAUAUUGUUGUGAGUAGCAGUAAAAUGUGAUGUUGCUUGUACGUAAUCUUAAUGUCUCACGUGUUUUUGUUUAAGUUGUUUUUUGCUUCUUUCUUUGGGUGUUCGGUGUCACCUUAUUUCCCUUUGUGUGCUCCCAUAGCCAUGAAUAUCUAGUAAAUGUUCCUAGACAGUAAUAGUGAUUAACCUCUUUAUGUAAUGUCUAUACGUAUGUUCAUUUCUGUAGAGUCGAGAUCUGGUGUACCCAUUGUUUGUCCCGAUUUCUAUGUUUUCUAGAUGGAUUUCUUUGUCUCUUGAUCAUGUAAGAUCAACGAGCACAUUCCUUGGCAUACUGGAAGCAUUUUUUUUUCUAUUUCUAUGUCUGUUAAAAUCCUAUGAAUCAACGAGAAGCAGUUAUCAUACCAAUGCAAACAACAAGUGACGAGGCUAUGCCCAAUUUUUUUUAAUACACACAAAAAGGUCAAAUACACAGCAAAUGCCAUUCAUCGGACAUCAUUCUUCGCUUUAUUUAAUUAUUUCUCCAUCAUGAAAAUGGUCUUACACUUAAGGCCUAGGUACUUGCCGUGGGUGGGGGUGGUAGCUUUAUUUCCGGAACAUGAUAACCUGCAAAAUUUCAUUCUUCACAUCAUAAUGAUGAACAUGAGAAAUUAUAUAAAGUUUUAUUUGUGUGUGCGCGCGCAAAUAUGACAAUAUACCAACCUGCACAGUGAGUGUCUGUGUGCAACCCAUUGCCGCAUACAUGUGUAGCCAUGGCAAACUUGGCUAGACUGAGCAAAGUCAGUUCGUGAGCGGUGAACCGAUCACAGAUGCAGUGGAUGUCUUUCGCAUCUCUUAUUGUAUUGCAACAUGCGCUAUGGAGUGGCGGGUACUGGUCACCAAGUUUCUUCUCGAUGUGAUGCCAACAAUCUCGCAUCACCUUUUUUUAUCAAGGCGGCAAUGAUCUAUGUCAUUGGCUGCACGUGCAUGGAGCGAACAAGAAGAGGCAACCACAAGGACUAGGAAGCAUAACACUCCAGCUACUUUUGCGUUGUUCAUGUUCUAUGUUGUGUAGAACUAUUGGUAUGUGUUUAUGCAGGACUUCUGUGCCACUCAGUCUCUAUAUAUAGUGGUCAUAGUGAAGUUUUUAGACUCCAUUUGCUCAUCAAUCGCUUAAUUGGUCUCUUUUAACUAAGUGAGAGAUAUAUGACUCGGAUAUGUUAUAAUUUAAUGUUUGCACAUCUAGAUCUUGUAUAAAGUUGUUGGCAAUGGAUGUGGAUGCAACCUAUUAAUUAUUGGCAGUGGAGUAGUUGAUUUCGAACUCUUAACAGAUAUGUGUACAUAACUUGGGUAUGUUGAUAAUUAAUGUAGGGACAUGUUUGGUCCUUGUAGUAUCACAUCGAUGGUAAAGGAUACUUCUAAUUAAAUAUAGCUAGGUGCAUCCAUUUCUUGUAUCAAAUUGAUGGUAACGGAUAUGUAGAUAAGCCUAUUUAUUUGUCUAUCUAUCUAUAUCUCUAUCUCUAUCACUAUCUCUAUCUCCAUCUCUAUCUAUCUAUCUAUCUAUCUCUAUCUCUAUCUAUCUAUCUAUCUAUCUAUCUAUCUAUUUAUCUAUAUCUAUAUCUAUAUCUAUAUCUUCUCUAUCUCUAUCUAUCUGUCUGUCUAUCUAUCUAUCUAUCUAUCUAUCUAUCUAUCUAUCUAUCUAAUACUAAUAACGGACUCCCUACAUAUUAAAACAUUAAUCAGUGAAAACAAGAAAUAGAAACCGGUGAUUUUAGCGGGCCUGAAUUACGACGGUUAUGAUCUAUUAAUAAAUCCCUUGGAUAUUUCAAUUGAAAAAUAGAACUUGGAUCUCACUUAGGGAAAAAAAGGAAAAGAUAUGAUGCUAUCUAAAUAAUCAUUUAGAUUUGAUACAUUAGCUGAGACGUCAUGCAAUUGUGAAAAUCAUGACCGUGUUUCUUUGUGACUAACCUAGAUACGACCUGAUUCGUAUAUCUCCAGCCAAUUUGCAGUCCAUCAAUUAUUCCAUUGCCAUCUCAUGGCCUUGGCUUGGAGGAACUAUGCCACAUGGUAAAGCAGUCCCGAUGUAAUCUCCCUGACCUUCUCAGCAUUCAUCAUGCCUGUUACUAGCCAUGGAUAUCUGCCGGCACCAACCAGCACACAAACUAUAAGUAGAAAAAGACGAUUGAGGGUUAUGAUUAUAGGGAUUUAGACAUAGUUUUCUUAUCUUUUAGAUCCACUGAGGAUGUUGUUAUAGUGCUGGAACAUACGUCUGGCUACCUAUAUGCUCAACACAUGGUGGUGCAUAUUUGAUUCCAUCAAUAAUUUAACACACUAACCGACAUGGAAUCUUUCUUUGUCUUUUGUUCUUUUUUAGAUCCUCCACUAGUUCUUGCAAUCUUCUGAAUAAGUCACGUUCAGUUGGUCACUAUUUGUUCGUAGAGUUCUUUCAUGGUCAGUAGAAACUUGAUAUGUAUUGACAUUGGCAUUGGCGGCCCAAAAUAAGGAUAUGAAUAUGUUGCAUUAAACUUCUCUCCUUGCCAUCGAUCCUCAUAUUUGCGCCUUGGAGGUGAUCUUGAUUUCUUUGCAUGAUUUGGCCGAUAAGCAUUCUUUUCUUUACUCUUCUUUUGAUAUUUAUCGAAUAGUUCAGCGAAGGUGAUUUUUAAUCUCUUACACGUGCGCUUAUUUCGGUCUUUGUUUUCUUUUUGUUUGCUUUCAUCGAUCAUUGGAGUUUCUUGUUGCCCCCCAGUCCUUAGCGUCUUCAUUGUAGCUUCGAUAGAAUUUUCACCCUCAAGAAUAUUAUCAUUGUGCUCUUAAAAGAUUUUCCUACCUGAAAGCUUAAUCCCAUUAUCUACAGUUCUUACCUUCUCAUGUUUAAAUAGACCAGCAUGAAGCAGCCGUUGUAAAAACUGUUUACCAUCAGGACCAAUCGGAAUAGACUGGUCAUCUCUUGGUGUCUCAACAAAUUUGAACCAUCCUUAUCAAUGGACGAUUUAACUAUUUGAUGAAACAUAUUGCAAUCCUCGAAAUUAUGUUUGAACGAAUGAUGCAAUCUACAUCACAUUCGUCCUUGGUUUGAUGGCUUGACAUGGUGAUCAAGAAUUCUAAUGUAAUUAUUUUUCAGCAACAACUCAAAUUUUUGAUCACACAUGCUUGAAUUGAAGGUAAACCUUUUAUAUUCUAGACGAUCUUGUUGUGAGAAUGACUUUAGAGGUAAGCACACGAAUGGUUCGGAUUUGGAAUCUCCCCAUUCGGCUAUGAAUUUUCUUUUGCAUUCUUUUUCCGAUGUCAUUGGGUAACAUAUUAUACUAGCAUCUGUUUUCUCAAAAGAAUCUAAACUUGACAUUAUGUUUCUGAAACAAAAAUAGUUAGAACACACAUGUCUCAAUUGAGAUGAAAAGCAUGCCACGUAAGAAAUAUGGAAAGCUACCCAACUAGAUAUGAACUUUAGAUAAAGCAAUAGGAAAAGCGUUGGCUAUAACAAAAAGUCACUCUCGGUCUUUAUAAAUGGCGCAAUGGGGUCGACCAAUAUGCUCUAUAACAAUUUUAUCGCAUACAAGUAAAUUACCCUUCUUCAUUGGUCUUUCAAAAUUACUUAUUAGGAUUUUUUUCUAAUAGAUGCAUCAACAAUAAAGUUGUGAUCAAAUAUGAAAACAAGUAAAUUACUUGAUAGACAUACCUCUUCAAAUUUGUUGGGAGAGCAUGAUGGUGGUGUGACUUGAACAAUAUCUUGCUAUGUCUUUGGAUGGCUCCCCAACGCCUUUUCAUGAUAUUCCUUAUUCUUGAUUCCGUACAUUAUUACAUCAAAGAUCUUUGUCAGCCGAGCUUUUUCGGCUACUUGUUCUUGUCCUUGAGGCUUGCCAUGACCUUUCUCAAUAAUGCUUGCCUAUUUGGAUUUGAUGGAUUCAGAAUAUACACUACUUCAUUCAGGGUUUUCAACUGAAGCAUUUUCAUGUUACGAAUCAUCCUUCUUUUGAUUGACUCUAGCAAUUGGCAAUGCUUCUUUUAUUUGAGCCAAUUCUUUUUCUGUUUGUUUCUUGUGGUGUUCGGCAAAAUUGGCUUUAAGAUGUUUCUCAAUUUCAGCCUACUCCGGAUAUGAUUGCCCCCCAAUGCUUUUAGAUUCUUUCGGAAAUGGCACAUGAGUGUUGCCAAAACUUUGCAAUUGCACAGGGGGUGUAUAAUAUUUGGGCAAUAUAACCGCACCUAAUCCCUGCUCUCUCACGCCAUUAGGCUUUGUGGCUGUUCGUUUUUGCUGAUUUAACCAUUCCUGGCUGUCAAAUCUACUUGAUGUAGCGUCAUGGCCCAAUUCCAAUAGCAUCCAGGGCCAACUGUCCUAAAGGGCUGCUACUCUGGAAGAAAAAACUGAGGCCUCUUGUUAAUUGGGCCACUUGAGGCAGCCCAUUCAACCAUCCUGAGUCCAAUCUGCCGAUGGCUCACUGCAGCUGUCCCUUGUACCUAAAAAAAUGUGUGGUCAAUAGGAUGUGUUGGACUCGAAAAGAGGAGGCGCUCGAUGGAGCCAGGCACGUGAGGGGAUCGAGCGGUGGCGAAGCAAGAUGAGUCGAGCAACGGGAGCCGAGGCGCGCUAGUGGAUCCACCGUCACGCGGUUCAGCCGAUGCGUGCGAGGGGAACCGAUCCAACCUAAGAGGGGAUCCAGCGGAUGCGUGGGAUGCGGAUGAAUCAGGAGCAAGUGAGGCAGUCAAGAGAGAUGAUUUGGGUUAUUUUGUAGCUGCUGCAACUGUUCAUGCCACACGUUUCUGAUGUGGCUACUGCUGAAGCAAUUGCUCUCAGGAAUGGUAUUAAUUUGGCAGCUCAUGUGGGAUGCUUGAGGAUAGAUGCUGAGUCAGAUUGUGAACUUGUGAUUGAUGCAGUAAAAGAUACUUAUAGAUUCAAUGGUUCGCAAGCAACAACAAUUAUUGAAUGGGUUCAACUCUCUUGUGACUUCGGACAGGUGAAAUGUCCUUUACACAACCGAGCAAGUAGUGUAGCAGAUGCUUUGGCGAAGCAAGCAUAUAUGCUGAAGAAUUCUUCUGUUUGGGAAGAUGACCCCCCUAAUUUCAUUUCUUCUUUGAUUGUAAAUGACAUUGCUAUUGUCUGAGAAACGAAAUCUUUCCCCUGUCAAAAAAAAAUAUUUUUCUCCCCAAUUAUUUGCUCAUCAUUGGAAUUGUCCUCAAAGUUGAUAAAAUUUACCCCAUGCAAAAGACAAAAAUAUUGAUCCGCUUGCACUUUCGAUCAGUAAUUUGGACCAAAGUGUCUGGUCUGAACCAAAGUGCCUCUUUCUAGAUGCUUAAGAAAUGACACUUCAAAAUAUGACUAACCGUUUCGUAAAGAAAACAUGAUCGAUCAUGAUCUAGAAGCCUCUAAACAAAACCAAGUUUGCCAAUUGAAACUGGAAAAAUGAUGCAAAAGAAUGAACGCACCAGACGGGGAACUCAAAUCCAAGUUGUAUUUUGCGCCCAUCUUAUACUAUUUACUAAUUGGAGGCACCGAACGAGGUUCCAUGUUAAUCCCAGUAGUUAGAAAAUUUGGACCAUUAGAUUUACUGAUGAUACAUCGAUGGCCGUCAGAUAAUGUCUUGAUGCGCCUCUUCACGUGCGGGAGAUAAACACCUCUAUUUGCACCUCCUUACGCGAUUAAAAAACUGAAAUAAAAAUCAGCGGGGAAGCACCUCUUCACGUGGAGGAGACAGACUCCUCUCUUUUCACGUCCUUAUGCAUGAUAAAAAAACUGAAAUAGAAAUCAGCAAAAAAACACGACCAUGUCUCCCAUCGCCGCUUCUUCUCCGCAAGCAGGUCUGAUCCCCUCGAUCUGCUGACCACCAAUCUCCCUCAUCUGGUCUUCAAGGCAGCUCCGACACCAUCUAUCUCCUUCCUCCGGCUACCUUAGAUAUUGCCUCCCCAAUUUAUUGAGGUAUCAGCCCCCCUCCAUGCUCACCACUUACUUAAGUAGGUCGGAAAAAUUGGCCACGCGUACAGCAGAAUUCAGCAGCAUGCGUUGCAUUGGAGAUGCAUGAGGAGAAUCGAGCUCCCUGCCCCUUUUUGCUGCGGGUAGGUAUAUGUUUUCUAUCUAAUCAACUAUUUUGUAUCUAUAUAACAUGGGACAAUAGCAACAAAGUAGAGUUAAAUCCUAUAGUUUUUACCAAUUCAACUAUUAUCCAUAAAAUUGUCCAUCCUUAGAUUUGAGUGGAACCCAAAAUUAAUACCAAUCUGGCUGCUAGAGUAUGCAAUUUAGUAAGGUUAGAUGCCAGUGGAAUUAAUUAGGUUAAUAUUCAAUCUGAUUCUACUAUGUACAGCCAGUUUGGUUUCAAUGUCAAUGGAAUAAAAUACUGAACAAAUGAAUGUCAGAAUAAUUUUAUAUGAAGACUAAAAAAUAUUCUCUCCUUGAUUUUAUUAUUUUGUUUCCAUAUCACACUGCACUGAAGAUAAAGAGCGGUGUGGGGACGUUUUAAUAACUCUGGGGGUUCUGGCUGAGGGCGAGAGAUCUUGAUGAAGAAUGUGUGCUAGAGCUCAGAUAUAGAGGGGUCUGCAUCAAUGAACACUUGCAGCAUAUAGUAUACAGCCGUGUGGAGUUUGUUCCAGAGGAAGUAGCAUUUACACACGUAAAUGUUGCUCUGUCGUAUAAGCAGUAGAAAAAGUGUUGGGACCGCCAUGUAUGGCUGUUUAGGGCAGACUGCUAGAUUAUGCAAUUUUAAAAAGGUUAGAUGGCAGUGGAAUUAAUUAGGUUUUUAUUCAAUCUGAUUUCUACUAUGUACAGCCAGUUUUGUUCCAAUGUCAAUGGAAUAAAAUGCUGAACACAUGAAUGUCAGUCUAAUGUUAUACGAAGACUAAAUAAUAUUCUAUCCUUUAUUUUAUUAUUUUGUUUCCAUAUCACACUGGACUGAAGAUAAACAGCAGCAUGGGGACGUUGUAAUAACUAUGGGGGUUCGAGCUGAGGGCAUGAGAUCUUUAUCGAGAAUGUGUGCUAGAGCUCAUAUACAGAGGGGUCUGCAUCAAUGAGCAUUUGCAACAUACAGUAUGGAGCCGUGUGGAGUUUGUUCCAGAGGAAGUAGCAUUUACACAAGUAAAUGUUGCUCUGUUGUAUAAGCAGUAGAAAAAGAAAUGUUGCGACCGCCACAUAUGCCUGUUUAAGGCAAACAAUAUAGCAUGAAGUGAGCAGUCGUGGACCCGGAAAAAGUUCAGGAAGGACAAUACCAAAAUCUAGGAGGUAUAGAGUUUUGUAUCUAUUUUUACUUUUGUAGAACUAUGAGAUAUAGAGGCCGGAUGUGGAAGUGGUUGUAUCACCUACAUACAUGACAAAAAUUACUAAAAGCUUCAACCGCAAAAAUAUGAUAUUAGUUCGCCGGCGCUAAAUCUUACUCCCUCAGUUCCUAAAUAUUGAGCAAAAUGAGUGAAUCCACACUCUAAAAUAUGCCUAUAUACAUCCGUAUGUGGUAGUCCAUUUGAUAUCUCUAAAAAGACAAAUAUUUAGGAACGGAGGGAGUAGAUAUGACGCUAAACUCUGAUAGAUCAAACUGAGUUGAUAUUUUUUUAUAUAUAUGGUGUCACACUCAUUUUCUUCUCUUAUGAACAUUAAUUUUCAUUUGUUCCUUUCUCAAAUUCUGCACACAUGGCCUAUAAACACAUGGUUUUCAAAACAAACUAAAUUACCAACUAUAUUUCCGAGCAAGCUUCUGGUGGUUUGUGUCCGGUCUGUGUGUGCAGUGCUAUUCGGGAGAAUAUUAGAAAUAACAUAAUGUGCUACCGAAAAACAAUAGUCGCUUUGAAAUUUCUGUCGUAAUUAUUCCAAUAAAACAUAUUUUAACUUUCACCAAAAUUGUGUGUACUGCUAUCUCUACUCCUAAUGUCUCAGUUGGUAGUCUCCGUUCCCGGUUAUAUUUCGACCCACCAUUUUUGCCCGGUUUUUUUCAUUGGUUUUUUUUCAUCAGGUUUUUUUCUUCUAGUGCUCCCUGUUGGUUUUCCCCUUCCGCAUCGCUCGAUCCAACUCCUCCCCCUCCCUCGGUCUCGCCUCUCCUAUCGCUCGAUGACGCUCGGUCCUCUCUAGGGUUCGCCGCCUGCCGCCGUAUCCCGCCGCCCUGCUCUGUUGUUGCCCCUCUCUCCGCCUGCCUCGCCCCUGCUCUAGAGUUCGACGCCCGCCGCCGUCCCACGCCGCCCUGCUCCGUUGUUGCCCGUCCCUCCGCCUGCCUCGCCCCCCUCCCCUACACUCACCCGUGCCCGAUCUGGAUCUGGAUGAGGCGUUGCCUCCCGUUCCUCUCAUCGCGUCCCUUGUGCCAGCCAUGGAAGAGGAGAGGAAGAAGGGGAGGGAGAGCACAGAGGAGGAGGAGGAAGAAUAAGAAGCUUAUCUGUAGAAUCAACCGAUCGAGCGGGGCUCUUGAUCUUGGCUAGCGAGAAUGCGGCAGAUCUCGUCGAUGCUGCAGGGCUUGGCCCGUUCCAUGUCUCUGGGAAAGGAGAGGAAGGUGGAGGAGGAGCACCAGGGGACGGUGAUGCGGUUGUCGGGGACGCUCUGGGGCAAGGGCUCCGAGACGUUCGCCGCCGCGUGCUCCCGCCGCGGCGAGAAGGGCACCAACCAGGACACCUCCAUCGUCUCGGAGGUGAGUUUGCCGCUACCCUGCUUCUUCCCUGCUUGCUCUCUAUUGCAUGCGAAUGAUUUUUUGCGCUGGUUAUCGCAACAUAUUACCGGUGGCGUGUAGUAGUCAAGAUCAGCAACACCACGUACUCUGCACGGAGCUUCUUGCCACACAAUUUAAUUCCCGCGUUCCAAACACAAAUUUCUGCUACUCGAGAGGCAGAAGAGGUUUUAAUUGUGGCCAAGACGAGCCGACGACACGGUCUCUGUUCCACAGAAAAUGGCGAGGGAACGUACAGCGUUGGGACUUGGGACUGGUCGCUGGCUUCUUCUUCUCAUUUAUGGCCACAGAAGAAAUGAAACAACUUUCAAGUGCUUGCCUUGCGUGUGCACGAAAUAGAAUAGAGAUUGGAUCCCAUCUCCCUCGGUUGUUCACCUAACCAUUUCUCUGAUAUUUUUGUGACUGAGAUGGUUAAAUUCGGUUUUGUUAGGCCAUUCAUUCACCAGAUUACGUGUUGCCUCUUGGGACAAUCCUGGAUCAUGUUGCUCACAAGUUUCUUGGAUAUGGCGCUUGCCUUUUGCGUCUAGGGGUUUCAGUCCGUAGUGUUAGAAGGGAGAGAGGGUCUAGUGGAAUAGUUCGUUGUAUUGCUUGAGCCUCGUGUGCAUAUAUAUAUAGGCGUACAAUCAUCUAUUUAGAGUACAAGACAAGCCAGAACAAAUCCUAGUCUAUCUCGUCUUUUCUAAUAAACAUUAUACUCAACAUCCCCCCGCAGUCACAACGGUAGCGAUGCAGUCGGUGAGACUGGAAAAGAAUCCGAAGGUAAGCCGACAGACACCCCCCCACAGUCGUAAUGGUCGACGCAUCGCGGAGUCGUGGCUGGAGUGGCAACGGACGAGGUUGCUCAAGCAAGGCGGUAGCCCUUUGUGCCGUUUGUCGAUGUAGCUGAGAGCGUGGGUGGUGGAGCCGUGGUCGAGGUAGCCGUGCGAAGAAUGCCGUGGUCGAUGUCGAGUCAGGGUGGCCGGUGCAAGGAAGUCGCCGUGGAGCCGCGGGCGCAAGAGGGCACCGAGUUAGUCAUGGGCACAGUGGUGUCGAAGUAGUGGUGCGCCGGGAAGAAGAUGUUGUUGACGACGCGUCGCGGCGGGUUUGCCAAGCCCGGGGACACAUCAUGGACGAAGGCACGCAUCGAUGUUCCCAGCACCAAGCAUGCGUAGACGGACGAAGACGAAGUACCGCACCAGGCUUGGCAGGUCCGGGGACACGUCGUGGACGAAGGCACGCCACGGUGUUGCCAGCACCGGACAUGCGUAGACUGGGACCUGCACGAGCUGUACGCCAUGUCGAAGAGGUCGGAGAGGCCAGCGGAGAAGGACUCGACGAUGGUAUCGGCGUCCAUCGGCGCAGGGCCGAUGUCACCAGCGGUGGUCGGAGUAGAGGAAGUGGUCGGGGUAGAUGACGACGACGCUGGCGAUAGGCUGGUGCUGGAUGAAGAAGAAGGGGUGGACGGGCGGCGGCGGCGGCUAUGUUGACAUAUAAUGUGCUGCCUAGUCUCUUCCAUCAGAUCGGUCUUUUGGUUGCAUUGCCUAGAGCAUGCACUUCUACAUGGUAUCGGAGCCAAGAGGUCUUGAGUUCAAGACCCGACUGGCGCAAUUAAAUUGCAACCCACUAUCGGUCCACGUUUAGGCCUGAGGGAGCCACACGUGAGGGAGAGUGUUGACGUAUAAUGUGCUGCCUAGUCUCUUCCAUCAGAUCGGUCUUUUGGUUGCAUUGGCUAGAGCAUGCAUUUCUACACGUAGGAGUAGUAUCUGCCAAAAAAGGGAUGGUACGUGUCUUGAUUUGCCGAGAAAACUUGUACUACGUACGUAAAAACGUUAUUUCCAACAUCUUCAUAGUAGGAUCAGAUGUGCUGAUUGUUUUUCAGACUGCAAAAAUCAUUGUAUUUCAUGAAUACUCCGUGUGACUACCCAUUUUUUUGUUGGAUAAAAAACAGACAAUUGGUUAUUUGGUUAUUCAUGUUUGUUCUCAAUUUCUCAUGUCUCUCUCUUCCCUGUCCAGGGAUACGGGUGCCAGGACGACGCCAUCUUCUACGGCAUCUUCGACUGGCACGACCAGUGGGGCCACUACGUCCCAAGGCCGUCCGGGAGUCGCUGCCGCAGUCGCUUCUGUGCCGCUGGCAGGAGGCCGUCACGCUGGCGUCACUCAUCGACGGCGAGAAGAGGCUCAUUGACUGCCAGUUCGACCUCGUGAGGAAGUCCUACCUGGCCGCCGCUGCAGCCGUGGACGAGGAGCUCCGCCGGAGCCGGCGCCUUGAUGCCAUCAACAACGGCUGCACGGCUCUGUCCAUCAUGAAGCAGAGCGACCUGAUGGUGGUCGCGAACGUCAGCGACUCGCGGGCCGUCCUUGCGACCACGUCGGACGACGGGGACAUCACGACCGUCCAGCUCACCGUCGACUUCAAGCCCGACUUACCCCGUAAGUCAUCAUGACAAGACUAGAAGAUGGACAGUCCAUUCCUGACACGGCAAUUGCUCCCCCACGUUCGAAUCCGAAUCGCAGAGGAGAAGGCGCGCAUCUUGCAGUGUGAGGGCCGCGUGCACUGCCUCAACGACAAUCCCGGCGUGCACCGGGUGUGGGUGCCCCAUCGGGAGGCGCCGGGGCUGGCCAUGUCGCGCGCGUUCGGCGACUACUGCGUCAAGGACUACGGCGUCAUUUUGGUGCCGGAGGUGACGUGGAGGAGGAUCACCGCCCAGGACCAGUUCGUCAUCCUGGCCACCGACGGGGUAAGCUACAGUAGAAAACCACCCAUUAGUCUCGGUUCGUAAGGGCCUUUAGUCCCGGUUCACGAACCGGGACUAAUGAGUCGUUACUAAUACCUCCACCCAUUAGUCCCGGUUCAAUCCAGAACCGGGACCAAUGUGCCUCCACGUGGCUCUGUGCGCCCACCCCAGUCAGGGGGCCUUUGGUCCCUGUUGGUGGCACCAACCGGGACCAAAAUGCAUCCACGCGUCAGCAUUCUAGUUGCUGGGGUUUUUGUGUUUUUUUUUGAAAGGAGGGGAGGUUGGGGGUUUUGGGGGGUUAAUUUGAUUAGGUGUUUCAUAUAUUGUGUUAGCUAGCUAAUUAAUAGAGAGAAGUGUCCUCUCUUAUGUCCGUGCUUGGAUGCUAUGUACUAUAUAUACAUAAGUGAUCGAGAGAACCAUUCAGUACAGAAGUUCGUCAUGCAUACCGAGAGAAGUGAUCGAUCGACCUCUCCUUCUCCGAGAGGUUGGUCGAACAACAAGUUUUCGUAUCAUGUAUCCGACGCUACCGGCUACAUACAUGUACAAUAUGUAUAAGAUCUCUUAUAAUUACAAACCCUUAGCUAGCAUUUGAAAUCAAUUUCCACAUGGUAUUCUCCGGUUUUACUGAUGACGUGGUCAAGAAAGAAUCCCGCCAAUUCCUCUUGAAUUGCUUUCAUGCGAUCUGGUUCUAGGAGUUCAUUCUGCAUCUGCCACGUCUAAUUUGAAGAAGGGGGUUAAUUAAUACAUAUAUAUGAAUGAAACUCAACAGAAAUGAUGGUGUAAUAAAAUGAAAUUGUGAAUAUUAUUGCUUACGCACUUCAUAUUGUCUUUGAGAGUAGCCCCGCUUGUUUUUCAAAGUCGUGGUGUGGAUGAACUCGCACACGUAGUAUUCACAGAAAUCAUUCCCUUCCUCCUGCCACAAGCACUUUACGAGAAAUAGAGGUCAAUCAAACUGAUAAUGAAGCAUUAUAAAUGGCAUUGAUGAAAGUAUAUAUAGCUAUAUAUAGAAUUAACGGGCCGGAGAUGCGCGCAACUAGCUAGCCAGUAGUACUUACUUUCGGGUAUGUAUAUCGCAGCUCCUUCGGCAGUCCCGGAGCUUCUGCGGUGAACUGUUCCCAAACCCUGCAAGACAAAGAAAAUAAUUAUUAUUACUUGAGAUAUCAGGAAAUGAACAAAAAGUUACCGAUAUGGUGCAAUAAUUAUGAUCGAUUGAACUUACUUGCUGAGCAUUUCAGUCAUGUCCGCAUAGGUUUUGGGAUCUUUCCGUCUCGAGUCUAAGACGGUUACUAGUCCACGCUCAAGCUUAAUCUCCAGAAGAAUAUAGUGGUACCUGCGCACGCAUGCAUAACUCAUCAAUUACAUUACUAUAACCUCGCUUGAGUAAUAUGGGAAACCGAAUAUGCACACGACAGUAACACUCACGGGCCGUUGUAAGGAAAGAGUAUGGUAUCUUUGUUUUGAUUUUUUAUCAAUGAUCGUAGCAAGUUGUCCUCGGCCUCUUUGACGUUCUUUUUAACCAGAAAUACAUCUAUGAUAUUUGUGUUAAUGAACCCAAUAUCAUAAAUUUCUUGUUUUUUGCACUCGACGAUCUUCAAUCUGCAUAAUAUAUUGAGGAUAAUUAAUUAUAAAUACAUGCAUGCAAUGAAAGAGCCGAACUAUAUAUAGAGACUUAAUGACAGAAAUAGUACUUACAGGCAAUAGCAAAAGACCAUUAAUUUAUCGAGGGUCUUUUGAUUGAAGAACUCGAAGAACUCCUCAAAUGGAACAGUCAACAGAUCAUUUGCAACGAGAUCGUGCUCCUCUUUAAUAUGCAGAUACAAAGCAUUCUUACCAUCAGACUCUCUGCAGAUUUCCAUGUACCAAUUAUGGAAUCUUCGCAUCAUUGUUGUCAGAGAUUUUUCAUCUUUGACGAGAGGCUUCCCGUACUCGUAUCUGUGUCCGUCCACCUUCAAGAAAUCAGGAAGUGCAUCGUCAGGCAGGUAAUCGUCAAGAUUGCCAUAACCGGCCACCGUCCCCGGAGCAUUAGACACAUUGAGCGAGGGGCACGAUUGCUGUGCUUGUUCGCCGAGCUGGGCAAUUUUUUUCCCCUUUGCUCGUUGUUUUGACCUUUUAGCACUAACAGUAGUUCCCGACCGCUGGGCUUGGAGAUAUGCCUGUUCAGUAAUGCGCUCAUAGUUGGUUCUCGGCGGAGACUUUGGUGGUUUCCUCAGGGCAUCGAUAGUGCGCUUUGCUUUCACCGGAUCUACCUUCUCCUCCGGAGGUGGAUGUCUCUUUUCUUUCAUCCCUUCAAAGAACUCCUUCACGUGGGCAUGCACAAUCGUAUCGUUUUCCUCCUCGGACCUCUCGUACGGUAACUUCUCUAGAGGCUUGAGAGAUGAUGGACCGUAUUUGUAUUGCCUCCCGCCUCUGGUUGUGCUGCUAGACGCCGGAGCAGACGGAGCGGCUGCAGCGUCUGUCUUCUUUCAUGCUUGCUUACGAGGCGGAGGAGAAGGAGUACGACGCGCCGGAGCAGUCGGGGCGGCGGCGGGUCUCUUUCGCCCUUGCUGGCGAGGCGGAGAAGGAGGAUGCUGCUGGCUGCUCGGGAGCGCCGGCGCAGGCGGAGAAGGAGGCGGAGUGCCGCCAUGCGCCGGAGAAGGAGGCGGAGUGCCGCCAUGCGCCGGAGAAGGAGGCGGAGUGCCGCCACGCGUGCCCUGAUCGUCACUCGCCGGAGGAGGAGACGGUGGAGGAGGCGGAGUGCCCUGACUCGCCGGAGCUGGAGGAGGAGGCGGAGGCGUCCAGUUCAGAAGGUUUAUGAGCUCCUUCUUCCAUAGGCAUGGAGUCUUCAGAGCAGAACCCAGCCUAGUCUCCCCUUCACUGGUAGGGUGGUCAAGCACGAGGUCCUCAAAUCCCUCCGUUAUUUCAUCCACCAUCACCUUAGCAUAUUCUUUUGGAAUCGGCUGGCAGUGAUAAGUUGUGCCGGGUCCACUAGGAUAAACUUGGCCAACAGCCACCUUGACCUUCAAAUUCAUCCAUCGCGCCAUCAUGUGGCAAUUUUGAGACUCCGUGAUACCAUCCACGGGAUAGCUGGCAGGAGCCGUCAAGACAUGCUACGGCUGAAGUAGCUCGGUGGAAGCCACGCUACUUCUCCGCUGAGAUGGCGGGGUAGCUUCGGGGGAAGCUUCGGCAUGUCGUUUGUUGCGAUCUGCUGCUUCGCGUUCCUCUUCUCGAUCCUCUAGCCCCAUUACCCUUCCAAGCAGCGCUUGCAUUUGGUCCUGCUCCAGUUUCCUCCUCCUCUCGUGGGUUUUGUAACCCCCUGCGUCCAGAAAACCAACCUUCCACGGAAUGGAGCCUGGCAUGCCUCGUGUCCGUCCAGGGUGCUCGGGAUUCCCAAGGGCCAUUGUGAGCUCGUCCUUCUCCCUGUUUGGAAGGAACGUCCCUCGCUGCGCUGCAUCGAUAUAGUGUCGAAGGUUCUUGACUGGUAUUUGCAGUUGCUCGUCCGUCCACUGACACUUCCCUGUUACAGGGUCCAAGGUUCCGCCAUCCCCGAAGAACCAAGUCCGGCAACGGUCUGGCCAGCGCAUUGUCUCUGGUUCGAUCCCUUUUUCAAGCAGAUCAUGCUCAGCCUUGGACCACUUAGGCCGGGCUUUGAGGUAGCCACCUGACCCCGUGCGAUGGUGAAGCUUCUUCUUCGCAGCAUUUUUCUUGUUUGUCUCCGACAUCUUCUUACUCUUUUCCAAUGUCUUGUGGGCCACAAAUGCGGGCCAGUGAUCUUUGAUCUUCUCAUAUUUGCCGAUGAAUUCUGGUGUCUUUUUUUCCUUGACAAACUGGUUCAGCUCUUUCCUCCACCUCCUCAUUAGGCCUACCAUCUUCUUAAGAGCACAAGACUUGAUUAAUUGCUCUUUAACUGUCUUCUCUGGAUCCUCCUCUGGCGGUAGGGUGAAAUUUGCCUUCAGCUCAGUCCAAAGAUCUUCUUUCUGCAUAUCAUUGACAUAAGACACCUCAGCGUCUUCAUCCUUAGCAGGCUUAUACCAUUGCUGGAUGCUGAUCGGGAUCCUGCCCCUAACAAGAACCCCGCACUGAGCAGAAAAUGCCUUCCUUGUCCGGAUGGGUUCAAUCGGUUCGCCGUCGGGCGCAAUUUCUAUGAUCUCAAACUUUUCAUCCGAGCUCAACUUUUUCUUCGGGCCUCGUCUCCUUACCGAAGUUGUGCUCGAUCCGGAGGGCUAGAAAUUAUAAGGAAGAAAGACGAUAGUAAUUAAUAUGUGUACAUAUACCAAAACAAUGGAUGCAUCAAUUAACUAGUCAGCACGGGCUUAACUAAUAUAUAUAUACCUGGCCGGACUUGGUUCGGUGACCAAAGCAGUCAGCACGGUUCCUUCGUCUUGUACCUCCAUUGUGUCACCGGAGCCAUCAUGAACAUAGUCCUCCUCUUGUACCGGCAUUAAUGGGUCGAAGCCACCAUCAUAAACAUAGCCCUCUUCUUCAUCUAGCUGAUCAACGGUGUCGAGGAGAAAUGACGCAACAUCAUCACUUGAUCCAUUUGCGAUUAUGUCCCCCAACAUCGCUUCUGUUUCUUCGUCUCAGGAGUGCUCCAUAGUUUCUGCAAAUAUUUACAACAUGUCAAUUAUUAUUCAAACAUGGUACAGAUGGAUAUAUAUAUAUAUAUAUAUAUAUAUAUAUAUAUUAGUGGCAAACGUAGAACUAGCUAGCUAAUCACAAUAAGGAAUCAUAUUAGUGGCCUCGACACAACGCUUCAAGGGUUUGGGGUGGCCUCGACGAUAACGCUCUUUUAACUUGAUAAAUUUGGGUGGCCUCGAGAGAGUUAAUUUGUCAGGUAGGGGCGCGGCGGGAGGGGGUAGGAGACCACAACAUCGUUUUCUCUCUAGGGUUUGGGUGUCCUCGAGAGUUUUGGUCGAGCGAGAGGGCCAAGGGGGGUGCUGCAGUUGUAUAAGUUAUCACGGUCGAGAGGGGGUAUAUAUAUAUAUCGACCGCCCCUCAUGUCGAAGUUAUCUAGAGGGGGUUAUAUCUUCUUCUCCUCUUCUUUUUCUUCUUCUCCCUCGAGAAAGGAAAAUAAUUAAGGAAAAGGAAGAAAAGAGAAAAAGGAAGAAGGAAGAAGAAGAAGAAAAAGAGAGGAGAAGAAGAAAGGAAUAGAGGAGAAAGAAGAAAAAAUAGAAUUUUUUCUUUCUCCUCUAUUCCUUUCUUCUUCUCCUCUUCUUUUUCUUCUUUUUUCCUCUUCUUAUUUAUUUCUCCUCUUCUUCCUCUCCUCUUUUUCUCCUUUCUUCCUCUUCUUAUUUUCCUUUUUCCUCUCAUUCUUUUAGUAUUGCUUGUUUUAAAAAAAUGUUCAAAUAGAAAAUUUCGAAAAAACCAAAGGUUUUGCCUAAUGCAUUGUUCAUAUGAAUAUACAAACAUUUGCAUAUUAUACAAUAAUUAAUAUCACCAAUAGAUACAAUAAAUACAGAGCGACGAAGAGCCAAUAGAUACAAAAAAUCUAUGAACAGAAAAAAAACAUGAACAAUAAAUACACAUAUGAACAAUAAAUACAUAUAUGAAGAAAAACAUGCUCUGAACAAUUUUUGAACAUUACAUACACAUAGCCACAUACAUACACAUAUACAUUAUAUAUAUAUAUAUGAACAAAAAAAAUUAAACUAAUAAAAAUGAAAAAAACAGAGCCGCAUAUAUAUAUAGCCACAUACAUACACAUAUNNNNNNNNNNNNNNNNNNNNNNNNNNNNNNNNNNNNNNNNNNNNNNNNNNNNNNNNNNNNNNNNNNNNNNNNNNNNNNNNNNNNNNNNNNNNNNNNNNNNNNNNNNNNNNNNNNNNNNNNNNNNNNNNNNNNNNNNNNNNNNNNNNNNNNNNNNNNNNNNNNNNNNNNNNNNNNNNNNNNNNNNNNNNNNNNNNNNNNNNNNNNNNNNNNNNNNNNNNNNNNNNNNNNNNNNNNNNNNNNNNNNNNNNNNNNNNNNNNNNNNNNNNNNNNNNNNNNNNNNNNNNNNNNNNNNNNNNNNNNNNNNNNNNNNNNNNNNNNNNNNNNNNNNNNNNNNNNNNNNNNNNNNNNNNNNNNNNNNNNNNNNNNNNNNNNNNNNNNNNNNNNNNNNNNNNNNNNNNNNNNNNNNNNNNNNNNNNNNNNNNNNNNNNNNNNNNNNNNNNNNNNNNNNNNNNNNNNNNNNNNNNNNNNNNNNNNNNNNNNNNNNNNNNNNNNNNNNNNNNNNNNNNNNNNNNNNNNNNNNNNNNNNNNNNNNNNNNNNNNNNNNNNNNNNNNNNNNNNNNNNNNNNNNNNNNNNNNNNNNNNNNNNNNNNNNNNNNNNNNNNNNNNNNNNNNNNNNNNNNNNNNNNNNNNNNNNNNNNNNNNNNNNNNNNNNNNNNNNNNNNNNNNNNNNNNNNNNNNNNNNNNNNNNNNNNNNNNNNNNNNNNNNNNNNNNNNNNNNNNNNNNNNNNNNNNNNNNNNNNNNNNNNNNNNNNNNNNNNNNNNNNNNNNNNNNNNNNNNNNNNNNNNNNNNNNNNNNNNNNNNNNNNNNNNNNNNNNNNNNNNNNNNNNNNNNNNNNNNNNNNNNNNNNNNNNNNNNNNNNNNNNNNNNNNNNNNNNNNNNNNNNNNNNNNNNNNNNNNNNNNNNNNNNNNNNNNNUUAUAAGCCCCACUGCCGCACCCCUCUCGAGCUCCUCUCUACUGCACGCUUAUGGGCCUACUUGCGACUGCUUUGCCUGAUGGGCCUUCUGGGCCUACUGCGUUCCUGAAUCCUGGCCCAUAGUAGGGUUUCAAGUCGUAUUCAAGCCGUGGGGCCCUAGUGGGGGGCAUUUUUUUUGUUUUUUUGUUUUCUUUACUUAUUGUUGCUAUUUUUAUUUUUUUUCCAGUUUUUUUGUUUUGUUUUGUGCAUUAUUUAUUUUCUUUUGUUUUUUGCUUUAUUUUUAAUUCUUUUUGCUUUUAGUUUUAAGAAAAUUAUAAACUUCCCACUUUUUUUGUUUUUUUGUUUUCUUUCUUGCUUUAUUUAUUUUAUUUUGUUUCUACUUACAACAAAAUACUUAUUGUUGCUAUUUUUAAUUAUUACGAGGGCCGAACCAUAAGACAUUAAAGCAUUUCAAAUGAACUCUGAAAAAGUUGAAAGUUGGCAUGGUAUCAUAAAUUGACCCACACAUAGCAUGUGCAUGUACAAAACGGACAAUGGUAUCAUACUCGUCAGUUACAAAGUUGGCAUGGUAUCAUCAUAAUAGUUGCGGGAGAAAGUCUUCACUUUUUCUUCGCUUGUGUCAUUUGCUUAUUGCGCCGUAACCAUGGAUAAUCUUCAUCGUUUAUCAGGAUGCUGGGGUCAGCCUUGACUUUAAAGGGAGGAAUUUCAUGAAACUUUUCAUAAUCUUUAGACAUGUCUGUCUUGUCCUCCACUCCCACGAUGUCCCUUUUUCUGAAAGAACUAUGUGGCGCUUUGGCUCAUCGUAUGAUGUAUUCGCUUCCUUAUCUUUUCUCUUUCUCGGUCUGGUAGACAUGUCCUUCACAUAGAUAACGUGUGCCACAUCAUUGGCUAGGACGAACGGUUCGUCAGUGUACCCAAGAUUUUUCAGAUCCAUUGUUAUCAUUCUGUACUGUGGGUCUACCUGUACCCCGCCUCCUGACACAUUGACCCAUUUGCACUUAAACAAAGGGACCUUAAAAUCAUGUCCGUAGUCAAGUUUCCAUAUGUCCACUAUGUAACCAUAAUAUGUGUCAUUUCCCCUCUCGGUUGUUGCAUCAAAGCGGACACCGCUGUUUUGGUUGGUGCUCUUUUGAUCUUGGUCAAUCGUGUAAAAUGUAUUCCCAUUUAUCUCGUAUCCUUUCCAAAUCAAUACAGUCAAAGAUGGUCCCCUGGAUAACAAAUACAGCUCAUCACAAACAGUGUUGUCACCUCUGAUACGUGCUUCCAACCAACUACUGAAAGUCCUGAUGUGUUCACAUGUAAUCCAGUCGUCGCACUGCUCCGGGUGUUUGGAGCGCAGACUGUUCUGUUGUUCAUCGACAUACGGGGUCACCAAGGUAGAGUUCUGUAGAACUGUGUAGUGUGCUUGAGACCAAGAAUAUCCGUCCCUGCAUAUUAUUGAGUCCCUUCCAAGCGUGCCUUUUCCAGUCAGUCUCCCCUCAUACCGCGAUUUAGGGAGACCUAUCUUCUUAAGGCCAGGAAUGAAGUCAACACAAAACCCGAUGACAUCCUCUGUUUGAUGGCCCAUGGAGAUGCUUCCUUCUGGCCAAGCACGGUUACGGACAUAUUUCUUUAGGACUCCCAUGAACCUCUCAAAGGGGUACAUAUUGUGUAGAAAUACGGGGCCCAGAAUGACAAUCUCGUCAACUAGAUGAACUAGGACGUGCGUCAUGAUAUUGAAGAAGGAUGGUGGGAACACCAGCUCGAAACUGACAAGACAUUGCACCACAUCACUCCUUAGCCUUGGUAUGAUUUCUGGAUAGAUCACCUUCUGAGAUAUUGCAUUGAGGAAUGCACAUAGCUUCACAAUGGCUAAUCGGACGUUUUCCGAUAGAAGCCCCCUCAAUGCAACCGGAAGCAGUUGCGUCAUAAUCACGUGGCAGUCAUGAGACUUUAGGUUCUGAAACUUUUUCUCUACCAUAUUUAUUAUUCCUUUUAUAUUCGACGAGAAGCCAGUCAGGACCUUCGUACUAAGCAGGCAUUCAAAGAAGAUUUCCUUCUCUUCUUUGGUAAGAGCAUAGCUGGCAGGACCUUCAUACUGCUUUGGAGGCAUGCCGUCUUUUUCGUGCAAACGUUGCAGGUCCUCCCGUGCCUCAGCUAUAUCUUUUGUCUUCCCAUACAUGCCCAAGAAGCCUAGCAGGUUCACGCAAAGGUUCUUCGUCACAUGCAUCACGUCGAUCGAAGAGCGGACCUCUAGGUCUUUCCAGUAGGGUAGGUCCCAAAAUAUAGAUUUCUUCUUCCACAUUGGUGCGUGUCCGCCAGCGUCACUCGGAACAGCUAGUCCGCCGGGACCCUUUCCAAAGAUUACGUGUAAAUCAUUGACCAUAGCAAGUACGUGAUCACCGGUACGCAUGGCGGUCUUCUUCUGGUGAUCUGCCUCGCCUUUGAAAUGCUUGCCUUUCUUUCGACAUUGAUGGUUGGUCGGAAGAAAUCGACGAUGGCCCAAGUACACAUUCUUCCUGCAGCUUGCCAGGUAUAUACUAUUGGUGUCAAGUAAACAGUGCAUGCAUGCGUGGUAUCCCUUGUUUGUAUGUCCUGAAAGGUUACUGAGAGUGAGCCAAUCGUUGAUGGUCACGAACAGCAACGCCUUUAGGUUAAAUUCCUCCUGUUUGUGCUCAUCCCACGUACGUACACCAUUUCCAUUCCACAGCUCUAAAAGUUCUUCAACUAAUGGCCUUAGGUACACAUGAAUGUCAUUGCCGGGUUGUUUAGGGCCUUGGAUGAGAACUGGCAUCAUAGUGAACUUCCGCUUCAUGCACAUCCAAGGAGGAAGGUUAUACAUACAUAGAGUGACGGGCCAGGUGCUGUGAUUGCUGCUCUGCUCCCCGAAAGGAUUAAUGCCAUCCGUGCUUAAAGCAAACCAUACGUUCCUUGGCUCACUUGCAAACUCAUCCCAGUACUUUCUCUCGAUUUUUCUCCACUGCGACCCGUCAGCGGGUGCUCUCAACUUCCCGUCUUUCUUACGGUCCUCACUUUGCCAUCGCAUCAACUUGGCAUGCUCUCUGUUCUGAACAGACGUUUCAACCGUGGUAUUAUAGGAGCAUACCACAUCACCUUCGCAGGAACCCUCUUCCUGGGGGGCUCGCCGUCAACAUCACCAGGGUCAUCUCGUCUGAUCUUAUACCGUAAUGCACCGCAUACCGGGCAUCCGUUCAGAUCCUUGUACGCACCGCGGUAGAGGAUGCAGUCAUUAGGGCAUGCAUGUAUCUUCUGCACCUCCAAUCCUAGAGGGCAUACGACCUUCUUUGCUGCAUAUGUACUGUCGGGCAAUUCGUUAUCCUUUGGAAGCUUCUUCUUCAAUAUUUUAAGUAGCUUCUCAAAUCCUUUGUCAGGCACAGCAUUCUCUGCCUUCCACUGCAGCAAUUCCAGUACGGUACCCAGCUUUGUGUUGCCAUCUUCGCAAUUGGGGUACAACCCUUUUUUGUGGUCCUCUAGCAUGCGAUCGAACUUCAGCUUCUCCUUUUGACUUUCGCAUUGCGUCCUUGCAUCGACAAUGACCCGGCGGAGAUCAUCAUCAUCGGGCACAUCGUCUGGUUCCUCUUGAUCUUCAGCAGCUUCGCCCGUUGCAGCAUCAUCGUGCACAUCGUCUGGUUCCUCUUGAUCUUCAGGAGCAUCACCGUAUUCAGGGGGCACAUAGUUGUCAUCGUACUCUUCUUCUUCGCCAUCUUCCAUCAUAAACCCUAUUUCUCCGUGCCUCGUCCAAACAUUAUAGUGUGGCAUGAAACCCUUGUAAAGCAGGUGGGUGUGGAGGAUUUUCCGGUCAGAGUAAGACUUCGUAUUCCCACAUACAGGGCAUGGACAACACAUAAAACCAUUCUGCUUGUUUGCCUCAGCCACUUCAAGAAAAUCAUGCACGCCCUUAAUGUACUCGGAGGUGUGUCUUGAACCGUACAUCCAUUGCCAGUUCAUCUGCGUGCAUUAUAUAAUUAAGUGACCAAAUUAAUAGAAGUUCAUCAUCACAUUAAAACGAAAGUACAUACAUAGUUCUCAUCUAACAACAUAAAGCUCUGCAGAGCAUCUAAAUUAAUUAAACCAUACACUGAAACUAUGUAAAACAUUUCAAUGCGAAAACAAAUGCGAUCAUAAUCGCAACCAAUGUAACAACUGAUCCAACGGCAUAAUGAUACCAAGCCUCGGUAUGAAUGGCGCAUUGCAUCCAUCUUGAUCUUGCGAUCAUCGACGACAUCCGCAACAUGCAACUCCAAUAUCAUCUUCUCCUCCUCAAUUUUUCUAAUUUUUUCCUUCAACAAAUUGUUUUCUUCUUCAACUAAAUUUAACCUCUCGACAAUAGGGUCGGUUGGAAUUUCCGGUUCAACAACCUCCUAGAUAAAUAAAAUCUAUGUCACGUUGGUCGGCAUAAUUGUCAUAAACAAUAAAUGAACCAAUAGUUAUGAAAAGAUAAUAUAUACCACAUCUGAAUCAUAGACAGGACGAGGGCCGACGGGGGCGGAUACCAAAACCAUUGCACUAUAUAAGAUGCAAUGAUAAAAGUAAGAAAAUUAUACAAGUAUCUAUAUAAACAUACAAGUAAGAGUUUUUUUUCCUUUCAGAAAGAAGAUAAGAACAAGAGGCUCACCACGGUGGUGCCGGCGACGCGGACGAUCGACGGCGGUGAAGACGGGGACGGGACGUGACAGACCGCUAAACCUAGACAAAUAUUGAGAAAAAUGGAGCUUGGAGGUGGAGCUUGGAGAGGAGAAAGCUUAAGUAGUGUGGCUCGGGCAUUCCAUCGAACACCUCGUGUGCAUAGGAGGUGAGCUAGAGCAACACAAAGCUCUCUCCUCGCCGGCCACGAAAAACAGAGCACUGAGAGUGCUCUGCUCGCGGGGUAUACAUAUAGGCAAUUAAUUGGUCCCGGUUCGUGGCAUGAACCGGGACUAAAGGGAAGCCUUUGGUCCCGGUUCAGGCCACCAACCGGGACCAAUGGUGGUGGGCCAGGAGCAAGGCACAUUGGUCCCGGUUCAUCCCGCCAACCGGGACCAAAAGGUCCAGACGAACCGGGACCAAUGGCCCACAUGGCCCGGCCGGCCCCCGGGGCUCAAGAACCAGGUCCAAUGCCCCCAUUGGUCCCGGUUCUGGAUUGAACCGGGACUAAUGGGCUGGACCGGCCUGGACCAUUGCCCCCUUUUCUACUAGUGUGGCGUCACUCAUCGACGGCGAGAAGAGGCUCAUUGACUGCCAGUUCGACCUCCUGAGGAAGUCCUACCUGGCCGCAGCUGCAGCCGUGGACGAGGAGCUCCGCCGGAGCCGGCGCCUUGAUGCCAUCAACAACGGCUCCACGGCUCUGUCCAUCAUGAAGUAGAGCGACUUGAUGGUGGUCGCGAACGUCAGCGACUCGCGGGCCAUCCUUGCGACCAUGUCGGACGACGGGGACAUCACGACCGUCCAGCUCACCGUCGACUUCAAGCCCGACUUACCCUGUAAGUCAUCAUGACAAGACUAGAAGAUGGACAGUCCAUUCCUGACACAUCAAUUGCUCCCCCACGUUCGAAUCCGAAUCGCAGAGGAGAAGGCGCGCAUCUUGCAGUGUGAGGGCCACGUGCAGUGCCUCAACGACGAGCCCGGCGUGCAUCGGGUGUGGGUGCCCCAUCGGGAGGCACCGGGGCUGGCCAUGUCGCGCGCGUUUGGCGACUACUGCGUCAAGGACUACGGCAUCAUCUUGGUGCCGGAGGUGACGCGGAGGAGGAUCACCGCCGAGGACCAGUUCGUCAUCCUGGCCACCGACGGGGUAAGCUACAGAUUCUCGCACAGUCACAAUGUAUUUUUAUGAUGUGCCCAAAUGAUUAUGGACCGUACAUUGAGAAUGAUCUAAUGGUUAGGAGGAUGCAUUAUUUCAUAAUUUAAGAAAAGGUCAUGUCUUUACAGAAAUGUUCAGUUCCCCCUCAGUUUGAACUUGUAAGGUGUACAAUUUUUUUAAAAAUUCAAACUUACCUAAUUUUGACCAAGUUUAUAUAAUAAAACAUAAAUAUCUACUAUAGAAAAUCAGUAUCAUUAGAUUCAUGAUGAAGUAUAUUUCCAUAUUUGAUUUAUUUAGGGGCUGUUCGGAAAGCAUCCACGCCCUCGCCACGGAGCGGAGCGGACGGAGCGACCUUCUGGCCACUCUGUAGAUUAUUGUUGCAUGCCACUCCGCUCCAGAGCGGAGCUGCGGAGUGGGAGUGAGUCCGAACAGGCCUUUAGUAUUGUAGGUUUUAGAUGUAUUUUGCUACAGAUUUGAUCAAACAUAGGAACUUUGACUUUUGGAAAUUUAAUUCACCUUAUAUUUUGACAGACAUGAAGUAGUAAUUGCUGGGACCAUAUCCAUGCACCAUCAUCUGAAACCCAUGUAUUCAUGAGGUGUGAUGUUAAUUUUAACAAAUGUGCCCAUGGACAGAACCUUGAUACCAUUAUUCACAGACCAACCCACAUAGAAUUUCUGUAGACUGACAUAUACGCCGAGUUCAUCUUGUAGUAUGUCCCUGAACUUUUCUGAUGACAAUGCUCUUAGUUGGGAUGCCAUCAGGCUCCAAACCAAACUAAAGCAAACCUGGGAGCACUUUACUUACCAAUAAAUUAAGAUAACUUCUGCAUAAGGUUUUGUCGUAAUCCGUUACCAAGAUGGGUAGCACUGUAUAGUUUCCUAGUAGCAACAUUUGGCCAGCUUCUUAGAUUUUAUCGAAAUGAAUAGUAGAUUUGCUCAUUUUGAUUUGUAAUAUUGUAAAUGUUCACCUCAACUGACAGAUUAACAUAAUGGAACGUUGUCAGGUGUAUUUGAAGGUUGCCCAUUUUGGUGGGCCAAACAGCCAGUGCGCUGAGGUCAAAAUAAGCAUGACACCAGUUUGAUUCUUUUAGUGGUCGCCUACAUGACGAAAGAUGCUCAGGCACACAUAAUUGUUGGGUUUUCCCAUGUCAUGUCAUACUUGGUCUGUAACUGAAUCUUGAGAAUUCAUUUGUAUGACUUGAUGUACAAACGUGUUAUUCAUAAUGAAAAUAAUAUCAUUGUAUGUGCUUAAAAUAUUAUGUAAUAAUUCUAUUAAAAAAUGGCAUCAUCUACUAGAUAAAGAAGUGAUAACAGUAAAAAAAAUAAUCUUUGGACAGUCUCCAUGUGUAGAAGGUUGGAACGCUUAGAUAUUAGGAAGUGUGCAUUAAUUCUCCCGAUGGAAAAUUGCCCAGCUAGGGAAUGAGAAUAGCGACACGAAAUCAAGAUUUUUGAUGUGUUUGUAUUUAAAACAAGAUAAGGGCAAGAUAAUAAAAAUUGAUGUAUAUUUUGAUAAAGGUUUAAAGAACUAUGGAUAACAAUGUCUACACACUAUCGAUACACAGAUGCACUCACAUACAUGGAUGGGUAUCAUCACUAUCCUAACCAUUCAACUAUUGGGUGGUUUCAAUAACAUUUGGUUUAUUAGCCAAUAACAUAUUAUUGCAUUUGAUAGUAUGAUUUAUGUUAGUUUAUUGUAAGUUGAUUGUAAAAAAAGAGACGCGUGUUCUUUUAGACGACAUUGUUCUCAGCUAUUUUAGCUUUAUGAAUUGCAUCUUAAAUUUUUGUAAACACACGUGACAACACACGGGUGUUAUACUAGUCAAUGUAAUGACAUACAGAUUAAAUUUACUAUUUAUCUCUGUUACUCAAGUGAAGUCCUCUUGGUGUUCAUAAUUUUACGUAAUGCAUGAUGUGCUUCUAUGUUAGUGGUUUCCACAAUAUAUCGGUGUCAGUUUUCUUUUUUUAAUAUGUUGAAAAGUAUAUAAAUAUUUAUAAUAUUACGUUGUACUAAAGUCACUAGUAGAAAAAGCCUCAUUCAUCCCCACUACAAGAAAUAUGUCCACUUGUGACCACCACUAUUGGUUACUGAAUGGUCAUUAUUUUCCAUUUGUGACCUUUUUGUCACCAAGAAUAGAAGGUUAAAAGUUGGCCGUCGUAAACUGGCAUUAGCGACCUUUCUUCUGGAAUGGUCGUAGACAUUUAUGACCAAAAAAGGUCGUAGAUUUAACGACCAAUUAUUUUGGUCACUAGCAAUCCGACCACACCACAUCAGAUCCACCAUGGCAAGCUGACGUGGCAGUAUUACGACCAAAUGAAAAGGUCGUAAAAUAGAAUCAGCCCGGUCCAUUUCAGCCGUCUACAUGGGCCAAGCCCAAUAAUUCAGCCCAUUUAAUGUUUUUUUCUCUUUAUUUUGCUUAUCUGCAUGGGCCUGGCCCAAUAAUUUGGCCUUUUAUUUUUUGGGAAUGUAGCCUUUUUUUGAUGAAUUUUUUAUAGUCCACUACUGUUUUGGGCCACAGCCUUUUUAGUCUAGUUCGAAUUUGGGCCUUGGGCUUUUUGUUUUCUAUUAUGCAGGCUUUUACAAACUAUUUUUUUUAAAGUCAACUCUUUUUAUAGGCCCAACCCUUUUUAGUCUAAUUCUUGUUUGGGCCUCGGCCUUUUUGCAGUCCAACUAAGUUUAGAGCCCAAUUAAUCAAAAUAAUAUUAUGUGAUCCAAACAAAACUCAAAUAAUUCAGAAAAUGCAUAACUUCACAUGUUCAUAACUCCACAACAAGUGACUUCACAGCUUCCAAAACUUCACAUGUGCAUAACUUCACAACAAGUAACUUCACAUGUGCAUAACUUCACAGCUAUCACUGGUUCAACAACAAGUGCUCCCAGUUUCACAAGUGCUCCAAGGUUCACAAGAUCCCAGGUUCACUUGCCAAGUGCAAAAUCCAACAAUCUGCAUAAGUUCACGACCUACUACGACAUAACACUAGUGCAGAACCGGCCUUUAGUGCCGAUUCGUAACGGCCUUUAGUGCCGGUUCGCCAACCGGCACUAAAGAGUGGGGACUAAAGGUCCCCCCCAUUUAGUACCGGUUCGUCACGAACCGGCGCUAAAGAGCCACCACGUGGCACGAGCCAGGCCCGGGUGCGUGUAGGACAUUAGUACCGGUUGGUAACACCAACCGGUACUAAAUGUUUGGGAGGGUUUUGGCUUUAUUUUCCAUUUAAUUAUUUUUUGUUUGUUAGUAUUUCACGAUACUACAAAUUGUAGACAUUAUGCAUAUAUGUAAAUAGAUUUUCUCAUACGUAGAACCGCAUAUAUAUAUAUAUAUAUAAUAUCAUCGAAUGUCUCACAACCAACACCAUUAACUAUUCACACAUACACAUGUAUAUACAUAUACAAUUUCUCCUACAUGUUGCCUUGGUGCCUUCGGAGCACGAUAACAAGUGGUUCAUGGGGGCGGUAGCGGGUAAUAGUAUUCUCCUUUGGGAUCUAUGACCUGGUCGAGCAAAAAUCCGGCUAUUUCCUCUUGAAGUGCACUAGUAGAAAACAAGGCAUUUGUCCCGGUUCAUAAGGGCCUUUAGUCCCGGUUCGUGAACCAGGACUAAUAGGUCAUUACUAAUGCCUCCCCCCUUUAGUCCCGGUUCUUACACGAACUAGGACAGAUGGGCAUCCACGUGGCCGCUGUGGGCAGCCCAGGCAGGGGGGCCUUUGGUACCGGUUGGUGACAUAAACCGGGACCAAAAGGCUUCCACGCAUCAGUAGCUGGCUGGAGCUGAGGUUUUUAUUUUUUCUUUUUAAAAAAAGUGGCUGGUUUAGGGGUUUUGGGGGUUAAUUUUAGGUUGUUAUUAGCUAGCUAAUAGAGAGAAGUGUCCUCUCUUAUAUCUUCGUCCUUGGUUUACCAACGCUACUGCUAUGUUCAUUUCACCCACUAAUAUAUAAUAACUCAUGCAUGCUCGCAUCAUACAUCAUCAUAUAUAAUAACAAGUCCUACUAAUCAUGCAUCAUCAUACAACUUCUACUCAUUAUUAAUAAUAAGUCAUACGAUCAUCAUCCUCAUAGUCAUCGAACCCAACCCUACAUAAUUGUUCUUAGCACAUGAUCAUAAUUAUCAGGUAGGACCUAAACACCCUUAAGGUAAAAUAUCAUAAAACAAUAUAGACCCUGACUCUCCAUUAUGAAGAAUGGAGAUCAUCCUGUCUCCAAUUCUUGCGCUUCGCUUCCUUUUGCUUCCAAGAAGGUCCUUACGACUAUCCAUACAUUUUUUUCCAUGCUUUGAUUGUCAUGUCUCCACUUCUUUUAGAAAUCUAGUAUGGACAGUUGAGAUUCAUAGGACGACCUGGUUGUAUGUUCAAAACAUCAAGGCGACCGUGUGUAUACAUUAUAUGAGGCACACAAUCAUUCGGGAUUAUCUGUUGAAAAACAUAGUAAUAACUUCGUAGUUAGAUGCAUGGAUGUCAUAAUAGUAAAAAAUCUUACCAGGGUAUCUCCAUGGUAGUUACCGUAGCUCAACACGUGCACUAGUGGCAUGUAUUGACCAUAAUGUUGAGGAGUUUGAUUGUAGACAUUGUAAUUCUCAAGAUCAGUACAAAAUCCUAUCAGAUGAUUUUUCUCCUUAUAAGUUAAUUCGGAGCCAUCGGUGUAGUGGGUUUUGUCUACCAUCUUCUGCACAUUCUUUGAAGAAUGAAAAUAAACUGUCAAUGGAAAUGAGCUGUCAACUAUUUUGAAAUAAACAAUAUAAAUUACUUAAUAACUAUGUUAAGCUCACAUGGGGGAAGAAUUGGAGUUGUAUCCACAAGGACCCAAAUUUUCAUAUUGUCUUGCUCGAUUGUAGGAUCACCAAGAUCCAUGGUGACAAGCAUACCCUCAUCAAAACCAUACAUCUUGCAAAGUGCUUCCCAAUUUUUGCAACCAAAAUGGGUUGCACUCUCAGCAUUGUACAACUUUACUUUAAAAUCCACACCAAGAUGGGCCCUUAGGAGAUUUUUUUUGGUUUCCAUACUUUCAUGGUCUUCAAAACCCAUCCUCUCCAAGACAUAGCGUCUUGCAUAGCAUGGGAUAAGCUAGUCGAAUUGGAAAAGAUGAAAAAUACACGUUAAAAUAGUUGAAGUCGUGCUUUAUUACAAAAAAAAACUAUUGUCGUCGUUGCGUAUCGUAUGAACAUCGAAGGUCACCUCGAGCUUAAUGCUGAAGUGCGGAUCUUUGUCCAGCUCAAUGAACCUGUCGCACAUACCUCGGUCGUUGUGGCACUAGUCGCACUCCCCCGGGCGAUUUUCGUCGACCGAGUACGACAUUUCCGGCCUAUGUUCAUAAUUCAAAUAUUAAACUUGUACAAUUAAAUAUAUGUACUAAAAAACCUAAAUUAGAUUAUUAUUAUUAAUCACGGGUUGACUAUCGGUGAUGGUACGUAGCUCCUCCUUUCAUUGUCGGGUGCAUUAUUACACCAAAUUGUCUAGCACACGGGAAUCAAGGAGAAGCUACCCCCCACGACGGCGUGGAUGAUGGAGGGGGCUCCUAGAUUUCUGCAUAGUGCUCUCCAAUUUUAGCAUUCAAAGUACGAGUACUUUUCCAAUAUGAGCAAAACCAAUUCAUAAACUAAAGUAGUAUUCAAAUUAGCAUGCAUUCAAUUAUAAGCAAAAGUACAUCAUCUCUUGUGUCCGUACAUCGUCUAAUAUUAUCACUAAUACUCCUCGAAUACUGUCAUACAUAUAGCAUCACUAAUACAGCUAGUACCGUAGCGCCUGACGGGUAUCGUCGCGGGCGGUGGACACCCAAAGAUAAGGAACCAUCACAUGAUCAUAGCUCCAGUGAGAUACCUGAAGAACCUGCCAGGUAUUGUCGAACCUGCCCUCCAAUGCAACCAUGUAGCGACGGACGUGCUCGUCCUCCUUGCUGACAUGGUGACGUACCACCUCCGCGGUGUCCGGAAUCCUCGUCACCGUCACUAGCCCACGCGACCGCCACCAAACAAGGAUCGGGUCAACAACGGGCUGCCUCCUCACCAACCUACGUCCCCCGGAAGGUAGCACCUCCCAAUACCAGCCCGGCGGAGCCCAGUCCCGAACAUGGCCCUGAUCAAGCAGGCCUCCACCACCGAGUCGACGACGACGGGGAUGCGGGAUAGGCAUCGCCGACGUUGAUGCGGGAACUACUUCUAUAUAUAGUAAAAUAAAGUAUUUUUAUUAAUUAAAUCAACUAGUUCAACUACUAAGCACUUACUAUAAAUAAAUAAACUAGUACUUACUAAAAACAAACUACUUUUAUAUAUAGUAAAAUAAAGUAGUUUAUUAAAUCAACUAGCUAGUUCAAUUAUAUAUGAAGCACUUACUAUAAAUAAAAUAAAGUAGUACUUAAUUAGUAAAAAUAAACUAGUUUAACUAUAGUUCAAUUAUUUUUCUAACUAAUUAUAUUAAACGCUUUCUCUUCUUAUUUUUUUCCUUUUUCCUCUAUUCUAAAUAUGAACAUAUUCAUAAAUGACUUCUAUCAUUCACAAUUUUCCUAUACAUACACAAUAAAUUGACAAAGAAAANNNNNNNNNNNNNNNNNNNNNNNNNNNNNNNNNNNNNNNNNNNNNNNNNNNNNNNNNNNNNNNNNNNNNNNNNNNNNNNNNNNNNNNNNNNNNNNNNNNNNNNNNNNNNNNNNNNNNNNNNNNNNNNNNNNNNNNNNNNNNNNNNNNNNNNNNNNNNNNNNNNNNNNNNNNNNNNNNNNNNNNNNNNNNNNNNNNNNNNNNNNNNNNNNNNNNNNNNNNNNNNNNNNNNNNNNNNNNNNNNNNNNNNNNNNNNNNNNNNNNNNNNNNNNNNNNNNNNNNNNNNNNNNNNNNNNNNNNNNNNNNNNNNNNNNNNNNNNNNNNNNNNNNNNNNNNNNNNNNNNNNNNNNNNNNNNNNNNNNNNNNNNNNNNNNNNNNNNNNNNNNNNNNNNNNNNNNNNNNNNNNNNNNNNNNNNNNNNNNNNNNNNNNNNNNNNNNNNNNNNNNNNNNNNNNNNNNNNNNNNNNNNNNNNNNNNNNNNNNNNNNNNNNNNNNNNNNNNNNNNNNNNNNNNNNNNNNNNNNNNNNNNNNNNNNNNNNNNNNNNNNNNNNNNNNNNNNNNNNNNNNACGGGCAAGCGUCGGCGGUGUUGUGGGGCACGGGGCGCGGGGUGGGGGGCGGCGACGGCAUCGGGGCGGCGCGAGACGGCGUCGGGGCGGCGUGGGGCGAUGACGGCGAUGGCGAAGGGAGACGGAUGGGCAGCCUGGCGGCAUCGGGCGGUGGGGAAGAACGAACUGAACCAAAUUUUCAUGAGUGCUGCUUAUAUAGGCAGAGCAUUGGUCCCGGUUCAUGGCACGAGCCGGGACCAAUGCACCCCUUUAGUCCCGCUUGGUGGCACCAACCGGGACGAAAGGCCUCUUUUCAGCAGCCCAAAGGGCAGGAAACAGAGACCUUUGGUCUUGGUUGGUGCCACAAACCGGGACAAAAGAGUGGCAUUGGUCCUGGUUGGUGCCACCAACCGGUACCAAUGCGUCCCUUUAGUCCCGGUCGGUGCCACCAACCGGGACCAAAGGUGGUUUGCUGGAACUGGCGCGGUGGGUGCUAUGUUUAGUCCCACCUCGCUAGCCGAGAGGGGCUCGUAGUGGUUUAUAAGCCCUGCCAAACCAACCACUUCGAGCUCCUCUCUACUGCAGGCUUAUGGGCCUAAAAUCACUCUCUGUGCUUGUGGGCCUAUUGGGCCUACUGCAGGCCUACAUCCUGGCCCUAGUAAUGGGUUUCUAGUCGUAUGCAGGCCGUGGUGGCCCAGUAGGUGGCAUUUUUUAAAAAAAAUUCCCACUUUUUUGCUUUCUUUUUUGUUUCUAGUUACUUAUUUAUUUUCUUUUACGAUAAUUAUUUUUGCUAUUUAAGUUUGUAACAAAAUUCUAAUUACUUAUUUAUUUUAUUUUAUGAUAUUCUUUUUGCUUUUAAUGUUUUGAACAAAAUUCUAAUUACUUAUUUAUUUUCUUUUAUGAUAAUUCUUUUUGCGAUUAAAGUUUGCAACAAAACAGGUUUUAAGGCUGGGGCCCCACGAGCACCUUUUAGUACCGGUUCGUGGCAUGAACCGGUAAAAGAGCUUUUUGAUUGAUUCUUUCUGCAACUGUUUUUUAGUCCCACCUCACCAAGCGAGAGGCACUCGCAGCGUUUUAUUAGCCCUGAGUGUAGAGACGAUGAAGGGAGAAGCGUAGUGCUCACCUGCACGUUGGCCUGAAGCUAAGCAACAUGCAGGUGAGCAUUGCGCCUCUCUUUUAUUUUGGCAUGGUAUCAUCAUUUCAUCCACAUAGCAUAUGCAAGAAAGUUGAGAGGGUUACGGCAAAAACUGGAUGCAUUUCGUGUACAAAACGGACAAUCGAGAUUUCAUACAGAAACUUGUCUGUUACAACAUGAAUUUCAAAUGAACUACAAAAAGGUUGCAAGUUGGCAUGGUAUCAUCCUAAUAGUUGUGGAGGAAGCCUUCACUUUUUCUUCGCUUGUGUCCUUUCCUUAUUGCGCCGUAACCAUGGAUAAUCUUCAUCAUUUAUCAGGAUGCUUGGGCCAGCCUUGACUUUGAAGGGUGGAAUUUCAUGAAACUUUUCAUAAUCUUUGGACAUGUCUGUCUUGCCCUCCACUCCCACGAUGUCGGUUUUUCGUGAAAGAACUAUGUGGCGCUUUGGCUCAUCGUAUGAUGUAUUCGCUUCCUUAUUUUUUAUUUUUCUCGGUUUGGUAGACAUGUCCUUCACAUAGAUAACCUGUGCCACAUCAUUAGCUAGGACGGACGGUUCGUCAGUGUACCCAAGAUUGUUCAGAUCCACUGUUGUCAUUCCGUACUAUGGGUCUACCUGUACCCUGCCUCUUGACAGAUUGACCCAUUUGCACUUAAACAAAGGGACCUUAAAAUCUACUCCAUAGUCAAGUUCCCAUAUGUCCACUAUGUAACCAUAAUAUGUGUCCUUUCCCCUCUCGGUGGCUGCAUCAAAGCGGACACCGCUGUUUUGGUUGGUGAUCUUUUGAUCUUGGGCGAUCGUGUAAAAUGUAUUCCCAUUUAUCUCGUAUCCUUUCCAAAUCAUAACAGUCGAAGAUGGUCCCCUGGACAAUGAGUACAUCUCAUCACAAAAAGUGUUUUCAUCUUUGAGACGUGUUUCCAACCAACUGCUGAAAGUCCUAAUGUGUUCACAUGUAAUCCAGUCGUCGCACUGCUCCGGGUGUUUGGAGCGCAGACUGUUCUUUUGUUCAUCGACAUAAGGGGUCACCAAGGUAGAGUUCUGUAGAACUGUGUAGUGUGCUUGAGACCAAGAAUAUCCAUCCCUGCAUAUUAUUGUCUCCCCUCCAAGCGUGCCUUUUCCAGUCAGUCUCCCCUCAUACCGCGAUUUACGGAGACCUAUCUUCUUAAGGUCAGGAAUGAAGUCAACACAAAACCCAAUGACAUCCUCUGUUUGAUGGCCCAUGGAGAUACUUCCUUUUGGCCUAGCGCGGUAACGAACAUAUUUCUUUAGGACUCCCAUGAACCUCUCAAAGGGGUACAUAUUGUGUAGAAAUACGGGCCCCAGAAUGACAAUCUCGUCAAUUAGAUGAACUAGGACAAGACAUUGAAGAAGGAUGAUGGGAACACCGGCUCGAAACUGACAAGACAUUGCACCACAUCACUCGUUAGCCUUGGUAUGAUUUUUGGAUCGAUCACCUUCUGAGAGAUUGCAUUGAGGAAUGCACAUAGCUUCACAAUGGCUAAUCGGACGUUUUCCGGUAGAAGCCCCCUCAAUGCAACCGGAAGCAGUUGCAUCAUAAUCACGUGGCAGUCAUGAGACUUUAGGUUCUGAAACCUUUUCUCUGCCAUAUUUAUUAUUCCCUCUAUAUUCGACGAGAAGCCAGUCGGGACCUUCAUACUAAGCAGACAUUCAAAGAAUAUUUCCUUCUCUUCUUUGGUAAGAGCGUAGCUGGCAGGACCUUCAUACUGCUUUGGAGGCAUGCCGUCUUUUUCGUGCAAACGUUGCAGGUCCUCCCGUGCCUCAGCUGUAUCUUUUGUCUUCCCAUACACGCCCAAGAAGCCUAGCAGGUUAACGCAAAGGUUCUUUGUCACGUGCAUCACGUCGAUCGAAGAGUGGACCUCUAGGUCUUUCCAGUAGGGUAGGUCCCAAAAUAUAGAUUUCUUCUUCUACAUGGGUGUGUGUCACCCAGCGUCACUCGGAAUAGCUAGUCCGCCGGGACCCUUUCCAAAGAUUACAUGUAAUCAUUGACCAUAGCAAGUACGUGAUCACCGGUACGCAUGGCGGGCUUCUUCCGGUGAUCUACCUCACCUUUGAAAUGGUUGCCUUUCUUUCGACAUUGAUGGUUGGUCGGAAGAAAUCAAUGAUGGCCCAAGUACACAUUCUUCCUGCAGCUUCCCAGGUAUAUACUUUUGGUGUCAGCUAAACAGUGCGUGCAUGCGUGGUAUCGCGUGUUUGUAUAUCCUGAAAGGUUACUAAGAGAGGGCCAAUCAUUGAUGGUUACAAACAGCAACGCGUGCAGGUUAAAUUCCUCCUGUUUGUGCUCAUCCCACACACGUACACCGUUUCCAUUCCACAGCUGUAAAAGUUCUUCACCCAAUGGCCUUAGGUACACAUCAAUGUUGUUGCCGGGUUGCUUAGGGCCUUGGAUGAGAACUGACAUCAUAAUGAACUUCCGCUUCAUGCACAUCCAAGGAGGAAGGUUAUACAUACAUAGAGUCACGGGCCAGGUGCUGUGAUUGCUGCUCUGCUCUCCGAAAGGAUAAAUGCCAUCCGCACCUAAACCAAACCAUACAUUCCUUGGGUCACCUGCAAACUCAACCGAGUACUCUCUCUCGAUUUUUCUCCACUGCGACCCAUCAGCGGGUGCUCUCAACUUCCCGUCUUUCUUACAGUCCUCACUGUGCCAUCGCAUCAACUUGGCAUGCUCUUUGUUUCUAAACAGUUGUUUCAACCAUGGUAUUAUAGGAGCAUACCACAAUGCACCGCAUACCAUGCAUGCGUUCAAAUCCUCGUACGCACCACGGUAGAGGAUGCAUUUAUUAGGGUAUGCAUGUAUCUUCUGCACCUCCAAUCCUAUAGGGCAUACGACCUUCUUUUCUGCGUACGUGCUGUCGGGCAAUUCAUUAUCCUUUGGAAGCUUCUUCUUCAAUAUUUUCAGUAGCUUCUCAAAUCCUUUGUCAGGCACAACAUUCUCUGCCUUCCACUGCAGCAAUUCUAGUACGGUACCCAGCUUUGUGUUGCCAUCUUCACAAUUGGGGUACAACUUUUUUUUGUGAUCCUCUAACAUGCUAUCGAACUUCAGCUUCUCCUUUUGACUUUCGCAUUGCGUCCUUGCAUCGACAAUGACCCGGCGGAGAUCAUCAUCGGGCACAUCGUCUGGUUUCUCUUGAUCUUCAACAACUUCCCCCAUUGCAGCAUCAUCGGGCACAUCGUCUGGUUCCUCUUGAUCUUCAGCAGCUCCCUCCGUUGCAGCAUCACCGUAUUCAGGGGGCACAUAGCUGUCAUCGCCCUCUUCUUCUUCACCGUCUUCCAUCGUAACCCCUAUUUCUCCGUGCCUCGUCCAAACAUUAUAGUGUGGCAUGAAACCCUUGUAAAGCAGGUGGGUGUGAAGGAUUUUCCGGUCAGAGUAAGACUUCGUAUUCCCACAUUUACGGCAUGGAGAACACAUAAAACCAUGCUGCUUGUUUGCCUCAGCCACUUCGAGAAAAAUAUGCACGCCCUUAAUGUACUUGGAGGUGUGUCUGUCACCAUACAUCCAUUGCCGAUUCAUCUGCGUGCAUUACAUAUAAUGAUGUGUGUCAAAAUUAAGAAAAUUAGACAAAUAUAUAUCUAAAGUAAGAAAAUCAGACAAGUAUCAUAAAGAAGAUAAGAACAAGACGCUCACCACGGUGGUGCCGGCGACGAGAUCGGCGCGGACGAUCAACGACGGUGAAAACGGGGACGGGGCGUGACGGACCCCUAAAUCUAGACAAAUCUCGAAAAAAAUGGAGCUCCUAGGUCGAGCUUCGAGAGGAGAAAUCUUAACUAGUGUGGCUCGGGCAUUUCAUCGAACACCUCGUGUGCAUAGGAGGUGAGCUAGAGCACCCAAAUGCCCUCUGCUUGCCGGAUUGAAAAAACAGAGCACUGUGGAGUGCUUUGCCGCGGCAGUGGGUAUAUAUAGGCAAGUUAUUUGUCCCGGUUUGUGGCAUGAACCGGGACUAAAGCCACCCCUUCUGUCCCGGUUCAUGCCACGAACCGGGACCAAUGGUUGUGGCCAGCAGCGAGGACCGUUGGUCCCGAUUCGUGGCUCGAACCGGGACAAAUGGUUCUACACGAACCAGGACCAAUGCGCACGAGGCCCCGGCCGGCCCCCUGGGCUCACGAACCGGGUCUAAUACCCCCCAUUGGUCCCGGUUCUUGAAGAACCAGGACUAAUGGGCUGGCCAGGGCUGAACGGUAGCCCUGUUUUCUACUAGUGGUGCUAGUAUGCGGUCCGCUGGUAGGAGCUUAUCCCGCACCUCUCUGAACUGUUAAGAAGGAGAUCAAUAUGCAUGUGUAUUAGUUGUGUUACAAGAUAUCGAUAAUGGUGUGAAUAGUGUUCUGACAAACGUACCCAGUCCUGUCUUUGAGAUCUGCUCCUUUCGGACGCCAUCAUGCGAAUGUUCUCGCAAACGUAGAAUGCACACAGAUCAUUCCCCGGCGCCUGCUUCAGGGCCUUUACGAGAAUGGAAUUGAAUCAGAUAAUGAUUAAUCAAGCAUGAUAAUUAUUUAAUGGUAUUGAAACAAGAAUUAAAGAUAUGGUAGCUAGCUAGAACUACUUAAUUACUUACCUUUGGUCGAUGCCAAAACAACUUUUUUGGCCAUUUGCCUGGAGUCACCUUGAUGAACUUUGCUCAAGCCCUGCCCGUCGGCAAAGAAAAUUAAUAAAGGGGUUAUUAAAUAGUUCAUAUCAGGAAAUGACGAAAUAAUAAUAGGCUGAGAUAUAGUUAAUAAUGAUUGAAAUUACGUGUUGACUAUCCCCUUCAUGAUGGUGUAGUCUUUAUCUUCUUUAAGUAGUGAGUCCAGUACUUCAACUGUUGCUUUGUCAACUUUAAUGUCUAAUAAGAUCCAGUGGAAACUGCAUGCGCACACGUUUGCAUGUCUUAAUUAAGCGGGCAUGUGCAUAAAAUUAAUCAACUAUCGUAAACCGUAUACACUUAAUUAUUAACAUCUAGCUAGCUAGUAAGCAAAAACAGAAUUUGUAUUAACUCACACGAAGUUGUAAGGAAGUAGUAUAUCUGCAUUGGUAUUGAGGCGCUUCAAGAACUCUAGCAUGCUUUCCUCUACACUUGCUUGAGAAGUUGCAAGAGUCCAUGUGUACUCAUUAAUGGUAUUUGGGUCAAUGAACCCAAUGCCAUAGCGUCCAAUUUUUUUCAUUUCAUACAUCUUCAUCCUGCAUAUAAUACCACCGAAAAGAAUAUAUAGUGAGGAUAAUUACAUGUAAUGAUAGAUAAAAAAUUACAGAAAGAAAUCACUUCCAGACAAUAGCAACUGACAAUAGAUUUGUCGAGUGCAUCUUGAUUGUAUAACUGAAAUAGUUCUGAAUACUCAACGCACAGAACUUUCUCAUGGAAGUAAUGCUCCUUCUUGACAUUCACCAUGAGGGACUCUCAAUUGCAAAUCUUGGUAAUGUCCAUGUACCAUUGAUGCAAUUCAUACAUUCUCGUUGGGAGGUUCUUGACCUUGUCUGGCUCGACCAAAGGUUGGCCCCGUACAUAUUUCUGUUUUAUUUCCUCCUCUCUAAGCGGAGACAUGGGCUCAAUUUCGAGGAGUUGUCCAACAGAGAUCUUGAGCAUUUCAGCCUGCAUUAUAUGCUCCUCCGUUAUUACCACAUCGCCUAGUUGGGGAACUUUAACGGUUUGCCCACAAUAAUAUUGGGUGCGCGGCCUCCUCUCAUGUGUUGUUGGCACAACAAGCGGGGGGAUCGAUUGCGGCGCCUCUUCUCCCAGCUGGGGAAUGGUUUUCCCGCAUUUUUUGCCCGCUGCUUGUUGGCUCGAGCUCGAGCUCGCUUCCUUCUUUAGCCGUUCUCGAUGUAGUUUCCUGAUUUGGUGCUCAUAGUCCGAGUCAACAGGCUUGGGAGCUGGUUCUCUAGCCAUACGAAUGAAGUGGUCAAUCAUUUUCUCAGGCACUUUCUCUUUUGGUGGUGGUGCCGGUUUCGGUCCAAAAUGGGCGUCCACUUGGGCCUGCACUAUGGAUGCGUUUUGCUCCUCAGUCAUGUCGUAAGGCCUCUGAGGAAGAGGAGCGAGGCUUGGACAAUAUUUAUAUCGCUUGUCUCCGCCUGUACUUCCUGGACUACCUCGACUAGUACUGCUACGCACCAUAGCUGCGGCAUGUCUCUUCUGCAAGUGCUGAGACGGUGGAGACGGCUGACGUGGCUGAGUUGGAGCAGGAGAAGUGGCCUGAUGAUGUGCCGGACUUGAAACAGGAGGUGUGGCCUGACACGGUGCCGGACUUGAAACCGGAGAAGUGGAAUGAUGCUGUGCCGGACUUGAAAUCGGAGGAGUCAGCUCACGCGUUCGGGGACUUGGAGGAGGUGGCGGACUUCGAGGAGGAGUCGGCUCACGUGUUCGAGGACUUGGAGGAGCGGGAGUCUGCUGACUCGGUGGCGGACUUCGAGGAGGAGUCGGCAGGCGACGCGGUGUCGGUGGACUUUGAAAGAUGAUGCAAUCCUUUCUCCAUAGGAUGAUACGAUGUAUGGCCUCUCCCAGUGUGCGCUCGUCUUCACCUCCAGGAAUGUCAAGAUGUAGCCCCGAAUAUGGGUCCAGCACUUCAUCAACCAAGACACGAGCAUAGCCCUCUGGAAUCGGGAUGCAAUGGAAGGUUGCUUCGGGGGUAAUUGUAAAAGCAACGCCGUCUGCCACCUUCAUGGAUAUGUUCUUCAUUUUGGAGUGUAGCUCACAGUUAGUGUUCUCUAUGAUGUCAUCCACAGGGUAUGUAUCCAGCAGUGUGUCGCCCGGGGCAGAACCAAAGCUGCUUCUCGGCAUGGAUGGGAUGGUGCUAUCCAAUGCUGGACGAUCAUCCGCUUGCUGCUGUCGCUGCUGAGACCCCCUUUCCUGGCUAAGUGAGUCGAUCUACUGCUGCUGCUGCUGGAAUUUGAGUGCCAAGUCGGCGUGCCUUGCUUCUAGGCCUUGAAGGUGUUCUGCGUCCUGCUUCCUCUGCUCCUCCUCCAGCUUCCUUUUCUACUCGUCCUCCAUCUUCCUUCUUGCACGGGUCCUGUAGUCCUCCUUCCUUUCUGAAAUGCCCUCAUACCAGGGAAUAACGCCCUUGCCUCAUGUUCUUCCCGGGUGUUCAGGAUUUCCUGGGGCGCGCGUAAGCUCAUCGUUCUCUCUGUUGGGCGUGAACACCCCCCUUCAAGCUUCUUCUAUUGCGUCAAGUAUCUUUUAUUCAGCUCCUUUUAGAUUUUCCUUCUGCGAAACCAGGCCUGUCUUCGGGUCCAACGCCCCCCAUGCGCAUAGAACCAAGUUUCGCACCUGGGGGGCCAGCUCCUAGUAACCGGAGUGACCCCUGCAUCCUCCAUCUCUUGCUCAAACUUAUCCUACUUAGGCAUUCCCACCACGUAGCCACCUGGACCCAGCCUAUGGAACUGCGUCUUUUUGCGGCAUUUGCCUUGUUUUUUAUCGACCGUUCCAUAGAUAAUACUGAAUUCGUGAAGGUCACGAAAUCGUCCCAGUGUUCUAUUUGCUUCUCUAGUGUUCCCGUGAAUUCUGGAGUCUUCCUUUCUGCAGCGAGGUAGUGGGCCCAUACAGUUUUCUUGUGGGUGUUGAAUGCAAUUGCCAUCUUCUUAAGAGCAGCGCCCUUGACUUUCUCCACAUCUGCUUCAGUGAAAUGAUCUGGUAGGGUGAAAUGUUCCAUCAGAGAUUUCCAAAGGUCUUUUUUGGCUCUAUCGUCGACCCAAGUAACACCUGGACGUUUAGUCUUUGGCUCUUUCCAUUCUUGAAUGGAGAUCGGGAGUUUGUCCUUCACAAGAACUCCGCACUGACCAGUCCACUUGUUCGCAAUGUUCUUAGGCGUGAGGGGAUCGCCACUAGGUUUGAUGGAUUCGAUGUUGUACUUUACACCAUCCUUCAACAAUCUGCCCAGGCCUCGCUUUGUCCUGCUGUCUGUAGAAGCAGAUUUGCUCGAUCCGGAGGGCUGAAAGAAGAAAGAUCGAUUCGUUAAUAUAUCUUCAAUAAAAAAACAUGUGAUGAUCACCAUGAUGCAUGCUUAUAUAAAUAUACCUCGCUGGUAGUCUUUUUUAUUUGAAGAUCAGCAUUGUCUGUGUCAUCACAAACAUUGUCUGUAUCAUCAUAAUCAUAAUCAUCGUUCAUGACUUCAUUAGCUCGGUCGUCGAGAUUGAAUAUCUUUUCAUCACCCUCUCCGGUAUUGUUCAGAUAUUGGGAGCUGUCAUCUGCUUCAUUCAGAUCAUCUAGCCUGUGAGGACUGCAUAUGAUGUCGAACAAUUCCUCUUCUCUCUCUCUGCCGGUAUUGUCCACCAUAGCUUUUACUUAACUAAUACAGAAGAAAUAUAAAACAAUUUAGUAUUCAAAUUACAAUGCAUGGAUGCAAUCAAUAAGCAAAAACUGAAUCAUAUAUAUAGUACAUAAUAUAUGCAUCGUCUUGAUUAAUAUAUAAUCUUGAAUACAUCAUCGUCUUAAUAUAUAUAAUCUCGAAUACAUCAUCUCGAAUAUUAUAUAUCAAAUACAUCACUGGCUAGGUACCUACUAAAGAUCGAGUACUACAGAAGAAUCUAGGCCUCUCGUGGUUCCUAGGGCGUGGGCGGUGGACACCCAAAGAGAAGGAACCAUCACAGGAUCAUAUCUCCGGUCAUCUGCCCAAAGAACCUGCCAAGUAUUGGAGAACCUGACGUCCAUAGCAGCCAUGUAGCGAUGGACGUGCUCGUUCUCCUCCCUGACACGGCGACGCACCACCUCCGGCAGCGCCGGCUCCCUCUGCACCGAAUGUGGCCCACGCGAACGCCACCAAAGGAUAUCAGGGUCGACGACGGGACCCGAGGCCGGGUUCCUCACCAAGCGGCAUGCCCCUCCAGGUAACACCUCCCAGUGCCAUCCCGGUGGAGCCCAAUCCCGGACAUGGGUCCUCUGAAGCAGGACCUCGUCGCGAACGGGUCAACGACGAGGAUGCGGGCCGGGCAUAUCGUCGAGAACUAGUACUAUAUGCCCGCAAAAAGUAACAUUUUUUAAAUGAUUGGAUUGUGAUAACUAAAAUUCUAUAUAUAUGCAAAUUCUAACAAUUUGACAUUAAUCUAAUUCAUCUAACUAAAACUAAUUCUAAAAUUUCCUGAUUAUAUAACUAGCAUUUCUAAUAUUUAUAUAACUAAAAAACAGAAAAAUUGCUAACAUUUCUAUAACUAAAAAAUAGAAAAAUUUUAUAACAUUUCUAUAUAACUAACAUUUCUAAUAUUUCUAUAACUAAAAAACAGAAUAAUUUCUAAAAUUUCUAUAACUAAAAAACAGAAAAAUUUAUAACAAACAAACCAAUGUGUGUGUGUGUGUACUGUGUGUGUAGUGUGUGUGUGUAGUGUGUGUGUGUGUGUGUGUGUGGACAUGGCGGCCGGGGCGAGCUCACGGCGAGGCAACGACGAGGCGGCGACGACGGGACGACGGGACGGGGCGGCAACAACGGGGCGACGGGACGGGACAGCAACGACGGGGCGGGGCGGCGACGACGGGGCGGGGUGCGGCGACGGGGCGGCCGGGGCACGGCGACGGGGACGAUGUGGACGGGGACCGCUGGGGCGGUGACGUAGACGGGGGCGGCGAUGAAGGGUGGGGAUGGCCGGGGUGGCGACGUGGCAUCUAUCGGGGCAGGGCGGCGCGACGGACGGAAGAAACAGAGAGGGAAAGUGAAUUUUUUUCAACUGUUGUAUAUAUAGGAUGGACCUUUAGUACCGGUUGGAGCCACCAACCGGUACUACAGGUCUGUUUUGGCCAGGCCAAGUGGCAGGAAGCGCCCCCCCUUUAGUAUCGGGUUGUGGCACCAACCGGUACAAAAGACCCCCUCUUUAGUACCGGUUGCAGCCACCACCCGAUACUAAAGGGGUGCGCUGGCGCAGUGCGGUGUGGCAAGUUUAGUUCCACCUGCUAGUCGAGGGGCUACCGCGCUGGUUUAUAAGCCCCAGUGCGGUAGCUCUCUCGAGCUCCUCUCCUAAGCAGGCCUACUGGGCCUACCUGUUCUGUGCUGACCUGUGGGCCUACUGGACCUUUGCGGGCCUGCAUCCUGCUAUGUCUUGAGCUUGCGUUGGUUUUCCUCGAAGAGGAGAGGGUGAUGCAGCAAGUGUAGCAUAAGUAUUUCCCUUAGUUCUGAGAACCAAGGUAUCAAUCCAGUAGGAGGCUCCUCCAAAGUCCCACGCACCUACACAAACAAAUUGAGAAGUCGCAACCAACACAAUGAAGGGGUUGUCAAUCCCUUCACGGCCACUUGCGAAAGUGAGAUCUAAUAAAGAUAGUAUGAUAAGAUAAAUAUAGUUUUGGUAUUUUAUAAUAUAGAUGCAAAAAGUAAAGAUGCAAAUAAAAGUAGAUUGAAAGCAAAUAUGAUAAGAGAUAGACCCGGGGGCCAUAGGUUUCACUAGAGGCUUCUCUCAAGAUAGCAAAAUUAUUAUGAUGGGUGAACAAAUUACUGUCGAUCAAUUGAUAGAAAAGCGCAUAGUUAUAAGAUUAUCUAGGCAUGAUCAUGUAUAUAGGCAUCACGUCCAUAACAAGUAGACCGACUCCUUCCUGCAUCUACUACUAUUACUCCACACAUCGACCGACUCCUGCCUGCAUCUAGAGUAUUAAGUUCAUAAGAACAGAGUAACGCAUUAAGCAAGAUGACAUGAUGUAGAGGGAUAAACUCAUGCAAUAUGAUAUAAACCCCAUCUUGUUAUCCUCGAUGGAAACAAUACAAUAUGUGCCUUCCAACCCUUUCUGUCACUGGAUAAGGACACCGCAAGAUUGAACCCAAAGCUAAGCACUUCUCCGAUGGCAAGAAAGACCAAUCUAGUAGGCCAAACCAAACUGAUAAUUCGAAGAGACUUGAAAAGAUAACUCAAUCGCACAUAAAACAAUUCAGAGAAGAUUCAAAUAUUAUUCAUAGAUAAACUUGAUCAUAAAACCACAAUUCAUUGGAUCUCGACAAACACACCGCAAAAAGAGUUAACAUCGAAUAGAUCUCCACAAGAGAGGGGGAGAACAUUUAUUGAGAUCCAAAAAGAUAGAAGAAGCCAUCUAGCUAAUAACUAUGGACCCAUAGGUCUGUGGUAAACUACCCACAACACAUCGGAGGGGCAAGGAUGUUGAUGUAGAAGCCGUCCAUGGUCGAUUCCCCCUCCGGCAGAGUGCCGCCGAAGGCUCCAAGAUGGGAUCUCGCGGAUACAGAAGGUUACGACGGUGGAAAUUGUGUUUCGUGGUGCUCCUGGAUGUUUUCGGGGUACAUAGGUAUAUAUAGGAGGAAGAAGUACGUCGGUGGCCGCCCGAGGGGCCCACAAGAUAGGGGUCGCGCCCUACAGGGGGGCGUGGCUUCCUAUCUCAUGGGGUCCUCGGUUGCUUCUUGACUUGCACUCCAAGCUCUCUAGAUCACGUUCGUUCCAAAAAUCACGCUCCCGAAGGUUUCAUUCCGUUUGGACUCCGUUUGAUAUACCUUUUCUUCGAAAUACUGAAAUAGGAAAAAAAAAACAAUAUGGGCUGGGCCUCCGGUUAGUAGGUUAGUCCCAAAAAUGAUAUAAAUGUGUAAAAUAAAGCCCAUAAACAUCCAAAAGGGGUAAUAUAAUAGCAUGGAACAAUAAAAAAUUAUAGAUACGUUGGACACGUAUCAAGCAUCCCCAAGCUUAAUUCCUGCUUGUCCUCGAGUAGGUAAAUAAUAAAAAAGUAAUUUUUGAUGUGGAAUGCUACCUAGCAUAAUUCUCAAUGUAAUUUUCUUUAUUGUGGCAUGAAUGUUCAGAUCCAAAUGAUACAAAAUAAAAGUUCAUAUUAACAUGAAAAUGGUGAUACUUCAAGCAUACUAAUCAAAGUAAUCAUGUCUUCUCAAAAUAACAUGGCCAAAGAAAGUUAUACCUACAAAAUCAUAUAGUCUGGCUAUUGCUCUAUCUUCAUCACACAAAGUAUUUAAUCAUGCACAACCCCGAUGACAAGCCAAGCAAUUGUUUCAUACUUUAAUAAUCUCAAACUUUUUCAACUUUCACACAAUACAUGAGCGUGAGCCAUGGACAUAUUACUAUAUGUGGAAUAGAAUGGUGGUUGUGGAGAAGACAAAAAAGGAGAAGAUAGUCUCACAUCAGCUAGGCGUAUCAACGGGCUAUGGAGAUGCCCAUUAAUAGAUAUCAAUGUGAGUGAGUAGGGAUUGCCAUGCAACGCAUGCGCUAGAGCUAUAAAUUUAUGAAAGCUCAACAAAAGAAACUAAGUGGGUGUGCAUCCAACUCGCUUGCUCACGAAGACCUAGGGCACUUUGAGGAAGCCCAUCAUUGGAAUAUACAAGCCAAGUUCUAUAAUGAAAAAUUCCCACUAGUAUAUGAAAUUGUCAACAUAUGAGACUCUCUAUCAUAAAGAUCAUGGUGCUAUUUUGAAGCACAAGUGUGGAAAAAGAGAUAGUAGCAUUGUCCUUUCUCUCUUUUUCUCUCAUUUUGUUUAUUUUUUCUUUUUCUUCUCUUUUUUUCUUUGUUUUUUUAUUUGGCCUUCUUUUUUUUCUUUUUGGCCUNNNNNNNNNNNNNNNNNNNNNNNNNNNNNNNNNNNNNNNNNNNNNNNNNNNNNNNNNNNNNNNNNNNNNNNNNNNNNNNNNNNNNNNNNNNNNNNNNNNNNNNNNNNNNNNNNNNNNNNNNNNNNNNNNNNNNNNNNNNNNNNNNNNNNNNNNNNNNNNNNNNNNNNNNNNNNNNNNNNNNNNNNNNNNNNNNNNNNNNNNNNNNNNUUUUUUCUUUUUGUAAAGUCCGAAGUCUCAUCCCGAUCAACUUGUGGGGGAAUCAUAGUCUUCAUCAUCCUUUCCUCACUAGGACAAUGCUCUAAUAAUGAAGAUCAUCACACUUUUAUGGAUUUACAACUCAAAGCUAGAACAAGAUAUGACUCUAUAUCAAUGCCUCCGGCGGUGUACCGGGAUAUGCAAUGAAUCAAGAGUGACAUGUAUGAAAAUUAUGAAGGUGGCCUUGCCACAAAUACAAUGUCAACUACAUGAUCAUGCAAAGAGCAAUAUGACAAAAGUAAUGCCUAUCAUAUGAACGGAACGGUGGAAAGUUGCAUGGCAAUGUAUAUCGGAAUGGCUAUGGAAAUGCCAUAAUAGGUAGGUAUGGUGGCUGUUUUGAGGAAGGAGUAUAGUGGGUGUAUGGCACCGGCGAAAGUUGCACGGUACAAGAGAGGCUAGCAAUGGUGGAAAGGUGAAAGGGUGCGUAUAAUCCAUGGACUCAACAUUAAUCAAAAGAACUCAUAUACUGGUUGCAAAAAUCUAGAAGUCAUCAAAAACCAAAGCACUACGCGCAUGCUCCUAGGGGGAUAGAUAGGUAGGAAAAGACCAUCGCUCGUCCCCGACUGCCAGUCAUAAGGAAGACACUCAAUAAAUAAAAUUGCGCUCCAACUUCAUCACAAAGCGGUUCACCAUACGUGCAUGCUACGGGAAUCACAACCCUCAAUACAAGUACUUUUCAUAAUCACCUCAACUAGCAAUAUCACUACCUCCAUAUCUCCAAACAAUUAUCAAUCAUCAUAUUGAUCAUAGCAUCCAAUUCUUUUUCUAUGAUAGUUUUUAUUAUACCCAACUUGGAUGCUCAUCAUUUUAGGACCAACUUUAUGAUAAUAGCGAAUACCAUGCUGUUCUAAAAGACUUUCAAAAUAAUAUAAGUGAAGCAUGAGAGACUAGCAAUUUCUUCAAAAUUAAGACACCACCGUGCUCUAAAAAGAUAUAAGUGAAGCACUAGAGCAAAAACUAUCAAACUCAAAAGAUAUAAGUGAAGCACAUAGAGUAUUCUUGCAAAUUCUAAUGAAAUAGGCUUCUCCAAAAAGGUGUGUACAGCAAGGAAGAUUGUGGUAAACUAAAAAUCAAAGACUAAUAUAAUACACGACGCUCCAAGCAAAACACAUAUCAUGUAGCGAAUAAAAAUAUAGCUUCAAGUAAAAUUACCAAUGAACGAAGACGAAAGAGGGGAUGCCUACCCGGGGCAUCCCCAAGCUUAGGCUUUUGGCUAUUCUUGAAUAUCUUGGGGUGCCUUGGGAAUCCCCAAGCUUAGGCUCUUUCCACCCUUUAUUCCAUGGUCCAUAAAAGCUUUACCUAAAACUUGAAAACUUCACAACACAAAACUCAACAGGAAAUCUUAUAAGCUCCGUUAGUGAAAGAAAACAAAACCACCACAUACGGUACUGCAAUCAACUCAUUCUUUAUUUAUUUGGUGUUAAACCUACUGUAUUCCAGCUUCCUUCUAGUUUAUAAACUAAUUUACUAGCCAUAUAUGCAUUGAAAAAAGCAAACAACACACGAAAAACAGAAUGUGUCAAAAACAGAACAGUCUGUAGAAAUCUGUAACUAACGCAAACUUCUGGAACUCUAAAAAUCCUACCAAACAGGAAGUCCUGGACAAUUUGUCUAUUGAACAGCAUAAAAAAGAAUCAACGCAAAAUAACGUUCUUGUGAUUUAACAAAAUUAUAUUUGUGCGCACAAAGUUUCUAUUUUUCAGCAGAAUCAAAUCAACUAUCAUCGUAGGUUAUCCUAUAGGUUCUACUUGGCACUAACACUAAUUAAAAGAUAAAGACACAUCUAAGCAGGAGGUAGAUGAAAGAUUUAUUACUAAACAGGAGCAAAAAUAAAAAACAUAAAGAAAAUUGGGUUGCCUCCCAACUAGCGCUAUCGUUUAACGACCCUAGCUAGGCAUAAAAAGCAAAGAUAGAUUUAACGAGUGCCAUCUUUGGCACUAAAUUCAUAAGUAGUACGCAUGAUAGAUUCAUAAGGUAAUUUGACUUUCUUUCUUGGAAAGUGCUCCAUGCCUUUCUUUAAGGGAAAUUGGAAUCUAAUAUUCCCUUCCUUCAUCAAUAAUCGCACCGAUCGUUCUAAGGAAAGGUCUAACAAGAAUAAUAGGGCAAGAAAGAUUGCAAUCUAUAUCAAUAACAAUAAAAUCUACGGGCACCAAAUUUCUAUUUGCAAAAAUAAGAACAUCAUUGAUCCUUCCCAUUGGCUUUUUAAUGGUGGAAUCCGCAAGGUGCAAAUUUAAAGAGCAAUCAUCAAGAUAAUUGGAACCUAGAAUAUCACAUAAAGUUUUCUGAAUCGUGGAAACACUAGCACCAAAAUCACACAAAGCAAAACACUCAUAAUCUUUAAUUCUAAUCUUUAUGGUAGGUUCCCACUCAUCAUUAAGUUUUCUAGGUAUAGAAACUUCCAAAUUAAGUUUUUCAUCAUAAGAUUGCAUCAAGGCAUCAACAAUUUGUUUGGUAAAAGCUUUAUUUUGACUAUAAGCAUGAGGAGGAUUAACAACGGAUUGCAACAAGCAAAUACAACCUUUUAAAGAACAAUUAUCAUAAUCAAAUUCCUUGAAAUCCGAGAUAGUAGGUUCAAUGUUAUUAGAGGUUGAGGAUUCUCCAAUCUCACUUUUACCAAAUUUAGCAUCAAGAUCUAAAUACUCCGAAUUCUUGGGACACCUUCUAGGAAAAGUUGAUUCAUCAUCAGUACCAUAAUCAUCAAAAUUCAUAUUGCAAAACAUAGAUCUAAUAGGACACGCAUCAAUAACUUUAAGAUCCUCAUCAUAUUUUUCACGGUAACUAUAAGAACAUGCUUUUAUAAAGCUAUCUUUCUUAGCACGCAAUCUAGUGAUUCUUUCCUUACACUCAUCAAUGGAAAUUCUCAUUAAUUUGAGGGACUUAUUGAUAUCAUGCUUAGGAGGAGAAGGUCUAAGUUUAAGGGAAUCAACAUCAAACGAAAGUCUAUCAAAGUUCCUAGCCAAAUCAUCAACUUUGAGCAAUUUUUCUUCAAGCAAAGCAUUAAAAUUCUUUUGAGAAAUCAUAAAUUCUUUCACACUAUUCUCAAAAUCAGAGGGCAUCUUAUUAAAAUUACCAUAAGAAUUAUUGUAGGAAUUUCCGUAAUUAUUAGAAGAAUUACUAGGGAGCGGUCUAGCAUUAAAGUUUCCUCUAUAAGCAUUGUUUCCAAAACUAUUCCUGUUGGGGAAUGUUGCAUAAAAUAAAAAAAUUCCUACGUUCACCAAGAUCAAUCUAGGAGUUCAUCUAGCAACAAGAGAAAGGAGUGCAUCUACAUACCCUUGUAGAUCGCGAGCGGAAGCGUUCAAGAGAACGGGGUUGAGGGAGUCGUACUCGUCGUGAUCCAAAUCACCGAUGAUCCUAGUGCUGAACGGACAACACCUCCGCGUUCAACACACGUACGGUUGAGGAAGACGUCUCCUCCUUCUUGAUCCAGCAAGGGGGAAGGAGAGGUUGACGGAGAUCCAGCAGCACGACGGCGUGGUGGUGGAUGCAGCAGUGAUCUCGGCAGGGCUUCGCCGAGCUUCUACAAGAGGGAGAGGUGUAGCAAUGGGAGAGGGAGGCGCCAAGAACAUGGGUGCGGCUGCCCUCCCUCUCCUCCCCUUUAUAUAGGCCCCCUGGGGGAGGCACCGGCCCUAGGAGAUGGGAUCUCCAAGGGGGGCGGCGGCCAAGUGGGAGGCUUGCCCCCCAAGGCAAGUGGAGGCGCCCCCCACCCUAGGGUUUCGAACCCUAGGCGCAGGGGGGGCCAAGGGGGGGUGCACCAGCCCACCAGGGGCUGGUUCCCCUACCCACUUCAGCCCAUGGGUCCCUUCGGGAUAGGUGGCCCCACCCGGUGGACCCGCGGGACCCUUCUGGUGGUCCCGGUACAAUACCGGUGACCCCCGAAACUUUCCCGAUGGCCGAAACUGCACUUCCUAUAUACAAUUCUUCACAUCUGGACCAUUCCGGAACUCCUCGUGAUGUCCGGGAUCUCAUCCGGGACUUCGAACAACUUUCGGGUUACUAGAUACUCAUAUCUCUACAACCCUAGCAUCACCGAACCUUAAGUGUGUAGACCCUACGGGUUCGGGAGACAUGCAGACAUGACCGAGACGCCUCUCCGGUCAAUAACCAACAGCGGGAUCUGGAUACCCAUGUUGGCUCCCACAUACUCCUCGAUGAUUUCAUCGGAUGAACCAUGAUGUCGAGGAUUCAAUCAAUCUCGUAUACAAUUCCCUUUGUCAAUCGGUACGUUACUUGCCCGAGACUCGAUCAUCGGUAUCCCAAUACCUCGUUUAAUCUCGUUACCGGCAAGUCACUUUACUCGUACUGUAAUGCAUGAUCCAGUGACCAGACACUUGGUCACAUUGAGCUCAUUAUGAUGAUGCAUUACCGAGUGGGCCCAGAGAUACCUCUCCGUCAUACGGAGUGACAAAUCCCAGUCUCGAUUCGUGCCAACCCAACAGACACUUUCGGAGAUACCCGUAGUGCACCUUUAUAGUCAUCCAGUUACGUUGUGACGUUUGGCACACCCAUAGCACUCCUAUGGUAUCUGGGAGUUGCACAAUCUCAUGGUCUAAGGAAAUGAUACUUGUCAUUUGGAAAAGCUCUAGCUAAACGAACUACACGAUCUUUGAGCUAUGCUUAGGAUUGGGUCUUGUCCAUCACAUCAUUCUCCUAAUGAUGUGAUCCCGUUAUCAAUGACAUCCAAUGCCCAUAGUCAGGAAACCAUGACUAUCUGUUGAUCAACGAGCUAGUCAACUAGAGGCUUAGUAGGGACAUGUUGUGGUCUAUGUAUUCACACGUGUAUUACGAUUUCCGGAUAACACAUUUAUAGCAUGAAUAAUAGACAAUUAUCAUGAACAAACAAAUAUAAUAAUAACCAUUUUAUUAUUGCCUCUAGGGCAUAUUUCCAAUAGUCUCCCAUUUGCACUAGAGUCAAUAUUCUAGUUACAUUGUGAUGAAUCGAACACCCAUAGCGUUCUGGUGUUGAUCAUGUUUUGCUCUAGGGAGAGGUUUAGUCAACGGAUUUGCUACAUUCAGAUCCUUAUGUACUUUACAAAUAUCUAUGUCUCCAUCUUGAACAUUUUCACGUAUGGAGUUGAAGCGACGCUUGAUGUGCCUGGUCUUCUUGUGAAACCUGGGCUCCUUGGCAAGUGCAAUAGCUCCAGUGUUGUCACAGAAGAGUGCGAUCGGCCCCGACGCAUUGGGUAUGACUCCUAGGUCGGUGAUGAACUCCUUCACCCAGAUUGCUUCAUGCGCUGCCUCUGAGGCUGCCAUGUACUCUGCUUGACAUGUAGAUCCCGCCACGAUGCUUUGCUUGUAACUGCACCAGCUUACUGCCCCACCAUUCAAAAUAUACACGUAUCCGGUCUGUGACUUAGAGUCAUCGAGAUCUGUGUUGAAGCUAGCGUCGAUGUAACCCUUUACGAUGAGCUCUUCUUCACCUCUAUAAACGAGAAACAUAUCGUUAGUCCUUUUCAGGUACUUUAGGAUGUUCUUGACCGCUGCCCAGUGUUCCUUGCCGGGAUUACUUUGGUACCUUCCUACCAAACUUACGGCAAGGUUUACAUCAGGUCUAGUACACAUCAUGGCAUACAUAAUAGACCCUAUGGCUGAGGCAUAGGGGAUUACACUCAUCUCUUCUUUAUCUUCUGCCGUGGUCGGGCAUUGAGCCCAGCUCAAUCUCACACCUUGCAGUACAGGCAAGGACCCUUUCUUGGAAUGAUCCAUAAUGAACUUCUUCAAUAUCUUAUCAAGGUAUGUGCUUUGUGAAAGACCAACGAGGCGUCUCGAUCUAUCCCUAUAGAUCUUGAUGCCUAAUAUGUAAGCAGCUUCUCCAAGGUCCUUCAUUGAAAAACACUUAUUCAAGUAGGCCUUAAUGAUGUCCAAAAGUUCAAUAUCAUUUCCCAUCAAAAGUAUGUCAUCUACAUAUAAUAUGAGAAAUGCUACAGAGCUCCCACUCACUUUCUUGUAAACGCAGGCUUCUCCAUAAGUCUGCAUAAACCCAAACGCUUUGAUCAUCUCAUCAAAGCGAAUGUUCCAACUCCGAGAUGCUUCCACCAGCCCAUAAAUGGAUCACUGGAGCUUGCAUACCUUGUUAGCAUUCUCAGGGUCGACAAAACCUUCCGGCUGCAUCAUAUACAGCUCUUCCUUAAGAUGGCCGUUAAGGAAUGCCAUUUUGACGUCCAUUUGCCAUAUCUCAUAAUCAUAGUAUGCGGCAAUUGCUAACAUGAUUCGGACGGACUUCAGCUUCGCUACGUGAGAGAAUGUCUUAUCGUAGUCAAUCCCUUGAACUUGUCGAUAACCCUUAGCGACAAGUCGAGCUUUAUAUAUGAUAACAUUACCAUCCGCGUCCGUCUUCUUCCUAAAGAUCCAUUUGUUUUCUAUUGCUCGCCGAUCAUCGGGCAAGUCUGUCAAAGUCCAUACUUUGUUUUCAUACAUGGAUCCUAUCUCGGAUUGCAAGGCUUCAAGCCAUUUGUUGGAAUCUGGGCCCGCCAUCGCUUCUUCAUAGUUCAAAGGUUCACCGUUGUCUAACAACAUGAUUUCCAAGACAGGGUUGUCGUACCACUCUGGUGCGGAACGUGUCCUUGUGGACCUUCGAAGUUCAGUAGGAGCUUGAUCCGAAGUGUCUUGAUCAUCAUCAUUAACCUCCUCUCUUUUCGGUGCAGGCAUCACAGGAACAUCUUCCUGAGUUAUGCUACUUACCGUUUCAAGAGGUAGUACUUCAUCAAGCUCUACUUUCCUCCCACUUAAUUCUUUCGAGAGAAACUCUUUCUCCAGAAAGGACCCGUUCUUGGCAACAAAGAUCUUGCCCUUGGAUCUUAAGUAGAAAGUAUACCCAAUGGUUUCCUUAGGGUAUCCUAUGAAGACGUAUUUUUCCGACUUGGGUUCGAGCUUCUCAGGUUGAAGUUUCUUGACAUAAGCAUCGCAUUCCCAAACUUUUAGAAACGACAGCUUAGGUUUCUUCCCAAACCAUAAUUCAUAUGGUGUCAUCUCAAUGGAUUUAGACGGUGCCCUAUUUAAAGUGAAUGUAGCUGUCUCUAGAGCGUAUCCCCAAAAUGAUAGUGGUACAUCGGUAAGUGACAUCAUAGAUCGCACCAUAUCCAAUAGAGUGCGAUUACGAUGUUCGGAUACACCGUUACGCUGAGGUGUUCCAUGCGGUGUGAGUUGUGAAACGAUUCCACAUUUCCUUAAGUGUGUACCAAAUUCGUGACUUAAAUAUUCUCCCCCACGAUCUGAUCGUAAGAACUUUAUCUUUCGGUCAUGUCGAUUCUCUACCUCAUUCUGAAAUUCCUUGAACUUUUCAAAGGUCUCAGACUUGUAUUUCAUCAAGUAGACAUACCCAUAUCUACUCAAGUCAUCAGUGAGAGUGAGAACAUAACAAUAUCAUCCGCGAGGCUCAGUGCUCAUUGGACCGCACACAUCAGUAUGUAUGAUUUCCAAUAAGUUGGUUGCUCGCUCCAUUGUUCUGGAGAAUGGAGUCUUGGUCAUUUUGCCCAUGAGGCAUGGUUCGCAUGUGUCAAAUGAUUCAUGAACGAGAGACUCUAAAAGUCCAUCAGCAUGGAGCUUCUUCAUGCGCUUGACACCAAUGUGACCAAGGCGGCAGUGCCAGAAGUAUGUGGGACUAUCGUUAUCAACUUUACAUGUUUUGGUAUUCACACUAUGAAUAUGUGUAACAUUAUGCUCGAGAUUCAUUAAGAAUAAGCCAUUCACCAGCGGGGCAUGACCAUAAAACAUAUCUCUCAUAUAAAUAGAACAACCAUUAUUCUCAGAUUUAAAUGAGUAGCCAUCUCGAAUUAAAUGAGAUCCUGAUACAAUGUUCAUGCUCAAAGCUGGUACUAAAUAACAAUUAUUGAGGUUUAAAACUAAUCCUGUAGGUAAAUGUAGAGGUAGCGUGCCGACGGCGGUCACAUCGACCUUGGAACCAUUCCCGACGCGCAUCGUCACCUCAUCCUUCGCUAGUCUCUGCUUAUUCCGCAGCUCCUGCUUUGAGUUACAAAUAUAAUCAACCGCACCGGUAUCAAAUACCCAAGAGCUACUACGAGUACUGGUAAGGUACACAUCAAUUACAUGUAUAUCACAUAUACCUUUGGUUUUUCCGGCCUUCUUGUCCGCUAAGUACUUGGGGCAGUUCCGCUUCCAGUGACCACUUCCCUUGCAAUAAAAGCACUCAGUCUCAGGCUUGGGUCCAUUGCUUGACUUCUUCCCGGCAACUGGCUUACCGGGCGCGGCAACUCCCUUGUCGUCCUUCUUGAAGUUCUUCUUACCCUUGCCUUUCUUGAACUUAGUGGUUUUAUUCACCAUCAACACUUGAUGUUCCUUUUUGAUCUCCACCUCCGCUGAUUUCAGCAUUGAAUAUACCUCAGGAAUGGUCUAUUCCAUCCCCUGCAUAUUGAAGUUCAUCACAAAGCUCUUGUAGCUCGGUGGAAGCGAUUGAAGGAUUCUGUCAAUGACCGCGUCAUCUGGGAGAUUAACUCCCGGCUGAGUCAAGCCGUUGUGCAACCCAGACAUCUUGAGUAUGUGCUCACUUACAGAACUAUUUUCCUCCAUCUUAGAGAUGAAGAACUUGUCGGAGACUUCAUAUCUCUCGACCCGGGCAUGAGCUUGGAAAACCAUUUUCAGCUCUUCGAACAUCUCAUAUGCUCCGUGUUGCUCAAAAUGCUUUUGGAGCCCCGGUUCUAAGUUGUAAAUCAUGCCGCACUGAACGAGGGAGUAAUCAUCAGCACGAGACUGCCAAGCGUUCAUAACGUCUUGGUUCUCUGGGAUUGGAGAUUCACCUAGCGGCGCUUCUAGGACAUAAUCUUUCUUGGCAGCUAUGAGGAUGAUCCUCAGGUUUCGGACCCAGUCCAUAUAGUUGCUGCCAUCAUCUUUCAUCUUGGUUUUCUCUAGGAAUGCGUUGAAGUUGAGGGUAACGUGGGCCAUUUGAUCUACAAGACAUAUUGUAAAUAUUUUAGACUAAGUUCAUGAUAAUUAAGUUCAUCUAAUCAAAUUAUUCAAUGAACUCCCACUCAGAUUAGACAUCCCUCUAGUCAUCUAAGUGAUACAUGAUCCGACUCGACUAGCCCGUGUCCGAUCAUCACGUGAGACGGACUAGUCAUCAUCGGUGAACAUCUCCAUGUUGAUCGUAUCUUCUAUACGACUCAUGUUCGACCUUUCGGUCUUCCGUGUUCCGAGGCCAUGUCUGUACAUGCUAGGCUCGUCAAGUCAACCUAAGUGUAUUGCGUGUGUAAAUCUGGCUUACACCCGUUGUAUUCGAACGUUAGAAUCUAUCACACCCGAUCAUCACGUGGUGCUUCGAAACAACGAGCUUUUGCAACGCUGCACAGUUAGGGGAACACUUUCUUGAAAUUAUUAUGAGGGAUCAUCUUAUUUACUACCGUCGUUCUAAGUAAACAAGAUGAAAAACAUGAUAAACAUCACAUGCAAUCAAAUACUGACAUGAUAUGGCCAAUAUCAUAUAGCUCCUUUGAUAUCCAUCUUCAGGGCUCCAUGAUCGUCUUCAUCACCGGCAUGACACCAUGAUCUCCAUAAUCAUGAUCUCCAUCAUCAUGUCUCCAUGAAGUUGCUCGCCAAUUAUUACUUCUACUACUAUGGCUAACGCGUUUAGCAAUAAAGUAAAGUAAUUUACAUGGCGUUUCUCAAUGACACGCAGGUCAUACAAAAAAUAAAGACAACUCCUAUGGCUCCUGCCGGUUGUCAUAUUCAUGAUCUCAUACAUCACAUAUAUAUCAUUCAUCAUUCAUCACAACUUUUGGCCAUAUCACAUCACAAAUCAUAUGCUGCAAAAACAAGUUAGACGUCCUCUAAUUGUUGUUGCAUGUUUUACGUGGCUGCAAUAGGGUUCUAGCAAGAACGUUUUCUUACCUACAUAAAAGCCACAACGUGAUUUGCCAACUUCUAUUUACCCUUCAUAAGGACCCUUUUCAUCGAAUCCGCUCCAACUAAAGUGGGAGAGACAGAAACCCCCUAGCCACCUUAUGCAACUAGUGCAUGUCAGUCGGUGGAACCUGUCUCACAUAAGCGUACGUAUAAGGUCGGUCCAGGCUGCUUCAUCCCAAAAUACCGCUGAAACAAAAUAAUACUAGUAGUGGCAAGAAAGUUGACAACAUCUACGCCCACAACAAAUUUGUGUUCUACUCGUGCAAAGAGAACUAUGCAUAGAUCUGGCUCAUGAUGCCAUUGUUGGGGAACGUUGCAUAAAAUAAAAAUUUCCCUACGUUCACCAAGAUCAAUCUAGGAGUUCAUCUAGCAACGAGAGAAAGGAGUGCAUCUAAAUACCCUUGUAGAUCGCGAGCGGAAGCGUUCAAGAGAACGGGGUUGAGGGAGUCGUACUCGUCCUGAUCCAAAUCACCGAUGAUCCUCGUGCUGAACUGACAGCACCUCCGCGUUCAACACACGUACAGUUGAGGAAGACGUCUCCUCCUUGAUCCAGCAAGGGUGAAGGAGAGGUUGACGGAGAUCCAGUAUCACGACGGCGUGGUGGUGGAUGCAGCAGUGAUCUCGGCAGGGCUUCGCCGAGCUUCUACGAGAGGGAGAGGUGUAGCAAUGGGAGAGGGAGGCGCCAAUAACAUGGGUGCGGCUACCCUCCUUCUCCCCCCCUUUAUAUAGGCCCCCUGGGGGGGCGCCGGCCCUAGGAGAUGGGAUCUCCAAGGGGGGGCGGCGGCCAAGUGGGAGGCUUGCCCCCCAAGGCAGGUGGAGGCGCCCCCCACCCUAGGGUUUCUAACCCUAGGCACAGGGGGGUCCAAGGGGGGGCGCACCAGCCCACCACGGGCUGGUUCCCCACCCCACUUCAUCCCACGAGGCCCUCCGGGAUAGGUGGCCCCACCCGAUGGACCCCGGGACCCUUCCGGUGGUCCCGGUACAAUACCGGUGACCCCUGAAACUUUCCCGAUGGCCGAAACUGCACUUCCUAUAUAUAAUUCUUCACCUCCGGACCAUUCCGGAACUCUUCAUGAUGUCCGGGAUCUCAUCCGGGACUCCAAACAACUUUCGGGUUACUGCAUAUUCAUAUCUCUACAACCCUAUCAUCACCGAACCUUAAGUGUGUAGACCCUACGGGUUUGGGAGACAUGCAGACAUGACCGAGACGCCUCUCCGGUCAAUAACCAACACUGGGAUCUGGAUACCCAUGUUGGCUCCCACAUACUCCUCGAUGAUUUCAUCGGAUGAACCACGAUGUCGAGGAUUCAAUCGAUCCCGUAUACAAUUCCCUUUGUUAAUCAGUACGUUAGUUGCCCGAGACGCGAUCGUCGGUAUCCCAAUACCUCGUUUAAUAUCGUUACCGGCAAUUCACUUUACUUGUACUGUAAUGCGUGAUCCAGUGACCAGACACUUGGUCACAUUGAGCUCAUUAUGAUGAUGCAUUACCGAGUGGGCCCAGAGAUACCUCUCUGUCAUACGGAGUGACAAAUCCCAGUCUCGAUUCGUGCCAACCCAACAGACACUUUCAGAGAUACCCGUAGUGCACCUUUAUAGUCACCCAGUUACGUUGUGACGUUUGGCACACCCAAAGCACUCCUACGGUAUCCGGGAGUUGCACAAUCUCAUGGUCUAAGGAAAUGAUACUUGACAUUUGGAAAAGCUCUAGCUAAACGAACUACACGAUCUUUGAGCUAUGCUCAGGAUUGGGUCUUGUCCAUCACAUCAUUCUCCUAAUGAUGUGCCGUUAUCAAUGACAUCCAAUGCCCAUAGUCAGGAAACCUUGACUAUCUGUUGAUCAACGAGCUAGUCAACUAGAGGCUUACUAGGGACAUGUUGUGGUCUAUGUAUUCACACGUGUAUUACGAUUUCCGGAUAACACAGUUAUAGCAUGAAUAAUAGACAAUUAUCAUGAACAAAGAAAUAUAAUAAUAACCAUUCUAUUAUUGCCUCUAGGGAAAAUUUCCAACAAUUCCUACCAACAAAAUUCACAUCCAUAGAUUCAUUAUUAUUCUCAAUCAAAGAAGACAAAGGCAUAUCAUUGGGAUCAAGAGGAGUAUUUUUAGUAGCAAACAUCUUCAUAAGUUCAUCCAUCUUUCCACUCAAAACAUUGAUUUCUUCUAUAGCAUGCACUUUUUUACUAGAAGAUCUUUCGGUGUGCCUUUGAGAAUAACUAGCCAUAAUAUUAUCAAGUAGUUUUGUAGCAUCUCCUAACGUAAUUUCCAUAAACGUGCCUCCCGCGGCUGAAUCUAAGAGAUUUCUAGAAGCAAAGUUCAAACCGGCAUAAAAUUUUUGUAUGAUCAUCCAUAAAUUCAAACCAUGAGUAGGGCAAUUGCAAAGCAUCAAUUACAUUCUUUCCCAAGAUUGGGAAACAUGCUCAUGAUCAAGUUGUUUAAAAUUCAUAAUAUCGUUACUAAGAGUUAUGAUCUUAGCGGGAGGAAAAUACUUAGAGAUAAAAGCAUCUUUGCACUUGUUCCAAGAAUCAAUACUAUUUUUAGGCAAAGACGAAAACCAAACUUUAGCACGAUCUCGAAGUGAAACGAAAAUAACUUCAAUUUGACAAUAUUGUUAUCCGUAUCUUUCUUCUUUUGCGUAUCACAUAAAUCAACAAAAAAAUUUAGAUGAGUAGCGGCAUCUUCACUAGGAAGGCCGGUGAAUUGAUCUUUCAUAACAAGAUUCAGCAAAGCGGUAUUGAUUUCACAAGACUCAACAUCAUUAAGAGGAGCAAUCGGAGUACUGAGGAAAUCAUUAUUAUUGGUAUUCGAGAAAUCACACAAUUUGGUAUUAUCUUGUGCCAUGGCAACAAGUAAUCCAACACACAAGCAAGAAGAAAAACGGCAAGCGAAAAAGAGAGGAGGAGAUUGGGAAAGAGAGGGCGAAUUAAAUGGCAAGGGUGAAGUGGGGGAGAGGAAAACGAGAGGCAAAUGUAAAAUAAUGUAAAUGCAAGGGAGAUGGGUUUGUGAUGGGUACUUGGUAUGUCUUGACUUGAGCGAAGACCUUCCCGGCAACGGCGCCAAAAAUCCUUCUUGCUACGUCUUGAGCUUGCGUUGGUUUUCCUCGAAGAGGAGAGGGUGAUGCAGCAAGUGUAGCGUAAGUAUUUCCCUCAGUUUUGAGAACCAAGGUAUCAAUCCAGUAGGAGGCUCCUCAAAAGUCCCACGCACCUACACAAACAAACUAAGAACUGGCAACCAACGCAAUGAAGGGGUUGUCAAUCCCUUCACGGCCACUUGCGAAAGUGAGAUCUAAUAAAGAUAGUAUGAUAAGAUAAAUAUAUUUUUGGUAUUUUAUAAUAUAGAUGCAAAAAGUAAAGAUGCAAAUAAAAGUAGAUUGAAAGCAAAUAUGAUAAGAGAUAGACCCGGGGGCCAUGGGUUUCACUAGAGGCUUCUCUCAAGAUAGCAUAAGUAUUACGAUGGGUGAACAAAUUAUUGUGGAGCAAUUGAUAGAAAAGCGCAUAGUUAUGAGAUUAUCUAGGCAUGAUCAUGUAUAUAGGCAUCACGUCCAUAGCAAGUAGACCGACUCCUGCCUGCAUCUACUACUAUUACUCCACACAUCGACCGACUCCUACCUGCAUCUAGAGUAUUAAGUUCAUAAGAACAGAGUAACGCAUUAAGCAAGAUGACAUGAUGUAGAGGGAUAAACUCAUGCAAUAUUAUAUAAACCCCAUCUUGUUAUCCUCGAUGGCAACAAUACAAUAUGUGCCUUCCAACCCUUUCUGUCACUGGGUAAGGACUCCGCAAGAUUGAACCCAAAGCUAAGCACUUCUCCGAUGGCAAGAAAGACCAAUCUAGUAGGCCAUUAGUGGCCAUUCCAUCUAUAGCCCUUUUUGUAGUAGUUGAGUGCGGAAAACGCUUAUCUUGAUUUGGUCGCAAGUGCGGCGGACGCGACCGAACACUUCCGCAGCCGAGGUGACCAUGAGUUGGAAGAGCUUUUUUGGUCGUAGUACCACAAUCCAGAACGCCCACUGUCAGUGUCCGACCAUUUAGCCGCCUGGGUGGAGCUGAACAGAUUAUCCGGACUCGCCAUGAGGUAUGUUGUGAGUCGUCUGUAGCCGGAGAAGCCGGAGCCGAAGAGUUAUUUUGGCUUGGUGCAGCAGUUCCUUGGUUCGGUGCCGCAUGCUGAUGCGAUGAAGAGGUCGGCAUGCAUAGAGGGCGCACAGAUGGCUCUUCCCCGUGUCAAAACAUACUGGGCAGAUAUGAAGGCCAGUAUUGUUGCGUCCCAGGAUUCAGACGAAAGCCGAGUACCUGCCAAGCACUAUUUUGAGGAAGUUCUUCCUGGCGCUCGUAUAAUAGUGUCGCAGUGCUCGAAGGAUGUUGUGUUCGAAUAGCUGAUACUAUUUGUAAAACGAAUUUUUUUUAUGAAAAAAGCUUUUUAUACUUGUGCUUGCAAGAAUCAUAAUGCCUCCUGUGCGGUCGUUUAAUGUAUAUAUGUGUAUAUAACCUGAAAGAUGGCAGUCGUUGGCUUCAGCCCCCACGCAUAGAAUGCGGGGGUGUUCGCAAAAAGGCGCUUUUUCACACUUAGUCCAACGUCUUGGUCCUAGAAAGGAGGUGAUGGCGCGGCGAACUAGGCAACCGGACUAUAAUGCUUUAUCACUUUCACUUACCCAUAGGAGUUUGACAGUGGGGCUACUGAAUAGCCCCGAGGGGCACCGCGCUCGCCCGAAUUCGGGGUGCGAGUGUGCCUGACCGGGAAGCGGCCCUUCGUUAAUGCGGGGGAAUCCGAAAGAUUCCGAAAGUCAUCGAGUGGUUGACCAGUCUCUCGCUAUAUCAUGACAGUCAGUUUUCGGCUUUCUCUACUGAGGUGCUCACCUGGCCGAACCGGGCACAAUCGCAGUAGUUCUCCUGGUGCCGCGUUAGCCGAUAUAACGGAACGUAAGGCAGCAAAACACAGGAGCCGGGCAAACCCAACAUUUGACAAAAGACAUGAUUCGGAGCUGAUGCAUAUAGGGCCAAACUCGCGACGCUGAACACUCCCUAAGGUAUUCGGUCUUUAUGAAGAUGGGCCGAAAUAGAGCCCUUGGUAAAAAAGCCCCUAGUGUCCAGGUACGUGCAAAAAUUCUGGCAUGGCCACAUGCCAAGACGCCAGCCUCCUCCUCGGCUAUAGAGAAAACCGGGGGAUGCUAUCAACAAGAGACAGUAAAAAAGGUUUAUGCAGGGUCUUAAUCUAAAAAGAAUCCUCGAAACGGGUCCCUGCUGCACGUGUGCGCCUGUGUCUCCGUUGUGCCGUAUACUGGACGGGCGUAGCACGAUGUUCGUCUGCGAAAGACAGGAACUUAGUAAAAAAUAAGCGUGCGAGAAAUCUAUAUCGAAAUAAAUAAAAUAUAGUUAGAGCAAGAGUUGGGCCGUAUUGUCUCCGGGCGUGAGCACACGGAGCCCCACUACUACAAAAAGGGCUAUAGAUAGAAUGGCCACUAAUGGCGCACCUGUGAUGUGGUGCGCCAUUACUAUAUUCUAAUGGCGCACCAUGUCUCGGUGCGCCAUUAGUAAUAUAUUACUAAUGGCGCACCUGGUUUGUGGUGCGCCAUUAGUAGUUUUGAAAAAAAAACAUAAAAAAAUGUUACUAAUGGCGCAGCGUUGCAUAGUGCGCCAUUACUAAUUGACAUAGUAAUGGCGCACCGCAUCCGUUGUGCGCCAUUAGUAGUUUUGAAAAAAAAGUAAAAAAAAUAAAAAAAAUUGUUACUAAUGGCGCCCCAUGUCUCGGUGCGCCAUUACUAGUUUUAACUAGUAAUGGCGCACUUUCCACUGAUGCACCAUUACUUAGUUUUUUUCAAAAAAAAAUCAAAAAAAAUAUCAAUUUUUUAAUUUUUUUUUCAAAACUGGUAAUGGCGCACCGUGGGUGUGGUGCGCCAUNNNNNNNNNNNNNNNNNNNNNNNNNNNNNNNNNNNNNNNNNNNNNNNNNNNNNNNNNNNNNNNNNNNNNNNNNNNNNNNNNNNNNNNNNNNNNNNNNNNNNNNNNNNNNNNNNNNNNNNNNNNNNNNNNNNNNNNNNNNNNNNNNNNNNNNNNNNNNNNNNNNNNNNNNNNNNNNNNNNNNNNNNNNNNNNNNNNNNNNNNNNNNNNNNNNNNNNNNNNNNNNNNNNNNNNNNNNNNNNNNNNNNNNNNNNNNNNNNNNNNNNNNNNNNNNNNNNNNNNNNNNNNNNNNNNNNNNNNNNNNNNNNNNNNNNNNNNNNNNNNNNNNNNNNNNNNNNNNNNNNNNNNNNNNNNNNNNNNNNNNNNNNNNNNNNNNNNNNNNNNNNNNNNNCCUUUUCAGUUUUAAAAAAAAUAAAAGAAAAUGAUGGAAAUGUCAAAAAAAAUAAAAGAUAAUAUGUUUCCGAUGUGAUAUGCGCUCUAGUUUUUGGGAAAAUUUACAAAUAUGAAUUUCAACUUUAUUCGCAAAAUCUCUCUGGAAAUUUGUAAAAUGGGCAUAACUUUUGCAUACGAACUCGGAUGGAAAAGUUUUUUAUAUGAAAAAUCAUCUACUCGAAAAGUUACAUCCAAAUUUACGGGGCUUUCAAUAUCUAGCGGCAAAAAAAUUCAAAAAAUUUCAAACUUACUAGUGGCGCACCGUUGAUGUGGUGCACCACUAGUAACAGAAAAAAAUUUGUUUUGAAUUUUUUUUUUCAAAAAAUGAUACGUAAUAUGAUCGGGAAGUUUGAAAUAUUUUUCAAAAUUUCAUCAUAGUCAUGAACAUGAACAAAGUCCUAGACAUCAACAUGGUAUAACAGGAUUGAUAUGCUAGAUAUAUCAACAAGUGCCUGUGAAGUGAGCUGUUGCUGGGGUUGGAUAGAACUCUGAAGUUAAGCAUGCUUGGGCUGGAGUAGUGUGAGGAUGGGUGACCUUUUGGGAAGUUUGACCAUGGAGUGCGAUUUGACCUGAGAUUAAGCAUAUUGACCCGAGAUUAAGCCAUAGUGAACUGAGAUUAAGAACAAUUUGGAAAAAAAAAUUAAAAAAUUUGAAAAAAAAAUUUGAAAAAAAAUUUAAAUUUUUUUUUUAAAAAAAUGUUACUAAUGGCGCACUUCUAUGUGGUGCGCCAUUAGUAUACCAGAUACUAAUGGCGCACUUCUAUGUGGUGCGCCAUUAGUAUACCAGAUACUAAUGGCGCACCGUGGGCUAUACUAAUGGCGCACUGGUAGUGCACCAUUAGUAGGCAAAACCGGUGCGCCAUUAGUAGGCCUUUUUCUAGUAGUGACCAACUCUUGCCUGCAUCUAGAGUAUUAAGUUGAUAAGAACAGAGUAACGCAUUAAGCAAGAUGACAUGAUGUAGAGGGAUAUACUCAUGCAAUAUGAUAUAAACCCCAUCUUGUUAUCCUCGAUGGCAACAAUACAAUACGUGCCUUGCAACCCUUUCUGUCACUGGGUAAGGACACCGCAAGAUUGAACCCAAAGCUAAGCACUUCUCCCAUGGCAAGAAAGACCAAUCUAGUAGGCCAAACCAAACUGAUAAUUCGAAGAGACUUGCAAAGAUAACACAAUCACACAUAAAAGAAUUUAGAGAAGAUUCAAAUAUUAUUCAUAGAUAAACGUGAUCAUAAACCCACAAUUCAUCGGAUCUCCACAAACACACCGCAAAAAGAGUUUACAUCGAAUAGAUCUCCACAAGAGAGGGGGAGAACAUUGUAUUGAGAUCCAAAAAGAGAGAAGAAGCCAUCUAGCUAAUAACUAUGGACCCAUAGGUCUGUGGUAAACUACUCACAACUCAUCGGAGGGGCAAGGUUGUUGAUCUAGAAGCCCUCCGUGGUCGAUUCCCCCUCUGGCAGAGUGCCGGCGAAGGCUCCAAGAUGGGAUCUCACGGAUACAGAAGGUUACAGCGGUGGAAAUUCUAUUUCGUGGUGCUCCUGGAUGUUUUCGGGGUAGAUAGGUAUAUAUAGGAGGAAGAAUUCUGUCGGUGGCCGCCCAAGGGGCCCACGAGACAGGGGCACGCCCUACAGGGGGGGGCCCUCUCUUAUGGGGUCCUCAGGAGCUUCUUGACUGGCACUCUAAGCUCUUCGGAUCACGUUCGUUCCAAAAAUCACGCUCCCGAAGGUUUCAUUCCAUUUGGACUCCGUUUGAUAUUCCUUUUCUUCGAAAUACUGAAAUAGGCAAAAAAACAGCAAUAUGGGCUGGGCCUCCGGUUAGUAGGUUAGUCCCAAAAAUGAUAUAAAUGUGUAAAAUAAAGCCCAUAAACAUCCAAAAGGGGUAAUAUAAUAGCAUGGAACAAUAAAAAAUUAUAGAUAGGUUGGAGACGUAUCAAGCAUCCCCAAGCUCAAUUCCUGCUCGUCCUCGAGUAGGUAAAUGAUAAAACAGAAAUUUUUGAUGUGGAAUGCUACCGAGCAUAAUUAUCAAUGUAAUUCUCUUUAUUGUCGCAUGAAUGUUCAGAUCCAAAUGAUACAAAAUAAAAGUUCAUAUUAACAUGAAAAUGGUGAUACUUCAGGCAUACUAAUCAAAGUAAUCAUGUCUUCUCAAAAUAACAUGGCCAAAGAAAGUUAUCCCUACAGAAUCAUAUAGUCUGGCUGUUGCACUAUCUUCAUCACACAAAGUAUUUAAUCAUGCACAACCCCGAUGACAAGCCAAGCAAUUGUUUCGUACUUUAAUAAUCUCAAACUUUUUCAUUAUAUUCAAUUUGGUAAUGCUUCGAAAGAGAUGAGUUUUCGUCGGAAACCCUGAUACUUCGAAAGAGAUUGUCCAUUUUGUACACAAAGUGCAUCCAUUUUUUGCCGUAACCCUCUCUACUUUUAUGCACAUGCUAUGUGGGUGAAAUUAUGAUACCAUGCCAACUUUCAACCUUUUCUGAGUUCAUUUGAAAUGCUUUUCAAUUUCAGGGUCAUUUAGCUAGAAAAAAUCAGUAAAUGAAUGAAAGAGUUUGUUUGCACAUAAAAUUUCUUCGCGUUUCAAAUGCCAAAACACAUAACUACCCUAACUAUUACAAAGAUUCCCUCCUGGGUGUGAAACACAGAAGAAAGUGAUGAUAGUGAAGCCGAUCACAUCCCAGAUCUUUGGGUCUAAAACUUUUUCUUCGCGUGUGUCCCUUUGCACCGUAGCCAUGGAAAAUCUUCAUCAUUUAACUGGAUGCUCGGGUCAAUAUUCACUGUGAAUGGAGCAAUUUCAUCAAAAAUUUCGUAAUCUUCUGACAUGUCUGUCUUGUCAUCCACUCCCAUGAUGUUUCUUUUUCCUGAAAGAACUAUGUGGCGCUUUGGCUCGUCGUAUGAUCCAUUUGCUUCCUUAUCUUUUCUUUUUCUCGGCCUGGUAGACAUGUCUUUCACAUAAAAAACCUGGGCCACAUCAUUGGCUAGGACGAAUGGUUCGUCUGCAUACACAAGAUUGUUGAGAUCCACUAUUGUCAUUCUGUACUGCGGGUCUUUCGUUACCCCGCUGUCGUGGUUCUAAGUCUGACAGUAGAAAGAGGGGGUAGGUAUGGAGAGGCAAGAUCUUAGCUAUGGCGAAGAUGUACACACGAUGUUUACGAGUUCAGGCCCUUCUCGGAGGAAGUAAUAGCCCUACGUCUCGGUGCCCGGAGGCGGUCGAUUGGAUUAUGUGUGUGUUGAAUUACAGAGGGUGCGAACCCUUGUGCCAGAGGACGGGGUGGCUUAUAUAGGGUGUGCCAGGACCCCAGCCCCCCUCCAUUACAAGGGAACUAAUGUACAUAAAGUAAGGGUGUUACUGGUAACGCCAGCAUUUAGUACUCUUAAUGCUCAUGAAGACUAAGGAGUAAAUAUCUGGCCGUUGUGUGCUCUUCUGACUUCUGGUCUUUGAUAUGGUCGAGUGAUCUUCCUUGUGGUCGAGUGACGACAGGUAAUGAUCGUCGAGUAGUGUGAGCAUCGAGUGGAUUGCACUCAACAUAUGAGACUAGUGCUCUUCUGGUGACUCUUGGUCUUUCCAUCUUCCAGGGUAGUGACCUUGGGUAGGACGUAUAGGUCGAGCCUAUGACCCUACCCCGGGUCUGUAUCCUCGUCAGUAGCCCCCGAAUGGAUUAAGGUGUGAGAGGAAAGUAAGACAACGUUGGACCUGUCCUGUGCUUCGUGCCUCCGCGAGUGUUUCCUGUUAGACUAAACGCCUGCGUUGAUACUUCGAAGUCGACUCGGUUGCCUUGAUCCAUUCAGGAAGUUGUCGACUGAACUAGUGGCCUCAUGCAUCCAGUGUCGUGUGGGAGUGCGAGAUCUCGGUUGAGAUUGUCUGCGGGGAAUCCCGGAUUUUGCGGGAUAUGAAAUUUCGGAGGCGCGCGCAGGUAGGAUAGCGCCAAAAAAGGGGGACCCGGACGAGCCGAGAGGCCUUGAUUGUCACACCGCCUUUUUCGCCACGUUCGCUGUGCGCAACUGUAGCAGGAUUUUACGGGAUUGCCCGGCCCCACGCGUCAGUCACUCGGAAGUGAGCCUUUAUAAGGCGACGGGGCCGGGGUGCUUGCACUAUGCACGCCUGCUUCUUCUUCUCCCUUCUCUGCUCCUCCGCCGUACCAAGCGCCUCCGCCUCCAACGUCGCCGCUUUCCCACCAUGGUGAAGGACAAGACGGCGGCGCUAGAGCGCGCCAAGAAGGCGACGGGGGCAGCGAAGCGCAAAAAACCAAGCCCCGGAUCGUCAUCUCGCUCGGGGUUGCCGCCAGGCUGGAUCCAAGGCGAUUGGAUCCGGUCUUCGAUCCGGCAGGAGGAUCUGACCGAACUAGAGGAGACCGGGCUAAUUGUAGAGGGAGCGGCGAGGCUGCCGAAGGGAGAGAUGGAGCCGCAGCCUCGACCGGGUGAGUGUGUCUUGCUCGCCACCCAUGUCGACCGGGGCUUCUCGCUUCUUCCGCACCCUUUCUUCCGAGGGUUUUUGAACUUUUUUGGGGCACAGCUCCAUCACUUUUCCCCCAACACCAUCACGUAUCUAGCCGCGUUCGUGUCGAUGUGUGAGAACUUCUUAGGGUGUCGACCGCACUGGCGUCUCUUCAAACACAUCUUCACCAUUCGUUCCCAGUCGGUUAAGAAGGAAAAGUCGAGCGACUCGAAAACUCACAUUAUGCAAAUGUGCGGGGGUUUGGGUAUCCAAAAGAGGAAUAGGAGUGCUUUCCCCGCUAUGAUCCUCCCUGAAUCCGUCAGGGGCUGGCAAUCGACCUGGUUCUAUUGCCAGGACGUGGUGACUCCGGGCCAGUCGACCGGUCUUCCUCCUUUUUCAUUCGACCGUGUCCAGACUCCUGCUCCACUGAACGUAACUGCUGCUGAGACCAUGGAGACGAUGAUGUUAGUGGACCGAGUGGUCCAGCUCAUUAAUGAUGGUGUCACUGGCAUGGACUUGCUGGAGGUGUUCCUCGCUCGGCGUAUCCAGCCUCUCCAGUCCCGUGACCACCCGAUGUGGUUGUACUCUGGGCUGGGCGACACCACUCGGGUCCAUCCAGAAGAAGUGCCGCUUGGCACCGUGGCAUUGUGGUUGAAGGGUAUCACGGGAAAUCAAGAUAACCCUAGAGGAUCUAGGCGAGUCGCCCCUUUCGGAAGUGACAACCCACCCGACUAGGUACCUUCUCAGUUCAGACCGUAUUCUGCUUGCAUUCCGACUGUGUUUGGUGUUGGCUGACUCUUGUUUUGGCCAACUUGCAUUGCAGGUAUUCACAGAGAUGUACUCAAUGCCCAACGACGAAUAGGCUUUGGCGCAGGACCAGGAGGGGGAGGACAGCGCGGAGGAGAGCAGCGAAUGGGAGUCCCCAGGGGAGGAGGAGGAGGAGAGUGCGGAGUCGGACGAGGAAGAUGAGGUCGACUCGCCACCGCGCUCUGAGCAUCGAUCCAAGCAGCAACAGGGUCCCUCCAUCGGUCGAGUGAAGAGUGUGGCUCCCAGCACCACCACCCAGAAGCGCACUCGGACGUCGACUCCGGAGACGACAGAGAAGGUGGCUAAGCAGCCCAAAGUCGCCCCUUCCAAGACUCGGAAGACACUGCCGCGUAUCAAGAUGGACGUCACCGUUGCCUCAGGGUGGGUAUCUUGUUGGUGUUUCUGUAAGUCGACUGAUGGUUUUCCCGAACCGACUGACUAGUUCUUUUGUCCUUCCAGCCCCACCUCCGCUGCCACAGACAUGGAUGUUGACAAGGCACCAGAAGAUGAAGAAGCCACCUCACGGGCUGGUAAGUUCAUUCAACUCAGUCCUGUUCAACUGAGUGGGUGGUGGAUUGACUGAAAAUUUGGUGCUUCUCUUCUUAUGUAGCUCCGCAAGAUAUCGUUGUGCUUCCUGAUGAUGAGGAGGAAGAAGUGCCCCCACAAGAGAGGAAGAAGAAGAGUGGAGGUUUAAGCAGAAGGAGACUUGAAGUCCAAAUCCCUCAGUCGACGCCGGCACCUGAGGCGACAGCUCGGACUAAUGUCACAUUUGUUGACCCAUUGACGACUGAUCGUCCGUCGAGGUCGACUGCACAGACGCCUGCUGCACCGGUGCAACUCCAUUCGUCUGAUCCGGCCAAUACUUUGACCCCUCUGGAGCCAUCCCUCUUUGCUACAUAUCAAACUCCGGACGAUUCGCCAAGUGCCGCUAGGGAAGCACUUCGCCAGGCAAAUAUUGUCAUGGAGCAGGUGAAGGUGAUACAUGAGGCUAGUCAGAUAGCCUAUAAUGCCAGCACUGCCCUUCAGACCAAUGUACAGGUUAGUAAACUUCCGACUGAACUUUUGAACAUUGCUUUAUAUCUGAUCACCCACUGGGUGUGCCUUCAUUUAGGACCCAAGAAAUCUCUGAUUUUGCACUUUCCGAAUCAGUGGGGGCACGUCGAGUGCACCCACUGGGUGUAGUCCUCGAGACCACGGUCGGCUGCUGGCAGUCGACUGAGGUCUGAUGAGUUAUGAUCAUUCUGCCUCUGUGUUUUUUCUUUUUUUUACUGAGUAUUGAUCUGAUCCAGUGGGGGCACGCUGAGUGCACCCACUGGGUGUAGUCCCCGAGACUACUGUUGAAUAUUUUAUUCGGCAGUAGUCUUAGAGUAAACCUUCUCUUUCAUUGUUGUUUGUAUGUGUUGACUGAUAUGUCUGUCUUUCUGUCUGCAGAGGUCUUGUGAUCUUGGAGCUCGGCUCACUGAAUUAAAGAAGCAGCAUAUCAGUGUGGAACUUGAUCUUGAACUUGCGAAGAAGAAUCUGAAGAAAGCUCAAGAUGAAACAGCCAUCAUGGGAGGUAAUCACUCGGCAAUUUUGUCUGCUUUGUAGAUUUACAUUUGGCACUGGCUUUUCUUUCAGUCUCUUUGAAGCGAGUGAAUUCGCAUAAGCAGAUGUGCGUAGUGAAAAUCGUCAACUCUAGUCUCGUCUGAAGAGUGUUGUUUCUUUAGAGAGGAUGAAGGAAGCUCUGGAGCAGAAGGAUCUGGAACUUGCAGCUGCUCAGAAGGAAGCGCGCGAGAAGACGAAGCUUGCGGACGAGAAGCUGGCUUCGGUCGGCAAGUUGGAGGAUGAGAACACGACAUUGAAGACGGCUGUCUCGGAUGCUAACCGUGAAGCUGAGCAACUACGGAAGGACAAGGAGAACUUGACCGCUGAAGUUGAAGGCCUCAGGACCAAGACUGGCAAGCUAGAGUUUCAUUUAGAGCAACUCGUGCAAAGCUUGUCCUGAAGCUUGAGGGUACGUCUGUCCCAUUAAAUAACUGCCGUCAACUGAGAUUUGCAAUACUGUCGACUCAUUGUUUGUUGUGAUGAAACAGAACUCUGCCAGGACUUCGAGGCCGAGACUAGACGGGUUGAGACAGGUCUCAACCCUAUCAACUGCCCCCUGAAGGAUGAAGCCGCGAUGAACUUGCUCUGACUAGAAUCGCGCUUGGAUGGUGCAGUCGACUAUCUGGCUCGGCUGAAGGCGGCGAUGGUCCGAGUGGACGCCGAACUCUGGCCUCAGGAGGAAAUGUCUCAAGACCUCGAGUCCUUGAUAACUCGGCUAAAUCAGAUCGCAGACCGAGUGCAAGAGUGGAAGAAAUCUUCCGCACGCUGCGGUGCUGACGUUGCUUUGUCUUUGGUCAGAGUGCACUACAAGGAGGCAAAGGAAGACAAGCUGGCAGCCCUCAAAUUGGCGAACACCAAGAAGCACUCCUUCCAGGACUUCAUGGACACCUUCCUCGAAGAAGCCACUCGCAUUGCUGACAGCAUCGACCUCGACAACUUCUGCGACCCGGCCAGUCCUCCUCCCGCCGAGUGAUUAAAAAACAUUCUGCUACCGCUUUAUUUGCCUCGGAAUGCCGAGUGGAUUUGUAAUCGUUAAACUCCUUCGGGCCUGACGUCCGAUCACUUUAUUUUGCGGCUAAGAAACUUCGGAUUUACCACCUCGCACAUUGCGUCUGUCUUCGAAUGAAAUUCGCCUUUCUAUCAAAGUGUUGCCCGUUUUCUUGAUGCAGCUUUUGGAGAAGGAUGGCCAGUCGCCUGAUCGAGCAACCUUUGAGUAGCAUUGAUCAGCUCAUCAGCAAGGCACUCGGCACUGGUCUUGAUGUUCUAGUCGACUGGUUGGGUGAUCCUUCAGUAGCGUUGAUCAGCUCAUCAGCAAGGUACUCUACUUCUGUAGAAGUACGACCAGUCGCCUGAUCGAGCAACCUUUGAGUAGCAUUGAUCAGCUCAUCAGCAAGUCAUUCAGGAAUGGUCUUGACAUUCCCGUCGACCGGUUGGGUAAGGUUUCCAAAACUUAGGCGAGUACGAGACUACAGAUAAGCCCCCGAGUGGGAGGAUCGCUCUCCACUUGGUAGGAUUUUCCAUUACUUAGGCGAGCACUGGGCUGCAGCUAAGCCCCUAGGACUCAUCACUCGGUAGGAUUUUUAUCACUUUGGUGUGCACUGGGCUGCAGCUAAGCCCUCGAGUGAGAGGCAGACUCAUUACUCGGUAGGAUUUUUAUCACUUAGGCGAGCACUGGGCUGUAGCUAAGCCACUACUAGGAAAAGGGCUAUAGAUGGAAUGGGCACUAAUGGUGCACCAGUCAGGUGGUGCCCACUACUAUAUACUAAUGGCGCACCAUUUGGUGAUGCGCCAUUAGUGUGGAAGACACUAAUGGCGCACCAGACACAAGGUGCGCCACUAGUAAUAAUUUUUUUUCCAUUUUUCCAUACAUACUAAUGGCGCAUCCGAGCGAAGUGCGCCAUUACUAGUUCUAACUAGUAAUGGCGCACCAGCCACAGAGUGCGCCAGUACUGUAUUCUUUUUUUUAUUCUUUUUUUUGCAAAACUACUAAUGGCGCACCGUGUCACAGUGCGCCAUUACUAGUUAUACUAGUAAUGGCGCACUAUGACAUGGUGCGCCAUUAGUAUAUAUAUUUAUUUUUUUAUUUUUUUGCAAAACUACUAAUGGCGCACCACAUGCAGGUGCAUCAUUAGUAACCAGGGUUACUAAUGGCGCAUUUGCAGGUGGUGCGCCAUUAGUAACCUGGGACCCCAACAAGAUAUUUUGGAAGCCACACCUACCCACUCACUUUCCCCACUUCAUUCCCUCCACCUCCUUCUCCAAGAUUUCGGCUGCCUCCUCCUCCUCACCCCAGUUGCACCAUAGAUUCAUCAAAAUUAAGUGGCGAAAUUACCUUUUUUGAUAGGUAAGUAAGGGGAAAGCUAUCUUCAUGUUGUAGAUCUACUUUUUUUCUCCCUAGCUCGCUCCAACAACGUGCACAUGCACUUUUUGUGGCCUAGCUAGAUCUAUGUAUGUUUGUGGUGUGGCAUAUGUUUGUGGUAUUGCAUAUAUGUUUGUGUUUGCAGGUACCGGUAUUUGAAAUGUGAUAGUUGCCAAUAUUUUGCCAGAAUGUUGAUUCAUUUCUGUUGCGGCGAGAAUUUUGGCACUAUGUAUUCUUUUUGGUCCUGUUUUUAGGGAAGGUCAUGCCAAAAAUUUUCUUGGUUCUAAAAUAUCGUUUUGCUCUACCCCGCAGGCGACCAUGGUCUGCAUGAUGACCGAAGGCAUCGUGAAUAGGUUUUUGAGCUCCGCGUAGGCCGAGAUGCUUCAAAAGAACGAGACGGAGAUAAGAUGUCCGUGUCGCAAGCUGAAGAGCCUUAUUGCGGAACCGGAUUCCGGGCAUGUGCGGGACCACCUUCUCUUGCAUGGUUUCAUGGAUGGCUAUCGGUGGCAAGGUGAUGAAGAUGGCUAUGAAGUCGGCCAUGGGGGCUGGGCAAGAAAUGAGGAAGGGCAACAAGACAACUACCGUGGUGAGGGCGGGCGAGAAGACGAAGAAUCUCUAGGACAUGAUCACGAUGGUGAUGCUGUACACAGUCAUCACGUAGAAGAUGUCGUACAUGAUGAUGAGGAAGAUCAAGAUGAAGGGCAUGAUCAUGAAGAUGGAGAUGCCGGAGCAGACGACGAUGGAGGCUGGGUGCAGGACCCUCAUAUUCAAGAGAUGCUUCUCAAGCAGACAAAUAACGCAAGAGCUGCCGCCAGAGAGAAAGCCAAGCUGGAUCAACUGGAGAUAGACGCAGUUACUCCAUUGUAUGAAGGAUGCAGGCCCGAGGAUACCCGCCUGAAACGAACGUCUUCCCAAGGGGAACAAGUGCCCAACCAGUUUCGAGGAGGCGAAGAAAAUCGUGUGUCCUCUGGAUUUACCGCACGUGAAAUACCAUGUGUGCAUGAACAAUUGCAUCAUUUUUUGGGACGAGCACGCGGAGUCUACCAUAUGUCCGAUGUGCGGCGUCACUCGAUACAAGAAGAGGAAGAAAGCUCCUCGAAAAUUGGUGUGGUACUUUCCGAUCACUCCUUGUCUGCAACGGUAUUUCGCGGACCCUAAGGUAGCAAAGCUCCUGCAUUGGAAGGCGGAUAGGGAGGAGAAGAAGCGGGAAGAUGACGGAUAUGAUCUGGAGAUAAAUAAAAAAGACAAGAUGUUGAGUCACCCUAAGGAUGCGAGCCAGUGGCAAGCGUUGAACUUCGAAUACCCAGAAUUGGGAAGGAUGCAAGGAACAUCGUGCUGGGCGCGAGCACCGUUGUGGUCAAUCCGUUUGGCAGCCAGAGAAGCACACAUAGCACCUGGCCUACGUUUGUGUGGAUGUACAACCUCCCCCCCUGGUUGUGCAUGAAGAGGGAGUACAUUCACAUGAGUAUGCUAAUUGAAGGGCCGAAACAACCAGGGAAUGACAUCAAUCUGUAUCUGGGGCUGCUGAAGGAGGAGCUAGACACGCUGUGGAAAACGCCAGCCAAUACGUGGGACGCUGCAGAGAAAGAAUAUUUCCCUAUGAGAGCCGCACUGCUCACGACGGUGCACGACUAUCUCGGUUACGGAUAUCUCGUGGGGCAGGUAGUCCACGGAUUUUCUGGACGCGUAAGGUGCAUGGAUGACACAACGUAUCGCCAGCUAGAUAGAGAUCCCGGGUCUUUGAAAACCAUGUUCAUGGGACAUCGAAGGUGGCUUCGUGACGAUGACCCGUGGAGGAAACGCAAGGAUCUGUUCGAUGGUGAAACCGAACCCCGAAAACGCCAGCGUACAAGGAUCGGCGAGGAAAUAGACGAGCUGUUGAAAAAUUGGAAAGAUUGCCCACUGCAGGGAAAGAAGCAAAAGGCGCCAGAGCCGGGAAAGAAGCGAAAGGCGCCAGAGCCGCUGCUGAAGGUAUGGAAAACAAGGUCUGUUUUCUCGGACUUGCCGUACUGGAAGAUCCACCGUGUGCCUCACAGCCUUGAUGCCAUGCAUAUCACAAAGAACAUGUGGGAGAGUCUGCUUGGUACCCUGCUCAACGUUUCAGAGAGGACCAAAGAUCCGCCGAAAGCAAGGGCAGACUUGAAAUCAAUGGGCAUCAGGCAGGAGCUUCACGCUAAUGAUGAUGAUGAUGAUGAUGAUGAGGCGAAGCAGGACACAGAAAGUCGUCGCAAAGGCAAAAAGGCCAAGAAGACCGGAAAUGACUACCCUCCCACGUGCUUCACUCUAAGUUAGGAGGAUAUCGAGCAGUUUUCCACCUGCCUCGUAGGAGUAAAACUUCCUUACGGUUACACGGGGAAGAUAAGCAGAUACCUAGACCCAGCAAAGCAGAAGUUCAGCGGGAUGAAGUCUCACGACUGUCACGUGCUGAUGACGCAGAUACUUCUAGUUACAAUCCGUGGGAUCAUGGACGCGCACGUCAUAAAACGCUAUUUGGCCUAUGCAACGUUUUCGACGUCAUCUCUCGGAAGUUGAUUGGCGUGAGGCAACUCAGAAGGCUACAAGAAGAGAUCGUGGUGAUACUAUGCGAGCUUAAGAUGUACUUCCCGCCCGCAUUCUUCAAUGUUAUGGUGCAUCUGCUCGUCCAUAUCAUGGAGGAUAUCAUCCAACUCGGGCCGACGUUCCUGCAUAGCAUGAUGUCGUUCGAAAGGAUGAAUGGUGUCAUCAAAGGAUACGUUCGCAACAUGUCACGUCCAGAGGGAAGUAUAGCCAGGGGCUUUCUGACCGAAGAGUGCAUCUCCUACUGCACGAAUUAUCUAGGCAUCGAGAACCCCGUUGGUCUGCCCGUCAAUAGGCACCUCGGCAGGCUCGCUGGAUGGGGUCACCGUGAGGGUCACCGUGAAAUGCAUGUCGACUUAGAGGGUCGACUUGCCGACUUUGAAAGAGCAAACCUAGCCGCGCUACAACACAUAGACGUGGUCGAUCCUUGGGUGGUAGAGCACAAAACCUUUAUUGAGAAGACAUACAAUGACCGAGGCCAACAGAGAACAGACGGAGAUAUAAUCAAAGAGCACAACUCAUGUUUCAUGCGUUGGUUCAAGCAGAAGCUUCUGUCGUACCCUUUACAUGAGGAUUCUUCCGCGGAAGAACAACUCAUAUUCACCUUGUCACAGGGCGCCGAGCACAACCUGAUGACCUAUGAGGCGUACGAUAUCAACGGCGACACAUUCUACACCGAGAACAAGGACAUGAAGAGCGAUGGUUAUCAGAACUCCGGGGUAACGAUGGAAUCCUACACCAGUAACGACAAGGACAGAUACUACGGAAGGAUCGAGGAGAUCUGGGAGCUGAGCUACGCUGGAGAGAAGGUCCCGAUGUUCCGUGUCAGAUGGGCCAAGAGUGUCCUAAAAGAAGACCGGUAUUUCACCACCAUGGUUAUACCCGAAGCCAAAUCCAAGACCGCGGGCACAAACGUCACCGCGAAAAAUGAGCCAUGGGUACUGGCUUCCCAAGUGGACCAAUGCUUCUUCAUUACUGACCCGUCAAAGCCCAGUCGUGUUGUCAUGAGGAGAGGCAAAAGGAAGAUCAUCAGAAUGGAUGGAGUAGCCAAUGAGCAAGACUUCGACAAGUACGGUGACCCAAAGAUCGAACAUGACGAUGACGAUGAAGUAGCAGCACACACCACAAGAAGAAGCAGGACCACCCUACCUAAAGGACGUCCGUUCCACAGAAGAACUCCAUUUGCGAAAAAGAAGGGCAAGAAGAUUAUGAACAGAUAGCUAGCUAAGAUCGAUUGUAUUUCAAUCGUAGUCUUCAUUUCUCGAUUGUAUUUCAUGGGCACUUAUUGAUAUCAUGAAUAUUUUUAAAUUUCAUGUGCACUUUUUGAAUUCAUGAGGACACUCGAUCUCGACCCCCUCCAUCUUUAUCCCCCUCCAUCUCGAUCCCACCCGCACCCUCCCCCGCUAGCUCCAUCGCCGCCGACGAUCCACCGCAACCUUCCCCCGCUCCACCACCCCGACGAGCACCCGGCCCCCUGCACCUUCCCCCGCUCCACUGCCGCCAACGGGCACCCCCCGCACCCUCCCCCGCUCCACCGCCGCCGCCGAUGAUAUNNNNNNNNNNNNNNNNNNNNNNNNNNNNNNNNNNNNNNNNNNNNNNNNNNNNNNNNNNNNNNNNNNNNNNNNNNNNNNNNNNNNNNNNNNNNNNNNNNNNNNNNNNNNNNNNNNNNNNNNNNNNNNNNNNNNNNNNNNNNNNNNNNNNNNNNNNNNNNNNNNNNNNNNNNNNNNNNNNNNNNNNNNNNNNNNNNNNNNNNNNNNNNNNNNNNNNNNNNNNNNNNNNNNNNNNNNNNNNNNNNNNNNNNNNNNNNNNNNNNNNNNNNNNNNNNNNNNNNNNNNNNNNNNNNNNNNNNNNNNNNNNNNNNNNNNNNNNNNNNNNNNNNNNNNNNNNNNNNNNNNNNNNNNNNNNNNNNNNNNNNNNNNNNNNNNNNNNNNNNNNNNNNNNNNNNNNNNNNNNNNNNNNNNNNNNNNNNNNNNNNNNNNNNNNNNNNNNNNNNNNNNNNNNNNNNNNNNNNNNNNNNNNNNNNNNNNNNNNNNNNNNNNNNNNNNNNNNNNNNNNNNNNNNNNNNNNNNNNNNNNNNNNNNNNNNNNNNNNNNNNNNNNNNNNNNNNNNNNNNNNNNNNNNNNNNNNNNNNNNNNNNNNNNNNNNNNNNNNNNNNNNNNNNNNNNNNNNNNNNNNNNNNNNNNNNNNNNNNNNNNNNNNNNNNNNNNNNNNNNNNNNNNNNNNNNNCGCCCCGACCCUCGCCGUCUUCGUCUUCGUCUGCACCUUCUUCCACCUCCGGCCACCGCGGCCUCACCGUUGAACCGUCCCCGUCCACGCCGUCCCCGACGAUGCCAUCUACUCCUCUGCGACCGCUGUGAGAUGCCCUUCAGUUUCCCCUCCUCCCCUUGGUCGUUUGCUUCCCGUAGCGCCGCCCCUGUGAUUUUGCCGCACCACUAACCACCAUGGUCGGGCCUUGCUCCACGCGCGGCUGCACCUUGCUGCCCACUGCCUGACCUCGCCUCCGGCUGUCACCCGGUCGCACCAGACCGCGCUCAUCCCACCCCUGUCCAUUCCCUGGUCGCGGGGCCGUGUCCUGGCCUGCAGCCGUCCGCUCCUGAUGGCUGAUUAUCUAGUUUUGUUCUAGAUAAUGAUUAAACGUGGCUGAUUAUCCUCUCAAUUCGGUUACUUGCUCGUUUCAGUUUAAUGAUUGCAUUAUAGUCCACUUUUUUAGUAAAAUGUUCUGUUGCAAUUCAUUCCAUUAGUUUGGUGCUGAAAUGAUCUGCCGUAAUUCCUUCUUUCUAUUGCAUUGUUUAGAAUUGUAUCUCACUUUAGCUGCUAAACUCUCUGGAAUUAAUGCUUCAUAUGAUGUUCAAUUUUUGCAUAAGUUGAGGAAACAAUAGUUCUACUGACAAGCAGAAGAAAGGAUUGGGCUCUGGUCCAAAUGAUGUUUAACAUGAAUUUAACUAAACAGGAAUUUUAUGUUGUUGCUGCUGAAGAUGAGUAGUUGUAGGAAGAUGAUGCAUAGUAGUUUUAUGUUAUUGUAGUAGUUGUAGGAUGAUAUUGUAGUUGAAGUUGCAGGAGUAGAUAAUGGAGUACUGCCAAUUUAUUGUUAGUAAAGAUGUUGAACACACAACUGUUGUUUACUCUAGUGAUAGGAGUAGUAGUGGUGGCCAUCUAGUUGGACUACUACUGCUAGGACUUGCUCCAGAUUUUAGGAUUUCUUUUCUUUUAGGAUUUAUUUUCUUCUAGGACUAGGUUUUUAUUAUUUUUUCUGUUGUGAUUGUUUUUUGAGCUCUUUCUUUUUCAUUUCCUACUAUCCUUAUCCUAAUUAUCUUAAAUUGUUAUGAUGUGUGUAACAGGAUUAGAUCUUGGAUUUGCUAGUGGACUUUGGGAGUUUCUUAGCCAGCUUGGUGACUCCAUAUUUUUCACUAUUUCAGCAAGUCUUUUGUAAGCAUUAAACUUUCAGCACUACAUUUUUAUCUUAUGUGUACAUCUGUUUGCUUCCAAUUGCUAUAUAUGUAUUGUUGUUACUAAAAUGAUGAAGCUCCUGUCAAUUGCUAUACAUAUAUAUAUGUGUAUGAUGAUCCUCCUUUCCUGCAGUAGUAUAGCACUUGCAGUAGUAUGGCACUUGCAGUAGUGGUGCCUACGCAAGAUACAGUUAAGAUUUGAUUAGUUCCGUAAAUUUGUAUGACCACAGAUUUGUAUAGUUUCAGAGAUUUGUAUGACCAAAGAUACAGUUCAGAUUUGAUUAGUUCCAUAAAUUUGUAUGACCAAAUAUAUAUUUCAGAUUUGUAUAGUUUCAGAGAUUUGUAUGACCAAAGAUACAGUUCAGAUUUGAAUUAUUUCAGAAAUUUGUAUGACCAGAGAUACAGUUCAGAUUUGAAUUGUUUCAAAAAUUGGUAUGACCAAAGAUGCUAUUGUAUAUAAAUGGGCUGCUGUGGAACUGUUCUUUAUCUUUACAGUGUUGUUGUAUAGAAAUAUGCUGAAUUUUCUGCUCUGAUUGUUGCUCAAAGAAAUUUAGCAAAAAAAUGGGGUCCUGGGAGACGCCGCUGGUGCUUGAGGCCCUUGAGAGGCCCUUCGUGUCGUGAUGAUUUUGCAGGUACCCAGAGAGGCCCUUGAGUUUGCCAGAAUGUCGAUUAACUUCCAUUCCGGCAAAUUCGGGUACUCCAUAUGUCCUAUUUUCAGCAAAGGUCAUGCUGAAAUUUUCCGUGAAUUUUAGCAUGACUUUGCUAAAAAUCGGGCAUAUGGGGUACUUUCUACUAAUGCAUGGGCCGGGGUAUCUUAUUACUUAAUUAAGUAGGAUCAACUGCCCCUUUAUUCUUGCUGCAUUAAACCAUAGGUGGCAAUAGAGCCAAGUGAUUAGGCCCAACUUAGAAUUCUCCUCGGCAUCAAUAAACCCUAGAUGAUAAACCCAACAUAGGUGGCAAUAGAGCCAAGUGAUUAGUGCCAAGUGAUUAGACCCAACCUAGGGUGCCUCAGCAUCGAUAAACCCUAAAUGAUGAAAACUUAACUUAGCAUUUAGGUUUCCUCGGUGUCGACAAACCCUAAAUGAUGAAACCUUGGCUUUUAGGGUGCCUCGGUGUCGAUGAGAACCUAAAUGAUGUACGCUUAGGCUUUUAGGGUGCCUCGGCGUCGACAAACCCUAAAUGAUAAAAGCUUAGCUUUUAGGAUGCCUCGGUGUCGACAAACCCUAAAUGAUGAGACCAUGAUCUUGUUCCUUGACAAUAACCAACUUUUUCACCAAACUUUUUUCCUAUUUAGAGCGAAACAUGGCCCAAAACAAUGAGGCUGGCGGUUCGGGCGGCAAGCAAUUCUGGGAGCUAUCCCAGGAGUUGGAGAAAGAACAUCACCGCUAUGAGGACGUCGCAGAAGACACCGAUCCUGACUACACAACACCUAGUGGUGUCGGGGAUGACACCACUGAUGGCACCGCCGAGGAUGCCACCACUGAUGAUGGCGGCGCACACACAGAUGGUAGCCAACCGAAGAGGCAACGGAAGGACCGGCGCCCGAGCGUGCUCGGCACCGGCAGGGAGGAAUUUACUAAAGUGGACUCCGAUGGGCAACCUCCUCUUCACGAAGUUGCACGAACGAUACAAGUUCCCCGCUGACUUUGCAAACACACGCCUGUCAGGGAAUAAACUGAACAGUGCCGCCCUAACGAGGAUGAGCACGACCUUGUCUACUUGGAGAAGCACGGUGAAGGCAAUGAUUGACAAAGGUGGUAGUUAUGACAAGAUCAAGGUGAAAUAUCCUUUGAUGAGCGAAGAUGAGUACAAGGAGUUCAAGAUCAAGUCGAGAGCAGCGCAACCUCUGAAUCAAGUCAAUGGGGGAAAGAAAUGCGGAAGUUGAACUUAGGGGUCCACCAACUCGGUCCUGGCGGUUACAGAGUGGCGGAGCCUAUAUGGGACAAGGAGGAUGCGGAGCGUGCCGAGCAAGUCCUACCGCCCUGCUUUGAGAAAUACCGUGACAAGCAAACCAGGAACUUUCUCAGGGCUCGGUACAAGGAGGACCCGAUAACAAAGGAGCUUACCACGGAUCCAAAGAUCAGGGCGCUCGAGCUUGUUCUGGUAAGGAAUACACCCCCGCGUAAUUAGCUCCAUAUGGUUGCACUCUAAUUAAUCCCCAAUAUUUCUAAAUGGUGCACGUUCCUUCCGCAGGACACUGAAAGCAGUAGCGCGGGGUCGUCUCAGAGUUCCCCUUUCGACACCCCUUUAAAUAGGGCGUUGAACGUGAUGAAAAACAAUGAUAAGGUUAGUAAGCCGACGUCAGCUGGUCGUGUGGCUGGCAAAGGCUUGUCCACAAAAUGGUCGUCAUACUAUACCGCUGGUGGGAGAAAGGAGAAAAAACUCGGAAAGCCAGUCACGCGAGGUUGAAGCACUCAAGGCACAAGUGGCGCGGAUUCCGGAGCUUGUCCAAGAGCAAGUGGAACAACAACUGGGAACGAAGAUCAACGCCAUGGUGCCUACGUUGAUUCAUGUGCUGACGACGUGGAUUGCGGGCGGCCAACAGGGGCCUCCCCCAGUUCCCAGAUUCAUGGCCAGCAACUCGCAAAGUGCGCAGGCGGCACCAUUGGUGUCUCCGGCGGAGGCGGUAUUCGUGUCUCUGGCGCCGGCACGGGCAUUGGAGCUUAAUGCACCCGGGUGUAUGCCGGGCGGCACCUCGCCAGCAAGCGGCCCCUCCAUUAGUUGCAAACCCGCCGUUGGCGGUGCCUCGACAUUAGCCGACCUCGACGGCAUCACGGUAACUAAGCCUCUCGGCCGAUGACUUCAUCUCCUUGCCUUUGACUGGGCAUCCCUGAUGCCCUACAUGUUUUCGCAGGGCGGCGCCUGACCCUACAUGUUUGCACUCUUCUGCACUUCGUGGGCGGCGAGUUGGUCGAUGUCGCCAAGGGUAGAAUCGUUCAACCGGGCAACCCCAUGUUCCACGGUAAUCAGAUGCCACCCACAGUGUAUAAGGUUGAAGUGGUUUGGGUGCUGCCAGGCUGCGACGAGUUGUUACCUCCGAUUUGACCCACCUGGGGCCGACGAAGAAGAUGAGAUGACCCUCAGCGCCUGCGUAAACUGGCCCCUGCUUUGGCCGAAGAGCCAGAUUCGUUUGGGUGCAGGGGACACCACCCCACAGACAAGACCGCUAGUCGUGCCGGCGCCAAGCCAUGGCAAGAACGCCGCAACUCUACCGGACCUGUCGGACAUCCCUAUGCCGGACAUCCCUAUGGCAUAGGAUCCGGACAUCCCUAUGGCACAUGAUCCGGACGACGAUGACAAUGACGAUGGUACAUUUACCAAAGUCGAUAAGUACUUUGCCGAACAUGGGUACGUUGACGAGUUCUGCGGGCCUCUUUCUCAAGAACCCAACCAAGACGACCCGAUCUAGCUGGUACGGCGGAGAAAUCCAAUUGCAACAGGCGUCGUCUGGCGUUCAGUUCUCAGGAGACGCCUCCAGCUCCUGCCUUCAUCGAGCCUCAGAUAGCUGAGGUGCGAAAUAUUAUCAGCCCCAACACGCUCAAGAAGGCAGUCUGUCAGCAGAACUCGGUCCCAUUACAGGAGAUCAAGAAGAAGGGACGGAAAUGAAAGACUAACAAGGGCGCUGGUGCGAGCCAGCCGGCACCGAGUUCGAUCCGUGCUCAGGACGGGCCACCUUCACCUAAGGAUAUCUCGAGGAGGGUGCAUGUGGCGGGUAGGGCGAUGCUACCGCCAAAUAUGCUCAAUGUUGCAACCGGUGCUAUGCAGAGUCUGCACGACAGUGUUCUUUCUUUGGAGGAGCGGUGUCUCAGAGAGAAUGAUGUGGCAUACCCGGUUUUUGUGGCCAAGGUGCCAGAGGGCAAGGGCUUUGUGGACGGCGACAUAGGGGUACGAUCAUCCUGCGGUUUGAUGACAUCUUUGCUAUGUUUAACCUUCAUCCGCUGCAGUACACUUUCGUUCGGCUGUUUUCACUGAGUAUGGAGAAUCGGAUCAUUAGAGACAAGACACCGGACAUCGUGAUAGUUGACCCUUUCUACACGCAUGCCAAGCACUUGAGCAGUGCUGGGGACCGCCAAGUUGCGAGUUCACACCUCGAUGGCAUCAUUCUGGCAAACCCAUAUAAGUAUAACUUCCUUGUGGCUUACUUUCCCGAGUAAGUCAUCCCUUAACCGCCCCGUAACAUGUGAUUUCUGUGCAGUGACACACAUUGCACACUCAUCCUCGAAGAUAGACUACACAAAUGUCAAGAAAGUUCUUGAUGAUGUUCUCCCCGGCUACGCCAAAUCUGGAGGCACCUUCACCAGGGCAGUUCGUAAGUACGACAAGCACAUGUUCUCACGCAAUACGAAGUUCUGCUGCGUCAAGCAGCCGCCUGGAGGUUAGAAGGAUGCCUACUACGCCCUCCAUCACAUGCGGGCGAUCGUAAGGGACCAUCAUCACCUUCUGCUACCAGAUAAUCUCAAAGAUUGCGCCGCGAGCUUGUCGGCAAUCCAGGACGCGGACCUCAGACAAUAAUUCUUUCGCAUCCAGUCAGAGUUUGCGGACAUCAUCCAUCAAUAUGUCCUUCAUACCUCGGGGCAGUUCUUCCUCAGAUAUCAACCGUCCAACAGUGAGAUAGAUGGAACGCUACAAAUGCAGGGUGACAACGACCGCGAUUUCAUGACCAUCAUGACAGACGGCGACUUCAUCCACGCUCCUGCCCGAUGAGUCGAGUCGAAAGUAGUGAUGUGUAGUUCUGAAACAUUGAUUGGAUCAUGUUGUAAUUAAACUUUAAUGAAUUCAUAUGUCUCUUUGGUUUGGACAGUCGUUCAACUUAGAUGUAAUCGAUGCUAUUUAUUAGUAGGACCAUGAAUCGUGCUAUUAAUGUCUUGCUUUUCUCUUCCGAUCCUUUUGUUGCAUACUUACAUAUUGCUUAUGUAUUGUCUGUUGUUUGGCUUGUGCAUAGAGAUGCCGUCGUAUGUCGUGUACAAGGGUAAGGUUCCCGGAGUCUACGACGACUGGGAGGAGUGUCGGAGACAGGUUCACCGUUUCAGCGGUAACAGUUACAAAGGGUACACCACUAGGGAGGAGGCCGAAUCUAGAUACGCCCGCUAUCUAGCGGGAGAGAGGAGGGAGCGUUGGAGGAACCGUAUGAAGACCAGUUUGAUUGCGAUGAUGCUCAUCGUGAUGACCACAGCUCUCUUCUAUGUGAUGGUAGGUUAGAUGAUCGAUAUCGACUUGUAAUGUGAAGACAAACUCGAUACUCGCGGUCUUGAGACUUGUAUUGUUUUAUCUUUGUUCGGUCUUUUGAAUUCGGAGACUAAUAUGAUGAAUUGUAUUUGGAGACUAAUCUUCUAUUGUAUUCGAUGAAUCUGCUGUUGCUGUGCGCUGCUGUCUAUAUUCUGUCCAAUAAUAUAUUUUGUAACGUGUGCAAAAAUCAGAAAAGUAAAAAAACAAAUAUUCAUACUAAUGGCGCAUCACCUCAAGGUGCGCCAUUAGUAUGCCAAAGGAUACUAAUGGCGCAUCACGACAGAGUGCGCCAUUAGUAUGACAAAGCACAUGGUUACGUAUGGCCCCCGGGAGGCAUACUAAUGGCGCAUGGUGUUACAUACUAAUGGCGCACUGCAUGGUGCGCCAUUAGUAUACCAGAUACUAAUGGAGCACCAGUGGUGCGCCAUUAGUAAAAAAUACUAGUGGCGUGAUACUAAUGGCGCACGGGUAGUGCGCCAUUAGUAGGCAAAACCGGUGCGCCAUUAGUAGGCCUUUUCCUAGUAGUGAGCCCCCGAGUGAGAGGCAGACUCAUCACUCGGUAGGAUUUUUAUCACUUAAGCGAGCACUGAGCUGCAGCUAAGCCCCCGAGUGAGAGGCAGACUCAUCACUCGGUAGGAUUUUUAUCACUUAGGCGAGCACUUGGCUGCAGCUAAGCCCCCGAGUGAGGGGCAGACUCAUCAGUCGGUAGGAUUUUUAUCACUUAGGCGAGCACUGGGCUGCAGCUAAGCCCCCGAGUGAGAGGCAGACUCAUCACUCGGUAGGAUUUUUGUCACUUAGGCAAGCACUGGGCUGCAGCUAAGCCCCCGAGUGAGAGGCAGACUCAUCACUCGGUAGGAUUUUUGUCACUUAGGUUCAGGCGAAAUAGAUUUGCGACUAAAGUAGCAUACACAAAAGAAAUAAACAACAACCACUUGGAAGGAGUAAAUUAUGUCUUUUGAUAAUUAAGCUAACAUGUAUUCCUUAUUACAUCCGAUCGGUUUAACUAUUUAAGAAUAGAAACGGCGGAGCAGAUCCGCAUUCCAGGCGCGCGUCUCAUCUCUAUUGUGUUCGAAAUUGAAGAGACGGUAUGCUCCAUUAUGGAGCACCUUGGUGAUGACGAAAGGGCCUUCCCAAGCGGGGGCGAGCUUGUGUGGCCUUUGUUGAUCCACUCGGAGGAACAAGUCCCCUUCCUGGAACGCACGACCCCUUAUGUUCUUGGCGUGGAAUCGACGUAAGUCUUGCUGAUAAAUGGUCGACCGGAUGAAAGCCAUCUCUCUCUCUUCCUCCAAGAGGUCGACUGCAUCUUGUCGAGCUUGCUCUGCUUCUUCUUCUGAGAAGAGUUCGACUCGGGGAGCACUGUGGAGCAAAUUGCAUGGCAAAACGGCUUCGGCUCUGUAUACCAUAAAGAAUAGAAUCCGUCCAGUCGACCGAUUAGGGGUUGUCCUCAGCCCCCAAAGCACCGAUGGGAGCUCGUUGACCCAAGCCCCUGCCGCGUGCUUGAGAUCAUGCAUUAGCCGAGGCUUCAGCCCUUUGAGAAUCAAUCCAUUCGCUCACUCACCUUGUCCAUUCGACUGGGGAUGGGCGACUGAAGCGUAAUUGACCCUCGUGCCCAGGGAGGCGCAAAAAGCUUUGAACUCUUCAGAAUCGAAGUUCGAGCCGUUGUCCAUUAUGAUGUUGUGCAGGACACGGUAUCUGAAUAUAAGUUCUUUGAUGAAACUAACGGCUGUGCUCGCUUCAAGGCUCUUAAUGCGCUUGGCUUCGAUCCAUUUGGUGAACUUGUCGACUGCUACCAGCACAUGAGUAAAUCCACUCCUGCCUGUCCUCAGAGGUCCUACCAUGUCAAAUCCCCAAACGGCGAAGGGCUAGACGAGUGGAAUAGUCUUCAGAGCCGACGUAGGUUUGUGAGACAUGUUGGAAUAAAACUGACAACCUUCACACUUGUCCACUAUUUACUUUGCCAUCUCGUUAGCGUGCGGCCAGUAAAACCCGGCUCGGUAUGCUUUGGCUACGAUGGUCUGAGAGGACGCAUGGUGACCACAGGUCCCCGAGUGGAUAUCUUUAAGGAUCAUUCGGCCUUCUUCUGGCGUGAUGCACUUCUGGCAGGCUCCAGUUACACUCUCUCUAAACAACUGUCCUCUUAUCACAGUAAAGGCUUUAGACCGUCGGAUGAUCUGUCGAGCUUCUUCUUCAUCCUCUGGGAGUUCCUUCCUAAGAAUAUAUGCGAUCUAUGGUACUGUCCAGUCGGGAGUGAUGACCAAAACCUCCAUGAUUAAGUUGACCACGGCCCGGACUUUGACUUUAGUCGGAUCUGUGGCGCUCUUGGGCUGCGGUGACUCUUCGGUGAAAGGAUCUUCUUGAACCGAAGGUGAAUGGAUAUGUUCCAUAAACACGUUUCGGGGAAUAGCCUCUCUCUUUGAGCCUAUCUUGGCCAACUAUUCUGCAGCUUGAUUUUUCAGUCGGGGUAUAUGGUGGAGCUCCAAACCUUCAAACCUCUUCUCCAGCUUUCUCACUAUAUUGCAAUAACCGGUCAUGGUCGGGCUUCUGACACCCCAUUCCUUCAUGACUUGGUUAACCACCAAAUCGGAAUCGCCGUAGACCAUAAGGUGACGGACGCCGAGUGAAAUGUCCAUACGCAACCCGUAUAGAAGUGCUUCAUAUUCGGCUUCGUUAUUGGAGGAAUCAAAAUGAAUCUAGAGAACGUAACUAAGCCUGUCUCCUCGGGGGGAUACCAAAACUACUCCAGCACCUUAACCAUUCAGCAUCUUGGAGCCAUCAAAAAACAUAGUCCAAUGUUCCGAGUGAACUUGAGUCGGCAAUUGCUGUUCAAUCCACUCGUCUAGAAAAGCUGCAAUUGCUUGGGACUUGAUAGCCGUCUUUCCCUCGAACUUGAUAUCAAAAGGGAGGAGUUCAAUCGCCCAUUUGGGCACUCAACCGGUUGCAUCUCUGUUAGAAUUUCGGAUAGUAGCGCAUUGCUGACGACUGUAAUGGAGUGGUCAAAGAAGUAAUGCGCAACUUUCUUCAUGGUCAUGUAUAUUCCAUAGACAAGCUUCUGAUAAUGCGGGUAUCGUUGCUUGGAUGGAGUCAAAACUUCAGAGAGAUAAUAGACUGGGCGCUGAACCUUGUAGGCUUCUCCUUCUUCUUCCCGCUCGACCGUGAGUACUGUACUGACAACUUGUCCAGUGGCUGCAAUGUAGAGCAGUAAAGGCUCUUUGCUGAUUGGCGCAGCGAGCACCGGCUGGGUGGAAAGCGGGGUUUUGAGUUCACUCGAACUUAUCAGACUUCUUCAUCAAUCGGUAAAGAGGGAAGGCCUUUUCACCGGGACGAGAAAUUAAUCGACUCAGAGCGGCAAACAACCAGUCAGCUUCUGAAGGUCAUGCACUCUCACGGGACGUUUCAUUCGGAGGAUGGUAUCAACUUUCUCUGGAUUGGCGUCGAUCCCUCGUUCGAAAACAAGGAAACCGAGUAACUUUCCUCCUGGAACUCCGAACAUGCAUUUUGACGGAUUAAGCUUGAUAUCGUAUCUUCUGAGGUUCACAAAGGUUUCUGCAAGGUCAGUUAAUAGGUUGGAACCUUUGCGAGACUUGACCACAAUGUCAUCCAUGUAUGCUUCCACAUUCCGACUGAUUUGAGUGAGCAGGCACUUCCAAAUCAUUCUCAUGAAUGUGGCUCCAGCAUUUUUCAAACAAAAAGGCAUGGUGACCUAGCAAAAGCACCCGAAUGGCGUGAUGAAUGCUGUUUUAUUUCAUCGGGACCAUGUAGUCGGAUCUGAUGGUAUCCGGAAUAUGCAUCUAAGAAAGACAAGCGUUCACACCCUGCAGUCGAAUCAACAAUCUGAUCGAUGCGAGGGAGAGGGAAGUGAUCUUUCGAGCAGGCCCGAUUGAUAUGCUUGAAAUCAAUGCACAUACGAAGUGAAUUAUCCUUCUUAGGAACCAUGACUACAUUGGCUAGCCACUCGGAGUGGUAGAUUUCACGGAUGAACUCUGCUGCCAACAGUCGAGCCACUUCCUCGCCGAUUGCUUUCUUCUUCUGCAUGGCGGACAGCCGAAGAUGUUCUUUGAUGGGUUUUAUUUUGGGGUCGACACGCAAACGGUGCUCGGCCAGUCCCCUGGGUACACCCAGCAUGUCAGAAGGUUUCCACACAAAGAUGUCCCAGUUCUCACGGAGGAACUGGACGAGCGCUUCUUCCUAUUUGCUGUCGAGUGUCGUUGAUAUAUGGGUCGGUGCAGCACUAGGAUCCGUCGGGUGAAUAUGAACUAGCUUCGUCUCACCAGUCUAUUGGAAUGCAGAAUCUAUGGCAGGUUUCUUGGCUUUGAGCACAUCACUCGGAUCCGCGUUCUUCUGAUAUUCUUGGAGCUCAACUGCUGCCAUCUGCUUAUCGGCGAUCUUGGAGCCUUUCUGGAAACACUCCUCAGCCUUUUGUCGAUUGCCUAUAACUGUGAUCACGCCUUUGGGGCCAGGCAUCUUCAGUUUGAGGUACACAUAACAUGGUCAAGCCAUAAAGCGUGCAUAGGCUAGCCUACCCAAAAUGGCAUGAUAGGCACUCUGGAUAUCCAUGACUUCAAAUGUCAACUUUUCCUUACGGUAAUGCUUUGAAUCACCGAAAACCACGUCGAGGGCGAUCUGUCCGAGUGACUCGCUUUCUUCCCAGGAAUAACAUCAUGAAAACUCAUAUUGCUCUCGCUAAGCUUGGACAUCGAAAUGCCCAUCCCCUUCAGAGUCUCAGCGUAGAGGAUGUUCAGAUCGCUGCCACCGCCCAUCAGUACCUUAGUCAGACAAGUGCCUCCAGCCACGGGGUCGACUACCAAAGCUUGCCUCCUAGGGGUGGCCACACGAGCAGGGUGGUCAGACUGAUCGAACGUAAUGGCUUUCUGAGACCAUCUCAGGUAGGUGGUCGUCGCCGCGGGAGCGACCAUGUUCACCUCCCUGUUUAUGACCUUCAAUCGACUCUUGCUUUCAACGUCAGCGAAUAUCAUCAGUGUGGAAUUGACUUUGGGAUAACCAUCUUCUUCCUCUUCAUCUUCACCUUGGUAUGACUCCUUCUCCUUUUCAGUGGGUUGUUUCUCUCUGAACUGCUGGAUUAGGAGUCGACACUGCCGGGUGGUAUGCUUCGGGUAAAUCAGAUUACCUUCUUCAUCUUUCUUCGUGUCGAUGUGGCAUGACAAAUCCAUCAUGUCAUUUCCUUCCUUAUCCUUCACCUUCUUAGGGGUCCAGGGCCCUUUAGGUUUUCCCUUAAACUUUCCUUGAUUCACUGCCCAAUCUCUCCGGGCGCUGCCGGCUCGGACUUGCGCUUCUGCUUCUGACUGGAGUUACCUCCACUGGUAUCUUGCCCGACUGGUUUGCUCUUCCUUCUACGGAGUCGAUCCUCUUUUGAUCCGUUAGCAUACCGGGUGGCUUUUUCCAUCAUUCGAGUCAGAGUCAUAUCUCUAGUCCGACCGAAUUUCAAGAUCAACUCUCUGUAUUUGACGCCUUCCUUGAAGGCGCACACGGCUUGAUGCUCUGAAACAUUCUCGACGGUGUGGUGCAGGGUGGACCAUCUCUGGAUGAACUCUCUCAAAGUCUCAUUUGGCUUCUACACGCAGUGCUGCAACUCAGGCAAUCCUCCAGGUCACUUGCAUGUGCCUUCGAAAGUUCUCACGAACACUCGGGAUAGCUCUUCCCAACUGUGAAUGGUGCCCGGAGCCAACUGAGUCAGCCAUGCUCGGGCUGACCCUUCCAACAUGAGUGGAAGAUGCUUCAUUGUUAUCUCAUCGUUACCGCCCCCGAUCUGCAUAGCCACUCGGUAAGCCUCAAGACAAGUUUCAGGCUUGGAUUCACCAGUGAACUUACUGACCCCGGAUGCCAGCCUGAAGUUGGGAGGUAUCACUGUUGCCCUGAUGGCUCUGCUAAAACACUCGGGACCAGAAACUUGCACUCGACUGCCACUUGGACGGUCUCUGCUAGGGUCUUCUCUGUGUGCUCUGUUCCAGUUGACCAGGCCUUGUAUGAGGAUAGACCUCGUGUUGAAGCCCGGUUCCCUUGGGUCGACCGAAUACCUGCGCUCACCACCGUGACGACGCCUAUCAUCAUUCUACGGAGGUACGUAUGACGCACUCCUUGGAGGGGGCGUGGGUCCUCGACGAUGAUUGUCACGGUCGAGUGGAUGAUCAUACUGCCCACGGCGUUCACGCCGCGGAGGCAAUCUUGGGCUGUGAGCCGACUGAACCGUGUCCGCUGCAACAGAUCUGCUAUGAAUCCUAUUCCGCGACUGAGAUAUUGCUGUAUUUUGCUCUCCAGCAACCCUGAGCAAGGCCCGGAUCUGCAUCAGCCCUCUGCCAGCUUCCGACUGGGAAGGUUGGAUGGACUCUGCUAUUCGGGCUCCAGCUGUGAGAUUCUGAAUCGGUGUGCGGUAUACCUUAGGUGGAGGCGGGAAAAGCUAUCGUCAAGUGGAUUCAUGGAUCCUCUCCUGGGCGCGCUCAUCGAGAACGCGCUGAAGGUUAUCCAGUCUAGUGCGCUCAGCCAAGUUGGCUAAGCACGCUUCCUCCAAGGCUCGAGCCUCGGGGGUUUCUCCGGCGAUGGGCGUGUGAAGUGCGCUGUCGGUGUCAAAACCGACGGAUCUCGGGUAGGGGGUCCCGAACUGUGCGUCUAGGCGGAUGGUAACAGGAGACAAGGGACACGAUGUUUUACCCAGGUUCGGGCCCUCUUGAUGGAGGUAAAACCUUACGUCCUGCUUGAUUGAUAUUGAUAUUGUGGAUGUUUACAAGAGUGGAUCUACCACGAGAUCAAGGAGGCUAAACCCUAGAAGCUAGCCUAUGGUAUGAUUGUAAUGGUUGUUGUUGUUGUCCUACGGACUAGAGCCAUCCGGUUUAUAUAGACACCGAAGAGGGCUAGGGUUACAUAGAGUCGGUUACAAUGGUAGGAGAUCUACAUAUCCGUAUCGCCAAGCUUGCCUUCCACGCCAAGGAAAGUCCCAUCCGGACACGGGACGAAGUCUUCAAUCUUGUAUCUUCAUAGUCUUGGAGUCCGGUCGAUGAUGAUAGUCCGGCCGAUGAUAGUUCGGUUGAUGAUGGUAGUCCGGCUAUCCGGACACCCCCUAAUCCAGGACUCCCUCAGUAUCCCCUGAACCAGGCUUCAAUGACGAUAAGUCCGGCGCGUAUAUUGCUUGGCAUUGCAAGGCGGGUUCCUCCUCCGAAUGAUAGAAGAUGGUGAACACCAGGAUAGUGUCCGGCUCUGCAAAAUAAAUUCCACAUUCCAUCGUAGAGAGAAUAAUAUAUACACAAGUUCAAUCUGCUGACGUUUUUCACGGCAUCACGUCACACCACUACCAAGCCAUUACUUGAAUCGUUUUUUACUCUACCACCUCAGCGCAUUUAGCGAAGCGGUUUCCUUGGCACGUCUUGUUGAAGCAGAGAUCGUGUUCCCCCUUAAUCCGGGAUUCUCAUCAAUACGAACAUGGGUAACCCAACCGCGCCAUUGAUGGUGACGCUUGGGGGAUAAGCGAGUUUUACCAGGCCGGUGGGGGACGCGUAGACUUCGCCCGCCCAUAUAAGGGAUAAGGAUUCACCUUUUCACCUACGCCUUCUUCCUCCUUUGCUUAUCCAUCUCCGUGCACUCGAGCUCCAGUGUCCAAGCCCGCACAUCUCGUCUCAACCUUCCCCAGUCAUGUCUGGACCGGGAGGCAAGUGGAUGACCUCCUCCAUUACGGAGGAGCACAUCGAAAGAUUGCGCAGCGCCGGCUACCUGUCCGGCGACAUCGCGCACCGGCUGCCCAACGAGGGGCAGCUCAUCCCCACCCCUAUGCCCCAUGAGAGGGUCGUUUUUCUUCCCCACUUCCUCCGCGGACUGGGCUUUCCACUUCACCCCUUUGUCCGGGGGCUCAUGUUCUACUACGGCCUGGAUUUCCAUGAUCUGGCGCCAAACUUCAUCCUCAACAUCUCGGCGUUUAUCGUCGUGUGCGAGGCCUUCCUCUGCAUCCAGCCCCACUUCGGCUUGUGGCUCAAGACCUUCAAUGUCAAGCCGAAGGUAGUGAAGGGCACUCAAGCGGAGUGCGGAGGUGCCAUGUUGGGCAAGAUGCCCAACGUCCUUUGGUUCGAAGGGGCCUUCGUGGAAUCCGUCAAGGGGUGGCAAUCGAGGUGGUUCUAUAACACCGAGCCGCGCGACCCUACGUGGGCGGCGGCCCCCAAGUUCAGAUCUGGUAUCCCCACGCAGCUCACCUCCUGGAAAGAGAAGGGCUUGCUGUGGGGUAGUUCGGAGGAGCUGACGGGACUCCAAGCCUGUAUCCAGAAGCUGGUGAAGAAGCUCAGGCUGGUUAACGUGGUCCAAGUCAUGCUUGUCCGCCGGAUUCUCCCAUGCCAAGAGCGGGCAUUCAAUCUGUGGGAGUUCAAUCCGGAACAGCACCAGGCGCUGAGCAGGCUCUUCGAUACAACGUACGAAGGCGCCUGGAGGGUGCUGUUCAAGGGCGCUGAAGCCCCCGCAUCCGCGACUGAAGAUCGCGGAUUUCGCUCGCAGCGCCAAGCCGACGAGGUAAGUGAUUCUACCCCUUUACGGGACACUUGCUUUUCAUAGUUUGACUCCAUGCGGGUUUUAAUUUCCCCUUUUCCUUUGACAGGACUGGAUGAGGAAGGCGGAGCAGAUUAUCUGCCCGGCUCCUAUGCCAGAAAUCCCAGUAGACGCCCAUCUAGCGAGGCUGCUGGUUCCGGCACCGCACGUGGUGCCGGAGAAGAAGGCCAAGAAGGAGGCCACGGGUGCUCGAAAGAGUUCCCGUUUUCAGGUGUCCGACGACUCCGGGGUGGACUCCUCCCCCGAAAAUGAGGAGGAGAAAGAGGACUCUCUCCCAGAGGAGGGAGAGAGGAAGAGGAAGGCUUCCCCAAUAGGGGAGGCCGAAGGGUCCAAGAGGGGAAGGACUAUUCCCCCGGACAGCUCCGCCAACAUCAACGUUGGCGAGGAAGAAUGGCCUUCAAGGGCCAGGCCUCCAUCGAGAUCGUAAGUAUCCGGAUUCCUGAGUGAUUUAUAAUUUCUUUUUCUGUGUCACAUAGUGUCAUUCUGAUGCCGCAUGUUGCUUGUAGUCCGGCCAAUGAUGAUCUCCCCGCUUCAUCGAGCGGGUCGUUGGCUCCGUAGGAUGUAGACUCCAUCCCGACCGCCUCCACCCCUCGCGACACCAAGGUCGCCGAGGUGGGAUCCCAAGAAGGGACCCAUCAGGGGGAGGCUCCGGAGGCGCCACAAGGCGGCCUCCCGGACUUUGCGCCGGACUCCAUAUCAGAACCCGCAGUGGUUCCGGAGUCCGGCCGGCGGCCCCUUCGCAAGAAGGCAAGACCGUGAACCUGCGGCUUCCGUCUAACUGGAGGCGCCAGACAAUUUGUUGGAGGCGCUCCAGAGCGCUUCCAUCGAGGAAGAACACCGCACUAUUAUGAGUGCGGUGAUUCAGAAGGUACAGCUCGCCAAGAGCGGGCUGACCGAAGCCUGCAGUAGCCUACUAUCAGGCUUUGAGGUAAGAAGUUAAAAAUAUGCAAUGUAAUACCACAUAGACAGUAGCCCCUGAUGCCCGGUUCGGUGUUCGAAAAGAAAAGCCGGACUGAGGAUCUGCCAAAAAAAAGAUAUACGCAGGGUUGCUAAAAAAUUAUGUCAAUAUGGGUUGCAGGCUGCGCUGCUGACCUCUGCCGCACUGACUGCGGAGGUCGGUGCUUUGUAGUAGGAGCUCGAGCGGUCCGAGAAAGAGCUCGGCCGCGCCAAGAAGCAGCUCCAGGACAAAGAAGGUGAGUAACACCACUUUGAACUUGUACCUUACAGAAAAGGAUUUAGGUUGCAACAAAAAAUAACCAAGAUAACAUGGGUACUGCAGGGGCCACGAACGAGGUGCCGACCCUGAAGGAGGCCGUGUCCGCGGCCGAACGCAAUGCGGCCGCGGAACGGGCAGAGCGAGAAAAGCAGGAGGCGCGGGUGGCGGUGGUUCGGCAAGAGCUCCAGGCUCUCAUGGAAAAGCAUGAGAGUUUGGUGCGUGACUCAAAGACUCGAGAGUCCGAGCUUGCCUCGGCUCUCGAAAGUGCCAAAACUGCCAAGGCCGAUGCCCAUAAGUCCCUUCAGGAGAUUGAGUUGGUGAGGAAGAUAGCGGCGGGUAAGGCAUUUUUCAUGCAAAGCAAGCAUGUGAAUGUAAAUUACGUGUUACUUACCCGGAUUCGGAGCUCUCCAAGGGCGUUUGCAGAUCUGCCUCGCAACGUGUCUGAUGCCGCCGCGUUCUACCGAGACGAGGAGUGGAGCUCAACGGAGAAGGUCUUCUGGUCUCAGUAUGCUGAGGCCGGCCAUCCGGUGCCCCCUAGCGACCAGCUAAAGCAGCUGGUCGAGCUCCACAAGGUGGCCGAGCAGGCCAUGAGGGGCCUCAUAGUCCGGCUAUGGCCUGGAGAGGCCAUGCCUGGGAGCUACUUCGGCCUCAUGCGACGGUUGGUGGAUGCGUGCCCCUGGGUGGAGGUUAUCAAGCGCUCCGCCUGUAUUGAAGGUGCUCGUCGGGCCCUUGCCCGCGCAAAGGUGCAUUGGGGCAAGCUGGAUGCGGAGAAGCUAAUCACUGACGCGCCACCAGCGGGCAAGGAAUAUCGUACGCCCGAGAUGUACUAUAAGACUAUCUUGAAGGGUGCCCGCAAGAUUGCGGAUGAGUGCCCCAGGGAUGUAAUUAUUGAGUAAAUUCGCAAUGUGUUAUCCUGUGCGCUGAAAACUUUGUUCAUAUGCGCUAAGCAACGCUUGUUAAUUUAAAAUAUUACCUUCUGUGCGGCCGUUUAUUAAAUCUGAGAGAUGGCAAGUCGUCGGCUUCAGCCCCCAUGCCACGAGUGCUGGGGUGUUCGGGAAAAACUUGAGCACUCUUGUUCCCAUUUUUGGGUCCAUCUAGGGAGGCGCUCAACAUAACGAACAAGGCAACUGGACUUAUAGUGCUUGAACACUCUCACUUAGCCAUAGAAUUCUAUAAUUUUAAAUUUCGGCGAAGCCCCUAGUAUUCGGAAGACCGAAUUUGGGGCGCUAUCCACGCCUUCGUCGUACAUUAUCCGGAACUUCUCUCGAAGCGGCGUAGGUAUUUAAGGACCCGAAAAGACCUCUCGAACAGCGACCAGUCUCUCGCCUUAUCAUGACAGUCAGUUUUAGCUUUCUUCACUGAGGCGUUAACUCGGCUCAACCGUGGCGCAAUCGCAGUGGUUCUCCCAGUGCUACCUUAGCCGAUAGAACGGAACGUAAGGUGCCAAACUUGGGAGCCGGGAAAACCCAACUAUUGACCCAAGACAUGAUUCGGAGCUGAUUCAUAUAAUGCUAUAAGUUCGGGGUGCCGCACUUGUGAAAGUGUUCGGACUUUAUCACACCAUAAUGCGGGGAACAUAAGCCCCUGGUGUAUUUGGCCGUACCAAAAUGUAUGGAUGCAACAUGUCGUAAAUGAACAUAUAUAUAUAAGGUAAUGCAAUUAUGGGCAAAAAGUGUUGCAUUUUAUUCGAGAAGAUAUGCUAUGAGUGCGGAAUGAUACAAAUAGUGUGGAAAGCAAGGGAUUGGACGAAUUAAAGGUGUCUCCCUCCAGGGGUAGGCCGCGGAAUGGUGUAUUUAAGAAAUUUAAUGCUCGUAAUGGAGACCACCUGAGUGUUCUUCGUACCCGUUGUCCCUCCCUGGCUGUUGCAUCAUGAGUUCGGCAGGUUCGCUGCCGGACAGAGUUCUGUAUAAAAAAGAGAGAAAUAAAAGAUAAAAAGAGCGACACACUUGGGAGCCCCUGGUGUGGUCGAACCGCACUCUGGGUCUGUUGUGGUUGUGCCUCUCCCCCUAUGCCCAUGGUAUCUCUAGGGCGUAAUUAUGUACGCAGAGAGUUUGUCUCACAAUUGUGCGAGGGCUGGGGUUGAGGCCGCAUUGCUACGCGUUCUCGGAACGUGCCAGGUGGUCUUGGUUGAUGUUGCUCCGGGCGCGUUUGGCCGUGUCCGGUCGUUUAACGGCCGGACUCGAAAAUUGCCUUAAAAGGCUGCUCUGUACUUCUGCCGCGAGAGCCGCUGUAUGUUCCUCCGUUCGGAGGGAGCGUUCCGUGUUUCCAUUGACCGUGAUGACUCCACGAGGGCCUGGCAUCUUGAGCUUAAGGUAUGCAUAAUGCGGCACCGCGUUGAAUUUGGCGAACGCGGUUCGUCCGAGCAGAGCGUGAUAGCCACUGCGGAACGGUACUAUGUCGAAGAUUAACUCCUCGCUUCAAAAAUUAUCCGGGGAUCCGAAGACCACUUCUAGUGUAACUGAGCCUGUACAACUGGCCUCGACACCUGGUAUGACGCCUUUGAAGGUUGUCUUUGUAGGUUUAAUCCUUGAAGGGUCUAUGCCCAUCUUGCGCACUGUAUCCUGAUAAAGCAGGUUCAGGCUACUGCCGCCGUCCAUCAGGACUCUCGUGAGGUGAAAUCCAUCGAUGAUUGGGUCUAAAACAAAUGCGGCGAAUCCGCCAUGGCGGAUACUGGUCGGAUGGUCUCUUCGAUCGAAAGUGAUCGGGCAUGAGGACCAUGGGUUGAAUUUUGGGGCGAUUGGCUCCAUCGCGUAUACGUCCCUUAGUGCACGCUUCCGCUCCCUCUUGGGUAUAUGCGUUGCAUAUAUCAUGUUUACCGUCCGAACUUGAGGGGGGAAUCCCUUUUGUCCUCCGUUGUUCGGCGGCCGGGUCUCUUCCUCCUCAUCGCUGUGUAGCCCCUUGUCAUUGUUUUCGGCGAUUAAUUUGCCUGCCUGCUUGAAUACCCAACAAUCUCUGUUGGUGUGGUUAGCUGGCUUUUCAGGGGUUCCAUGUAUUUGACAGGAGCGGUCGAGUAUUCGGUCCAAAUUGGACGGGCCCGGAGUGGUUCUUUUGAAUGGCUUCUUCUGUUGACCGGGCUUGGAGCCUCAGAAUCCGGCGUUGACUGCCGUAUCCUCAUUGCUAUCGCCGUUAAUGCGGCAUUUGUUUUUGUUUUGACGCGACCUGCCAUUGUGGUCCUUGGUAUCCGGACUGCCAGCGUUUUUGCUGACGUUGUUGCUGCGAGCUAGCCAGCUAUCCUCUCCUGCACAGAAGCGGGUCAUGAGUGAUGUGAGGGCUGCCAUGGAUUUCGGCUUUUCCUGUCCUAGGUGCCGGGCCAGCCACUCAUUGUAGAUGUUAUGUUUGAAGGCAGCGAGGGCCUCUGCAUCCGGACAGUCGACGAUUUGAUUUUUCUUUGUUAAGAACCGUGUCCAUAAUUGCCUGGCCGAUUCAUCUGGCUGCUGGAUUAUGUGGCUUAGGUCAUCUGCGUUCGGUGGUCGCACAUACGUGCCCUGGAAGUUGUCGAGGAAUGCGGCUUCCAGGUCUUCCCAGCAUCCAAUUGACUCUGUGGGCAGGCUGUUAAGCCAAUCCCGAGCUGGUCCUUUAAGCUUGAGUGGGAGAUAUUUGAUGGCGUGAAGAUCGUCGCCGCGGGCCAUAUGUAUAUGGAGGAGAUAAUCCUCAAUCCAAACCGCGGGGUCUGUUGUGCCAUCGUAGGAUUCAAUAUUAACGGGUUUAAACCCUUCAGGGAUUUGAUGAUCCAUUACUUCGUCAGUGAAGCAUAGUGGGUGCACGGCGCCUUUGUAUUGAGAAAUAUCACGACGUAGCUCGAGAGAGCGUUGUCUGCUGUGUUCGGCCCGGCCGGAGUAGUUGUAUCCGGCGCGACGGUAUUUGUCGUGGGUCUUGGGGCGCCCACGUGAUCCAUAGAUAGAUCGGGAUUGUCUUGCCUUGUCCUCCAAUAUAUCCCGCAAGUCCGGCGCGUUCCCCCGUGGCUUCAUGCUUUUUGAGCAAUGCCGGGGUACGGUUUUGGUGGAGGGCUUGCAUGCCUCUCUGUCGCGGCCAUGAGGUGGUCGGUCUGCCGUAUUGUGCACUGGUGAUGCAGGUUUGUACGCUUCCUCCUCUAGUCGGGGGACCAACUUGCGUUUUGGGUAACUUUUGGAGGGGUGUUCAAGUUCAUACUCUUCGGCCGCGAGGACCUCGGUCCAUCUGUCGGCCAGUAGGUCUUGAUCAGCUUGAAGCUGUUGCUGCUUUUUCUUUAGGCUGUUUGCCGUGGCCAUUAGCCUGCGUCUGAAACGCUCUUGUUCGACGGGAUCCUCAGGCACGACGAAUUCGUCGUCGUUGAGGCUUGCCUCGUCUCCGGAGGGAGGUAAGUAAUUAUCAUCCUCGACCUCUUCGUCUGCCGCCCUCUCGUGAGGGCUUGCUUCUGCCUCCUCCUGCGCUGGAUCGUGCUGGAGGCGGUUGUCUUCGGCACUUUCUGGGGUGUUAUUAUCUCCUGUGCCGGAAUCUCCAUUCUUGCUGUGGCGGGAUUUAGAGCGGCGCCGCUGACGUCGGCGCUUGGGCUGUUUCUUUAAGGAAUCGGCCUCCGUUGCUUCUUCGCCGUCCCCAUCUUUUGGGGUGUCCACCAUGUAUAUGUCGUAUGACGAGGUGGUCUUCCAGUGUCAUGUAGGCACUGGUUCUUGAUAGUCUCCGGCAUCGUCGUCCAUACUGUCGAUGUCUUCGGAGUCGUAGUCGAGUACGUCGGUUAGAUCGUCGACAGUGGCUACGAAGUGGGUGGUGGGUGGGCUCUGAAUUUCUUCAUCGUCCGUGUCCCAACCAUACUGGCCGUAGUUCGGCCAGGGCUCUCCGGAUAGCGAGAGAUGCUUCAGCGAAUUUAAGAUAUUGCCGAAGGGUGAGUGCUGAAAGAUGUCCGCAGCGGUGUAUUCCAUGAUCGGCGCCCAAUCGGAUUCGACUGGCAGGGGCGCAGGAGGUUCGGAGUCCAGCAGAGAGUCCGGCACCUUGGAGUCAUGAGCUUUAUGCGGGACAAGGUAACUGUUCGGCUCCAUCGCCGUAGAAGUUGCAGCUCCCGAGGCGGUGUCCAGCCAUCCGUCCUCGAUCUGAGCGAUCGGCUCCGGACUAUGGGUCGGAGCGGAUUCAUGUGCGGCCUCCAAGGUGCUGUCUGGCGGUAGAGUUAGGUUGUGCCCAUCGUGACAGCGCGGCACGCUCGGCUGUGGCUCAGAUUCAUCGAAGAUCAAGUCCCCGCGGAUAUCGGCCGUGAAGUUUAGGCUUCCAAACCUGACCUGACGGCCAGGGCCGUAGCUUUCGAUCUGCUCCAGAUGGCCAAGUGAGUUGGCCCGCAGUGCGAAGCCGCCGAAUACGAAGAUCUGUCCGAGGAGAAAAGUCUCACCCAGGACUGCGUCGUUGUCGAUUGAAGAGGCCAUCAAGCCUAUCGGUGACGACAUAGAGGAACUCUCAAUGAAAGAACCAAUGUCGGUGUCAAAACCGGCGGAUCUCGGGUAGGGGGUCCCGAACUGUGCGUCUAGGCGGAUGGUAACAGGAGACAAGGGACACGAUGUUUUACCCAGGUUCGGGCCCUCUUGAUGGAGGUAAAACCCUACAUCCUGCUUGAUUGAUAUUGAUAUUGUGGAUGUUUACAAGAGUGGAUCUACCACGAGAUCAAGGAGGCUAAACCCUAGAAGCUAGCCUAUGGGAUGAUUGUAAUGGUUGUUGUUGUUGUCCUACGGACUAGAGCCAUCCGGUUUAUAUAGACACCGGAGAGGGCUAGGGUUACAUAGAGUCGGUUACAAUGGUAGGAGAUCCACAUAUCCGUAUCGCCAAGCUUGCCUUCCACGCCAAGGAAAGUCCCAUCCGGACACGGGACGAAGUCUUCAAUCUUGUAUCUUCAUAGUCUUGGAGUCCGGUCGAUGAUGAUAGUCCGGCCGAUGAUAGUUCGGCUGAUGAUGGUAGUCCGGCUAUCCGGACACCCCCUAAUCCAGGACUCCCUCAUGCGCCCAUGUUGCAGCGACGAAGAUCCUCUCUCUGCUGCGAGGAGAGAGGUUCGGGACGAUACUCCUCGUGGACCCGUGAUGGACCACCACCAGGCUCUUCGCCGUCCUCGCGGCGAAAACCAGGUGGGCUACGCGGACCAUCGACCAUCAGGACUUCAGCCACAGGAUCGUUGCUAUUGAACUCGGACGCCGUCUCCGCGGAGCCAGUCGACAGAUCGAACAGCCGUGGAGAGUUUUGUCGGGCUCGAUUGCCGCGACUUGAUGGGUGGCCGAACGUUGAGCCACUGCAUGCCUCACCCACCACUAAAGCCGCGACCGACCGGAUCGCUUGCGGUGAUGAAUAGCGGGAAGGGGGGAUGCCACGGGCGCCGACUGAUACUGGGCCGACGGCUGUCGAAGAAGAACGCCAUGGACGCAUGCGCGAAAGUGCGUCGCCCCUCGGACGGGGAGCGCCUCAACAUCGAGCGGAGCUUCCUGGAGCCACGCCGAGUCGUCAGCGACGAAAACAAGCGCGCUGAGACGGAUCUCGCGGCCCUCAACCAUCUCGCCGCCGGAAACCAUGAUGAUGAUCGGAAAAUAAACUUGCAACUUCACCCAAAAAGUCACUAACACACCUACCCCACGGUGUGCGCCAACUGUCGUGGUUCUAAGUCUGACAGUAGAAAGAGGGGGUAGGUAUGGAGAGGCAAGAUCUUAGCUAUGGCGAAGAUGUACACACGAUGUUUACGAGUUCAGGCCCUUCUCAGAGGAAGUAAUAGCCCUACGUCUCGGUGCCCGGAGGCGGUCGACUGGAUUAUGUGUGUGUCGAAUUACAGAGGGUGCCAUCCCUUGUGCCAGAGGAGGGGGGUGGCUUAUAUAGAGUGCGCCAGGACCCCAGCCCCCCUCCAUUACAAGGGAACUAAUGUACAUAAAGUAAGGGCGUUACUGGUAACGCCAGCAUUUAGUACUCUUAAUGCUCAUGAAGACUAAGGAGUAAAUAUCUGGCCGUUGUGUGCUCUUCUGACUUCUGGUCUUCCUUGUGGUCAACUGACGACAGGUAAUGAUAGUCGAGUGGUGUGAGCGUCGAGUGGAUUGCACUCGACGUACGAGACUGGUGCUCUUCUGUUGACUCUUGGUCUUUCCAUCUUCCAAGGUAGUAACCUUGUGUAGGACGUAUAGGUCGAGCCUAUGACCCUACCCCGGGUCUGUAUCCUUGUCACCCACCUUGUGUCAUAUUGACCCAUUUGCACCGAAACAAAGGUACCUUCAAAUCACCUCCAUAGUUAAGUUCCCAUAUGUCCUCUAUGUAACCAUAAUAUGUUUCCUUUCCCGUGUUGGUUGUUGCAUCAAAGCAGACACCACUGUUUUGGUUGGUGCUCUUCUUAUCUUUGGCGAUCGUGUAAAAUGUAUUCCCAUUUAUCUGGUACCCUUUGAAAGUCAUUAUAUUCGAAGAUGGUAACUGGGACAGCGAGUAUAGGUCAUUUUGAAUAUCGCCAUCAUUCAUGGCACGGUUCUGCAACCAACCGGCGGAAGUCCUCGUUUGUUCACGUGUAAUCCAGUCGUCAGACUUCUUCAGGUGUUUGGAGUGUAGAAAAUUCUUGUGUUCCUCGAUAUACGGAGCCACCAAGGUGGAAUGCUGGAGAACUGUGUAGUGUGCUUCAGUGAGAGAAUGCCCGUCCAUACAAAUUAUUUGAUGCCCUCCUAGAAUGCCUUUUCCAUCCAGUCUUCCCUUAUGUUGCAAUUCAAGAACACCAAUCAACUUAAGGUCAGGAAUAAAGUCAAUACAAAACUCAAUGACCUCGUCAUUUUCAUGGCCCUUCGAGAUGCUUCCUUCUGGCCUAGCACGGUUAUGAACAUAUUUCUUCAAGACUCCCAUGAACCUCUCAAAGGGGAACAUAUUGUGUAGAAAUACAGGACCCAACCCGUUAAUCUCUUCGCAAAGGUGAACUAGGACGUGCGUCAUGAUGUUGAAGAAGGAUGGUGGGAACACCAACUCAAAACUGACAAGACAUUGCAACAAAUAAUUCUGUAACCUUGGUAUGAUUUCUGGAUCGAUUACCUUAUGUGAGAUUGCAUUGAGGAAUGCACAUAGCUUCACAAUGGCUAAUCGAACAUUUUCCGGUAGAAGCCCCCUCAAUGCAACCGGAAGGAGUUGCAUCAUAAUCACGUGGCAGUCAUGAGACUUUAGGUUUUGGAACUUUUUCUCUGCCAUAUUUAUUAUUCCCUUUAUAUUCGACGAGAAGCCAGACGGUACCUUCAAGCUGAGCAGGCAUUCGAAGAAGAUUUCCUUCUCUUCUUUGGUAAGAGCGUAGCUGGCCUGACCCUGAUGUAUGCCGUAUUUUCUGUGCAUAUGUUGCUGGUCCUCCCAUGCCUCUGGUUUAUCUUUUGUCUUCCCAUACACGCCCAAAAAGCCAAGCAGGGUCACGCAAAGAUUCUUCGUCACGUGCAUCACGUCGAUUGCGGAGCGGACUUCUAGGUCUUUCCAAUAUGGCAGGUCUCAAAAUAUAGAUUUCUUCUUCCACAUGGGUGCGAGUCCGUCAGCGUCCUUCGGAACAGGUUGUCCGCCAGGACACUUUCCAAAGAAUACCUUCAAAUCCUUGCCAUAUCAUGUACAUCACCACCAGUACGGUGGCGAGGCUUCGUCCGGUGAUCCGCCUCACCUUUGAAAUGCUUGCCUUUCUUUCUUACGGUAUGCCUUGUCGGAAGAUAUCGACAAUGUCCUAGGUACACAUUCUUCCUACAACUAUCCAAAUAUAUACUAUCGGUAUCAUCCAAACAGUUCGUGCAUCCGCGGUAUCCCUUGUUUGUCUGUCCUGAAAGGUUACUGAGAGCAGGGCAAUAAUUGAUGGUCAUGAACAGCAAUGCCUUUAGGUCAAAUUCUUCCUGUCCGUGCUCAUCCCACGCUCGUACACCUGUUCCAUUCCACAACUCUAAUAGUUCUUCAACUAAUGGCCUUAGGUACACAUCAAUGUCAUUGUCGGGUUUCUUAGGGCCUUGGAUGAGCACUGGCAUCAUAAUGAACUUCCGCUUCAUGCACAAGGAAGGAGGAAGGUUAUACAAACAUAGUCACAUGCCAGGUGCUAUGGUUGCUGCUCUGCUCCCCAAAAGGAUAAAUGCCAUCUGCGCUUAGACCAAACCAUAGGUUCCUUGGGUCACCUGCAAACUCCUCCCAGUACUUUCUCUCGAUAUUUCUCCACUGCGAACCGUCAGUGGGCACUCUCAACUUUCCAUCUUUCUUGUGGUCUUCUCCGUGCCACUGCAUCGCCAUCGCAUGCUGUUUGUUUUGGAACAAACGUUUCAACCGUGGUAUUAUAGGAGCAUACCACAUCACCAUGGCAGGAAUCUUCUUCCUGGGGCACUCGCCCUCGACAUCACCAGGGUCAUCGCGACUGAUCUUAUAACGCAAUGCACCGCAUACUGGGCAAGCGUUCAAAUCCGCGUACUCACCGCGGUAGAGGAUGCAAUCAUUAGGGCAUGCAUGUAUCUUGUGCACCUCUAACCCUAGAGGGCAGACAACCUUCUUUGCUUCAUACGUACUCUCGGGAAAUUCGUUGUCCUUUGGAAGCAUAUUCUUUAUCAUUACCAGCAACUUUCCAAAUCCCUUGUCAGAUACACCAUUCUCUGCCUUCCAUUGCAGCAAUUCCAGUGUGGUGCCCAACUUUUUUUUGUCAGCUUCGCAAGUCGGGUACAACAAUUUCUUGUGAUCCUCAAACAUGCGAUGCAACUUCUUCUUCUCCAAAUCACUUGCGCAGUUUCUCUUUGUAUCGGCAAUGGCUCGACCUAGAUGAUCAGCGGGCUCAUUUGAUGCCUCUUCUUCAGCUUCUUCCCGCAUUGCCGGCUCAACUUCUUCCUCCAUUGUUGUAUCAUCGUAUUCAGGGAACCCAUGGCCAGGAUAGCCGUCGUCGUCCUCUUCUUCUUCAUUGUCUUCCAUCAUAACCCCUAUUUCUCCAUGCUUGGUCCAAACAUUAUAGUGGGGCAUGAAACCGGACUCAAAUAGGUGGACGUGAAUGGUUCUUGACGUAGAGUAAUUCUGACCAUUCUUACAGCCAGCACAUGGACAAGGCAUAAAACCAUCCGCCUGCUUGUUUGCCUCAGCGGCAAGCAAAAACGUAUGCACGCCAUUAAUGAACUCGGGAGAGCAGCGGUCAUCAUACAUCCAUUGUCAGCUCAUCUUCAUUACACAACACCGAAUAGACCAAAUUAAUACAAGUUCAUACAUAAAGUUCAUAUACAACACUUAAUUAAAUGCAACAUACAAAUAACUCUCUAGCUAAAGAAUUUAAAUUCAACAACAAAUGCGAUCAAGAUCGCAACUAAGGUAACAAUUGAUCCAACAGCAUAAUGAUACCAAGCCACACUAUCAAUGGCAUAUUUUGUAAUCUUUCUAAUCUUCAACCUCAUUUUCUCCAUUUUGAUCUUGUGAUCAUCGACGACAUCGACAACAAGCAACUCCAAUUCCAUCUUCUCCCCCUCAAUUCUUUUCAAAUUUUCUUUCAAAUACUCGUUUUCUCUUUCAACUAAAUUUAACCUCUUGACAAUAGGGCCGGUUGGAAUUUCCGGUUCACAUACCUCCUAGAUAAAAAUAUCUAUGUCAACUUGAUGGGCAUAAUUUGUCAUAAACACGAAAUGCAACAACUAGUUUUAAAAGAGAAUAUACCACAUCCGAAUCAUAACAAGGACGAGGGCCGACGGGGACGGAUAUCAAAACCAUGGCACAAUCUUUACCUAAUAAUAAAGCAAAUUGGGUUUCUUUCGUCCGUCAUGGAAUUUUUCAGAAAAGUCCCUCUAUUUGAGAGAAUUCAACCCGCAGUCCUGUUUUAUGUUAAAACGAAUCAUUAUUUUUGUAUUUUACACAAAAGUCCCUGUCUUUGCUUGAAAUCAACCCGCCGUCCGGAUUAUAGGUCACACCUGAACCGUUAGUUUACAUUUUUCGAAACCCCCCUGAUGUUUUAGGUAAUUAAUCCGCGGAUCAUAUUUAAGUCAAACAAAUGCUUUUAAAAAUCAUCCAUAUCUUUUAAACCGUAACUCUGAUUUGAACAUGUUAUAUAUAAAACUUGAUUAGAAAAAUAUGUACAAUAUGAAUAUGAGAUUAUUUUUACCUAUUAAGUAUUUUUAAAUAUUAUUUUGGAAUAUAAUUUGAGUCAAACCAAAUGAUUUUCUAAAUUAUCUGUAUCUUUUAAACCGUAACUUCGAUUUUAACAUAUUAUAUAUGAAAUUAAAUGUGUGGAAUCUAAAUAUGAUGAUAAUCUUACCUGUUAAAUACUUUUAAAAUAUUGUUACGGAAGCAAACUUAUAAUUUAUAGCACAAGAUCCGGGUUUUUUUGAUACCGGCGGCGAUCCGGAUUGCAAAUAAACACCUCACUAUAACCAUAUACGGAAAAUAAAACAUCGAUAACUACACAUGCAUACCUCUGAAAAAUGUCGCAGGGGAAAACAACAGAUUUCUCAUUGCGAGAGUGAGAGAAAGCGAGCAAGAAAGAGAGAGAGAGAGAGAGAGAGAGAGAGAGAGAGAGAGAGAGAGAGAGAGAGGGGAGAGGAAUGAGAGAGGGAGAGAGAGACGCCUUAGGAUUAACCAUAUUCAACACACAUUUUUUGUUAUUUUGUGUGAACACCGAGGCCAUCGCCGGCGAGGGUGGGAAGGAGGAUAAGCGGCAACACAAAUAUGAUGCCUCACAAAAAUAAAUGAGAUGGACCUAUUGUGGUCUUGAGUAAUGGUUGUUGAUUUAAAAGCGCGUGUUAUGUUUUCUCUCCCGUUGCAACGCACGGACUCUUUUGCUAGUGUGUAACAAACAACGUAUGAGUAAGAUAAUUAUACGAGUAACUAUAUAUCCAAAUCACACAAACAUCAAUUUGGUAAUGUAAAACAUUCCUGAACAAGAGCCUCAGCACAAGGUGGUGCCAGCGACGGGACGGUGCGGGCGAUCGACGGUGGUUACGACGGAGAUUUUGAAGGCACUAAGUAAACCACACCUACAUAUGCAAACUAAGUGUUAUUUUUGACCUCAAAUUGCAUAUAAAUCAAAUACUAGCACAUAUAAUUCCUCCCAAAUUAAUCACUAUAAAAAGCAUUGCAAGAGCUAAUCUAGCAAUGAGAGUUGAAAGGACAAAGUUGCUAACCUUUGUGAUCAUUUGAAUUGAUGGGGGCCUUCAAAUCAUGAGAAAUUUUGGGCAAAAUUUGUGAGGAGCUCGAGGAAGAGAGGGGAAGAACAGAGGAAGUGAGGGGAAAGGGGAAGAACAGAGCGAGCUCAGGUGGACGAAGGGUUUAUGUACGUCGACCUUUAGUACGGUUCGUGCCACGAACCAGUACUAAAGGUGCUGGAGGGGCCCCAGACUGACAACAUCCUACCACCACUCUCUUUAGUACCGGUUCGUGGCACGAACCGGUGCUAAAGGUUCACCACGAACCGGUACUAAUGAGAGCGGCCGGCUAGCCAUUGGAACCGGCACUAAUGGACAUAUUAGUGCCGGCUCAAAAUCAAACCAGCACUAAUGUGUCUCAGAUUUGCCCCUUUUUCAACUAGUGUAAGUUCACGACCUACUACGACAUGUUCAAAGACAAACUUCAAAGCCAUCAAACUACCUUAGCUCCAAAGUGAGCCAUCAAGUGGGUUAACUUCUCUUCCUGCUCUUGAGACUUCUUGCACAACAGCUCAAGUUCCUUGUCGCGUGCAGCUUCAGAUUCUUUCGCCUUCAUCUUGAUUGCCUCCAAUUCUUCUUGCAUCACUUCAGCUUGAAGCUCGGACCUCUCCAGCUUCUCCUCAAGAUCUUGAACAUGAGCAGCCACUUCAGCAGUUGCUUUGCCGGAGUUGUUCCUAGAUGACUGGAGCCCAACAUUCCCGAGGAAUGUUCUUUGCUUGACUUCGGUCUUGAGCACUUCUUCAACAAUUUCAACAGCAGACUUUGGCUCUUCACCUUCUGGUACCGGCACGUCCUUCAUUUUUUCCAUCUCAAGGUAGCAUAUGGAGAAAAAUGAUAGGCAUUAGUGGGAGAUCUAUUUCACAUUUUGCAAACCAAACCAAGCAAGAGAAACCAAACCAACACACAAAUGGAUUAUUUGAAGUAACCAAACCAGCACACAAAUGGAUUAUUUGAAGUAACCAAACAAGCACACAAAAUCUAUACAAGAAGAUGAUGAAUAGUGACGUGGAGACAUGCAAUUGGAACAAUGUGAUCGCUUCAUUAAGCCUAGAAUGGUGGUUCUACAUAAGAUGGCUUCCCGAGUGAGCCGAUCAUCAAACUAACAUUCAGAUCAAAUUUCAUCAUAUCAUAAAAAAUGCAACAAAUAGCUACAACAAGUUCUGAUAUUUUUGUUGAACUAUCAAACAACAUCAAAUCAUCAAAGCAUGGAACAUAGCGUGUGUUCUUGACUGGCUCCGAAUCAAACAACAUCAAAUCAUCAAAGCGUCAAACAACAUCAAAGCUGGUUGUGAAUCAAAUAGGGCUGAGGUUUCUAUGUUGGGGAACGUAGUAGAAAUUCAAAAUUUUCCUACGAGUCACCAAGAUCUAUCUAUGGAGAGACUAGCAACGAGGGGAAGGGGAGUGCAUCUACAUACCCUUGUAGAUUGCUAAGCGGAAGCGUUCAAGAGAACAGGGUUGAAGGAGUCGUACUCGUCGUGAUCCAAAUCACCGGAGAUCCUAGUGCCGAACGGAUGGCACCUCCGCGUUCAACACACGUACAGCACGGUGACGUCUCCCAUGCCUUGAUCCAGCAAGGAGAGAGGGAGAGGUUGAGGAAGACUCCAUCCAGCAGCAGCACGACGGCGUGGUGGUGGUGGUGGUGGAGGAGCGUGGCAAUCCUGCAGGGCUUCGCCAAGCACCGCGGGAGAGGAGGAGGACUUGGGAGAGGGGGAGGGCUGCGCCAGAACUUCAUGUCAAGCUCCCAUGCGCCUCCCCACUAUAUAUAGGGGUGGAGGGGCUGGUUUCUUGCCCUCCAAGUCCAUUGGGGCGUUGGCAAAGGUGGGAGGAAAGAAAUCCCAUCAUUUCCUUCCCCACCGAUUGUUAUCCCCCGUUUUUAGGGAUCUUGAUCUUAUCCCUUCGGGAUAUGAUCUCAUUCCUUCUAAGGGGGGAACUUGGUGCGCCUUGACCAGGGGUGUGGGGCCUUGACCCCACUACCCACGUUCAUGUGGAUCCCCCCAUGCAGGUGGGCCCCACUCUGUAACCUUCUAGAACCUUCCCGGUACAAUACCGAAAAAUCCCGAACAUUUUUCGGUGGCCAAAAUUGGACUUCCCAUAUAUAAAUCUUUACCUCCGGACCAUUCCGGAACUCCUCAUGAUGUCCGGGAUCUCAUCCGGGACUCCGAACAACAUUCGGUAACCACAUACAAACUUCCUUUAUAACCCUAGCGUCAUCGAACCUUAAGUGUGUAGACCCUACGGGUUCGGGAGACACGUAGACAUGACCGAGACAACUUUCCGGCCAAUAACCAACAGCGGGAUCUGGAUACCUAUGUUGGCUCCCACAUGUUCCACGAUGAUCUCAUCGGAUGAACCACGAUGUCGAGGAUUCAAUCAAUCCCGUAUUCAAUUCCCUUUGUCCAGCGGUAUUAUGCUUGCCCGAGAUUCGAUCGUCGGUAUGCCGAUACCUUGUUCAAUCUCGUUACCGGCAAGUCUCUUUACUCGUUCCAUAACACAUCAUCCCGUGAUCAACCCCUUGGUCACAUUGUGCACAUUAUGAUGAUGUCCUACCGAGUGGGCCCAGAGAUACCUCUCCGUUUACACGGAGUGACAAAUCCCAGUCUCGAUUCGUGCCAACCCAACAGACACUUUCAGAGAUACCUGUAGUGCACCUUUAUAGCCAGCCAGUUGCGUUGUGACGUUUGGUACACCCAAAGCAUUCCUAUGGUAUCCGGGAGUUGCACAAUCUCAUGGUCUAAGGAAAAGAUACUUGACAUUAGAAAAGCUUUAGCAUACGAACUACGCGAUCUUUGUGCUAGGCUUAGGAUUGGGUCUUGUCCAUCACAUCAUUCUGCUAAUGAUGUGAUCCCGUUAUCAACGACAUCCAAUGUCCAUGGUCAGGAAACUGUAACCAUCUAUUGAUCAACGAGCUAGUCAACUAGAGGCUUACUAGGGACAUGGUGUUGUCUAUGUACCCACACAUGUAUCUGAGUUUCCUAUCAAUACAAAUAUAGCAUGGAUAAUAAACGAUUAUCAUGAACAAGGAAAUAUAAUAAUAACUAAUUUAUUAUUGCCUCUAUGGCAUAUUUCCAACAGUCUCCCACUUGCACUAGAGUCAGUAAUCUAGUUCACAUCACCAUGUGAUUAACACUCAUAGGUCACAUCACCAUGUGAUUAAGACUCAAUGAGUUCUGGGGUUUGAUCAUGUUUAGCUUGUGAGAGAGGUUUUAGUCAACGGGUCUGCAACAUUCAGAUCCGUAUGUACCUUGCAAAUCUCUAGGUCAUAUUGUAAAUACUGCUUCCACGCUCCACUUGGAGCUAUUCCAAAUGGUCGCUCCACUAUACGUAUCCGGUUUGCUACUCAGAGCCAUUCGGAUAGGUGUUAAAGCUUGCAUCGACGUAACCCUUUACGCCGAACUCUUUAUCACCUCCAUAAUCGAGAAACAUGUCCUUAUUACUCCAAGGACAAUUUUGACUGCUAUCUGGUGAUCCACUCCUUGAUCACCUUUGUACCCUCUUGCCAGAUAUGUAGCAAGGCACUCAUCAGGUGUGGUACUUAGCAUAGCAUACUGCAGAGCCUACGUCUAAAGCAUAGGGGACGACCUUCGUCCUUUCUCUCUUUUCUGCCGUGGUCGAGCUUUAAGUCUUAACUUCAUACCUUACAGUUCAGGCAAGAACACCUUCUUUGACUGAUCCAUCUUGAACACCUUCAAGAUCAUGUCAAGGUAUGUGCUCAUUUGAAAGUACUAUUAAGCAUUUUGAUAUACCUUAUAGAUCUUUAUGCUUAUUGUUCAAGUAGCCUAAUCCAUGUUUUCCAUUGAAAAACACCUUUCAAAUAACCCUAUAUGCUUUCCAGAAAUUCUACAUCAUUUCUGAUCAACAAUAUGUCAACAACAUAUACUCAUCAGAAAUUCUAUAGUGCUCCCACUCACUUCUUUGGAAAUACAAGUUUCUCAUGAACUUUGUAUAAACCCAAAAUCUUUGAUCAUCUCAUCAAAGCGCACAUUCCAACUCCGAGAUGCUUACUCCAGUCCUUAGAAGGAUCGCUAGAGCCAGCAUACCUUUUAGCAUCCUUAGGAUCGACAAAAACUUUCUGAUUGUAUCACAUGCAACCUUUCCAUACGAAGACUGGUAAGGAAACUUGUUUUGACAUCCAUCUGCCAGAUUUCAUAAAUGCAGCUAAUGCUAACAUGAUUCCGACGGACUUAAGCAUCGCUACGGAUGAGAAAAUCUCAUCGUAGUCAACUCCUUGAACUUGUGAAAAACUCUUCACCACAAGUCGAGCUUCAUAGACGGUGACAUUGCCGUCCACGUCCGUCUUCUUCUUAAAGAUCCAUUUAUCUCAAUGGCUUGCCGAUCAUCGGGCAAGUCCACCAAAGUCCAUGCUUUGUUCUGAUACAUGGAUCCUAUCUCGGAUUUCAUGGCUUCUAACCAUUUGUUGGAAUAUGGGCCCACCAUUGCUUCUCCAUAGCUCGUAGGUUCAUGGUUGUCUAGCAACAUGACCUUCAAGACAGGAUCACCGUACCAUUCCAAAUUAGUACGCGUCCUUGUCGUCCUACGAGGUUCGGUAGUGACUUGAUCCGAAGCUUCAUGAUCACUAUCAUAAGCUUCCACUUCAAUUCAUGUAGGUGCCACAUGAACAACUUCCUGUGCCUUGCUACACACUGGUUGAAGUGAUGGUUCAAUAACCUCAUCAAGUCUCCACCAUCCUCCCACUCAAUUAUUUCGAGAGAAACUUUUCCUCGAGAAAGGACCCGUUUCUAGAAACAAUCACUUUUGCUUCCGGAUCUGAAUUAGGAGGUAUACCCAACCAUUUUGGGUAUCCUAUGAAGAUGCAUUUAUCCGUUUUGGGUUCGAGCUUAUCACGAUGAAACUUUUUCACAUAAGCGUCGCAGCCCCAAACUUUCAAGAAACGACAGCUUAGGUUUCUCUAAACCAUAGUUCUCACGGUGUCAUCUCAACGGAAUUACGUGGUGCCCUAUUAAAGUGAGUGUGGUUGUCUCCAAUGCCUAACCCAUGAACGAUAGUGGUAAUUUGAUAAGAGACACCAUGGUAUGCACCAUAUCCAAUAGGGUGCAACUAUGAUGUUCGGACACACCAUCACACUAUGGUGUUCCAGGCGGUAUUAAUCGUGAAACAAUUUCCACAAUGUCUUAAUUGCGUGCCAAAGCUCGUAACUCAGAUACUCAUCUCUAUGAUCAUAUCAUAGACAUUUUAUCCUCUUAUCACGAUGAUCUUCAACUUCACUCUGAAAUUACUUGAACCAUUCAAUAAUUCAGACUUGUGUUUCAUCAAGUAAAUAUACUCAGUAUCUACUCAAAUCAUCCGUGAAGUAAGAACAUAAUGAUAUCCACUGCGUGACUCGGCACUCAUUGGACUGCACACAUCAAAAUGUAUUACUUCCAACAAGUUCCUUUCUUGUUCCAUUUUACUGAAAACGAGGCUUUCAGUCAUCUUGCCCAUGUGGUAAGAUUUGCAUAUCUCAAGUGAUUCAAAAUCAAAUGAGUCCAAAAGAUCCAUCUGCAUGGAGUUUCUUCAUGAGUAUACACCAGUAGACAUGGUUCGCAUGUCUCAAACUUCUCAAAAACGAGUGAGUCCAAAGAUCCAUCAACAUGGAGCUUCUUCAUGCGUUUUAUACCAAUAUGACUUACAUGGCAGUGCCACAAGUAAGUGGUACUAUCAUUACUAUCUUAUAUCUUUUGGCAUGAAAAUGUGUAUCACUACGAUCGAGAUUCAAUAAACCAUUCCUUUAGGUGCAAGACCAUUAAAGGUAUUGUUCAAAUAAAUAGAGUAACCAUUAUUCUCCUUAAAUGAAUAACCGUAUUGCGAUGGACAUAAUCCAAUCAUGUCUAUGCUCAAUGCAAACACCAAAAGGCAAUUAUUCAGGUUUAAUACUAAUCUUGAUGGUAGAGGGAGCGUGCGAUGUUUGAUCACAUCAAACUUGGAAACACUUCCAACACAUAUCGUCAGCUCACCUUUAGCUAGUCUCCGUUUAUUCCGUAGCUCUUUUAUUUCGAGUUACUAACACUUAGCAACUGAACCGGUAUCUUAAUACCCUGGUGCUACUAGGAGUACUAGUAAAGUACACAUUAACAUAAUGUGUAUCGAAUAUACUUCUAUCGACCUUGCCAACCUUCUUAUCUACCAAGUAUCUAGGGUAAUUCUGCUCCACUGGCUGUUCCCCUUAUUACAUAAGCACUUAGUCUCGGGUUUGGGUUCAACCUUGGGUUUCUUCAUUAGAGCAGCAGCUGAUUUGUUGUUUCAUGAAGUAUCCCUUCUUGCCCUUGCCCUUCUUGAAACUAGUGGUUUCACCAACCAUCAACAAUUGAUGCUCCUUCUUGAUUCCUACUUUCGCGGUGUCAAACAUCACGAAUAUCUCAAGGAUCAUCAUAUCUAUCCCUGAUUUGUUAUAGUUCAUCACGAAGCUCUAGUAGCUUGGUGGCAAUGACUUUGGAGAAACAUCACUAUCUCAUCUGGAAGAUCAACUCCCACUCGAUUAAAGUCAUUGUUGUACUCAGACAAUCUGAGCACAAGCUCAACGAUUGAGCUUUUCUCCCUUAGAUUGCAGGCUAAGAAAAUCGUCGGAGGUCUCAUACCUCUUGAUGUGGGCACGAGCCUGAAAUCCCAAUUUCAGCCCUCGAAACAUCUCAUAUGUUCCACGACGUUUCGAAAACGUCUUUGGUGCCUCUACUCUAAACCAUUUAACUGAACUAUCACAUAGUUAUCAAAACGUGUAUGUCAGAUGUUCGCAACAUCCACAGACUAUGUUCGAGGUCCAGCACACCGAGCGAUGCAUUAAGGACAUAAGCCUUCUACGAAGCAACGAGGACAAUCCUCAGUUCACGGACCCGUCCGCAUAAUUGCUACUAUCAACUUUCAACUAAAUUUUCUCUAGGAACAUAUCUAAAAUAGUAGAACUAUAGUGCGAGCUACGACAUAAUUUGCAAGAAUCUUUUGACUAUGUUCAGGAUAAUUAAGUUCAUCUCAUGAACUCCCACUUAGAUAGACAUACCUCCAGUCAUCUAAGUGAUUACAUGAUCCGAGUCAACUAGGCCGUGUCCGAUCAUCACGUGAGACGGACUAGUCAUCAUCGGUGAACAUCUUCAUGUUGAUCGUAUCUACUAUACGACUCAUGCUCGACCUUUCGGUCUCUUGUAUUCCGAGGCCAUGUCUGUACAUGCUAGGCUCAUCAAGUUAACCUAAGUGUUUCGCGUGUGUAAAUCUGGCUUACACCCGUUGUAUGUGAACGUAAGAAUCUAUCACACCCGAUCAUCACGUGGUGCUUCGAAACGACGAACUUUCGCAACGGUGCACAGUUAGGGGGAACACUUUCUUGAAAUUUUAAUGAGGAAUCAUCUUAUUUACUACCAUCGUUCUAAGCAAAUUAAGAUGUAUAAAUAUGAUAAACAUCACAUGCAAUCAAAUAGUGACAUGAUAUGGCCAAUAUCAUAUUGCUCCUUUUGAUCUCCAUCUUCGGGGCUCCAUGAUCAUCAUCGUCACCGGCAUGACACCAUGAGCUCCAUCAUCAUGAUCUCCAUCAUCGUGUCUCCAUGAAGUUGUCUCGCCAACUUAUUACUUCUACUACUAUGGCUACCAGUUAGCAAUAAAGUAAAGUAAUUACAUGGCGUUGUUCAAUGACAUGCAGGUCAUACAAUAAAUAAAGACAACUCCUAUGGCUCCUGCCGAUUGUCAUACUCAUCGACAUGCAAGUUGUGAUUCCUAUUACAAGAACAUGAUCAAUCUCAUACAUCACAUAUCAUUCAUCACAUUCUUCUUGGCCAUAUCACAUCACAUAGCAUACCCUGCAAAAACAAGUUAGACGUCCUCUAAUUGUUGUUUGCAUGUUUUACGUGGCUGCUAUGGGUUACUAGCAAGAAAGUUUCUUACCUACGCAAAACCACAACGUGAUAUGUCAAUUGCUAUUUACCCUUCAUAAAGACCCUUUACAUCGAAUCCGAUCCGACUAAAGUGGGAGAGACUGGCACCCGCUAGCCACCUUAUGCAACAAGUGUACGUGUACGUGUAAGGUUGGUCCGGGCCGCUUCAUCCCACAAUACCGUCGAUACAAGAUUGGACUAGUAAUGGUAAGCAUAUUGAACAAAAUCAACGCCCACAACUACUUUGUGUUCUACUCGAGCAAAGAAUCUACGCAAUAGACCUAGCUCAUGAUGCCACUAUGGGGGAACGUAGCAGAAAUUCAAAAUUUUCCUACGAGUCACCAAGAUCUAUCUAUGGAGAGACUAGCAACGAGGGGAAGGAGAGUGCAUCUACAUACCCUUGUAGAUCGCUAAGCGGAAGCAUUCAAGAGAACGGGGUUGAAGGAGUUGUACUCGUCGUGAUCCAAAUCACCGGAGAUCCUAGUGCCGAACGGACGGCACCUCCGUCGUCUCCCAUGCCUUGAUCCAGCAAGGAGAAAGGGAGAGGUUGAGGAAGACUCCAUCCAGCAGCAGCACGACGGUGUGGUGGUGGUGGAGGAGCGUGGCAAUCCUGCAGGGCUUCGCCAAGCACUGCGGGAGAGGAGGAGGACUUGGGAGAGGGGGAGGGCCGCGCCAGAACUUUGUGUCAAGCUCCCAUGCGCCUCCCCACUAUAUAUAGGGGUGGAGGGGCUGGUUUCUUGCCCUCCAAGUCCAUUGGGGCGUUGGCAAAGGUGGGAGGAAAGAAAUCCCAUCAUUUCCUUCCCCACCGAUUGUUAUCCCCCCUUUUUAGGGAUCUUUAUCUUAUCCCUUCAGGAUAUGAUCUCAUUCCUUCUAAGGGGGGAUCUUGGUGCGCCUUGACCCGGGGUGUGGGGCCUUGCCCACACUACCCACGUUCAUGUGUAUCCCCCCAUGCAGGUGGGCCCCACUCCGGAACCUUCUAGAACCUUCCCGGUACAAUACCGAAAAAUCCCGAACAUUUUUCGGUGGCCAAAAUUGGACUUCCCAUAUAUAAAUCUUUACCUCCGGACCACUCCGGAACUCCUCGUGAUGUCCGGGAUCUCAUCCGGGACUCCGAACAACAUUCGGUAACCACAUACAAACUUCCUUUAUAACCCUAGCGUUAUCGAACCUUAAGUGUGUAGACCCUACGGGUUCAGGAGACACGUAGACAUGACCGAGACAACUCUCCGGCCAAUAACCAACAGCGGGAUCGGGAUACCCAUGUUGGCUCCCACAUGUUCCACGAUGAUCUCAUCAGAUGAACCACGAUGUCGAGGAUUCAAUCAAUCCCGUAUUCAAUUCCCUUUGUCCAGCGGUAUUAUACUUGCCCGAGAUUCGAUCAUCGGUAUGGUGAUACCUUGUUCAAUCUCGUUACCGGCAAGUCUCUUUACUCGUUCCAUAACACAUCAUCCCGUGAUCAACCCCUUGGUCACAUUGUGCACAUUAUGAUGAUGUCCUACCGAGUGGGCCCAGAGAUACCUCUCCGUUUACACGAAGUGACAAAUCCCAGUCUCGAUUCAUGCCAACCCAACAGACACUUUCGGAGAUACCUGUAGUGCACCUUUAUAGCCACCAAGUUACGUUGUGACGUUUGGUACACCCAAAGCAUUCCUAAGGUAUCUGGGAGUUGCACAAUCUCAUGGUCUAAGGAAAAGAUACUUGACAUUAGAAAUGCUUUAGCAUACAAACAACAUGAUCUUUGUGCUAGGCUUAGGAUUGGGUCUUGUCCAUCACAUCAUUCUGCUAAUGAUGUGAUCCCGUUAUCAACGACAUCCAAUGUCCAUGGUCAGGAAACUGUAACCAUCUAUUGAUCAACGAGCUAGUCAACUAGAGGCUUACUAGGGACAUGGUGUUGUCUAUGUACCCACACAUGUAUCUGAGUUUCCUAUCAAUACAAUUAUAGCAUGGAUAAUAAACGAUUAUCAUGAACAAGGAAAUAUAAUAAUAACUAAUUUAUUAUUGCCUCUAGGGCAUAUUUCCAACAUUCUAGACAAAAGUUUGAACUGGCUGGACAAAGCAUGGAGUGACUUACUAUAGCAGUCUUGACUGGCUCCGAAAACCCAUGCUUCUUGCUGUUGUGGGUGGCCUUAAACAAGUCAAUCGCAGACAGCUCCUCACCCUUACGCUCUUCUUUUUGAAAUGUUUUUCAACAAAAAUCAAAAUGUUAUUCAACAAGAAUCAGAAAUGUUAUUGAACGAGUAUCAAACGGUAAGGUCUCUAGAGAAAAGUUCUCACAGUGGCAAAAAUGUGUGCUGUGUAGUGCCUGGAACCAGUUCUCUGAUUGUACACGACUUUUUCUCGAUUCAUCUUGUUCGACACAUAGGUUUCCUACAAAAAAGCAUACUGUCAGCAUGAUCUAGCACUAGCAUAUCAUGUGCAGAACAUAAAGCAGCAAACAAAGCAGAGGCAAACCUUGUGUCUUGGGAUAGACCACAUCUCCACCAGAGCUUGCCAUUCACCGUCCGUCAGAUCUGGCACCGGAGACUUGAUACUGACUUUGUUUGCGGCUACGGUAUCAAAAUACUUCUUCUUGAUCUGAUAGCCUCUGUUCUUUGAAUUUUUCUGCAGAAUAUCUUUGCACAUGGUCUUGAUGGUCUCUGAGUCCGUGUUCAUCUCAAAAUUUGCCUACCAAGAUAGCAAACAAGGUAGGAACAAUAUUAGUGAUCAUGCAUAGGUGUAACAGAAAAUAGAUAGCACAUUAACUACGAAACAAGUAGCUUACAUCAACUUUCCCAAUGUAGUUCUCCAAUAGACUAGCAUUUUUUUAUAGCUUGAAGUGAGGAAGAACCGUCAGAUGGCUUCUUGCAACAUGUCCACACUCAGAAGCAAGCUUUGCUGCCUGCAGAGGCUUCUCUGGACGCUUCAUCCCUUCGGCAAUUUGGAUAGGCACCUUGCUACAAAGCGACUUGGUGAUUCUCUCCAGCCCUUUGCCCUUUCUAAGUCUAGUCUUGGUAGUCAUUGCAUCUGAAAAUGAAAUUGAACUCAUAAAUUAGAAUAGAAAUCGACAGAUGCAGGAAUUGACAAAAGCAUACAUGAUCAUUCCAUUUGGAAAAUGCACCAGUAAAAGAGAGCAUUGCAAAGGUCAACUUGCCUGGUUGAAGCACAAGUUGUUGUUCUUCUUCAUUGAUGACAACAUUCCUAUCAAUAGAAGGUGCAACAGGGAUGAGGUCUGUGUGUACAGUGCCUGCUUCAUCUAUGAAGAUAGUUCCUCCUUCAUCUAGGCAGACAGUGCCACUUCCAUCCAUGCAGAGAGUGGUUCCUUUAUCCAUGGGCGGCAACUCAUCACCCAUUUGCACCGAAGUCUUAGAGUCCAUGCGCAUCAGACUUUCCUGAUGGUCCGUCGCAGUCGCCAUCUUUGUUUUCUACCUUGUGACUCUAUCAGGGGCAGGUUCAUCAGGCUCCAGGAUCCUCUUUUUUGUCCUGGAGUUAGGGCCAUCACCCUUCCUGGAGGGAUUGUAGCAGAUGUUUCUGAGCUCUUCUUAUUCUUGCUGACUGUCUUCUUAACAUUAGGCCUCUUCGUCCUAGAUUCUUUCAUUGCCUCGUAUAAACAGCGCGGAAAAAGCAUUAGAUGAUAAGAGAGCACAAGGUAACACAUAGCAUAAAAGAACCCCAACCCUCCAAGCAAGACAGAGUUUGCACCUUAACAAUCUUCUUCACUACGACAUCAUCCACUUCCUCUCCAUCAAUAACUUGAUCCUCCUUAGGAUUGUACUCUGGGUCAUCAUUGAUAACUCCACUACCUUCUUGAACCUCAUCACUUCUACCUUCUUGCACAUCAUUUUUUUUCCUAAUCAUCGACGCUAUUGCGCUGAUGCCAAGGGACUGCAACAUCCGAUUGUUCCUCAUGAUAUUUCUAGCCCUAACAUUCUCGUAUUCGAUGAGAGGCUCUUCUUUGCAUGAUAAAGGAAACGUAACUAUUAGGUGAAUGUUUGGAAUGCAUGGACAGACAGCCAAACAUUUCUUAUGAGAUUUUAUUAUCAUUUAAUCCUAGUUAUUCAGGUAAGGAAGACUAACAGCACACAGGCACAAUUAAGCCAGCAUAUUCAGAUUGUAGCAAUACAUUUCACUUAGCAUAUUAAGACACAAAUUUUAUAAAACUGACAGUAUAAUCCCAAGGGGCAAGUUGCAUACCAACGGUUGGCCUCAUGUUUGACCUUGUCAUCCUUGCCAUGGAUGAUCUUGAGGUGGUGCUUGCAAAAUAGAAUAAACAACAACCAGAUACAACAGGGAUAAAGUAAAAUGAUGCACUUGUAUCAAUAAAUGAAAGCAUUUGGACCAUCAUGCACAUAAAGGUGUAGCAAUGCAUCAGUAAUAAUACAUGUCAAGCAAACUUGCUGGAUCAACAAUAUAAUGAUGUAGUUCAAUUAAUUAAGCAUACAUGUAAGUGCACUAAACAAGCAUGCAUGUACACAGGAAAGAUAUGAAGCAUCCCUAAAAAUCUUGACUACAUCAAGCAGGGGGUAGCAAUGUACAUAACUCAACUAAGUUAAUUGGUGUCAUUACAGAAAAGUAGCACAAAGUAAUAACUAACAUAUCUAGCUGAUCUAUAGUAUAAUGCUCGCAGAAAUGGAAGAUGGACUUAAUCAUUUAGUAAUGAACACCAUGAAUUAACUAGACCAACCCAGAGAGCAUAUAUCACACCUACAUGAGCUACUCUAGUAGUGUAGUGAGCAGGAAGCUUUCUAUAUGAACGACAGAGUCCCAUAGGAAGCAAUGAGAGAUCAGCACUGCCACUGAUAAAUUUAGCAAACCCAGGAACAUAGCUAUGGAACAAGAUCAUCCAUAUGUAAACCAAAGCAUGGCAGGAGCUCACAUGAUUGAAACCAAACAUCAAUGGGAACGUACAAACCCUAGAUAGCAUGGGAACAACAACUACAGAGCAUUAGAUUUAGUGGUGACCAUAAUCAAGAACACAUAACAGGAUUGGCAGUAGAAGGAGAGGGAGAUGGAGAUGGAUGUGCUACUUGCUUUUGUGGUGGUGCGUCGUAGUAGCCGUGCUUGAGCUCCUCCUCCUGAUGCUGCUCAAUAACCUGCAAGACAAACAAGGCCAUAGGUGAGCUGCCACAGGGCAUCCACAUGACAAUGCAAAACAUCAAGCAACAUGUCCGAGUCAUAGACAGGGAUGCACAAUCAAAAUAGAGCAUACAAAAUCUAGAAUAAAGAACCACCUCCCCACAAAACCCUAACCCUAUCAAUGUCCGAGUCAUUGACACGGAUGUUUCUUAUCCAAGUGCUACUGAUAGAAACAAGCAUAGUGCCACUGAUAGAAACAAGCAAGCAAAGAAUGAAAUAUAAGAGCAACAAGAAAGCAAGUAUUGUUGAUACAAACCCUUGCUUUUUCUCCAGGUGCUACUGAUACAAGCAAGUACUGCUGAUGGAAACCCUAAUUAACCAUGUAAUCUAGCAAGAAACAUGAACUAGAGGGAGGUCAUCCCCUAACAUCAUCCACAUCCUCAUCUAUCCCCAUCCCCUAACAGCAUGCAUUUCCUCUCCAUCAACCUGAACCAUAACCCCAUGAAGCAGCCUACCAGAGGGGGAUCGAACGAACCACCAGGAGGUCCUAACCCUAGAUCGACCAGGAGAGGGGUCGAUAGAACCACCAAGAGCUCCUAACCCCAGAAUCCAUCCCAUGAACAAGAACCACCAGGAGCUCCCAGAUCUACCGAAUCCUUAACCUAGAUCGACCAGGAGGGGGAUCGAGGGGAGAAGUACCUGUCGUCCAUGAUGGGAUCGAGGGGAUCGUCGAUGAUGUCGAUGUAGCCGCCGUCGUCGAUGUAGUCGUAGCCGGGGCCAUCGAUGUCGUUGAAUUAGCCGCCGUUGUCGAUGUAGCCGUCAUCGUCGAGGGUGGGAUGGAGCGGAGCAGGGCAGGGCGAAGCAGAGGAGGAGGAGCUAGGGUUGCGGGUGGGGAAUGGGGAAUUUGGGGGAGGGGGAGAGGGGAGGGGGAUUNNNNNNNNNNNNNNNNNNNNNNNNNNNNNNNNNNNNNNNNNNNNNNNNNNNNNNNNNNNNNNNNNNNNNNNNNNNNNNNNNNNNNNNNNNNNNNNNNNNNNNNNNNNNNNNNNNNNNNNNNNNNNNNNNNNNNNNNNNNNNNNNNNNNNNNNNNNNNNNNNNNNNNNNNNNNNNNNNNNNNNNNNNNNNNNNNNNNNNNNNNNNNNNNNNNNNNNNNNNNNNNNNNNNNNNNNNNNNNNNNNNNNNNNNNNNNNNNNNNNNNNNNNNNNNNNNNNNNNNNNNNNNNNNNNNNNNNNNNNNNNNNNNNNNNNNNNNNNNNNNNNNNNNNNNNNNNNNNNNNNNNNNNNNNNNNNNNNNNNNNNNNNNNNNNNNNNNNNNNNNNNNNNNNNNNNNNNNNNNNNNNNNNNNNNNNNNNNNNNNNNNNNNNNNNNNNNNNNNNNNNNNNNNNNNNNNNNNNNNNNNNNNNNNNNNGAGGGGGAUUUGUCGUCGGAGAGAGGGGUGGCGGGGUGGUGUGGAGCAGGGGAAGGAGUCGGCGGUGGCGGGGCAGGGGAGGGAGUCAUCGUCGACGGGGCGGUGGGGCGGGGUGGGGAGAAGCUAGGGUUCGUCGCGGAGGCGAAUGGGGAAAUUUUGGGGAGAUGGGAGGGGAUCCCGUGUGUUAGUGGAGAGGAGAGGAGAGGGAAUGUUAGGUCACGCAUGGUAGUGGGAGAGAAGUGGUGCAAAAUUUUGGUGGGAUGGGAGGGAAAAUUUUGUGCUAGGAGGGAAAAUUUGGUGGGGUGGGAGGGAAAUUUUUACCAUUUUUUAGAGGUUUGGAGGAAGAAAAAUUCAGGGUCUUUUUCGUAAAUUUUGUAGAAAUAAUGGUUAAAAUCAUACCGAAUAACUCAAGAAAACAUCGGUAUUCCAAGUUUAGUAUUUUUGCUAGUUGGUAAGCCACAUUUGAUGAUGUGACGCCAAGGUCCCCCAUUAUUUUAAUUUUUUUGAAUUUUUUACCGUGUUUUCAAAAACUGGCCGAUUUUGUCAUGGCGGCCGCCCGUGGCUAGGGUUUGAGUCAUGCACAUCUGUUGUCGAUUCUUUGAUGAAAUGCCUACCUGUGAAGCUCAAAAUUAUUUUUGGCAAAAAUAGCGGGCAAGCUAUGGAGGACCCGCAGUUUAAAUUCCAGCCGGUUCCAGCUGAAUCGGCCAAAGGUGGUCUGAAUGGCCGGGAGUAGCUACGAGGGUCGGAAAUGCAUGAUUUUUGGCGACCGUCCGUAAAAUAGAGUCUACUUUCAGAUAGACAUGGAAUGGCGCCGUUUGGGGUGACCCUCCUUGUAGCCGCUUCACGAAAAACGCAUGUCUUUAUCAUUCAAAAAAUGAAAACCGGUUUUUUUUUGUUAAACAAGUUGGAACCUCGCUUUGGCAACAUUGUUUGCCAUCACAAGACGGAGGCAUGCGCCAAAUUUGGGCAUAUUAUCAAAAACUAUUUAAUGGAUGUGGGCAUAUCAUUGCUAGUUUGGCUUGAAAGCCAUGAAUCUUCGUUCAUGGUAGGUCGUUUUUGAGAACACCUUUUCAAGAAAACCUUGGCAUUCCAAGUUUAGUAUUUUUGCUAGUUGGUAUGCCACAUUUGAUGAUGUGACAUGGAGGUCUCCUAUUUUUUUGAAUUUUUUAUGGUGUUUCCAAAAACCGGCCGAUUUCGUCGCGGCGGCCGUCCGUGGCUAGGGCUUGAGUCAUGCAAAUCUGUUGUCGAUUGUUUACAAAAAAACAUGUUUAGAUGACACUGUCAUACUUGAGCAUUAAACUUAUAUUGUUUCAUAAUGUUGUUGAUUCUUAAUGAACAAUCUUAACGAAAAAACAUGUUUUUGACAAUCACAAAAUGAAACUUAUAUUGUUUCAUACAUGAGCAUGCACAAAAACCCAUAAUUUCAUCUUUCAUACAUGAGCAUGCACAAAAUAUCAAUUCCCAUCAAUUACCAAACUGAAUAUUAAUAAUUAAGAAACUGAAUAUUCAUAAUUAAGAAACUGAAUAUUCAUACUUAAGCAUCCAUAAGCUUGCACAAAAUUCAAACUAAGCUUGGCAUUGCCACUUAACAUUCCCACUUGAUUUCUUAACAUCUUCAUUCGUUCUUCUCCUUAUUCUUCUUCAUCCUCCUGAUGCGCUCAGAGUGGCGAAUGCCGACGUGGAUGUACUCCUCUACCACAAUUGGCAUGGUCCUGACGCCCAACUAUGGAAUCGCCGGCGCCACUACCAUCGCGAGGUCAUUGUUAGGCACCACCAUCGUGAGGUCAACGUCAGGCACCACAAUCGCGAGGUCGUCGUCAGCCACCAUAGCAGGGUCAAUGUCAGGCACCGCAAUCACAAGGUCAUCGUCAGCCACCACCAUAGCAGGGUCGUCAUCAGCCACCACCAUAGCAAGGUCGUCGUCAGCUAGAAUAGGCUGCACCACCCUGCUCUGCUCCUCGUCAUCCCCGCUCUGCUCCUCAUCAUCCCAGCUCUGCUCCUCGUCAUCCCUUCUCUGCUUCUCUUCUUGCCCACUCUGCUCCUCGUCAUCCCCGCUGCUGCUCCCAUUGCCUAGCCAAAUGCAACAACUUGUGAACAUGGUGUUGUCGUCGUGCUAGUAGAGGAAGCCAAAAGGACAGGAAGAAGAGAGGCAAAGAGCUUACUGGCAUCGUCGUCGUGCUAGUAGUACACGUGGCACAUGGUGUUGUCGAACAUCUUCAUGGUGAACAUGGCGUCGUCGUCGUAGCGGAAGAUAAGGAAGUGCCCGAGCUGCAGCUCAUGGGCGCGGGCGAAAUGCUCCCAUCCGGGCCCUAGGUACAUGUGUCCUUCCUCUGUCGAACACCACCACCACAUCCCACAGCCUGCGAAGCCCGCUGCUGGCCUCCCGCAACUUCACUUUGUGGGGCUCACGGCCGGCGAGCAUCUUCGCAAACUUGUCAGUCAGCCUCUGCAGCGAGGGUCAAGUAGUGGUUAAUUGUGCCAAUCAAGCACUACACAGCAGAGUGAUGAUUAAGAAAUGAGUGAUGAUAAAUAUACCUGCCGACUGCAAGAUUUCUCAAUUAUGACCUCGAAGAACUUGAAACCUUCCAUGCCAGCCAUCUCACUUCUCUGAAAAGAAGGAUUGUAAUUACACAACAAGUUACCAUAAACAGGACUGGACAUAGUUGGAACAGAACCAAGUUUAUGAUGGCCAAAGUGAGAAAAAAAGCAAUGCACUUGUGGAUAUUUAUGAUAGCAAAAGUGAGAAAAAAGCAAUGCACUUGAGAAAACAAGCCAUUUCUACUAUAAAUGGCAAACACAGCAUCAGGAUAAUAUCCACUAUAAAUGGACCAUAUCUACAAUGAACCGUAUCUACUAUAAAUGGACCAUAUCUUCCCAUAUGCUACAUUUUGUUAGAACCCAGCACUUAAGAACUGAAACCUAGAUUCUCAAUUUAAACACACCUACCCAAUACAGUCAUGUACAAAACUGAACAACUUUUGACCACAUAAAUUGGAGAUGUAUAAGAUUAACAAGGCUAUUUUUGCAUUAUGUGGACAUACAAACCGGGGAAUGUAAAUGAGAACAAACAACUGACCAAGUGGGUAGGUGUUAACUGAUCUAUGCAGUACAAGGAACAGGUAACUGGUGGUAGCCAGCGCAGCAGUGAUGUGUGCAAGAUAAUGCAAAAUAAAAACAAUAGUUUGCAUCACUAUGAUUAUCAUUAAAGAUUUACUGGUCGCAGGUGAUUUGCUGUGCGUAAUUAGUCAUAACACUUAAUCAAAGAACAUGGGGGGGACGGAACGGACCUGGGGGGGACGAUGACUGCUUGAGCUUGUUGGCCUUGUGGGUGUCGUGGACGCAGAGAGUGUAGGCCUCCUCUUGAUCUCGUGGAUCUGCUUCGGCUACAACGGAACCCUAAUUAGCAUGAGCCACGGAACCCUAAUCUAAUCUGAUCCCAUGGAUCUCGUGGGAAGAGGAACAAGAAGGAGUCGGCGGAUUCAUACCUUAGGAGGCCGUCGCUGUCGCCGUCGAUGGAGGAGUAGGUUGCCAAGGAGGUCGUCACCGUCGAUGGAGGAGAAGGGGAUGCGGGCGGCGGAGAGGAGGAGUGGGUCGAGUGGAUAAUGGAGAGGAGGAGUGGGUCAAGUGGAGAGGAGGAUUAGGUCCACUUGUCAGCGAGUUCUGUAUUUGAUAUAUUGAAAAGGGUUGGCAUAGAGUACAAAACCAACAGCCUCUAACUAGCGCAGUGGUAGAAAACAGUGGAAUAAGCGGCAGGUCGUGGUUCGAGCCCCUUCUCGCGCAUAUUUUUUUGGCAUAUUUUUUGGUUGCUUAGGGGGGGUAGAGUAGCAAAAUGGCCCACUUGUCAGCGAGUGGGUCUAGUGGCCCACUUGUCAGCAAGGUCUGUGUUUGCUACUUGACUGGUUUGAUGAUUUGAAAAGAGAUGGCAUAGAGUGGAAGACCAGUAGUCUCUUCCUAGCCUAGUGGUAGAAACACAGUGAAACGAGCGCACGGUCGUGGGUUCAAGUCCCCGCUCACGCAUAUUUUUUUGCUCACAAUGAAAUGGAGCCACACAUGGGAUCAAACGGGCUGUCUGAUGGAGCAUGCAACAUCUUCAGUUAAAGCAUUUUGCAAUCAUUUCUGAAACAACAUAUUCAGUUAAAAAAAACUUAAGGAUCACAUCAUUUUGCAAUCUUUUGCAUUAUAAGGCAACAUUUUGAAUCACAUCACAACCAUAAGUCUCAUUCAUUGAAGACAUUUUUGUCAUUUCUGCCCAAAUAUCAUAACAAUAAGCAUCGAAAAUGCCCCAGCAUCAUAACAAUCACAACAAUUGUUUUGCAACCAAAAUGUUGAUGCUUACAAAAUACUACAACGAACAUUUUGUCACAGGAUCACACCACUACAUCCAUCAGGAUCUUCAAGCAUUUUGCUACCUGGAGAUAAUUGUAGUACAUUAGGAUCACCAUGCAUAUGCACAAGAAGGAAAACUACAGAGAAUUACAAGGAAAACUACAGAGAGUUAGAAGGAUCACCAAGGAGACAAAAUUUACCUUCAUGUCCAUUCACUACUCAUCAUUGUCGAUACGAAAACAAGGAACUCUAUUCCCACUCCUGUUUUCCUCAUCGUCACUACAAUAUUGCAGCACGGUCGUGGGUUCAAGUCCCCGCUCGCGCAUAUUUUUUUGCUCACAAUGAAAUGGAGCCACGCAUGGGAUCAGACGGGCUGUCUGAUGGAGCGUGCAACAUCUUCAGUUAAAGCAUUUUGCAAUCAUUUCUGAAACAACAUAUUCAGUUCAAAAAAAACUUAAGGAUCACAUCAUUUUGCAAUCUUUUGCAUUACAAGGCAACAUUUUGAGUCACAUCACAACCAUAAGUCUCAUUCAUUGAAGAAUUUUUUGUCAUUUCUGCCCAGAUAUCAUAACAAUAAGAAUCCAAAAUGCACCAGCAUCAUAACAAUCACAACAAGUGUUUUGCAACCAAAAUGUUGAUGCUUACAAAAUACUACAACCAACAUUUUGUCACAGGAUCACACCACUACAUCCAUCAGGAUCUUCAAGCAUUUUGCUACCUGGAGAUAAUUGUAGUACAUUAGGAUCACCAUGCAUAUGCACAAGAAGGAAAACUACAGAGAAUUACACGGAAAACUAUAGAGAGUUAGAAGUAUCACCAAGGAGAUAAAAUUUACCUUCAUGUCCAUUCACUACUCAUCGUUGUCGAUACGAAAACAAGGAACUCUAUGCCCACUCCUAUUUUCCUUAUCAUCACUACAAUAUUGCAGCACAGUAUGAUCAGUCAUGUUUUCCUCAUCCUCGCUCUCAUGUCCAUCUGCUACCACCUGUCUUCUUUUCUUGAUGCCUUCAACUAUUGCAGCAUCAAAGAGCAUACGUUCCUGCUCCCUUUGCACUCUGUGUUGCACUGAAACUUCCAUAUAUUCAUCAUCAGCUUGCAACAGAACUUUCGUAGAGUCAUCAUCCUGGUAUGUUAGUACACCACCAACGGGGACCUUUUCCACUUCAGUUUCAGUCACACUCCACAAGUGUCUAUGCUCAAAGUUUUGCACAACUCGCCACUUUCCAUGCAAAAGAGUGUCUGGCAGAUAAAACACCAUUGUUGCUUGUGUUGUUAGAAUAAAGGGAUCACUCUUGUACCAGCACCUUGCAGUGUUGAUGAUUUUGAAGUGGCCAUCAUAUUUGACAAAAGAGUCUCUCUUCUUCUUGCUACCAAGCUCAAACCAGUCACAGCAAAAUAAGACAGCCGAGUGAUGGAUGCCUCCACUAGAGUUGUACUACAACUCUACGAUGCUUCUCAACUGACCGUAGAAGUCAAUGAUCUCACGAUCAUGUGAACCCUCAGUGAGGAUUCCACUAUUCUGUGCCUUCCUUUUUUCCUCGCGGUCAACGGUGUGGUACCGGACACCGUUAGCAAUGCAUGCUGAAUACACUGUCACUCGCUUAUUUUGUAAGCAUGCCAAAGCAAAUAGAUCAUCACUAACCUUCUUCUCCUCAUGCAAUUUUCCAAUCUGCACAAAUAAACCAUUUAGCAAACAAUGGUAUUCAACAGUUGGUGAAUAACAUAGAAAACAUCAAACAUGUGGCUAAAGAUCUCACAUGAUUCUUAAACCACUUAGCAAACCCCUUGGCAACCCUUUUCUCAACAUGGAUCUUGCUUUCUUCCUGAUUUAACUCUUCCUUGCAUUUCCUGCAAUGCAAACAAAACAUGUGAAUUAGAACAUUAGGUUGCUGCCAACCCAAGCAAAAAAAACAUAAUGAGUGCACAAGAUAUAACGUACUCGAUACAUGGUAGAACCUCGGCGCAAUUGCUGAGCACAUACCAAACCAUUUUGUCAUACUCAUCACCAGCCUCCAAGUAUUGUGAGGCUCCAAGAAAGUUCACACCACGUGUCGGUGUCAAAACCGGCGGAUCUCGGGUAGGGGGUCCCGAACUGUGUGUCUAGGCGGAUGGUAACAGGAGACAAGGGACACGAUGUUUUACCCAGGUUCGGGCCCUCUUGAUGGAGGUAAAAUCCUACGUCCUGCUUGAUUAAUAUUGAUGAUGUGUGUUACAAGAGUGGAUCUACCACGAGAUGAAGGAGGCUAAACCCUAGAAGCUAGCCUAUGGUAUGAUUGUUGUUCGUCCUAUGGACUAAAGCCAUCCGGUUUAUAUAGACACCGGAGAGGGCUAGGGUUAGAUAGAGUCGGUUACAAUGGUAGGAGAUCUACAUAUCCGUAUCGCCAAGCUUGCCUUCCACGCCAAGGAAAGUCCCAUCCGGACACGGGACGAAGUCUUCAAUCUUGUAUCUUCAUAGUCUUGGAGUCCGGCCGAUGAUGAUAGUUCGGCUAUCCGGACACCCCCUAGUCCGGAACUCCCUCAGUAGCAAAAAUAAAUUUAUCCGGACCAGGAUUCAAUGACGACGAGUCCGGCGCGCAUGUUGUCUUCGGCAUUGCAAGGCGGGUUCUUCCUCCGAAUAAUUUAUAGAAGAUUGUGAACACCAGGAUAGUGUCCAGCUCUGCAAAAAUAAAUUCCACGCACCACCGUAGAGAGAAUAAUAUUAGACAAGUUCAAUCUGCUGACGUAUUUUGCGGCGUGACGUCACACCACUACCAAGCCUUUACUAGAAUCGUUUUUAUUGUACCACCUCAGCGUGUUUAGCAAAGCGGUUUCCUUGGCACGUCUUGUCGAAGCAGAGAUCGUGUUCCCCUUAUUUCGGUAUUCCCAUCAAUACGGACGUGGGUAACCCAACCGUGCCCGUCUCCACGCCCCCUCCAUCGAAGGCGGGUUCCAAACGGUCACGGGGACGGCUCUUGGUAUUCUUCCUCUUUAUAAUGAGAUCGAGGCCCGUUCUUUUUCUUCAAUCCUCUAUCGAAUACGUCCCUCGCCCCGAGUUCCAACACCUAGGGCUCCAGAUUAGGCUACCUUCGAUCUUCGACAAUGUCCGGCCCCGACCUACGAGGCCGGUGGAUGCCCUCCUCCGUCACGGAAGAAGACGUGCUAAAGCUGAGUGACGCCAGGUAUUUGACCUACCAGAUUUCGCAUAGGUUGCCUGCUCGAGGGCAAAUUGUUCCUACUCCCGAACCCGGCGAGAGCGUCGUGUUCGUGUCUCACCUCCGUCGGGGUUUAGGCUUCCCGAUGGAUCCCUUUGUGAGGGGGCUCAUGUUUUACUAUGGGCUGGAAUUCCAUGACUUGGCUCCGGAGUCCAUCCUCCACAUCUCAUCAUUCAUUGUCGUCUACAAAGCUUUCCUCCGCACUACCCCUCACUUCGGCUUGUGGCUCAAAACCUUCGACGUGGAGCCGAAGAUGAUUGAGGGGCCUCAGACAGAGUGCGGCGGGGCGGUUAUAAGCAAGAGGGCCGAUGCUCCAUGGCCCGAGGGCUCUUUUCAGGAGGAGCUUGGCUUGUGGCAACAGGAGUGGUUCUAUAUCACCGCUCCCAGGGGCAGCAGGCAGAGGCCGCUGCCCGUCUUCCGCUCGGGCCCUCCACAACAGUUGACAUCAUGGGUCAACAAGGGGCGUGACUGGGGGCCGUCCAAAGACGUACCCCUGUUACAGGAUCAGAUUCAAGGCCUCCAAGAAAGGGAUAUCAAUCUAGUCAUAGUGGUACAGGUUAUGCUGAUCCGGCGCCUACUGCCCUGCAAACGUCGCCCCCUCCGCCUGUGGGAAUUUAAUCCGGAGGGGCCAUGAGCUCUUCAACACUUCAUGGGUUUGACACCCGCGGAGAUGUACCAACUGUUCUUCGGAUCGCAAGAGAUGCGUCCGGACUUGACCGAGGACGCUGGCCUAAGCUGCAAUCGACCGGAUAAUCAAGUAAGUAGCCCUGGGUCCGGACACAUUGUCCGUUUAUUUAUUGUGGGUUUGCCUUUUAACCAGCUAUCGCUUGGACAGGAGUGGAUAGCGCAAGCAAAACUGAUACGGUGUCCGGCCCCCUGAAGGAAAUAUGCCCGAGAGGCAAUAAUAAAGUUAUUAUUUAUUUCCUUAUUUCAUGAUAAAUGUUUAUUAUUCAUGCUAGAAUUGUAUUAACCGGAAACAUAAUACAUGUGUGAAUACAUAGACAAACAUAGUGUCACUAGUAUGCCUCUACUUGACUAGCUCAUUAAUCAAAGAUGGUUGUGUUUCCUAACCAUAGACAUGUGUUGUCAUUUGAUUAAUGGGAUCACAUCAUUAGGAGAAUAAUGUGAUUGACUUGACCCAUUCCGUUAGCUUAGCACUUGAUUGUUUAGUAUGUUGCUAUUGCUUUCUUCAUAACUUAUACAUGUUCCUGUAACUAUGAGAUUAUGCAACUCCCGUUUACCGGAGGAACACUUUGGGUGCUACCAAACGUCACAACGUAACUGGGUGAUUAUAAAGGAGUACUACAGGUGUGUCCAAAGGUACAUGUUGGGUUGGCGUAUUUCGAGAUUAGGUUUUGUCACUCCGAUUGUCGGAGAGGUAUCUCUGGGCCCUCUCGGUAAUGCACAUCACUAUAAGCCUUGCAAGCAAUGUGACUAAUGGUUUAGUUGCGGGAUGAUGCAUUACGUAACGAGUAAAGAGACUUGCCGGUAACGAGAUUGAACUAGGUAUUGGAUACCGACGAUCGAAUCUCGGGCAAGUAACUUACCGAUGACAAAGGGAACAAAGUAUGUUGUUAUGCGGUUUGACCGAUAAAGAUCUUCGUAGAAUAUGUAGGAGCCAAUAUGGGCAUCCAGGUUCCGCUAUUGGUUAUUGACCAAGAAUAGUUCUAGGUCAUGUCUACAUAGUUCUUGAACCCGUAGGGUCCGCACGCUUAAGGUUUCGAUGACAGUUAUAUUAUGAGUUUAUGAGUUUUGAUGUACCGAAGGGUUCGGAGUCCCGGAUGAGCGGGGACAUGACGAGGAGCCUCGAAAUGGUCGAGACGUAAAGAUCGAUAUAUUGGACGACUAUAUUCGGAGUUCGGAAAGGUUCCGAGUGAUUCGGGUAUUUUUCGGAGUACCGAAGAGUUACGGGAAUUCGCCGGGGAGUAUAUGGGCCUUAUUGGGCCAUAUGGGAAUAGUGGAGAGAGGCCAAAAGGAAGGAGGCCUGCGCCCCACCUCUGGUCCGAAUUGGACAAGGGGCGCAGCCCCCCCUUUCCUUCUUCCUCUCCCCCUCUUCCCCCCUCUCCUACUCCAACAAGGGAGGUGGAAUCCUACUAGGACUAGGGAGUCCUAGUAUGACUCCACACUUGGUGCUCCCCCUCCUAGGUCCGGCCACCUCCCCCCUUGCUCCUUUAUAUACGGGGGCAGGGGGCACCCCAUGACACACAAGUUGAUCUACGGACCAUUCCUUAGCCGUGUGCGGUGCCUCCCUCCACCAUAUUCCACCUCAGUCAUAUCGUCGCGGAGUUUAGGCGAAGCCCUGUGCCGGUAGAGCAUCAUCAUUGUCACCACGCCGUCGUGCUGACGGAACUCAUCCCCGAAGCUUUGCUGGAUCGGAGCCCGGGGAUCGUCAUCGAGCUGAACAUGUGCUGAACUCGGAGGUGCCGUACGUUCGGUACUUGGAUCGGUCGGAUCGUGAAGACGUACGACUACAUCAACCGCGUUGUCAUAACGCUUCCGCUUACAGUCUACGAGGGUAUGUGGACAACACUCUCCCCUCUCGUUGCUAUGCCAUCACCAUGAUCUUGCGUGUACGUAGGAAUUUUUUUGAAAUUACUACGUUCCCCAACAGUGGCAUCCGAGCCAGGUUUUAUGCGUUGAUGUUAUAUGCACGAGUAGAACACAAGUGAGUUGUGGGUGAUACAAGUCAUACUGCUUACCAGCAUGUCAUACUUUGGUUCGGCGGUAUUGUUGGAUGAAGCGGCCCGGACCCACAUUACGCGUACGCUUACGCGAGACUGGUUUUACUAUCGUGCUUUGCACACAGGUGACUAGAGGGUGUCAGUUUCUUCAACUUUAGUUGAACCGAGUGUGGCUACGCCCAGUCCUUGAGAAGGUUAAAACAGCACCAACUUGACGAACUAUCGUUGUGGUUUUGAUGAGUAGGUAAGAACGGUUCUUGCUCAGCCCGUAGCAGCCACGUAAAACUUGCAACAACAGAGUAGAGGACGUCUAACUUGUUUUUGCAGGGCAUGUUGUGAUGUGAUAUGGUCAAGACGUGAUGAGAUAUAAGUUGUUGUAUGAGAUGAUCAUGUUUUGUUGAAGUUAUUGGCAACUGGUAGAAGCUCUAUGGUUGUCUCUUUGUUGCAUAAGAUGCAAGUGCCAAAUAAUUGCUUUACUUUAUCGCUAUGCGAUAGCAAUAGUUGCAAGAGCAAUAGUUGGCAAGAUGACCAUGUGACGACACAUUGAUAUAGAUCAAGAUGAUGAAGAUCAUGGUGUCGUGCCGGUGACGAUAGAGAUCAUGACAGUACUUUGGAGAUGGAGAUCAAAGAUGCAAGAUGAUCAUGGCCAUAUCAUGUCACAUAUUUUGAUUGCAUACGAUGUUUAUCUGUUAUACAUCUUAUUCUGUUUUGUUUGAUGGUAGCAUUAUAAGAUGAUCUCUCACUAAUUAUCAAGAAGUGUUCUCCCUGAGUAUGCACCGUUGCCAAAGUUCGUCGUGCCCAGACACCACGUGAUGAUCGGGUGUGAUAAGCUCUACGUCCAUCUACAACGGGUGCAAGCCAGUUUUGCACACGCGGAAUACUCAGGUUAUACUUGACGAGCCUAGCAUAUGUAGAUAUGGCCUCCGAACACAGAGACCGAAAGGUCGAGCGUGAAUCAUAUAGUAGAUAUGAUCAACAUAGUGAUGUUCACCAUUGAAAACUACUCCAUCUCACGUGAUGAUCGGUUAUGGUUUAGUUGAUUUGGAUCACGUGAUCACUUAGAGGAUUAGAGGGAUGUCUUUCUAAAGUGGGAGUUCUUAAGUAAUAUGAUUAAUUGAACUUAAAUUUAUCAUGAACUUAGUCCUGGUAGUAUUUUGCAAAUUAUGUUGUAGAUCAAUAGCUUGCGUUGUUGCUUUCAUAUGUUUAUUUUGAUAUGUUCCUAGAGAAAAUUGUGUUGAAAAAUGUUAGUAGCAAUGAUGCGGAUUGGAUCCGUGAUCUGAGGUUUAUCCUCAUUGCUGCACAGAAGAAUUAUGUCCUUGAUGCACCACUAGGUGACAAACCUAUUGCAGGAGCAGAUGCAGACGUUAUGAAUGUUUGGCUAGCUCAAUAUGAUGACUACUUGAUAGUUUAGUGCACCAUGCUUAAUGGCUUAGAAUCGGGACUUCAAAGACGUUUUGAACGUCAUGGACCAUAUGAGAUGUUCCAGGAGUUGAAGUUAAUAUUUCAAGCAAAUACCCGAGUUGAGAGAUAUAAAAUAUCCAACAAGUUCUAUAGCUAAAAGAUGGAGGAGAAUCGCUCAACUAGUGAGCAUGUGCUCAGAUUGUAUGGGUACUACAAUCGCUUGAAUCAAGUGGGAGUUAAUCUUCCAGAUAAAAUAGUGAUUGACAGAAUUCUCUAGUCACCAUCACCAAGUUAGUAGAACUUCGUGAUGAACUAUAAUAUGCAAGGGAUAACGGAAACGAUUCCCAAGCUCUUCGUGAUGCUAAAAUCAAUGAAGGUAGAAAUCAAGAAAAACAUCAAGUAUUGAUGGUAGACAAGAUCACUAGUUUCAAGAAAAGGGCAAAGGGAAAGAAAGGGAAACUUCAAGUAGAAUGGAAAACAAGUUGUCACUCCCGUGAAAAAGCCCAAAGCUGGACCUAAGCCUGAAACAGAGUGCUUCUACUGCAAAAAAAUGGUCACUGGAAGCGGAAAUGCCCUGAAUAUUUGGUGGAUAAGAAGGAUGGCAAAGUGAACAAGGGUAUAUUUGAUAUACAGGUUAUUGAUGUGUGCCUUACUAGUGUUUAUAGUAGCCCCUGAGUAUUUGAUACUUGUUCGGUUGCUAAGAUUAGUAACUCGAAACAGGAGUUACAGAAUAAACAGAGACUAAUUGAAGGGGAAGUGACGAUGAGUGUUGGAAAUAGUUCCAAGAUUGAUAUGAUCAUCAUCACACACUCCCUAUAUUUUUGAGAUUAGUGUUAAACCUAAAUAAAUGUUAUUUAGCGUUUGCAUUGAGCAUGAAUAUGAUUUGAUCAUGUUUAUUGCGAUACAGUUAUUCAUUUGAAGUUAAAGAAUAAUUGUUAUUCUGUUUACAUGAAUAAGACCUUCGAUGGUUAUACACCCAAUGAAAAUAGUUUGUUGGAUCUCGAUCGUAGUGAUACACAUAUUCAUAAUAUUGAUGCCAAAAGAUGCAAAGUUAAUAAUGAUAGUGUAACUUAUUUGUGACACUGCCGUUUGGGUCAUAUCGAUGUAAAGCGCAUGAAGAAACUCCAUAAAGAUGGAUUUUUGGAAUCACUUGGUUAUGAAUCAUUUGAUGCUUGCGAACCGUGCCUUUUGGGCAAGAUGACAAAAACUCCAUUCUCCGGAACAAUGGAACGAGCUACUGAAUUAUUGGAAAUAAUACAUACCGAUGUAUGCGAUCCGAUGAGUGUUAAGGCUCGUGACAAGUAUCAUUAUUUUCUAACCUUCACAAAUGAUUUGAGCAGAUAUGGGUAUAUCUACUUAAUGAAGCACAAGUCUGAAACAUUUGAAAAGUUCAAAGAAGUUCAGAGUGAAGUGGAGAAUCAUCGUAACAAGAAAAUAAAGUUUCUAUGAUCUGAUCAUGGAGACGAAUAUUUGAGUUAUGAGUUUGGUCUUCAAUUAAAACAAUGUGGAAUAGUUUCACAAACUCAUGCCACCUGGAACGCUACAGCAUUAUGGUGUGUCCAAACGUCGUAACUGCACUUUAUUGGAUAUGGUGCGAUCUAUGAUGUCUCUUAUCGGUUUACCACUAUCGUUUUGGGGUUAUGCAUUAGAGACAGCUGCAUUCACGUUAAAAAGGGCACCAUCAAAAUCCGUUGAGACGAUGCCUUAUGAACUGUGGUUUAGCAAGAAACUAAAGUUGUCGUUUCUUAAAGUUUGGGGCUACGAUGCUUAUGUGAAAAAGUUUUAGCAUGAUAAGCUCAAACCCAAAUCGGAGAAGUGCGUCUUCAUAGAUUACCCAAAGGUAACUAUUGGGUACACCUUCUAUCACAGAUCCGAAAGCAAGUUUCGUUGCUAAGAUGGAUCCUUUCUAGAGAAGGAGUUUCUCUCGAAAGAAGUGAGUGGGAGGAAAGUAGAGCUUGAUAAGGUAAUUUGUACCUUCUCCCGAAGUGGGAAGUUGUUCAUCAUAGAAAUCAGUUCCAGUAAUUCCUACACCAAUUAGUGAGGAAGCUAAUGAUGAUGAUCAUGAAUCUUCAGAUCAAGUUACUACAGAACCUCGUAGGUCUUCCAGAAUACGGUCCGCGCCAGAGUGGUACGGUAAUCCUGUUCUGAAAGUCAUGUUACUAGAUCAUGAUAAACCUACGAACUAUGAGGAAGCGAUGAUGAGCCCAGAUUCCGCAAAAUGGCUGGAGGCCAUAAAAUCUGAGAUAUGAUCCAUGUAUGAGAACAAAGUAUGGACUUUGGUGGAGUUUCCCGAUGAUCGGCAAUCCAUAUUGUAUAAAUGGAUCUUCAAGAGGAAGAUGGACGUUGAUAGUAGUAUUACUAUCUACAAAGCUCGACUUGUCGCAAAAGGGUUUUUGACAAGUUCAAGGAGUUGACUACAAUGUGAUUUUCUCAACUGUAGCGAUGCUUAAGUCUGUCCGAAUCAUGUUAGAAAUUGCCACAAUUUAUGAAAUCUGGCAAAUGGAUGUCAAAACUGCAUUCCUUAAUGGUUUUCUCAAAGAAGAGUUGUAUAUGAUGCAACCAGAAGGUUUUGUCAAUCCUAAAGGUACUAACAAAAUGUGCAUGCUCCAGCGAUCCAUCUAUGGACUGGUGCAAGCAUCUCGGAGUUGGAAUAUAUUCUUUGAUGAGUUGAUCAAAGCAUAUAGUUUUGUACAGACUUACGGUGAAGCCUGUGUUUACAAGAAAGUGAGUGGGAGCACUACAGCAUUUCUGAUAAGUAUAUGUGAAUGACAUAUUGUUGAUCGGAAAUAAUGUAGAAUUAUUCUACAAAGCAUAAAGGAGUGUUUGAAAGGAGUUCUUUAAAAUAAAGACCUCACUAAAGCUACUUACAAUUGAGCAUCAAGAUCUAUUGAGAUAGAUCAAGACACUUGAUAAGAUUUUCAAUGAGUACAUACCUUGACAAGAUUUUGAAACAGUUCAAAAUGGAACAGUCAAAGAAGGAGUUCUUGCCUGUGUUGCAAGGUGUGAAGUUGAGUAAGACUCAAGACCCGACCAUGGCAGAAAAUAGAAAGAGAAUGAAAAGUCAUUCCAUAUGUCUCAGUCAUAGGUUCUAUAAAGUAUGCUAUGUUGUGAACCAGACCUAUUGUAUACUCUUCCCUGGUUUGGCAAAGGAGUACAAUAGUGAUCUAGGAGUAGAUCACUGGACAUUGGUCAAAAUUAUCCUUAGAGGAAUAAGGAUAUCUUUCUCAAUUAUGGAGGUGACAAAAGGUUCGUCGUAAAAGGUUAUGUCAAUACAAGUUUUGGCACUGAUCCAGAUGACUCUAAGUCUUAAUCUGGAUACAUAUUGAAAGUGGGAGCAAUUAGCUAGAGUAGCUCCGUGCAAAGCAUUGUAGACAUAGAAUAUUUGCAAAAUACAUACGGCUCUAAAUGUGACAGACCCGUUGACUAAGCUUCUCUCACGAGCAAAACAUGAUCACACCUUAGUACUCUUUGGGUGUUAAUCACAUAAGCGAUGUGAACUAGAUUGUUGACUCUAGUAACCCUUUGGGUGUUGGUCACAUAACGAUGUGAACUAUGGGUGUUAAUCAUAUACAGAUAUGAAUAUUGAUGUUAAAUCACAUGGCGAUGUGAACUAGAUUAUUGACUCUAGUGCAAGUGGGAGACUGAAGGAAAUAUGCCCUAGAGGCAAUAAUAAAGUUAUUAUUUAUUUCCUUAUUUCAUGAUAAAUGUUUAUUAUUCAUGCUAGAAUUGUAUUAACCGGAAACAUAAUACAUGUGUGAAUACAUAGACAAACAUAGUGUCACUAGUAUGCCUCUACUUGACUAGCUCAUUAAUCAAAGAUGGUUGUGUUUCCUAACCAUAGACAUGUGUUGUCAUUUGAUUAAUGGGAUCACAUCAUUAGGAGAAUAAUGUGAUUGACUUGACCCAUUCUGUUAGCUUAGCACUUGAUCGUUUAGUAUGUUGCUAUUGCUUUCUUCAUAACUUAUACAUGUUCCUGUAACUAUGAGAUUAUGCAACUCCCGUUUACCGGAGGAACACUUUGGGUGCUACCAAACGUCACAACGUAACUGGGUGAUUAUAAAGGAGUACUACAGGUGUCUCCAAAGGUACAUGUUGGGUUGGCGUAUUUCGAGAUUAGGUUUUGUCACUCCGAUUGUCGGAGAGGUAUCUCUGGGCCCCCUCGGUAAUGCACAUCACUAUAAGCCUUGCAAGCAAUGUGACUAAUGGGUUAGUUGCGGGAUGAUGCAUUACGUAACGAGUAAAGAGACUUGCCGGUAACGAGAUUGAACUAGGUAUUGGAUACCAACGAUCGAAUCUCGGGCAAGUAACAUACCGAUGACAAAGGGAACAAAGUAUGUUGUUAUGCGGUUUGACCGAUAAAGAUCUUCGUAGAAUAUGUAGGAGCCAAUAUGGGCAUCCAGGUUCCGCUAUUGGUUAUUGACCAAGAAUAGUUCUAGGUCAUGUCUACAUAGUUCUCGAACCCGUAGGGUCCGCACACUUAAGGUUUCGAUGACAGUUAUAUUAUGAGUUUAUGAGUUUUGAUGUACCAAAGGAGUUCGGAGUCCCGGAUGAGACCGGGGACAUGACGAGGAGUCUUGAAAUGGUCGAGACGUAAAGAUCGAUAUAUUGGACGACUAUAUUUGGAGUUCGGAAAGGUUCCGAGUGAUUCGGGUAUUUUUCGGAGUACCGGAGAGUUAGGGAAUUCGCCGGGGAGUAAUGGGCCUUAUUGGGCCAUACGGGAAUAGUGGAGAGAGGCCAAAAGGAAGGAGGCCUGCGCCCCCCCUCUGGUCCGAAUUGGACAAGGGGCGCAGCCCCCCCUUUCCUUCUUCCUCUCCCCCUCUUCCCCCCUCUCCUACUCCAACAAGGGAGGUGGAAUCCUACUAGGACUAGGGAGUCCUAGUAGGACUCCACACUUGGCGCGCCCCCUCCUAGGGCCGGCCACGUCCCCCCUUGCUCCUUUAUAUACGGGGGCAGGGGGCACCCCAUGACACACAAGUUGAUCUACGGAUAAUUCCUUAGCCGUGUGUGGUGCCCCCCUCCACCAUAUUCCACCUCGGUCAUAUCGUUGCGGAGUUUAGGCGCCUGCGCCGGUAGAGCAUCAUCAUCGUCACCACGCCGUCGUGCUGACGGAACUCAUCCCCAAAGCUUUGCUGGAACGGAGCCCGGGGAUCGUCAUCGAGCUGAACAUGUGCUGAACUCGGAGGUGCCGUACGUUCGGUACUUGGAUCGGUCGGAUCGUGAAGACGUACGACUACAUCAACCGCGUUGUCAUAACGCUUCCGCUUACGGUCUACGAGGGUACGUGGACAACACUCUCCCCUCUCGUUGCUAUGCCAUCACCAUGAUCUUGCGUGUACGUAGGAAAUUUUUUGAAAUUACUACGUUCCCCAACACCCCCUCCCUGAGACCACGCAGGAUCCCGUGUUAAUCAAAAUGUUGGAGGUUGCACCUUCGGAGGAGGGCGGAGGGGGGCACAGGGGAACUACUACCUCUGCCAAGGAGGCUUUCAGUAAGGGAGGAAUCGAGAGUCCCUCCUUCCAAGGGGAGAAGAGGACAGCUUCCGAAGACCCGGAGGCCAAGGCCUCAAAGCGGGGAAAGAAAUCUUUACCGGAAGGUCCUGUGCUGGGAAGAGCCCCGGCCGUACUGUCUCCUCGGAGGAAUCAGCCCUCCAGCGAGCCGUAAGUAAAAAGGGGGAAUUUUGUAAUAGUGGACACCCCUGCUUAAUUUCUAAGGGUAACCGAAGUUUUCAUCUUGUAGUUCGGAUCUCAGCCCGUCUCAACAAAGCUCAUCUUCGGGAGACCUUCGUCCGGAGAUGAUGGAGAGCGAAACACCUCCAUCUGCCAUCCCAUCGUGCGGGGCGGACGACCUUGAGGUGUCGUCGCGGAGGGUCUCCCCGAGUCCGGCGGGGCCAGAGAGUUCGGCACCCAUUGGAGUACGGCCGGUGGAGCUACAGGAUUUGCUUAAGAGGGCGUCUAUCUCAGAAGAUCACCGCACAUUAAUGCGUAUGGUGAUUGAGAGGAUCUCGUCUGCCAAAAGAGGGUUGUGUGAGGCCGUCGGAAGUUUGCUGACGGGAUUUGAGGUACGCAAAAAAUGACAUACCUUUUGACAGUUUUUGCACAUGAUGUGCGCCCUAUAUAGAUAGUAGCCCCUGAGACUUGGUAUGCUGUCGAAAACGGCAGCGUGCCGAGGAUCAUAAUCUCAGUUAUAGAUUGUCACCUUUCCUACGUAGGUGGCGGAACGUUCGGUGGCCAGCCAGACUGAUGGAGUUGCCGAGCUUAAGAGGCAACUCGACGUUGUGGAUGCGGACAUCUCACUCAUCAAUAAAUGACUUGAUGAGUCACAAGGUAUGUGGUUGCUCCGCGGUCGCCUAGUAUGGGAGCUGACGCCCAUUCCUUACAAUUUGCAUGCUUGAUGCAGAUGGUGCUACUGCUGUGGAAGACCUUCGAGCAGAGCUUGCUCGGGCCAAGGAGUAAGCCAGGAUAAGUGAUGGGGCUGCCUUGAGGGCAGCAGAAGAGCUAAAAGCCAAAAAGGCUGCUCACUGCCGAAGCAGGGAAGAGUUGGCUGGAAUGGCCAUGAAAUUAAAAGAUGCUACCGACCGUUGUAAGGUUCUUGAAGGAGAACGCCGAGUGGAGCAAGAGGGCCUGAAGAAGGCCGGCGCCAAAGUCAAGGAUGCCCGGAGUGAGAUGCGGGCUAUGAGGGAGGAACUACGUCAGGCCGGAGACACUGCGGCUGGAAAGCCCUUUCUUCUGCGUAGGAAGUUCACGGAUCCAAAGUACGCUCAGCUGGGCCAGUUGUUUGGUGCGGAGGAUCCUUAUCUGGAUUUGGCGGCGAGUGCGGCGCACGCAGUCGUGCACUUCCGAAGCCAGAAGGAUCACGAAAUGGAAGAACUUUACUGGUCUCAAUUCCAUAGUCCGGAGCGUCCACUUCCGUUGACUGAUCGGCUGGCUGAGUGGGCUGAGCUGAAUAGAUUGUCCGGACUUGCCAUGACGGAUGUGGUCACUCAUUUGUGGCCGGAAAGGCCCAAGCCGAAGAGUUAUUUUGGCUUGUUGCAGCAAUUCCUUGGGGCGGUGCCGCAUAUCAAGGCGAUGAAGCGGUCGGCAUGCAUAGAAGGUGCACGGAUGGAUCUCGCCCGUGUGAAGACAUACUGGGCAGACAUGGAUGCCACCACUAUUGCAUCCCGGGGUUCGGACAAGAGACGAUUACCCGCCAAGCACUAUUUUGAGGAAGUCCUGCAGGGCGCUCAUUUAAUAGAGUCACAGUGCUCGAAAGAUGUCAUGUUCAAAUGACGUAUAUAAUUUGUGAGGUCAUGUUUAUAAUGCAAUAGCUUUUUAUACUUGUGUGUUCAAGUACUGAACUAUCUCCUGUGCGGCCGUAUGUGUAUGUAUAAUCUGAAAGAUGGCAAUCUUUGGCUUCAGCCCCCACACACAUGGUGCGGGGGUGUUUGCAAAAAGAAAAGCGCUUUUUCACACUUAAUCCAACAUCUUGGUCCUUUUAAGGAGGUGAUAGCGUAGCAAACUAGGCAACCGGACUAUAACGCUUUAUCACUUUCACUUAGCCAUAGGAGCUCGAAUGUGGGGCUACUAUGUAGCCCAUAGCGGCACCGCUCUUCUCCGAACUCGGGGCACGUAUGUGCCUGACCGGGAAGGGGUCCUUCGUCAAAGCGGAGGAAUUCUAAACAUUCCAAUGGUUGAUCGAGUGGUUGACCAGUCUCUCACUAUAUCAUGACAGUCAGUUUUCGGCUUUCUCUACUGAGGUGCUCGCCCGGCCGAACCGGGGCACAAUCGCAGUAGUUCUCCUGGUGCCGCGUUAGCAGAUGAUACGAAACGUAAGGCAGCAAAACACAGGAGCCGGGAAAACCCAACAUUUGACCAAAGACAUGAUUCGGAGCUGAUGCAUAUAAGGCCUAACUCGAGACAUCGAACACUCCCUGAGGUGUUUGGUCUUUAUGAUACCGGGCAGAACGAUGCCCUAAGCCCCUAGUGUCCAGGUACAGGCGGGAACUUCUGACGCGGCCGAUGCCAAAACGCCAUCCCCCUCCUCGGCUAUGGUAGGAAACCGGGGGAUGUGUAUCAACAAGAGACAGUAAGAAAGGUUUACGCAGGGUCUUAAUCUGAAAAGAAUCCUUGCAAUGGGUCCCUGCUGCACGUCUGCGCUUGUGUCUCCGUUGUGCUGUAUCCUGGACGGGUGUAGCACGUGCUUCAUAUGUAAAAGAGAAGGACUUAGUUUCUAAGAAAUAUCGUGCAAAAGUUGUAUUAAAAUAAAGUAUAAUUUGGAAGAUGAAGAAAUUUGAGCUUUAUUGGCUCUCAUCAUUUAUACGCGCGGCCCCUUAUAAAGGGGGUAUGCGGCUGGGAAGCCCCUUGUUUAUUUACGCUGGACUCGCCUAACCAUGUCCGGGGUCUGAAUGACCUGUGUUUAGGGGCCUUGACCUGCAAGGUCGGCGUGGCUGUCAAGGCAGCCCCACGCUCUCCAUGGUCGAGGAACACUCGGAGUUACUCUUUAAUGAGAUUAUGCCGUGUGGACCGGGCAUUGUAAGUAUAAGAGACGUGUAAUGUGGUAUUGCGUUAAAGCGGGCGAAAGCUUUGCGUCCCAGAAGUGCUCGAUGGCCACUGUAAAAUGGGGCGCUAUGGAGAGUGAGCUUUUCGCGACGGAGGUUGUCGGAUGAACCGAACACAACGUCUAGUGGUACAGAGCCCGUAUAGUUGGCUUAAAGGCCUGGCGUCACUCCUUUGAAGGAAAUGCUGUUAUGGCGAAUUUUGGUAGGGUCUAUCUCUGCGGACGGUGUCCUGGUAUGGCAGGCGCAGUGUUAUGUUUUCAUGUUAUCACAUGAAGUGAGUUCACUGUUUUGACUUCUAGUGGGAAAGUCUUCUGUUUUCUGGAGUGCUGCUUUUGGGGUUCGUCACUUUUGCUUGGUGUGUCGAGCCCCUUGUGUUCGGCGUUAAGUCGGCCGGACUUCUUGAAGACCCAACAAUCUCUGUGGGUAUGGUUUGCAGGCUUCCCGGAGGUACCAUGUAUUUGACAUAGCCUAUCCGGAAUCUUGUUCGGGUUGGAUAGCUCGUCACUGUUGUCCAUCCCUGACUUCGGAUGUAGUCGGGUCGCUGGUGCUGCAUCUAGCCAGCCAGCUGUAUUCCCCCGCGCAAAAGCGGGUCAUGAGGCUUGUUAGUGCGGCAAUUGUUCUUGGUUUUUCUUGGCCGAGGUGUAUGGCGAGCCAUUUGUCUCGGACGUGGUGUUUAAAGGCUGCUAAGGCUUCAGCGUCCGGACAGUCCACUAUUUGGUUCUUUUUAGUUAGGAACCUGUUCCAAAAUUUGCGUGCUGACUCUCCGGGCUAUUGAGUUAUGUGACUUAAAUCGUCUGCAUCCGGAGGGCGGACAUAAGUCCCCUGAAAAUUUGCUCGAAACGCAUCCUCAAGCUCUUCUCAACUUCCAAUGGUAUUUUCUGGGAGGCUUUUGAGCCAAUGCCGAGCUGGCCCUUUGAGCUUGAGGGGUAGGUAUUUUAUGGCAUGGAGAUCGUCUCCUCUUGCCAUAUGUAUGUGUAGGAUAUAAUCCUCAAUCCAGACUCCGGGGUCUGUUGUUCCGUCAUAUGUCUCUAUGUUUACGGGUUUGAAUCCCGCUGGAAAUCCAUGAUCCAGUACCUCGUCGGUGAAACAUAGUGGGUGUGCGGCGCCCCUGUAUUUGGGUGUGCCGUUGUCUUCAAAUGCUCGGCGGGUUAUGUUGCUUCCUGGAGUCUUCUUUUUUGUCCCAUAGAUAGAACUGGUCGGGUCAUCCUUUUUCUGAGGAUCUUUGUGCUGAUCGUGUGCCGGCUUGUGUGCGGCGCCCCUUGCUGUUCUUGGCCUGUCAUCUGGUCGUCUAUCCGGCCAGGCAGCUUCUUUCUCUUUUGACUGCGGGGGCUCUAAGGCCUCCUCGUCAAAUUGGGGCAACAGCUUGCGCUUCGGGUAGCUCUUUGUCUGGUGACUAGCGCUGUAUUUAUCUGCGGUGCUGAGUACUUUGAUCCAUUUCAUUCUGAGUGUGUCCUCCACUGUUUUGAGCUUCCACUUUUGCUUCUUCAAACUUCUUGCAGUGGCGACGAGCCUUUUAUGGAGGUUCAUAUGCUCUGGUGAUGUGAGAUCGUCUUCGCCGGAGAUGGGUUGCUUUCUAGCAUGUUCGUCGUCCACUGCUUCGCCCUGCUCUAGGGCCGGGUCCGUAUGGGUGCCGUUUUUAUCUAGGCCGGUCUUUAGGCGGCGCUUGCGUUGCCGUUUUGGUUGUUUAUUGGGGGAGUUGUCCUUCGCCACGUCCCGUUUUUCCUCGUUGUCGCUUCCUUUUGGUGUAUCCACCAUGUAUACGUCGUGCGUUGGGGCGGCUUUCCGGUGCCCGAUGGGUGCUGGUUCUUGGUCGUCUCCGGCAUCGUCGUCCAUACCGUCGAUGUCUUCGGAGUCGUAGUCUAGCAUGUCGGUUAGAUCGUCGACAGUGGCUACCAAGUGGGUGGUGGGUGGGUUUUGAAUUUCUUCGUCGUCCGCAUCCCAACCGUCCUAGCCGCAGUCCGGCCAGGACUCUCCUGAUAACGAGAGAUACUUUAGCGAACUCAAGAUGUCGCCGAAAGGUGAGUGUUGAAAGAUGUCCGCUCCGGUGAACUCCAUGAUCAACGCCCGAUCAGAUUCGAUCCGAGGGGGCACGGGAGGUUUGGAGUCCGGCACCUCGGAGUCACGAGCUUCAUGAGGGACAAGGUCAGUGUUCGGCUCUAUCGCCGUAGAGGUUGCAGCCCCCGAGGCGGUGUCUAGCCAUCCGUCCUCGACCUGCGCAGCCGGCUCCAAAUUGAAGAUCGGAGCGGGUUCGAGUGCGGCCUCCAGGGUACUGUCCGGCUGCAGAGCUAAAUCAUGCUCGCCGUGACAGUGCGGCACGCUCAGCUGUGGCUCGAAUCCAUCGAGGAUCAAGUCCCCGCGGAUGUCAGCCGUGAAGUUUAAACUUCCAAAUCUGACCUGAUGGCCAGGGGCGUAGCUUUCGAUCUGCUCCAGUUGGCCAAGCGAAUUAGCCCGUAGUGCGAAGCCGCCGAAUAUGAAGAUUUGUCCGGGGAGGAAGGUCUCACCCUGGACUACGUCGUUGAUGAUGAUCGAAGAAGCCAUCGAGCCUAUUGGUGACGACACAGAGGAACUCUCAAUGAAAGCACCAAUGUCGGUGUCAAAACCGGCGGAUCUCAGGUAGGGGGUCCCGAACUGUGCGUCUAGGCGGAUGGUAACAGGAGACAAGGGACACGAUGUUUUACCCAGGUUUGGGCCCUCUUGAUGGAGGUAAAACCCUACGUUCUGCUUGAUUAAUAUUGAUGAUGUGUGUUACAAGAGUGGAUCUACCACGAGAUCAAGGAGGCUAAACCCUAGAAGCUAGCCUAUGGUAUGAUUGUUGUUCGUCCUAUGGACUAAAGCCAUCCGGUUUAUAUAGACACCAGAGAGGGAUAGGGUUACACAGAGUCGGUUACAAUGGUAGGAGAUCUACAUAUCCGUAUCGCCAAGCUUGCCUUCCACGCCAAGGAAAGUCCCAUCCGGACACGGGACGAAGUCUUCAAUCUUGUAUCUUCAUAGUCUUGGAGUCCGGCCGAUGAUGAUAGUUCGGCUAUCCGGACACCCCCUAGUCCGGAACUCCCUCACCAUGGUUGAAAACAGAGACAUCACCACUUUGCGAAUCAGACCGCUCUCUAUUUAUGCCCUCCCGGUUCCAUCUUGUUUCCACAUCGCCAAAGUAUCUAGAGCAAAAAGUCAAGCACUCAUCUACGACAUAUGCUUCAGCAAUAGAACCUUCAUGUCUUGCCAUGUUUCGCACAUAACGCUUACAAGUAAGCAGCCUUCUUUCGAUUGGGUACAUCCAACCGUAUUGCACAGGGCCUCUAAGCAUUGCCUCUUUUGGUAAGUGCACCUCCAAAUGGACCAUCACAGUGAAGAAAGUUGGAGGGAAAAUCUUCUCGAGAUUGCAAAGAAUAAUUGGGAUUUCUUUUUCAAGUCUUUCCAGGACAGUUAACUUGAGUGUUUUGUAGCACAGUUCUCUAAAGAAAUUUCCUAUCUCAGCAACCGCUUAAUAUAUAUCCUUGUCCAUGAUUCCUCGGAGGCCCAUGGGUAAAAUACUUUGGAGGAGGAUGUGAAAAUCAUGGGUUUUCAGUACUGAAAACUUGAAUCCAUCAGAAGUAACACACUUUUCUAGGUUAGCAGCAUAACCAUUUGGAAAUUUCACCGCUCUUAGGAAUUCACAGAAUGCAAGCUUUUGUUCAUUACUCAUUGUAUACCAUGCUCAUGGCAUUUCAAAUGAAUCUUCAUCUUCAUUGUGCUGUAGAUGCAAAUCUUCUCUUAUGCCCAUGUCCUCCAAAUCAAGCCUAGAACUAACUGUGUCCUUUGUCUUCCCUUCAAUGUUCAGAAACGUCCCUAGCAGAUUCUCGCAUAUGUUUUUCUCAAUGUGCAUUACAUCGAGAUUAUGCCUCAGUUUCAGAUCAUCCUAGUAUGGCAGGUCCCACAAACAAGACCUCCGGUCCCAACAUUGACCUUCCUCACGCUUUCUUAUCUACGCAAGCUUUCCUGGUCUCACAUCUUCCACCUUUUUAAGUUGCUGCUCCAGCUCUUCUUUAGAGAAUUCAGCUGGCUUGUCACGGGUUUCAUUCUCACCAUUAAAAUCUUUGCUUCUUUGCCAGCGAUGGUUUCGGGGAAGAAAGCGGCAGUGCCCAAUAUAGCAGAUCUUGCUCCUUAUUCUCUUUGAGCAAGGGUCUUUGUCACAAUGGACAUGGGCCUUAUAACCCACUGUGAUCCUCCCAGACAGACUGUGUAGUGCCGGGAAAUCAUGGAUGGACCAUAUGAUUGCAGCACGUAGAUUGAACUAUUCUUCCGGACUCAAGGCAUCGUAUGUAGGUACACUAGUCCCGAGCUGGAGCAGUUCUUCUAUGAGGGGAUCCAUAAAGACAUCAAAAUCCUUUCCUGGAGACUCUGGCCCCGGGAUAAGCAAUGAAAUCAUGAAGUUGGACUGAUCCAUGCAUGCCCAGGUGGCAGGUUGUAUGGCACCACAAAAACUGGCCACAUGCUAUAAGACGUGCUCAUGUUCCCAAACGGAUUAAACCCAUCUGUGGCAAUGCUUAGUCUUAUGUUCCUUGGAUCUGCAGCAAAAUCUACAUGUAUAUGGUCAAACUCUUUCCAUGCCUCUCCGUCAGCUAGAUGGCUCAGCUCAUUGUCCAUAGGUUGCCGCUUUAGCUUGUACCACUGUACCUCCAAAGAUGAACAUCCGUUGCAGCCUUGGUAUCAACGGAAAGUGCCUCAGUACCUUCUCCGGUAUUGACUUCUUCCCAUCAGCAUCUUUCCACCUAGAGGCUUGCAUUUUGGAUUGUUGUCAUGCUUUGCUAAAUCCCUCCAAAACAAGACACGGUUAUUUGGGCACACAUGUAUUGACACAUAACCUAACCCCAGCCUGCGGAUUAUGCUCAAUGCUUCAUCAUAAGAUCUGGGAACACAACUAUCAAGGAAUUGCAAGCUCAAAAGCCGGAGUAUUGCGUUGAAUGCAGCAUUGCUAAUCCGGUAGAAAGACUUGAUGUGGAGUAACUUCAUGAUGAAGGUAAAUCUUGAAAAUUUACCCCCUUCAUGAGCUGCGCGCUCCACCUACUCUAACACCUUAGCAAACAGCGACUUCUGUCUAUCAACACGAUCUUCAGCAUUGUACAAAUCUUUCAAUAGGUCGGGAAUCCUAUGAUCUUCAUGCACAUCCUCUUCCUCGAAACCAGCAUUAUCUAGCAAAACCUUUUCCAUGAAAUCAAUGCCAGCAUCACCACCACCCAUCAUAUGAGGGGCUUCUGUAUCAUCUUCAAAUGUUGAGGUUGUCUGUCUAAAGGUUCUCCAUGAUAUAUCCAUCUAUCAUAUGUGUUGGACAUCCCAUUAAGAAGAAGAUGAUCUUCCACUCUUCCUUGAGCCAUUCUUGAACGGUUGAGGCAUUCGCAGCAUGGGCAAAGAAUGUGAGCAUCGUUGGCAAAAUUUGAACGAACAAAUGCCAUGAAAUCAUCAACUCCUUUAAUAUGUUCUUUCGAAAACUUUCUAACUCCUUUUCUAAUCCAGCUUCUGUCCAUCUGCCAAAGACAACAAAUUAUUGCAACUUAGCAAAUCAAUCUAAGUGCAUCAAUAUUAAUUAAUGAAAAUGGAUGGAAGUAAUGGCAGCUAAAAAUCUAGAAAAUAAGGUAGCACCCAACUUUAUAUGCUAACUGCCUAAGCACAACAUUCAGCUAUUUCCAAUUUCUCACUACUUUUGUCCAGUUCCCAUGGUUUACUGAUUUCACAUGGGAGCAAUAAAAAGUAGUUCAAAUGGAAAUACAGAUUUGACAUGGGAUAAAAGAAAAGCUAACCAAAACAUGUUGGUUCACAAAAAAACAUAGGUGGUUAAACAACCAACAAUAACAAUAUAUGCUGCCACUAAGAACUAUUUUGGUUAAACCACCAACAAUAACAGCACUGUAAAUUUACAUGAAUGCCAUUUCCAAGAUUGCAUCAAAUCUACAUCAAUAUUCAGGUUCUUUAACAGAUUUGAGGCUGAAAUUUCAGAGGUGUGACAUCAAAUCUACAUCAACCCCAGGAUCCUGUUUCAGGGAAAGACCAACUUGAGCUCUAUUCUAUUCAUUGCUGACAACAUAAUUUACCAGUAACAAUUGACUGAAUUCCAACACAAUUCUUAACAAUUUCAUCAACAACAAUUCUCCUAAUAAUUUCAUCAACAGAAAUUCUCUUCACAAUUUCUACCAAAUUCAUCAAUGACAUUUCCAAGAGAUUUUUCCAAGCUUACAACAAACCUACAUUAAAUCACUGUAUGUGUGUGUGGAGAUUCUCCUAACAAAUAUACAUCAAAUAAUCGACAUCAACAGAGAGGAGAGGGGGGAAGGAGAGGGGUGCAUAUGUGGGCGAGGUCUGCUUGCUGGGGUGGUGACUCCCCCAUGCUCGGCGGCAGUGAGUCCCCCAUGCGUGGGCGAGGCAAGUGGCGAGGUCGUCGUUCAUGUCAUGGGCGAGGCGAGCGGCGAGGUCACCGUUCCUGUCGUGGUCGAGGCGAGCGGCCUCGGCAACACCACCGUUGGUAGCUGCACCCGCCCCUGCCGGUUGCUUCCGCUGCCGGCCCCCGCGCCCGACGUUGCCUCCGCAGUCGCCCGUCGCCACCUUGUCGGAAGACCUAGAAAAAUGCUAAGUGUUGCUCUGUUCGAUGCAACCUGGUCGGAAGGUCCCACUUGUCAAUGAUACGAGAGAUCUGUAGUUUUAUAUAAUGUAUAGAUAAAUUCCCAUGCAUGUGCAACUGUCCCUCUCUAGCCCAGUGGUAGCGAGCGAGCGAACCAAGCGCGAGGUUGUGGGUUUGAGUCCCGCCUCGCGUAAUAUUUUUGGGCGAAUUAAGCCCUCAGCCCAGCUGCUGUCAAAUGGGUCCCGCCUAUUAGUGUGUGCCCACUUGAUGUCAAAUGGGCCCCGCCUGUCUGCUGAAUAUAAACAUUUAAGCAAAAAAUGACAACUAGACCAUGACACAUAAGCGAGGUUGCUGAGGUGGCUGCCUAAUCAUCCUAAUGCAUUCGAACUCAAGUGUAGUGACCUUUUUUAUUGGUCGUUAUCAGCUAGACAUGAGGAAGUGGACAGUGCUACAAGCUUUACGACCAUUUCCUCUAAUGAAAUGACAACCUUUCUGACCAAAAUGGUCGUUAUGGUUUAGUGUUUGCCGCCCUCCGAACAGCUUUUGACCAAGUGGUCUAGAAUGGUCAUAAAUCUAUUACCAAUUCUUUUAGGGUCACGGAUAGAAGGUCAAUAGUUGACAUAUUUCUUGUAGUGCCCAGUUCGUGAGGGCCAUUUGUCCCGGUUGCCGAACCGGGACUAAAGGGUCGGUACUAAAGCCCUAUACCUUUAGUCCCGGUUCGCCCAGAAACCGGAACAGAUGGGGCUCCACGUGGCCGCUGCAAUAUAAGAUCUAUUACAAAAUCCCCUAACAUCUGAACUCAACUUCCACAUGGUAUUCUCCGUGUUUGUCGAUGGUGUGGUCAAGAAAGAAUCCCGCCAAUUCCUCUUAAAUUGCCCGUAUGCGAUCUUGUGGUAGGAGUUCAUCCCGCAUCUGCCAAUUUCAAGAAGGGGGUCAAUACAUAUAUAUGAAUGAAACUGAACACAAAUGAUGGUGAUAAAAUAAAAUUAUGAAUAUUAUUGCUUACGCACUUCAUAUUGUUGUUUAGAGUACCCCCGCUCACAGGUGGUGUGGUGGAUGAAUUCACAAAUGUAGUAUCCACAGAGAUCAUUCCCGGGUUCCUGCCACAACCACUUUACAUGAAAUAGAGGUCAAUCAAACUGAUAAGCAAGCAUGCUAAAUGGUAUUGAUGAAACUAGCUAGAAUCAAUGGGAUAUGCGCGGAACUAGCUAGUAGCUAGUACUUACUUUUGGGUGGUCAAAUCACAGUUGUGCGGUGAACUUUUUCCAAACCCUGCCAGACAAAGAAACAAAUUACUUGAUAUCAAGAAAUGAACAAAGUUGCCGAUAUGGUGUGAUAAUGAUCGAUUGAACUUACUUCUAGAGAAUUUUAGUCAUGGUCGCAUACUCCUCCGGAUUAUUUCGUUUGGAGUCUAUGACGGUUACUAGUCCCUGCUCAAGCUUAAUCUCUAGCAGAAUAAAUUCGAAGUUGUGCACGCAUGCAUAACUCAUCAGUUACAUUACUAUAACCUCGAGUAAUAAGGGAAACUAAAUAUGCACAAGACAGUAACACUCACUUGUAUUCGUAAGGAAAGAGUAUUGUAGCUUUGUUUUGAUUUCGAAGUAACGAUGCGAGCAAGUUGGCCUCAGUUGGUCUAGCAUCAUGUUAACACUCAAUUCAUCCAUGAGAUUUAUGUUAAUGAACCGAAUAUCACCUAUUUGUGUUUUUUUCAAUUUGGCGAUCUUCAAUCUGCAUAAUAUAGUGAGGCUAAUUAUAUAUACAUGCAAUGAAAGAGCUAAGCUAUAUAUAGAGACUUAAUUAAUUACAGAGAAGUAGUACUUACAGAAAGUAGCAAGUGAUGAUUGUUUUAUCGAGGGCCUUUCGAUUGAAAAACUGGAAGAACUCCUCAUAUUGAACUAACAACAAAUCAAUUCCAACGAGGUCGUGCUCCUCUUUAACUCUCAGCGAGAAAGUAUUUUUCCCAGACUUCCUGCAGAUGUCCAUGUACCAAUCAUGGAAUCUUUGCAUCAUCGUUGUUAGGAAAGUUACAGAUCUGGCGAGAGGCUUCCCGUGCUCGAAUCUUAAUGUGUCCACCUCCAUUGUUUCAAAAAUUAUUGCAUCGUCGUCGUUCAUGUAAUCUCCAGGAUUGGUAUCGGGAAGCAUCCCCGAAAGAUUAGCAAGGAUAUCGCUAGACACAUUGGGGGGGCACGAUUGCUUCGCUUGUUCUCCGAGCUGGGGAAUUUUUCCCCUUUUCUUUGUUCUUCUAGCCUUUGAUCAGUGCAAGUACUUCCCGACUGCUCCGCUUCCUUAUAUGUCCUUUCAAUGAUGCGGUCAUAGUUGGAUUGCGGUGGAGGCGGUGAUGGUGCUGUAGGGCAUCCAAAGUGUGCUUCGCUUUCAUCGGAUCUAUCUCCGCCGGAGGUGGAUGUUUCUUAGCUUUUACCGAUUGAAAGAAGUAUCUGAUCGUGCUUCUUCAGUCUCUGAUCUUCCUGCUCCAGUCACCCAAACCAACAUCGACGGAACCGCCUGCUCCCGCCUCCCGUUGCCGGCUGUGCUGCCGGGCAGGCCCCACGGCCCCACCAUACUCGCAUCCCUGGCCUGUCUAUCCCUCUACUCACCCACACCUUCGUACACCCCACCACGUGGGCAUCCAUUGUUGUGUCUUCUCUGGCUCCGUGUCAUUCCCUUCGUAUGCCUCGCCGUCGUCCACCGCCCUGGUGCUCUCGGCGUGGAGUUGACAACAUGGUCAAUGAACGACAUCCAUCGGAAGUGGACUGUAUGUGGAGAGGCUGGCAGCUGGGUCCACGGCCACACACAAGGAAAUGCCUCCUUAUUAUGCGCAAAAUAAUGAUUCCUCCCCCUGACAUCUGGGACCCACCGUUAGGGCCUCUGUAUUUUUCGCGAAAAAAAGUUCCCCCCACUGACAGGUCGGACCCACCAGCUAUAUCUUCACACGCAAGGAAGUGCCUCCUUAUUGUGCACAAAAAAAUGAAUACCCCCCUACCACACUACAACAAAAUUGACAUAGUGUGACGAAAAUCCGCAUGACGAUGGUGGACAACGUCACAAAAAUUCCUAAUGUGUGAUGUUGUCGUAGGUGACGUCACCAAUUACCGCAAAUCGGUGACGAUGAACGUCACAGAAUUGCCUCGACCUUUCAGCACACCCGACUACCAAUUUUGGUGACGUUUUGGUAAUUUCCAUGAUGAGCCCGCUAGAGUCACCGAGUACUAUGAAUUUGUGUAUAUCAUGUCUGUCAUGUUAUGAUAUAGUAGUUAGACCCGCCAUAGCUAGGUCUUCGGUUAUUGAGCGAUUGGACCCAUGCGUCCGUGUUGGCAAUGGGACCUGCCAUAGUUUUUUCGAAGGCUACUGAGUGUUGUCAUUAUUAUUUUCAAUAUAAUAUAAUAGGCAGUGGGCAUGGAAAUACUUAUAGUAAUUAUUUUUUAUAAAGGUAAAACUUAUUUUUUUCUUUCUAAUAUGAAUAGGUAGUGGUUGGGCAAGAAACCUGAAUCGAGCGUCAGUGAGUUGAUGUUGUUUAUCUAAAAAAUAAAAAAUAAAAUAAGGGAUCCAAGCGGAAAUGAGUGAAUAUUAUUUUCAUAUCUAUAACAUAAUAAAUAGUUAGUGGCUAUGCAAAAAAACUUCAAUGGUGUACCCGUGACCUAAUGUUGUUACAUUUCUAUCUCAAAAGUUAAAAUGGAAAUAUAAGAGUCGAUGGGAUUUUUUUUAAUUCUUAUCACCCACCUUUUAACAUGAUGCCACACCAAGAAUUGAGAACCACAGAGCAAAAAAAGGAAAAGAAUUCAGCUCCAAGCGUAGGUCUCUCUCAUGCCAUGCUUUGUGCCUCCAAAUAAAACCCUAGCCCAAAAAAUCCCCAAAUACACCUGUACCCACUUGCACCUGACUAAGAUCUCAUCUUACCGGCAGCGCCUCCAAAUUACUCGCCGCCAGCAGCGCGACCCGAACUCCCUCCCCGCCUGGCCGCCUCCGCCCUCUAGUCCGCCGCCCACCCUCUCUGUUCGCUUCCCCGUCCCCAGCCACCACUACACCGACGCCAACCUGCCCCGUUUGCUGCCUAGUCUGACCUCCAUGCUGCCUCCACUGCCACUUCCUGGAUGGCUUGUCGACCAUCGCCCACUCCAUCUCUGGCGCCUUCCCAAGCUUCGUUUCUCACCUCGUACCUCACCAAGAUCUGGGCGCUGCCUCACCACCCCUCCAUGACUCACUACUUGAGAUGUAGAUGGUGAUUUAGAAGAUUGGUUUUGUCUAGCGUCCAAGAAGACGGCGGCGGCGGGAGACACCAGGUUUGGGAGAGGUAACCCGAUGAUGCAGAUAGGCUAGGGGAUGGGUCGGAAACUCUGCAAGGAACCCGGCUACAUCACCAUUAGAUCUGCUCCCCUUCAACUACUCGAAGGUAAUAGUUCGCUGCUUCCUUUUUCCUCCACAAUUUCCUGAUGUAAGAUUUGUGAUCUGCAAUUUGAUUCUUCUAACCACCUAUUUGAGAUCUCCUUUCCUAGUUGCAGUUCAUCUAGAUCAGGAGUAAGAUCAAUGUCCUUUGCUCUUAUCAAAGCUAUGGUUUAUACUUCUAUGUUCCUGACUAUCUCUAAAUUUCUACAAUGAAUAAUUUCAACUCAAGUUUCCACUUUAAGCUGCAAGAUUAUGCAAUCUCCAGCAUGCUCAAGAACAUCUAAUAUGUGACUAGACUCUACGUUCAGAGUAUUAAUAGUGAAACUGUACUAGGAAUAGCCUUUUAUUAGUAACUAUGAACAAGAAGUCAAUAUUCUGUGAUAACAGUUAACAAGGAUAUGUCGACGGCUCGUAUCAUGGGCCAUACCAUAGUUGCUAGCUGCUAAAAAAUCUGUAUACUAAAAGGUUCAUUCAGAUGCUCAUACUGUUUGGUAAAAGAGAAAAUGAUUAUGUUAUUCUGUAAUAUUUUUUCUCCAUGUGAACACUUGUCAGUAUAUUGUUUCUCUACUGUUUUAUUCCCCUAUAAUGCAGGUGCAUUAAUCGGCUGCUCACAGUAGGUACCAGGACUGGGUUUGCAAUAUCAAGAUAAUCUAUCGACCUUGCUAUGUUGGUAAAGUCUGAACCUUAAACUUUUUACUACUUUCUUGUUGCUUCUCCACUUUCUGUUUUCUUACAGUCCAGUAAUUGACAAUUCCUUACCUGGUUGUGUAUGCCUAACAUUUAAGCUCAUCGUGUCCUUCCUUUGUGCAUAACUUGUAUUUUUAUUUGUUGUAUUUACAUCGAGGAAGCAUUGUACAACUGCAGUGCAAGUACACAAUUAGUUGUAGCUGUCGGGGAAGGUGAGUAAGCACACAACUGUACUAGUGCUAGUUGCUUAUGGCACUUGGUUGUACGUAAGGUGAUGAACGGCCAAAUUCAUAGCAUGUCUGAAUCAAUUCAGAGAUGAGAAAAGACAAAGUUAAUAGGUAUAAUUUGGCCUGUAGUGGUUGGGUGAUGACCUCUAGAUAUUGCAUUAUUCUGAGAUCGUUCAAUAUAUUGAAUGGAUGAAUGGAUGUCACUCCUUACUAAAGAAACAUUUUUGUGUUUUGGUCUGCAAAUUUUUGGUACAUUACUGAUCUGUUUUUUUAGUGAUGUGCGGAUCUAAAGUUUUGUAGUAACCAAAGCGUCAAACAACUACACUUAUGCAACUAAUUAUGAAAUAUGUCCAGUAGAUUAUUAUAGUUCAUUGUCGUACGCUGCCCUACUGGACUCACUAGUCAUUCACAUGCUACUUAAGACAUUAAGCAACACACUAGUUAAAAGUGCAACAGGGAUCCAUGUAAAUUAUUUUGACUAGCAAUUUUUAUAAAAGUUUGUGUCUUCUUGUUUUGCCAAACUAAUAUGCCGUUUUAUUGGCCCAUGCGCAUACUCGUAAAUCUAGUUAAUAAUUUACUCAGAUUCACAAUUUGGUAAAUUGUAUGCUUCUUAGUGGUACUGUUAUAUGUUUUAUCUUGUAUGUUUUCAUCUCAUUAAGAUGCAACACGCUGUUGUGUUUCCUCAAUUUAUAGGCAUUGGGGGGGAGUUAGUUGUGAGACUUGAAGCACAGGAUAGAGCAUUUGAAGAGAUACAAAGGAAGCAUCAAGAAGAAUUGGAAGCUGUGAAGAAGAGACAAGAGAAGAAUGAAGCCUGGGAAAAGAAGCAGCGUGAUACAAAUAACCUGAUUGUUUUUUCUUAAGGGCUCAAGCAACUCAGCAAGAAUCCAUUGUCUUGUGUAUUGUCGUGUCAAACUUGAGUCAGUGUUAUUUUUUAUUGUCAUUUCUAUUUAGAGGAUGAUUUGGCUAAGAGAUAGAAUAUAUAAUAUGAUUUCUCUUUUGUUUCAAUUUAUAAUGUUAUUUGUCUCAUAACUUAUGUAUAUAUAUAUAUAUAUAUAUAUAUAUAAUGUGAUGUGAUGCUUGCUGUGAUAUGCAUUUGCAAUGGUGGAUCUGAUAAUUCAUUCCAAAUUAUCCAAAAUAUAGUAAAUAUAUUUUGAUGAUGUCAUCUUCAUCAAUAAUGAAAGUAGUGAUGCUAGUAGCGGGGUAUCUAUGUGGUUGUUGACGUGGCAUAAAGUCAAUGACGUUGCUCCAUCAUUGAAUAUUGUACAAUAUGGCAUCUUUGCUCCUAGCUUGUGACAUUAAUCCACCGUCAUAGAAAUAGGAAGUUGUUGACGUUCUAGAAAACGUCACCGAAGGUCUCAUUUUCAGUGACAUUGUUUUGCGCGCGCCGUCACCAAGAGUAAUUUGUGACGGGGAUUCCGUGACAAUGCUUGUGACGCCCAUAAAACGUCACCCAGGUGUAAUUUGUGACGUUAUAAGAUGUUCGAUGACAUUUUUUGGCUCGUCAUAGUAGGCCUAAUCUCUUGUAGUGCCAGUUGGGACCCACCAUAGUGGGAGGCUGGCUUGUGGGCCUACUAAGUUGACGAGGAUGGAGGGCUUUGUCAACUUAGUCAAUAUGAACGAUUUUUGCUCCAGUGACCGUACGAUGUCCUUCUAACGGCCGUAGUGCAUCUUCAACCUCUGGUCUUCUUGCUCCAGCCGCCCAAACCAGCACCGGUCGUGCCGCGUGCUCCUGCGUCCCGUGGCCGGCUAUGAUGCCGUGGAGGCCUCACUCACACCCCUUGUUAUUCUGUGGCGACGACGGCCUCACACCGCAGUCGAACCAGUGAACCCUCGUACUCCUCUCCGCGUGGGCUUCCACUGCCCCGUCUUCCCCGGCUCCGCGUCGUCCCCUUCCUAGGCCUCGCUGUCGUCCACCGCUCUGGUGCUGUCGGCGCUGCGUGGUCGACGUGGUCAAUGAAUGACUUCCAUCGAAAGAGUACUGUACAUGGAGAGGCUGACAGCUGGGUCCACGGCAGCCGCAAGGAAGUGCCUCCUUAUUACGUGCAAACUAAUUAUUCCUCCACCUGAUAGCAGGGAGCCACCGGACGAGCCACCGUAUUUCACGAAAAAAAUGUUCCCCCCUGACUGCUGGGACCCACCAGCUACAUCUUCGCACGCAAGGAAGUGCCUGGCAGUCAGGACCCACCUGGUCGAAGCGUACAUAACGUUGUCAUUCUGGUCGCGAACGUGUAUGUACAUACUGGUCGAUUGGUCUGUCUGCAGGCUGCAGUGAUGAACCGUGGCCGUGCAAGGAAGGAAGGGCACGUGUCAUAGUAGAGGCGCUCACGUAUCAUGUACACGUACGUACAGCGGCUAGGGUGCAAGAAAGUAAAUACGGCCACGUACGUACAUACGGGUGGGGUCUCGAACGCCUACUCACGCAUACGUACGACCAGGGCUCGUGUACAUGGCUGGGUCGGAACGGAGAAACUGCAUCAUCGUCGUGAUCAUGGGGAGGCAACAUGCCGGGUCAGAACGGAAUGCGUCAUCAUGUUCAUCGGGAGGGCUUGGAUGGAAUAGCCGAUGAAAACGAGGCAUGGCGUACAGCAGAACAGAAAAAACAGCCUUGGGUCCGACAGGCCACAGUCGAAACGGGAUCCAGUUCAUCGAGAGGGGUCUGGCAUACCGCAAAACGGAGGAAACGGACUUAUGUUGGACCUCCUACAGUCGAAACGGGGUCCUGUUGAUCGGGAGGGGUGUGGCAUACCGCAAAACGGAGGAAACAAACUUGUGUUGGAGCGCUACGGUCGAAACGGGGGUCCUGUUAAUUGGGAGGGGUGUGGCGUGCCACAAAAUGGGACUCCACGGGAUACUGUUCAUCUCCACCGUCGACCUCCUCCAGCCUCCACGGGCUACUGUUCAUCCACCGUCGACCUCCUCCAGCCUCCACCUACGACUGUUCAUCCACGGGCUCCUGUUCAUCCGGCCUCCACCGCGCUCCUCCACUGGCUACUGUUCAACCAGCCCUCUCCACGGGGUCCUGUUCAACCACCCCUCCACGGGCUACUGUUGAGGCGUGAAGAUACAACACUCAAGACUCCGUCCCGUGUCCGGAUGGGACUCUCCUUUGCGUGGAAGACAAGCUGGGCGAUACGGAUAUUAUAUUUCCUUCCUUGUAACCGACUCCAUGUAAACCCUAGCCCUCUCCGGUGUCUAUAUAAACCGGAGAGGUUGGUCCUUAGAGGGACGAUCACGAUCAUAAUCAUCAUAGGCUAGCUUCUAGGGUUUAGCCUCUAUGAUCUCGUGGUAAAUCAACUCUUGUACUACUCAUAUCCUCAAUAUCAAUCAAGAAGGAAGUAGGGUUUUACCUCCAUCGAGAGGGCCCGAACCUAGGUAAACAUUGUGUUCCUUGCCUCCUGUUACCAUUAGCCUAAGACGCACAGAUCGGGACCCCCUACCCGAGAUCCGCCGAUUUUGACACCGACAUUGGUGCUUUCAUUGAGAGUUCCUCUGUGUCAUCGCUGCAAGGCUUGAUGGCUCCUUCAAUCGUCAACAACACGGUCCAGGGUGAGACUUUUCUCCCUGGACAGAUCUUCAUGUUCGGCGGCUUCGCACUACGGGCCAAUUCGCUUGGCCAACUGGAGCAGAUCGACAGCUAUGCCCCUGGCCACCAGGUCAGGUCCGGAAACCUGAACUACACAGCCGAUAUCCGCGGAGACUUGAUCUUCAACGGAUUCGGGCCUGUGCUAGGAGCGUCGGACAGUCACGAUGAGCACGACUUCGACCUGCUGUCGGACGAUGCUCGGGAUGUCGCCCCUACGGUAGCCCCAGACAUAAAUCCGGAGCAGACCGCGUCGCCCAAGGAUGGGUGGAUGGACCCCGCCCCGCAGGCCGCGCACUCAUCGGCGGUAGAGCCAAACACAGGCCUCGCCCCCAAAGAAGCCUGUGACACCAAACCCUCGGACUCAUAUCCGGCUAUGGGUUCCACUCCACGCGCUCCUGAGCCCGCCGAACCUGGUUGGGCUCCUGUAAUGGAGUUCACCACAGCGGACAUCUUCCAGCACUCGCCCUUUGGCAAUGUGCUGAACUCGUUAAAAUCUCUCUCCUUGUCAGGAGACUCUUGGCCAAACUAUGUCCGGCUUGAGUGGGAAGUGGGCGACGAAGGAAUUUCUUGCCCACCCACCACCCACUUCAUUGCCAUAGUCGAUGAUUUAACCGAUGUGCUUGACUUCGACUCCGAAGACAUCGACUGUAUGGACGACAUUGCAGGAGAAGAACAGGAACCACCACUCACAGGGCGGUGGACAGCCACCUCAUAUGAUAUAUAUAUAUAUGGUGGACACUCCGAAAGAAACCAAUGGCGAUGAGGCAACGGAGGAUAACCCCUCAAGGAAGAAAGCAAAGCAUGGGCGGCGUCGGCGCCGCUCCAAGCCCCGCCAUAGAAAUACCGGCACAGGAGACGAAAACAAUCUAGAUGCUGCCAAAGAUGAAUACAACCCUGACCAGCCCGCCUUCGAGCAGGCCGAGCAGGAAGAUGGGCAUGACAGCCUAGACGACCCGGCGACAGACGGAUAUUCGGAGGAGGACAAUCACAUGUCCCCCUCCAAAGACGAGAUUAGCCUCGGCGACGACGAGUUCGGCGUACCUGAGGACCCCGUGGAGCAGGAGCGCUUCAAGCGCCGGCUCAUGGCCACCGCGAGGAGCCUGGAAAAAAAGCAAUCGCAGCUCCAAGCUGAUCAAGACCUGCUCACAGACAGAUGGACCGAAAUCCUGGCAGCUAAGGAAUAUGGACUCGAGCGCCACAUGGCUGACUGGUCACCCCGUGGCCGGGAUGAAAUGACAUAUGAGCCCGAAUACCAGCCUGUGCCCCCAUGCCAAUAAACUACGGCUUGGGGCAAUAGGCAAGACCUGCAAGAUAUACUGGAAAACAAAGCAGGACAGCCAAGAUCGAUCUACGGAUCGAGGGGGCGCGCCCCAACACGCGACGAUGACCAUCACGCCGGAUACACUACAAACAAGUCCGACCGGGCCGAAUACAGCCACCCAGAAUCAUUUGAACUGCGUAGCCACAUAGCCCGGCAUAGAGGCGCCGCACACCCCCUCUGCUUCACUGACGAAGUGAUGGAUCAUAAAUUCCCAGAAGGGUUCAAACCCAUAAACAUCGAAUCAUACGAUGUCACAACAGAUCCCACAAUAUGGAUCGAAGAUUUCCUUCUCCAUGUUCACAUGGCCCACGGAGACAAUCUACACGCCAUCAAGUAUCUUCCCCUUAAGCUCAAAGGACCUGCUCGACAUUGGCUAAACAGCCUGCCGGCAAAUUCCAUUAGAAGUUGGGAAAACCUAGAAGACACGUUCCUCGACAACUUCCAGGGCACAUACGUGCGACCACCGGACGCCGAUGACUUGAGCCACAUUACUCAACAGCCCGGAGAGUCAGCCAGGAAAUUCUGGACUCGGUUCCUAACUAAAAAGAACCAAAUAGUCGAUUGUCUGGAUGUUAAAGCCCUGGCGGCCUUUAAGCAUAAUAUCCGUGAAAAGUGGCUCGCCCGACACCUCGGCCAGGAAAAACCCAAGUCCAUGGAAGCACUCACGACACUAAUGACCCGCUUUUGCGCGGGCGAGGACAGCUGGUUGGCUCGUAGUAGCACCAGGCCACAUUCCGGCACCUCGGAUGUCCGGGACAAUAACAGCAAGCCACGGUGCAACAGACAUAAGCGACAGAACAACGGCGACAACGCUGAAGACACGGCAGUCAACGCUGGAUUAAGUGGAUCCAAAUCCGGUCAGUGGAAAAAGCCGUUCAAAAGAAACAAUCAGGGACCGUCCAGUCUGGACCGCAUGCUGGAACGCUCGUGCCAAAUUCAUGGCACUCCGGACAAACCAGCAAACUAGAUUAAUAGAGACUGCUGGGUGUUCAAACAGGCCGGUAAAAUAAACGCCGAAAACAAGGACAUGGGGCUGCACAGUGACGAUGAAGAGGAGCCCCAGCGUCCGAACAUGGCUGGACAGAAGAAAUUUCCUCCCCAGGUGAAAACAGUCAACAUGAUCUACGCCACCCACAUUCCCAAAUGGGAACGGAAGUGAGCAGUACGAGACGUCUAUGCGAUGGAGCCAGUUGCCCCAAAGUUCAACCCAUGGUCAGCCUGUCUGAUCACCUUUGAUCGUAGGGAUCACCCUACCAGCAUCCGUCAUGGCGGUUCAGCCGCAUUGGUCCUAGACCCAAUUAUUGACAGAUUCCACCUCACGCGAGUCCUCAUGGACGGCGGCAGCAGCCUAAACCUGCUUUAUCAGGACACAGUGCGCAAAAUGGGCAUCGCCCUUCAAGGAUCAAGCCCACCAAAACCACCUUUAAAGGUGUAAUUCCUAGAGUAGAGGCCUGUUGCACGGGCUCUAUAACAUUGGAAGUGGUCUUCGGAUAUCUGGAUAACUUCUGAAGCAAACAGUUAAUCUUCGAUAUCGUCCCUUUCCAUAGUGGUUAUCACGCACUGCUUGGACGAACCGCAUUCGCUAGAUUCAAUGCGGUACCACACUAUGCAUACCUCAAGCUCAAGAUGCCAGGACCGUGCGGGGUCAUAACAGUAAACGGAAACAUGCACCGCUCUAUCCGUACAUAAGAGCAUACUACAUCCCUCGCGGUAGAAGUACAAUGCGGCCUCCUCCGACAAACCACCAAUCCGGCGACGACAACCUUGAGCACCGUCAAGCAAGUCCGGAGCACCCCGCAACAGGAUCACCAGGCACGCCAAGAGCGCGACUAGCAGUCCGGCCUCCGCUCGAGCCCCAUCAAAGAAGCAUUCAUGCCACGCGUACACAAUUACGCACUUAAAAUACUAUGGGCAUAGGUGGAGGCGCAGCAGUGACUCAGUCAACAGUGCGGUAUCACCGCAACAUACUUUCAUAACCCUCCCUUUUUAUCUUUCAGUACACUGCCUUAGGGCAGCCUCUUCAGAAGAGCCGGAUUGCCGGACUUACACAGGAAAGAAAACCAAGGAGGCAACAGGCUUUGAGCACAAAAGGAAAUACCCAGGUGGAAUCUGUUCACAAUCGUUAUACCUGUUUUAUAUACCUACAUGCAGCCUGCCCUUGGAUAGGAAAUGUUAAAUAGUCCUAUUUACUACUGCUUAAACGCACCCAUUGUAAACAUACGCUUAAACGUAUUAUUCAUCAAUGGGAGAUCAUAUAUAGCGUCAGCUUAUUAUUCCUAUUUACACAUUUUUUCUGUAAAUGUUUAUUUAAUACUGCAUCCGUACACCUUGGUACGUUCAGUUUGCCAGGGGCUUCUUAUAGCGCCCCAUAGUACGGCAAGACAAGUCCGAACGCGUUCAACAAUGCGGCACCCCGAACUUAUAGCACUAUAUGCAUCAGCUCCGAAUCACGUCUUGGGUCAAUAGUUGGGUUUGCCCGGCUCCUUUGUUUUGGUACCUUACGUUCCGUUAUAUCGGCUAAGGUAGCGCAGAGAGAACUACUGCAUUGUGUCCCGGUUCUUCCGAACGAGCACCUCAGUAGAGAAAGCCAAAAACCGACCGGCAUGAUGCGGCGAGAGCUGGUCGCUGUUCGAGAGGUCAUAAAAUCCUUAAAGAUUUUUUCCGCUUUAGGAAAGGAAUCGGCUUCGUCCGAUUUAGACGUAUAUAGCGCCCCAAUUCGGCUUUCCGAAUUCUAGGGGCUUCGCCGAAAUUUAAAAUUGUAGACUUCUAUGGCUAAGUUAAAGUUAUAAAGAUGCACAGUCCGAUUGCCUUGUUCGCUGCGCCAGAUACCUCCUUAAGGGACCAAAAAUUUGGAUAAAGAGUGUCCGAGUUUUUCCAGGAACACCCCAGUACUAGUUAUGUGGGGGCGGAAGCCGACAACUGGCCUACUUUUAGAAUUCUAAAAUAGCCGCACAGAAGGUAAUAUUUUAAAUCAGAAGCGCUACAUAGCACAAGUAACUUCGUCUUUAUAUUACAAAAACGACAGAAGUGCAUUUAUUCAAAGGUCAUGUUCUUGGUACAUUAUUCGGCCACGAGACGAGCGCCCUUCAUAACACCAUCAUAAUAUUUCUCGGGACAGCAAUGCGCCUUGCCCUCCGACGGCCCAUCCUUCACCAGCUUCUCCGCAUCCAACUUGCCCCAAUGCACCUUCGCACGGGCAAAGGCCCGGCGGACACCCUCUAUGCAAAUGGAUCGCUUGAUCACUUCAAGCCGCGGAGAGGCAUUCACCAUUCACUUGAUUAGGCCGAAGUAGCUAGUGGGAAGGGGCCCACCAGGCCACAUCCGGACUAUGAAAUCUUUCAUAGCCACUUCGGCCGCCCUGCGGAGUUCAACCAACUGCUUCAGUUGGUCACUCAGAGGCAUUGGGUGUUCGGCCCCAGCAUACUAGGACCAGAACAGCCUCUCCAUUGAGCUCCGCUCCUCGGCACAGUAGAACUCCGCGGCAUCUGAUACGCUGCGUGGCAGAUCUGCGAAUACCCCUGGUGUUGGGUAACGUAGUAAUUUAAAAAAAAAUCCUACGCACACGCAAGAUCAUGGAGAUGCAUAGCAACGAGAGGGGGAGUGUAUCUUCAUACCCUUGAAGAUCGCUAAGCGGAAGCGUUUAUCAACGCGGUUGAUGUAGUCGUACGUCUUCACGAUCUGAUCGAUCCAAGUACCGAACGCACGGCACCUCCGAGUUCUGCACACGUUCAGCUCGAUGACGUCCUCGCCUUCUCGAUCCAGCAAGACGAGCGAAGUAGCAGAUGAGUUCCGGUAGCACGACGCCGUGGUGACAGUGUUGGUGAAGAACAAUCUCCGCAGGGCUUCGCCUAAGCACUACGGAAACUAUGACGGAGGAUAAACUAGAGGGGACGGGGUUGCCAGCACACGGCUUGGUGUUUCUUGAUGUGUCUUUGGUGCUAGCCCUGCCCCUCUAUUUAUAUGUUGAGCCUUGGGGUCGAAACUUGGAGUAAAAGCCUCCACAAAGUCGGUUUCACCCAAAAGGCAAGAGUCCUUCUCGGACUCCAGGGCCAGACGCCAGGGUUCCUGGCUUCUGGACCCAGACGCCAGGGACCCUGGCGUCUGGCCCCUGGACUCCGCAAAACUUCCUUUUGCGCUUUCCAAAAACCUUGUGGGCUUUCCCCUUUGGCCCAAAUAAUGUGUUCUCAUACCCAAACAUUUCGAGAAACAUCCAAAACCCCUUCCGGUGAAUUCCGGAACCCUUUCGGAGAUCAAACACUAUUACCCCAUAUAUCAAACUUUAUCUCCGGACCAUUCCGGAGUUCGUCGUCAUGUCCAUGAUCUCAUCCGGGACUCCGAACAACAUUCGGUUACCAACAUACAUAACUCAUAUAAUACUAUAUCGUCAACGAAACGUUAAGCGUGCGGACCCUACGGGUUCGAGAACUAUGUAGACAUGACCUAGAACUGUUUCCGGUCAAUAACCAAUAGCGGAACCUGGAUGCUCAUAUUGGCUCCUACAUAUUCUACGAAGAUCUUUAUCGGUCAAACCGCAUAACAACAUACGUUGUUACCUUUGUCAUCGGUAUGUUACUUGCCCGGGAUUUGAUCGUCGUUAUCUCAAUACCUAGUUCAAUCUCAAUGCCCCGGUUGGCGUCGCGCGGCUCGGUGAUGUAGAACCACCCCGAUUGCCACCCCUUCAUGGUCUUCGUGAAGGAGCCAUCGAGCCAGGUGACUUGGGGCAUCUUGCCCACCAUGGUGCCUCCGUACUCCGCUUGCUGGCUGCUCAUGAUCUUCGGCUUCACGCAGAAGAUUCAUAGCCACAGGCCGAAGUGAGGCCUGAUGCGGAGGAAGGCCUCGCACACGAUGAUAAACGCCGAGAUGUUGAGGAUGAAAUUUGGGGUUAGAUCAUGGAAAUCUAGCCCGUAGUAGAACAUGAGCCCGAGGACGAAGGGAUGAAGUGGAAAUCCCAGUCCACGAAUAAAAUGGGCGAGAAAUACGACCCUCUCAUGGGGUUCCAGAGUUGGAGUGACCUGCCCCUUGUUCGGCAGCCGGUGCGCAAUGUCUGCGGCCAAGUACCCGGCCACCCGGAGCUUUGCGAUAUGCUCCUCCUUCACGGUGGAGGCCACCCACUUGGCUCCUGCUCGAGACAUGUUUGGCUGUGCGGAGAAGGCGUGAACCAGGGCGCUGGAGCACGAGGGUGUGGGAAUGGAUAAGCAGAGGAGGAAGAAGCGUGGGAGAAAAUGGGUAAUCCUUAUCCCUUUAUAAAGGCGACGGACAAUGCGCCUCCCCACUUUCCCAUUGAGAAUCGCUUAUUUCCCAAAUGCCACAAUUGAUUGCGCGGUUGGGUUACCCACACCCGUAUUGAUGGAAAUCCCGUAAUUAGGGGACAUGAUCUCUGCUGUGACAAGACGUGCCGAGGAAACCGCUUCGCAAUAUGCGCUACGGCUGGUUAUGGAAAAACGGUUCGAAUAAUGACCCGACUGUGGUGUCAUGUCACUUUGUCUAAAGUUGUCAGCAGGUUAUAUUUUGUUAAAUACCAUCCUCUCUACAGUGGUACGUGAAGAUCAUCUUGCAGAUCCGGACGCGGUCUAAGUGUUCAAUAAAUACUUUGGAGUAUUCGGAGAUGGAACCCGCCUUGCAAUACCCAAAAAAACUAUGCGCCGGACUCGUUGUCAUUGAAGCCUGGUUCAGGGGCUACUGAGGGAGUCCUGGAUUAGGGGGUAUCCGGACAGCCGGACUAUAUACUUUAUCCGGACUGUUGAGGCGUGAAGAUACAAGACCCAAGACUCCGUUCCGUGUCCGGAUGGGACUCUCCUUUGCAUGGAAGACAAGUUGGGCGAUUCGGAUAUUAUAUUUCCUUCCUUGUAACCGACUCCAUGUAAACCCUAGCCCUCUCCGGUGUCUAUAUAAACCGGAGAGGUUGGUCCUUAGAGGGACGAUCACGAUCAUAAUCAUCAUAGGCUAGCUUCUAGGGUUUAGCCUCUAUGAUCUCGUGGUAGAUCAACUCUUGUACUACUCAUAUCAUCAAUAUCAAUCAAGCAGGAAGUAGGGUUUUACCUGCAUUGAGAGGGCCCGAACCUGGGUAAACAUUGUGUUACUUGCCUCCUAUUAGCAUUAGCCUAAGAUGCACAGAUCGGGACGCCCUACCCGAGAUCCGCCGGUUUUGACACCGACACCCCCCCCCAACAACGCUCAUUGUUCAUCACGGCAAGGAGGCAGCAGGGUUCGAUCGGCUUCUGUUAGUAGCUGUAGCGAAUGAAUCACUCGGGUUCCGUUAACUGUAAGGGAUCGAUCGCUCGGGUUCAGUAUCGUAGCUAGUGCGAUUGCUCGAGUUCAGUUAGAGCCCAACGCCUUGCUAGGGUUCAGUUAGAGCCCAGUGCCUCGCACACACGCGCGUACGUGUACGAGAGAAACGCGCAUUGCUCGGCCCCCGACCAUCCACCAUAACCGGGAACUCCCCGGAAUUUUCCUCGCCCUCGCUUCUACCACAGUUUUUUCCGUCAUGGACGGCCCAAAGAAUGUCAUGCAGCUGCGUCUCCGGCUCGCCCAGGACGAAAAGCCCAUUUUCUGUCAAGAUUUUUUGUCAUAGAAGUAGGAGCCCACCACAUCUAUGAUGAUACUGUGUUUUGUCACAAUUAUCGUCAUAGAAGUGCCAUAAGCAUGAAAAAAAUUGUUCGGCCCAAAAUGUCAUGGAUGUGUCUUUUUUUGUAGUGAAAGUCUGGUACAUUCUCAGUUUGAUCUGCUUAUCAUAGGGAAUGGGAGCAUAAAUUUGGACAAUGUAUGCAUGCGGAGGAUGGCCAAGGUCGAGCCAAUCCUAUGCCCAUUUGGGAUGACAUCUAGAAACUUAAGGUGUUGGCUAGUAUAACAUGGGAUCCUUCCCUGUAAAGGUGUACUGGCAAACAGACAUGUUUUAACACAAGCACAAUGUCCGAUCUGCUUGAGGGGACCUGAUGAUAUCCAGCACUGUCUUUUCAGCUGUAAGAGGGUUAAAUUUAUUUGGUAACAGUUGGAUCUAACAGGGACGAUCAGGAAGGCCAUAUGUCGAGACCGAUCAUGUUUUUUAAACUUAAAUCAAAUUACAGAUGAGAACUUAGGGAAGAGUAUUGGAGGUCUACAUAUACCCGAGCUUGUGAUCGCGACAUCUUGAUACCUUUGGUGGCAAUGUAGACAGCUAAUAAAGAGUGCAUCAGUACUGCCAGCAGAUAGAACAACAACAUCCAUCAGAGCAAUUGGCACAAAUUUCUGGAGAGCAAUUGAAAAGGACGAAAGGAAGAAGGAACCGAAAAAGUGGUGCAAACCAUUGCAUGGCUUUAUGAAAAUUAAUGUAGAUGCUUUAUUCCACGUAAAAGACCGAUUAGGAGCAAGUGAGGCAGUCAUCAAACAUGAAUUGGGUUAUUUUGCAGUUGCUGCAGCAUGUUCGUUCCACAUGUUUCUGAUGCGGCCUCUCGGGAACGGUAUUAAUUUGGCAGCUCAUGAGGGAUGCUUGAGGAUAGAAGCUGAGUCAGAUUGUGAACUUGUGAUUGAUGCAGUAAAAGAUACUUAUAGAUUCAAUGGUUCCCAAGCAGCUACAAUUAUUGAAUGCAUUCAAUUCUCUUGUGACUUCGGACAGGUGAAAUUUUCAUUACGCAACCGAGAAGCAAACAGUGUAGCAGAUGCUUUGGCUAAAUAAAUAUGCUGAGGAAUUCUUCUGUUUGGCAAGAUGACCCGCCUGAUUUCAAUUCUUCUUGAUUGUAAAUGCCAUUGCUAUUGUCCGAGAAACAAAAUCUUUACCCUGUCAAAAAAAAUAUUAUUUUUCCCCAAUUAUUUGCUCAUCAUUGGAAUUGUUCUCAAAGUUGAUAAAUCUACCCCAUGCAAAAAACAAAAAUAUUGAUCCGUGUGCACCUUCAAUUAGUAAUUUGGACCAAAGUGUCUAGUGUGAACUAAAGUGCCUCUUUCUAGGGACUUAAGAAAUGACACUUCAGAAUAUGACCGACCGUUUCGUGAAGAAAACAUGAUCGACCAUGAUCUAGAAGCCUCUAAACCAAACCAAGUUCACCAAUUGGGACUGGAAAAAUGAUGCAAAAGAAUGAACGCACCAGAAAGGGAACGCAGAUCCAAGCUGUAUUUUGCGGCCAUAGAAUAAAUCAAACAAUGACCCAACUCAUGUUCUUCAAGGUACCCAUUUAGAAAUUUCUUAACACUAUCAAAUAGCUGCUAAUCUGAAUACUAAGAAUUAAUGUGAUUUGUAUCCCUACUCUAAUGUGUAUUUGAUCCUUUGAAUCUACUUAACUAUAGCGGUUGCGGUAGAGGAAUGGUAUUAGGAAGACAUCUAGGAAAAAAAGUGAUUGAUUAAAUUAUUAAAUGACUACAUGGCAUUACGUUUUUCUUCCCACUCUUUUGUUUGUUUUUCUUAUCUUUCAAACUAACUAGAUACUUGCUUCCCUUCGAUCUUCACUGGUGAGCCCGUGGAUUCGCCUCCUCUCCGCCUGCUGCUCCGGCGGCUGCUGGCGGGGGCGGGUAUUCCUGGUGCCUCGUCUUAGUUAGGUAGGGUUUUAGUUCUCACAUGGGCGGCACUUGGACGGAUGGCGGCGCUCCUUCUUCAAGUCAGUCUUCUGGGCUCCGAUCCUCCUCAAGUUCAUCCUUCAGAACAGAUUUCACAGAGCUCAGAUGUAGAUUCCUGCCAGCUCCUCGGAACGGCAAGGUUAGGGUUUCUCAACAUGCGUACACAACAGCGAGAUUUGGUGUGAGGUUCUUUAGAUCGAUUCACGGAUUCAAUGGCGACGACUGCGGCUCCAGAAUGCUGGUCCUUAGGGGCACGCGCAUGAAGACCUCCCGGCUGUCAUCGACAAGGUCAUGUCGGAUGCGGUAUGAGAGCGGCGACAGCGAUGCGAGGCGGCUUGUUCAACCAGCGGCAAUGGUCGUACGGUUGUCCAUGGACCUCGAUGUAAUUUUUAUUAUGUUUGGGUGCUUUGUAUUUCUGAUGAAUCUUUAUAAUAAAUCUGUUUUUUUCGCAAAAAUAAAAACCUAACUAGAUACUUAAUUUCUGUUUAUGUAUUUGGAUUGCUAAAUUUCAGUCGACUAAGACUUAGCAAAAUCUCAGUCGAUGCUCUAUUCACGAGAUCUUAUGUGGUGAUUCAUGCAAAAUUUCCUUUUUCAUGUUUUUUUCUUUUUAUAUGUUAUACAUCAUUUGACUGAGACUUGGUUAAGUCUCAAUCGACUGAGAUCUAGCCACACCCUUUAUAUAUUUUUAGGCUAAGGACAUUUUUUUUCAUUGCAGCGCACAAGCAUUUUUACUGGUUGGUAAAAGAGGAAUUAUAGAAACCGUGGGACAUCUUGACGUAUGAAGUUCUUAGCCACGGCUAGCUCCUCAAGGCACACGCACGGCUUGAGCUUGACUGAGCUAUGGACCGAACAGGCGGGCCUGGCUUGCCAAUGGACGAGCGGGCUGGCGUUUUUAUAGCCGGCGCGAGAGUGCGGGAAGCGGUCAUAUAGAGAAAAAUUCACUAUAGGUCAUUAAACUUAAGCCGGUUGACAGUUUGGUAUCACUAUUUUAAAAUACUAAACUACGGUUCAAGUACUUGCGUAAGGGGUUUAUUUUGGUCCAUUUGUACGUUAUCGUGUACGUAUUUGCUGACUUGGCCGUGUCAGCGGCCGCCAGCCCGCUUUGACCGCGACGUAGUCGAUUCAAGGGUGAAUACUACUCGAUACGGUUUUUUUUUUACUAAAACGCCAUGACCAGCUCCCUGUCCGUCUUCUUCCGCAUGGUAGGAUUCCUCAGGAACAGCUUGACCUUCCUGUCGAGCCAGCCCACGGUGGUGGUGCUGUCCAUCCACCACGGAGAUUCGCUCCUCCUCUCCGCCGUGGAUUCGCUCCUCCUCCUAUCCCGCGGCACUGUCCUCCACCACGGAUCACUCGCCUCCCUCGACGCUGCCCUCCUCUCACACGGCUUCGCCGUCCCCGCGCAGCUCAACCCGCUAGAGUACGCCCUCGAGGUCAUCCACCAGAUACCCCAUCCCUCGCCCUCCUCCCCUGAACCCAAGUCAGCGCAAGAUCUCACAACCAAGGCAUCGGAUUCGGACCAAAGUUUUAAAUAGCGCGCUAAGACUUUUAGCGAUGGACCUCUUCUAAAUGCUAUAGCGUGCGAUAGCGGUGCUAUAGCGCGCUAUUUAAAAUGUUUGCUCUUGAGUUUGGACAAAAGAACCUUAGCGCAGGACCUUUUCUAAAUGCUAUAGCGUGCUAUAGCGAAGCUAUAGCGUGCUAUUUAAAACAGGGAUUCCGACCGCCGCAGGCCGGCCUUGUCGUGUACUUCGCCGUGCUCACGGAUACAUGAGUUCGUGGUUCUGUACAAGAGGGCGUGGAAGGUGGUGUAUCGCAGCAAGCAGCUGCUAUUGACCAACUUCCUCGAGGCUGUGAUCGUCGGGACGCUGCUGGGCACCAUCUACAUCAACGCCGGCUAUGGCAAGGCCGGCGCACACAAGCGACUGGGGCUCUUCGCCUUCACGCUGAUGUUCCUGCUCACCUCCACCACCGAGACGCUGCCAACGUUCGUCACGGAGCGAGUAAAUUGCUCAAAGCCACCAUGUUUGUGCUAGGAUACUUCAAAACUACCACUUUUGCCAAAAAUCACAAAAACCACCACUUCUGUGGUAAAUGAGUCACAAAACGCACUGAUUCGAAACUCAGCAACGCUUAAUAACAAAACUGACAGGGUUGACCCAUCUGUCAGGCUGACUUGGCAUGCACAUCUGUACAAUAAAGUGAGGUGGAAGGGGGGCCCACCUGUCAUACUCCCAUCUCUCCUCCGUUGACUCCGGCCCUGCCCCGACUCUUGGUGCCCGGCGAGGUAGGCAUGCGAUGGCGAGCAGCGCCGCUUCAGCUCCGGCAAGUGCCCCUCCCAUCGAGGCGAACGGCACCCACGUGCGCACGAAGCUGGCGGUCUCGGCGAGCGCGUCGAAGGUGAGGAGCGCGCCGCCGUCGUCACAGAGGUAGCAGGCGAGCUUCUCGACCGGGUAGUCGGCGGCUAGGAUGGAGAUGAUGGUGUUCGCGGUGACAAGCGGCGGCUCCUUCUCCGGGUUAGCGCUGGAGACGAAAACGUCAAUGCCGGGGAGGUCGGAGCGGCCCUUGGGGUUGCGUGCAGUGGGCAACUCGAAGCGGUCGGCGGCGGCUCCUUCUUCUCCAUGCAUGCGAUCACACACACUCGUAUACGCACUACGUAGUGUAGUAAAGGAAGGAGAAGAAAUUCGUGGAUUGAUCAAUGGUCACCUCUUGGCUCUGGACGCUCUCCGGCUGAGCACGACCCAGUAGAGCACCCGGUAGAGGAGGAAAAAUCCAAACAGCACCUGCACUCCCGUCCACCGCUCCUCCGCCGUGAGGCCCCUCGCCGCUGUUAGGUUUAAUCUUAAUUCAUGUAUCUGCAUAUUUACUUUGCUUUCGUUAUGCAUGUUGCAUAGGUUAGAGAGUAGCUAGUCUGGUGAAGUUUCAGUGGAGACAUGCGAAGACGGCGAGAUGCCGGGCUGUCGUGCGAUACGGCGAGCACAACGAGAUGCCGAUGGCAGCGUGAAGGGCAGUGCAGUGUGAUACGACGCAAGGCUUGAGGCCGAGAGGGCUGGUGAGGAAAAGAUGUAGCAUAUGUGUGUCUCACCGGGAGAACAAAGCAAAGCUGGUUCCUCCACGGUGAGGUGUGUGUGUUCCCUCCAUGUGUGCGUUCUUGUUCUCUUGAGAAAAAAGAGAGUUGUGAGAGACAACGAGAGGUAGAAGAAGAAGUGGCGCUGCGAGGAGGCGGCGCCAACAAUUGGUAUCAGAGCCUUGUUGAUCCGAGGUGGCGACGACGGUGCCGGCAGCUUUGAUGGCUGGCGUGGCGGUGGCGGAGGCAAUGGCGACGCGGCGGACUCCAUGUGACGUGGAGGACGUCGGCGCGAGGUGGAGGCCAUUGGCGGCGCGAUGCCGCUGGUGGCCGGUUGCGGUGCGAUGCUGCAAGUUGACGAUGGUGGUGUGAUGCCAUCAUCUCAAGGAAAGUCGGUGUGAUGCCGACGGCGGUGGUGCGAUGCCAUCGCCAUCAUGAAGAGUUGGUGUGAAGCCAAUAAAAGUUGCAGCGUGAUGUUGUGGCAAGACGGCAUGGUGAUCGGCGUUGCGACAGCGUCGUCCACGUCAAGAGGUGGCCGCUGCGUGAGGCAAGAGUACAGGGUGUUGGACACCCGCGCUGCGAUGGAGUCGGUCCACGGCAAGGUGUGCAACGCCGUGAUGGCAUCGUCAAGUGGCAGCGGGUGAAGCCGCGUGGAGACUGGAGAAUCAAGAUUAGGUGGAAAAUGUUAGGUUUAAUCUUAAUUCAUGUAUCUGCAUAUUUACUUUGCUUUCGUUAUGCAUGUUGCAUAGCUUAGAGAGUAGCUAGUCUGGUGAAGUUUCAGUGGAGACAUGCGAAGACGGCGAGAUGCCGGGCUGUCGUGCGAUACGGCGAGCACAACGAGAUGCCGAUGGCAGCGUGAAGGCGCGGUGCAGUGUGAUACGACGCAAGGCUUGAGGCCGAGAGGGCUGGUGAGGAAAAGAUGUAGCAUAUGUGUGUCUCACCGGGAGAACAAAGUAAAGCUGGUUCCUCCACGGUGAGGUGUGUGUGUUCCCUCCAUGUGUGCGUUCUUCUUCUCUUGAGAAAAGAGAGAGUUGUGAGAGACAACGAGAGGUAGAAGAAGAAGUGGCGCUGCCAGGAGGCGGCGCCAACAGCCGCCAGCACGUCGCGCCCCAUCUCCGAGCACUCCUCUCCGGCGCCGGCCACCCCGCAGCACCGGUUCGCCGCGCACAAGUACUCGUUGGCGAGCAUGGCGUCUAGAGCGUACUUGUAGGGAGAGGCGUAGUGCAUGAACACCCAGUACACCGGCGCCCCUCCUCCUCAGCUGCGGGGCGCGUCCGUGGACGCGGAUGCCCGUGGUUCUGUUCGGCGUGGGCGGGUUGUGCACGGUGUAGUGCACGAACUCGGCGCUCGCGUCGGCACCGUCCCUCGACGUGUACCGGCUCUCCCCGCUCCGGCGCACCGGCGAGACCUGCAGCGUCGCGGUGGAGGAGCCGAUAGAGUGCCUGGGCACGGGGCUGGUGAGCCCGGGCCCCCUCCUCACGACCCCAUCCCCGGGGCUCCCGCAGCCAGCACCCUUCCCUCUCGUCGGCGACAUGGUCACCGUCACCGGCGAGCCCGCCGGCAACGACAGCCGCCGCGACAUCCCUCCACCGGUUCACCCCCGCCUCCUCCAAAUCAGCUCAAAACUCCAGACGAUCAAAGAACCAGCAGCAAGCAGGGCGAUCAGCAGCUCUAACUGAUUCCUCGCGCUCAAAGAAGAGAAAAGAAGUGUAGUCAUGGCGUUUUUGCCAAAAAAAAAUCCGAUCGAGUAGUAUUCACCCUAGGAUCGGCUAAGUGGUGAUCAAAGCAGGCUGGCGGCCACUGACUCGGCCAAGUCAGCAAAUACGUAUACGAAAUCGUAUAAAUGGACCAAAAUGAAUCCUUGCGCAAGUAUUUGGAUCGUAGUUUGGGUAUUUUGAAGUAGUUGUAAAAAUCUGUCACCCGGCUCAAGUUUGGUGAUCUACGGUGAAUUUUUCUCGGUCACAUAAACCUGACUGUGUAGGUACUGCACCGUCGAAUCAGAUGCCGAUCGUCGUGCACGAGAGCGUGUGGCGCUGUUGAGGUCGUGGGCGAUCAGGGCACAGCUCUACUGUUUACGCCCGUACCUUAGUGCAACCAUGGUCAUUGAAUGCUAUUGCUGUCUGAUGGUAGCACCACGUUACCGUGCUGUACCUGGAUGGUUACAAGUCUCGCUGGACUUCUCGACGUGGAUGCACAUAUGAACGGCGUACGUUCAGUCGUGCAUCCUUGGAUUUAAAAUAUUUUUUCGGAGUGUGACACACACUUACGGCGCAGAAAAUCAAAUAGCAUUUCAGCUUAUAAUUUGAGAGGGGGAGGCAGAUAGGCACCGGGGAACAACAAGGUCGCUGUCCAGAACGAAAAGACGAUGCAUGUCUUGUUGUGCGCGCGUGCCCUGUCGCUCAUGGCAUCGCCAGGUGGUCGCGGUCGACGUACCAUUUCCGGAUAGACGAGGCCACGUGCACGCAGAUGGUCGUCCGGCCACCAAGAAUUUCUGUGCACCCGGGUUAACGGCGUCACGGGCCAAGCCGCCCAGAGUAGCAUGGCAGGCACAUGUAUGACCGGUCGUGUUAAUCAAUCCGCUGCCGCGCGCCUUUUCGUGGAGGCAUGCAUACGAACGUAGAUGCCCUCGCCAAUGUAUAUCGUUUCGGUGAUAGACAUGUUCCUAUUCUGGAAUUGUGCCAUCCACCUCUGAUCUUCGUUAUAAGAAAAGGGCAAUGCCAGCAAGCCUUUUUUUUCACUGCUAUCCUACCCUGUCACUCAUUUCCUGGACGCGCACGGUUCUCUUCCGUUCGCUACUCAUUCCAUGGACGAGCACCGUUCGCUUCCGUUCGCUUAAUGAUGACGUGGCCGUAACAUCCGUGUCCCGCUACAUGAUCACCGAGUCCGUCCUCACCUCCGAGCCCGUCCAGAUGCAACCAGUUCUAAGCCAGCUUUGGUGUAGCUCCAUUUACACAAUCCUCUCCACACGUUGAUCCACUUUCGUGCACACCGCCACAGCAAGGUAGAUCGUAGUGCCGGAGUUCUAGCGAGAUUUGUGUGCUUAAACAUGUGUGCAUAUUGUUUUGAGUAGCAGUAAAAUGUGAUGUUGCUUGUAUGUAAUCUUAAUGUCUCGCGUGUUUUUGUUUAAGUCAUUUUUUUGCUUCAUUCUUUGGGUGUUCGGUUUCACCUUAUUUCCCCUUAUGUGCUCCCAUAGCCGUGAAUAUCUAUAAAUGUUCCUAGACAGUAAUAGUGAUUAACCUCUUUAUGUAAUGUCUAUACGUAUGUUCAUUUCUGUAGAGUCGAGAUCUGGUGUACCCAUUUUUUGUCCUGAUUUCUAUGUUUUCUAGAUGGAUUUCUUUGUUUCUUGAUCAUGUAAGAUCAAUGAGGACAUUCCUUCGCAUAUUGGAAGCCUAUUUUUUUUCUAUUUCUAUGUCUGUUAAAAUCCUAUGAAUCAAUGAGAACCAGUUAUCAUAUCAAUGCAAACAACAAGUGACGAGGCUAUGCCCAAUUUUUUUCAAUACACACAGAAAAGGUCAAGUACACAGCAAAUACCAUUCAUCUGACAUCAUUCUUUGCUUUAUUUAAUUAUUUCUCCAUUAUGAAAAUGGUCUUACACUUAAGGCCUAGGUACUUGACGCGGGUGGAGGUGGUAGCUUUAUUUCCGGAACACGAUAACCUGCAAAAUUUCAUUCUUCACAUCAUAAUGAUGAACAUGAGAAAUUAUAUAAAGUGUAUAUAUAUAUAUUUGUGUGUGUUUGUGUGUUUGUGUGUGCACGCGCAAAUAUGACAAUAUACCAACCUGCACAGUGAGUGUCUGUGUGCAACCCAUUGCCGCAUACAUGUGUAGCCAUGGCAAACUUGGCUAGACUGAGCAAAGUCAGUUCGUGAGCGGUGAACCGAUCACAGACGCAGUGGAUGUCUUUUGCAUCCCUUAUUGUAUUGCAACAUGCGCUAUGGAGUGGCGGGUACUGGUCACCAAGUUUCUUUUCGAUGUGAUGCCAACAGUCUCGCAUCACCUUUUUUUUAUCAAGGAGGCAGUGAUCUAUAUUGUUGGCUUCUUGUGCAUGGAGCGAACAAGAAGAAAGAGCCACAAUGACUAGGAAGCAUAACACUCCAGCUACUUUUGCGUUGUUCAUGUUCUAUGUUGUGUAGCACUAUUGGUAUGUGUUUAUGCAGGACUUCUGUGCCACUCAAUCUCUAUAUAUAGUGGUCAUAGUGAAGUUUUUAGACUCCAUUCGCUCAUCAAUCGCUUAAUUGGACUCUUUUAACUAGGUGAGAGAUAUAUGACUUAGAUAUGUUAUAAUUUAAUGUUUGCACAUCUAGAUCUUGUAUAAAGUUGUUGGCAAUGGAUGUGGAUGCAAGCCAUUAAUUAUUGGCAAUGGAGUAGUUGAUUUGGAACUCUUAACAGAUAUAUGUACAUAACUUGGGUAUGUUGAUAAUUAAUGUAGGGACAUGUGUGGUCCUUGUAGUAUCACAUCGAUGGUAAAGGAUACUUCUAAUUAAAUAUAGCUAGGUGCAUCCAUUUCUUGUAUCAAAUUGAUGGUAGCGGAUAUGUAGAUAAGCCUAUUUAUUUGUCUGUCUAUCUAUAUCUCUAUCUCUAUCACUAUCUCUAUCUCCAUCUCUCUCUCUCUCUCUCUCUCUCUCUCUAUCUCUAUCUCUAUCUCUAUCUCCAUCUAUCCAUCUAUCUAUCUAUAUAUCUAUCUAUGUAUGUAUGUAUGUAUGUAUGUAUGUAUGUAUGUAUGUAUGUAUCUAUAUCUAUAUCUAUAUCUAUAUCUAUAUCUAUAUCCAUCUCUAUCUCUAUCUAUCUAUCUACCUAUCUCUAUCUCUAUCUCUAUCUCCAUCUAUCUAUCUAUCUAUCUAUCUACCUAUCCAUAUCUAUAUCUAUCUCUAUCUCUAUCUCUAUCUCUAUCUAUCUAUCUACCUAUCUAUCUAUCUAUGUCUAUAUCUAUCUGAUACUAAUAACGGACUCCCAACAUAUUAAAACUUCAAUCAGUGAAAACAAGAAAUAGAAACCACUGAUUUUAGCGGGCCUGAAUUACUAUGAUUACGAUCUAUUAAUAAAUCCCUUGGAUAUUUCAAAUGAAAAAUGGAACUUGGAUCUCUCAACCAGGGAAAAAAAGUAAAAGAUAUGAUGCAAUGUAAACAACCGUUCAGAUUUGACACGGUAGCUGAGACGUCAUGCAAUUGUCAAAAUCAUGACUAUGUUUCUUUGUGACUAACCUAGAUACGACCUGAUUCGUAUAUCUCCAGCCAAUUUGAAGUCCAUCGAUAAUUCCAUUGCCAUCUCAUGGCCUUGGCUUGGAGGAACUAUGCCACAUGGUAAAGCAGUCCCGAUAUAAUCUCUCUGACCUUCUCAACAUUCGUCAUGCCUGUUCCUAGCCAUGGAUAUCUGCCGGCACCAACCAGCACACAAACUAUAAGUAGAAAAAGACGAUCGGGGGUUAUGAUUAUAGGGAUUUAGACAUAGUUUUCUUAUCUUUUAGAUCCGCUGAGGAUGUUGUUACAGUGAUGGAACAUACAUCUGGUUACCUAUAUGCUCAACAUAGGGUGGUGCAUAUUUGAUUCCAUCAAUAAUUUAACGCACUAACCGACAUGGAAUCUUUCUUUGUCUUUUUGUUAUUUUUUACAUCCUCCGCUAGUUCUUGCAAUCUUCUAAAUAAGUCACGUUCAGUUGGUCACUGUUGGUUCAUAGAGUUCUUUCAUGACCAGUAGAAAGUUUAUGUGUGUUGACAUUGGGAUUGGCGGCCCAAAAUAAGGAUAUGAAUAUGUUGCAUUAGACUUCUCUCCUUGCCAUCGAUCCUCAUAUUUGCGCCUUGGGGGUGAUCUUGAUUUCUUUGCAUGAUUUGGCCGAUAAGUAUUCUUGUCUUCACUCUUUUGAUAUUUACCCAAUAGUUCAGCGAAGAUUAUUUUAAAUCUCUUACACUUGCGCUUAUUUCGGCCUUUGUUUUCUUUUUGUUUGCUUUCAUCAAUCAUUGGAGUUUCUUGUUGCCCCACAGUCCUUAGCGUCUUCAUUGUAGCUUCGAUAGAAUUUUCACCCUCAAGAAUAUUAUCAUUGUGAUCUUAAAAGAUUUUCUUACCUGAAAGCUUAAUCCCAUUUUCUGCAGUUUUUCUUUCUCAUGUUUAAAUAGACCAGCAUGAAGCAGCCGAUGCAAAAACUGUUUACCAUCAGAACCAAUCGGAAUAGACUGGUCAUCUCUUGGUGUCUCAACAAAUUUGAACCGUCCUUACACUAGUAGAAAAAGGACCUAAUAUGGGACACAUUGUGCUCUUGGUGUUUGCACUUUAGCGCCGGUUCGUGAUGAACCNNNNNNNNNNNNNNNNNNNNNNNNNNNNNNNNNNNNNNNNNNNNNNNNNNNNNNNNNNNNNNNNNNNNNNNNNNNNNNNNNNNNNNNNNNNNNNNNNNNNNNNNNNNNNNNNNNNNNNNNNNNNNNNNNNNNNNNNNNNNNNNCAACCGGCACUAAAGGCCAUCACGAACCGGCACUAAAGCCCGGUUCUGCACUAGUGUUAUCAAUGUCCGAUUUAACUAUUUGACGAAACAUAUUGCAAUCCUCGAAAUUAUGUUUCAACGAAUGAUGCAUUCUAAAUCACAUUCAUCCUUGGUUUGAUGACUUGACAUGGUGAUCAAGAAUUCCAAUGUAAUUAUUUUUCAGCGACAAGUCAAAUAUUUGAUCACACAUACCUGAAUUGAAGGUAAACCUUUUAUUUUCUAGACGAGCUUGUUGUGAGAAUGGCUUUAGAGGUAAGCACACGAAUGGUUCAGAUUUGGAAUCUCCCCAUUCGGCUAUGAAUUUUCUUUUGCAUUAUUUUUCUGGUGUCAUUGGAUAACAUAUUAUACUAGCAUCAAUUUUUCUCAAAAGAAUCUAAACUUGACAUUAUGUUUCUGAAACAAAAAUAGUUAGAACACACAUGUCUCAAUUGAGACGAAAAGCAUGCCAAGUAAGAAAUAAGGAAAGCUACCCAACUAGAUAUGAACUUUACAUAAAGCAAUGGGGAAAGCCUUGGCUGUAACAAUAAGUCACUCUCGGUCUCUAUAAAUGGCGCAAUGGGUUGACCGAUAUGCUCUAUAACAAUUUUAUCGCUUACAAGUAAAUUACCCUUCUUCACUGGUCUUUAAAAAUUACUUAUUAGGAUUUUUUCUAACAGAUGCAUCAACAGUAAAGUUGUCACCAAAUAUGAGAGCAAGUAAAUUACUUGAUAGACAUACCUCUUCAAAUUUGUUGGGAGAGCAUGAUGGUGGUGUGACUUGAACAAUAUCUUGCUAUGUCUUUGGAUGGCUCCCCAACGCCUUUUCAUCAUAUUCUUUAUUCUUGAUUUUGUGCAUUAUUAUAUCGAAGAUCUUUGUCAACCGAGCUUUUUCGGCUACUUGUUCUUGUCCUCGAGGCUUGUCAAUUUCUACGGCACAGAACUCAUAGGGCACGAAGUAGGUUCCAUUAACUUUUAAAAAAAUCAGGCACGACUGUUUUCCUAUGCUUGCCAUGACCUUUCUCAAUAAUGCUUGCCUAUUUGGAUUUGAUGGAUUCAGAAUAUACACUACUUGAUUCGGGGUUUUCAACCGAAGCAUUUUCAUGUUAUGAAUCAUCCUUCUUUUCAUUGACUCUACCAAUUGGCGAUGCUUCUUUUAUCUGAGUCAAUUCUUUUUCUGUUUGUUUCUGGCGGUGUGCGGAAAAAUUGGCUUUAAGAUGUUUCUCAAUUUCAGCCCACUCCGGAUAUGAUUGCUUCCCAAUGCUUUUAGAUUCCUUUGGCAAUCACACAUGAGUGUUGCCAAAACUUCGCAAUUGCAUAGGGGGUGUUUAAUAUUUGGGCAGUAUAACUGCACCUAAUCCCUGCUCUCUCACGCCAUUAGGCUUUGUGGCUGUUCGUUUUGCUGAUUUAACCAUUCUUGGCUGUCAAAUCUACGUGAUGUAGCGUCAUUGCCCAAUUCCUACAGCAUCCAGGCCCAACUGUCCUAAGGGGAUGCUACUCUGGAAGAAAAAACCGAGGCCUCUUGUUAAUUGGGCCACUUGAGGCAGCCCAUUUAACAAUCCCGACUCCAAUCUGUCGAUGGCUCGCUGCAGCUGUCCCUUGUACCGAAAAAACAAAUGUGCCGUCAAUAGGAUGUGUUGGACUCGAAUAGAGGAGGCGCUCAAGGGAGCCAGUCGCGCGAGGGGCUCGAGCGGUGGCGAAACAAGAUGAGUUGAGCGACAGGAGCCGAGGCGCGCUAGUGGAUCCACCCUCACGCGGUUCAGCCGAUGCGUGUGAGGGGAACCGAUCCAACCUAAGAGGGGAUCCAGCGGAUGCGCGGGAUGCGGAUGAAUCAGGAGCAAGUGAGGCAGUCAUCAGAGAUGAAUUGGGUUAUUUCAUAGCUGCUGCAACAUGUUCUGCCACAUGUUUCUAAUGCGGCUACUGCUGAAGCAAUUGCUCUCAGGAAUGGUAUUAAUUUGGCAGCUCAUUUGGGAUGCUUGAGGAUAGAUGCUGAGUCAGAUUAUGAACUUGUGAUUGAUGCAGUAAAAGAUACUUAUAGAUUCAAUGGUUCCCAAGCAACAACAAUUAUUGAAUCCGUUCAACUCUCUUGUGACUUCGGACAGGUGAAAUGUUCUUUACGCAACCGAGAAGCAAACAGUGUAGCAGAUGGUUUGGCUAAGCAAGCAUAUAUGCUGAAGAAUUCUUCUGUUUGGAAAGAUGACCCACCUAAUUUUAUUUCUUCUUUGAUUGUAAAUGACAUUGCUAUUGUCUGAGAAACGAAAUCUUCACCCUGUCAAAAAAAUUAUUUCUCCCCAAUUAUUUGCUCAUCAUUGGAAUUGUUCUCAAAAUUGAUAAAAUUUACCCCAUGCAAAAAAUAUUGAUCUGCUUGCACUUUCAGUCAGUAAUUUGGACCAGAGUGUCUGGUCUGAACCAAAGUGCCUCUUUCUAGAUGCUUAAGAAAUGACACUUCAAAAUAUGACUCACCGUUUCAUAAAGAAAAUAUGAUCGAUCAUGAUCUAGAAGCCUCUAAACAAAACCAAGUUUGCCAAUUGAAACUGGAAAAAUGAUGCAAAAGAAUGAACGCACCAGAAGGGGAACUCAAAUCCAAGUUGUAUUUUGCGCCCAUCUUAUACUAUUUACUAAUUGGAGGCACCAUGCGAGGUUCCAUGUUAAUCCCGGUAGUUAGAAAAUUUGGACCAUUAGAUUUACUAAUGAUACGUCGAUGACCGUCAGAUAAUGUCUUGAUGCGCCUCUUCACGUGCGGGAGACAAACUCUUCUAUUUGCACCUCCUUACGUGAUAAAAAAAUUGAAAUAAAAAUCAGCGGGGAAGCACCUCUUCACGUGGAGGAGACAGACUCCUCUCUUUCCACGUCCUUACGCAUCAUAAAAAAACUGAAAUAGAAACCAGCACAAAAACACGAUUAUGUAAUCCUCGCCUCCUACCCUCCUGCCUCCCAUCGCCGCUUCUUCUCCGCAAGCAGGACUGAUCCCUCGAUCUGCUGACCACCAAUCUCCCUCAUCUGGUCUUCAAGGCAGCUCCCGCACCAUCUAUCUCCUUCCUCGGGCUACCUUAGAGAUUGCCUCCCCAAUUUAUUGAGGUAUUAGCCCCCCUCCAUGCUCGCCACGUACUUAAGUAGGUCAAAAAAAUUGGCCACAUGUACAGUAGAAUUCAGCAGCAUGUGUUGCAUUGGAGAUGCAUGAGGAGAAUCAAGCUCCCUGCCCCUUUUUGCUGCAGGUAGGUAUAUGGUUUCUAUCUAAUCAACUAUUUGGUAUCUAUAUAACAUGGGACACUAGCAACCAAGUAGAGGUAAAUCAUAUAGUUUUUACAAAUUCAACUAUUAUCCAUACAAUUGUCCAUCCUUAGAUUUGAGUGGAACCCAAAAUUAAUACCAACCUGGCUGCUAGAGUAUGCAAUUUACUAAGGUUAGAUGGCAGUGGAAUUAAUUAGGUUUUUAUUCAAUCUGAUUUCUACUAUGUAUAGCCAGUUUGGUUUCAAUGUCAAUGGAAUAAAAUACUGGACAAAUGAAUGUCAGAAUAAUUUUAUACGAAGACUAAAAAUUAUUCUCUCCUUGAUUUUAUUAUUUUGUUUCCAUAUCACACUGCACUGAAGAAAAAGAGCGGUGUGGGGACAUUUUAAUAACUCGGGGGGUUCUGGCUGAGGGCGAGAGAUCUUGAUGGAGAAUGUGUGCUAGAGCUCAAAAAUAGAGGGGUCUGCAUCAAUGAACACUUGCAACAUACAAUAUACAGCCGUGUGGAGUUUGUUCCAGACGAAGUAGCAUUUACACACGUAAAUGUUGCUCUGUUGUAUAAGCAGUAGAAAAAGUGCUGCGACCGCCAUGUAUGGCUGUUUAAGGUAGACUGCUAGAUUAUGCAAUGAUUGGAAAUUGUUAAGCCUGAAUGACUGGAAGAGGGAUUCUAAUCCUACGGGAAACCAUUAGGAAUAAUAACAAAUAUCCAGUAACAGAUGUUGAUUUUCAUUAUAACAUACCUAAAAUUCAUUAAAAAAGGAUGUGUAAUUUCUACCUAAUCACUAAGUGCAUAGUUUUAUCACCAAGUUAUCCUAGACAUACAUCCUCGCGAACAACAUCACCAAGUUGCUUGCAUACUGCACUGCAAGUUUAGAACAUUUGAAUGCUUAUGAUACAAACCAAUGCUCAAAUUUGAAGAAUUAUACUUUUUGGAUUAUGGUUCAAUUUAUUAUUUGACAAUCGAGGACACGUUGCUUCACUUCAAUUUCACAUGUGUAGGAUACGAGAAUGCCUUGGCCCAGGAUUCCUGGGCGGGGAGGUUGAGGUACAAAACCUUUCACUGAGUGGAGAUAUCAAACGUUGCCAUGGAAGGAGCACGAUCCAAGAUCUCAUAGGCAGGUAGCAGAAUCGCAUGGAGUGAAGCUCGCUUCCCCAAUGUCCUCUUGGCUGACUUAAAAACAAAUCGGAAAUCUCGUACGUGAGCACGUCCUCAAGAACGCAUCCGUCACCUGUAGCGUUCAACUGGGCUUCGUCAACACAUCAGCAGUCUCGGAGUUCAAACUUGCUCAUGCAUGCAGCCUUGUAGCAAGAAGCAAAGUAUAUACGAUCGUAUUGAAGACUUGGCUCAUAGUAGCAAUGUCUAAUCCACGGAACCCAGAGCUAUGCACUACUUCACUAGCACAUGAUAGCUAGGUAUAUACAUUUUUCACUACUCCAUCUGUAUAAUACAACACACCCUCUACAUUUUAUCAGUAUCGACUGCAACUUAUGGACUAUGGGUGAAAAUUGUACUACAACAUAGUUUUGGAGUGUACAUUUGUGAAUUUAGGAUAUUUUUUUGUAACAAAACAGAUCCAAAUGGUAUACAUAUUUUAGAUGACCAAUUUAUUUGCUCGAUGUUCACACAGAGGGAUGCCUAUGUGGAUAAAUUAGUUUUAUUUGUCACCCAAACAUUGCUACACAAUUUGACAUUUGCUUGCAGUUACGGGUUCGAUCCUUCAAGCCAUUUCUUCAUGGGAUGUGGCAUUAAUUGUGCGAGUGACUAGAAAUAAGUUCUUCGCGAAUUAGGCACUGAAUAUGCAUCUGUACAGGCUACGUUGCUACAUAAAUAAAAGAGGCGGCCAUGCACAAUACGAUAGUUCAAACAACAGAUAGUUGAAAAGAUAAAAUAAUUGAUAGGGUGUGCUAAUGGAGGGGUAGAUAUUAAUAGUAUAUGUGGACUAUCCAGUUACCCAUGACACUCAGAAUUACAAAUUGACAUGUGGGUUGUUACUCAACUUACUGCACAUAUGUAUUAUUAAAUUUCAUAUAACCUUGGGAAUAUAAAAAAGUUCUUUUGCAACUAGCCAUCAAAUUGGAUAUUUGUAUCAAGAUUAUGUUUUCCAUCUAUGGGAACUUGCAGCUUUUAUUCUAUUUCUUUAUUGAAACCAAAAUAUACAAUUGAAAAACAUGAACAAGUAUAUUAUAGCAUGUGCCCUUUAAACAUGCUACCAUUAUUUACACAAAACAAAACAAUAUGAUGUCAUUACUAAAUUGUCUAAAGAUCUAGCCAGCGCAUCGAGCGGGCCACUUUGCUAGUUCAAGAAAAGGUCAUGUCUUUACAGAAAUGUUCAAUUCCCCCUCAGUUUGAACUUGUAAGGUGUACUGAUUUUGAACAAGUUUAUAGAAUAAAACAUAAAUAUCUACUAUAGAAAAUCAGUAUCAUUAGAUUCAUGAUGAAGUAUAUUUCCAUAUUUGAUUUAUUUAGGGGCUGUUCGGAAAGCCUCCACGCCCUCGCCACGGAGCAGAGCGGACGGAGCGACCUUCUGGCCACUCCGUAGAUUAUAGUUGCAUGCCACUCCGCUCCGGAGCGGAGCCGCGGAGUGGGAGUGAGUCCGAGCAGGCCUUUAGUAUCGUAGGUGUUAGAUGUAUUUUGCUACAGAUUUGAUCAAACAUAGGAAACUUUGACUUUUGGAAAUUUAAUUCACCUUAUAUUUUGACAGACAUGGAGUAGUAUGAUGGGACCAGAUCCAUGAACCAUCAUCUCAAACCCAUGUAUUCAUGAGGUGUGAUGUUAAUUUUAACAAAUCUGCCCAUGGACAGAACCUCGAUACCAUGAUUCACAGACCAACCCACACAUAAUUUCUGUAGACUGACAUAUACGCCGAUUUCAUCUUGUGGUAUAUCCCUGAACUUUUCUGAUGAAAAUGCUCUUAGUUGGGAUGCCAUCAGGCUCCAAACCAAACCCAAGAAAACCUGGGAGCACUUUACUUACCAAUAAAUUAAGAUUACUUUUGCAUAAGGUUUUGUCGUAAUUCGUUACCAAGAUGGGUUGCACUGUAUAGUUUCCUAGCAGCAACAUUUGGCCAGCUUCUUAGAUUUUAUCUAUAUGAAUAGUAGAUUUGUUCAUUUCGAUUUAUAACAUUGUAAAUGUUUACCUCAGCUGCCAGAUUAACAUAAUGGAACGUUGUCAGGUGUGUUUGAAGGUUGCCAGUUUAGGUGGGCCAAACAACUAGUGCGCUGAGGUCAAAAUAAGCAUAACACCAGUUUGAUUCUUUUAGGGGUCACCUACAUGAUGAAAGAUGCUCAGGCACACAUCAUUGUUCUGUUUUCCCAUGUCAGGUCAUACUUGGUCUGUAACUGAAUCUUGAGAAUUCAUUUGUAUGACUUGAUGUACAAACGUGUUAUUCAUAAUGAAAAUAAUAUCAUUGUAUGUGCUUAAAAUAGUAUGUCAUAAUUCUGUAAAAAAAUGGCAUCUUCUACUAGGUAAAGAAGUAAUAACGGUAACAAAAAUCUUUGGGCAGUCUCCAUGUGUAGAAGGUUGGAACGUUUAGAUAUUAGGAAGUGUGCAUUAAUUCUCCCGAUGGAAAAUCGCCCAGCUAGGGAAUGAGAAUAGCGACACGAAAUAAAGAUUUUUGAUGUGUUUGUAUUUAAAACAAGAUAAUAAAAAUUGAUGUAUGUUUUGAUAAAUCUUUAAAGAACUACAGAUAACAAUGCCUGCACACCAUCGAUACACACUUGCACUCACAUACAUGGAUGGGUAUCAUCACUAUCCUAACCAUUCAACUAUUGGCUGGUUUCAAUAACAUUUGGUUUAUCAGCCAAUAACAUAUUAUUGCGUUCAAUAGUAUGAUUUAUGUUAGUUGAUUGUAAAAAAAGAGACGCGUGUUUUUUUAGACGACAUUGUUCUCGGCUAUUUUAGCUUUAUGAAUUGCAUCUUAAAUUUUUGUAAAAGCACGUGGCAACGCACGGGCGUUAUACUAGUCAAUGCAAUGACAUACAAAUUUACUAUUUAUCUCUGUUACUCAAGUGAAGUCCUCUUGGUGUUAAUAAUUUUACGUAAUGCAUGAUGUGCUUCUAUGUUAUUGGUUUCCACAAUAUAUCGGUGUCAGUUUUCUUUCUCUAAUAUGUUGAAAAGUAUAUAAUUAUUUAUAAUAUUACGUUGUACUAUAGUCACUAGUAUAAAAAGCCUCAUUCUUCCCGGUUCGUCAGGGCCAUUUGUCCCGGUUGCCAAACCGGGACCAAAGGGUCGGUACUAAAGCCCUAUACCUUUAGUCCCGGUUCGCCCAGAAACCGGAAUAGAUGUGGCUCCACAUGGCCGUUGUCGCUUGCCAGGAAGGAGGACCGUACCUUUUGUCCCGGUUCGUUCCACUAACCAGGACCAAAAGGCUUCCACGCAUCAGCAAUUUUUGAUUUUUUUNNNNNNNNNNNNNNNNNNNNNNNNNNNNNNNNNNNNNNNNNNNNNNNNNNNNNNNNNNNNNNNNNNNNNNNNNNNNNNNNNNNNNNNNNNNNNNNNNNNNNNNNNNNNNNNNNNNNNNNNNNNNNNNNNNNNNNNNNNNNNNNNNNNNNNNNNNNNNNNNNNNNNNNNNNNNNNNNNNNNNNNNNNNNNNNNNNNNNNNNNNNNNNNNNNNNNNNNNNNNNNNNNNNNNNNNNNNNNNNNNNNNNNNNNNNNNNGUAGGGUUAAUUUAGGGAUUUCAUAUAUUGUGUUAGCUAGCUAAUAGAGAGAAUUGUCCUCUCUUAUCUCCACGCUUGGUCGACGCUACGUAUAGAGAGGACUCGACACGCUAGCUAGCUAGUAAGCAAAUGAAGGAAACCAUUAAGUACAAAAGACCGUCAUGAACAUAUAUACACAGAGAGAAGUGAUUAACCUCUCCUUCUCCGAUAAAUUUGUUGAACAACAAGUUUUCGUAUAUCUAUCCGAUGCUACUGGCUACAUAUACAUAUAUAUAUAUAUAUACAAUGGUCUCAACUUCCACAUGGUAUUCUCCGUGUUUGUCGAUGACGUGGUCAAGAAAGAAUCCCGCCAAUUCCUCUAUGCGAUCUUGUGGUAGGAGUUCAUCCCGCAUCUGCCAAUUUCAAGAAGAGGGUCAAUACAUAUAUAUGAAUGAAACUGAAGACAAAUGAUGGUAAUAGAAUAAAAUUGUGAAUAUUAUUGCUUACACACUUCAUAUUGUUGUUUAGAGUAGCCCCGCUCACAGGUGGUGUGGUGGAUGAACUCGCAAAUGUAGUAUCCACAGAAAUCCUUCCCGGGUUCUUGCCACAACCACUUUCCAAGAAAUAGAGGUCAAUCAAACUGAUAAGAAAGCAUUCUAAAUGGUAUUGAUGAAACUAGCUAGAAUCAAUGGGAGAUGCGCGGAACUAGCUAGUAGCUAGUUACUUUUGGGUGGUCAAAUCAUAGUUGCGCCGGCAGUCCCGGAGCUUGUGCAGUGAAAUUUUUCCAAACCCUGCCAGACAAAGAAAACAAUUACUUGAUAUCAAGAAAUGAACAAAGUUGUCGAUAUGGUGCGAUAAUGAUCGAUUGAACUUACUUCUCGAGCAUUUUAGUCAUGGUCGCAUACUCCUCUGGAUUUUUUCAUUUGGAGUCUAUGACGGUUACUAGUCCCUGCUCAAGCUUAAUCUCUAGCAGAAUAAAGUGGAAGCUGUGCGCGCAUGCAUAACUCAUCAAUUACAUUACUAUAACCACGAGUAAUAAGGGAAACCGAAUAUGCACAAGACAGUAACACUCACUUGUAUUCGUAAGGAAAGAGUAUUGUAGCUUUGUUUUGAUUUCGAAGUAACGAUGCGAGCAAGUUGGCCUCGGUUUGUCUGGCAUCAUGUUUAACACUCAAUUCAUCCAUGGGAUUUAUGUUAAUGAACCCAAUAUCACCUACAUGUCUUUUCUUCAAUUCGGCGAUCUUCAAUCUGCAUAAUAUAGUGAGGAUAACUAUAUAUACAUGCAAUGAAAGAGCUGAGCUAUAUAUAGACACUUAAUUAAUUACAGAGAAGUAGUACUUAUAGACAGUAGCUGUUGGGGAACAUAGUAAUUUCAAAAAAAAUCCUACGCACAUGCAAGAUCAUGGUGAUGCAUAGCAACAAGAUGGGAGAGUGUUGUCCACGUACCCUCGUAGACCGAAAGUGGAAGCGUUAGCACAACGCGGUUGAUGUAGUCGUACGUCUUCACGAUCCGACCGAUCAAGUACCGAAAGCACGACACCUCCGAGUUCAGCACACAUUCAGCUCGACGACGUUCCUCGAACUCCGAUCCAACCGAGCUUUGAGGGAGAGUUCCGUCAGCAUGACGGCGUGGUGACGAUGAUGAUGUUCUACCGUCACAGGGCUUCGCCUAAGCACUGCUGCGAUAUUAUCGAGGUGGAUUAUGGUGGAGGAGGGCACCGCACAUGGCUAUAGAUCUCAAGCAUCAAUUGUUGUGUCUAGAGGUGCCCCCCUGCCCCCGUAUAUAAAGGAGCAAGGGGGAGGGGGCGGCCGGCAAGGAGGGGCGCGCCAGGAGGAGUUACUCCCACCGGGAAUAGGACUCCCUCCUUUCCUUGUCCAAGUAGGAGAGAGGGAAGGAAGGGGAGAGAGGAGAGGAAGGAAAGGGGGGCGCCGCCCCCCUCCUUGUCCUAUUCGAACUACAGGGAAAUGGGGCGCGCGGCCUGCCCGGGCCGCCCCUCCUCUGCUCCACUUUGGGCCCAUGAGGCCCAUUAACCCCCCGGGGGGUUCCGGUAACCCCCGGUACUCCGGUAUACAUCCGAUAACCUCUGGAACCAUUCUGGUGUCCGAAUAUAGUCGUCCAAUAUAUCAAUCUUCAUGUCUCGACCAUUUCGAGACGCCUCGUCAUCUCCGUGAUCACAUCUGGGACUCCGAACUAUCUUCGGUACAUCAAAACAUAUAAAGUCAUAAUAUAACCAUCAUCUAACUUUAAGCAUGCGGAAGCUACGGGUUCGAGAACUAUGUAGACAUGACCGAGACACGUCUCCGGUCAAAAACCAAUAGCGGAACCUGGAUGCUCAUAUUGCCUCCCACAUAUUCUAUGAAGAUAUUUAUCGGUCAAACCGCAUAACAACAUACAUUGUUCCCUUUGUCAUCGGUAUGUUACUUGCCCGAGAUUCGAUCGUCGGUAUCUCAAUACCUAGUUCAAUCUCGUUACCGGCAAGUCUCUUUACUCGUUACAUAAUGCAUCAUCUCGUAAUUAACUCAUUAGCUACAUUUCUUGCAAGGCUUAUAUGAUGUGCAUUACCGAGAGGGCCAAGAGAUACCUCUCCGAUUAUCGGAGUGACAAAUCCUAAUCUCAAAAUACGCCAACUCAACAUGUACCAUCGGAGACACCUGUAGAGCUCCUUUAUGAUCACCCAGUUACGUUGUGACAUUUGGUAGCACACAAAGUGUUCCUCUGGUAAACGGGAGUUGCAUAAUCUCAUUGUUGUAGGAACAUGUAUAAGUCAUGAAGAAAGCAAUAGCAACAUACUAAACAAUCAAGUGCUAAGCUAACGGAAUGGGUCAAGUCAAUCACAUCAUUUUUCUAAUGAUGUGAUCCCGUUAAUCAAAUGACAACUCAUGUCUAUGGUGAGGAAACAUAACCAUCUUUGAUUAACGAGCUUGUCAAGUAGAGGCAUACUAGUGAUAUUGUGUUUGUCUAUGUAUUCACACAUGUAUUAUGUUUCCGGUCAAUACAAUUCUAGCAUGAAUAAUAAACAUUUAUCAUGAUAUAAGGAAAUAAAUAAUAACUUUAUUAUUGCCUGUAGGGCAUAUUUCCUUCAUUUUCCCACUUGCACUAGAGUCAAUAAUCAAGAUUACAUAGUAAUGAUUCUAACAUCCAUGGAUCCUUGGUGCUGAUCAUGUUUUUGCUCGUGGAAGAGGCUUAGUCAAUGGGUCUGCAACAUUCAGAUCCGUAUGUAUGUCGCUAAUCUCUAUGUCUCCCACCUGGACUUGGUCCUGGAUGGAAUUGAAGCGUCUCUUGAUGUGCUUGGUCCUCUUGUGAAAUCUGGAUUCCUUUGCCAAGGCAAUUGCACCAGUAUUGUCACAGAAGAAUUUCAUCGGUCCCGAAGCAUUAUGUAUGCCACCUAGAUUGGAUAUGAACUCCUUCAUCCAGACUCCUUCAUUUGCUGCUUCUGAAGCAGCUAUGUACUCCGCUUCGCAUGUAGAUCCCGCCAUGACGCUUUGUUUAGAACUGCACCAUUUGACAACUACACCGUUUAAUAUAAACACGUAUCCGGUUUGCGAUUUAGAAUCGUCUGGAUCAGUGUUAAAGCUUGCAUCAACGUAACCAUUUACGACUAGCUCUUUGCACCUCCAUAAAAGAGAAACAUAUCCUUAGUCCUUUUCAGGUAUUUCAGGAUAUUCUUAACCGCUAUCCAGUGAUCCACUCCUGGAUUACUUUGGUACCUCCCUGCUAAACUUAUUGCUAAGCAUGCAUCAGGUCUGGCACACAGCAUUGCAUACAUGAUAGAGCCUAUGGCUGAAGCAUAGGGAACAUCUUUCAUUUUCUCUCUAUCUUCUGCUGUGGUCCGGCAUUGAGUCUGACUCAACUUCACAGGCAAGAACCCUUUAUUUGCUUGAUCCAUUUUGAACUUUUUCAAAACUUUAUCAAGGUAUGUGCUUUGUGAAAGUCCAAUUAAGCGUCUUGAUCUAUCUCUAUAGAUCUUGAUGCCUAAUAUAUAAGCAGCUUCACCAAGGUCUUUCAUUGAAAAACUUUUAUUCAAGUAUCCUUUUAUGCUAUCCAGAAAUUUUAUAUCAUUUCCAAUUAACAAUAUGUCGUCUACAUAUAAUAUCAGAAUUGCUAUAGAGCUUCCACUCACUUUCUUGUAAAUACAGACUUCUCCAGAAGUAUGUAUAAAACCAUAUGCUUUGAUCACACUAUCAAAGCAUUUAUUCCAACUCCGAGAGGCUUGCACCAGUCCAUAAAUGGAUCGCUCGAGCUUUCACACUUUGUUAGCACCUUUUGGAUCGACAAAACCUUCUGGUUGCAUCAUAUAAAACUCUUCUUCUAGAGAUCCAUUCAGGAAUGCAGUUUUGACAUCCAGUUGCCAUAUUUCAUAAUCAUAAAAUGCGGCAAUUGCUAACAUGAUUCGGACAGACUUAAGCAUCACUACGGGUGAGAAAGUCUCAUCGUAGUCAACCCCUUGAACUUGUCAAAAACCUUUCGCAACAAGUAGACAGUAACAUUACCAUUAGUGUGAGUCUUCUUCUUGAAGAUCUAUUUAUUCUUGAUGGCUUGCCGAUCAUCGGGCAAGUCAACCAAACUCCAUACUUUGUUCUCAUACAUGGAUCCCAUCUCAGAUUUCAUGGCCUCAAGCUAUUUUGCAAAAUCUGGGCUCAUCAUCGCUUCCUCAUAGUUCAUAGGUUCGCCAUGGUCAAGUAACAUGACUUCCAGAAUAGGAUUACCGUACCACUUUGGUGCGGAUCUUACUCUCACUACUAGGAAAAGGUCUAUAGAUAGGAUUGAUACUAAUGGCGCACCAGGUAAGUAGUGCGCCACUACUAUAUACUAAUGGCGCACCGGUUGGAGGUGCGCCAUUAGUGUGGAAGACACUAAUGGCGCACCAGACACAUGGUGCGCCACUAGUAUUGAAUUUUUUUUCCGUUUUUCCAUACAUACUAAUGGCGCAUGAUGUCAAAGUGCGCCAUUACUAGUUCUAACUAGUAAUGGCGCACCGUGCAGACAGUGCGCCAUUAGUAUUUUUUUUUACUUUUUUGCAAAACUACUAAUGGCGCACCGUGUCAAAGUGCGCCAUUACUAGUUUAAACUACUAAUGGUGCACUUUUCCACAGUGCGCCAUUAGUAUAUAUUUUUUUACUUUUCUGCAAAAACUACUAAUGGAGCACCACCUGCAGGUGCGCCAUUAGUAACCAGGGUUACUAAUGGCGCAUUUGCUGGUGGUGUGCCAUUAGUAACCCGGGACCAACAAGAUAUUUUGGACAGCCCACCUACCCACUCACUUUCCCCACUUCAUUCUCUCCACCUCCUCCUCCAAGCUUGUCUCGGAUGCCUCCUCGUCCUCACCUCAUUUCCACCAUAGAUUCAUCAAAAUUAAGUGGUGAAAUUACCUUUUUUUGAUAGGUAAGUAAGGGGAAAGCUAUCUUCAUGAUGUAGAUCUACUUUUUUCUCCCUAGCUCGCUCCAACAACGUGCACAUGCACUUUUUGUGGCCUAGCUAGAUCUAUGUAUGUUUGUGGUGUUGCUUGUGUUUUUGGUGUUGCAUAUAUGUUUGUGUUUGCAGGUACCGGUAUUUGGAAUGCGAUAGUUGCCAAUAUUUUGCCGGAAUGUUGAUUCAUUUCCGUUUCGGCGAGAAUUUUGGCACUAUGCAUUCUUUUUGGUCCUAUUUUUAGGGAAGGUCAUGCCAAAAAUUUUCUUGGUUCUAAAAUAUGGUUUUGCUCUACCCCGCAGGCGACCAUGGUCCGCACGACGACCGAAGGCAUCGUUAAUAGGUUUUUGUGCUCCGCGAAGGCCGAGAUACUUCAAAAGAACGAGAAGGAGAUAAGAUGUCCGUGUCAAAGAUGCAAGCUGAAGAGCCUUAUUGUGGACGCGGAUUCCGGGCAGGUGCGGGACCACUUGCUCUUGCGUGGUUUCAUGGAUGUCUAUCGGUGGCAAGGUGAUGAAGAUGACUAUGAAGUCGUCCAUGGGGGCCGGGCAAGAAAUGAGGAAGGGCAACAAGACAAGUACCACCGCGGUGAGGGCGGACGAGAAGACGAAGAAUCUCCAGGACAUGAUCACGGCGGUGAUGUUGUACACAGUCAUCAUGUAGAAGAUGUCGUACAUGAUGAUGAGGAAGAUCAAGACGAAGGGCAUGAUCAUGAAGAUGAAGAUGCCGGAGUAGACAAUGAUGGAGGCUGGGUGCAGGACCCUCAUAUUCAAGAGCCGCUACUCAAGCAGAUGGAUAAUGCAAGAGCUGCCGCCCGAGAGAAAGCCAAGCUGGAUCAACUGGAGAUAGACGCGGUUACUCCAUUGUAUGAAGGAUGCAUGCCCGAGGAUACCCGCCUGAAAGUAACGCUCAUGGCUCUGGAGAUGAAGGUAAAACACAAAAUGACCGACGCAUGCUUCGAUGAGAACAUGUCAUUCUGGCACGAACGUCUUCCCAAGGGGAACAAGUGCCCAGCCAGUUUCGAGGAGGCGAAGAAAAUCGUGUGUCCUCUGGAUUUACCGCACGUGAAAUACCAUGUGUCCAUGAACAAUUGCAUCAUUUAUCGGGACGAGCACGCGGAGUCUACCAUAUGUCCGGUGUGCGGCGUCACUCGAUACAAGAAGAGGAAGAAAGCUCCUCGAAAAUCGGUGUGGUACUUUCCGAUCACUCCUCGUCUGCAGCGGUAUUUUGCGGACCCUAAGGUAGCCAAGCUCCUGCGUUGGCACACAGAUAGGGAGGAGAAGAAGCAGGAAAAUGAUGGAAAUGAUCCGGAGAUAAAUAAAAAAGACAAGAUGCUGAGUCACCCUAAGGAUGCGAGCCAGUGGCAAGCAUUGAACUUCGAAUACCCAGAAUUUAGAAAGGAUCCAAGGAACAUCGUGCUGGGUGCGAGCACCGAUGGAGUCAAUCCGUUUGGCAGCCAGAGAAGCACACAUAGCACCUGGCCUGUGUUUGUGUGGAUGUACAACCUUCCCCCCUGGUUGUGCAUAAAGAGGAAGUACAUUCACAUGAGUAUGCUAAUUGAAGGGCCGAAACAACCAGGGAACAACAUCAAUCUAUAUCUGGGGCUGCUGAAGGAGGAGCUAGACACGCUGUGGAAAACGCCAGCCAAUACGUGGGACGCCGCAGAGAAAGAAUAUUUCCCUAUGAGAGCCGCACUGCUCACGACAGUGCACGACUAUCUCGGUUACGGAUAUCUCGCGGGGCAGGUAGUCCACGGAUUUCCUGGAUGCGUAAGGUGCAUGGAUGACACAACGUAUCGCCAGCUAGAUAGAGAUCCCGGGUCUUCGAAAACUGUGUUCAUGGGACAUCGAAGUUGGCUUCGCGAUGAUGACCCGUGGAGGAAACGCAAGGAUCUGUUCGAUGGUGAAACCGAACCCCGAAAACGCCCCUGUACGAGGAGCGGCGAGGAAAUAGACGAGCUGUUGAAAAAUUGGAAAGACUGCCCACUACCGGGAAAGAAGAAAAAGGCGCCAGAGCCGGGAAAGAAGCUAAAGGCGCCAGAGCUGCUGCUGAAGGUAUGGAAAACGAGGUCUGUUUUCUGGGACUUGCCGUACUGGAAGAUCCACCGUGUGCCUCACAGCCUUGAUGUCAUGCAUAUCACGAAGAACGUGUGCGAGAGUCUGCUUGGUACCCUGCUCAACAUGUCAGAGAGGACCAAAGAUGGGCCGAAAGCAAGGGCAGACUUUACAUCAAUGGGCAUCAGGCAGGAGCUUCACGCUAAUGAUGAUGAUGAGGCAAAGCAGGACACAAAAAGUCGUCGCAAAGGCAAAAAGGCCAAGAAGACCGGAAAUGACUACCCUCCCGCGUGCUUCACUCUAAGUCAGGAGGAGAUCAAGCAGUUUUUCACCUGCCUCCUAGGAGGAAAACUUCCUUACGGUUACGCGGGGGAGAUAAGCAAAUACCUAGACCUAGCGAGGCAGAAGUUCAGCGGGAUGAAGUCUCACGACUGUCACAUAAUGAUUACGCAGAUACUUCCAGUUGCAAUCCGUGGGAUCAUGGACGCGCACGUCCGUGAAACGCUAUUUGGCAUAUGCAACUUUUUCGACGUCAUCUCUCAGAAGUCGAUUGGCGUGAGGCAACUCAGAAGGCUACAGGAAGAUAUCUGGUGAUACUAUGCGAGCUUGAGAUGUACUUCCUGCCCGCAUUCUUCGACGUUAUGGUGCAUCUACUGGUCCAUAUCAUGGAGGAUAUCAUCCAACUCGGGCCGACGUUCCUGCACAGCAUGAUGUUGUUCGAAAGGAUGAAUGGUGUCAUCAAAGGAUACGUUUGCAACUUGUCACGUCCAGAGGGAAGUAUAGCCAGGGGCUUUCUGACCGAAGAGUGCAUCUCCUACUGCACGAAUUAUCUAGGCAUCGAGAACCCCGUUGGUCUGCCCGUCAACAGGCACCUCGGCAGGCUCGCUGGAUGGGGUCACCGUGAGGGUCGCCGAAAUGCAUGUCAACAUCGAGGGUCGACUCGCCGACUUUGAAAGAGCAAACCUAGUCACGCUACAACGCAUAGACGUGGUCGAUCCUUGGGUGGUAGAGAACAAAACCUUUAUUGAGAAGACGUACAAUGACCGAGGCCAACAGAGGACGGACGGAGAUAUAAUCAAAGAGCACAACUCAUGUUUCACGCGUUGGUUCAAGCAGAAGCUUCUGUCGUACCCUUUACAUGAGGAUUCUAUCGCGGAAGAACAACUCAUAUUCGCCUUGUCACAGGGUGCCGAGCACAACUUGAUGACCUAUGAGGCGUACGAUAUCAACGGAUACACAUUCUACAUCGAGAACAAGGACAUGAAGAGCGAUGGUUAUCAGAACUCCGGGGUAACGAUGGAAUCCUACACCGGCAACGACAAGGACAGAUACUACGGAAGGAUCGAGGAGAUCUGGGAGCUGAGCUACGCUGGAGAGAAGGUCCCGAUGUUCCGUGUCAGAUGGGCCAAGAGCGUCCUAAAAGAAGACCGGUAUUUCACCACCAUGGUUAUACCCGAAGCCAAAUCCAAGACCACGGGCACAAACGUCACCGCGAAAAAUGAGCCAUGGGUACUAGCUUCCCAAGUGGACCAAUGCUUCUUCAUUACCGACCCGUCAAAGCCCAGUCGUGUUGUCGUGAGGGGAGGCAAAAGGAAGAUCAUCGGAAUGGAUGGAGUAGCCAAUGAGCAAGACUUCGACAAGUACGGCGACCCGAAGAUCGAACAUGACGACGACGAUGAAGUAGCAGCACACACCACAAGAAGAAGCAGGACCACACUACCUAAAGGACGUCCAUUCCACAGAAGAACUCCAUUUGUGAAAAAGAAGGGAAAGAAGAUUGUGAACAGAUAGCUAGCUAAGAUCGAUUGUAUUUAAAUUGUAGUCUUCAUUUCUCGAUUGUAUUUCAUGGGCACUUUUUGAUAUCAUGAAUAUUUUUAAAUUUCAUGGACUCUUUUUGAAUUCAUGAGGACACUUGAUCUCGAUCCCCCUCCAUCUCGAUCUCGAUUCCCCCUCCAUCUCGAUCUCGAUUCCCCCUCCAUCUCGAUCUCGAUCCCACCCGCACCCUCCCCCGCUAGCUCCACCGNNNNNNNNNNNNNNNNNNNNNNNNNNNNNNNNNNNNNNNNNNNNNNNNNNNNNNNNNNNNNNNNNNNNNNNNNNNNNNNNNNNNNNNNNNNNNNNNNNNNNNNNNNNNNNNNNNNNNNNNNNNNNNNNNNNNNNNNNNNNNNNNNNNNNNNNNNNNNNNNNNNNNNNNNNNNNNNNNNNNNNNNNNNNNNNNNNNNNNNNNNNNNNNNNNNNNNNNNNNNNNNNNNNNNNNNNNNNNNNNNNNNNNNNNNNNNNNNNNNNNNNNNNNNNNNNNNNNNNNNNNNNNNNNNNNNNNNNNNNNNNNNNNNNNNNNNNNNNNNNNNNNNNNNNNNNNNNNNNNNNNNNNNNNNNNNCUCCACCGCCGCCAACGGGCAGCCCCCGCACCCUCCCCCGCUCCACCGCCGCCGCGAUGAUAUUUUCAAGUAACAAAUUGGAACAUAUUUUUUAAAAAAUUAUUAUUGUUUUUCUAAAAAAAUAUUACUGUUAUGAUUUAAACAAGUUUGAACAUAUUUAAACACAAAUAAAUAUCAAACAUGAUUUAAAAUGCAUAAAAAACAAUAUUGGGGAGCCUGGGAAUCAAACCCAGGACCUCCUGGUGUGUGUGCUGCGUACUGACCAGUCGGGCUAGUGGGCGGGUUCUGUUGUAGAUAGGGUUAGGUGGUAUAUAACCUGACAAGUCGGGCUAGAUUAAAUUACUUAUGGUGCACCCCUCGGUGGUGCGCCAUUGCUAUGGAUGUACUUAUGGCGCAUCCCUGGGUGGUGCGCAAUUGCUAAGCCUCCCCCAAACUAAAAUCCUUAAUCUCUCAAAUUUCUCUCUAAUCCCUCCCCUGCCUCAUCUCACCCGCCGACCACCACUUCCCCCGUGCUCGCCGUCCCCGGCCGUGCACCCGACCACCCUCCGCCGCCGACCACCUCCCUCACCGUCCCCCCUCCGCCCGCGCCCACGCCCUCGCCGUCGCCUGCGUCAACCUCCCUCCCGAGCACGAUAGCUAGGGUUCCUAGCCGCCGCCACCGCUGCCAGCCCGCCGCCGCCGCGUGCCCAGCCGGCCGAACCCUCCGCUGCCCCGCCUCCGAUACAGGACCCUAGCAGCGCCUCCCCCCAUCAAGCAUGUAGCCACCACUCCUUCGUCCUUCCUCCCUCUUUCCUCAUCCCCCUCCCUCCUUCCUCUUGCUUGCGGCGUGAUUUUUCCAGAGCAUGCUCAUGUUUACAUGUGAAAGGAUUGUGCUUGAUAGGUGUUUGUGAUAAUGCCUCUAAGGGCAAAUGUUUACAAAUUGUAGGUUGAAUAUUUUUCAUGAGCAAUUUUUUUGGUUUAAACAUGUUAGCUGUGGUAAUUGUAGGUUUCAUGAUCAGUGCUGAAGUUGGCACUCUUUAAAUUCAGAAAGAAAAAGCACCACAUAAUAUUGAUGGACAGGGGAAAGCUUUGCAAUUGCACUCACAAGUGUCAAGCACCAACUAAAUAGCCACUCCUAAUAAAUCCCUUCCAUGACAGUACGAUGCUCACCUUCGUUCGACACAUGAUAUCCCCCCGCAUUAGCUAAAAUGACGAAAACCGAAUGCGAUAAUCCUAGUGUUCUCUUGUGGUAGUGGUGGUGAGAUGCCCAUAUCAUGCAUAUGGUGGGCAAUGAUGAUGAUUAGAUCCCUGUUUUAGGAUCUGAGCUCUCUCUUCUCUGAAUUCAACUAAGGCAUGAGGAACAAUGGGGGAGAUAGCUAUUAGAUCCAUGUCUUAGUAGUGGUAAACAAUCGUGUAGGUCAAUUGUUGCUUACUUGUUUGGUUUGUGCUAACAAUCUCUAAGUGAAAUCAACUAGUGAAAGCAACUAGUUAUGUUUGUUAGCAGCAAGAUAUGUAAAUGAAGCUUGUUCUUUUUCAACUGUUCAACUGAUGCGAUGAAACUAAAUAUAGUAGUUGAAAACCCUGUUUUUCUUCCUGAUCGUGAAAAUUUGAAGUCCUGUUUGUGUUUUGGUUUUGUUGGUUGACAAUUAUGUUUAGUUUUUCAUUUCAUGGGUGCUGUAAAAUGUGCUGGUGGUGAGUUGAGUCUCAGCAUACAGCUUGUUUGGACUAACCAAGAGGACAAGGUAUGUUGCUUGCCCAAGCUAAGUGACACGUAUGCGCCAAGUUUUCUGUUAUAUAAUUACCUGUUAGUGCUUAGUUAAACUGCAUGAUACGGCCAUAGCAGAUGGAUGGUACUAGGUGUUGUUUUGUUUCUUGCUAAUGUAUUCAGAGAGCAGAUGUGCCACUGCAGAUUUCUUUUCUUGAAGGCAGCUCACAUAAAUUGAGCUACAAGUGAACAACUUGCUACUAUUAGAUCUGGAAUGGAAGCUCACAUAAGUUGAGCUGAUUUUUGUCCAUAUGAAAGCAGAGGACCAUAUGGUCUGUGGCCUUUUCUUCCAUAUGAAAGUAGAGGCACAUUGUGGUGCUAGUUUGCUGGGUUUUGUCUCCGACCAUCGUGUCGUGAUGAAUUUGCAGGUACCCCGAGAGGCCCUUGAGUUUGCCGAAAUGUUGAUUAACUUCCGUUCUGGCAAAUUCGGGUACUCCAUAUGUCCUAUUUUCAGUAAAGGUCAUGCUGAAAUUUUCUGUGAAUUUUAGCAUGACUUUGCUAAAAAUAGGACAUAUGGGGUACUUGCGACUAAUGCAUGGGCCGGGGUAUCUUAGUACUUAAUUAAGUAGGAUCAACUACCCCUUUAUUCUUGCUGCAUUAAACCAUAGGUGGCAAUAGAACCAAGUGAUUAGGCCCAACUUAGAAUUCUCGUUAGCAUCGAUAAACCCUAGAUGAUAACCCAACAUAGGUGGCAAUAGAGCCAAGUGAUUAGUGCCAAGUGAUUAGGCCCAACCUAGGGUGCCUUGGCAUCGAUAAACCCUAAAUGAUGAUAACUUAACUUGGCUGCCCCGGAUGCCUCGGUGUCGAUGAGAACCUAAAUGAUGUACGCUUAGGCUUUUAGGGUGCCUCGGCGUCGACAAACCAUAAAUGAUGAAAGCUUAGGCUUUUAGGGUGCCUCAGCAUCGACAAACCCUAAAUGAUGAGACCAUGAUCCUGUUCCUUGACAAUAACCAACUUUUCGACCAAACUUUUUUCCUAUUUAGAGUGAAACAUGGCCCACAACGAUGAGGCCGGUGGUUCGGGCGGCAAGCAAUUCUGGGAGCUGUCCCAGGAGAUGGAGGAACAACAUCAUCGCUAUGAGGACGCCGCGGAAGACACGGAUCCUGACUACACAACCCCUAGUGGCAUCGGGGAUGACACCACUGAUGGUGCCUCCGAGGAUGCCACCACUGAUGAUGGCGGCGCACACACAGAUGGCAGCCAACCUAAGAAGCAAAGGAAGCACUGGCGCCCGAAUGCGCUCCGCACCCUCAAGGAGGAAUUCGCUCAAUUGGACUCCGAUGGGAAUCCAACGGAGCCCAAACAUAUAGUCAAGGGGUACUCACUUCAGCUCGGGUGCAUUCUCCGGAGCAACGUCUCGAUCAACACCGAUAACCUUAGGAAUAAGGACCACGGGAAUUUGCGCAACCUCCUCUUCACGAAGCUGCACGAACGAUACAAGUUCCCCGCCGAAUUUGAAAACACACGCCUCUCAGGGAAUAAAGUGAACAGUGCCGCUCUCACGAAGAUGAGCAUGGCCCUGUCUACUUGGAGAAGCGCGGUGAAGAGAAUGAUUGAUAAAGGUGAUAGUUAUGAGAAGAUAAAGGCGAAAUAUCCUUUGAUGAGCGAAGAUGAGUACAAGGAGUUCAAGAUCAAGUGCGAGAGCAGCGCAACCUCCGAAUCAAGUCAGUGGGGGAAAGAAAUGCGGGAGUUGAACUUAGGGGAACACAAACUCGGUCCCGACGGUUACAGAGUGGCGGAGACUAUAUGGGACAAGGAGGACGCGGAGCAUGCCGAGCAAGGCCUACCACCCCGCUUCGAGAAAUACAGCGGUGACAAGCAGACCAGGAACUAUGUCAGGGCCCGGUACAAGGAGGACCCGAUAACAAAGGAGCUUAGCACGGAUCCGAAGACCAGGGCGCUUGAGCUUGUUCUGGUAAGGAAUACACCCCCGCGUAAUUAGCUCCAUAUGGUUGCACUCUAAUUAAUCCCCAAUAUAUCUAAAUGGUUCACAUUCCUUUCGCAGGACACUGCGGGGUCAUCUCAGAGCUCCCCUUUUGACACCCCUUUAAAUAGGGCGUUGAACAUAAUGAAAAGCAAGGAUAAUCUCACUAAGCCGACGUCAGCUGGUUGUGUGGCCGGCAAAGGCUUGUCCACAAAAUGGGGGUCAUACUAUACCACUGGUGUGCGGAAGGAGAAGAAGGCCAGCUCGGAAAGCCAGACGCGCGAGGUUGAAGCACUCAAGGCACAAGUGGCGCGGAUUCCGGAGCUUGUCCAAGAGCAAGUGGAACUACAACUGGGAAUGAAGCUCAACGCCAUGGUGUCUACGUUGAUUCAUGGGCUGACGACGUGGAUUGCAGGCGGCCAAUAGGGGCCUCCCUCGGUUCCCAGCUUCAUAGCCAGCAACUCGCACAGCGCGCAGGCGGCGCCAUUGGUGUCUCCGGUGGCGCCAUUGAUGUCUCCGGCGGCGGCGCCAUUGGUGUCUCCGGCGGUGGCGCCAUUAGUGUCUCCGGCGGAGGCGGUAUUCGUGUCUCCGGCGCCGGCACGGGCAUUGGAGCUUAAUGCACCCGGGUGUACGCCGUCCGGCACCUCGCAAGCAAGCGCCCCCUCCGUCAGUUUCACGCCUGCCGUUGGCGGUGCCUCGACAUUAGCCGAGCUCGACGGCAUAACGGUAACUAAGCCUCUCAGCCGAUGACUUCAUCUCCUUGCCUUUGACUGGGCAUCCCUGACGCCCUGUACAUGUUUUUGCAGGGCACCGCCGACAUUCCUUGCACUCUUCUACACUUCGUGGGCGCCGAGUUGGUCGAUGUCGCCAAGGGCAGAAUCGUUCAACUGUGCAACCCCAUGUUCCACGGUAAUCCGAUGCCACCCAUAGUGUAUAGGGUUGAAGUGGUUCGGGUGCUGCCAGGCUGCGACGAGCUGUUACCUCCGGUUCGACCCGUUGGGGCCGACGAAGAAGAUGAGAUGACCCUCAGCGCUUGCGUAAACUGGCCCCUGCUUUGGCCGAACAUCCAGAUUCGUUUGGGGGAGGGGGACACCACCCCACAGACAAGACCGCCAGUCGUGUCGGCGCCAAGCCAUGGCAGGAACGCCGCAACGCUACCAGACCUACCGGACAUCCCUAUGGCACAAGAUCCGGAACGCCCUAUGGCACAGGAUCCGGAUGACGACAACAACGACGAUGGUACAUUUACCAAAGUCGAUAAGUACUUUGCCGAACAUGGGUAUGCUGACGAGUUCUGCGAGCCUCGUUCUCAAGAACCCAACCAAGACGACCGCAAUCUAGCUGGUACGGCGGAGAAAUCCAAUUGCAAAAGGAGUCGUCUGGCGUUCAGUUCUCAGGAGACGCCUCCAGCUCCCGCCUUCACCAAGCCUCAGAUAGCUGAGGUGCAAAAUAUUAUCAGCCCCAACACGCUCAAGAAGGCGGUCUGUGAGCAGAACUCGGUCCCAUUACAGGAGAUCAAGAAGAAGGGACGGAAACGGAAGACUAACAAGGGCGCCGGUGCGAGCCAGCCGGCACCAAGUUCGAUCCGUGCUCAGGACGGGCCACCUUCACCUAAGGAUAUCUCGAGGAGGGUGCAUGUGGCGGGUAGGGCGAUGCUACCGCCAAAUAUGCUGAAUGCUACAACCAGUGCUAUACGGAGUCUGCACGACAGUGUUCUUUCUUUGGAGAAGUGGCGUCUCAGAGAGAAUGAUGUGGCAUACCCGGUUUUCGUGGCCAAAGUGCCAGAGGGAAAGGGCUUUGUGGAUGGCGACAUCGGGGGUACGAUCGUCCUGCGGUUUGAUGACAUCUUUGCUAUGUUUAACCUUCAUCCGUUGCACUACACCUUCGUUCGGCUGUUUUCGCUGAGUAUGGAGAUGCGGAUCAUUAGAGACAAGGCCCCGGACAUCAUGAUAGUCGACCCCUUCUACAUGCGUGCCAAGCACUUGAGCAGCGCUGGGGACCGCCAAGUUGCGAGUUCACACCUCGAAGGCGUCAUUCUGGCAAACCCAGAUAAGGAUAACUUCCUUGUGGCUUACUUUCCCGAGUAAGUCAUCCCUUAACCGCCCCGUAACAUAUGGUUUCUUAGAUUUCGAUCAUUUUUUUUCUAACAUUCCGUGUUCUGUGCAGUGACACACAUUGUACACUCAUCCUCUUAAGCCCGAAAUAUUCCAUGGCCACGUAUUUCGACCCGAACCGUAACUCCAAGAUAGACUACACAAAUGUCAAGAAAGUUCUUGAUGAUGUUCUCCCCGACUACGCCAAAUCUGGAGGCACCUUCACCAGGGCGUCUCGUAAUUACGGCAAGCACAUGUUCUCACACAAUACGAAUUUCUUCUGCGUCAAGCAGCCGCCUGGCGGUCAGAAGGAUGCCUACUACGCCCUCCAUCACAUGCGGGCGAUCGUAAGGGACCAUCAUCAACUUCUGCUACUAGAUAAUCUCAAAGGUUGGGCCGCGAACUUGUCGGCAAUCCAGGACGCGGACCUCAGACAAGAAUUCUUUCGCAUCCAGUCAGAGUUUGCGGACAUCAUCCAUCAAGAUGACCUUCAUACCUCGGGGCAGUUCUACCUCAGAUAUCAACCAUCCAACAAUGAGAUAGAUGGAACGCUACAAAUGCAGGGUGACAACGACUGCGAUUUCAUGACCAUCACGACAGACGGCGGCUUCAUCCACGCUCAUGUCCGAUGAGUCGAGUCGAAAGUAGUGAUGUGUAGUUCUGAAACAUUGAUUGGCUCAUGUUGUAAUUAAACUUUAAUGAAUUCGUAUGUCUCUUUGGUUUGUACAGUCGUUCAACUUAGAUGUAAUCAAUGCUAUUUAUUAGUAGGACCAUGAAUCGUGCGAUUAAUGUCUUGCUUUUCUCUUCCGAUCCUUUUGUUGCAUACUUACAUAUUGCUUAUGUAUUGUCUGUUGUUUGGCUUGUGCAUAGAGAUGCCGUCGUAUGUCGUAUACAAGGGUAAGGUUCCCGGAGUCUACGACUACUGGGAGGAGUGUCGGAGACAGGUUCACCGUUUGAGCGGUAACAGUUACAAAGGGUACACCACUAGGGCGGAGGCCGAAUCUAGAUACGCCCGCUAUCUAGCGGGAGAGAGGAGGGAGCGUUGGAGGAACCGGAUGAAGACCAGUUUGAUCGCGAUGAUGCUCAUCGUGAUGACCACAACUCUCUUUUAUGUGAUGGUAGUUUAGAUGAUCGAUAUCGACUUGUAAUGUGAAGACAAACUCGAUACUCGCGGUCUUGAGACUUGUAAUGUUUUAUCUUUGUUCGGUCUUUUGAAUUCGGAGACUAAUAUGAUGAAUUGUAUUCGGAGACUAAUCUUCUAUUGUAUUCGAUGAAUCUGAUGUUGCUGUGUGCUGUUGUGUAUAUUCUGUCCAAUAAUAUAUUUUGUAACCUGUGCAAAAAUCAGAAAAGCAAAAAAAAACCAAAUAUUCAUACUAAUGGCACAUCACCACAAGGUGCACCAUUAGUAUGCCAAAAGGAUACUAAUGGCGCAUCAAGGCAGGGUGCGCCAUUAGUAUGACAAAGCACAUGGUUACAUAUGGGCCCCCGUGAGGCAUACUAAUGGCGCACGGUGUUACAUACUAAUGGCGCACUGCCUGGUGCGCCAUUUGUACACCAGAUACUAAUGGCGCUCCAGAGGUGCGCCAUUAGUAAAAAAUACUAGUGGCGUGCUACUAAUGGCGCACCGGUAGUGCGCCAUUAGUAGGCAAAACCGGUGCGCCAUUAGUAGGCCUUUUCCUAAUAGUGUCCUCUUGACCUACGAGGUUUGGUAGUAACUUGAUCUAAAGUUUCAUGAUCAAUAUCAUUAGCUUCCUCACUAAUUGGUGUAGUCGUCACAGGAACCGGUUUCUGUGAUGAACUAUUUUUCUAUAACAGAGCAGGUACAGUUACCUCAUCAAGUUCUACUUCCCUCCCACUCACUUCGAGAGAAACUCCUUCUCUAGAAAGGAUCCAAAUUUAGCAACAAAAGUCUUGCCUUUAGAUCUGUGAUAGAAGGUGUACCCAAUAGUCUCUUUUGGGUAUCCUAUGAAGACACAUUUCUUCGAUUUGGGUUCAAGCUUAUCUAGUUGAAGUUUCUUCACAUAAGCAUCGCCGCCCCAAACUUUAAGAAACGACAACUUUGGUUUCUUGCCAAACCACAGUUCAUAAGGCGUCGUCUCAAUGGAUUUUAAUAGUGCCCUAUUUAACGUGAAUGCGACCGUCUCUAAAGCAUAACCCCAAAACGAUAGCGGUAAAUCAAUAAGAGACAUCAUAGAUCACACCAUAUCUAGUAAAGUACGAUUACGACGUUCGGACACACCAUUACGUUGUGGUGUUCCAGGUGGCGUGAGUUGCGAAACUAUUCUGCAUUGUUUCAAAUGUAAACCAAACUCGUAACUCAAAUAUUCUCCUCCACGAUCAGAUCGUAGGAAUUUUAUUUUCUUGUUACGAUGAUUUUCCACUUAACUCUAAAAUUCUUUGAACUUUUCAAAUGUUUCAGACUUAUGUUUCAUUAAACAGAUAUACCCAUAUCUUCUUAAAUCAUCUGUGAAGGUGAGAAAAUAAUGAUACCCGCCGCGAGCCUCAAUGUUCACUGGACCACAUACAUCAGUAUGGAUGAUUUCCAACAAAUCUGUUGCUCGCUCCAUAGUUCCGGAGAACUGCAUUUUAGUCAUCUUGCCCAUGAGGCAUGGUUCGCAAGUACCAAGUGAUUCAUAACCAAGUGAUUCCAGAAGUCCAUCAGUAUGGAGUUUCUUCAUGCGUUUUACACCAAUAUGACCCAAAAGGCAGUGCCACAAAUAAGUAGCACUAUCAUUAUCAACUCUACAUCUUUUAACUUCAACAUUAUGAAUAUGUGUAUCACUACUAUCGAGAUUCAAUAAAAAUAGACCAUUCUUCAAGGGUGCAUGACCAUAAAAGAUAUUACUCAUAUAAAUAGUACAACCAUUAUUCUCUAAUUUAAAUGAAUAACCGUCUCGCAUCAAACAAGAUCCAGAUAUAGUGUUCAUGCUUAACGCUGGCACCAAAUAACAAUUAUUCAGGUCUAAAACUAAUCCCGAAGGUAGAUGUAGAGGUAGCGUGCCGACCGUGAUCACAUCACUUUGGAACCAUUUCCCACGCACAUGGUCACCUCGUACUUAGCCAAUCUUCGCUUAAUUUGUAGUCCCUGUUUCGAGUUGCAAAUAUUAGCAACAGAACCAGUAUCAAAUACCCAGGUGCUACUGCGAGCAUUAGUAAGGUAAACAUCAAUAACAUGUAUAUCACAUAUACCUUUGUUCACCUUGCCAUCCUUCUUAUCCGCCAAAUACUUGGGGCAGUUCCGCUUCCAGUGACGAGUUUGCUUGCAGUAGAAGCACUCAGUCUCAGGCUUAGGUCCAGAUUUGGGUUUCUUCUCUUGAGCAGCAACUUUUUUGCCAUUCUUCUUGAAGUUCCCCUUCUUCUUCCCUUUACCCUUUUUCUUGAAACUUGGUGGUCUUAUUGACCAUCAACACUUGAUGCUCCUUUUUGAUUUCUACCUCCACAACUUUUAGCAUUGCGAAGAGCUCGGGAAUAGUCUUAUUCAUCCCUUGCAUAUUAUAGUUCGUCACGAAGCUCUUCUAGCUUGGUGGCAGUGAUUGAAGAAUUUUGUCAAUGAAACUAUCAUCAGGAAGAUUAACUCCCAGUUGAAUCAAGUGAUUAUUAUACCCAGACAUUUUGAGUAUAUGUUCACUGCCAAAACUAUUCUCUUCCAUCUUGUAGCUAUAGAACUUAUUGGAGACUUCAUAUCUCUCAAUCUGGGCAUUUGCUUGAAAUAUUAACUUCAACUCCUGGAACAUCUCAUAUGCUCCAUGACGUUCAAAACAUCGUUGAAGUCCUGGUUCUAAGCCGUAAAGCAUGGCACACUAAACUAUCGAGUACUCAUCAGCUUUGCUCUGCCAGACGUUCUUAACGUCGCCAGUUGCAUCUGCAGUAGGCCUGGCACCCAGUGGUGCUUCCAGGACGUAAUUCUUCUGUGUAGCAAUGAGGAUGAUCCUCAAGUUAUGGACCCAGUCCGUGUAAUUGCUACCAUCAUCUUUCAACUUAGCUUUCUCAAGGAACGCAUUAAAAUUCAACGGAACAACAGCAUGAGCCAUCUAUCUACAACAAACAUAGACAAGCAAAAUACUAUCAGGUACUAAGUUCAUGAUAAAUUUAAGUUCAAUUUAAUCAUAUUACUAAGAACUCCCACUUAGAUAGACACCCGUCUAAUUAUCUAAGCGAUCACGUGAUCCAAAUCAACUAAACCAUGUCCGAUCAUCACGUGAGAUGGAGUAGUUUUCAAUGGUGAACAUCACUAUGUUGAUCAUAUCUACUAUAUGAUUCACACUCGAACUUUCAGUCUCAGUGUUCUGAGGCCAUAUCUGUAUAUGCUAGGCUCGUCAAGUUUAACCUGAGUAUUCCGCGUGUGCAACUAUUUUGCACCCGUUGUAUUUGAACGUAGAUCCUAUCACACCCGAUCAUCACGUGGUGUCUCAGCACGAAGAACUUUCGCAACGGUGCAUACUCAGGGAGAACACUUAUACCUUGAAAUUUAGUGAGAGAUCAUCUUAUAAUGCUACCGUCAAUCAAAGCAAAAUAAAAUGCAUAAAGGAUAAACAUCACAUGCAAUCAAUAUAAGUGAUAUGAUAUGGCCAUCAUCAUCUUGUGCUUGUGAUCUCCAUCUUCGAAGCACCGUCAUGAUCACCAUCGUCACCGGCGCGACACCUUGAUCUCCAUCAUAGCAUCGUUGUCGUUUCGCCACCUAUUUCUUCUACGACUAUCGCUACCACUUAGUGAUAAAGUAAAGCAAUUACAGGGUGAUUGCAUUGCAUACAAUAAAGCGACAACCAUAUGGCUCCUGCCAGUUGCCGACAACUCGGUUACAAAACAUGAUCAUCUUAUACAAUAAAAUAUAGCAUCACGUCUAGACCAUAUCACAUCACAACAUACCCUGCAAAAACAACUUAGGCAUCCUCUACUUUGUUGUUGUAAGUUUUACGUGGCUGCUACGGGCUGAGCAAGAAUCGUUCUUACCUACGCAUCAAAACCACAACGAUAGUUCAUCAAGUUAGUGUUGUUUUAACCUUCUCAAGGACCGGGCGUAGCCACACUCGUUUCAACUAAAGUUGGAGAAACUAACACCCGCCAGCAACCUAUGUGCAAAGCCCCUCGGUAGAACCAGUCUCGCGUAAGCGUACGUAUAAUGUCGGUCCGGGCCGCUUCAUCCAACAAUACCGCCAAACCAAAGUAUGACAUGCUGGUAAGCAGUAUGACUUGUAUCGCCCACAACUCACUUGUGUUCUACUCGUUCAUAUAACAUCCAUAAAACCAGGCUCUGGUACCACUGUUGGGGAACAUAGUAAUUUCAAAAAAAUUCCUACGCACACGCAAGAUCAUGGUGAUGCAUAGCAACGAGAGGGAAGAGUGUUGUCCACGUACCCUCGUAGACCGAAAGCGGAAGCGUUAGCACAACACGGUUGAUGUAGUCGUACGUCUUCACGAUCUGACUGAUCAAGUACCAAACGCACGGCACCUCUGAGUUCAGCACAUGUUCAGCUCGAUGACGUCCCUUGAACUCCGAUCCAACCAAGCUUUGAGGGAGAGUUCCGUCAGCACGACGGCGUGGUGACGAUGAUGAAGUUCUACCGUUGCAGGGCUUCGCAUAAGCACCGUUAUGAUAUUAUCGAGGUGGAUUAUGGUGGAGGGGGCACCUUACACGGCUAAUAGAUCUCAAGGAUCAAUUGUUGUGUCUAGAGGUGCCCCCUGAUAUGUCUCCAAUGUAUCUAUAGUUUUUGAUUGUUCCAUGCUAUUAUAUUACCCCUUUUGGAUGUUUAUGGGCUUUAUUUUACACAUUUAUAUCAUUUUUGGGACUAACCUACUAACCGGAGGCCCAGCCCGUAUUGCUGUUUUUUUGCCUAUUUCAGUAUUUCGAAGAAAAGGAAUAUCAAACGGAGUCCAAACGGAAUGAAACCUUCGGGAGCGUAAUUUUUGGAAUGAAUGUGAUCCAGAGGACUUGGAGUGCAUGUCAAGAAGCAAUCGAGGCGGCCAGGAGAUAGGAGGGCGUGCCCACCCCUCCUGGGCGCGCCCCUAUCUCCUGGGCCCCUCGGGCGGCCACCCACCUACUUCUUCCUCCUAUAUAUACCCACGUACCCCGAAAACAUCCAGGGAGCCAACGAAAAACAAUUUCCACCACCGUAACCUUCUGUAUACGCGAGAUCCCAUCUUGGAGCCUUCGUUGACGCUCCGCUGGAGGGGCGAAUCGACCAUGGAGGGCUUCUACAUCAACACCAAAGCCCUUCUGAUGAGUUGUGAGUAGUUUACCAUAGACCUUCGGGUCCAUAGUUAUUUGCUAGAUGGCUUCUUCUCUCUUUUUGGAUCUCAAUACAAUGUUCUCCCCCUCUCUUCUGGAAUUCUAUUCGAUGUAACUCUUUGCGGUGUGUUUGUCGAGAUCCGAUGAAUUGUGGGUUUAUGAUCAAGUUUAUCUAUGAGAUAUAUUUGAAUCUCCUCUGAAUUCUUUUAUGUAUGAUUGAGUUAUCUUUGCAAGUCUCUUCGAAUUACCAGUUUGGUUUGGCCUACUAGAUUGUUCUUUCUUGCCAUGGGAGAAGUGCUUAGCUUUGGGUUCAAUCUUGCGGUGUCCUUACCCAGUGACAAAAAGAGUUGCAAGGCACGUAUUUUAUUGUUGCCAUCGAGGAUAAAAAGAUGGGGGUUAUAUCAUAUUUCUUGAGUUUAUCCCUCUACAUCAUGUCAUCUUUCUUAAUGCGUUACUCUGUUCUUAUGAACUUAAUACUCUAGAUGCAUGCUGGAUAGCGGUCGAUGUGUGGAGUAAGAGUAGUAGAUGCAGGCAGGAGUCGGUCUACUUGUCAUGGACGUGAUGCCUAUAUACAUGAUCAUGCCUAGAUAAUCUCAUAAUUAUUCGCCUUUCUAUCAAUUGCUCGACAGUAAUUUGUUCACCCACCGUAAUACUUAUGCUAUCUUGAGAGAAGCCACCAGUUAAACCUAUGGCCCCCGGGUCUAUCUUUUAUCAUAUAAGCUUUCAAUCUACUUUUAUUUGCAUCUUUACUUUUUGCAUCUAUAUUAUAAAAUACCAAAAAUAUAUUUAUCUUAUCAUACUAUCUCUAUCAUAUCUCACUUUCGCAAGUGGUCGUAAAGGUUUUGACAACCCCUUUAUUGCGUUGGUUGCGAGUUCUUUGUUUGUUUGUGUAGGUGCGUGGGACUUUUGAGGAGCCUCCUACUGGAUUGAUAACUUGGUUCUCAAAAACUGAGGGAAAUAAUUACGCUACUAUUGCUGCAUCACCCUUUCCUCUUCAAGGAAAACCAACGCAAGCUCAAGACGUAGCAAGAAGGAUUUCUGGCGCCGUUGUCAGGGAGGUCUUCGCUCAAGUCAAGACAUACCAAGUACCCAUCAAAAACUCAUCUCCCUCACAUUUACAUUAUUUGCCAUUUGCCUCUCGUUUUCCUCUCCCCCACUUUACCCUUGCCGUUUUAUUCGCCCUCUCUUUCCCAAGCUUCUCCUCUCUUUUUCGCUUGCCUUUUUCUGUUUGCUUGUGUGCCUGUUUGACCUUGUGGCUUUGCCUAAGAGUACAUACCACCUUCUUAGAAGGUUGGAAGAGAUUGAAUCAAAUAUUAGAAGCUUUAUGACUUUGAAAUUUGAGCAUAAUAGUUUCUUCAGAAAAGAGCUUAAAGAACAAAAAGGUUUUUUUGGUUUAUGAAUAAGGAGCUUGAUGAUAUGAAUAAAGAAUUUUAUGGUGUGAACUCUCAAAUUAACCAGCUUGAGAAUGCUAUAGCCCAAAUUUUUGAUAAGCAAGCUACCUUAGUCAAUAAGAUGGCUUCCAAACCAGAAAAGUUAGAUGAAAAUAAUGAUGAAGAUCUUAAAGUUAUUGAUGUGUCUCCUAUUAGAUCUUUGUUUUGCAAUAUGAAUCUUGAUAAUAAUGGGACUGGAGAUGAGUAACCUUUAGUUAGAAGGCGUCCCAAUAAUUCGGAGUUUUUAGAUCUUGAUACUAAAUUUGGUAAAAGUGGGAUUGGAGAGGUCAUGACUUUAAAUAGCAUUGAACCCACUAUCUCGGAUUUCAAGGAAUUUGAUUAUGAUAAUUGUUCUUUAGAAGGUUGUAUUUCCUUGUUACAAUCCAUUGUUAAUUCUCCUCAUGCUUAUAGUCAAAAUAAAGCUUUUACCAAACAUAUCGUUGAUGCCUUGAUGCAAUCUUAUGAUGAAAAAAUUAAUUUGGAAGUUUCUAUACCUAGAAAACUUAAUAAUGAGUGGGAACCCACUAUAAAGAUUAAAAUUAAAGAUCAUGAGUGUUUUGCUUUGUGUGAUUUGGGUGCUAGUGUUUCCACGAUUUCGAAAACUUUAUGUGAUAUUCUAGGUUUACAUGAUCUUGAUGAUUGCUCUUUAAAUUUGCACCUUGCGGAUUCCACCAUUAAAAAGCCAAUGGGAAGGAUCAAUGAUGUUCUCAUUGUUGAAAAUAGAAAUUUGGUGCCCGUAGAUUUUAUCGUUCUUGAUAUUGAUUGCAAUCUUUCUUGCCCUAUUAUUCUUGGUAGACCUUUCCUUAGAACGAUUGGCGCGAUUAUUGAUAUGAAGGGAAUAUUAGAUUACAAUUUCCAUUAAGGAAAGGCAUGGAGCACUUUCCAAGAAAGAAAGUCAAAUUACCUUAUGAAUCUAUUAUGCGGGCUACUUAUGUAUUGAGUGCCAAAGAUGGCACUACUUAGAUCUAUCUUCGCUUUUAUGCCUAGCUAGGGGCGUUAAACGACAGUGCUAGUUGGGAGGCAACCCAAUUUUAUUUGUGUUUUUUGUUUUUGUUUCUGUUGAGUAAUAAAUUUUGCAUCUACCUUCUGUUUAGAUGUGUUUUUAUGUUUUAGUUAGUGUUUGUGCCAAGUAGAACCUAUAGGAUAACCUAUGAUGAUAGUUAAUUUGAUUCUACUGAAAAACAGAAACUUUGCACGCAUGAAACUAGUUUUGUUAAAUCACAGAAACGUGAUUUUGCGUUGAUUCUUUUUGCUGAUGAUCAAUAUACAAAUUGUCCAGGACUUCCUAUUUUUGUAGGAUGUUUAGAGUUCCAGAAGUUUGCGUUAGUUACAUAUUUCUACAGACUGUUCUGUUUUUGACAGAUUGUGUUUUUUGUGUGUUGUUUGCUUAUUUUGAUGGAACUACAGCUAGUAAAAUAGUUUAUAAACCAUAGAGAAGUUGGAAUACAGUAUGUUUAACACCAAAAUAAAUAAAGAAUGAGUUCAUUACAGUACCUUAUGUGGUGGUUUUGUUUUCUUUCACUAACGGAGCUUAUAAAAUUUCCUGUUGAGUUUUGUGUGUGAAGUUUUCAAGUUUUGGGUAAAGAUUUGAUGGACUAUGGAAUAAGGAGUGGCAAAAGCCUAAGCUUGGGGAUGCCCAUGGCACACCAAGAUAUUAAAGAGUAGCCAAAAGCCUAAGCUUGGGGAUGCCCCCGGAAGGCAUCCCCUGUUUCGUCUUUGUUCAUUGGUAACUUUACUUGGAGCUAUAUUUAAAUAAAUAAAGAAUGAGUUCAUUACAGUACCUUAUGUGGUGGUUUUGUUUUCUUUCAUUAACGGAGCUUAUAAAAUUUCCUGUUGAGUUUUGUGUUGUGAAGUUUUCAAGUUUUGGGUAAAGAUUUGAUGGACUAUGGUAUAAGGAGUGGCAAAAGCCUAAGCUUGGGGAUGCCCAUAGCACCCCAAGAUAUUGAAGAGUAGCCAAAAGCCUAAGCUUGGGGAUGCCCCCGGAAGGCAUCCCCUCUUUCGUCUUCGUUCAUUGGUAACUUUACUUGAAGCUAUAUUUUUAUUCUCCACAUGAUAUGUGUUUUGCUUGGAGCGUCGUGUAUGAUAUUAGUAUUUGCUUUUUAGUUUAACACAAUCAUCCUUGCAGUACACACCUUUUGGGAGAAGCCUACCUUAUUAGAAUUUGCUAGAAUUCUCUAUGUGCUUCACUUAUAUCUUUUCAGCUAGAUAGUUUUUGCUCUAGUGCUUCACUUAUAUCUUUUAGAGCACGACGGUGGCUUAAUUUUGUAGAAAUUGCUAGUCUCUCAUGCCUCACUUAUUUUAUUUUGAGAGUCUUUUAGAGCAGCAUGGUAUUUGCUAUGGUUAUAAAAUUGGUCCUAGAAUGGUAGGCAUCCAAGUUGGGUAUAAUAAAAACUAUCAUAGGAAGUGAAUUGGAUGCUAUUAUUAAUUUGAUACUUGAUAAUUGUUUUGAGAUAUGGAGGUAGUGAUAUUAAAGUCAUGCUAGUUGGGUUAUUAUGAAUUUAAAAAUGCUUGUGUUGAAGUUAGCAAGUCCCGUUGCAUGCACGUACGGUUAAAGUUGUGUAACAAAUUUGAAACAUGAAGUGUACUUGGAUUGUGCAUCCUUAUGAGUGGCGGUCGGGGACGAGCGAUGGUCUUUUCCUACCAAUCUAUCCCUCUAGGAGUAUGCACGUAGUGCUUCAUUUUUGAUGACUUCUAAAUUUUUGCAAUAAGUAUAUGAGUUCUUUUGACUAAUGUUGAGUCCAUGGAUUAUGCGCACUUUUACCUUUCCACCAUUGCUAGCCUCUUUGGUACCGUGCAUUGCCCUUUCUCACCUUGAGAGUUGGUGCAAACUUUGCCGAUGCAUCCAAACCCCGUGAUACGAUACGCUCUAUCACACAUAAACCUCCUUAUAUCUUCCUAAAAACAACCACCAUACCUACCAAUUAUGGCAUUUCCAUAGCCAUUCCGAGAUAUAUUGCCAUGCAACUUUCCACCGUUCCGUUCAUCAUCAUGACAUACAUUACUUUUGUCAUAUUGCCAUUGCAUGAUCAUGUACUUGACAUCGUAUUUGUGGCAAAGCCACCAUGCAUAAUUUUUCAUACAUGUCACUCUUGAUUCAUUGAACCAUCCCGGUACACCGCCGGAGGCAUUCAUAUAGAGUCAUACCUUGUUCUAGUUUCGAGUUGUAAUUCCUGUGUUGUAAUCAAUAAAAGUGUGAUGAUCAUCAUUAUUAGAGCAUUGUCCCAAAGAACAAAAAUGGAGGCCAAAAAAAGAAAGGCCAAAGUAAAAAAAGAGAAAAAAAAGAAAAAGAAAAAGAAAAAAAGAAAAGAAAAGAAAAGGGGCAAUGUUACUAUCUCUUUUCCACACUAGUGCUUCAAAGUAGCACCAUGUUCUUCAUAUAGUGAGUCUCAUAUCUUGUGCUUCAAAGUAGCACCAUGUUUUUCAUAUAGUGAGUCUCAUAUGUUGUCACUUUCAUAUACUAGUGGGAAUUUUUCAUUAUAGAACUUGGCUUGUAUGUUCCUACGACGGGCUUCCUCAAAUGCCCUAGGUCUUCGUGAGCAAGCAAGUUGGAUGCACACCACUAGUUUUCUUUUGUUGAGCAUUCAUUUAUUGCUCUAGUGCAUCCGUUGCAUGGCAAUCCCUACUCCUCAUGUUGACAUCAAUUGAUGGGCAUCUCCAUAGCCCGUUGAUUAUCCGCGUCAAUGUGAGACUUCCUCCUUUUUUUGUCUUCUCCACACAAUCCCCAUCAUCAUAUUCUAUUCCACCCAUACUGUUGUAUCCAUGGCUCACGCUCAUGUAUUGCGUGAAGGUUGAAAAAGUUUGAGAUUAUUUAAGUACGAAACAAUUGCUUGGCUUGUCAUAGGGGGUGUAGAAUUUGGGAACAUCUUUGUGUGACAAAAAUGAAGCAUAUCCUAACUAUAUGAUUUUGUAGGGACGAACUUUCUUUAGCCAUGUUAUUUUGUGAAUACAUGAUUGCUUUGAUUAGUAUGCUUGAAGUAUUACUAUUUCUUUUAUCAAUAUGAACUUUUAUUUUGAAUCAUUUGGAUCUGAACAUUCAUGCCACAAUAAAGAAAAUUACGUUAAGAAUUAUGCUAGGUAGCAUUCCACAUCAAAAAUUCUGUUUUUAUCAUUUACCUACUCGAGGACGAGCAAGAAUUAAACUUGGGGAUGCUUGAUACGUCUACAACGUAUCUAUCAUUUUUGAUUGCUCCAUGCUAUUAUAUUACCCUUUUUGGAUGUUUAUGGGCUGUAUUUUACACAUUUAUAUCAUUUUCGGGACUAACCUACUAACUAGAGGCCCAGCCCGUACUGCUGUGUUUUUGCCUAUUUUUGUAUUUCGAAGAAAAGGAAUAUCAAACGGAAUGAAACCUUCGGGAGAGUGAUUUUUGGAAUGAACGUGAUCCAGAGGACUUGGAGUGCAAUUCAAGAAGCAAUCGAGGUAGACAGGAGAUAGGAGGGCGCGCCCACCCCUCCUGGGCGCGCCCCCUGUCUCCUGGUCCCCUCGGGCGGCCACCGACCUACUUCUUCCUCCUAUAUAUACCCACGUACCCCGAAAACAUCCAGGGAGCCAACGAAAAACAAUUUCCACCACCGUAACCUUCUGUAUCCGCGAGAUCCCAUCUUGGAGCCUUCGUCGGUGCUCCGCCGAAGGGGGAAUCGACCACGGAGGGCUUCUACAUCAACACCAAAGCCCUUCCGAUGAGUUGUGAGUAGUUUACCACAGACCAUCGGGUCCAUAGUUAUUAGCUAGAUGGCUUCUUCUCUCUUUUUGGAUCUCAUUACAAUGUUCUCCCCCUCUCUUGUGGAGAUCUAUUCGAUGUAACACUUUUUGCGGUGUGUUUGUCGAGAUCCGAUGAAUUGUGGGUUUAUGAUCAAGUUUAUCUAUGAGAAAUAUUUGAAUCUCCUCUGAAUUCUUUUAUGUAUGAUUGAGUUAUGUUUGCAAGUCUCUUCGAAUUAUCAUUUUGGUUUGGCCUACUAGAUUGAUCUUUCUUGCCAUGGGAGAAGUGCUUAGCUUUGGGUUCAAUCUUGCGGCGUCCUUACCCCGUGAUAUAAAGGGUUGCAAGGCACGUAUUGUAUUGUUGCCAUCGAAAAUAAAAAGAUGGGGUUUAUAUCAUAUUGUUUGAGUUUAUCCCUCUACAUCAUGUCAUCUUUCUUAAUGCGUUACUCUGUUCUUAUGAACUUAAUACUCUAGAUGCAUGCUGCAUAGCGGUCGAUGUGUGGAGUAAUAGUAGUAGAUGCAAGCAGGAGUCGGUCUACUUGUCACGGACGUGAUGCCUAUAUACAUGAUCAUGCCUAGAUAAUCUCAUAAUUAUUCGCUUUUCUAUCAAUUGCUCAACAGUAAUUUGUUCACCCACCGUAAUACUUAUGCUAUCAUGAGAGAAGCCACUAGUGAAACCUAUGGCCCACGUGGCUAUCUUUUAUCAUAUAAGCUUUCAAUCUACUUUUAUUUGCAUCUUUACUUUUUGCAUCUAUAUUAUAAAUACCAAAAAUAUAUUUAUCUUAUCAUACUAUCUCUAUCAGAUCUCACUUUCGCAAGUGGCUGUGAAGGGAUUGACAACCCCUUCAUUGCGUUGGUUGCGAGUUCUUUGUUUGUUUGUGUAGGUGCGUGGGACUUUUGAGGAGCCUCCUACUGGAUUGAUACCUUGGUUCUCAAAAACUGAGGGAAAUACUUACGCUACUAUUGCUGCAUCACCCUUUCCUCUUCAAGGAAAACCAACGCAAGCUCAAGACGUAGCACCCCCUUCCCCCGUAUGUAAAGGAGCAAGGGGGAGGGGGCGGCCAGCCAGGAGGGGGCGCACCAGGAGGAGUCCUACUCCCACCGGGAGUAGGACUCCCUCCUUUCCUUGUCCAAGUAGGAGAGGGGGAAGGAAGGGGAGAGAGGAGAGGAAGGAAAUGGGGGCGCUGCCCACCCCCCUCCUUGUCCUAUUCAGACUAGAGGGGGAGGGGGCGCGCGACCUGCCCUGGCCGCCCCUCCUCUGCUGCUCUUUGGGCCCAUGAGGCCCAUUAACCGCCGGGGAGUUCCGGUAACCCCACGGCACUCUGGUAUACAUCCGAUAACCUCCGGAACCAUUGCGGUGUCCGUAUAUAGUCGUCCAAUAUAUCAAUCUUCAUGUCUCGACCAUUUCGAGACUCCUCGUCAUGUCCGUGAUCACAUCCGGGACUCCGAACUAUCUUCAGUACAUCAAAACAUAUAAACUCAUAAUAUAACCGUCAUCUAACUUUAAGCGUGCGGACCCUACAGGUUCGAGAACUAUAUAGACAUGACCGAGACACGUCUCCAGUCAAUAACCAAUAGCGGAACCAGGAUGAUCAUAUUGGAUCCCACAUAUUCUAUGAAGAUCUUUAUCGGUCAAACCACAUAACAACAUACGUUGUUCCCUUUGUCAUCGGUAUGUUACUUACCCGAGAUUCGAUCAUCGGUAUGUUACUUACCCGAGAUUCAAUCUCGUUAUUGGCAAGUCUCUUUACUCGUUACAUAAUGCAUCAUGUCAUAACUAACUCAUUAGCUACAUUGCUUGCACGGCUUAUAGUGAUGUGCAUUACCGAGAGGGCCCAGAGAUACCUCUCCGAUAAUCGGAGUGACAAAUCCUAAUCUCGAAAUACACCAACUCAACAUGUACCUUCGGAGACACCUGUAGAGCUCCUUUAUAAUCACCUAGUUACGUUGUGACAUUUGGUAGAAAACAAAGUGUUCCUUCGGUAAACGGGAGUUGCAUAAUCUCAUAGUUGUAGGAACAUGUAUAAGUCAUGAAGAAAGCAAUAGCAACAUACUAAACGAUCAAGUGCUAAGCUAACAGAAUGGGUCAAGUCAAUCACAUGAUUCUCCUAAUGAUGUGAUCCCGUUAAUCAAAUGACAACUCAUGUUUAUGGUCAGGAAACAUAACCAUCUUUUAUUAACGAGCUAGACAAGUAGAGGCAUACUAGUGACAUUGUGUUUGUCUAUGUAUUCACACAUGUAUUAUGUUUCUGGUCAAUACAAUUCUAGCAUGAAUAAUAAAAAUUUAUCAUGAUAUAAGGAAAUAAAUAAUAACUUUAUUAUUGCCUCUAGGGCAUAUUUCCUUUAGUAGCAAGUGAUGAUUGUUUUAUCGAGCGUCUUUUGAUUGAAAAACUGGAAGAACUCCUCGUAUGGAACUAACAACAUCAAUUCCAACGAGGUCGUGCUCCUCUUUAACUCUCAGCGACAAAAUACUUUUCCCAGACUUCCUCCAGAUGUCCAUGUACCAAUCAUGGAAUCUUCGCAUCAUCGUUGUUAGGGAAGUACCAGGUCUGACGAGAGGCUUCCCGUGCUCGAAUCUUAAUGUGUCCACCUCCAUUAUUUCAAAAAUUGUUGCAUCAUCGUCGGUUAUGUAAUCUCCAAGAUUGGUAGCGGGCAGCAUCCCCGGAAGAUUAGCGACGAUAUCGCUAGACACAUUGAGCGGGGGGCACGAUUGCUUCGCUUGUUCACCGAGCUAGGGAUUUUCCCCCAUUUUGUUCAUUCUGCUAGCCUUUGAUCAAUGCAAGUACUUCCCGACCGCUCCGCUUCCUUAUAUGUCCUUUCAAUGAUGCGGUCAUAGUUGGAUUGCGGGGGAGGCAGUGAUGGUCGUUGUAGGGCAUCGAAAGUGUGCUUCGCUUUCAUCGGAUCUAUCUCCAGCGGAGGUGGAUGUUUCUUAGCUUUUACCGGUUGAAAGAAUUCUCUGGUCGUGUUUCUUCAGUCUGUGAUCUUCCUGCUCCAGCCGCCCAAACCAGUGUCGGUGGAACCGCCUGCUCCCGCCUCCCGUUGCCGACUGUUCUGUCGGGAAGGCCUCACGGCCCCACCGUACUCGCAUACCUAGCCUGUCUAUCCAUCUACUCACCCACACCUCAUGUUAUUUUCCGGCGACGGCAGCCGAACCAGUCAACCUUCGUACUCCCCACCGCGUGAGCAGCCACUGCCGUGUCUUCUAUGGCUCCGUGUUGUUCCCUUUGUAUGCCUCGCCGUCGUCCACUGCCCUGGUGCUCUCGGUGCGGCGUGGUCAAUGUGGUCAACGAACGACUUCCAUCGGAAGUGGACUGUACAUGGAGAUGCUGGCAGCUGGGUCCAUGGCCGCACAAAAGGAAAUGCCUCCUUAUUACGCGCAAAAUAAUGAUUCCUUCCCAUGACAUCUGAGACCCACCAGAAGGGCCUCCGUAUUUUUCGCAAAAAAAACGACCCCCCCAUGCUGACAGGUCGGACCCACCAGCUAUAUCUUCGCAUGCAAGGAAUGUUGGAAAUAUGCCCUAGAGGCAAUAAUGAAAUGGUUAUUAUUAUAUUUCCUUGUUCAUGAUAAUUGUCUAUUGUUCAUGCUAUAAUUGUAUUAACUGGAAACCGUAAUACAUGUGUGAUUACAUAGACCACAACAUGUCCCUAGUGAGCCUCUAGUUGGCUAGCUCGUUGAUCAACAGAUGUUCAUGGUUUCCAGACCAUGGACAUUAGAUGUCAUUGAUAGCGGGAUCACAUCAUUAGGAGAAUGAUGUGAUGGACAAGACCCAAUCCUAAGCAUACCACAAGAUCGUGUAGUUCGUUUGCUAAGAGCUUUUCUAAUGUCAAGUAUCAUUUCCUUAGUCCAUGAGAUUGUGCAACUCACGGAUACCAUAGGAAUGCUUUGGGUGUACCAAACGUCACAAUUUAACUGGGUGGCUAUAAAGGUGCAGUACAGGUAUCUCCGAAAGUGUCUGUUGGCUUGGCACGAAACGUGACUUGGAUUUGUCACUCCAUAUGAUGGAGUGGUAUCUGUGGGCCCACUCGGUAAUGCAUCAUCAUAAUGAGCUCAAUGUGACUAAGUAGUUAGUCACGGAUCAUGCAUUGUGGAACGAGUAAAGUGACUUGCCGGUAACGAGAUUGAACGAGGUAUUGUGAUACCAACGAUCGAUUCUCGGGCAAAUAACAUACCAAUUGACAAAGGGAAUUGUAUACGGGAUUGAUUGAAUCCCCGACAUCGUGGUUCAUCUGAUGAGAUCGUCGUGGAACAUGUGGGAGCCAACAUGGGUAUCCAGAUCCCGUUGUUGGUUAUUAGCCGGAGAACGUCUCGGUCAUGUCUGGAUGGUUCCCAAACCCGUAGGGUCUACACACUUAAGGUUCGGUGACGCUAGAGUUGUUAUGGGAAAUAGUAUGCGGUUACCUAAGGUUGUUCGGAAGCCGGGAUGAGAUCCCAGACAUGACAAGGAACUCCGGAAUGGUCCGGAGGUGAAGAUCGAUAUAUUGGACGAAGAGUAUUCGAGUCCGGAAUUGUUCUGGGAGUACCGGUUGACGACCAGCGUGACCGAAAGGUGUUUCGAACGCCCCGGAAAGCGUUGGGGGCCUUAUGGGCCAAGGGGAGGGGGCACACCAGACCACUAAGGGGCUGUGCGCCCCUCCCAACCCCUCUCACGUAACCUGGGGAGGUGGGGCCGCCUCCCCUAGGGCAGCCGCCCCUCCCAGCUUGGGGGGCAAGUUUCAUAGGGGUGGCGGCGCCCAAACCCAUCUAGGGUUUCCACUGUGGCCACCACCCCUCCACUAGGGAACCCUAGGGCGCCUCCUCCACCCCCUUCCCCCUAUAUAUAGUGAGGGAGAGAGAGGGCAACCUCACCCCUUGCCCCUGGCACAGCCCUCCCCCUCUCCAACUCCACCUCCUCCUCAGUAGUGCUUGGCGAAGCCCUGCCAGAGAACUGCAAGCUCCACCACCACGCCGUCGUGCUGCCGGAGAUCUCCGUCAACUUCUCCUCUCCCCUUGCUGGAUCAAGAAGGAGGAGACGUCCCCGGGCUGUACGUGUGUUGAACGAGGAGGCGCCGUUCGUUCGGUGCUUAGACCGGAAUCGACCGCGAUCUGAAUCGCUGCGUGUACGACUCCACCAACCUCGUUCUUGUAAUGCUUCCGCAUCGUGAUCUUCAAGGGUAUGAAUAUACACUCAUACUCUCCCUCUCUUGUUCCUAGAAUCUCCAUAGAUUGAUCUUUGUGACACGUAGGAAAAUUUUGAAUUAUUGCUACGUUCCCCAACAAUGGCAUCAUGAGCUAGGUCUAUGCGUAGUUUCUAUGCACGAGUAAAACACAAGUUGUUGUGGGCAUCGAUUUUGUCAAUUUACUUCCUGUUACUAGUCUUAUCUUGAUUCGGCGGCAUCGUGGGGUGAAGCGGCCCGGACCGACCUUACAUGUACGCUUACGUGAGACAGGUUCCACCGACUGACAUGCACUAGUUGCAUAAGGUGGCUAGCGGGUGUCUGUCUCUCCCACUUUAGUCGGAUCAGAUUCGAUGAAAAUGGUCCUUAUGAAGGGUAAAUAGAAAUUGGCAUAUCACGUUCUAGUUUUGGCGUAGGUAAGAAACGUUCUUGCUAGAAACCUAUAGUAGCCACAUAAAAACUUGUAACAACAAUUAGAGGACGUCUAACUUGUUCUUGCAGCAUAUGCCGUGUGAUGUGAUAUGGCCAAAAGGAUGUGAUGAAUGAUAUAUAUGUGAUGUAUGAGAUUGAUCAUGUUCUUGUAAUAUGAAUCACGACUUGCAUGUCGAUGAGUAUGACAACCGGUAGGAGCCAUAGGAGUUGUCUUAAUUUAUUGUAUGACCCGCGUGUCAUUGAAUAACACCAUGUAAUUACUUUACUUUAUUGCAAAACUGUUAGCCAUAGUAGUAGAAGUAAUAGUUGGCGUGACAACUUCAUGCAGACACGAUGAUGGAGAUCAUGGUGUCAUGCCGGUGACGAUGAUGAUCAUGGCACCCCGAAGAUGGAGAUCAAAAGGAGAAAAAUGAUAUUGGCCACAUCAUGUCACUAUUUGAUUGCAUGUGAUGUUUAUCAUGUUUUUACAUCCUAUUUGCUUAGAACGACGGUAGCAUCAAUAAGAUGAUCCAUCGCUAAAAUUUCAAGAAAGUGUUCCCCUAACUGUGCACCAUUGAGAACGUUCAUUGUUUCGAAGCACCACGUGAUGAUCGGGUGUGAUAGAUUCUAAUGUUCGAAUACAACGGGUGUAAGCCAGAUUUACACAAGCAGAACACUUAGGUUGACUUGACGAGCCUAGCAUGUACAGACAUUGCCUCAGAACACAAUAUACUGAAAGGUCGAACACUAGUCCGUCUCAUGUGAUGAUCGGACACGGCCUAGUUGACUCGGAUCAUGUAUCACUUAGAUGACUAGAGGGAUGUCCAUCUGAGUGGGAGUUCAUUAAAUUAGAUGAACUUAAUUAUCAUGAACAUAUUCAAAAGGUCUUUGCAAAUUAUGUCGUAACUUGCGCUUCAGUUCUACUGUUUUAGAUAUGUUCCUAGAGAAAAUUUAGUUGAAAGUUGAUAGUAGCAAUUAUGCGGACUAGGUCUGUAAACUGAGGAAUGUCCUCAUUGCUACGCAGAAGGCUUAUGUCCUUAAUGCACCGCUCGGUGUGCUAAACCUCGAACAUCGUCUGUGGAUGUUGUGAACAUCUGACAUACACGUUUUGAUGACUACAUGAUAGUUCAGUAAUGUCAAACGGUUUAGAAUUGAGGCGGCGAAGACGAUUUUGAAACAUCGCGGAACAUAUGAGAUGUUCAAAGGGCUGAAAUUGGGAUUUCAGGCUCGUGCCCAUGUCAAGAGGUAUGAGACCUCUGACGAGUUUCUUAAGCCUGCAAUCUAAGGGAGAAAAGCUCAAUUGUUGAGCAUGUGCUCAGAUUGUCUGAGUACUACAAUCACUUGAAUUGAGUGGGAGUCACUAGUAGAAAAGGGGGCAAUGGUCCAGGCCGGGUCAGCCAUUAGUCCAGGUUCAGUCCAGAACCGGGACUCAUGGUGGCAUUGGACCCGGUUCGUGAGCCCCGGGGGCCGGCCGGGCCACGUGGGCCAUUGGUCCCAGUUCGUCUGGACCUUUUGGUCCCGGUUGGUCGGACGAACCGGGACCAAUGGGCCUCGCUCCUGGCCCACCACCAUUGGUCCCGGUUGGUGGCUUGAACCGGGACCAAAGGCUGCCUUUAGUCCCGGUUCAUGCCACAAACCGGGACCAAUGAAUUGCCUAUAUAUUCCCCUCGCCCGCGAGCAGAGCACUCCCACUGCUCUGUUUUUCCUGGCCGGCGAGGGGAGAGCUUUGUGGUGCUCUAGCUCACCUCCUAUGCACACGAGGUGUUCGAUGGAAUGCACGGGCUACACUACUUAUGCUUUCUCCUCUCCAAACUCGACCUCCAAGCUCCAUUUUACUCAAUAUUUGUCUAGGUCUAGCGGUCCGUCACGUCCCGUCCCCGUCUUCACCGCCUUCGAUCGCCCGUGCUGAUCUCAUCGCCGGCACCACCGUGGUGAGCCUCUUGUUCUUAUCUUCUUUCUGAAAGGAAAAAUAUUCUUACUUGUAUGUUUAGAUAGAUACUUGUAUUAUUUUCUUACUUUUAUUAUUGCAUCGUAUAUAGUGCGAUGGUUUUGGUAUCCGCCCCUGUCGGCCCGCGUCCUGUCUAUGAUUCGGAUGUGGUAUAUAUUAUCUUUUCAUAACUAUUGGUUCAUUUAUUGUUUAUGAAAAUUAUGCUGACCAACGUGACAUAGAUUUUAUUUAUCUAUGAGGUUGUUGAACCGGAAAUUCCAACCGACCCUAUUGUCGAGAGGUUAAAUUUAGUUGAAGAAGAAAACAAUUUCUUGAAGGAAAAAAUAAGAAAAAUUGAGGAGGAGAAGAUGAUAUUGGAGUUGCAUGUUGCGGAUGUCGUCGAUGAUCACAAGAUCAAGAUGGAUGCAAUGCGCUUGAAGAUGAGAAAGAUUAGAAAAUAUGCCAUUCAUAUCGAGGCUUGCUAUCAUUAUGCCGUUGGAUCAGUUGUUACCUUGGUUGCGAUUAUGAUCACAUUUGUUUUCGCAUUGAAAUGUUUGACAUAGUUUCAAUGUAGGGUUUAAUUAAUUUAGAUGCUCUGCAGAGCUUUAUGUUGUUAGAUGAGAACUAUGUAUGUACUUUGGUUUUAAUGUGAUGAUGAACUUCUAUUAAUUUGGUCACUUAAUUAUCUAUUCAUGAUGUUCUGUAAUGAUUUUUGACACACUUAAUUAUAUAUAAUGCAUGCAGAUGAACCGGCAAUGGUUGUACGGUGAAAGACACACCUCCGAGUACAUUAAGGGCGUGCAUGAUUUUCUCAAAGUGGCUGAGGCAAACAAGCAGAAUGGUUUUAUGUGUUGUCCAUGCCCUAUAUGUGGGAAUACGAAGUCUUAAUCUGACUGGAAAAUCCUUCACACCCACCUGCUUUACAAGGGUUUCAUGCCACACUAUAAUGUUUGGACGAGGCAUGGAGAAAUAGGGGUUAUGAUGGAAGACGGCGAGGAAGAAGAGUACGAUGACAACUAUGUGCCCCCUGAAUAUGGUGAUGCUAUUGAAGAUCAAGAGGUACCAGACGAUGUGCACAAUGAUGCUGCAACGGGCGAAGCUGCUGAAGAUCAAGAGGAACCAGACGAUGUGCCCGAUGAUGAUGAUCUCCGACGGAUCAUUGUCGAUGCAAGGACGCAAUGCGAAAGUCAAAAGGAGAAGCUGAAGUUCGAUCGCAUGUUAGAGGAUCACAAAAAAGGGUUGUACCCCAAUUGCGAAGAUGGCAACACAAAGCUCGGUACCAUACUGGAAUUGCUGCAGUGGAAGGCAGAGAAUGUUGUUCCUGACAAAGGAUUUGAGAAGCUACUGAAAAUAUUGAAAAAGAAGCUUCCAAAGGAUAAGGAAUUGCCCGACAGUACAUACGCAGCAAAGAAGGUCGUAUGCCCUCUAGGAUUGGAGGUUCAGAAGAUACAUGCAUGCCCUAAUGACUGCAUCCUCUACGGAGGUGCGUACAAGGAUCUGAACACAUGCCCGGUAUGCGGUGCAUUACGGUAUAAGAUCAGACGAGAUGACCCUGGUGAUGUUGACGGCGAGCCCCCCAGGAAGAGGGUUCCUGCUAAGGUGAUGUGGUAUGCUCCUAUAAUACCACGGUUGAAAUGUCUGUUCAGAAACGGAGAGCAUGCCAAGUUGAUGCGAUGGCACAGUGAGGACCGUAAGAAAGACGGGAAGUUGAGAGCACCCGCUGAUGGGUCGCAGUGGGGAAAAAUCGAGAGAAAGUACUGGGCUGAGUUUGCAGGUGACCCAAGGAACGUAUGGUUUUCUUUAAGCGCGGAUGGCAUUAAUCCUUUCAGGGAGCAGAGCAGCAAUCACAGCACCUGGCCCGUGACUCUAUGUAUGUAUAACCUUCCUCCUUGGAUGUGCAUGAAGCGGAAGUUCAUUAUGAUGCCAGUUCUCAUCCAAGGCCCUAAGCAACCCGGCAAUGACAUUUAUGUGUACCUAAGGCCAUUAGUUGAAGAACUUUUACGGCUGUGGAAUGGAAACGGUGUACAUACAUGGGAUGAGCACAAACACGAGGAAUUUAACCUAAAGGCGUUGCUGUUCGUGACCAUCAACGAUUGGCCCGCUCUCAGUAACCUUUCAGGACAGACAAACACGGGAUACCACGCAUGCACGCACUGUUUACUUGACACCGAUAGUAUAUACCUGGGAAGCUGCAGGAAGAAUGUGUACCUAGGCCAUCGUUGAUUUCUUCCGACCAACCAUCAAUGUCGAAAGAAAGGCAAGAAUUUCAAAGGCAAGGCAGAUCACCAGAAGAAGCCCGCCAUGCGUAUCGGUGAUCACGUACUUGCUAUGGUCAAUGAUUUACACGUAAUCUUUGGAAAGGGUCCCGACGCACUAGCUGUUCCGAAUGACGCUGAGGAACACGCACCCAUGUGGAAGAAGAAUUCUAUAUUUUGGGACCUACCCUACUGGAAAGACCUAGAGGUCCGCUCUUCAAUUGACGUGCACCUUUGCGUGAACCUGCUAGGCUUCUUGGGUGUGUAUGGAAAGACAAAAGAUACAGCUGAGGCACGGGAGGACCUGCAACGUUUGCACGAAAAAGACGGCAUGCCUCCAAAGUAGUAUGAAGGUCCUGCCAGCUAUGCUCUUACCAAAGAAGAGAAGGAAAUCUUCUUUGAAUGCCUGCUUAGUAUGAAGGUCCCGACUGGCUUCUCGUCGAAUAUAAAGGGAAUAAUAAAUAUGGCAGAGAAAAAGUUUCAGAACCUAAAGUCUCAUGACUGCCACGUGAUUAUGACGCAACUGCUUCUGGUUGCAUUGAGGGGGCUUCUACCGGAAAACGUCCGAUUAGCCAUUGUGAAGCUAUGUGCAUUCCUCAAUGCAAUCUCUCAGAAGGCGAUCGAUCCAGAAAUCAUACCAAGGCUAAGGAGUGAUGUGGUGCAAUGUCUUGUCAGUUUCGAGCUGGUGUUCCCACCAUCCUUCUUCAAUAUCAUGACGCACGUCCUAGUUCAUCUAGUUGACGAGAUUGUCAUUCUGGGCCCCGUAUUUCUACACAAUACGUACCCCUUUGAGAGGUUCAUGGGAGUCCUAAAGAAAUAUGUCUGUAACCAUGCUAGGCCAGAAGGAAGCAUCUCCAUGGGCCAUCAAACAGAGGAUGUCAUCGGGUUUUGUGUAGACUUCAUUCCUGGCCUUAAGAAGAUAGGUCUCCCUAAAUCGCGGUAUGAGGGGAGACUGACUGGAAAAGGCACGCUUGGAAGGGACUCAAUAAUAUGCAGGGACGGAUAUUCUUGGUCUCAAGCACACUACACAGUUCUACAGAACUCUACCUUGGUGACCCCUAUGUCGAUGAACACAAGAACAGUCUGCGCUCCAAACACCCGGAGCAGUGCGACGACUGGAUUACAUGUGAACACAUCAGGACUUUCAGCAGUUGGUUGGAAACACGUCUCAGAGGUGACAACACAUCAGGACCAUCUUUGACUAUAUUGAUUUACAAAGGAUACGGGAUAAAUGGGAAUACAUUUUACAUGAUUGACCAAGAUCAAAAGAGCACCAACCAAAACAGCGGUGUCCGCUUUGAUGCAACAACCGAGAGGGGAAAGGACACAUAUUAUGGUUACAUAGUGGACAUAUGGGAAUUUGACUACGGACAUGAUUUUAAGGUCCCUUUAAUUAAGUGCAAAUGGGUCAAUCUGCCAGGAGGCGGGGUACAGGUAGACCCACAGUACGGAAUGACAACAGUGGAUCUGAAAAGUCUUGGGUACACUGACGAACCGUUCGUCCUAGCCAAUGAUGUGGCACAUGUUAUCUAUGUGAAGGACAUGUCUACCAAGCCGAGAAAAAGAAAAGAUAAGGAAGCGAAUACAUCAUACGAUGAGCCAAAGCGCCACAUAGUUCUUUCAGGAAAAAGGGACAUCGUGGGAGUGGACGGCAAGACAGAAAUGUCUGAAGAUUAUGAAAAGUUUCAUGAAAUUCCUCCCUUCAAAGUCAAGGCUGACCCUAGCAUCCUGAUAAACGAUGAAGAUUAUCCAUGGUUACGGCGCAAUAAGCAAAUGACACAAGCGAAGGAAAAGUGAAGACUUUCUCCCGCAACUAUUAUGAUGAUACCAUGCCAACUUUGUAACAGACGAGUAUGAUACCAUGCCAACUGUUAUGAAUUUAGGUUGAAUUUUCUCUAUAGGCGCAUCUAUGUUCAUUUUUUUAGUAAAGUUAAUCACAAACUUGUGAUCCACACAAAUUUCAAAGAAUUCAAGUUUUAACUAUUCAAAUUUGAAAACUAAUGGCACUAACAGAAAGUUUAUAAUUUCUCUAAAACUAAUGGCACUAACAGAAAGUUUAUAAUUUUGCUGACCUAAAAGCAAAAAGAAUUAAAAAAUAAAGCAAAAAACAAAAGAAAAUAAAUAAUGCAGAAAACAAAACAAAAAAACUGGAAACAAAAUAAAAAUAGUAACAAUAAGUAUUUUGUUGUAAGUAGAAACAAAACAAAAUAAAUAAAGCAGCAAAGAAAACAAAAAAACAAAAAAAAGUGUUUUCAAAUUUGAAAACUAAUGGCACUAACAAAAAGUUUAUAAUUUUUCUAAAACUAAAAGCAANNNNNNNNNNNNNNNNNNNNNNNNNNNNNNNNNNNNNNNNNNNNNNNNNNNNNNNNNNNNNNNNNNNNNNNNNNNNNNNNNNNNNNNNNNNNNNNNNNNNNNNNNNNNNNNNNNNNNNNNNNNNNNNNNNNNNNNNNNNNNNNNNNNNNNNNNNNNNNNNNNNNNNNNNNNNNNNNNNNNNNNNNNNNNNNNNNNNNNNNNNNNNNNNNNNNNNNNNNNNNNNNNNNNNNNNNNNNNNNNNNNNNNNNNNNNNNNNNNNNNNNNNNNNNNNNNNNNNNNNNNNNNNNNNNNNNNNNNNNNNNNNNNNNNNNNGCUGUAAGUAGAAACAAAAUAAAAUAAAUAAAGCAAGAAAGAAAACAAAAAAAAACAAAAAAAAGUGUUUUCAAAUUUGAAAACUAAUGGCACUAAUAGAAAGUUUAUAAUUUUUCUAAAACUAAAAGCAAAAGGAAAAAAUAAAGCAAAAAACUAAAGAAAAUAAAUAAUGCAAAAAACAAAACAAAAAACUGGAAAAAAACUAAAAAAAACUGCCACCUAUUGGGCUAGCACGGCCUGAAUACGACUAGAAACCCAACCUGGGCCAGGAUUCGGGUCCGUAGAAGGCCCAAUAGGCCUACAGCAGCAUACUGUGAAAUUAGGCCCGAUAGCCUGCAGUUGAGAGGAGCUCGAGAGGGUGGGCGCAUUAGCGCUUAUAAACCACUCUCGAGCCCUCUCAACUAGCGAGGUGGGACUAAACUUUGGCUGCGACGCGGGCAGCAUACGGGCCUUUGGUCCCGGUUGGUGGCACCAACCAGGACUAAAGGGGGACANNNNNNNNNNNNNNNNNNNNNNNNNNNNNNNNNNNNNNNNNNNNNNNNNNNNNNNNNNNNNNNNNNNNNNNNNNNNNNNNNNNNNNNNNNNNNNNNNNNNNNNNNNNNNNNNNNNNNNNNNNNNNNNNNNNNNNNNNNNNNNNNNNNNNNNNNNNNNNNNNNNNNNNNNNNNNNNNNNNNNNNNNNNNNNNNNNNNNNNNNNNNNNNNNNNNNNNNNNNNNNNNNNNNNNNNNNNNNNNNNNNNNNNNNNNNNNNNNNNNNNNNNNNNNNNNNNNNNNNNNNNNNNNNNNNNNNNNNNNNNNNNNNNNNNNNNNNNNNNNNNNNNNNNNNNNNNNNNNNNNNNNNNNNNNNNNNNNNNNNNNNNNNNNNNNNNNNNNNNNNNNNNNNNNNNNNNNNNNNNNNNNNNNNNNNNNNNNNNNNNNNNNNNNNNNNNNNNNNNNNNNNNNNNNNNNNNNNNNNNNNNNNNNNNNNNNNNNNNNNNNNNNNNNNNNNNNNNNNNNNNNNNNNNNNNNNNNNNNNNNNNNNNNNNNNNNNNNNNNNNNNNNNNNNNNNNNNNNNNNNNNNNNNNNNNNNNNNNNNNNNNNNNNNNNNNNNNNNNNNNNNNNNNNNNNNNNNNNNNNNNNNNNNNNNNNNNNNNNNNNNNNNNNNNNNNNNNNNNNNNNNNNNNNNNNNNNNNNNNNNNNNNNNNNNNNNNNNNNNNNNNNNNNNNNNNNNNNNNNNNNNNNNNNNNNNNNNNNNNNNNNNNNNNNNNNNNNNNNNNNNNNNNNNNNNNNNNNNNNNNNNNNNNNNNNNNNNNNNNNNNNNNNNNNNNNNNNNNNNNNNNNNNNNNNNNNNNNNNNNNNNNNNNNNNNNNNNNNNNNNNNNNNNNNNNNNNNNNNNNNNNNNNNNNNNNNNNNNNNNNNNNNNNNNNNNNNNNNNNNNNNNNNNNNNNNNNNNNNNNNNNNNNNNNNNNNNNNNNNNNNNNNNNNNNNNNNNNNNNNNNNNNNNNNNNNNNNNNNNNNNNNNNNNNNNNNNNNNNNNNNNNNNNNNNNNNNNNNNNNNNNNNNNNNNNNNNNNNNNNNNNNNNNNNNNNNNNNNNNNNNNNNNNNNNNNNNNNNNNNNNNNNNNNNNNNNNNNNNNNNNNNNNNNNNNNNNNNNNNNNNNGAAAUAGUUUUAUAUAUGCAAAAGUUGCAUUUUUAGAGAAGUUUUUUAUAUGUAGCUAGAAAGAAGGAAGAAGAAGAAAAAGAAGGAGAGGAAAAAGGAAAAUAAGAAGAGGAAGAAAGGAGAAGAAGAGGAGAAAUAAAUAAGAAGAGGAAAAAAGAAGAAAAAGAAGAGGAGAAGAAGAAGAAAAGAAUAGAGGAGAAAGAAGUUCUAUUUUUUUCUUCUUUCUCCUCUAUUCCUUUCUUCUUCUCCUUUUUUUUCUUUUUUUUCUUCGAUUGCUUCUCUUCUAUUCCUUUCUUCUUCUCCUCUUUUUAUUUCUUCUUUUGUCUUGUUAUUUUUUAUCGGGUAUGUCGUUGUCAAUUUACCCCCUCCCGUAAAACUUCAACACGAGGGGGGGUACCGAUACCCCCUCCCCGAUAACAUUAUUUUCCCAUGUAUAUGUAUGUCACGUCGUUGUCCAUAUAACCCCCUCCCGGAUAACUUCGACAUGAGGGGCAGUCGAUAUAUAUACCCCCUCUCGACUGUGAUAACUUAUACAACAGCAGCACCCCCCUUGGCCCUCUCGCUCGACCAAAACUCUCGAGGACACCCAAACCCUAGAGAAAAAACGAUGUUGGUCUCCUACCCCCUCCCGUCGCGCCCCUACCCGACAAACUCUCUCGAGGCCACCCAAAUUUACCAAGUUAAAAGAGCGUUGUCGUUGAGGCCACCCCAAACCCUUGAAGCGUUGUGUCGAGGCCUCCCCAAACCCUUGAAGCGUUGUCUAGGCCACCCCAAACCCUAGAGAAGCAGCAUCGAGGCCACUAACAUGAUUCCUUAUUGUGAUUAGCUAGCUAGUUCUAUGUUUGCCACUAAUAUAUAUCCAUCUAUACCAUGUUUGAAUAAUAAUUGACAUGUUGUAAAUAUUUGCAGAAACUAUGGAGCACUCCCGAGACGGAGCAACAGAAGCGAUGUUGGGGGACAUAAUCGCACCAGGAAGUGAUGUCGUUGCGUCAUUUCUCAAUGACACCGAUGGUCAGGAAGGACUGGGUGAAGAAGAGGGCUAUGUUCAUGAUGGCUCUGGCCCAUUAAUGCCGGUACAAGAAGAGGGCUAUGUUCAUGAUGGCUCCGGUGACCCAAUGGAGGUACAAGAAGGAGACCAUGCUGACUGCUCCAGUGACCGAACCGAGUCCGGCCAGGUAUAUAUAUAUUAGUUAAGCCUAUGCUGACUAGUUAAUUGAUGCAUUCAUUGUUUUGGUAUAUGUACACAUAUUAAUUAACUCUCAUCUUUCUUCCUUUUUAUAGCCCUCCGGAUCGAGCACAACUUCGGUAAGGAGACGAGGCCCGAAGAAAAAGUUGAGCUCGGAUGAAAGGUUUGGGAUCACAGCAAUUGCGCCCAACGGCGAACCGGUUGAACCCAUCCAGACAAAGAAUGCAUUUUCUGCUCAGUGCGGGGUUCUUAUUAGGAACAAGAUCCCGAUCAGCAUCCACCAAUGGUAUAAGCCUAAGGAGGAAGACCCUGAGGUGUCUUAUGUCAAUGAUAUGCAGAAAGAUGAUCUUUGGACUCAGCUGAAGGCAAAUUUCACCCUACCGCCAUUGGAGGAUCCGGGGAAGCCAGUUAAAGAGAAAUUAAACAAGUCUUGUGCUCUUAAGAAGAUGGCAAGCCUAUUCAGGAGGUGGAGGAAAGAGCUGAAGAGGUUUGUUGACAAAAAAGAGACACCAAAAUUCAUCGUCAAAUAUGAGAAGAUCAAAGAUCACUUGCCCGCAUUUGUGGCCCACAAGACAUCGGAAAAGAGUAAGAAGAUGUCGGUGACAAACAAGAAAAAUGCUGUGAAGAAGCAGUUUCACCAUCGCACGGGGUCAGGUGGCUACCUCAAAGCCCGGCCUAAGUGGUCCAACGCUGAGAAUGAUCUGCUUGAUAAAGGGAUCAAACCAGAGACAAUGAACUGGCCAGACCGUUGCCGGACUUGGUUCUUAGGGGCUGGCGGAACCUUGGACCCUGCAUCAGGGAAGUGCCGUUGGACUGACGAGCAACUGUAAAUACCAGUCAAGAGGCUUCGGCACUAUAUCGAUGCAGCGCAGCAAGGGACGUUUGUUCCAGACAGGGAGAAGGACGAGCUCACAAUGGCCCUCGGGAAUCCUGAGCACCCUGGACGGACACGAGGCACGCCAGGCUCCAUUCCAUGGAAGGUUGGUUUUCCGGACGUAGGGGGUUACAAAACCCAGGAGAGGAGGAAGAAACUGGAGUAGGGCCAACUGCAUGCACUGCACAAAAGGGUAAUGGGGCUAGAGGAACGAGAAGCAGAUCGCAGCAAACGACCUGCCGAAGCUUCCCCCGAAGCUACCCCGCCAUCUCAACAGAGAAGCAGGGUGGCUUCCACCGAGCUGCUUCAGCCGGAGCAUUUCUUGACGGCUCCUGCUAGCUAUCCCGUGGAUGCUAUCACGGAGUCUCAAAAUUGCCACAUUAUGACGCGAUGGAUGAAUUUGAAGGUCAAGGCGGCUGUUGGCUCUGGUUAUCCUACUGAACCCGGCGCAAAUUUUCACUGCCGGCCGAUUCCAGAAGGAUAUGCUAGGGUGAUGGUGGAUGAAAUAACUGAGGGAUUUGAGGACGUCCAGCUUGACCACCCUACAGGUGAAGGGGAGACUAGGCUGGGUUCCGCUCUGAAGACUCCAUGCCUAUGGCGGAAGGAGCUCAUCAACCUUCCAAACUGGACGCCUCCGCCUCCUCCUCCUCCUCCGACGAGUCAGGGCACUCCUCCUCCUCCACCGCCUCCUCCUCCGGUGAGUGAUGAUCAGGGCACUGGGCCUCCUUCUCCGGCGUGUGGCGGCACUCCGCCUCCUUCUCCGCGUGUGCCGGCCCACCCGAGCAGCCAACAGCCUCCUCCUUCUCCGCCUCGCCAGCACAGGCGGAAGAGACCCGCCGCCGCCCCGGCUGCUCCAGCGCGUCGUAGUCCUUCUCCUCUGCCUCGUAAGCAAGCACGAAAGAAGAUAGACGCCGCAGCCGCUCUGUCUGCUCCGGCGUCUAGUAGUACAGCCAGAGGAGGGAGGCAUACAGAUAUGGUCCUCCUCUCAAGCCUCUAGAGAAGUUACCAUACGAGAGGACCGUGGAGGAAAACGCGAAGAUCGUGCGGGCCGAAGUGGACGACUUCUUUGAAGGUUGAAAGCAAAGAGACAUCCACCUCCGGAGGAGAAGGUAGAUCUGGUGAAUGCAAAGCGCACUCUCGAUGCCCUGAGGAAACCAGCAAAGUCUCCGCCGAGAACCAACUAUGAGCGCAUUACUGAACAGACAUAUCUCCAAGCGGAGCGGUCGGGAAGUACUGUUAGACAUCAAAGGUCAAGAGAACAAGCAGCUGCGAAAAAAAUUCACCAGCUCGGCGAACAAGCAAAUCAAUCGUGCCCCCCGCUCAAUGUGUCUAGCGGCGACAUCGUCGCUAAUGCUCCAGGGACGGUGGCCGGUUAUUGCAAUCUUGCAGCUUACCUGCCUGACGAUCAACUUCCUGAUUUCAUGGAGGUGGACGAACAUAGAUACGAGUACGGGAAGCCUCUCGUCAAAGAUGAAAAAUCUCUACCAACGAUGAUGCGAAGAUUCCAUAAUUGGUACAUGAAAAGCUGCAGAGAGUCUGGGGGGAUGAAUAGUUUGUAUCUGAACAUUAAAGAGGAGAAUGACCUCGUUGGAACUGAUCUGUUGCCUAUUCCAUUUGAGGAGUUCUUUGCAUUCUUCUAUCAAAAGUCCCGCGAUAAAUUAACGGUCUUUUGCUACUAUCUGUAAGUUCUAUUUCUGUCAUUAAGUCUCUAUAUACAGCUCGGCUCUUUCAUUCCAUGUAUUUAUAAUUAAUUAUCCUCACUAUAUUAUGCAGAUUGAAGAUCAUCGAAUGCAGAAAACAAGAAAUGUAUGAUAUUGGGUUCAUUAACACAAAUAUCAUAGAUGAAAUUGAGGUUAAAAAGCACGCCGAAGAGGCCGAGGCCAACUUGCUACAAUCGUUGAUCAAAAAUCAAAGCAAAGAUACCAUGCUCUUUCCUCACAACUUCAAGUGAGUGUUACUGUCGUGUGCAUAUUCGGUUUCCCUUAUUACUCGAGCAAGGUUAUAGUAAUGUAAUUGAUGAGUUAUGCAUGCGUGCGCAGCUUCCACUAUGUUCUUCUGGAGAUUAAGCUUGAGCGUGGACUAGUAACCGUCUUAGACUCGAGACGAAAAGAUCGUGAAACCUAUGCGGACAUGACUAAAUUUCUCAACAAGUAAGUUCAAUCGAUCAUUAUCGCACCAUAUCAGCAACUUUUUGUUCAUUUCUUGAUAUCUCAUGUAAUAAUAAUUAUUUUCUUUGUCUUGCAGGGUUUGGAAAUAGUUCACCGAAGAAGCUCCAGGACUGCCGAAGGAGCUGCGAUAUACAUACCCGAAAGUAAGUACUACUGGCUAGCUAGUUGCGCGCAUCUCCCGUUGAUUCUAUAGCUAUACUUUCAUCAAUGCCAUUUAUAAUGCUUCAUUAUCAGUUUGUUGACCUCUAUUUCUCGUAAAGUGCUUGUGGCGGGAACAAGGGAAUGAUUUCUGUGGAUACUACGUGUGCGAGUUCAUCUACAACGCGACUUUGAAGAAUAAGCGGGGUACUCUAAAAGAUAAUAUGAAGUGCGUAAGCAAUAAUAUUCACAAUUUCAUUUUAUUACACCAUCAUUUCUUUUGAGUUUCAUUCAUAUAUAUGUAUUAAUUAACCCCCUUCUUCAAAUUAGACGUGGCAGAUGCGGAAUGAACUCCUAGAACAAGAUCGCAUGAAAGCAACUCAAGAGGAAUUGGCGGGAUUCUUUCUUGACCACGUCAUCAAUAAAGCCGGAGAAUACCAUGUGGAAGUUGAUUUCAAUUGCUAGGGGAUUGUAAUUAAGAGAUCUUACAUAUUGGAUAUGUAUGUAGCCAGUAGCGUCGGAUAGAUAAUACGAAAACUUGUUGUUCGACCAAUCUCUCGGAGAAGGAGAGGUCGAUCGAUCACUUCUCUUGGUAUGCAUGACGAACUUCUGUACUUAAUGGUUCCCUUCAUUUUAUUACUAGCUAGCAUGUCGAGGGCCUCUCUAUGUAUAGUACAUAGCGUCGACCAAGCAUGGACAUAAGAUAGGACACUUCUCUCUAUUAAUUAGCUAGCUAACACAAUAUAUGAAACACCUAAAUUAACCCCCCAAAACNNNNNNNNNNNNNNNNNNNNNNNNNNNNNNNNNNNNNNNNNNNNNNNNNNNNNNNNNNNNNNNNNNNNNNNNNNNNNNNNNNNNNNNNNNNNNNNNNNNNNNNNNNNNNNNNNNNNNNNNNNNNNNNNNNNNNNNNNNNNNNNNNNNNNNNNNNNNNNNNNNNNNNNNNNNNNNNNNNNNNNNNNNNNNNNNNNNNNNNNNNNNNNNNNNNNNNNNNNNNNNNNNNNNNNNNNNNNNNNNNNNNNNNNNNNNNNNNNNNNNNNNNNNNNNNNNNNNNNNNNNNNNNNNNNNNNNNNNNNNNNNNNNNNNNNNNNNNNNNNNNNNNNNNNNNNNNNNNNNNNNNNNNNNNNNNNNNNNNNNNNNNNNNNNNNNNNNNNNNNNNNNNNNNNNNNNNNNNNNNNNNNNNNNNNNNNNNNNNNNNNNNNNNNNNNNNNNNNNNNNNNNNNNNNNNNNNNNNNNNNNNNNNNNNAAAACCCCAACCACUGAAAUGCUGACGCGUGGAUGCCUUUUGGUCCCGGUUGGUGCCACCAACUGGGACCAAAGGCCCUCUUGCCUGGGCCCGGCUCACCGGCCACGUGGAGGCCCAUCUGUCCCAGUUCGUGUUAGAACCGGGACUAAAGGUCUAGGGAAUUAGUAACGGCCCUUUAGUCCUGGUUAAUGAACCAGGACAAAAGGCCCUCACCAACCGGGACUAAUAGGUGUUUUUCUACUAGUGAGUUAAUCUUCCUUAAGAGAUAGUGAUGGUUCUCCAAAGUCAUUGCCACCAAGCUACCAGAUCUUCGUGAUGAACUAUAACCUAUCAGGGAUAGAUAUGAUGAUCCUUGAGCUAUUCGCGAUGUUUGACACCGCGGAAGUAGAAAUCAAGAAGGAGCAUCAAUUUUUGAUGGUUAGUGAAACCACUAGUUUCAAGAAGGGCAAGGACAAGAAGGGAUACUUCACGAAAUGGCAAAUCAGUUGCUGCUGUAGUGAAGAAACCCAAAGUUUGAACCCAAACCUGAGACUAAGUGCUUCUGUAAUGAGGGGAACGGUCACUGAAGCAGAACUACCCUAGAUACUUGGUAGAUGAGAAGGCCGGCAAGGUCGACAGAAGUAUAUUGGAUAUACAUUAUAUUACUGUGUACUUUACUAGUACUCCUAGUAGCACCAGGGUAAUAGAUACAGGUUCGGUUGCUAAGUGUUAGUAACUCGAAAUAAAAGGCUACGGAAUAAACAGAGACUAACCGAAGGUGAGAUGACGAUAUGUGUUGGAAAUGUUUCCAAGGUUGAUGUGAUCAAACAUCGUACGCUCCCUCUACCAUCGAGAUUGGUGUUAAACCUAAAUAAUUAUUUGGUGUUUGCGUUGAGCAUAGACAUGAUUGGAUUAUGUUUAUCACAAUACGGUUGUUCAUUUAAGGAGAAUAAUGGUUACUCUGUUUAUUUGAAUAAUACCUUCAAUGGUCUUGCACCUAAAAUGAAUGGUUUAUUGAAUCUCGAUCGUAGUGAUACACAUGUUCAUGCCAAAAGAUAUAAGAUAGUAAUGAUAGUACCACCUACUUGUGGCACUGCCAUUUGAGUCAUAUUGGUAUAAAAUGAAUGAAGAAGCUCCAUGUUGAUGGAUCUUUUGGACUCACUCAUUUUUUGAAAAGUUUGAGACAUGCGAACCAUGUCUAUUAGUAUGUACGCAUGAAGAAACUCCAUGCAGAUGGAUCACUUGGACUCACUUGAUUUUGAAUCACUUGAGACAUGCAAAUCAUACCACAUGGGCAAGAUGACUGAAAAGCCUCGUUUUCAGUAAGAUGGAACAAGAAAGCAACUUGUUGGAAGUAAUACAUUUUGAUGUGUACAGUUCAAUGAGUGCUGAGGCACGCAGUGGAUAUUGUUAUGUUCUUACUUCACAUAUCAUUUGAGUAGAUGCUGAGUAUAUUUACUUGAUGAAACACAAGUCUAAAUUAUUGAAAGGUUCAAGUAAUUUCAGAGUGAAGUUGAGGAUCAUCGUGACAAGAGGAUAAAAUGUCUAUGAUAUAAUCAUAGAGAUGAGUAUCUGAGUUAUGAGUUGGUAUACAAUUAAGACAUUGUGAAAAUUGUUUCACAACUAAUACCGCCUGGAACACCAUAGUGUGAUGGUGUGUCCGAACAUCAUAGUUGCGCCCUAUUGGAUAUAUAUGGUUCGUACCAUGAUGUCUCUUAUCGAAUUACCACUAUCAUUUAUGCGUUAGGCAUUAGAGACAACCACAUUCACUUCAAAUAGGGCACCACGUAAUUCCGUUGAGAUGACAACGUAUGAACUAUGGUUUAGAGAAACCUAAGUUGUCAUUUCUUAAAAGUUUGGGGCUCCGAAGCUUAUGUGGAAAAGUUUUAGCCUGAUAAGCUCGAACCCAAAGCGGAUAAAUGCAUCUUCAUAGGACACCCAAAAUAGUUGGGUAUACCUCCUAAUUCAGAUCCGGAAGCAAAAGUGAUUAUCUCUAUAAACUGGUCCUUUCUCGAGGAAAAGUUUCUCUCGAAAGAAUUGAGUGGGAGGAUGGUGGAGACUUGAUGAGGUUAUUGAACCGUCACUUCAACUAGUGUGUAGCAGGGCACAGGAAGUUGUUCAUGUGGCGCCUACACCAAUUGAAGUGGAAGCUGAUGAUAGUGAUCAUGAAACUUCAGAUCAAGUCACUACCAAACCUCGUAGGUCGACAAGGAUCCGUACUACUUUAGAGUGGUAUGUAAUCCUGCCUUGGAGGUCAUGUUGCUAGACAACAAUGAACCUACGAGCUAUGGAGAAGAGAUAGUGGGCCCGGAUUCCGACGAAUGGCUCGAGGCCAUAAAAUCCGAGACGAUCCAUGUAUGAAAACAAAGUAUAGACUUUGGAAGAACCACUUGAUGGUUGUAAGGUUGUUGGGUAGAGAUGGAUUUUAAAAGGAAGACGGACAAUGAUGGUAAGUACCACCAUUAAGAAAGCUCGACUUGUCGUUAACAUAUUUUCCGACAAGUUCAAGGAGUUGACUACGAUAAGACUUUCUCACUCAUAGCGAUGCUAAGAGUCUGUUGGAAUUAUAUUAGCAAUUACUGCAUUAUUUAUGAAAUCUUGCAGAUAGGAUGUCAAAACAUUGUUUCCUCCAUGAUUUUCUUGAGGAAAGAUUUUAUGUGAUACAACCAGAAGGUUUUGUCAAUCUUGAAAGAUGCUAACAAGUAUGCAAAGCUCCAGCAAUCCUGCUAAGGACUGGAGUAAGCAUCUCGGAGUUGGAAUAUACGCUUUGAUGAGAUGAUCAAAGAUUUUGGGUUUAUACAAAGUUUAUGAGAAACUUGUAUUUGAAAAGAAGUGAGUGGGACCACUAUAGAAUUUCUGAUGAGUAUAUGUUGUUGCAUAUUGUUGAUCAGAAAUGAUGUAGAAUUUCUGGAAAGCAUAUAGGGUUAUUUGAAAAGUGUUUUUAAAUGGAAAACCUGGAUUAAGCUACUUGAACAUUGAGCAUCAAGAUCUACAAGGAUAGAACAAAAGAUGCUUAAUAGUAGUUUCAAAUGAACACAUACCAUGACAAGAUUUUGAAGGAGUUCGAAAUAGAUCGGCAGAGAAGGAGUUCUUGGCUGUGUUAUAAGGUGUGAGUAUUGAGUAAGACUCAAGACCUGACCAUGGCAAAAGAGAGAGAAAGGACGAAGGUCGUCCUCUAAGCUUUAGACGUAGGCUCCAUAGUAUGCUAUGUCGUGUACCACACCUAAAGUGUGCCUUGCCAUGAGUCAGUCAAGGGGUACAAGUGUGAUCCCGGAAUGGAUCACAGGACAAUGGUCAAGGUUAUCCUUAGUAACUAGUGGACUAAGGAAUUUUCUCGAUUAUGGAGGUGGUAAAAGAGUUUUCCAUAAAGGGUUACGUCGAUGCAAACUUUGACACUAAUCUGGAUGACUCUGAGUAGUAGACCGGAUUCGUAUAGUAGAGCAGUUAUUUGGAAUAGUUCCAAAUACUGUGUGGUAGAUGCAUCUAGGAGAUGACAUAGAGAUUUGUAAAGCACACACGGAUCUAAAAGAUUCAGACCCAUUGACUAAUAACCUCUCUCACAAGCGAGAUAUGAUCAAACCCAAUGGGUGUUGGAUUCAUUACAAUCACAUAGUGAUGUGAACUAAAUUAUUGACUCUAGUGCAAGUGGGAGACUAUUGGAAAAUAUGCCCUAGAUCCUAAGCUUAGCACAAGAUCAUGUAGUUCGUUUGCUAAGAGCUUUUCUAAUGUCAAGUAUCAUUUCCUUAGACCAUGAGAUUGUGCAACUCCCUGAUACCAUAGGAAUGCUUUGGGUGUACCAAACGUCACAACAUAACUGGGUGGCUAUAAAGGUGCAGUACAGGUAUCUCCGAAAGUGUAUGUUAGGUUGGCACGAAUCGAGACCGGGAUUUGUCACUCUAUAUGACGGAGAGGUAUCUCUGGGCUCACUCGGUAAUGCAUCAUCAUAAUGAGCUCAAUGUGACUAAGUAGUUAGUCACGGGAUCAUGCAUUACGGAACGAGUAAAGUGACUUGCCGGUAACGAGACUGAACGAGGUAUUGGGAUACCGAUGAUCCAAUCUCAGGCAAGUAACAUACCGAUUGACAAAGGGAAUUGUAUACGGUAUUGAUUGAAUCCCCAACAUCAUGGUUCAUCCGAUGAGAUCAUCAUGGAACAUGUGGGAUCCAACAUGGGUAUCCAGAUCCUGCUGUUGGUUAUUAGCCGGAGAACGUCUCGAUCAUGUCUGCAUGGUUCCCGAACCCGUAGGGUCUACACACUAAGGUUCGGUGACGCUAGAGUUGUUAUGGGAAAUAGUAUGUGGUUACCGAAGGUUAUUCGGAGUCUCGGAUGAGAUCCCGGACAUGACGAGGAACCCCGGAAUGGUCCGAAGGUGAAGAUCGAUAUAUUGGAUGAAGGGUAUUGGUGUUCAGAAUUGUUCUGGGAGUACCGGGUUACGACCAGCGUGACCGAAAGGUGUUUCGGAGGCACCGACAAGCGUUGGGGGGCCUUAUGGGUCAAGGGGAGGGGGCACACCAGCGCACUAAGGGGCCGUGCGCCCCUCGCAACCCCUCUCAUGUAACCUGGAGAGGUGGGGGCGCCUCCUCUAGGGCAGCCGCCCCUCCCAGCUUGGGGGCAAGUUUCCUAGGGGUGGGGGCGCCCAAACCCAUCUAGGGUUUCCCCUGUGGCUGCCACCCCUCCCCUAGGGAACUCUAGGGCGCCUCCUCCACCCCCUUCCCCCUAUAUAUAGUGAGGGAGAGAGAGGGCAGCCGCACCCCUUGCCCCUGGCGCAGCCCUCCCCCUCUCCAACUCCACCUCCUCCUUAGUAGUGUUGGGCGAAGCCCUGUCAGAGAACUGCAAGCUCCACCACCAUGUCGUCGUGCCGCCGGAGAUCUCCCUCAACUUCUCAUCUCCCCUUGCUGGAUCAAGAAGGAGGAGACAUCCCCGGGCUGUACGUGUGUUGAACGCGGAGGCGCCGUCCGUUCGGCGCUUAGAUCGGAAUCGACCGCGAUCUGAAUCGCUGCGUGUACGACUCCACCCACCGCGUUCUUGUAACGCUUCCACAUCGUGAUCUUCAAGGGUAUGAAGACACACUCAUCCUAUCCCUCUAUUGUUUCUAGAAUCUCCAUAGAUUGAUCUUGGUGACACGUAGGAAAAUUUUCAAUUAUAGCUACGUUCCCCAACAAGGAAGUGCCUCCUUAUUGCGCACAAAAAAAUGAAUACCCCCUGCCAGCUGGGACCCACCAUAGUGGGAGGCUGACUUGUGGGCCUACUAAGUUUACGGGGAUGGAGGGCUUUGUCAACAUAGUCAAUAUGAACGAUUCUUGCUCCAGUGACCGUACGAUGUCCAUCCAAUGGCCAUAGUGCUUCUUCAACCUCUGGUCUUCUUGCUCCAGCCGCCCAAACCAGCACCGGUCGUGCAGCGUGCUCCAGCCUCCCGUGGCCGGCUGUGAUGCCGUGGAGUACUCACUCACACCCCUUGUUAUUCUAAGGCGACGGCAGCCUCACAUCACAGCUGAACUAGUGAACCCUCGUACUCCACUCCGCGUGGACUUCUACUGCCGCGUCUUCCCCGGAUCCAUGUCGUCCCCUUCCUAGGCCUCGUCGUCGUCCACUGCCCUGGUGCUCUCGGCGUGGCGUGGUCGACGCGUCAAGGAACGACUUCCAUCGAAAGAGUACUCUACGUGGAGAGGCUCGCAGCUGAGUCCAUGGCAGCCGCAAGGAAGUGCCUCCUUAUUAUGCGCAAAAUAAUUAUUCCUCUACCUGACAGCAGGGACCCACCGGACGGGCCACGGUAUUUCGCGAAAAAAAGUUUCCCCCUGACUGUUGGGACCCACCAGCUACAUCUUCGCACGCAAGGAAGUGCCUCCGGGCAAGAAAAAAACGAUUCGGCCCCUUGACUGCUGGGACCCACCAGCUAUAUCUUCGCAUGCAAGGAAGUGCCUGGCAGUCAGGACCCACCUGGUCAAAGUGUACGUAGCAUUGUCAUUCUGGUCAAGAACGUGUACGUACAUACUGGUCGAUCGGUCUGUUUGCAGGCUGCAGCGAUGAACCGUGACCGUGCAACAAAGGAAGGGCACGUGUUGUAGUAGAGGCGUGCAUGUAGCAUGUACACGUAUGUACAGCGGCCAGGGUGCAAGAAAUUAAAUACGGCCACGUAUGUACAUACACUACUAGGGAAAACGCUAUACACAGAGGUAUAGCAGUAGCGUUGGUCAAAACUCGGCGCUAGCGCUACUUAGUAGUAGCGCUUGUUGUAAAACCACACUACAACCAUUAUUUUAGCAGUAGCGCGUCUUCACAGAAAAGCGCUACUACUAAAAUUCCCUCACUAGUGCCGGUAGGAUAGGAAUAGUAGUAGCGGUUCUCCCAGAAGCACAAUACUGCUAAAAACAUUGUAGCAGCGCGUUUCUGUUGUAGAGCGCUACUGCUAUGUAAAAGAAAAUAAAUAGAAAAAUAAGUAGAAAAGUAAAUGAAAAUGAAAGAAAUAGAAAAGGAGAAAUGAAAAAAAGAAAAUGUAAAGAAAACAAAAGAAAAAGAAAAAGAAAACAGAAAGGGUUAGCUGUAGCGCGUUUCUCGGGAACACGCUAUAGCUAUCUUAGCUAUAGCGCGUAUCGGCAAAACGCGCUACUGCUAGUUUGACUCAAAUCCCAGCAGCCCGGGCUCAAAAUUUCGCUAAGUCCUUUCCCCCCCCUCUCUACUCCCCCUAUCCCCCAACUGCUCCAUCGCCGUCGUUGCCCUGCCGCCUUCGACCACACCACCACCGCCCGAGGCCGCCUUCGACCACACCGCCGUCGCCCGCCGCCUUCGACCACAUCGCCGUCGCCCGCCACCUUUGACCAUACCGCCGCCGCCCGAGGCCGCCCCCUUGACCUCACAGCCGCCGCCCGAGGCCGUCAUCGACCUCACUGUCGCCUCCCUCGAGCUCAUCACCGCCGCCCUCGACCUCACCGCCGCUGCCCGAGCUAGAGCCUACCCUCGCUGCCGAGCGUAAGGCUAUGCCUCUCCUGUCCCUACCCUCCUAUUUCUCUCUGCUAGGGCAAUUAUAUAAAUGUUGAUACUGUAUUGAUGUUCGUAUGAACCCUAGGUGUUCAUAUGAACCCUAGAUUUUUUUAGGGCAGUAGGCAUUUUAUAGCAUUUAGGAAAAAUGAUUAGCAAUUUUUUUAGGAAAUUAGCUAGGGCAAUUUUUAUGAAAAUUCCUAAACAGUAAUUCCAUUUAGCUUUAAACAAAUAGAGGGUAUAUAAAUAAUAGUAGCAUUUAGAUUUAAAUUAACGGAGGGUAUAAACAAAAAACACUUAGCUAUAAAAAAAUAUUUUGACUACGGACCUGAAUUUGUUCCAAAUUUCAUUCAAAUGAAAUUUGACUUAUUUGGACUAUGGACCUGAAUAUUUUUGAAGAAAUUGGGUGUAGGUACUAAGGUCUUGCUGUGGAAAUUUUGGUGAGGUCAAAAGGGUUAGAGAAAAUGUAGUUCCUAGACAUUUAGCUUUAGACAAAAAACAAAAGUAUUUAGCUAUAAAUAAAAAACAGUAGCUAUGGCAUUUAGCUAUAAACAAAAAAUAGAAUUGUUUUUCUUUUCAAAAACUUAGUCAAAUAGAACAGUAGCUAUGACAUUUAGAUAUAUGUCCUUGAUGUUCAUUUGCAUAUUCCAUUAUUGUUGAUUAUAUCUUUUCAUUGAGGUGGACAUGUUAUAUGCAAAUUCCUCAAUAGUGUUUGCUCAUGUUAUAUCUUUUCAUUGAAGUUGUUCGAUUGUGCCCAAGUGGCUUUGUUGUUUCCAGGGAAUGAUGCUGAGUGGCCUAUGUUUUGCCAGAAUGUUGAUUCGUUUUUGUUCCGGAAAAUUUUAGGUUCUCGAAUUGUCCACUUUUUAGCAAAGGUCAUGCCGAAAUUUUCCGUGAAUUUCGGCAUGACUUGUGCUACGAACUAGGACAUAUCGAGUGCCCAGGAUUUGCCGCACUAGGAAGGAGUCAACAUUCCUACAAAACAAUAGUCCUUUUUUAUGUCAUUAUUCAUUUUAUUAGGUCUAGAAUUAAUUGACUAGAUUUAAUCAUAGGAAACAUGGCUAGCAACGAUGAAGGAUAGGGUUCUGGUGAUUGCGACGACGUCUACCGGGCGGCAGACGAAUUUUUUAGCCUUACCGACGAUCAACCGAUGUUGUUGCUAGCCCCACCGGUGGGAUCGGGGACUAAGACCAACACGCAGACCGGUGCUGAGACUGAGACCGGCGCUGAGAUUCAGACCGGCAUCGAGACCGGCGCUGAGACCGGUGCUGCCUCGGGGAGCGGAGCCGGUGUAGAACCGAAAACAAAGAGGCAACGGGUUCCUAACAAACUCAGGACUACUAGACUGGUGGUCACGGAGGUGGACGACGGCAAUUUUGAGCCAAAGGCGCCCGAGGAAGCGCGCGCGUGCUACGACAAUCAAAUAGGCUGCAUCGUACGGACAACUGCCGCAAUCAACGAUGAGAAACUAUAGAAGAUAGAAAAUAUGAGGAGCUCCCUCCUAAAGAAGUUUCACCAGAUAUUCUUGUUCCCAGGCCGGAAUGAGAAGGAUUAUGAAGAUCCAGACGAGGACCCGGCAAUGAAGAAGAUAAACAAACACGCCAUGACCAAGUUUAGCGACGCGUUGGCCGCCUGGAAAAAUUGAGUGAAAGCAAAGAUCAACGACAAGGAACCCUACUCCGAGAUUGUAAAGGAUAAUUGGACAAUCACGGAAGAGCAGUUUGAAAUAUUCAAGGAGGCUUGCGAGGCCGAAGCUGCCAAAAAAGUCUAAGUACAUGAAGGGGCUUCAAAAGAGGAACAUUGGGAGCCACCACCUCGGAAGUCGUGGUUAUGGCAGAAAGAGGUCCAAAUGGGCCAAGGAGGACGCGGAAGCCGCGAGUCUAGGCAUCCCAGACCCCUUGGCGGAUUUCACCUUCCCGCAGGAGCGUGACGUCCUGAGGGCCCGACACCGUUGGGACCCAGUGAAGAAGGUUUACGAGAAAACACCGGUCAUUACGGAGUUCAUGAGACUGUUGGUAAUUUUAGUUUCUGAUCAAUUCGACUGCACACGUUAGUCAUAUUUGUAAACGAUCCUUGUGCCUUUUGCAAAGAGAGUAGCACCGAAUUGCGGCCGAAAGCGACUCGUCGUAUGAGGCAUUGGUGAGGCCCAAGUGGGACACUCAAUUCAAGCGGGCGUUGAACAUAUUGAAACGACAACCGGUGGAUACUCGACCGUCGUAUGGACGCGUGCACGAUGUCGGAGACGGCGCCACGUGGAAGAAGUACUACCGUGAGACCACGGAGGAGAGAAAGGAAAGACGGAGAUUAACUGAACAAAACAUCGACAAGAAGGUUGAGAUUGCGGUUGAGAAGAAAUCAUCUCAGACAGUCGCAACAGCGGUAGCUGCCGCAAAACAGGCGAUUGCAGAUAUGUCUACUUCCUUGGUGACUGGCGUUUUCACUUGGACAAGGCAAAAUCCAGAAAAAAAUGCAGAUGACUUUCCCCUUGCUGACUUCUUGGGAGCACCUGCUCCCGCACCGGCUCCCGCACCUGCUCCCGCACCGGCUCCCGCACCUACUCCCGCACCGGCUCUCGCACCGGACGUGCUCGGUGGUGCCUCCUCUUUGGCUGAGCUCGACGCCCUCACGUUAUCUGUCACACAGGCCCCUUCAAUAUAAAUGUAUAAUCUCCUGUUUUCAUUGCCUUUCGGAUGUCUCACAUCGCAGACUUUUCUUUGCAGGCCGACGAAACCCCGUGCACCAUAUUAUACACCAUCGGCGAACAGAAGGUGGACGUGGGGAAGGCAACGAUAAUGGAGCCGAAGGAACCAUUGUUCCACAGCCGGCCGAUCCCCCCGAACGUCUUCAAGGUUUCCGUGGCCAGUGUCAAACCGGGCCACGAGAAUUUGCCUCCUCUUAUACUAGUGGGGGAUGACGACGAGACCCCGUGGCGGCUUGGUAAUUGUUGCAAUGGGUGGGUCCUGUUGUGGCCAAAGAGUCUGCUUCGUCUGGAGGCGGCCGGGAGCACACCCACGAGCAUGCAGCCUCAGCAAGGUAUGAACAUCAACACCCCACCUACGCAAUUAGCGUCGAGUGUCGGGUUGGGUGAUAGCGGACGGGGUAAGGAGGAGGCUCCAUUAGUCGCUGGUAACGUCGCCAUGGAUGAGGAUGAGGAUGACGAUGGCGCUAAACAAUAUGUCUAUACUGGCGCCUCCUCAGGGUUUGAGCGUCAUGAGUUGGUGCCUGAAUUACCGUCUCAACGUAUUAUUGACGACCUUCCGGUAGUAAAGAAGUCUAGGAAGAGAGCGAGGAAAGGCAAAAAAUCUGAUUCUAUGAUCCAGCCGCCUCAGCAGCCUCGGCUUCAGGACCGUAUAGAUAUCCCCGAUGCGGAUAAAUGGCAUAUCCCCGGUCAACCAAUCCUACCUGCAACAGCGCUACGGGCCAGAUUCGGGAUCUAAGGAGACUUCAUGAUGAUGUGCUGCGGGUAGAGAAAGGCCUCAUCGCCUCGAAAGAUCCAGGAUACCCACUCUACGUGGUUAACGUUCUGCGGCAAAUGUCGUACGUCGACAGCUUCCCUGCGGAUAAGUUCUUCCUCCGAUUCAAUUACAUAUUCGACAUGUUUCACGUGAAGAAGCUGGAUUUUACGUUUGUCCGCCUUUAUGCCUUGCACAUGAACUACAUCAUUGGGGUUGAGCAGAUACGUCAUAUCUGUGUCGCUGACCCGUACUACAUGCACGAGGGCUUCUUGGGAGUCUGUGCAGAGCAGCGUGAAUACGCGAGGGAUUACAUCGUCAGUUUCAUGCUCUCUAAUAAGGACAAGGAGGCAAUUCUCGUGCCUUAUCAUCCCAUGUAAGUCAUCCGUGCUGCUAUCCUUCCUUUGAUUUCAAUAAUUCAUUUGCACGGUGGAGGCUAAUUAAUUUGAGGUGUACUUAUUUUGCACAGCGGCGGACGUGCCGUUCUCAUCAUCCUCUACCCCCGAUUCUCCCACGCUCUUUACUUGGACUCAUCGAAGAACAUUCACAAAAAGGAUUACACCCACAUCAAAGAUGUUCUCGACAGUGCUAUGUUUUAUUACCAAGCAAGGGGUGGAGAGAUUAGGGACAAGAAGAGAAGGGGCGGCAGGGCCGCCUUCAGCCAUAAGACCAACUUCUGCUGCAUCCAGCAACCGAACGAUUCUCUUAAUGAUGGAUUCUAUGUCCUACACCACAUGCUGGAGUACAGACGGGAUCACCAGAACCUUCACAUGUAACCUAGAUCUGGUGAUGCCCAUAUUCUGCAAUGGGCAAAGGACAUAGGAGAUAUCGAGGAUCAUCGACUUCGAACUGAGUUCUAUAACAUCCAGCCCGAACUUGCCCAAAUCAUCAUGAAGGAGGUCACCGGAAAAACAGGGAUGUUCUACGGAGAAGGACAAAUGUCGCAGGAAGACGUCCAAACAUGGAUAGCCUCUCAGCGUCUCGACAUGAAGCCUUUCACUAAGCUCGAGGACUAUCUCCCUGACAUGGAUGGAUGGCACGACAUGAUGGAGUGAUUGUCGAUAUAUGACAAUGUGUCCGUUUAGUCCAUACUAUCUGUAUGACAAAACUUUGAGUUAUGCACAGUGAAACUUUAUUUGUGAUAUAAUUAAACCGUCCUCCUCCUCGACUAGCGAAAAUCACUCUAGUUAGGGCUUUUGGGGUACGAUGAACUUUGUUAUUUAUGCUUAUGAUAUGUUGUUUCUAUUUUUGCCAAGUCUGUCUCUUUCUGUUGCUCAACUAUAUAUGUUGCAUAUCAUCGACUCAUGUGAUGAUGCAGGUGCAUAGAUCAUAGACAGCGAAGAAGUGCUACGCCAGGAGUAUAUAUAUGACAAGUGGCCGGAGUGUCAGGCCCAGGUGUACCGGUUUCCGGUUUCCGAGCGAUAGGCAGUAGUUAGUUUAGGUUCACGCUAAUGCGAGAGAGGGAUACGAACUCAUGUACUCCAAAGUGAUAGCUCUUCUCGCGUAUAUCAUUGUUUAGAUGGAUGAUGGUGUAUUUGCAAGUAAUCGAGACUUGUAUCACCAUUUUCGAGAUUUAUGACGAGACACCACUUUGUGUUGGAUGAUGAUUAUGAUGAUGACAUGAUUUGAUGAGACUAAUUGUAUGUAUAUGCUAUGAUUUCAUUUGUAUGUGUAUGAUAUGCUAAAGAUUAUUCUAUAAAGCCUAUUCAAAUACAAAACAAAUACAAAACAAAAAAGCAGGAAAAAAACUAAUAAAACUAGUAGUAGCGAGGGGGAAAAUUUAGCAGUAGCGCCGCCUUACCAGUAGCGCUUCCAUGUAAACAGCGCUGCAGAUAAUAUCAGUAGUGCACUUUUCUAAAGAGCGCUACAGCUAUUCAUGUAUAGCAGUAGCGUGGGACAACAGGCGCUACUGCUAUACGUUAGCUGUAGCGCCUUAUUAGUAGCACCGGUACCCGCGCUACUGAGAGGCCCAAAACACGCGCUGCUGCUAGGCUUUUCCCUAGUAGUGAUACGGGCUGGGUCUCAAACGCCUACUUGUGCAUACGUACGGUUAGGGCUCGUGUACAUGGCUGUUUCGGAAUGGAGAAACUGCAUCUUCGUCGUGUUCAUGGGGAGGCAACCGGCUGGGUCGGGAUGGAAUGCGUCAUCGUGUUCAUCGGGAGGGCUUGGAUGGAACAGCCGAUGGAAACGCGGCCUGGCGUACCACAGAACAGAGAAAACGGCCUUGUGUUUGACUGGCCACGGUCGAAACAGGAUCAUGUUCAUCAAGAGGGGUCUGGCGUACCGCAAAACAGAGGAAACGGACUUAUGUUGGACCUCCCACGGUCGAAACGGGGUCCUGUUGAUCGGGAGGGGUGUGGCGUACCGCAAAAUGGAGGAAACGGACUUGUGUUGGAGCACUACGGUCGAAACAGGGGUCCUGUUCAUUGGGAGGGGUGUGGCGUACCGUAAAACGGGACUCCACAGGAUACUGUUCAUCUCCAUCGUCGUCCUCCUCCAGCAUCCACGGGCUAAUGUUCAUCCACUGUCGACCUCCUAAAGCCUCCACCUGCGACUGUUCAUCCACGGGAUCUUGUUCAUCCAACCUCCACCGCGCUCCUCCACCGGCUACUGUUCGACCAGCCUCUCCAUGGGGUCCUUUUCAACCACCCCUUCACGGGCUACUAUUCAUCCAGCCCUGCACCGGCUACUGUUCAACCAGCCCUCCACGGGGUCGUCCUGUUCAUCCAGCCCUCCACGGGGUCCUGUUCAUCCACCCCAACCGGCUCGACCGGGGUCCUGUUCACCAGAGGCAACACCACAGGGUCCUGUUCAUCCACCCCCACCGGGAUCUGUUCAUCCAAACCAUCCCCCAACAACGCUCACUGUUCAUCACGGGAAGGAGGCAGUGUCGCGACCGGUUUUUCAAUAAAAGCUUAUUGAGCAACCGACCUUUAUAUAGACCAGUAUAGGAAAAUCCUCCUUACUGGUAGACAAAUCCUUGAUACAGAAAUCCAGUAGUACUAAAUAUUAUACAGGGUUGAGCUGAGGUUGCUCAACAAUUUAUUACAAGCACGCCAAUAUUUUACAUACGGGCGGAUAUGACACAAGGGUGUGGUGGCAUACUACUGACUCGCAACAAAAGUGGGGGGGGGAUAUGUCACAGUGGUUUGGAGAACAAGACUCCUAAUCUUGCAGCUCAUCGAGCGUCGAAGUGAGGCCCGAUGAAUUUAUUUGGGUAGCGGAAGCGGAUAUAAUACAAUUGACCAAAUCCAGGAUCGCACGAGACUGACUGGGACUCCUCUAGGCGUCGGACUCGCUAUCAUACUCUUCAUCCAUGAGAUCGCCUUCGUCAACAUCUGGCCAAAUCAACAAGCCAGGUGAGUACUUUGAAUGUACUCGCAAGACAGUUCGGACAUAAGAUAUAACAAAUGCAAACAUGAUGCACGAUGAGCAGUUAGCAAUGCACACUCAAACAAUAAAUUUGCACGGCAUGUAGAAUAAAAAGGAGGUCAGGCGGUAGUCCUCCCGAAAUCCCCAUAAAAUAACUGAAACCCGGUCGGGUGUCUGAAGCGACGCCUCGAAAGGUGAAGUAAAUAAAUUAACAUGUCGCAGUCGGGCGUCUGGGCGACACCACAAAAAGGGCUUAUAUUGAAAAGUAAAUGACAGUGCGUGCCACAGUCGGACGUCUAUGCGACAUCUCGAAAAGGGCUUAUAAUGAAAGUAAAUAACAGAGAUGCCACAGUCGGACGUCUGAGCGACAUCUCGUAAAGGGAUUAUAAUGAAAAUAAAUAACAAAGAUGCCACAGUCGGACGUCUGAGCAACAUCACAUAAAGGGCUUUUACUGAAAGUAAAUAACGAGAGUGCCAUAGUCAGACGUCUGAGCGACAUCACAGAACGGAAUUAUAUUGAAAGUAAAUAACAAGAGCGCCACAGUCGGACGUCUGUGCGACAUCACAGAAAGGGCUUAUAUUUCAUCAUUCAUAUUCAAUAAAUCCAUGAAGAUAUAUCACUCACAGGAAAUACUCAGCACAUAAUAAUAAACGGGUUAGUCCAUCCACAGGAAUAAUCAUUUAGCCGGACUUAACACUCAUGUUUGUACACCAGAGUUUUGUCACUGAGACUGACACUGACGAAGAUAAGUUGAACACAGUCGAUGACCAAGAUACGGUUACUUGAAUGAUUUUGACUCUGCAGAGUUUGUACUAUUUAACCACAGCCAACGGAUUUCAGUAGUCACGAAGGACUAGUUCCGUUUAUGGUACUUCAGCAGAAACAUAUCUAACCAGUACACACCCAUUUUCCACCUCACGAUGCCAGGAAUCACCCUAGGCAACGUUCAAGAAAAACUUUGAGACGGGGAGGCUACAGCCUCGAAUAGCAUGGGAUCAAAUUUAUAUACGCGCGCUCUAAGGGGUGCCCCCCUCUCGGUCCCAACCGGAAACACCCAUGCUCCCUGACCGGAUGACUGGAUUUAAUCCAGGGCCAUGGAACCCUCAUCACGGCCUCUCUAUUUGGUGUGUACAAGGAAAGUGGUUUGCAACUUACUAAACCAUAUUCUUUUCAGAAAACAUGUGGCAGCACAAAAAGAAAUGGAUGGUAACGUGACUUUAUCCACGUUGACACUGGAGUUAAAUGGUCUGGCAUAAGACUGGCAUGCUUCAACACUGCCAUCUUACCACCUCUCAUGUCACCACAUGAUCAUGUAAACUCACAUCAAAAUGAUAUGGAGUUUCGAAGCUCACUUGCAUUAGCUCUACAAGCAAUAUAACACUUACUGCAAUGCAUAUAAACAUGCCAUGAACUAACUACCCAAUGUAAACAUGCAAAACACUCAUCAUAUCAAAGGUUCAAACAUGCUUGCCUGGUUCAGAGGAGUCAGAGUCUAGCUCGGUGAAGUUUGUGGUUCCGUCACCUCCUCCGGUAUCUAUGGUAUAAAGAAAAAUACGUACUAUCGUAAAUACCGUGUGUGCACAAAAAGUGCUCCAAAUAUUUUUCAAAUAAAUCUGAUAAAAAACUAGACAGAAAAAUAAAAGUGACAGAAAAAGAACCAAUCAAAAACUUUUUUCUAUUUGAAACUUAUUAGGGUUUUAGCCCAGGGACUUGUCUAUAAUGAAACAGAAAGUUUCCAGGGGGCAUAACAAAAAAAGACAGAAAAACUUUUCAGAUCAAAAGCGUAUUUUGCCCGAAGGCACUAUCCAAAAAAACGGUUCGAAUAGAAAUAAAUGGCUGACGAGGGGGUCCCACUCAUCAGGUUUAAAAGUUGGAGGGAGAAAACAGAGCGCGCCGGUGCCCGAAGGCUGCGGUGGUCGCCGGCGGCGAUCCACGGCGAGUUAGGAAGAGUGGAUGGUACCUACGGGUUCCUAGGGCUCUUCUGCACCUGUGGGUGGUGAAGUUGGUCGUCGGUGAGCUCCACGUCGACGGUGGCCUUCACUCCGAUAGAUGGCGGCUCGGGCGUUGAUGGAUCUCGCCGGGGAGGGCUGCAAGCUUCAAAUUGGGGCGUGGGUCAGUGUACUGGGUGCACCAGAGGGCUGCUGAUGUGGUUUGGGAGGCGGGGGUGGCCUCACCUGAGUGGAUUGAGCUAGAGCACGAGGCGGAUCGGGGCGGCCGGAGACGGAGGAGAAGACCUCUUCGGGGUCCUCCUGGUGUCUUGGCGGGGCUCUCGUGAGGUGGUGGGAGUAGUGCUGGUCGAAGGAGAGCUCGGGGUGGCUAUUUAUAGCUGGCCCGUGGCAGUUCCUGCGAACGGGAUAACGCCGGUGAAGAUUACGGUGAGGCAGUGGGUGGUCAGGUGGUUUAGGUGGCUGGGCAUCAGCGUGUUGAUCCACUACUUUCAUUCAGACGCUAACCUCGGUUGAAUUAGGCUUGCUUUGUGGUUUCUACAGAACGGCGCUUCACAGGCCCGCUGGUGGCAGAGAGCGCGCCCUAUGCUCGCCAGGCCACGGCGAUGGUGCUGCGGUGCGCGAAGAGGAGCAGACGGCCACGCGGAGGCCUCUGGUGGUUUGGGCGGUGCUGGACGGCGCAGAAAGCUGCAGCUGCAGCCUGCCGGCCGCCAUGGGUGGCUCUGCCACCGCAGAAGUUGCCGGCGUCGGUGAGGCACGCCGCCACCGACACCUGCGCCCGUCCAAGAGAGCGUGCGACACUCUGGAUAAGAAGGAGAAGUAGUGCGCAAGGCGCCAGCGUGCACUGGUGAGAUCGACACCAAGUCUCUGAAGAAAACAACACUAACUGUCGAACUGAAUCAUUGGAUUUCUGAACCCGUAUAGUAACAGUGCAGGCCAGGUGUUCGAUGAAAUGAUUUUGGCAUGUGGGUAAUUUAUCUGGAGCUGAUCUUUGGUGAGGUGGCCUCUCAUUGCACCUAGGGGCUUCCUGAUUUUUGGUAGAAUUUUUGGAGAAGAGAAAAUAUGAAUUUCACCAAAAAUGAUGAAUCUGGUCCAAACUUGCAGUGAGCAAAACUUGAAAAUUUUGAAUUGUGGAAGAGUGGAUCUUGAUGGAUCUAGGUUGAGGGUGCUAAGGACCAGCUAGAGGAGUUGUCUUGAGAUCAAAACUCACAAUAAAUUUGGUACUUCCUUUGUAAAUCACCUAUGUCCAAAAUAAAAGGCAGAAAUAGUUUUAGGGUAAAAAUAAAUGAAAUAAAAAUCAAAAGUGAGUUGAACAUGCCGGGGUUGGCUACUUGUCUUGACCCAAAGUGGAGGGAGGUGUUUUGGAGGAAAAUUUUAACAAGAGGCAUGGUGAAAGAGGAUGGUUGAAAUAAAAGGAAUAAAUCCAAAACCCUAAGGAUUUCUUUUUAAAAGAAAAACUUUCAAAAUAAAUUGUGAUGAGUCCACACCAAUGAAAAGCCUUCAAAACCAAACAUCAAGGUUGAGGAUGAUCAAAAAUAAAAGUUUUGACAUCAGAGAAAAUAUUUGAGAAGGAGAGUCUUUUUAAAGGAUUUUGAGUGGCCUCCUUCAAAUCAAAUAAAGAGUUUGCUGAAAACCAAAUGAAAGUUUUUGGAGUGUCACAACAACUACCCCCUUAGGAAAAAUCUCGUCCCCGAGAUUUCAGCUGAUCGUCAAAUAGGUGUGGGUGCUCUAUCCGAAGAAAAUCCUCUCUUUCCCAUGUUGCUUCAUUCUCGGAGUGAUUGCUCCACUGAACUCUGAAAAACUUGAUUGUUUUUUGACGGGUUCUCCUUUCAGACUCUUCCAAUAUUUUUAUUGGACGUUCCCUGUAGGUGAAGUCUGGUUGCACGUCAAUGUCUUCAUGGGAUACAUGCUUCUCUGGGUGCUUACGCACUUCCUCAACUGUGAUACGUGGAACACGUCGUGGACGUCUGACAAUUCUUCGGGUACGUCUAGCUGGUAGGCUACUCUGCCUCUUCGUGCAACUACACAGAAUGGUCCGAUGAAUCUUGGUGCUAGCUUUCCCUUAACCUUGAAUCGUUGUAGGCCCCUCAUAGGGGAUACACGCAAGUACACAUACUCACCGGGUUCAAAACUGACUCCAUGAUGUUUUCGAUCAUAAUAACUCGUUUGUCGGCUUUGAGCUAUCUUGAGUCGGUCCCUGAUUAGCCUGACAUUCUCCUCGGCUUCUUUGAGCAUGUCUGGGCCGAAGAUACGGCUGUCUCCGGUCUCUGACCAAUUUAGUGGGGUACGACAUCUAUGCCCGUACAAGGCUUCAAAGGGUGCCAUUUGUAGGCUGGCUUGUUAACUGUUGUUGCAUGCAGACUCUGCAUAUGGCAAGCUUUCUUCCCAACUGGUUCCAUAAGUGAGGACACAUGCCCUCAGUAUGUCUUCUAGAAUUUGGUUCACCCGUUCAGUUUAUCCAUCUGUCUGGGGGUGGUAUGCUGUACUGAAUGCUAGUUGGGUCCCCAGAGCCUGUUGUAGGUGAUCCCAAAAUCUAGAGACGAAUUGUGUGCCUCUGUCAGAAAUUAUAGUCUUUGGAACUCCAUGAAGACAGACGAUACGGGAGAAGUAAAGCCUGGCAAGCUUCUGAGUGGUGUGGGUUGUCUUCACCGGGAUAAAGUGUGACACCUUAGUCAGUCUAUCUGUGAUGACCCAUAUGGCAUCAUUUCCGUGUCGUGACCGAGGUAGUCCAACAAUAAAGUCCAUUCCAAUCUCGUCCCAUUUCCACUCGGGUAUCUUGUUUGGCUGUAAUAGUCCGGCUGGUUUCUGUUGCUCGGCCUUGAUGGGUUGACAUGAAUCACAAUAUGCAAUGAACGUGGCUAUGUCCCUCUUCAUACCGUGCCACCAAAAUUUUUCCUGAAGGUCCUUGUACAUUUUUGUUCCUCCAGGGUGGAUUGAAUAAAGAGCGGUGUGGCCCUCAGCUAGAAUUUGUUGUUUAAGGUCUUCUAUAUUUGGAAUGCAAAUCCUAUCUCCGUACCACAAUAUUCCCUUAUCAUCCAUGACGAAUUCUGAGGCCUUGCCCAUACUCACUUUUCUUCUUAUUCCUUCGAUGCUGGGGUGUCCAUGCUGAGCCUCCUUGAUCUGCUCUAUCAGGUUGGGCUGUACUUCCAAAUUUGACAUACUGCCUUCAGUGACCAUUACCAAGUUGAGUUUGGCAAACUCCUGCUGAAAUUCUGGUCCCAAAUAUGGUAGGAUGUCGUUGCCCGAGCUGGGGUUUCGACUCAGAGCUUCCGCCACUACAUUUGCUUUUCCUGGAUGGUAGUAAAUGCCAACAUCAUAAUCCUUCACUAAUUCCAACCAGCGUCGCUGCCGCAAAUUGAGUUCUGGUUGUGUGAAAAUAUACUUGAGGCUUUUAUGGUCCGUAUAUAUUUCACAGCGGUUUCCAAGCAAGAAGUGUCUCCACUCCUUGAGUGCAUGGAUGACUGCUACCAAUUCCAGGUCAUGAGUGGGAUAAUUCUCUUCAUGCAUCCGUAGUUGCCUGGAAGCGUAGGCAACUACCUUGCCUUCUUGUAUUAAUACGCAUCUGAGGCCCUUUUAGGAUGCGUCACAAUACACUUCAAAGCUUUUGUGUAUGUCGGGCACAACCAAUACUGGUGCUAUUGUCAGUUUCCUUUUGAGUUCUUGGAAACUUUUCUCGCAGGCUUCGGUCCAUACAAAUUUUUUAUCCUUCUUGAGCAACUGGGUCAUUAGUUUUGCUAUGGUGGAGAAUCCUUCAAUAAAUCUUCGGUAAUAUCCUGCCAUUCCCAAGAAACUUCGUACAUCCGUUACGUUGGCUGGUGGUUUCCAGCCAAGUACGGCCUUGACCUUUUCCGGGUCUACGGCAACACCUUCGUGGGUAAGUACGUAGCCUAGAAAUCCGACCUGUCUUAACCAAAAUACACAUUUGCUGAACUUGGCGUACAACUGAUGUUUCCUUAGUUCUCCCAGUACAAUCCUGAGAUGCUCAGCAUGCUCUUCUGGUGUCUUGGAGUAUACCAGAAUAUCGUCAAUGAAUACCACAACAAAUUUGUCCAUAAAUUUCAUAAAUACUUUGUUCAUGAGGUGGACAAAAUAUGCCGGGGCAUUCGUCAGUCCAAACGGCAUUACUGUAAACUCAUAUAAUCUGUAUCUUGAGGUAAAUGAUGUCUUGGGAAUAUCCUCUGUCCGUACUUUUAAUUGAUGAUAUCCCGACCGCAAAUCAAUUUUUGAGAAGACUUUGGCUUGUGCGAGCUGGUCAAAUAAGUCAUUUAUCCUUGGCAUGGGAUAUUUGUUUUUGAUGCUGACCAUGUUGAGUGCUCGAUAGUCUAUACACAAUCUUAGUGUCCCAUCCUUUUUCUUGGCAAAUAAUACUGGUGAACCCCAAGGUGAGGAGCUGGCUCGUAUAAAUCCUUUGUCCAGUAAUUCCUUUAUUUGCUUCUUUAAUUCUAUCAACUCGGAGGGUGCCAUUCUAUAGGGAUUCUUGUAAAUGGGGGUGGUUCCAGGUGCUAGCUCAAUGAUAAAUUCUAUUUCCUGGUCUGGCGACAUGCCUGGUAGUUCCUCGGGAAAUACGUCAGGAAACUCACAUACCACUAGAACUUUGCUUAUCUCUGAGAUGUCGACCUUGUUCAACCUUGGUUGUCGUGACAUUUGCCUUUCUUGAGCUGAAAUCUUUAUUGUCUUCCCGUGAUGAUGGGUGAGAAUCACAGUCCGAUUGAAGCAGUCAAUAAAUCCUUUGUUGGUGGUUAACCAGUCCAUUCCUAGGAUAACAUCCAGUCCCUUAUUUUCCAACACAAUGAGGUUUGCAUGAAACUUUAGUCCUUCAAGAUCAAUAACCACACCUUGGCAGUAAUUCUGAGUAACUUACUUAAUCCUAGGGGACUUGAUGAUCUUGGAUUUUUCCAAGUGAAGCAUCGAAAAAUCAUUUUGCAAAGCAAAUCUCUUUGAAAUGAACGAGUGAGAAGCUCCAGAAUCAAACAAAACCGUGGCAGGUAUUGUGUUGACAGGGAACGUACCGAGUACGAUAUCCAGGGCAUUCUGUGCUUCCUCUCUGGUCACGUGGUUCAAGUGACCCUUCUUGUGAUUGUUACUGGGGUUGAAAUUGUUCCGCUUGGGCAUUGAAUUGUUGCCACCGUUGUUCGGCUUGGGGGGCGAGUUUCUUGGCUUGGGACACUGCUUGGCAUAGUGUCCUUCUUCUCCACAAGCGUAGCAAGAAGUAACGCCUAGACGAUAUGUGAACUCCUUGUCCCUUGCAUGGAAAUUCUUGAUUGGGCGUGAAACAUUGGUCGUGGGUUUGGAUGCCCCACCCUUCUGAAAUUCCGUCUUGCUCCGGUGGUUGCGAGCAAGUGUAGUCUGGUCUCUUUUGCGCUUGCGAAAAUCCUCCAAGCUGCGGCGUUCAUUUUCCAAUGUAAUAGCCUUAUCCACCAGUGUUUUGAAAUCUGGGAAGGUGUGUACGACCAACUGGCAUUUAAGCAUGGGUGCCAGACCAUCCAGGAAUUUUUCCAUCUUCUUGUUUUCAGUCAUACGUUCUUCGUCGGUGUAGCGAGACAAUAGAGUAAACUGACUGUUGUAUUCGGUCACCAUCAUGGUCCUCUGCUUGAGGUCAUCAAACUCCCUCUUGUUGAGCUUCAUAAUACUUCUGGGGAUGUGUGCCCCAUGAAAACCUUCUUUGAAUUCCUCCUAGGUUAUCCCAUUUUCAUUGGGGUGCAUGUGUAGGAAAUUUUCCCACCAUGAGGCAGCCGCUCUAGUGAGAUAGUGCAGUGCAUAUAGUACUUUCUCGCGGUGUAAACACUGUGCAAUAAUUAAUUUCCUCUCCAUGUCUCGAAGCCAAUCAUCGGCCUCAAGAGGUUUGUCAGUGUGCGAGAACGUUGGGGGACGUGUCUUUUGUAGUUCUGAUAACUUGGAUUGCUGCUGAUACGGUCCGCGGUGAUUUCCCAUAUUAAUGACUUGGUUCAUCAUUUCUUGAUGUUGUUACUGGCUUUGUUCAAAAAGGCGGCAUACUUGAGAAAAUGCGACAUCACUACCUUGCUGACUUGAUUGUCCUUGUGCAAAGUUGUUGCUUCUCUACGUACCAUAAUUCUCUUCUGGCGGACUUGGCAUGGAGCGAGUCCACGGACGAGGCAUUUUCCACUCUAGGUAUUCUUUUUGUAAAAAUUUGUGAGAAAAGCUGUGAGGCAGAAUAAAUAAUUUUUGCAAAACAAAGAAAAAAUUAAGAACUCCAACAUUUUUCAAAAAAAGAUUUGAUUGCACACGGAGAAGGACCGCUCAGUACAUAUCUUACACGCAAGCAUAAUUAUACAAUACAUCACUCAGGAUGUGCGUACACAUUCCUGACAUGUUAUUAAGGCUAGUGCACUUCUCCCAGUUCCUACAUGAUGCGCAUACAGACUACUUCUCACAACCUAUAUACAUAUAAACAUAUCAUACAAGCGGACACACUGCACGGCUGCUAGGCGCACUCAGUCGAAGAUGGUGAGGAUUUCCCUUGGCCUGUGAAGGGUAAGGUCCAGUGGCGGUGGAGACUCAACCUCUUCCUCAAUAAUAGGCUCCAGACGUGAAGCACUGAGCUGUGGAGCUGGAACGGGUGCGGUAGGUGGUGCAGCUCUGACUGGAGUAGGGGUGAUGACUCGGUCAAAUUCUUCAGGAGUAGGCAGGCGGCGAGAUGUGGCGAGGGUGGCAGGUGUGUGGGAUGCCGAGGACGAGAUGUAAUCCAGUGGUGGAGAUGUAUGGAGAAGCUCCCUCCUGUUGGCGAAAUAGCUGUGCACAACGGACAUGCGAGCAACCACGAGAUCGUCCACAAGGUUAUCAAAAGCGGCCUCAAGCGCCUUGAGAUAUUCAACCAGCAUCUCAAUAACCUCAUCCGUUUCUCCUCUAGGGCAAGCAAAAUGCAUAGUGGCAUGUGUAUGACACGUGGCAGGGGGUAGCGGUAGCGACGAGUCUUCAUAGAAGGAAGAAAAUCCCGAAGACGAGCUAUUGCCUCACGGGCAGCCAUCUGCAUAGCAUGCCUCUCCGUAGGCAUGGCUCUUCCCACAAACCGGAAGCGGCGAAACUCAACACGCCCUCCCUUCAAUUGCACCGUGGCCUGGUGCAUGGACAGACCAUCGUUGAUCUUGUGCUAGUAGAGUGUGAACUCUGGACGACUCGAUGGCCCGAUCGUGAUUUUGACGAUGAAGGUGAGGAGCUUGACGAACCCCUCAUGUACGUUGGCGAACACCUGCGACUCAUAGUCGUUGCCAGCCAUGUACAAAACUAGGCAAAAAUUCUGAAUGGUCAGAUCAUAAAUUUAUGCUGACUGUCAGAAAAUGACUACAUUUGCAAAAUAUUAAAAUAGCACUAAUUAUGCUAAUAACCGAUUAGCGAUCGCACCUAGUGGCUUCCUAUAAACAGCCUGGCUCUGGUACCAAGUUUGUCAAUAAAAGAUUAUUGAGCAACCGACCUUUAUAUAGACCAGUAUAGGAAAAUCCUCCUUACUGGUAGACAAAUCCUUGAUACAGAAAUCUAGUAGUACUAAAUAUUAUACAGGGUUGAGCUGAGGUUGCUCAACAAUUUAUUACAAGCACGCCAAUAUUUUACAUACGGGCGGAUAUGACACAAGGGUGUGGUGGCAUACUACUGACUCGCAAUAAAAGUGGGGUUGGAUAUGUCACAGUGGUGUGGAUGACAAGACUCCUAAUCUUGCAGCUCAUCGAGCGUCGAAGUGAGGCCCGAUGAAUUUAUUCGGGUAACAAAAGUGGAUAUAAUACAAGUGACCAAAUCGAGGAUCGCACGAGACUGACUAGGACUCCUCUAGGUGUCGGACUCGCUAUCGGACUCUUCAUCCAUGAGAUCGCCUUCGUCAACAUCUGGCCAAAUCAACAAGCCAGGUGAGUACUUCGAAUGUACUCGCAAGCCAGUUCGGACAUAAGAUAUAACAAAUGCAAACACGAUGCACGAUGAGCAGUUAGCAAUGCACACUCAAACAAUAAAUUUGCACGGCAUGUAGAAUAAAAUGGAAGACAGGCGGUAGUCCUCCCGAAAUCCCCAUAAAAUAACUGAAAACCGAUCGGGUGUCUGAAGUGACGCCUCGAAAGGUGAAGUAAAUAAAUUAACAUGCCGCAGUCGGGCGUCUGGGCGACACCACAAAAAGGGCUUAUAUUGAAAAGUAAAUGACAGUGCGUGCCACAGUCGGACUUCUAUGCGACAUCUCGAAAAGGGCUUAUAAUGAAAGUAAAUAACAGAGAUGCCACAGUCGGACGUUUGAGCGACAUCUCGUAAAGGGCUUAUAAUGAAAAUAAAUAAUAGAGAUGCCACAGUCGGACGUCUGAGCGACAUCACAUAAAGGGCUUUUAUUGAAAGUAAAUAAUGAGAGUGCCACAGUCGGACGUUUGAGCGACAUCACAGAAAGGGCUUAUAUUGAAAGUAAAUAACAAGAGUGACACAGUCGGACGUCUGUGCGACAUCACAAAAAGGGCUUAUAUUUCAUCAUUCAUAUUCAAUAAAUCCAUGAAGAUAGAUCACUCACAGGAAAUACUCAGCACAUAAUAAUAAACGGGUUAGUCCAUCCACAGGAAUGAUCAUUUAGCCGGACUUAACACUCAUGUUUGUAUACCAGAGAUUUGUCACUGAGACUGACACUGCCGAAGAUAAGUUGAACACAGUCCAUGACCAAGAUACGGUUACUUGAAUGAUUUUGACUCUGCAGAGUUUGUACUAUUUAACCACAGCCAACGGAUUUCAGUAGUCACGAAGGACUAGUUCCGUUUACGGUAUUUUAGCAGAAACACAUCUAACCAGUGCACACCCAUUUUCCACCUCACGAUGCCAGGAAUCACCCUAGGCAACGUUCAAGAAAAACUUUGAGACGGGGAGGCUACAACCUCGAAUAGCAUGGGAUCAAAUUUACAUACGCGCGCUCUAAGGGGUGCCCCCCUCUUGGUCCCAACCGGAAACACCCAUGCUCCCUGACCGGAUGACUGGCUUUAAUCCAGGUCCAUGGAACCCUCAUCAGGGCCUCUCUAUUUGGUGUGUACGAGGAAAGUGGUUUGCAACUUACUAAACCAUAUUCUUUUCAGAAAACAUGUGGCAGCACAAAAAGAAAUGGAUGGUAACGCGACUUGAUCCACAUUGACACUGGAGUUAAAUGGUCUGCCAUAAGACUGGCAUGCAUCAACACUGCCCUCUUACCACCUCUCAUGUCACCACAUGAUCAUGUAAACUCACAUCAAAAUCAUAUGGAGUUUCGAAGCUCACUUUCAUUAGCUCUGCAUGCAACAUAACACUUACUUCAAUGCAUAUAAACAUGCCAUGAACUAACUACCCAAUGCAAACAUGCAAAAAACUCGUCAUAUCAAAGGUUCAAACAUGCUUGCCUGGUUCGGAGUAGUCGGAGUCUAGCUCGGUGAAGUUUGCGGUUCCGUCACCUCCUUCGGUAUCUAUGGUAUAAAGAAAAAUACGUACUAUCAUAAAUACCGUGUGUGCACAAAAAGUGCUAGAAAUAUUUUUCAAAUAAAUCUGAUAAAAAACUAGACAGAAAAAUAAAAGUGACAGAAAAAGAAUCAAUCAAAAAUCAUUUUCUGUUUGAAAGUUAUUAGGGUUUUAGCCCAGGGACUUGUGUGUAAUGAAAUAGAAAGUUUCCAGGGGGCAUAACAGAAAAAGACAAAAAAACGUUUCAGAUCGAAAGCGUAUUUUGCCCGAAGGCGCUUUCCAAAAAAAAUAGUUCAAAUAGAAAUGAGGGGCUCACGACGGGGUCCCACUCGUCCGGUUUGAAAGUUGGAGGGAGAAAACAGAGCGCGCCGGUGCCCAAAGGCUGCGGUGGUCGCCGGCGGCGAUCCACGGCGAGUUAGGAAGAGUGGAUGGUACCUACGGGUUCCUAGGGCUCUUCCGCACCUGUGGGUGGUGGAUUUGGUCGUCGGCGAGCUCCACGUCGAUGGUGGCCUUCACUCCGACGGACGGCAGCUCGGGCGUUGAUGGAUCUCGCCGGGGAGGGCUGCAAGCUUCAAAUUGGGGCGUGGGUCAGUGUACUGGGUGCACCAGAGGGCUGCUGAUGUGGUUUGGGAGGCGGGGGUGGCCUCACCUGAGUGGAUCAAGCUGGAGCCCGAGGCGGAUCGGGGCGGCCGGAGACGGAGGAGAAGACCUCUUCGUGUCCUCCUGGUGUCUUGGCGGGGCUCUGGUGAGGUGGUGGGAGUAGUGCUGGUCGAAGGAGAGCUCGGGGUGGCUAUUUACAACUGGCCCGUGGCGGUUCCUGCGAAUGGGAUAAUGCCGGCGAAGAUUACGGCCAGGCAGUGGGUGGUCAGGUGGUUUAGGUGGCUGGGCAUUAGCAUGGUGAUCCACUGGUUUCAUUCAGACGCUAACCUCGGUUGAAUUAGGCUUGCUUUGUGGUUUCGACAGAACGGCGCUUCGCGGGCCCACCGGCGGCAGAGAGCGCGCCCUGUGCUCGCCAGGCCACGGCAACGGUGCUGCGGUGUUCGCAGAGGAGCAGAUGGCCACGCGAAGGCCUCGGGUGGUUUGGGCGGUGCUGGACGCCGCAGAAAGCUGCAGCUGCACCCUGCCCGCCGCCACGGGUGGCUCUGCCACCGCAGAAGUUGCCGGCGUCGGUGAGGCACGCCGCCACCGACACAUGCACCCGUCAAAGAGAGCGUGCGAAGCUCUGGAUAAGAAGGAGAAGAAGUGCGCAAGGCGCCAACAUGCACUGGUGAGAACGACGCCAAGUCUCUGAAGAAAAUGACACUAACUAUCGAACUGAAUCACUGGAUUUUUGAACAUGUACAGUAACAGUGCAGGCCAGGUGUUCGAUGAAAUGAUUUUGGCAUGUGGGUAAUUUAUCUGGAGCUGAUCUUUGGGGAGGUGGCCUCUCAUUGCACCUGGGGGCUGCCUGAUAUUUGGUAGAAUUUUUGGAGAAGAGAAAAUAUGAAUUUCACAGAAAAUGAUGAAUCUGGUCCAAACUUUCAGUGAGCAAAACUUGAAAAUUUUGAAUUGUGGAAGGGUGGAUCUUGAUGGAUCUAGGUUGAGGGUGCUAAGGACUAGCCAGAGGAGUUGGCUUGAGAUCAAAACUCACAAGAAAUUUGGUACUUCCUUUGUAAAUCACCUAAGUCCAAAAUAAAAGGCAGAAAUAGUUUUGGGGUAAAAAUAAAUGAAAUAAAAAUCAAAAGUGAGUUGAACUUGCUGGGGUUGGCUACUUGUCUUGACCCAAAGUGGAGGGGGUGUUUUGGAUGAAAAUUUUAACAAGAGGCAUGGUGAAAUAGGAUGGUUGGAAUAAAAGGAAUAAAUCCAAAACCCUAAGGAUUUCUUUUUAAAAGAAAAACUUUCAAAAUAAAUUGGGAUGAGUCCACACUAAUGAAAAGCCUUCAAAACCAAACAUCAAGGUUGAGGAUGAUCAAAAAUAAAAGUUUUGACAUCAGAGAAAAUAUUUGAGAAGGAGAGUCUUUUUGAAGGAUUUUGAGUGGCCUCCUUCAAAUCAAACAAAGAGUUUGCUGAAAACCAAAUGAAAGUUUUUGGAGUGUCACAGGAAGCUGGGUUCGAUCAACUUCAGUUAGCAGCUAUAGCGAAGAAAUCACUCGGGUUCAGUUAACAGUAACGGAUCAAUCGCUCGGGUUCAGUAUCGUAGCUAGUGCGAUCACUCGGGUUUAGUUAGAGCCCAACGCCUUGCUCGGGUUUAGUUAGAGCCCAAUGCCUCACACACACGCGCAUACAUGUAUGAGAGAAAUGCACAUCACUCGGCCCCCGACCACCCACCGUAACCGGGAACUCCCCAAAAUUUUCCUCGCCCUUGCUUCUACCACGGUUUUUUCCGUCAUGGACGGCCCAAAGAAUGUCAUGCAGCUGCGUCUCCGGCCCGCCCAGGACGAAAAGCCAAUUUUGUGUCAUGAUUUUUUGUCAUAGAAGUAGGAGCCCACCACAUCUAUGAUGAUACCGGGUUUUGUCACAAUUAUCGCCAUAGAAGUGUCAUAAGCAUGAAAAAAAAUUGUUCGGCCCAAAAUAUCACGGAUGUGUCUUUUUUUUGUAGUGAAAGUCUGGUACAUUCUCAGUUUGAUCUGCUUAUCAUAGGGAAUGGGAGCAUAAAUUUGGACAACAUAUGCAUGGGGAGGAUGGCCAAGGUCGAGCAAAUCCUAUCCCCAUUUGGGAUGACAUCUAGAAACUUAAGGUGUCAGCUAGUAUAACAUGGGAUCCUUCCCUGUAAAGGUGUACUAGCAAACAGACAUGUUUUAACACAAGCACAAUGUCCGGUCUGCUUGAGGGGAACUGAUGAUAUUCAACAUUGUCUUUUCAGCUGUAAGAGGGUUAUAUUUAUUUGGUACUAGUUGGAUCUAACAGAGACGAUCAGCAAGGCCAUAUGUCGAGACCGAUCAUGUUUUUUAAACUUGAAUCAAAUUACGGAUGAGAACUCAGGGAAGAGUAUUGGAGGUCUACAUAUACCCGAGCUUGUGAUCGCGGCAUCUUCGUACCUUUGGUGGCAAUCUCGACAGCUAAUAAAGAGUGCAUCAGUACUACCAGCAGAUAGAACAACAACAUCCAUCAGAGCAAUUGCCACAAAUUUCUGGAGAGCAAUUGAAAAGAAGGACAAAAGGAAGAAGGACCAAAAAAGUGGUGCAAACCAUUGCAUGGCUUUAUGAAAAUUAAUGUAGAUGCUUUAUUCCACGUAAAAGACCGAUCAGGAGCAAGUGAGGCAGUCAUCAAAGAUGAAUUGGGUUAUUUUGUAGAUGCUGCAGCAAGUUCAUUCCACAUGUUUCUGAUGCGGCCUCUCAGGAAUGGUAUUAAUUUGGCAGCUCAUGUGGGAUGCUUGAGGAUAGAAGCUGAGUCAGAUUGUGGACUUGUGAUUGAUGCAGUAAAAGAUACUUAUAGAUUCAAUGGUUCCCAAGCAGCAACAAUUAUUGAAUGCACUCAACUCUCUUGUGACUUCGGACAGGUGAAAUUUCAUUUACGCAACCGAGAAGCAAACAAUGUAGCAGAUGCUUUGGCUAAACAAAUAUGCUGAAGAUUUCUUCUGUUUGGGAAGAUGACCCGCUUGAUUUCAUUUCUUCUUUGAUUGCAAAUGCCAUUGCUAUUGCCCGUGAAACAAAAUCUUUACCCUGUCAAAAAAAUAUUAUUUCUCCCCAAUUAUUUGCUCAUCAUUGGAAUUGUUCUCAUAGUUGAUAAAUCUACUCCAUGCAAAAAAAAUAUUGAUCCGCUUGCACCUUCAAUUAGUAAUUUCGACCAAAGUGUCUGGUCUGAACUAAAGUGCCUCUUUCUAGAUGCUUAAGAAAUGACACUUCAGAAUAUGACUGACCGUUUCAUAAAGAAAACAUGAUCGACCAUGAUCUAGAAGCCCCUAAACAAAACCAAGUUCGCCAAUUGGGACUGAAAAAAUGAUGCAAUAGAAAGAACACACUAGAAGGGGAACUCAGAUCCAAGCUGUAUUUUGCGGCCAUAGAAUAAAUCAAACUAUGCUCCAACUCAUGUUCUUCAAGGUACCCAUUUAGAAAUUUCUUAACACUAUCAAAUAGCUCCUAAUCUGAAUACUAAGAAUGUGAUUUGUAUCCCUAAUCUAAUGUGUAUUUGAUCCUUUGAAUCUACUUAACUAUAGCAGUUGCGGUAGAGGAAUGGUAUUAGGAAGACAUCUAGGAAAAAAUGAUUAAUUAAAUUAUUAAAUGACUACAUGGCAUUAUGUUUUUCUUCCCACUCUUUUGUUUGUUUUUCUUAUCUUUCAAACUAACUAUCUACUUGCUUCCCUUCGAUCUCCAUUAGUGAGCCCAUGGAUUCGCCUCCUCUCCGCCUGCUGCUCCAGCGGCUGGUAGCGGGUGAGGGAGUCCUGGAUUAGGGGGUAUCCUGACAGUCGGACUAUAUACUUUGUCCGGACUGUUGGACCGUGAAGAUACAAGACUCAAGACUUUGUCCCGUGUUCGGAUGGGACUCCUUUGCGUGGAAGACAAGCUUGACGAUCCAGAUAUUAGAUCUCCUUCUUUGUAACCGACUCUGUGUAAACCCUAGCCCCCUCCGGUGUCUAUAUAAACCGGAGGGUUUGGUCCACAUAGGGACAAUCAUAAUCAUCAUAGGCUAGGUUCUAGGGUUUAGCCUCUACGAUCUCGUGGUAGAUCAACUCCUGUAAUACUCAUAUCAUCAAGAUCAAUCAAGCAGGAAGUAGGGUUUUACCUCCAUCGAGAGGGCCCGAACCAGGGUAAAACAUUGUGUCCCUUGCCUCCUGUUACCAUUAGCCUUAGACGCACAGAUCGGAACCCUUUACCCGAGAUCCGCUGGUUUUGACACCGACAUUGGUGCUUCCAUUGAGAGUUCCUCCGUGUCGUCACUGCAAGGCUCGAUGGCUCCUUUAGUCAUCAACAAUAACGCUGUCCAGGGUGAGACUUUUCUCCCCGGACAGACCUUCGUGUUCGGCGGCUUCGCACUGUGGGCCAAUUCGCUUGGCCAUCUGGAGCAGAUCGACAGCUACGCCCCUGGCCAGCAGGUCAGGUUCAGAAACUUGAACUACACGGCCGAUAUCCGCGGAGACUUGAUCUUCGGCGGAUUCAGACCUACGCCAGGAGCGCCGAACAGUCACGACGAGCACGGCUUAGACCUGCUAUCGGAAAAUACUCGGGAUAUCACACCCUCAGGAGCUCCGGACUUAAAUCUGGGGCAGAGCGCGUCGUCCGAGGACGGGUGGACGGACCCCACCCCGGAGGCCGCACACUCAUCGGCGGUAGAGCCGAACACAGACUCCACCCCCAAGGAAGCCUGUGUCAUCAGACCCCCGAACUCGUGUCCGGAUGUAGAUUCCAGACCGUGCGCCCCUGAGCCCACCGAAUUUGGUUGGGCUCCGGUAAUGGAAUUCACCACUGUGGACAUUUUCUAACACUCGCCUUAUGGCGACAUGCUGAACUCAUUAAAGUCUCUCUCUUUGUCAGGAGACUCUCGGCCGAACUAUGUCCGGCUCGAGUGGGAAACAGGCAAUGAGGGAAUUUAUUGACCACCCACCACCCACUUCAUUGCCACUAUCGAUGAUUUGACCGACGUGCUCGACUUCGACUUUGAAGACAUCAACAGUGUGGACGACGAUGUAGGAGAAGAACAGGAACCACCGCCCGGGCGCUGGACAGCCACCUCCGCGUACGAUAUAUAUAGGGUGGACACUCCAAAAGAAACAAAUGGCGAUGAGGCAAUGGAGGAUAACCCUGAUAACCCACAAGUGUAGGGGAUCGCAACAGCUUUCGAGGGUAAAGUAUUCAACCCAAAUUUAUUGAUUCGACACAAGGGGAGCCAAAGAAUAUUCUUGAGUAUUAGCAGUUGAGUUAUCAAUUCAACCACACCUAGAUAACUUAGUAUCUGCAGCAAUGUAUUUAGUAGCAAAGUAGUAUGAUAAUAAAGGUAACGGUAGCAAAAGUAAAGAUAAUAGUUUUUGGGUUUUUGUAGUAGUUGUAACAAUAGCAACGGAAAAGUAAAUAAGCGAAGAACAAUAUGUGAAAAGCUCGUAGGCAAUAGAUCAGUGAUGGAUAAUUAUGCCGGAUGCGAUUCCUCAUGUAAUACCUAUAACAUAGGGUGACACAGAACUAGCUCCAAUUCAUCAAUGUAAUGCAGGCAUGUAUUCCGUAAAUAGUCAUACGUGCUUAUGGAAAAGAACUUGCAUGACAUCUUUUGUCCUACCCUCCCGUGGCAGCGGGGUCCUAGCAGAAACUAAGGGAUAUUAAGGCCUCCUUUUAAUAGAGAACCGGAACAAAGCAUUAACACAUAGUGAAUACAUGAACUCCUCAAACUACGGUCAUCACCGAAAAAUAUCCCGAUUAUUGUCACUUCGGGGUUGUCGGAUCAUAAACAUAAGAGGUGACUAUAGACUUGCAAGAUAGGAUCAAGAACACACAUAUAAUCAUGAAAACAUAAUAGGUUCAGAUCUGAAAUCAUGGCACUCGGGCCCUAGUGACAAGUAUUAAGCAUAGCAAAGUCAUAGCAACAUCAAUCUCAGAACAAAGUGGAUACUAGGGAUCAAACCCUAACAAAACUAACUUGAUUACAUGGUAAAUCUCAUCCAACCCAUCACCGUCCAGCAACCCUACGAUGGUAUUACUCAUGCACGGCGGUGAGCAUCAUGAAAUUGGUGAUGGAGGAUGGUUGAUGAUGACGACGGCGACGAAUCCCCCUCUCCGGGGCCCCGAAGGGACUCCAGAUCAGCCCUCCCGAGAGAGAUUAGGGCUUGGCGGCGGCUCCGUGUCGUAAAACGCGAUGAAACUUUCUCUCUGAUUCUUUUCUCCCCGAACGUGAAUAUAUGGAGUUGGAGUUGAGGUCGGUGGAGGUCCAGGGGGCCCACGAGAUAGGGGGGCGCGCCCUACAGGGGGGGUGCCCCCCUGUCUCGUGGACAGGCCCUGGGCCCCCUGGUGUAUUUCUUUCGACCAGAAAUUCUUAUUAAUUCCAAAAAGUGCCUCCGUGGAUUUUUAGGACAUUCUGAUAAAUUUUCGUUUCUACACAUAAAACAACAUCAUGGCAGUUCUGCUGAAAACAACGUCAGUCCGGGUUAGUUUCAUUCAAAUCAUGCAAGUUAAAGUCCAAAACAAGGGCAAAAGUGUUUGGAAAAGUAGAUACGUUGGAGACGUAUCAACUCCCCCAAGCUUAAACCUUUGCUUGUCCUCAAGCAAUUCAGUUGAUAAACUGAAAGUGAUAAAGAAAAACUUUUACAAACUGUGUUUGCUCUUGUUGUUGUAACAUGAAAAGUGAGCAUUCAAGUUUCAACAAAUAUUAUGAACUAACCAUACUCACAAUAACACUUAGGUCUCACAAUUACUCAUAUCAAUAGCAUAAUCAGCUAGCGAGCCAUAAUAACAAAACUCGGAUGACAACACUUUCUCAAAAUAAUCAUAACAUGAUAUAACAAAAUGGUAUCUCGCUAGCCCUUUCUAAGACCGCAAAACAUAAAUGCAGAGCACGUUUAAAGAUCAAGGACUGACUAAACAUUGUAAUUCAUGGUAAAAGAGAUCCAGUCAAGUCAUGCACAAUAUAAACCAAUAAUAAUGAAUGCAAAUGACAGUGUGCUCUCCAGCGGGUGCUUUUAAUAAGAAGGGUGAUGACUCAACAUAAAGUAAAUAGAUAGGCCGUUCGCAGAGGGAAGCAGGGAUUUGUAGAGGUGCCAGAGCUUGAUUUUAAAAUAGAGAUUGAAUAACAUUUUGAGCGGCAUACUUUUGCUGUCAACGCAAAAACUAUGAGAUGGUUGUAUCUUCCAUACUACAUGCAUUAUAGGCAGUUCCCAAAUAGAAUGGUAAAGGUUAAUACUCCCCCAACCACCAACAAGCAUCAAUCCAUGGUUUGCUCGAAACAACGAGUGCCUCCAACUAACAACAGCCCUGGGGGACUUUUGUUUAAUUAUUUUGAUUUUCUUUCAUCUGUUUGGAUCAUGGGACUGGGCAUCCCGGUUACCGGCCCUUUCUCGUGAAUGAGGAGCGGAGUCCACUCCUCUUGAGAAUAACCCACCUAGAAUGGAAGAUAUAGGAAGCCCUAGUUGUAACAUGAGCUGCUCGAGCAUACAAUACAGAAUUUCAUUUGAAGGUUUAGAGUUCGGCACAUACAAAUUUACUUGGAACGGCAGGUAAAUACCAUAUCUAGGAAGGUAUAGUGGACUCAUAUGGAACAACUUUGGGGUUUAAGGAGUUUGGAUGCACAAGCAGUAUUCCCGCUUAGUACAGGUGAAGGCUAGCAAAAGACUGUGAAGCGACCAACUAAGAGAGCGACGACAGUCAUAAACAUGCAUCAAAAUUAAUUCACACCGAAUACAAGCAUGAGUAGGAUAUAAUCCACCAUGAACAUAAAUAUCAUGAAGGCUAUGUUGAUUUGAUUCAACUACAUGCGUGAACAUGUGCCAAGUCGAGUCACUCAAUACAUUCAAAGGAGGAUACCAUCCCAUCAUACCACAUCAUAAUCAUUCUAAUAGCAUGUUGGCACGCAAGGUAAACCAUUAUAACUCAUAGUUAAUCAAGCAUGGCACAAGCAACUAUAAUCUCUAAAUGUCAUUGCAAAUGUGUUUACUUCAUAAUAGCUGACUCAGAAACGAUGAACUCAUCAUAUUUACAAAAACAAGAGAGGUCGAGUUCAUACCAGCUUUUCUCAUCCCAAUAAGUCCAUCAUAUAUCGUCAUUAUUACCUUUCACUUGCACAACCGAACGAUGUGUAUAAUAAUAAGAGUGCACCUGCAUUGGACUAAGCUGGAAUCUGCAAGCAUUCAACUCAAGAGAGAAGACAAAUAAUAUGGGCUCUAAGUUAAAUAAACAAUCAUGCAUAUGAGAUCACUAAACUUUUUCAAUAUGGUCUACUCGACCCCCCAAGGAAAGAAAAUAAAAUAAAACUAUUUACACGGGAAAGCUCCCAACAAGUAAAAAUAAGAACUAGAAAUCUUUUGGGGUUUUCAUUUUAAUUUCUACUACAAGCAUGGAAAUUAAACUAAUUUUUUUUGGUUUUCUUAAGAUUUAUCAAACACACAAGAAGAAACCAGAAAAAGAAAUUUAAACUAGCAUGGAUAAUACAAUGAAAGAGUAUGAGCACCGACGACUAGUGUGUGAACAUGAAUGUAAAGUCGGUGAGAAAUACGUACUCCCCUAAGUUGGUCUAGUACCCAGGACCGUCUGGCUGAUAUCCAUAAGUGAAACCAGGGUCGUACUGAGAUGUAGCGGCAACCGCCUCCUGAGCUGCAGCAUGUUGGCGAGCUGCCUCCGCUCUCCUCUCAUGUUCAGCUGCUUCUUCCCUGGUGACAACAUAUCUUCCUUUUUCCUGAUAAUCAAAAAGGUAGGGAGUAGGAAGUGUAACAGGGAGGACGUUGCGUCUGUCAUAGGUUAGUCGAUAAUGGAGGAAUUGUUCAUUCCUUGCAAGAAAUUGAUGAUUGAACAAAGCUUCUUUAUCCAAAUAAACAGGAGGUAAAAUCAUAUCCCCCUCUCAUAGGGCUAUAUUAAGAUAAUUAGCCACACAGGUUGCAUAAAUUCAUCAAAAUAAAUUUCCCUUUCGACUAUUAUUCUGCAACCUGCGUGCAACUAUUGCCCCCAAGUUAUAACCUUUAUAACCUAACACAGUACUCUUGAGGACACACAGAUCAGCGACACAUAUGUGACAUGCUUCAUCCUUAUCGUUAAUGCAUCUACCAAUAAAGAGAGCAAAAUAAUGCAUAGCAGGAAAAUGAAUGCUCCCUAUGGUAGCUUGUGCUAUGUCCCUAUAUUCUCCCACAGUAAUACUAGCAAGAAAAUCUCUAAAUUCAGAUUUGCAAGGAUCAUUAAUAUUACCCCACUGCGGGAGUUUGCAAGAAGUUGUGAAAUCCUCUAAAUCCAUGGUAUAAGAUGUAUCAUAAAUAUCAAACAUGACACUAGGAGAAUUACAUGCACAGUUAUAUUGGAACCUCCGCACAAAGGAAUCACUCAAUUGAUAGUACUGCGGACACUUAUCUUGUAAGAAGUCCUCCAGCCCGGCAUUACGCACAUACGCGUCAAAUUCUUCCUUGAAGCCUGCUUCGACCAUAAAAUCAUCGGAUGGCCACUCACAAGCUCGUACAUCCGCGUCCCUCGACAAUUCAACAUCUUGCUCACGUAUAGCAAUCCUUGGCCCUUUCUUUACCGAGGAACCACCUUGGUACAUUCUUCUAAGCAUAAUUAUUUUUCUGAAAAUUUCUGAAAUUUUAGUAACUUCAAAAUAAAAGUGAAUAAAACUAAACAAGAUUGGUAGCAACUACUCCUACAAGUGCCUAGAGCCUAUAUCAUGCAUUAGAAUUGCUUGGGACCUCAUAAAUUUGACAUGCCAGCUCAAGAACAUGGUCACCUAUGCAGCAAAAAAUUGCAAUGAAUAAAGCACUAGAACAAAAACUAAUUGGACCAAUGGAGGAGUCACAUACCAAGCAACAAUCUCCCAAAGCGGUUUUGUGAAUGGAACUUUGAGCAAGGAGAUCGAAAUUCACAGCAAAAUGAGCUAUAACUCGUACUUAAGCUGGAUGGGGAUUUUUUUGGGAAGAAGAUGAAGUGUGUGGGUGCGGGCAUAAGUGGAGGGGGGCCACCAGUGGCCCACGAGACAGGGGGCUAUAGGGGGGGCACGCACUCCACUCUCGUGGUCUGGUGCUUUCCCCUCCUGCAGUGAUUUCAGUGCCUAAAAUCCUCAAAUAUUCCAGAAAAAUCAUACUAAAUUUGCAAGGCAUUCGGAGCACUUUUAUUUUUGGACUAUUUUUUAAUGCACAAAUAAUUCAGAAAACAGACAGAUAAUACUAUUUUUGCUUUACUUAUUCUAAAUAACAGAAAGUAAAAAGAGGGUACAGAAAGUUGUGCCUUCUAGUUUCAUCCAUCUCCUGCUCAUCAAAACGAAUCCACUAACAAGGUUGAUCAAGUCUUGUUAACAAACUCAUUCCGAAUAACAUGGAACCAGAGAAAUUUCAAAUAACACUAAGUUAUCUCAACGGGGAUAUGAAAAUCCCCAACAAUAAGAAUAUCAUACUUUUCCUUGACAGUAGGGAUAGCAAAUUCAAAACCUCCAAUAAUAAUAGUUGGAACUUUUCCAAUAGAAUUGAUGCUAUGAACUUGAGAUUGUUUCCUCGGAAAGUGUACCGUAUGCUCAUUACCAUUAACAUGAAAAGUGACAUUGCCUUUGUUGCAAUCAAUAAUAGCCCCUGCAGUGUUAAGAAAAGGUCUACCAAGGAUAAUAGACAGACUAUCGUCCUCGGGAAUAUCAAGAAUAACAAUGUCCGUUAAGAUAGUGACAUUUGCAACCACAACAGGCACAUCCUCACAAAUACCGACAGGUAUAUCAGUUGAUUUAUCAGCAAUUUGCAAAGAUAUUUCAGUAGGUGUCAACUUAUUCAAUUCAUGUCUACGAUAUAAAGAGAGAGGCAUAACACUAACACCGGCUCCAAGAUCACAUAAAGCAGUUCUAACAUAAUUUCUUUUAAUGGAGCAUGGUAUAGUUGUUACCUCGGGAUCUCCAAGUUUCUUUGGUAUUCCACCCUUAAAUUGUAAUUAGCAAGCAUGGUGGAAAUUUCAGCUUCUGGUAUCUUUCUUUUAUUUGUGAUGGUAUCCUUCAUAUACUUAGCAUCAGGGUUUACUUUCAUCAUAUCAGUUAAGCGCAUACGUAAGAAAAAAGGUCUAAUCAUUUCAGCAAAGCGCUCAAAAUCCUCAUCAUCCUUUGUCUUGGAUGGUUUAGGAGGAAAGGGCAUGGGUUUCUGAACCCAUGGUUCCUUUCUCUAACGUGCUUCCUAGCAACAAAAUCUCUCUUAUCAUAACGUUGAUUCUUUGAUUGUGGGUUAUCAAGAUCUACAGCAGGUUCAAUCACUACUUCAUUGUUUUUGCUAGGUUGAGCAUCCACAUUAUCAUUAACAUUAUCACCAGGUUCAUGUUCAUCACCUGAUUGUGUUUCAGGAACAGAGAUAGAAAUAUCAUUGGGAUUCUUAGGUGUGUCUACAGUAGGUUCACUAGAAGCAUGCAGAGUUCUAUCGUCUUUCUUUUUCUUCUUUUUAGAAGAACUAGGUGCCUCUAAAUUAUUUCUCUGAGAAUCUUGCUCGAUUCUCUUAGGGUGGCCUUCAGGAUACAAAGGUUCCUGAGUCAUUCUACCAGUUCUAGUAGCCACUCUAACAGCAAGUCAUUUUUAUUAUUUAAUUCAUCAAGCAAAUCAUUCUGAGCUUUAUGUACUUGCUCAGCUUGAGUAGCAACCAUAGAAGCAUAUUUGCUAAUGAGUUUGAGUUCAUCUUUAACUCUAGCUAGAUUAUCGCUUACACGUCCUAUCUCGAAAGCAUUAUUCUUUAACUCUCUAGCAACAUAAGCAUUAAAACUUUCUUGCCUAGCCAUAAAGUCAUCAAAUUCAUCUAAGCAUGGUCUAUGAAAUUUAGUAGAGGGGAUUUCAACUUUAUCAUAUCUAUGGACAGAAUUUACCUUUACUACCUGUGUCGGGUUAUCAAGACAAUGUGGUUCUUCAACAGGCGGUAUAUUAAGACCAUGUAUUUCUUCAAUGGGAGGUAAAUGCUUAACAUCUUCAGCUUUAAUACCUUUUUCUUUCAUUGAUUUCUUUGCCUCUUGCAUAUCUUCAGGACUGAGAAAUAAAACACCUCUCUUCUUCGGAGUGGGUUUAGGAAUAGGCUCAGGAGUUGGCUCAAUUGGUUCAGGAAUUGCCUCAGGAAUUGGCUCAGGAAGAGUCCAAUUAUUUUCGUUAGUCAACAUAUUAUUCAAUAGUAAUUCAGCUUCGUCAGUUGUUCUUUCCCUGAAAACACAACCAUCACAACUAUACAAGUAGUCCUUGGAAGCAUCGGUUAGUCCAUUAUAAAAGAUAUCAAGUAUUUCAUUUUUCUUAAGAGGAUUAUGAGGCAAAGCAUUAAGUAACCGGAGAAGCCUCCCCCAAGCUUGUGGGAGACUCUCUUCUUUGAUUUGCACAAAAUUAUAUAUUUCCCGCAAGGCAACUUGUUUCUUAUGAGCAGGGAAAAAUUUAGUAGAGAAGUAAUAAAUCAUAUCCUAGGGACUACGCACACAACCAGGAGCAAGAGAAUUAUACCAAGUCUUAGCAUCACCCUUUAAUGAGAACGGAAAUAUCUUAAGGAUAAAAAAAUAGCGAGACUUCUCAUCAUUAGUAAAUAGGGUAGCUAUAUCAUUCAACUUGGUAAUAUGUGCCACAACAGUUUCAGAUUCAAGGCCAUAAAAAGGAUCAGAUUCAACUAAAGUAAUAAUCUCAGGAUCAACAGAGAAUUCAUAAUCCUUAUCAGUAACACAGAUAGGUGAAGUAGCAAAAGCAGGGUCAGGUUUCAUUCUAGCAUUAAGAGACUGCUGCUUCCAUUUAGCUAAUAAUUUAUUAAGAUCACAUCUAUCAUUGCAAGCAAAGAUCUCCCUAGCAGCUUCUUCAUUCAUAACAUAACCCUUAGGAACAACAGGCAAUACAUAAUCAUUGGGAGAACCUUCAUCAUCACUAUCAUCAAUAAUAGCAUCUUCAAUAAUUUCAUUCCCCCUAACUCUAGCAAGUUGUUCAUCAAGAAAUUCACCUAAUGGCAAAGUAGUAUCAUGUACAGAAGUAGUUUCAUCAUGCAUAGCAGAAGUGGCAUCAUCAAUAACAUGCGACAUAUUAGAAUUCAUAGCAGUAGCAGGUUUAGGUGUCACAAGAUUACUAAUAAUGGAAGGAGAAUCUAGUGCAGAGCUAGAUGGCAGUUCCUUACCUCCCCUCGUAGUUGAGGACAAAAUAGUAGUUCGGUCGUCUUUCAAGUUCUUCAUAGUGAUCAACAGAUAUAAAUCCAAAGUGACUCAGUGAAUAGAGCUAUGCUCCCCGGCAACAGCGCUAGAAAUUAUCUUGAUAACCCACAAGUGUAGGGGAUCGCAACAGCUUUCGAGGGUAAAGUAUUCAACCCAAAUUUAUUGAUUCGACACAAGGGGAGCCAAAGAAUAUUCUUGAGUAUUAGCAGUUGAGUUGUCAAUUCAACCACACCUGAAUAACUUAGUAUCUGCAGCAAAGUAUUUAGUAGCAAAGUAGUAUGAUAAUAAAGGUAACGAUAGAAAAAGUAAAGAUAAUAGUUUUUGGGUUUUUGUAGUAGUUGUAAUAGUAACAACGGAAAGGUAAAUAAGCGAAGAACAAUAUGUGAAAAGCUCGUAGGCAAUGGAUCAGUGAUGGAUAAUUAUGCCGGAUGUGAUUCCUCAUGUAAUAGCUACAACAUAGGGUGACACAGAACUAGCUCCAAUUCAUCAAUGUAAUGUAGGCAUGUAUUCCGUAAAUAGUCAUACGUGCUUAUGGAAAAGAACUUGCAUGACAUCUUUUGUCCUACCCUCCCGUGGCAGCGGGGUCCUAGCGGAAACUAAGGGAUAUUAAGGCCUCCUUUUAAUAGAGAACCAGAACAAAUCAUUAACACAUAGUGAAUACAUGAACUCCUCAAACUACGGUCAUCACCGAGAAGUAUCCUGAUUAUUGUCACUUCGGGGUUGUCGGAUCAUAACACAUAAUAGGUGACUAUAGACUUGCAGGAUAGGAUCAAGAACACACAUAUAUUCAUGAAAACAUAAUAGGUUCAGAUCUGAAAUCAUGGCACUCGGGCCCUAGUGACAAGCAUUAAGCAUAGCAAAGUCAUAGCAACAUCAAUCUCAGAACAAAGUGGAUACUAGGGAUCAAACCCUAACAAAACUAACUUGAUUACAUGGUAAAUCUCAUCCAACCCAUCACCGUCCAGCAAGCCUAUGAUGGAAUUACUCACGCACGGUGGUGAGCAUCAUGAAAUUUGUGAUGGAGGAUGGUUGAUGAUGAUGAUGACGAUGAAUCCCCCUCUCCGGAGACCCGAACGGACUCCAGAUCAGCCCUUCCGAGAGAGAUUAGGGCUUGGCGGCGGCUCCGUGUCGUAAAACGUGAUGAAACUUUCUCUCUUAUUUUUUCUCCCUGAACGUGAAUAUAUGGAGUUGGAGUUGAGGUCGGUGGAGGUCUAGGGGGCCCACGAGAUAGGGGGCAUGCCCUACAGGGGGGGGGGCGCCCCCCUGUCUCAUGGAUAGGCCCUGGGCCCCUAGUUUAUUUCUUUCGCCCAGAAAUUCUUAUUAAUUCCAAAAAGUGCCUCCGUGGAUUUUCAGGACAUUCCAAGAACUUUUCUUUUCUACACAUAAAACAACAUCAUGGCAGUUCUGCUAAAAACACUGUCAGUCCGGGUUAGUUUCAUUCAAAUCAGGCAAGUUAGAGUCCAAAACAAGGGCAAAAGUGUUUGGAAAAGUAGAUACAUUGGAAACGUAUCAAACCCCUCAAGGAAGAAGGCAAAUCAUGGGCGUCAUCGGCGCCGCUCCAAGCCUCGCCAUAGCAAUACCGGCACAGGAGACGAAAACAAUCCAGAUGGUGCCAAAGAAGAAUACAACCCAGAUCAACCUGCCUUCGAGCAGGCCAAAUAGGAAGACGGGACAAUUCAGCACAGACGAACAGGCGACAGACGGAUACCCGAAGGAGGACAACUACAAGCCCCCCUCCAAAGACGAGAUGAGCCUCGGCGACGAUGAAUUCGGCGUGCCUGAGGACCCCGUAGAGCAGGAGCGCUUAAAGCGCCGGCUCAUGGCCACUGCGAGGAGCCUGAAAAAGAAGUAGGAGCAGCUCCAAGCUGAUCAAGAUUUGCUCACAGACGGAUGGAAUGAAGUCCUGGCAGCCGAGGAAUAUGGACUCGAGCGCCACACCAAAGGCUACCCAAAGCACAAGUUGCUACCUCAACUCGAGGAGGAGCCUAUACUACCAGCACAGGACGAGGCUGACCGGCCACCUCAUGGACGGGAUAAAACAGCGUACCAGCCCGAAUACCAGCCUGCACCCCCACGCGAAUACACUACGGCCCGAGGCAAUAGGAAGGACCUGCAAGCCAUACUGGAAAACAAGGCAGGAUAGCCAAGAUCGAUCUAAGGAUCGCGGGUGUGCGCCCCAACAUGUGACGAUUAUCGUCAUGCCGGAUACACUAUCAACAAGUCCGGCCGGGCCGAACAUAGCCAACUAGACUUAUUUGAACUGCGUAGCCACAUAGCCCGACAUAGAGGCGCCGCACACCCCCUCUGCUUCACUGACGAAGUGAUGGAUCAUGAUUUCCAAGAAGUGCUUAAACCCGUAAACAUUGAAUCAUACGAUGGCACAACAGACCCCGCUGUAUGGAUCGAAGACUUCCUUCUCCACAUUCACAUGGCUCGUGGUGAUGAUCUACAUGCCAUCAAGUAGCUUCCCCUUAAACUCAGAGGACCGGCCCGACACUGGCUAAAUAGCCUGCCGGCAAAUUCCAUCAGCAGUUGGAAAAACCUAGAGGACGUGUUCCUUGACAACUUCCAGGGCACGUACGUGCGACCACCGGAUGCCGAUGACUUGAGUCACAUUACCCAACAGCCAGGAGAGUCAGCCAGGAAAUUCUGGACUCGGUUCCUAACUAAAAAUAACCAAAUUGUCGACUGUCCGGACACUGAUGCCUUGGUGGCCUUUAAGCAUAAUAUCCGCGACGAGUGGCUCGCCCGACACCUCGGCCAGGAAAAGCCAAAGUCCAUGGCGUCCCUCACGACACUGAUGACCCGCUUUUGCGCGGGCAAGGACAGCUGGUUGGCUCACAGUAGCACCAAGCCAAUAAACUCUGGCACUUCAUAUGUCUGUGACAGAAACGGCAAGCCACGGCACAACAGACAUAAGCGUCGGAAUAAUGGCGACAACACUGAAGACACGGCAGUCAACGCCGGAUUCAGUGGCUCAAAAUCCAGUCAGCGGAAAAAUCCUUACAAAUGAAAGAAUCAGGGAUCGUCCAAUCUGGACCGCAUACUCGAUCGCUCGUGCCAAAUUCACGGCACCCCUGAUAAACCAACAAACCACACUAACAAAGAUUGCUGGGUGUUCAAACAAGCCGACAAAAUAAAUGCUGAAAACAAGGACAAAGGGCUGCACAGCGACGAUUACGAGGAGCCCCGGUGUCCGAACAUGGGGGGACAGAAGAAAUUUCCUCCCCGGGUGAAAACGGUCAAUAUGAUCUAUGCCACCCACAUUCCCAAACGGGAACGAAAGCGAGCACUAAGGAACGUCUAUGCGAUGGAGCCAGUCGCCCCAAAGUUCAACCCAUGGUCUGCCUAUCCGAUCACUUUUGAUCGUAGGGAUCAUCCUACCAUCAUCCGUCAUGGCGGUUCAGCCACAUUGGUCCUAGACCCAAUCAUUGACGGAUUCCACCUCACACGAGUCCUUAUGGACGGUGGCAGUAGCCUGAACCUCCUCUAUCAGGACACAGUGCACAAAAUGGGCAUCGAUCCUUCAACGAUCAAGCCCACCAAAACCACCUUCAAAGGUGUAAUUCCAGGAGUACAGGCCCGUUGUAUGGGCUCCAUAACACUGGAAGUGGUCUUCAGAUCCCCGGAUAACUUCCGAAGCGAGGAGUUAAUCUUCGAUAUCGUCCCUUUCCGUAGUGGCUAUAAUGCACUGCUUGGACGAACCACAUUCGCUCGAUUCAAUGCGGCACCACACUACGCAUACCUCAAGCUCAAGAUAGGCACCAUGGAAUAACAAGGUCGCUGUCCGGAACGAAAAUAUGAUGCAUGUCUUAUUGUGCGCGCGUGCCCUCCCACUCAUGGCAUCGCCGGGUGGUCGCGGUCGACGUACCAUUUCCGAAUAAACGACGCCACAUGCCCGCAGAUGGUCGUCCGGCCGUCAAGAAUUUCUGUGCACCCGGGUUAACGGCGUCAUGGGCCAAGCCGCCCAGAGUAGCAUGGCAGGCACAUGUAUGACCAGUCAUGUUAAUCAAUCCACUGCCGCGCGCCCUUCCGUGGUGUCAUGCGUACGAACAUUGAUGCCCUCGCCAAUGUAUAUUGUUUUGGUGAUAGACAUAUUCCUAUUCUGGAAUUGUGCCAUCCAGCUCUCCACUUUAACAACCCUUACUGAUCUUCGUUAUAAGAAAAGGGCAAUGCCAGCAAGCCUUUUUCUCACCGCUAUCCUACUCUGUCACUCAUUCCCUGGACGAGCACGGUUCACUUCCGUUCACUACUCAUUCCCUGGAUGAGCACGGUUCGCUUCCGUUCGCUUAAUGAUGAUGUGGCCGUGACAUCCGUGUCCCGCUACAUGAUCAGCGAGUCCGUCCUCACCUCCGAGCCCAUCCAGAUGCAACCGGUGCUAAGCCAGCUUUGGUGUAGCUCCAUUUACACCAUCCUCUCCACACGGUGAUCCACUUUUGUGCACACCGCCACAGCAUGGUAGAUCGUAGUGCCGGAGUUCUAGCGAGAUUUGUUUGCUUAAACAUGUGUGCAUAUUGUUUUGAGUAGCAGUAAAAUGUGAUGUUGCUUGUAUGUAAUCUUAAUGUGUCGGUUGUUUUUGUUUAAGUCGUUUUUUGCUUCUUUCUUUUGGUGUUCGGUGUCACCUUAUUUCCCCUUAUGUGCUCCCAUAGCCAUAAAUAUCUAGUAAAUGUUCCUAGACAGUAAUAGUGAUUAAUUUAAUGUCUAUAUGUAUGUUCAUUUCUAUAGAGUCGAGAUCUGGUGUACCCAUUUUUUGUCCCGAUUUCUAUGUUUUCUAGAUGGAUUUCUUUGUUUCUUGAUCAUGUAAGAUCAACGAGGACAUUCCUUCGCAUAUUGGAAGCCUAUUUUUUUCUAUUUCUAUGUCUAUUAAAAUCCUAUGAAUCAAUGAGAACUAGUUAUCAUACCAAUGCAAACAACAAGUGACGAGGCUAUGCACAAUUUUUUAAUACACACAAAAAGGGUCAAAUACACAGCAAAUGCCAUUCAUCUGACAUCAUUCUUGCCGCGGGUACAAGGUACUUGCCGCGGGUGGAGGUGGUAGCUUUAUUUCCGGAACACGAUAACCUGCAAAAUUUCAUUCUUCACAUCAUAAUGAUGAACAUGAGAAAUUAUAUAAAGUGUAAAUAUAUAUAUUUGUGUGUGUUUGUGUGUUUGUGUGUUUGUGUGUGCGCGUGCAAAUAUGACGAUAUACCAACCUGCACAGUGAGUGUCUGUAUGCAACCCAUUGCCGCAUACAUGUGUAGCCAUGGCAAACUUGGCUAGACUGAGCAAAGUUAGGUCAUGAGCGGUGAACCGAUCACAGACGUAGUGGAUGUCUUUUGCAUCUCUUAUGGUAUUGCAACAUGCGCUAUGGAGUGGCGGGUACUGGUCACCAAGUUUCUUUUCGAUGUGAUGCCAACAAUCUCGCAUCACCUUUUUUUUAUCAAGGAGGCAGUGAUCUAUAUUGUUCGCUUCUCGUGCAUGGAGCGCACAAGAAGAAAGAGCCACAAUGACUAGGAAGCAUAACACUCCAGCUACUUUUGCGUUGUUCAUGUUCUAUGUUGUGUAGCACUAUUGGUAUGUGUUUAUGCAGGACUUCUGUGCCACUCAGUCUCUAUAUAUAGUGGUCAUAGUGAAUGUUUUAGACUCCAUUCGCUCAUCAAUUGCUUAAUUGGACUCUCUUAACUAAGUGAGAGAAAUCUGACUUAGAUAUGUUAUAAUUUAAUGUUUGCACAUCUAGAUCUUGUAUAAAGUUGUUGGCAAUGGAUGUGGAUGCAACCCAUUAAUUAUUGGCUAUGGAGUAGUUGAUUUCGAAUUCUUAACAGAUAUGUGUACAUAACUUGGGUAUGUUGAUAAUUAAUGUAGGGACAUGUGUGGUCCUUGUAGUAUCACAUCGAUGGUAAAGGAUACUUCUAAUUAAAUAUAGCUAGGUGCAUCCAUUUCUUGUAUCAAACUGAUGGUAGCGGAUAUGUAGAUAAGCCUAUUUAUUUGUCUAUCUAUCUAUAUCUCUAUCUCUAUCACUAUAUCUAUCUCCAUCUCUAUCUAUCUAUCUAUCUAUCUAUCUCUAUCUCUAUCUCUAUCUCCAUCUAUCCAUCUAUCUAUCUAUCUAUCUAUCUAUCUAUCUAUAUCUAUAUCUAUAUCUAUAUCUAUAUCUAUCUCUAUCUCUAUCUAUCUAUCUAUCUAUCUAUGUAUAUAUCUAUCUGAUACUAAUAACGGACUCCCUACAUAUUAAAACUUCAAUCGGUGAAAACAAGAAAUAGAAACCAAUGAUUUUAGCGGGCCUGAAUUACUACGAUUACGAUCUAUUAAUAAAUCCCUUGGAUAUUUCAAUUAAAAAAAAGAACUUGGAUCUCAAUCAGGGAAAAAAGUAAAAGAUAUGAUGCAAUCUAAACAACCAUUCAGAUUUGACACAUUAGCUGAGACGUCAUGCAAUUGUCAAAAUCAUGACCGUAUUUCUUUGUGACUAACCUAGAUACGACCUAAUUCGUAUAUCUCCAACCAAUUGGCAGUCCAUCGAUUAUUCCUUUGCCAUCUCAUGGCCUUGGCUUGGAGGAACUAUGCCACAUGGUAAAGCAGUCCCGAUAUAAUCUCUCUGACCUUCUCAACAUUCGUCAUGCCUGUUCCUAGCCAUGGAUAUCUGCCGGCACCAACCAGCACACAAACUGCAAGUAGAAAAAGACGAUCGAGGGUUAUGGUUAUAGGGAUUUAGACAUAGUUUUCUUAUCUUUUAGAUCCGCUGAGGAUGUUGUUACAGUGAUGGAACAUACGUUUGGCUACCUAUAUGCUCAACAUAGGGUGGUGCAUAUUUGAUUCCAUCAAUAAUUUAACGCACUAACCGACAUGGAAUCUUUCUUUGUCUUUUGUUCUUUUGUACAUCCUCCGCUAGUUCUUGCAAUCUUCUAAAUAAAUCACGUUCAAUUGGUCACUGUUUGUUCAUAGAGUUCUUUCAUGAUUAGUAGAAAGUUGAUGUCUGUUGACAUUGGGAUUGGCGGCCCAAAAUAAGGAUAUGAAUAUGUUGCAUCAAACUUCUCUCCUUGCCAUCGAUCCUCAUAUUUGCGCCUUGUGGGUGAUCUUGGUUUCUUUGCAUGAUUUGGCCGAUAAGCAUUCUUGUCUUCACUCCUCUUUUGAUAUUUAUCCAAUAGUUCAGCGAAGGUGAUUUUUAAUCUCUUACACUUGCGCUUAUUUCGGCCUUUGUUUUCUUUUUGUUUGCUUUCGUCGAUCAUUGGAGUUUCUUGUUGCCCCCAAGUCCUUAGUGUCUUCAUUGUAGCUUCGAUAGAAUUUUCACCCUCAAGAAUAUUAUCAUUGUGCUCUUAAAAGAUUUUCCUACCUGAAAGCUUAAUCCCAUUUUCUGCAGUUUUUCCUUCUCAUGUUUAAAUAGACCAGCAUGAAGCAGCCGAUGCAAAAACUGUUUACCAUCAGAACCGAUCGGAAUAGACUGGUCAUCUCUUGGUGUCUUAACAAAUUUGAACCAUCCUUAUCAAUGGCUAAUUUAACUAUUUGAUGAACCAUAUUGCAAUCCUCGAAAUUAUGUUUGAACGAAUGAUGCAAUCUACAUCACAUUCUUCCUUGGUUUGAUGAUUUGACGUGGUGAUCAAGAAUUCUAAUGUAAUUAUUUUUCAGCAACAACUCAAAUAUUUGAUCACACAUGCUUGAAUUGAAGGUAAACCUUUUAUUUUCUAGACGAUCUUGUUGUGAGAAUGGCUUUAGAGGUAAGCACACGAAUGGUUCAGAUUUGGAAUCUCCUCAUUCGGCUAUGAAUUUUCUUUUGCAUUAUUUUUGCGGUGUCAUUGGAUAACAUAUUAUACUAGCAUCGGUUUUCUCAAAAGAAUCUAAACUUGACAUUAUGUUUCUGAAACAAAAAUAGUUAGAACACACAUGUCUCAAUUGAGACGAAAAGCAUGCCAAGUAAGAAAUAAGGAAAGCUACCCAACUAGAUAUGAACUUUAGAUAAAGCAAUGGGCAAAGCCUUGGCUAUAACAAUAAGUCACUCUCGGUCUUUAUAAAUGGUGCAAUGGGUUGAACGAUAUGCUCUAUAACAAUUUUAUCGCUUACAAGUAAAUUACCCUUCUUCACUGGUGUUUCAAAAUUACAUAUUAGGAUUUUUUUCUAAUAGAUGCGUCAACAAUAAAGUUGUGACCAAAUAUGAAAGCAAGUAAAUUACUUGAUAGACAUACCUCUUCAAAUUUGUUGGGAGAGCAUGAUGGUGGUGUGACAUGAACAAUAUCUUGCUCCGUCUUUGGAUGGCUCCCCAACGCCUUUUCAUCAUAUUCUUUAUUCUUGAUUCCGUGCAUUAUUACAUCGAAGAUCUUUGUCAACCGAGCUUUUUCGGCUACUUGUUCUUGUCCUCGAGGCUUGUCAAUUUCUACGGCACGGAACUCAUAGGGCAGGAAGUAGGUUCCAUUAACUUUAAAAAAAUCAGGCACGACUAUUUCCUAUGCUUGCCACGACCUUUCUCAAUAAUGCUUGCCUAUUUGGAUUUGAUGGAUUCAGAAUAUACACUACUUGAUUCGGGGUUUUCAAGCGAAGUAUUUUCAUGUUAUGAACCAUCCUUCUUUUCAUUGACUCUACCAAUUGGCAAUGCUUCUUUUAUUUGAGCCAAUUCUUUUUCUGUUUGUUUCUGACAGUGUGCGAAAAAAUUGGCUUUAAGCUGUUUCUCAAUUUCAGCCCACUCCGGAUAUGAUUGCCUCCCAAUGCUUUUAGAUUCUUUCGGCGAUCACACAUGAGUGUUACCAAAACUUUGCAAUUGCAUAGGGGGUGUAUAAUAUUUGGGCAGUAUAACCGCACCUAAUCCCUGCUCUCUCACGCCAUUAGGCUUUGUGGCUGUUCGUUUUGGUGAUUUAACCAUUCUUGGCUGUCAGAUCUACUUGAUGUAGCGUCAUUGCCCAAUUCCUACAGCAUCCAGGCCCAACUUUCCUAAGGGGUUGGUACUCUGGAAGAAAAAACUGAAGCCUCUUGUUAAUUAGGCCACUUGAGGCAGCCCAUUUGACCAUCCUGACUCCAAUCUGUCGAUGGCUCGCUGCAGCUGUCCCUUGUACCUAAAAAACAAAUGUGCGGUCAAUAAGAUGUGUUGGACUCAAAUAGAGGAGGCGCUCGAAGGAGCCAGGCACGCGAGGGGAUCGAGCGGUGGCAAAACAAGAUGAGUCGAGCGACGGGAGCGGAGGCGCGCUAGUGGAUCCAUCGUCACGUGGUUCAGCCAAUGCGUGCGAGGGGAACCGAUCCAACCUAAGAGGGGAUCCAGCGGAUGCGCGGGAUAUGGAUGAAUCAGGAGCAAGUGAGGCAGUCAUCAGAGAUGAAUUGGGUUAUUUUGUAGCUGCUGCAACAUGUUCUGCCACAUGUUUCUGAUGCGGCUACUACUGAAGCAAAUGCUCUCAGGAAUGGUAUUAAUUUGGCAACUCAUUUGGGAGUCUUGAGGAUAGAUGCUGAGUCAGAUUGUGAACUUGUGAUUGAUGCAGUAAAAGAUACUUAUAGAUUCAAUGGUUCCCAAGCAACAACAAUUAUUGAAUCCGUUCAACUCUCUUGUGACUUCGAACAGGUGAAAUGUUCUUUACGCAACCGAGACGAAAACAGUGUAGCAAAUGCUUUGGCUAAGCAAGCAUAUAUGCUGAAGAAUUCUUCUGUUUGGGAAGAUGACCCGCCUAAUUUCAUUUCUUCUUUGAUUGUAAAUGACAUUGCUAUUGUCUGAGAAACGAAAUCUUUACCCUGUUAAAAAAAAUUAUUCCUCCCCAAUUAUUUGCUCAUCAUUGGAAUUGUUCUCAAAAUUGAUAAAAUUUAGCCCAUGCAAAAGACAAAAAUAUUUAUCCGCUUGCACUUUCAAUCAGUAAUUUGGACCAGAGUGUUUGGUCUAAAGCAAAGUGCCUCUUUCUAGAUGCUUAAGAAUUGACACUUCAAAAUAUGACUGACCGUUUUGUAAGGAAAAUAUGAUUGAUCAUGAUCUAGAAGCCUCUAAACAAAACCAAGUUUGCCAAUUGAAAGUGGAAAAAUGAUUCAAAAGAAUGAACGCGCCAGAAGGGGAACUCAAAUCCAAGUUGUAUUUUGCGCCCAUCUUAUACUAUUUACUAAUUGGAGGCACCAAGCGAGGUUUCAUGUUAAUCCCGGUAGUUAGAAAAUUUGGACCAUUAGAUUUACUAAUGAUACAUCGAUGGCCGUCAGAUAAUGUCUUGAUGCGCCUCUUCACGUACGAGACAGACUCCUCUAUUUGCACCUCCUUACGUGAUAAAAAAAAUUGAAAUAAAAAUCAGCGGGGAAGCACCUCUUCACGUGGAGGAGACAGACUCCUCUCUUUCCACGUCCUUAUGCAUGAUAAAAAAAACUGAAAUAGAAACUAGCAAAAAAAACACGACUAUGUAAUCCUCGCCUCCUACCCUCCUUCCUCCCAUCACCGCUUCUUCUCCGCAAGCAGGACUGAUCCCCCUCGAUCUGCUGACCACCAAUCUCCCUCAUCUGGUCUUCAAGGCAGCUCCAGCACCAUCUAUCUCCUUCCUCGGGCUACCUUAGAGAUUGCCUCCCCAAUUUAUUGAGGUAUUAGCCCCCCUCCAUGCUUGCCACGUACUUAAGUAGGUCGGAAAAAUUGGCCACGUGUAUAGUAGAAUUCAGCAGCAUGUGUUGCAUUGGAGAUGCAUGAGGAGAAUCAAGCUCCCUGCCCCUUUUUGCUGCAGGUAGGUAUAUGGUUUCUAUCUAAUCAACUAUUUUGUAUCUAUAUAACAUGGGACACUAGCAACCAAGUAGAGUUAAAUCCUAUAGUUGUUACCAAUUCAACUAUUAUCCAUACAAUUGUCCAUCCUUAGAUUUGAGUGGAACCCAAAAUGAAUACCAAUAUGGCUGCUAGAGUAUGGAACUUACUAAGGUUAGAUGGCAGUGGAAUUAAUUAGGUUUUUAUUCAAUCUGAUUUCUACUAUGUACUGCCAGUUUGGUUUCAAUGUCAAUGGAAUAAAAUAAUGGACAAAUGAAUGUCAGAAUAAUUUUAUACGAAGACUACAAAAUAUUCUCUCCUUGAUUUUAUUAUUUUGUUUCCAUAUCACACUGCACUGAAGAUAAAGAGCGGUGUGGGGAUGUUUUAAUAACUCAGGGGGUUCUGGCUGAGGGCGAGAGAUCUUGAUGGAGAAUGUGUUCUAGAGCUCAGAUAUAGAGGGGUCUGUAUCAAUGAACACUUGCAACAUACAAUAUACAGCUGUGUGGAGUUUGUUCCAGACGAAGUAGCAUUUACACACGUAAAUGUUGCUCUGUCGUAUAAGCAAUAUAAAAAGUGCUGCGAUCGCCAUGUAUGGCUGUUUAAGGCAGACUGCUAGAUUAUGGAAUGAUUGGAAAUUGUUGAGCCUGAAUGACUGGAAGAGGGAUUCUAAUCCUAUGGGAAACCAUUAUGAAUAUUUAACAAAUAUCCAGUAACAGAUGUUGAUUUUCAUUAUAACAUACCUAAAAUUCAUUGAAAAAGGUUGUGUAAUUUCUCCCUAAUCAUUAAGUGCAUAGUUUUAUCACCAAGUUAUCCUAGACAUACAUCCUCGCGAACAAUAUCACCAAGUUGCUUGCAUACUGCACUACAAGUUUAGAACAUUUGAUUGCUUAUGAUACAAACCAAUGCUCAAAUUUGAAGAAUUAUACUUUUUGGAUUAUGGUUCAAUUUAUUAUUUGACAAUCGAGGACACGUUGCUUCACUUCAAUUUCACAUGUUUAGUAUACGAGAAUGCCUUGGCCCAGGAUUCCUGGGCGGGGAGGUUGAGGUACAAAACCUUUCACUGAGUGGAGAUAUCAAACGUUGCCAUGGAAGGAGCAUGAUCCAAGAUCUCAUAGGCAGGUAGCAGAAUCGCAUGGAGUGGAGCUCGCUUCCCCAAUGUCCUCUUGGCUGACUUAAAAACAAAUCAGGAAUCUCGUACGUGAGCACGUCCUCAAGCACGCAUCCGUCACCUGUAGCGUUCAACUGGGCUCCGUCAGCACAUCAGCAGUCUCGGAGUUCAAACUUGCUCAUGCAUGCAGCCUUGUAGCAAGAAGCAAAGUAUAUACGAUCGUAUUGAAGACUUGGCUCAUAGUAGCAAUGUCUAAUCCAUGGAACCCAGAGCUAUGCACUACUACACUAGCACAUGAUAGCUAGGUAUAUAAAUUUUUCACUACUCCAUCUGUAUAAUACAACACACCCUCUACAUUUUAUCAGUAUCGACUGCAACUUAUGGACUAUGGGUGAAAAUUGUACUACAACAUAGUUUUGGAGUGUACAUUUGUGAAUUUAGGUUAUUUUUUUUGUAACAAAAUAGAUCCAAAUGGUAUACAUAUUUUAGAUGACCAAUUUAUUUGCUUGAUGUUCCCACAGAGGGAUGCCUAUGUGGAUAAAUUAGUUUUAUUUGUCACCCAAACAUUGCUAUACAAUUUGACAUUUGCUUGCAAUUACGGGUUCCACCCUUCAAGCCAUUUCUAGAUGGGAUGUUACAUUAAUUGUGUGAGUGACUAGAAACAAGUUCAUAGCGAAUUAGGCACUGAAUAUGCAUCUGUACAGGCUAUGUUGCUACAUAAAUAAAAGAGGCGGCCAUGCACAAUACGAUAGUUCGAACAACAGAUAGUUGAAAAGAUAAAAUAAUUGAUAGGGUGUGCUAAUGGAGGGGUAGAUAUUAAUAGUAUAUGUGGACUAUCCAGUUACCCAUGACACUCAGAAUUACAAAUUGACAUGUGGGUUGUUACUCAACUUACUACACAUAUGUAUUAUUAAAUUUCAUAUAACCUUGGGAAUAUAAAAAAGUUCUUUUGCAGCCAGCCAUCAAAUUGGAUAUUUGUAUCAAGAUUAUGUUUUCCAUCUAUGGGAACUUGCAGCUUUUAUUAUAUUUCUUUAUUGAAACCUGUCGGUGUACUAGAGUCGGGGUACCCUAGUAUCCCGAACUUGUGCACGGGAAGUUGUAGCACCCCGCGGUAAGGCUUGCCGGGCGACCGCCAAGGUCCUCCGUGGCUCCCUUGGGGCCAUUCAAGAACAAAGUAUUCAAGCCAAGGAGACAAGGCCCCGGCAAGAGGAGCUUGCCGGGAAGGCCAACCAAGGCAUCUCAAGGAACUUGCUGCAACGCACCGCGCGUCCCGGCAAGGCCUGGUGAGCGACAAGCUUCCGGGCGCAACAAGACAACGACCGCGGCAGGGCGCUUGCCGCGGCAAGUAACCACCUUGUACCCGCGCUCCAGCACAUCCACCAACGUGUCGCCCUGGGGCCUUCCCAGGCGCGUGUGGCAGGAGGCUGUGCAGCCAGCGGCGCGCGGUGGCAUGCGACGCUGACAAGAUUGCCAUCGUGGCAAACGGUGGCGUCCCUGACGGUCCUUUUCUGCACUGUUUGGGCGACACAGACGGGCAUUUAAUGCCCUUGUCCCCUGCCGUCAGGGUUAGGAAGGAUACACUGUACAAGUAGUUGUACCAACCGCAGCUCCUUUUACGUUUUUACCCUUGUCUGCGUUGCCACCUGUCGGUGACCCCUUGAACAUAUAAAAGGAGGCCCAUGCGCAACGUAGCAUUCAGCGCUCCCGAGCAAGAACACAAUACAAUCAGACAAGCAGCAGUAGGAGUAUUAUCUCUCCGGAGAGCUCUGAAGCUGGGUAAACUGCUCGUGUGCUUCGCCUCGAUCUGCUCUUCGUGCGAUCCCCGCCCCCCGUCGAACUGAAAGGGGCUCGGUCCGCCGGUCCCAUAGGUGUUCAUGGAUCAGUUUCCCUGACAUCUUUUCGCUCGGCAAGGCUUGCCGCCUCUGCUGCCUCUGCCUCCUCCACGGUGAAUUCAAACACGCCCGCGGCAGCGGCUGCUGCCGCCUCUUCCAGCCUGGUGGCGAUGCGCUGCAUCUCAUCAUCGGUGGUGUCGCGUGUGAGGCUCUUCUGCUCGUCGGCGCGGACCGGCACUUCCUCUAGGCCGUCGAAGAACGCCCGCACAACGUCGUUGGCAGGCUCUUGCUAGGUUGGGACAAUCCCAUGCGAAUCGCACAACGGCAUCAUUGCGCGGAUGCGGUCGAGCGAGGAGUUGUUGCAUAACGGAACGACACCCCUCGACAGCAUGAAUGGAUGUUGGGGAUCGCGCUUGAAUAGCUCCAGGAGCAUCGCAUCCAGCUCCAGGACAGUGAAGUUGAAGUUUAGGCCCGGGCGCAGCCUCAUGAUAUCCACUGAGUUCUGGAACUCCCAGGCUGGUCUCCUCCUCUCCUGUAGGGGGGCGAUGCGGCGGGGAAGAAAAUCUGCGCCAACUGCACCUACAGUGAGCCCGGCAAGCCUGAGGCGAAGGAUGCGGGUGACGGCGAUUUUCAGCCUGUCGUCUUCCGGGGCCACGUUGCUCCAAUCGUUACCACGCACUAUUGGGGCUUGGCGUAGGGCGGUAAAUGGCUGCGGGUUCUCCUCGACGACCCAGCCCCACUCUGCUCUCCACUCCUCCCAUUUGCUGCGGAGCUCUCCCUCCAGAUAGGCUUCCUUCUUGCUGACCCUCGAGAUCCAAGCAAUUCCGCCGGCAAGGGGCUCUCCUCUCUCGACUUGGGGCAUAAAGAAGUGGCGGAAAAGGGCUACGUUUGGGUGGACUCCGAUGAAGUUUUCGCACAAAUGUGCAAAAACUGCCAUGGUCAAAACGGCAUUGGGGGUGAAAUCAAGGAGGCGGAACCCGUAGGUGUUCAUGAUAUCGCAGAAGAAUUCAGAGAAGGGUGGGAAGAGCCCGCAGUAGAAGAACAACGCGAAGAAGGGGUACCCGUUCGGAGCUAGUCUCGAAGCGGCGGCCGGGAGUACCUUCGUGCGUGGAUGCGCUCGCGUCUCCGUCGACCAGAAGAGGUAGUAGUACUCCCUUAGCUCCUUCGCGUCAAGCUGAGGGGGGAAGAUGGCCCGCUCCUUUCGCAGCGCCGCGAGCCGCUGCGCCUCGGCCGACUUCACGCCCUUCCCCUUGUCGGCUUUCGGAGCCAUGGCGGAGGUGGUGAGGGAGAUCGGCGGCGUCGGUGGAGCUGGUGGCAAUGGGGGGGCGGAGCGCUGCUCUCUUUCAGCUUCGGGAAGAAGGGGGAGCGGCGGAGAUUUUCGAGAAUGGAGUAGCAACCGGCGAAGUGGGCAAACUGACCCUGUUUCCCCUUCUUAUAAAGAGGGAGGGGCGGACGUUUCGCCCUUCCGAAUAAAGAAACCACCCACGAUAUCUCCCACGAUGCCGCAUUCAACGCGUGCCAUUCGGGGAGGGCGCGGUGGAUACGGAGUAAGAUACGGCGUAACCCAGGCCGCGCGUGCUCGUGCCCUGCUUUGGGCCUGGCCCAACAGCGCUCGGCACCGUGUGUGGCCCAGGCCCGGGGGCUCCUGUCGGUGUACUAGAGUAGGGGUACUCUAGUAUCCCGAACUUGUGCACGGGCAGUUGCAGCACCCCGCGGCAAGGCUUGCCGGGCGACCGCCAAGGUCCUCCGUGGCUCCCUUGGGGCCAUUCAAGAACAAAGUAUUCAAGCCAAGGAGACAAGGCCCUGGCAAGAGGAGCUUGCCGGGAAGGCCAACCAAGGCAUCUCAAGGAACUUGCCGAAAUGCGCCGCGCGUCCCGGCAAGGCCUGGUGAGCGACAAGCUUCCGGGCGCGACAAGACAACGACCGCGGCUAGGCGCUUGGCGCGGCAAGUAACCACCCUGUACCCGCGCUCCAGCACAUCCACCAACGUGUCGCCCUGGGGCCUUUCCAGGUGCGCGUGGCAGGAGGCUGUGUAGCCAGCGGCGCGCGGUGGCAUGCGACACUGACAAGAUCGCCAUCGUGGUGAACGGUGGCGUCCCUGACGGUCCUUUUCUGCACUGUUUGGGCGACACAGACGGGCAUUUAAUGCCCUUGUCCCUUGCCGUCAGGGUUAGGUAGGAUACACUGUACAAGUAGUUGUACCAACCGCAACUCCUUUUACGUUUUUACCCUUGUCUGCGUUGCCACCUGUCGGUGACCCCUUGAACAUAUAAAAGGAGGCCCAUGCGCAACGUAGAAAGGGGGUUCGAAGCCAGAAAAUGACACACGCUCAGUCUCGUUAGCAGCUAGAGUGUACUGUAGCAUUCAGCGCUCCCGAGCAAGAACACAAUACAAUCAGACAAGCAGCAGUAGGAGUAUUAUCUCUCCGGAGAGCUCCGAAGCUGGGUAAACUGCUCGUGUGCUUCUCCUCGAUCUGCUCUUCGUGCGAUCCCCGCCCCCCGCUGAACCAAAAGGGGCUCGGUCCGCCGGUCCCAUAGGUGUUCGUGGAUCAGCUUCCCCGACAAAACCAAAAUAUACAAUUGAAAAACAUGAACAAGUAUAUUAUACCAUGUGCCCUUUAAACAUGCUACCAUUAUUUACACAAAACAAAACAAUAUGAUGCAUUACUAAAUUGUCUAAAGAUCUGGCCCGCGCAUCGAGCGGGCCACUUUGCUAGUUCAAGAAAAGCUCAUGUCUUUACAGAAAUGUUCAAUUCCCCAUCAGUUUGAACUUGUAAUGUGUAGUGAUUUUUUAAAAAUUCAAACCUACCUAAUUUUGACCAAGUUUAUAGAAUAAAACAUAUAUAUCUACUAUAGAAAAUCAGUAUCAUUAGAUUCAUGAUGAAGUAUAUUUCCAUAUUUGAUUUAUUUAGGGGCUGUUCGGAAAGCCUCCACGCCCUCGCCACGGAGCGGAGCGGACGGAGCGACUUUCUGGCCACUCCGUAGAUUAUAGUUGCAUGCCACUCCACUCCGGAGUGGAGCUGCGGAGUCGGAGUGAGUCCGAACAGGCCUUUAGUAUUGUAGGUGUUAGAUGUAUUUUGCUACAGAUUUGAUCAAACAUAGGAAACUUUGACUUUUGGAAAUUUAAUUCACCUUAUAUUUUGACAGACAUGGAGUAGUAUGAUGGGACCAGAUCCAUGAACCUUCAUCUCAAACCCAUGUAUUCAUGAGGUGUGAUGUUAAUUUUAACAAAUCUGCCCAUGGACAGAACCUCGAUACCAUGAUUCACAGACCAACCCACAUAGAAUUUCUGUAAACUGACAUAUACGCCGAGUUCAUCUUGUGGUAUAUCCCUGAACUUUUCUGAUGAAAAUGCUCUUAGUUGGGAUGCCAUCAGGCUCCAAACCAAACCAAAGCAAACCUGGGAGCACUUUACUUACCAAUAAAUUAAGAUAACUUUUGCAUAAGGUUUUGUCAUAAUUCGUUACCAAGAUAGGUAGCACUGUAUAGUUUCCUAGCAGCAACAUUUGGCCAGCUUCUUAGAUUUUAUCUAUAUGAAUAGUAGAUUUGCUCAUUUCGAUUUAUAACAUUGCAAAUGUUCACCUCAGCUUCCAUAUUAACAUAAUGGAACGUUGUUAGGUGUAUUUGAAGGUUGCCAGUUUAGGUCAAAAUAAGCAUGAGACCAGUUUGAUUCUUUUAGGGGUCACCUACAUGAUGAAAGAUGCUCAGGCACACAUCAUUGUUCUGUUUUCCCAUGCCAGGUCAUACUUGGUCUGUAACUGAAUCUUGAGAAUUCAUUUGUAUGACUUGAUGUACAAACGUGUUAUUCAUAAUGAAAAUAAUAUCAUUGUAUGUGCUUAAAAUAUUAUGUCAUAAUUCUGUAAAAAAAUGGCAUCUUCUACAAGAUAAAGAAGUGAUAACGGUAAAAAAAAUCUUUGGGCAGUCUCCAUGUGUAGGAGUUUGGAACGUUUAGAUAUUAGGAAGUGUGCAUUAAUUCUCCCGAUGGAAAAUCGCCCAGCUAGGGAAUGAGAAUAGCGACACGAAAUAAAGAUUUUUGAUGUGUUUGUAUUUAAAACAAGAUAAGGGCAAGAUAAUAAAAAUUGAUGUAUGUUUUGACAAAUGUUUAAAUAACUACAGAUAACAAUGUCUGCACACUAUCGAUACACACUUGAACUCACAUACAUGGAUGGGUAUCAUCACUAUCCUAACCAUUCAACUAUUGGCUGGUUUCAAUAACAUUUGGUUUAUCAUCCAAUAACAUAUUAUUGCAUUUGAUAGUAUGAUUUAUGUUAGUUGAUUGUAAAAAAAGAGAUGCGUGUUCUUUUAGAUGACAUUGUUCUCGGCUAUUUUAGCUUUAUGAAUUGCAUCUUAAAUUUUUGUAAAAGCACGUGGCAACGCACGGGCGUUAUACUAGUCAAUGUAAUGACAUACAGAUUAAAUUUACUAUUUAUCUCUGUUACUCAAGUGAAGUCCUCUUGGUGUUAAUAAUUUGACAUAAUGCAUGAUGUGCUUCUAUGUUAUUGGUUUCCACAAUAUAUCGAUGUCGGUUUUCUUUUUUUAAUAUGUUGAAAAGUAUAUAAUUAUUUAUAAUAUUACGUUGUACUAAAGUCACUAGUAUAAAAAGCCUCAUUCGUCCCGGUUCGUGAGGGCCAUUUGUCCCGGUUGCCAAACCGGGACUAAAGGGUUGGUACUAAAGCCCUAUACCUUUAGUCCCGGUUCGCCCAGAAACCGGAACAUAUGGGGCUCCACGUGGCCGCUGUCGCUUGCCCAGGCAGGAAGACCAUACCUUUUGUCCCAGUUCGUUCCACCAACUAGGACCAAAAGGCUUCCACGCGUCAGCAGUUUUUGAUUUUUUUUNNNNNNNNNNNNNNNNNNNNNNNNNNNNNNNNNNNNNNNNNNNNNNNNNNNNNNNNNNNNNNNNNNNNNNNNNNNNNNNNNNNNNNNNNNNNNNNNNNNNNNNNNNNNNNNNNNNNNNNNNNNNNNNNNNNNNNNNNNNNNNNNNNNNNNNNNNNNNNNNNNNNNNNNNNNNNNNNNNNNNNNNNNNNNNNNNNNNNNNNNNNNNNNNNNNNNNNNNNNNNNNNNNNNNNNNNNNNNNNNNNNNUUUUGUAGGGUUAAUUUAGGGAUUUCAUAUAUUGUGUUAGCUAGCUAAUAGAGAGAAGUGUCCUCUCUUAUCUCCGCGCUUGGUCGAUGCUAUGUAUAGAGAACACUCGACACGCUAGCUAGCUAGUAAGCAAAUGAAUGAAACCAUUAAGUACAAAAGAUCGUCAUGAACAUAUAUACACAGAGAGAAGUGAUUGACCUCUCCGUCUCCGAUAGAUUUGUUGAACAACAAGUUUUCGUAUAUCUAUCCAACGCUACUGGCUAGAUAUACAUAUAUAUAUACAAUGGUCUCAACUUCCACAUGGUAUUCUCCGUGUUUGUCGCUGACGUGGUCAAGAAAGAAUCCCGCCAAUUCCUCUAUGCGAUCUUGUGGUAGGAGUUCAUCCCGCAUCUGCCAAUUUCAAGAAGAAGAUAAAUACAUAUAUAUGAAUGAAACUGAACACAAAUGAUGGUUAUAGAAUAAAAUUGUGAAUAUUAUUGCUUACGCACUUCAUAUUGUUGUUUAGAGUAGCCCCGCUCACAGGUGGUGUGGUGGAUGAACUCGCAAAUGUAGUAUCCACAGAAAUCAAACUGAUAAGCAAGCAUGCUAAAUGGUAUUGAUGAAACUAGCUAGAAUCAAUGGGAGAUGCGCGGAACUAGCUAGUAGCUAGUACUUACUUUUGGGUGGUCAAAUCACAGUUGCGCCGGCAGUCCUGGAGCUUGUGCAGUGAACUUUUUCCAAACCCUGCCAGAUAGAAAACAAUUACUUGAUAUCAGGAAAUGAACAAAGUUGCCGAUAUGGUGCGAUAAUGAUCGAUUGAACUUACUUCUCGAGCAUUUUAGUCAUGGUCGCAUACUCCUCUAGAUUUUUUUCGUUUGGAGUCUAUGACAGUUACUAGUCCCUGCUAAAGCUUAAUCUCUAGCAAAAUAAAGUGGAAGUUUUGCAUGCAUGCAUAACUCAUCAAUUACAUUACUAUAACCUCGAGUAAUAAGGGAAACUAAAUAUGCACAAGACAGUAACACUCACUUGUAUUCGUAAGGAAAGAGUAUGGUAGCUUUGUUUUGAUUUCGAAGUAACGAUGCGAGCAAGUUGGCCUCGGUUUGUAUGGCAUCAUGUUUAACACUCAAUUCAUCCAUGAGAUUUAUGUUAAUGAACCCAAUAUCACCUAGUUGUCUUUUCUUCAACUCGGCGAUCUUCAAUCUGCAUAAUAUAGUGAGGAUAACUAUAUAUACAUGCAAUGAAAGAGCUGAGCUAUAUAUAGACACUUAAUUAAUUACAGAGAAGUAGUACUUACACACAGUCACUACUAGGGAAAAGCCUAGGAGCAGCGCGGGUUUUAGGCCUAUCAGUAGCGCGGGCAGGAGCGCUACUGAUAAGGCGCUACAGCUAAUGCUUAGCAAUAGCGCGCCUCGACCCACGCUACUGGUAAAUUGACUUAGUAGUAGCGCUCCUUCAGAACAGCGCUACUGGUAAUUAGUAGUAGCGCUUCUCCUCUCCUGCGCUACUACUAUUAUUUAGUAUUUUAUUUCUUUUUUAUUUCAUGUUGUAUUCAUACACCUUUACACAAGUUUUCACACAACAGGAAUUUAGAGAUUGUUUUUACAUAAUAAUGAGUUAUUACAUCAUGGGGUGAAAGAACCGUGGACUAGUUUCAAGUGGAUGGGUUUCAAGUGGAUGUCCAUCCACUUGAAACUAAUCCGCGGUUCUUUCACCCAAUGAUAUAAUAAUAUCAUCACCAUCAUCAUAUCAUUAACAACUUAUCAUCAUAAUACAUCAUUGUCAUAUAACACCUCCUCAAGAUCAUCGUUUUCAUCAUUGACAUCACAUAACACCUCCUCAAGAUCAUCAUUAUCAACUCUAACACAUUACCACAUAAUAAACAUAUUGUACCUCAUAGGACCUAUUACAUUCGAUUAAGACCUACUACAUUUUCUAAGGUAAAAUAGCAAAAAACAAGAUAGCCCCUGACUCUCCAUUAUGGAGAAUGGAGAUUAGCCUGUCUCCAAUUCUUGCCUUUCACUGAAUGUUACUUCCAAGAACUUCCUUGCGAAUGUCCAUACAUUUCUUCCAUACUGAAUGUUACCGUGGUUCAACACAUGCACUAGUGGCAUGUAUUCACCAUAAUUUGGAGGAGUUCAAUAAUAGUUAUUGAAAUUCUCAAGAAGAGUACAAAAUGCGGUCAGAUGAUUUUUCUCCUUAUACGUUAAUUUGGUGCCAUCGGUGUAGUGGAUUUUAUCUACCAUCUUCCGCACAGCCUUUGAAGAAUCAAAAUAAGCUGUCAAUGGAAAUAAGAUAUCAACUAUUUUGAAAUAAACAAUAUAAAUUAGUUAAUAACUAUGUUUGAGAAACUCACAUAGCGGUACAAUCGGAAGCGUAUCAACAAGGACCCAAAUGUCCAUAUUGUCUUGCUCGAUGUCAGGAUCACCAAGAUCCAUGGUGACAAUCAUACCCUCACAAAAACCAUACAUUUUGCAAAGUGCUUCCCAAUUUUGGCAACCAAAAUGGGUUACGCUCUGAGCAUUUCACAGAUUUACUUCAAAAUCCAUAUCAUGAUGGGUCCUUAGGUGUAUUUUCUUUGUUUCGAAAUUUUCAUGGUCUUCAAAACCCAUCCUCUCCAAGACAUAGCGUCUUGCAUGGCAUGGGAUAAUCUAGUCGAAUUGUAAAAUAUGAAAAUUAGACGUUGAAAUAGUUGAAGUCAUGCUUAAUUACGAAAAAACACUUGUCGUUAUUGCGUACCGUUUCACAAUCGAAGGUCUCCUCGAGCUUAAUGCUGAAGCACCGAUCUUCGUCCAGCCGAACGAAGCUGUCGCACAUACCUCAAUCAUCGUGGCACCAGCUACACUCCCCCGGGAGACUGUCGUCGUCCGAGUAUGACAUUUGCUACAAUCAUAAUUCAAAGAUUAAACUUGUACAUAUUCUAGCACAAGUCAUGCCAGAAUUCACAAAAAAAUCUGGCAUGACCUUUGCUAAAAAAGGACAUAUCGAGCGCCUGAAAUUUGCUGGAACGGAAAUUAAUCAACACUCCGGCAAAACAUAGGCCACUCGAAGAUGUAAACUGAACAUGAACGGCCACUUGGGCAACCACAUAUCCUAUUUGAGCAACAACACAAGAUAUACAAGGAUAUUUGGCUGGUCUCACCUUGAUGCCGGAGGGGGUCGGUGACUUGGACGACGGCGGGGAUGUCGGAGGGGGUCGGUGACGGGGACGACGGUGCUCACCUGAAACCAUAUAAGUUAUCACUAAUACAUCCCGAAUAGUUGCUUAAACUAAAAAAUAACAACAAAUAUGACAUAUUCAACUAGUUUUAUUAAUUCAACUAGUUCAUACUAAAUAUAAACUUACUAUAAAUAGAAAAAAACUAGUUCUUUCUAAAAAUAAAGUAGUUCAACUAGUUAUAUUAAUUAUCUUACUAAAAAUACAUUAGUUCUAUUCAUUCAACUAGUUCAACUAGUUUAUUAAUUUAUUUACUAAACUAGUUCAACUACAACUAAAGUAGUUCAACUACCACUACUACUACUAAAAAUCUAGUACUAACUAAGCAACAUCUAGUACUAGCUAUGAACCCUAAAUUAACAUCUACUACUACUAAAUCUAGUACUAACUAGUGGCAGGGGUGGGGGCGAUGGAGAGGUAGCUAGGGGCGGCGAGGUCNNNNNNNNNNNNNNNNNNNNNNNNNNNNNNNNNNNNNNNNNNNNNNNNNNNNNNNNNNNNNNNNNNNNNNNNNNNNNNNNNNNNNNNNNNNNNNNNNNNNNNNNNNNNNNNNNNNNNNNNNNNNNNNNNNNNNNNNNNNNNNNNNNNNNNNNNNNNNNNNNNNNNNNNNNNNNNNNNNNNNNNNNNNNNNNNNNNNNNNNNNNNNNNNNNNNNNNNNNNNNNNNNNNNNNNNNNNNNNNNNNNNNNNNNNNNNNNNNNNNNNNNNNNNNNNNNNNNNNNNNNNNNNNNNNNNNNNNNNNNNNNNNNNNNNNNNNNNNNNNNNNNNNNNNNNNNNNNNNNNNNNNNNNNNNNNNNNNNNNNNNNNNNNNNNNNNNNNNNNNNNNNNNNNNNNGGCGGAGGGAGGAGGCCGGCGUCAGAGGAGGGAGGGGCGGCCGUAGGCGGAAGGAGGAUGGCGGCGACGGAGGAGGGAGGGGCGGCCGCAGGCGGAGGGAGGAGGGAGGAGGAGGGAGGACGGACGGAAGGAGGGGAGUACCUCGGCGGUGGACGGACGAAGACGGCGGCGGCGGCGGCGACGCAAGAUGACGGUUAUCGGCACGCGGGCGAGAGGGAGAUCAUUGUGAGUGAGGGCCAGUCGUGCGCGUGGGGAUAAGGUAGGGAUAGUUGUAGCGCAUUUGCCAAAACGCGCUACAGCUAAUCUGAAUAGCAGUAGCGCUUUGCAUAUAAACCGCUACUGCUAAGUGUAACUAUACAACAAAUACAUCAAUGCAAAAAUACAUUGGCCAUCAAUGAUAUUUUUGUGUACAAUCUGAAUUGUCAAUAUGAGUCCCCUCCGGUAGGAACCGGAGAGGACUCAUAUUGCCGCCACAAAUUUUACACAUAGUGUUCAGUGAAGACCAACUGGUUGUGGUAGUUUCAGAAAUAACAAAUUUAAGGUGGUAAACACCCUGUUCACGGAGCGAGGUGGGACUAAACUUGUGGGCUGAUCUUAGUAGUAGCGGUUUUCCUAGAAGCGCGCUGCUAACUUCUAUAGCAGUAGCGCUAUUCUGUACAGAGCGCUACUGCUAUAACUAGCGGGGGGGGGGGGCGAGGUCAUGGCAAUUUUAGCAGUAGCGCGGUUUGUGGUGGACGCGCUAAUGCUAUUUUCCUUUUAGCAGCGGGUUUUGGUGAAACGCGCUGCCGCUAAAUAGCAGUAGCGUGGUAUUUUGAGGAGCGCUGCUGGUAAGAUUCUGUGUAUAGGCUUUUCCCUAGUAGUGAGUAGCUGUUGGGGAACGUAGUAAUUUCAAAAAAAUUCCUACGCACAUGCAAGAUCAUGGUGAUGCAUAGCAACGAGAGGGGAGAGUGUUGUCCACGUACCCUCAUAGACCGAAAGUGGAAUUGUUAGCACAACGCGGUUGAUGUAGUCGUACGUCUUCACGAUCCGACCGAUCAAGUACCGAAUGCACGACAUCUCCGAGUUCAGCACACGUUCAGCUCGAUGACGUCCCUCGAACUCCGAUCCAGCCGAGCUUUGAGGGAGAGUUCCGUCAGCACGACAGUGUGGUGACGAUGAUGAUGUUCUAUCGUUGCAGGGCUUCACCUAAGCACCGCUACAAUAUUAUCAAGGUGGAUUAUGGUGGAGGGGGGCACCGCACAUGGCUAAUAGAUCUCAAGGAUCAAUUGUUGUGUCUAGAGGUGCCCCCCUGCCCCCGUAUAUAAAGGAGCAAGGGGAGGGGGUGGCCGGCCAGGAGGGGGCGCGCCAGGAGGAGUCCUACUCCCACCGGGAGUAGGACUCCCUCCUUUCCUUGUCCAAGUAGGACAUGGGGAAGGAAGGGGAGAGAGGAGAGGAAGGAAAGGAGGGCGCCCCCACCCCCUCCUUGUCCUAUUUGGUCUAGAGGGGGAGGCUGCGCGCGGCCUGCCCUGGCCGCCCCUCCUCUGCUCCACUCUGGGCCCAUGAGGCCCAUUAACCCCCCGGGGGGUUCCGGUAACCCCUCGGUACUCUGAUAUACAUCCGAUAACCUCUGGAACCAUUCUGGUGUCCGAAUAUAGUCAUCCAAUAUAUCAAUCUUCAUGUCUCGAGCAUUUCGAGACUCCUCGUCAUGUCCGUGAUCACAUUCGGGACUCUGAACUAUCUUCGGUACAUCAAAACAUAUAAACUCAUAAUAUAACCACCAUCUAACUUUAAGCGUGCGGACCCUACAGGUUCGAGAACUAUGUAGACAUGACCGAGACACAUCUCCGGUCAAUGUCCAAUAGAGGAACCUAGAUGCUCAUAUUGGCUCCCACAUAUUCUAUGAAGAUCUUUAUCGGUCAAACCACAUAACAACAUACGUUGUUCCCUUUGUCAUCGGUAUGUUACUUGCCCGAGAUUCAAUCGUCGGUAUCUCAAUACCUAGUUCAAUCUCAUUACCGGCAAGUCUCUUUACUCGUUACAUAAUGCAUCAUCUCGUAACUAACUCAUUAGCUACAUUGCUUGCAAGGCGUAUAGUGAUGUGCAUUACCGAGAGGGCCAAGAGAUACCUCGCCGAUAAUCGGAGUGACAAAUCGUAAUCUCGAAAUACGCCAACUCAACAUGUACCUUCGGAGACACUUGUAGAGCUCCUUUAUAAUCACCCAGUUACAUUGUGACAUUUGAUAUCACACAAAGUGUUCCUCCGAUAAACAGGAGUUGCAUAAUCUCAUAGUUGUAGGAACAUGUAUAAGUCAUGAAGAAAGCAAUAGCAAGUAGCAACACACUAAACGAUCAAGUUCUAAGCUAACGGAAUGGGUCAAGUGAAUCACAUCAUUCUCCUAAUGAUGUGAUCCCGGUAAUCAAAUGACAACUCAUGUCUAUGGUCAGGAAACAUAACCAUCUUUGAUUAACGAGCUAGUCAAGUAGAGGCAUACUAGUGAUAUUGUGUUUGUCUAUGUAUUCACACAUGUAUUAUGUUUCCGGUCAAUACAAUUCUAGCUUGAAUAAUAAACAUUUAUCAUGAUAUAAGGAAAUAAAUAAUAACUUUAUUAUUGCCUGUAGAGCAUAUUUCCUUCAGUAUCCCACUUGCACUAGAGUCAGCAAUCUAGAUUACAUAGUAAUGAUUCUAACACCCAUGGAGCCUUGGUGCUGAUCAUGUUUUGCUCGUGGAAGAGGCUUAGUCAAUGGGUCUGCAACAUUCAGAUCCGUAUGUAUCUUUCUAAUCUCUAUGUCUCCCACCUGCACUUGGUUCCGGAUGGAAUUGAAGCAUCUCUUGAUGUGCUUGGUCCUCUUGUGAAAUCUGGAUUCCUUUGCCAAGGCAAUUGCACAAGUAUUGUCACAAAAGAUUUUCAUCGGUCCCGAAGCAUUAGGUAUGACACCUAGAUCAGAUAUGAACUCCUUCAUCCAGACUCCUUCAUUUGCUACUUAUGAAGCAGCUAUGUACUCUGCUUCGCAUGUAGAUCCUGCCACGACACUUUGUUCAGAACUGCACCAACUAACAGCUCAACCGUUCAAUAUAAACACGUAUCCGGUUUGCGAUUUAGAAUCAUCCGGAUUAGUGUCAAAGCUUGCAUCGACGUAACCAUUUACGACUAGCUCUUUGUCACCUCCAUGAACGAGAAACAUAUCCUUAGUCCUUUUCAGGUAUUUCAGGAUAUUCUUAACCGUUGUCCAGUGAUCCACUCCUGGAUUACUUUGGUACCUCCCUGCUAAACUUAUUGCUAAGCAUACAUCAGGUCUAGUACACAACAUUGCAUACAUGAUAGAGCCUAUGGCUAAAGCAUAGGGACAGCUUUCAUUUUCUCUCUAUCUUCUGUUGUGGUCGGGCACUGAGUCUGACUCAACUUCACACCUUGUAAUACAGGCAAGAACCCUUUCUUUGCUUGAUCCAUUUUGAACUUUUUCAAAACUUUAUCAAGGUAUGUGCUUUGUGAAAGUCCAAUUAAGCGUCUUCAUCUAUCUCUAUAGAUCUUGAUGCCUAAUAUAUAAGCAGCUUCACCAAGGUCUUUCAUUGAAAAACGUUUAUUCAAGUAUCCUUUUAUGCUAUCCAGAAAUUCUAUAUCAUUUCCAAUUAACAAUAUGUCGUCUACAUAUAAUAUUAGAAAUGCUACAGAUCUCCCACUCACUUUCUUGUAAAUACAUGAUUCUCCAAAAGUCUGUAUAAAACCAUAUGCUUUGAUCACACUAUCAAAGCGUUUAUUUCAACUCCGAGAGGCCUGCACAAGUCCAUAAAUGGACCGCUGGAGCUUGCACACUUUGUUAGCACCUUUUGGAUCGACAAAACCUUCUGGUUGCAUCAUAUAGAACUCUUCUUCUAGAAAUCCAUUCAGGAAUGCAAUUUUGACAUCCAUUUGCCAUAUUUCAUAAUCAUAAAAUGUGGCAAUUGCUAACAUGAUUCGGACAGACUUAAGCAUCGCUACGGGUGAGAAAGUCUCAUCAUAGUCAACCCCUUGAACUUGUCGAAAACCUUUCGCAACAAGUCGAGCUUUGUAGAUAGUAACAUUACCAUCAGUGUCAGUUUUCUUCUUGAAGAUCCAUUUAUUCUCGAUGGCUUGCCUAUCAUCGGGCAAGUCAACCAAAGUCCAUACUUUGUUCUCAUACAUGGAUCCCAUCUCAGAUUUCAUGGCCUCAAGCCAUUUUGCAGAAUCUGGGCUCAUCAUCGCUUCCUCAUAGUUCGUAGGUUCGCCAUGGUCAAGUAACAUAACUUCCAGAAUAGGAUUAUCGUACCACUCUGGUGCGGAUCUUACUCUGGUUGACCUACGAGGUUUGGUAGUAACUUGAUCUGAAGUUUCAUGAUCAAUAUCAUUAGCUUCCUCACUAAUUGGUGUAGUCGUCACAGGAAUCGGUUUCAGUGAUGAACUAUUUUCCAAUAAGGGAGCAGGUACAGUUACCUCAGCAAGUUCUACUUUCCUCCCACUCACUUAUUUCGAGAGAAACUCCUUCUCUAGAAAGGAUCCAAAUUUAGCAACAAAAGUCUUGCCUUCAGAUCUAUGAUAGAAGGUGUACCCAAUAGUCUCUUUUGGGUAUCCUAUGAAGACACAUUUCUUCGAUUUGGGUUCGAGCUUAUCUGGUUGAAGUUUCUUCACAUAAGCAUCGCAGCCCCAAACUUCAAGAAACGACAACUUUGGUUUCUUGCCAAACCACAGUUCAUCAGGCGUCAUCUCAACAGAUUUUGAUGGUGCCCUAUUUAACGUGAAUGCGACCGUCUCUAAAGCAUAACCCCAAAACGAUAGCGGUAAAUGAGGAAGAGACAUCAUAGAUUGCACCAUAUCUAGUAAAGUACGAUUACGAUGUUCGUACACACCAUUACGUUGUGGUGUUCCAGGUGGCGUGAGUUGCGAAACUAUUCCGCAUUGUUUCAAAUGCAAACCAAACUCGUAACUCAAAUAUUCUCCUCCACGAUCAGAUCGUAGGAAUUUUAUUUUCUUGUUACGAUGAUUUUCCACUUAACUUUGAAAUUCUUUGAACAUUUCAAAUGUUUCAAACUUAUGUUUCAUAAAGUAGAUAUACCCAUAUCUGCUUAAAUCAUCUGUGAAGGUGAGAAAAUGAUGAUACCCGCCACGAGCCUCAAUGUUCAUUGGACCACAUACAUCAGAAUGUAUGAUUUCCAACAAAUAUGUUGCUCGCUCCAUAGUUCCGGAGAACUGCGUUUUAGUCAUCUUGCCGAUGAGGCAUGGUUCACAAGUACCAAGUGAUUCAUAAUAAAGUGAUUCCAGAAGUCCAUCAGUAUGGAGUUUCUUCAUGCGUUUUACACCAAUAUGACCCAAAUGGCAAUGCCACAAAUAAGUUGCACUAACAUUAUCAACUCUGCAUCUUUUGGCUUUGACAUUAUGAAUAUGUGUAUCACUACUAUCGAGAUUCAAUAAAAAUAGACCAUUCUUCAAGGGUACAUGACCAUAAAAGAUAUUACUCAUAUAAAUAGAACAACCAUUAUUCUUUGAUUUAAAUGAAUAACCGCCUCGCAUCAAACAAGAUCCAGAUAUAAUGUUCAUGCUUAACGCUAGCACCAAACAACAAUUAUUCAGGUCUAAAACUAAUCCCGAAGGUAGAUGUAGAGGUAGCGUGCCGACCGCAAUCACAUCGACUUUGGAACCAUUUCCCAUGCGCGUCGUCACCUCGUCCUUAGCCAAUCUUCGCUUAAUCCGUAGUCCCUAUUUCGAGUUGCAAAUAUUAGCAACAGAACCAAUAUCAAAUACCUAGGUGCUACUGCGAGCAUUAGUAAGGUACACAUCAAUAACAUGUAUAUCACAUAUACCUUUGUUCACCUUGCCAUCCUUCUUAUCCGUGAAAUACUUGGGGCAGUUCCGCUUCUAGUGACCAGUUUGCUUGCAGUAGAAUCACUCAGUAUCAGGCUUAGGUCCAGAUUUGGGUUUCUUCUCUUGAGCAGCAACUUGUUUGCCGUUCUUCUUGAAGUUCCCCUUCUUCUUCCCUUUACCCUUUUUCUUGAAACUGGUGGUCUUAUUGACCAUCAACACUUGAUGCUCCUUUUUGAUUUCUACCUCCACAUCUUUUAGCAUUGCGAAGAGCUCGGGAAUAGUCUUAUUCAUCCCUUGCAUAUUAUAGUUCAUCACGAAGCUCUUGUAGCUUGGUGGCAAUGAUUGAAGAAUUAUGUCAAUGACACUAUCAUCAGGAAGAUUAACUCCUAGUUGAAUCAAGUGAUUAUUAUACCCAGACAUUUUGAGUGCAUGUUCACUGACAGAACUAUUCUCUUCCAUCUUGCAGCUAUAGAACUUAUUGGAGACUUCAUAUCUCUCAAUCCGGGUUUUUGCUUGAAAUAUUAACUUCAACUCCUGGGACAUCUCAUAUGCUCCAUGACGUUCAAAACGUCGUUGAAGUACAGGGUUCUAAGCCGUAUAGCAUGGCACACUGAACUAUCGAGUACUCAUCAGGUUUGCUCUGCCAGACGUUCUUAACAUCGUCAGUUGCAUCUGCAGUAGGCAUGGCACCCAGUGGUGCUUCCAGGACGUAAUUCUUCUGUGCAGCAAUGAGGAUAAUCCUCAAGUUACGGACCCAGUCCGUGUAAUUGCUACCAUCAUCUUUCAACUUAGCUUUCUCAAGGAACGCAUUAAAAUUCAAGGGAACAACAGCACGAGCCAUCUAUCUACAACAAACAUAGACAAGCAAAAUACUAUCAGGUAGUAAGUUCAUGAUAAAUUUAAGUUCAAUUUAAUCAUAUUACUAAGAACACCCACUUAGAUAGACAUCCCUCUAAUCAUCAAAGCGAUCACGUGAUCCAAAUCAACUAAACCAUGUCUGAUCAGCACGUGAGAUGGAGUAGUUUUCAAUGGUAAACAUCACUAUGUUGAUCAUAUCUACUAUAUGAUUCACGCUCGACCUUUCGGUCUCAGUGUUCCGAGGACAUAUCUGUAUAUGCUAGGCUCGUCAGGUUUAACCUGAGUAUUCCGCGUGUGCAACUAUUUUGCACCCGUUGUAUUUGAACGUAGAGCCUAUCACACCCGAUCAUCACAUGGUGGCUCAGCACGAAGAACUUUCGCAACGGUGCAUACUCAGGGAGUACACUUAUACCUUGAAAUUUAGUGAGAGAUUAUCUUAUAAUGCGACCGUCAAUCAAAGCAAAAUAAGAUGCAUAAAGGAUAAACAUCACAUGCAAUCAAUAUAAGUGAUAUUAUAUGGCCAUCAUCAUCUUGUGCUUGUGAUCUCCAUCUUCGAAGCACCGUCAUGAUCACCAUCGUCACCAGCGCGGCACCUUGAUAUCCAUCGUAGCAUCGUUGUCAUUUCGCCACCUAAUUCUUCUAUGACCAUCGCUGCCGCUUAGUGAUAAAGCAAAGUAAUUACAGCGCAAUUGCAUUGCAUACAAUAAAGCUACAACCAUAUGGCUCCUGCCAGUUGCCGAUAACUCGGUUACAAAAAAUGAUCAUCUCAUACAAUAAAAUAUAGCAUCAUGUCUUGACCAUAUCACAUCACAACAUACCCUGCAAAAACAAGUUAGACGUCCUCUACUUUGUUGUUGCAAGUUUUAUGUGGCUGCUACGGGCUGAGCAAGAACCGUUCUUACCUACGCAUCAAAACCACAAUGAUAGUUCGUCAAGUUAGUGUUGUUUUAACCUUCUCAAGGAUCGGGCGUAGCCACACUUGGUUCAACUAAAGUUGGAGAAACUAACACCCGCCAGCCACCUAUGUGCAAAGCACAUCGGUAGAACCAGUCUCGCGUAAGCGUACGCAUAAUGUCGGUCCGGGCCGCUUCAUCCAACAAUCCCGCCGAACCAAAGUAUGACAUGCUGGUAAGCAGUAUGACUUGUAUCGCCCACAACUCACUUGUGUUCUACUCAUGCAUAUAACAUCUACGCAUAAAACCAGGCUCUGAUACCACUGUUGGGGAACAUAGUAAUUACAAAAAAAAUCCUACGCACACGCAAGAUCAUGGUGAUGCAUAGCAAUGAGAGGGGAGAGUGUUGUCCACGUACGCUCGUAGCCCGAAAACGGAAGCGUUACCACAAUGCGGUUGAUGUAGUCAUACGUCUUCACAGUCCGACCGAUCAAGGACCGAACGCACGGCACCUCCGAGUUCAGCACACGUUCAGCUCGAUGACGUCCCUCGAACUCCGAUCCAGCCGAGCUUUGAGGGAGAGUUCCGUCAGCACGACGGCGUGGUGACGAUGAUGAUAUUCUACCGUCGCAGGGCUUCGCCUAAGCACUGCUACGAUAUUAUCAAGGUGGAUUAUGGUGGAGGGGGCACCGCACACGGCUAAUAGAUCUCAAGGAACAAUUGUUGUGUCUGGAGGUUCCCCCUGAUAUGUCUCCAACGUAUCUAUAAUUUUUUAUUGUUCCAUGCUAUUAUAUUACCCCUUUUGGAUGUUUAUGGGCUUUAUUUUACACAUUUAUAUUAUUUUUGGGACUAACCUACUAACCGGAGGCCCAGCAUGUAUUGCUGUUUUUUUUGCCUAUUUCAGUAUUUCAAAGAAAAGGAAUAUCAAACAGAGUCCAAACGGAAUGAAACCUUCGGGAGCGUAAUUUUUGGAACAAACGUGAUCCAAAGGACUUGGAGUGCAAGUCAAGAAGCAAUCGAGGCGGCCAGGAGAUAGGAUGGUGCGCCCACCCCUCCUGGGCGCGCCCCCUGUCUCCUGGGCCCCUCGGGCGGCCACCGACCAACUUCUUCCACCUAUAUAUAUCCACAUACCCCGAAAACAUCCAGGGAGCCAGCGAAAAACAAUUUCCACCACCAUAACCUUCUGUAUCCGUGAGAUCCCAUCUUGGAGCCUUCGCUGACGCUCCGCCAGAGGGGGAAUAGACAAUGGACGGCUUCUACAUCAACACCAAAGCCCUUCCGAUGAGUUGUGAGUAGUUUACCACAGACCUUCGGGUCCAUAGUUAUUAGCUAGAUGGCUUCUUCCCUCUCUUGUGGAGAUCUAUUCGAUGUAACUCUUUUUGCUGUGUGUUUGUCGAGAUCCGAUGAAUUGUGGGUUUAUGAUCAAGUUUAUCUAUGAGAAAUAUUUGAAUCUCCACUGAAUUCUUUUAUGUAUGAUUGAGUUAUCUUUGCAAGUCUCUUCGAAUUAUCAGUUUGGUUUGGCCUACUAGAUUGAUCUUUCUUGCCAUGGGAGAAGUUCUUAGCUUUUGGUUCAAUCUUGUGGUGUCCUUACCCAGUGACAGAAAGGGUUGCAACGCACAUAUUGUAUUUUUUCCAUCGAGGAUAAAAAGAUGGGGUUUAUACCAUAUUUCUUGAGUUUAUCCCUCUACAUCAUGUCAUCUUUCUUAAUGCGUUACUUUGUUCUUAUGAACUUAAUACUCUAGAUGCAUGCUGGAUAGCGGAAGAUGUGUGGAGUAAUAGUAGUAGAUGCAGGCGGGAGUCGGUCUACUUGUCACGGUCGUGAUGCCUAUAUACAUGAUCAUGCCUAGAUAAUCUCAUAAUUAUUCGCUUUUCUAUUAAUUGCUCGAUAGUAAUUUGUUCACCCAUCGUAAUACUUAUGCUAUCUUGAGAGAAGCCACUAGUUAAACCUAUGGCCCCCGGGUCUAUCUUUUAUCAUAUAAGAUUUCAAUCUACUUUUAUUUGCAUCUUUACUUUUUGCAUCUAUAUUAUAAAAUACCAAAAAUAUAUUUAUCUUAUCAUACUAUCUCUAUCAGAUCUCACUUUCGCAAGUGGCCGUGAAGGGAUUGACAACCCCUUUAUUGUGUUGGUUGCGAGUUCUUUGUUUGUUUGUGUAGGUGUGUGGGACUUUUGAGGAGCCUCCAACUGUAUUGAUACCUUGGUUCUCAAAAACUGAGGGAAAUACUUACGCUACUAUUGCUGCAUCACCCUUUCCUCUUCAAGGAAAACCAAUGCAAGCUCAAGACGUAGCAAGAAGGAUUUCUGGCGCCGUUGCCGGGGAGGUCUUCGCUCAAGUCAAGACAUACCAUGUACCCAUCACAAACUCAUCUCCCUCGCAUUUACAUUAUUUGCCAUUUGCCUCUCGUUUUCUUCUCCCCCACUUCACCCUUGCCGUUUUAUUCGCCCUCUCUUUCCCAAUCUUCUCCUCUCUUUUUCGCUUGCCUUUUUCUGUUUGCUUGUGUGCCUGUUUGACCUUGUGGCUUUGCCUAAGAGUACCGACCUCCUUCUUAGAAGGUUAGAAGAGAUUGAAUCAAAUAUUAGAAGCUUUAUGACUUUGCAAUUUGAGCAUAAUAAUUUCUUCAGAAUAUAGAUUAAAGAACAAAAAGGUUUUUUGGGGUUUAUGAAUAAGGAGCUUGAUUAUAUGAAUAAAUAAUUUUAUGGUGUGAACUCUCAAAUUACCUGGCUUGAGAAUGCUAUAGCCCAAAUUUCUGAUAAGCAAGCUACCUUAGUCAAUAAGAUGGCUGCCAAACUAGAAAAGUUAGAUGAAAAUAAUGAUGAAGAUCCUAAAGUUAUUGAUGUGUCUCCUAUUAGAUCUUUGUUUUGCAAUAUGAAUCUUGAUAAUAAUGGGACUAGAGAUGAGUCAACUUUAGUUAGAAGGCGUCCCGAUAAUUCAGAGUUUUUAGAUCUUGAUGCUAAAUUUGGUAAAAGUGGGAUUGGAGAGGUCAUGACUUUAAAUAGCAUUGAACCCACUAUCUCGGAUUUCAAGGAAUUUGAUUAUGAUAAUUGUUCUUUAGAAGGUGGUAUUUCCUUUUUGCAAUCCGUUGUUAAUUCUCCUCAUGCUUAUAGUCAAAAUAAAGCUUUUACCAAACAUAUCGUUGAUGCCUUGAUGCAAUCUUAUGAUGAAAAACUUAAUUUAGAAGUUUCUAUACCAAGAAAACUUAAUAAUGAGUGGGAACCUACUAUAAAGAUUAAAUUUAAAAAUUGUGAGUGUUUUGCUUUGUGUGAUUUGGGUGCUAGUGUUUCCACAAUUCUGAAAACUUUAUGUGAUAUUCUAGGUUUACAUGAUCUUGAUGAUUGCUCUUUAAAUUUGCACCUUGCGGAUUCCACCAUUAAAAAGCCAAUGGGAAGGAUCAAUGAUGUUAUCAUUGUUGCAAAUAGAAAUUUGGUGCCCGUAGAUUUUAUUGUUCUUGAUAUUGAUUGCAAUCUUUCUUGCCCUAUUAUUCUUGGUAGACCUUUCCUCAGAAUGAUUGGCGCGAUUAUUGAUAUGAAGGAAGGGAAUAUUAGAUUACAAUUUCCAUUAAGGAAAGGCAUGGAGCACUUUCCAAGAAAUAAACUCAAAUUACCUUAUGACUCUAUCAUGCGGGCUACUUAUGAAUUGAGUGCCAAAGAUGGCACUACUUAGAUCUAUCUUCGCUUUUAUGCCUAGCUAGGGGCAUUAAACGAUAGCGCUACUUGGGAGGCAACCCAACUUUAUUUGUGUUUUUUGCUUUUGUUUCUGUUUAGUAAUAAAUUUUGCAUCUACCUUCUGUUUACAUGUGGUUUUAUGUUUUAAUUAUUGUUUGUGCCAAGUAAAACCUAUAGGAUAACCUAUGAUGAUAGUUAUUUUGAUUCUGCUGAAAAACAGAAACUUUGCAUGCAGGAAAUUAGUUUUGUUAAAUCACAGAAACGUGAUUUUGCGUUGAUUAUUUUUUCCGCUGAUCAAUAUAAAAAAUUUCCAGGACUUCCUAUUUUUGUAGGAUUGUUAGGGUUCCAGAAGUUUGCGUUAGUUACAGAUUUCUACAGACUGUUCUGUUUUUGACAGAUUCUGUUUUUCGUGUGUUGUUUACUUAUUUUCAUGCAUCUAUGGCUAGUAAAAUAGUUUAUAAACCAUAGAGAAGUUGGAAUACAGUAGGUUUAACACCAAAAUAAAUAAAGAAUGAGUUCAUUACAGUACCUUAUGUGGUGGUUUUGUUUUCUUUCACUAACGGAGCUUAUAAAAUUUCCUGUUGAGUUUUGUGUUGUGAAGUUUUCAAGUUUUGGGUAAAGAUUUGAUGGACUAUGGAAUAAGGAGUGAUAAAAGCCUAAGCUUGGGGAUGCCCAUGGCACCCCAAGAUAUUCAAGAGUAUCCAAAAGCCUAAGCUUGGGGAUGCCCCCGGAAGGCAUCCCCUCUUUCGUCUUCGUUCAUUGGUAACUUUACUUGGAACUAUAUUUUUAUUCGCCACAUGAUAUGUGUUUUGCUUGGAGCAUCGUGUAUGAUAUUAGUCUUUUAUUUUUAGUUUACCACAAUCAUCCUUGCUGUACACACCUUUUGGGAGAAGCCUACCUUAUUAGAAUUUGCUAGAAUACUCUAUGUGCUUCACUUAUAUCUUUUGAGCUAGAUAGUUUUUGCUCUAGUGCUUCACUUAUAUCUUUGAGAGCACGACGGUGGCUUAAUUUUGAAGAAAUUGCUAGUCUCUCAUCCUUCAAUUAUAUUAUUUUGAGAGUCUUUUAGAACAUCAUGGUAUUUGCUAUGGUUAUAAAAUUGGUCCUAGAAUGGUAGACAUCCAAGUUGGGUAUAAUAAAAACAAUCAUAGGAAGUGAAUUGGAUGCUAUGAUCAAUUUGAUACUUGAUAAUUGUUUUGAGAUAUGGAGGUAGUGAUAUUCAAGUCAUACUAGUUGGGUGAUUAUGAAUUUAAAGAAUGCUUGUGUUGAAGUUAGCAAGUCCCGUAGCAUGCACGUAUGGUUAUAUUUGUGUAACAAAUUUGAAACAUGAAGUGUACUUGGAUUGUGCAUCCUUUAUUAGUGGCGGUCGGGGACGAGCGAUGGUCUUUUCCUACCAAUCUAUACCUCUAGGAGCAUGUGCAUAGUGCUUGAUUUUUGAUGACUUCUAAUUUUUUGCAAUAAGUAUAUGAGUUCUUUUGACUAAUGUUGAGUCCAUGGAUUAUGCACACUUUUACCUUUCCACCAUUGCUAGCCUCUUCGGUACCGUGCAUUGCCCUUUCUCACCUUGAGAGUUGGUGCAAACUUCGUCGAUGCAUCCAAACCCCGUGAUACGACACGCUCUAUCACACAUAAACCUCCUUAUAUAUUCCUCAAAAGAGCCACCAUACCUACCUAUUAUGGCAUUUCCAUAGCCAUUCCGAGAUAUAUUGCCAUGCAACUUUCCACCGUUCCGUUCAUCAUCAUGACAUACAUUACUUUUGUCAUAUUGCCAUUGCAUGAUCAUGUAGUUGAUAUCGUAUUUGGGGCAAAGCCACCAUGCAUCAUUUUUCAUACAUGUCACUCUUGAUUCAUUGCACCAUCCCGGUACACCACUGGAGGCAUUCAUAUAGAGUCAUAUCUCGUUCUAGUUUCGAGUUGUAAUUCCUGUGUUGUAAUCAAUAAAAGUGUGAUGAUCAUCAUUAUUAGAGCAUUGUCCCAAAGAGAAAAAAGGGAGGCCAAAAAGAAAAAGGAGAAAGGCCAAAGGAAAAAAAAGAAAAAAAAAGAAAAUGAAAAAAAAGAAGGAAAAAAAGAAAAUAAAUAAAAAGGGGCAAUGUUACUAUCUCUUUUCCACACUAGUGCUUGAAAGUAGCACCAUGUUCUUCAUACAGUGAGUCUGAUAUCUUGUGCUUCAAAGUAGCACCAUGUUUUUCAUAUAGUGAGUCUCAUAUGUUGUCACUUUCAUAUACUAGUGGGAAUUUUUCAUUAUAGAACUUGUCUUGUAUAUUCCUACGAUGGGCUUCCUCAAAUGCCCUAGGUCUUCGUGAGCAAGCAAGUUGGAUGCACACCCACUAGUUUUCUUUUGUUGAGCAUUCGUUUAUAACUCUAGUUCAUCCGUUGCAUGGCAAUCCCUACUCCUCAUGUUGAUAUCAAUUGAUGGGCAUCUCCAUAGCCCGUUGAUUAUCCUCGUCAAUGUGAGACUUCCUCCUUUUUUUGUCUUCUCCACACAAUCCCCAUCAUCAUAUUCUAUUCCACCCAUAGUGCUAUAUCCAUGGCUCACGCUCAUGUAUUGCAUGAAGGUUGAAAAAGGUUGAGAUUAUUUAAGUACGAAACAAUUUCUUGGCUUGUCAUCGGGGGUGUAGAAUUUGGGAACAUCUUUGUGUGACGAAAAUGAAGGAUAGCCUAACUAUAUGAUUUUGUAGGGAUGAACUUUCUUUAGCCAUGUUAUUUUGAGAAGACAUGAUUGCUUGAUUAGUAUGCUUGAAGUAUUACUAUUUCUUUUAUCAAUAUGAACUUUUAUUUUGAAUCAUUUGGAUCUGAAUAUUCAUGCCACAAUAAAGAAAAUUACAUUGAGAAUUAUGCUAGGUAGCAUUCCACAUCAAAAAUUCUGUUUUUAUCAUUUACCUACUCGAGGACGAGCAGGAAUUAAACUUGGGGAUGCUUGGUACGUCUCCAACGUAUCUAUAAUUUUUGAUUGCUCCAUGCUAUUAUAUUACCCCUUUUGGAUGUUUAUGGGCUUUAUUUUACACAUUUAUAUCAUUUUUGGGACUAACCUACUAACCGGAGGCCCAGCCCGUAUUGCUGUUUUUUUUGCCUAUUUCAGUAUUUCGAAGAAAAGGAAUAUCAAACGGAGUCCAAAUGGAAUGAAACCUUCGGGAGCGUGAUUUUUGGAACAAACGUGAUCCAGAGGACUUGGAGUGCAAUUCAAGAAGCAAUUAAGGCGGACAGGAGAGAGGAGGGCGCGCCCACCCCUCCUGGGCGCGCCCCCUGUCUGCUGGGCCCCUCGGGUGGCCACCGACCUACUUCUUCCUCCCAUAUAUACCCACGUACCCCGAAAACAUCCAGGGAGCCAACGAAAAACAACUUCCACCGCUGUAACCUUCUGUAUCCGUGAGAUCCCAUUUUGGAGGCUUCGCCGGCGCUCCGCCGGAGGGGGAAUCGACCACGGAGGGCUUCUACAUCAACACCAAAGCCCUUCCGAUGAGUUGUGAGUAGUUUACCAUAGACCUUCGGGUCCAUAGUUAUUAUCUAGAUGGCUUCUUCUCUCCUUUUGGAUCUCAAUACAAUGUUCUCCCCCUCUCUUGUGGAGAUCUAUUCGACGUAACUCUUUUUGCGGUGUGUUUGUCGAGAUCCAAUGCAUUGUGGGUUUAUGAUCAAGUUUAUCUAUGAGAAAUAUUUGAAUCUCCACUGAAUUCCGUUAUGUAUGAUUGAGUUAUCUUUGCAUGUCUCUUUGAAUUAUCAGUUUGGUUUGGCCUACUAGAUUGAUCUUUCUUGCCAUGGGAGAAAUGCUUAGCUUUGGGUUCAAUCUUGAAGUGUCCUUACCGAGUGACAGAAAGGGUUGCAAGGCACGUAUUGUAUUAUUGCCAUCGAGGAUAAAAAGAUGGGGUUUAUAUCAUAUUGGUUGAGUUUAUCCCUCUACAUCAUGUCAUCUUUCUUAAUGCGUUACUUUGUUCUUAUGAACUUAAUACUCUAGAUGCAUGCUGGAUAGCGGUCGAUGUGUGGAGUGAUAGUAGUAGAUGCAGGCAGGAGUCGGUCUACUUGUCACGGGCGUGAUGCCUAUAUACAUGAUCAUGCCUAGAUAAUCUCAUAAUUAUUCGCUUUUCUAUCAAUUGCUCGACAGUAAUUUGUUCACCCACCGUAAUACUUAUGCUAUCUUGAGAGAUGCCACUAGUGAAACCUAUGGCCCCCGGGUCUAUCUUUUAUCAUAUAAGCUUUAAAUCUACUUUUAUUUGCAUCUUUAAUUUUUGCAUCUAUAUUAUAAAAUACCUAAAAUAUAUUUAUCUUAUCAUACUAUCUCUAUCAGAUCUCACUUUUGCAAGUGGUCGUGAAGGGAUUGACAACCCCUUUAUUGCGUUGGUUGCAAGUUCUUUAUUUGUUUGUGUAGGUGUGUGGGACUUUUGAGGAGCCUCCUACUGGAUUGAUACCUUGGUUCUCAAAAACUAAGGGAAAUACUUACGCUACUAUUGCUGCAUCACCCUUGCCUCUUCAAGGAAAAACAAUGCAAGCUCAAGACGUAGCACCCUCUGCCCCUGUAUAUAAAGGAGCAAGGGGGAGGGGGCGGCCGGCCAGGAGGGGGCGCUCCAGGAGGAGUCCUACUCCCACCGAGAGUAGGACUCCCUCCUUUCCUUGUCCAAGUAGGAGAGAGGGAAGGAAGGGGAGAGAGGACGGGAAGGAAAGGGGGGCGCCGCCCACCCCCCUCCUUGUCCUAUUCGGACUAGAGGGGGAGGGGGCGUGCGGCCUGCCCUGGCCGCCUCUCCUCUGCUCCACUUUGGGCCCAUGAGGCCCAUUAACCCCCGGGGAGUUCUGGUAUCCCCACGGCACUCCGGUAGACAUCCGAUAACCUCCAGAACCAUUGCAGUGUUCGAAUAUAGUCGUCCAAUAUAUCAAUCGUCAUGUCUCGACCAUUUCGAUACUCCUCGUCAUGUCCGUGAUCACAUACGGGACUCUGAACUAUCUUCGGUACAUCAAAACAUAUAAACUCAUAAUAUAACCGUCAUCUAACUUUAAGCGUGCGGACCCUACGGGUUCGAGAACUAUGUAGACAUGACCGAGACACGUCUCCGAUCAAUAACCAAUAGCGGAACCUGGAUGCUCAUAUUGGCUCCUACAUAUUCUACGAAGAUCUUUAUCGGUCAAACCGCAUAACAACAUACGUUGUUCCCUUUGUCAUCGGUAUGUUACUUGCCCGAGAUUCGAUCGUCGGUAUCUCAAUAACUAGUUCAAUCUCGUUACCGGCAAGUCUCUUUACUCGUUACAUAAUGCAUCAUCUCGUAACUAACUCAUUAUCUAAAUUGCUUGCAAGGCUUAUAGUGAUGUGCAUUAUCGAGAGGGCCCAGAGAUACCUCUCCGAUAAUCGGAGUGACAAAUCCUAAUCUCGAAAUACACCAACUCAACAUGUACCUUGGGAGACACCUGCAGAGCUCCUUUAUAAUCACCCACUUAUGUUGUGGCGUUUGGUAGCACACAAAGUGUUCCUCUGGUAAACGAGAGUUGCAUAAUCUCAUAGUUGUAGGAACAUGUAUAAGUCAUGAAGAAAGCAAUAGCAACAUACUAAACGAUCAAGUGCUAAGCUAACGGAAUGGGUCAAGUCAAUCACAUCAUUCUCCUAAUGAUGUGAUCCCGUUAAUCAAAUGACAACUCAUGUUUAUGGUCAGGAAACAUAACCAUCUUUGAUUAACGAGCUAGUCAAGUAGAGGCAUACUAGUGACAUUGUGUUUGUCUAUGUAUUCACACAUGUAUUAUGUUUACGGUCAAUACAAUUCUAGCAUGAAUAAUAAACAUUUAUCAUGAUAUAAGGAAAUAAAUAAUAACUUUAUUAUUGCCUCUAGGGCAUAUUUCCUUCAGUAGCAAGUGAUGAUUGUUUUAUCGAGCGCCUUUUGAUUGAAAAACUGGAAGAACUCCUCAUAUGGAACUAACAACAUCAAUUCCAACGAGGUCGUGCUCCUCUUUAACUCUCAGCGACAAUCUAUUUUUCCCAUACUUCCUCCAGAUGUCCAUGUACCAAUCAUGGAAUCUUCGCAUCAUCGUUGUUAGGGAAGUACCAGGUCUGAUGAGAGGCUUCCCCUUCUCGAAUCUUAAUGUGUCCACCUCCAUUGUUUCAAAAAUUGUUGCAUCGUCGUCGGUUAUGUAAUCUCCAGGAUUAGUACCGGGCAGCAUCCCCGGAAGAUUAGCGACGAUAUCGCUAGACACAUUGAGCGGGGGGGGGGCACGAUUGCUUUGCUUGUUCGCCGAGCUGGGGAUUUUUUCCCUUUUCUUCAUUCUGCUAGCCUUUGAUCAAUGCAAGUACUUCCCGACCGCUCCGCUUCCUUAUAUGUCCCUUCAAUGAUGCGGUCAUAGUUGGAUUGCGGGGGAGGCAGUGAUGGUCGAUGUAGGGCAUCCAAAGUGCGCUUCGCUUUCAUCGGAUCUAUCUCCGCCGGAGGUGGAAGUUUCUUAGCUUUUACUGAUUGAAAGAAGUCUCUGGUCGUGCUUCUUCAGUCUGUGAUCUUCCUGCUCCAGCCACCCAAACCAGCGCCGGCGGAACCGCCUGCUCCCGCCUCCCGUUGCCGGCUGUGCUGUCGGGCAGGCCUCACGGCCCCACCAUACUCGCAUCCUUGGCAUGUCUAUCCCUCUACUCACCCACACCUCCUGUUAUUUUCCGGCGACGGCAGCCGAACCAGUCAACCUUCGUACUCUCCACCGUGUGAGCAGCCACUGCCGUGUCUUCUCUGGCUCCGUGUCGUUCCCUCUGUAUGCCUCGCCAUCGUCUACCGCCCUGGUGCUCUCGGCGCGGUGUGGUCAAUGUGGUCAACGAACGACUUUCAUCGGAAGUGGACUAUACGUGGAGUGGCUGGCAGCUGGGUCCACGGCCGCACACAAGGAAAUGCCUCCUUAUUACGCGCAAAAUAAUGAUUCCUUCCCUUGACAUCUGGGACCCACCAGAAGGGCCUCUCUAUUUUUCGCGAAAAAAACAUCCUCCCCGCUGACAGGUCGGACCCACCAGCUAUAACUUCGCAUGCAAGGAAUGUUGGAAAUAUGCCCUAGAGGCAAUAAAAAAAUGGUUAUUAUUAUAUUUCCUUGUUCAUGAUAAUUGUCUAUUGUUCAAGCUAUGAUUGUAUUAACUGGAAACUGUUAUACAUGUGUGAAUACAUAGACCACAACAUGUCCCUAGUGAGCCUCUAGUUGACUAGCUCGUUGAUCAACAGAUGGUCAUGGUUUCCAGAUCAUGGACAUUAGAUGUCAUUGAUAGCGGGAUCACAUCAUUAGGAGAAUGAUGUGAUGGAGAAGACCCAAUCUUAAGCAUAGCACAAGAUCGUGUAGUUUGUUUGCUAAGAGCUUUUCUAAUAUCAAGUAUCAUUUCCUUAGACCAUGAGAUUAUGUCGUGGAAUUAUCACGGCAGAUGUCCUUAGUGUGAGGACUUAGUCACGAGGCCAACGCAUCUAUGUGGUAGCUUGAGAGGGGUUGAGCGGAAUCGAGAGACGCAACACAAGACAAGGGUUUAGACAGCUUCGGGCCCCGAGAAAUAUCAUCUGGUAAAAACCCUACAUGCUGUUUGAGGCUAGAUCUCAUUAUCAUCACGAGGAAGUCGUCGUAAACUGGCUCUCCUCUAGUUGUGUCUAGCCCUAGAGAAUAUUUCUUGCUUGUCCCUCUUUGGGGAGCCCCGCCCCUCCUUAUAUAUGCUCAAGGGGCGGGUUACAUGUGGAGUUCAACUCGGACUUUAACUUAAACUAUUUUUACUUUCCUUCCUGGGCUUCUUAACGUCUGCCGGUUUAACAUUGUCUACCGGUUUAACAUCUGUCUUAGCCAUCUAUCUUAACUGUCUGCCAUUUUACCAUCCACCGGUUUACCAAGUCCCAGCCGGUUUACAACUUCAGUCGGGUCAUACCACAUAGAUGCGUUGGCCUCGCGACUAAGUCCUCACACUAAGGACAUCUGCCGUGAUAAUCCCACGACAGUUGGCGCCCACCGUGGGGCUCGCACACAGUGGUGUUGAGUUCUUGGAGGAAUUUUAAUUAGAGUUUCGAGAAGUUCAUAAAUUUCCAGUUAAAGAAAAGUCAGUUUUGGAAGAAGCUUACAAUCGGUCGGGUCAGUAUACAGAAGGACUUGCAUCAACUCUAAUCCCCAUCGGUUGAGAUCAAGGAAAUUAUAUUGAGUCGCCAUGGACAAUCUCUACAAUUUUUGAUGCAAUCUGUGUUAUCUGUUUAGUCGCCAUGGAUGCAACCCGGGCGUGUCUAUUUGAACCGAUCUGCAGCGAAACCGAUUGGCAGUAUAAGGAGCCGAGGGUUUGACCCUGGCUUAGUCAUCAUGCACUGUUAACAAAUCAGGGUCAAAAGAAAAAAAAGACAGAAGGGCCACAACCCCAGAGGAACACACGGUUGUCAAGCAACCACGGCCACGACCCGGAGAGGAGACGGCAAUGAUGCGGUUUCCCUUCGCCAGCGCGCCUUGUUUCUGUGAUUCGCUCCGCCUCCGGUUUCCAAUCCGUCGGCCAUCUCCACUCCGGUCCGGCUUACUCCCGGCUGAGAGCCGCACCUGGACUCUGUCUCGCAUCGACCGAGCCCCUCUACCAACGCGCCUCCGCUGUGGCCGGCCUCACCAUCCGCUGUGGUCGCCCUCACCGGCGCGGCUUCGAGUCACCGCCUUCGACGAACCGCCGUCCCAGGCCUCGGGCUACCGGGGGCCUCCUGCCGUCGCGGUAAGCUCGCCUGCCAGCCCAGUUGCCUCAUUACCAGAGGUGCUGCCCGGGCCGCUUCGCCGGCUUCAAGCCAUCCGUCUCCGCCAAGUCGUAGUUGCCGGUUCACCUCCACUCCAAACCGGAUCGCCAGAUCUGCUAGAACCGCCGUGGUCGGCUGAUCCUUUGCUCCUGACCCGCACCGCAGCACCUCAAGCCGCCCGGCCUUUGUGGCCGUCUCCGUCGAGGCUUCAAAUCGGCCCCGCCGCCACGCGCCUUUGCGUCUGCGCCUUUUGUCCGAACCGCGCCCAGAGUCGCCGAUUUACCUUAAGCUGCUGCUCCAAUCAAGCUAAAUCGCCUUAUGCUUCGAAGCUCGCGGCCCUGCAUCCGCGCCCGUGAGUCGCCGGUUUACUCACAGCUUCGCCUCCGCUUUUCAACCGCCGUCGCGUCGUGGGCCGCCAUCGCCUCGUCAGUCCAGCCGCGUCUUGAGUCGGUUCUCCUUCGUCACCACGACCGAGCUGCUUCGCGUUGGUUGACCCGCCGUAGCAAGUCGACCGGUAACCGCACCAAACCGCCACCCCACGGAGCCGGCUAACGUACCUCCUCCGCUACCGCGCGGAGCCGGCUCUUCAGCUCUUCAACUCGGUUUCGAUUACAACGACCCAGAGGAGGACUCGUUUUCGUUUUUGGUUCACCGGGCCAUCCCGUUUGCCUCGGUGGGUCUCCGCUUUGAUUGCCGGUUCGGUCUCUGUCAAGCCGCCGGCCCUAGGAGUGGUUCGCCGGUCCGGUGCCUCCUCAAGCCGCCUACCGUUCCAAGCCGCCGUCGCUUCUCCGCGCCGGGUCUUCCCGCGGCCUCUGAGCCGCCGUCAUCACCAAUUCAAGGUAUCUGCACUUCAAGAGUGCCUGCAUGCGGUUUGCCGCUGAACCGCCGGACUCCACUUCCGUUGCUUGCCUUCGUCGAUGCGCCUCGCCCGCGAAUUGCCUUGCUGGCUCGCCACAGCUGUGGCGAGCCUCGCCGGCGCUUCUUCACCAUCGUGACCGCGCCGUACGUCAAGUCGUUUCCUCUGUCAGCCCGCCUCUAAAUUUUCUGCGGGAGAGUCGCCCCGGCCAAGUCGCUGCCGGCCUUGGUCUACUGCUUGCGCAGUGACCCACCUCAUCGCGCAUCAAGAUGGUCCGCCUGCAUCUGUUUCCACGGCCGUGCCCCGUGCCGUCUCGGCCGGCGUCUGCGCGUCUCUUCUGCCACGCCUCCGCCGAGCCUCUGGGAGUUGAAUAAUGGACAAGAGUACAUAGGCGAACUGAGGCCUCGUGUUGAUGUAGCGUGUGGAUAUUUCCCAGCGUGUGGAUAAUCUUCAGACUUGAGGCGUUUGAAGCCCCGUACUGAUACAUCAGGCAGCAUAUUCGAAAUCACCUGAUGAGAUUAAUUCAAUCUGAAAAAUAGAGCAUGCCCCGAACAACGCUACCGGUGCAAAGUGGACAUGCGGGUGCAGUACAUGCCCGCGACAGGAUUCAUAGCAUUCAACACCCGGGCGAAGUUCCGAUGAUUCUUAUCCUCACUAUCAGAUGUUCAAUGGCAAGGCACCUCGGAUGAGAGCCCAAGAGCAGUCGAAAUGUUACUGCCGCUACACAAGUCCCAAAAAACCUGAUGCAGGGUCAUCAUGGUGUUUUAUCACAUGAAAAAAAAAAUCACACACGGUUCAAUCUCCAACUGGUAGUGUUGGUCGUGCAUCUAGCGAGACAGUGUCAGUAAGGAUCGGAUUACCCAGCAUGCAUGGAGUGGUUCCCUAAUUAAAAAAGGGAAAGCCAGAUGAACUUUAUACUAAUUUAGCCAAAGUAUUGCCUCUUCUGCCGCGGGUCGAACCGGCCGUCGAGUUACCGCUGCGCAAAGACACCACCGAGAGCCGCCGGCCUCCGUUCUAUCAAUCCGCCUCCGCUGCAGCAAGUACGGAGCCGCGCCUUUACUACCAUGAUCCAUUUGUGCCAGGCAGGUCUUGACUCCGUUCACAAGAUGAGCUAUUGUUCAUGUUUUCAAUGGCACCUGGAGGGCCGCUUCACUACUAUGUUGCCAAGUCGUCGUGGCCAUCGUGACUUAAACCGCCGCCUGAUUUAACUACGGUGGGAGAGGAAGAGCAGGGCUGCAGUCGCGAAGACAAGUCUGAAGCAGUAUGUGCGUACAGAAGCUAAUAAGCCAGCCCCUGAAGGAAAAUGGAUGCAGAUACUAUAUGGAGAUACAAAGCGAGCUUUUUGUUCAUGACUACCAGCCAUGGCCCGCUCGUGAAUUAAGAAAGGGACGUGGGCACUUUUGGCAGGGCCCUGGAGGGGAUAAGGCACAAAUAUAUUUUGUGCGCAUAUAUGGCUCAAAAGGAAUUCAACCGUCGUAAUACAAGGUUAUCUACAGACAUUAUUUAUGGACCAUCGGUCGGCCGAGCAAAUCAGGUAAUAUCCAUCUAUUUUUUUAUUAACACAUAUUAUUUCUAUCAAAGGACAAAUUACUUUGAUUUGUAUAUCAUUUUUAUACAUAGGACUAUUAUUCAUUAUAAAUGUGGUUUACACCACGGAUUGAUAAUAUUCCGCCUGAUGAUAAUCCGGGACAUAUCACAUGAUGAAUAGACGCACACAAGCUACUGCCCUUGCGGUCUGGUCCACAUCGGCUUGCUGAAUCAUGUCUGCUUGUUAUCAAUGGAUGUGUGUAAAUCGCCGCCCCCGAGGCAUGGUCUACAUCAACCCAUCGGGCCGCACCUGUCUACAGGAGCUAUUUAUUGAGUAUGAGCAAGUCACUGCUUGGGUAGCCCGGGUUUUUUUCCCAAUACCUUGGAGGCAAAUUAUCAUUCAGCCGCCGUCUGCACUGGAUGGAUCAAUGGACAUGAGCACAAAUCGCUGCCACUACAGUUUGGUCCACUUCAAACAGCCAGUUGGAAGGAACCAUUGGCCGAGUUGCUGACACGGUUCAUACGGGAUCAUUUAUAAUCUGCCGCAGUCACCUCAACAUUCUGUGGAUUUACAUCGCGUUAUUAACACCGAUGAUAUAUACCUUCUGCUAUGGUCAAGUACGGAGAAUCUCAAGACAACUCCUUGAGUCAUCUUAAGACUCGGGGGCAACGAUGAUAUGACUCAGCAAGUCUUGCCAAUUUCAGCAAAUUCAAGAACCCCAGGACGAUGGAGGGAAAGAUAACCCGGUCCCGCAGGCUAAUGUUAUAUUGAUAAAAAUUUAAAGGCCGUCAGAAAUAUUCCGGUUCACAAGGAUGCUUCCGGUUUAUAGUCCGGUUCAAGGGAAAUCUCGUCUCCCACACAGCGCUGAAGCUCUCAAUAUCCGGUUCAAAAUCCGGUUUAAGAGGAAACUGUCCCUCACAAAGCUUUGAAGCUCUCAAUAUCCAGUUUAAAAUCCCGGUUCAAGAAGAAUUUAUCUCUUCCAAAAAGUUAAAGGUUGCCGAAGAGGACCUGUUGCCAUGAUGCACGGUUCAAACAUGGGUAUGCCGCCUUAUUGGCUUAUCAUAUUAUUGAUUACAUGGGGGCUUCAGCUGACAAAGCGGAGUUCUGUCCAUUAAUCCAGCUAUCACGCCACAACAAAGCUUGGGAGCUUCACACCCAAGGGGCCAAAGAGAGUCUUGUUGCUACGCACAGCUCAAACAUAGGCACCCAAUGAGCACAGCUCAUCACAUUACUUGGGGGCUCCUUGUGUCAAAUACCAAGGAGUUUGAAUGGACCCUUAUAGCUGGGUAUCGACCCGCGGCUUGGAAGCCUGGUAUAUUUACCUAAAACCCCGGGUUAACCUGCCUUCAUCAAGUAAGACACUCCUAUCCAGGUCAUCUUGGCACGACCCUCUGAACGUUUGACAGUUACUCUCAUUGAGACCCUGCACUUGUCAAAGUUAAAACGGUGAUUGGUUAGUUGGAGGUCCAUCUUAAAAGGCUUUGCUAGAUGGUUUAACUCAGUGGCCUGGCAGCCCAUGAAAAGCCUCGAAUUUGGGCCUGGCAGCCCUUGAAAAGCCUCGACUACACGGUUUUAUUUGCCUUGGUCAAGAUUUUUCUCUUUUGAUAAAGUUUAUGUUGAACCGGUGUCUAUUGGCCCGACAUGACUAUGAGUCAUCAAAUUAACCCGGUGUUCGUUAACCUGGCUCGACUUUCAACUACAAGUUGUCAGUACAUAAUCACUUAUAAUCCGGUGUUUUAUUAACCCGGGCGGGCUUUGGACUAUAAGUCGCCAGUAUAUAUAUGGAUUGCGCCAUUGGAAUUGUGCGCUUAUAAAUCAUUGGGUAUAUUAUUCAAAUAGCCAACAUGGCUGGAUUUUAUUAUGGUUAUCAAUAACCACUAUUAUGAUCAAGGUUUUCAAAGUCGCUUUAGCGCAAUGGCUAUCAUAUUGUCAAUGGAUAUGAUUUAUUCUACAAUUGAAGGAAUAGUCCCGAGUUGCUGCAGGCUUACAACCCGGCACUUGGGGGCUACAUUAUUUAAAUUGCUAUUAUAUCAAAUAUGCAAGUCUCAUGUCGCUGCAAGCAUGCACCAUGACACUUGGGGGCUAAUGCAAAGUCAUUCUUUGUUCAUCUUAUUGAAGAUCCGACUCAUCACAUUAUAAUGAGCCGACCCUUGGGGGCUACCAAUUGUUCCUGUCAAACAAUUCAAGGUACAAAGCUUUUUAUUCAUUAUAUUGAAGGGUCCACUGCUCAGUUGUUAAAGCACAAGGCUCUUAACCUUGUGGACGUGAAUUCAAGCCCCAUGAUGGGGGUUACAUCAUAUGAUGCUAUUUUCAUUGAAGUAUAUAUCAAAGUCCCAGCUCAAUAUUAUCUUACGGAGCCGGCCCUUGGGGGCUACACCAUUGUUGUUCAAAGUUUACAUGAUUAUAUUUACAAAAGUCCCUGCUCAUUAUUGCAUAAUGACCCGGCCCUUGGGGGCUACACUGGUUGAAGUUUUUAUGGGCAUCAGGAAAUUACAAGUCCCAGGUUAUUGCAAGCAUGACAACUCGGCACUUGGGGGCUACAUAUGUGGAAUACUCAAUUCUGACUAGUGAUUGAGAUGAACAAACUGGAUUUCUUCAAGAUUGUGAUAUUUAAGCAAGCCUUAAGCUGUUGCUAUGCUACCUUCUUAAGACUUGAGGGCUACAAGUGAUAGUCAUAUAAGAGGUAUAUUUUCAAGCUGGAUGUUAACUAGAAGUAUGACCCGGUGCUAUCAAUAUUUAUAAACCGACAAGUUCUACAUUCUUAAACCGGCUGAAGAUCAUAUGAGGAUUUCAAGGACCAUUAUUUUUGUUAAGUCAUUGGGAGCUGAGUUAAAGAAGUUAUUCUUCACAAUUUUUCUCUGUGACAAACCAGUGUCAGCAAAUUGAUUAUGAAGCUGGCCUAUUAAACCGGAUUUUCUAGAAGAAGGAAGUGACAAGGACUUAAGGAUGAUCAGAGUCAGUUUAACAUGUAUGAAUCCAAAUUAAACUAGGGGCUAAUGUCGGGGAUAUACCCCGUGGUAUGACCCGCUGAAGUUGUAAACCGGCUGGGACAUGGUAAACCGGUGGAUGGUAAACCGGCAGAUAGUUAAGACAGGUGGCUAAGACAGAUGUUAAACCGGCAGACAAUGUUAAACUGGCAGACGUUAAGAAGCCCAGGAAGGAAAGUCAAAAUAGUUUAAGUUAAAGUCCGAGUUGGACUCCACAUGUAACCCGCCCCUUCAGCAUAUAUAAGGAGGGGCAGGGCUCCCCAAAGAGGGACAAGCAAGAAAUAAUCUCUAGGGCUAGACACAACUAGAGGAGAGCCGGUUUACGACGACUCCCUCGUGAUGAUAAUGAGAUCUAGCCUCAAACAGCAUGUAGGGUUUUUACGGGAUGAUAUUUCCCGGGGCCCGAAGCUGUCUAAACGCUUGUCUUGUGUUGCGUCUCUCGAUUCUGCUCAACCCCUCUCAAGCUACCACAUAGAUGUGUUGGCCUCGCGUCUAAGUCCUCACACUAAGGACAUCUGCUGUGAUAAUUCCACGACACCAUAGGAAUGCUUUGGGUGUACCAAACAUCACAACGUAACUGGGUGGCUAUAAAGGGAAUCGAGACUGUUGGGUUGGCAUGAAUCGAGACAGGGAUUUGUCACUUCGUAUGACAGAGAGGUAUCUCUGGGCCCACUCGGUAAUGUAUCAUCAUAAUGAGCUCAAUGUGACUAAGUAGUUAGUCACGGGAUCAUGAAUUACGGAACGAGUAAAGUGACUUGCCGGUAACUAGAUUGAACGAGGUAUUGGGAUACCGACGAUCGAAUCUCGGGCAAGUAACAUAUCAAUUGACAAAGGGAAUUGUAUACGGGAUUGAUUGAAUCCCCGGCAUCGUGGUUCAUUCGAUGAGAUCAUUGUGGAACAUGUGGGAGCCAACAUGGGUAUCCAGAUCCUGCUGUUGGUUAUUAGCCGGAGAACGUCUCGGUCAUGUAUGCAUGGUUCCCGAACCCGCAGGGUCUAUAGACUUAAGGUUCUGUGACGCUAGAGUUGUUCUGGGAAAUAGUAUGUGGUUACCGAAGGUUGUUCUGAGUCCCGGAUGAGAUCCCGGACAUGACGAGGAACUCCAGAAUGGUCCAGAGGUGAAGAUCGAUAUAUUGGACGAAGGGUAUUGGAGGCCGGAAUUGUUCUGGGAGUACCGGGUGACGACCAGCGUGACCCAAAGGUGUUUCGGAGGCCCCGGCAAGCGUUGGGGGGGCUUAUGGGCCAAGGGGAGGGGGCACACCAGCCCACUAAGGGGAUGUGCGUCCCUCCCAACCCUUCUCAUGUAAACUGGAGAGGUGGGGGCGCCUCCCCUAGGGCAGACGCCCCUCCUGGCUUGGGGGAAAGUUUCCUAGGGGUGAGGGCGCCCAAACCCAUAUAGGGUUUCCCCUAUGGCCACCACCCCUCCCUUAGGGAACACUAGGGCCCUCCUCCACCCCCUUCCCUGUAGCGACCAGAACUCAAACAGUCUGAUCUCUGUGCAUCAGUGUCAUCCCUGGAUCAGUAAUGCUGACACGCACAGUACUUGGAGGAUUUAUAACAGAGUAGCAAUCACACACUUAUUACAUCGAAUGUCUCCAGAGAGAACUUAUUACAAUAAAUAUGGCUUAAGGCCAUCUAAUAACGAUAACAGCGGAAGGCUUGGAAGACAAGUGAGUCCAUCAACUCCAACGGCAUCACUGAGUAUAGAACCCCGAUCCUAAAGCAUCUUACUCAUCGUCUGAAAAGUCUGCAACAUGAACGUUGCAGCCCGACAACAUUGAGAAUGGUUGACAGCUCUAUGGUUACAGUUUUGCGUAAAGCCAAUUUUUCCCUAGUGCAAAGGAAUAAAUUUAUUUAACUAUCAUGGUGGUUGUUAAACAUUGAGAAUGGUUGACAGCAUUCUCAGUCCCAAUUAAGUAACAUCAUCAUUAAAACCCAACAAUAUUAAUUAAAGUAACAUGAUGAGAUUCACAUGAUAAUCCAAGUACUAGAUACUCAAAACGUCCAUAACCGGGGACACGGCUAAUCAUGAUUAGUUUAUACACUCUGCAGAGGUUUGCGCACUUUUCCCCACACGACUCAAUCUCCUCCGUUGGUUUUCUCGCACUACAUGGUGUUGGAGAAACGGAUGACCGAGACACAGUCUUUCAGAAGCGCUAGCACCUUACGAUCGGGUAGACAGUACCACCUACAUCCCCUACAUCUGCUAGUCUACCACUGUAAGAGUUCUCACAACUUACUCAACUAUGCUAGAGCCCAUAAUAGCUUGUGGCUGCACACGGAAGUUUCUAGCAUGAAUAAUCUUAUGAUCCCUUUGAGCCUGGGUGGCGGUCCAAAAACAAACAGGCAAUCCUGGAAUACCCAGGUACCUCAAUCCACCCAGAUGUGUAUAAAUGUUGCCACCUUAAAUAAACCAUUAAUUAACAAUCUCACAUCUGUCAUGGAAAUUCACUCACCCAAUCCACGUCUACUAGCAUAGCAUGGCAUAAUAAGCAAACGUAGAAGUAACUCCCAAGGGUUUGAUAAUAAAACAGGUAAUAGGCACUACCUCAUCUACUUCCCAAAACCCACAUAUUAAUCAGAUCCUAAUCAUGCAAUUGUUUGAGGAUUUACCUAAUGCAUAAAACUGGGUGGUAAAGGGAUAUGAUCAAAGUGUUACUUGCCUUGCUGAUGAUCCGCGUAACCUAGGGAUUCGAAAUAGCAAGCGGCGCAAUCCGGGUACUCUAUCGCAAACAAACAAGCAAACAAGCAUACAAUAAGUACUCAUCUAAUGCACAGGUAAAACUCAAACAAGAGAUCUAACCAGAAAGUUCAACUUAAGAACUCCGGUUUGCAAAAAGAAUCAAAUCAAACGAAGAAACAAAACACAAACGGCAAAAAAACAAGAUUCGUUUACUAAUCUGGACCUAAGUCAAAUUUUACAGAAGCAAAACUUGUUUGAGUUAGAUUAUUCGUAAAGAGGGUUUCGAGACGAAACUCUAGGCGCUUGAAUCGCCUGAUUCCGAUAAACCAGCGAAAAGAUAAACUAAAACGAAAAUCGGAUCAGAAAUCGCGAUCAGAAAAAAUUGCGGAAUAAACCCGAGAAAAGAAAAAAGACGAACAGAUUAACGAACAAACGUUUGUUAUCUGGAUCUAACUGACGGAUACGUUCGUUAAGACGAACGAACGAGCGAACGCUAGCUAAAAAAAUAAACCGAGAAAAGCAAAAAAAAAUAAACCGAUCUAAAAAAACGAAUCUAGGGUUUUCUGAAAAUAAAACUGAAGUGGUUUUCUUAAAAGAAAACCGGUCCGGCAGCGGCGGCUCGGGCAAUACCUCGGCGAGGCACUCCGGCGGGGUGGUGAGGGGCGGCUGCGACUCGGCGGCGGGGCUCAGCGGUUUGGCGGCGGCUCCGGUGACGGCGGCUGCAGCGCGAGGUGGCGGAGCUGGCGGCUGCGGCGGCGGGGUUCGGCGGCGGCGUCUUGGGGCUCCAACUGGGGGGCGGCGCUUUAUAUAGGAGGAACGACGGUGGCUUGGGCGAGGGGGCGCCCGGGGAGGAGUCCGGCUCGGACUCUCCUCGGCGUCCGUGCCGCGCACGACGGCGCGCGCGAGGGGAGGCGGCGGCGCUGGGUUGGGCCAGCCUGGCUCGGCUGGGCUUCGGCCCAGUCGGGCGCGGGCUCGGUUUUUUUAAUAAUUACGCCGAACUGAAAAAAAAAAUCUAGAAAAAUAAAUAAAAAUCUAAAAUACCUAAAAUAAAUUUUCAUCGUCCAAAUAAAAUAUGUAGAACUAGAUGAACAUUUUUUAGGUCCUAAAAUGCAUUUUUGAAAAUCGUGCAAUUUUUCCUAAAUUCAAAUAAGAUAGCAAAAACACCAAAAUAAAUUUUAUUAGAUUUUUUUAUAAAAUCCUCAUUAUUUCUUUAUUUUGGGAAAGUCAUUUUAUUCCCUCUCUCAUAUUUUUUUAAUUGAAAUAAUUGAAGAUAAAAUAAAUAAAAUCAAAUGAUCCUAUUUUCAAGAUUUGAGAAAAACUCAAAUAUGAAAAUAACGAAAUCCCCAACUCUCUCCAUGGGUCCUUGAGUUGCGUAGAAUUUCUAGGAUCGAGGCAAAAUGCAAAUAAAAUAUGAUAUAAAUUGAUGAUCUAUGUAUAACAUUCCAAAUUGAAAAUUUGGGAUGUUACAAACCUACCCCCCUUAAGAUGAAUCUCGCCCUCGAGAUUCGGGUUGGCUAGAAAAUAGGUGAGGGUGGUCCUUCAGCAAAUCCUCCUCUCGCUCCCAGGUGGCUUCAUCCUCGGUGUGGUGGCUCCACUGAACCUUACAAAACUUGAUAACGUUCCUGUGGGUGACUCGGCUAGCAUACUCAAGAAUCUUAACUGGUUUCUGCUCAUAGGUCAAAUCACUGUCCAACUGAAUCGCCUCUAGUGGCACUGUAUCUCUUAGUGGUAUAUCAGCCAUCUAUGCGUGGCACUUCAUCACCGGGAAACGUGAAACACGUCGCGAACUCCUAACAAUCCCUUAGGCAAUUCCAACUUGUAGGCAACCUCUCCCAUACGCUCCAAAACUUUGUAUGGUCCCACAAAACGUGGCGCUAACUUUCCUUUAACACCAAAACGCUUUACUCCUCAAAGUGGAGAUACCCGAAGAUAAACUCUAUCCCCAACUUCGUAAACUGUCUCCUUGCGUUUUGCGUCAGCAUAGCUUUUCUGCCUGGACUGGGCUACCUUGAGCCUGUCGCGAAUCAACUUCACUUUCCGUUCAGACUCGUUAAUCAAAUCUGGUCCAAACAACUGACGGUCUCCAACUUCGUCCCAAGACAACGGGGUUCUGCACCUCCUUCUGUAUAAGGCUUCGAAAGGGGCCAUCUUCAAACUGGAUUGAUAACUGUUGUUGUAAGAGAACUCCACAUACGGAAAAUUGUCGUCCCAACUAGAUCCAUAAUCUAGCGCACAAGCUCUCAGCAUGUCCUCUAAAAUUUGAUUGACUCUUUCGGUCUGUCCAUCUGUCUGCGGAUGAAAAGCGGUACUAAGCUCUAUCCUGGUACCCAAAGUUUCGUGCAACAGAUUCCAAAACUUUGAGAUGAACUGGGUUCCUCUAUCUGAUACAAUGCUCCUUGGAACUCCAUGCAGACAUACGAUCCUGGUCAUGUAAAUCUUGGGCAAUUUGGCACUGGUGUAAGUAGUCUUCACUGGAAUGAAUAUGAGCUACCUUCGUCAAAUGAUCGACUACAACCCAAAUCGAGUCAUAGCCUGAACGAGUCCUGGGCAAUCCCGUGAUAAAAUCCAUGCCUAGUUUAUCCCACUUCCAUUCGGGAAUCGGCAAUGGUUGUAGCAAUCCUGCUAGCUUCUGAUGCUCUUCCUUUACUCUCUGACAUACAUCACAAACUGCUACAUACUCCGCAAUAUCCUUCUUCACUCCGGUCCACCAGAAAGUGUCCUUCAAAUCCAAGUACAUCUUGGUAUUCCCUGGGUGAAUUGAAUACGGCCAAUCAUGGGCCUCUUGCAAAAUCAACUUCCUGAUCUCAGGGUCAUUGGGUACAUAAACACGGUCCUCAAACCAUAAGGUAUCGUGCUCAUCCUCACGAAAUCCCUUGGCUUUUCCCUUGUUCAACUUCUCCUUUAUCUCAGCAAUUUCCUUGUCGGUCUUCUGAGCUUCUCUGAUCUUAUCCAUCAAAGUCGACUGAAUUUCCAAUGUUGCUACAUAGCCUCUCGGAACUAUCUCCAAACAUAGUUCGCAAAAGUCCUCGGCUAACUCCUUUGGCAGUCCUGCGGUCAUGAGUGUAUUAACAUGGCUCUUACGGCUCAAUGCGUCGGCUACUAUGUUAGCCUUUCCGGGGUGAUACUGCAAUCUCAUAUCAUAAUCCUUGAUGAGCUCUAACCAUCUCCUUUGCCUGAGAUUCAACUCCUUUUGCGUGACAAUGUACUUCAAACUCUUGUGAUCCGUGGACACCUCACAAUGAUUUCCUAUAACAAAAUGUCUCCAUCUCUUCAAUGCAUGCACUACGGCUGCUAACUCCAAAUCAUGUGUGGCAUAAUUCAACUCAUGUGGUUUAAGCUGUCGUGAUGCAUACGAAACAACUCUUCCUUCCUGCAUAAGCACUGCUCCAAGUCCUCGACGUGAAGCAUCGCAAUACACCUCGUAAUCCUUGGUCUGAUCUGGCAGAAUCAAUGCUGGUGAGGUAACUAAACAUUUCUUCAAUUCCUGGAAACUGGCCUCACAUUCCUCAGUCCAAUUGAACUUGGUAUCCUUCUUCAACAACUCCGUCAUGGGCUUUGCAAUUCUUGAAAAAUUCUCAAUGAAUCUCCGGUAGUAUCCCGUCAGUCCAAGAAAACUUCUGAUCUCUCCAACUGUCGUUGGUGCUACCCAAUUAGUCACGGUGACAACCUUGGUGGGGUCUACUACUAUACCCUCUCCGGAUAUAACAUGUCCGAGGAAUCCAACUUACUUCAACCAAAACUCACAUUUGCUAAACUUGGCAUAUAAGUGGUGUUCUCUGAGCUUCUCCAAUACCAAACGCAAAUGCUCCCUAUGCUCCUCUUCAUUCUUCGAGUAGACCAAGAUAUCAUCAAUGAACACCACGACGAACUUAUCCAGGAACUCCAUAAAUACUUUGUUCAUCAUGUUCAUGAAAUAGGCAGGUGCGUUAGUCAGACCAAAUGACAUAACGGUAUACUCGUACAGCCCAUACCUGGUGGUAAAAGUUGUCUUUGGUAUAUCCUGUUCUCGAAUCUUCAGCUGAUGGUAUCCCGAUCGCAAAUCGAUCUUGGAAAAUACCUUCGCUCCUUGCAGUCGGUCAAACAGAUCAUUGAUCAUUGGCAGUGGCUACUUGUUCUUGAUGGUUACUGCAUUUAAUCCUCUAUAAUCGACAACCAUCCUUAAUGAUCCGUCCUUCUUCUCCACUAAAAGUACUGGUGAUCCCUAGGGUGAAGAACUUGGGCGAAUGUAACCUUUAUCCAGUAACUCCUUACUCUGACUUUUAAUCUCCUCCAAAUCUUUUGCUGGCAUCCUGUAUGGUCUCUUGGAUAUUGGCCCUGUGCCUGGCAAAAGCUCUAUUAAAAACUCAAUGUCUCUGUCUGGUGGCAUGCCUGGCAAUUCUACUGGAAAUACAUCAAGAAAAUCCUUUACCACUGGUACUUCCUCCUGCACAACUCCUGAUAAGGAAUUUACGUGCAUCCCCUUUGGCUUAUGCCUGGAAACAUACUUGAUCCUCUUCCCUUCUGGCGUUGUAAGCAAAAUUGUCUUACUGGCGCAAUCAAUGUUUCCUCCAUACAUCGAUAGCCAAUCCAUACCCAGAAUCACAUCCAAACCUUGAGAUUCCAAAAUGAUUAAAUCUGAGGGGAAAACAUGCUUGCCUAUAAUCAACGGAACUUGAAAACAUCCUCGACUGGCCAUAUACUCUGCUCCUGGUGAGGUUACUAACAUGGGUGUUCCUAGAACCUUGGUGGGCAGUCUAUACUUAUCCACAAAUCCCCUUGAUAUGUAUGAAUGUGAUGCACCAGUAUCAAAAAGAAUGAGUGCAGUAAAUGGCUUAACCAAAAACUUACCUAUUACUGCAUCUCGCUGAGCUUCAACCUCCUCCACGCUAACGUGGUUCACUUAUCCUCUGUUGAAAGGGUUCGGCUUGUUCCCAGAGCUUCCAUUGCCAUUCCCAGUCUGGCCUUUAGGACAUUCAUUGGCGUAAUGUCCGGUCUUCUGGCACUUAAAACAAGUGACUUGACUCAGAUCUCUCUUGGCUGGUGUUGAGGGGUUGGUACAGUUCUGGCUACUACUUGCUCCAUUCCCGGUACCAUUCUUGGGACCAUUGUGAUUGUGUGAACUACCUCCUCCAUGGGUAUGCUGGAACUGUCCUCUUGACUUCGAAGUAAAACGGGGCUUCUGCUGAGCUCCAGAAUUGUACUUCCCUUGUCCAUACUUCCUCUUGCGGUUUUCAAUCUGCUGCUGCUUCCCUUCAAUCAUGAGAGCACGAUCUACCAACUCCUGGUAGUUGUUGAAACUUGCUACCAUCAAUUGCGUGCUCAGCUCAUCAUUCAACCCUUCCAGAAACUUCUCUUGCUUAGCUGCAUCCAUAGCGACAUCAUCUGGGGCAUAACGUGCUAGCUUACUGAAGUCAUCCACAUGCUGGCCAACUGUUCUUCCUCCCUGGCGCAAGUUGCGAAACUCACGCUUCUUCAUGGCCAUAGCUCCUGCUGAAACAUGGGCAGUACGAAAGGCCUGCUGAAACUGAUCCCAUGUGACAGUGUCUACUGGAUAAGUGGCUGUGAAAUUCUCCCACCAUGAUGCUGCGGGUCCCUCGAGCUGAUGUGCGGCAAAUCGCACCUUCUCCGCAUCUGUGCAUCCUGCAGUGGUCAACUCCUUGGCUGUCUUGCAAAGCCAAUCAUCUGCAACAAUUGGCUCGGUGCUACUGGAGAACACCGGCGGAUUCAGCCUAAGAAAAUGGGUUAAGUGAUCAACAGGUGGUGGUGGUGGUAGAUUGUUGUUGUUGUUGUUCCCCUGAUUCUGAUUCUGGACUAGUAUCUGCAUCAAUGCAUUCUGCUGCUGGAUCAACUGAGUGAGCUCCGGUGGGAAAGCAAAUCCGUUAUCACGCCUCGGAGGCAUCUGGGUUUAGAAAAGAAGAGAAUAUAGAAUAGAAUGAGGUCUAGAGGGAAAACACUACCCAUAUGCACAUGAGACAAAUAGCAAUCAAAACACUUCAUUCAAACAAGCAAGGGCAUACAACGGUCUAUCUAUCGUUACAAAGUGCUCGGACUAUAAUAGAUACAUGGAGGGAAAUUCUACUACUUUUAUGGUGGUCUACUAGAAAAACUGCUCCGAUGAAGACUCCAUGAUAUCUGCUCCGGCUUCAUCAACAUAGUCAUCAUCACUAUCAUCUGGGUCUGAGUCGGUGUCGUCGAUGAUGAUGUAGUUCUCGGGACAAGUGCAAUCUUCGUCUUCUCUAGUUGCUGGAAAUCCCAUGAACACUCUUAGCUUCUUCUUCAGAUCAUCAUUCUUCUCGACUAGUGUUGAUACUUCCUCCUCAUAUCCAUCGUGUGUAGACAUGAGUUCUUCCUCCAGUUCCGUGAUCUUGGUCAUGGCUUUCUUCAAAUCCAUCAUGCCUGCACACAUAUGGUUCUCCUAGCGUUGAAUGUGUUGGUCUAACUCCUGGAUGAAAGCUGCAAUUGAUCGGUCUUUCCUGCUGUUGAUCAUCUCCCAUUGCUCAUCUCAGCGCCCACAAAUUUGGUAGGUAGUAUCCUUAAGCUCUUUGUGAUAAACUUAUCCAAUACGCCCCAUGGUGAUGUGAGCUGCCAUGCUCUUCCCUAAACUCCAGGUUGGUGCAUCAAAGGAAAACUCUAUGGGCUCAGUGACUGGCAUGAACAUCCUUCCUGGAACAUGAACUUGAAUCAUCCAGCGCUCCUCUUCAGGUAAAGUGGCGUUGUAGGUUCCGGUGAAGCUCGGUACUCCGAUCUUCAGGUACUUGGUUACUUCCUUCAGGUGUCAUCCAAAGGGUGUAUCUUCAUCCGGUUGCAUGAACUUGUUCCUUGCAUCCGCCAUCCUAGAAGAAUAGAAAAGAUGAGGAGUUAGAAUGAGAAGAGAGAGUAGUGAUCUAUGGCUUUUUCUUAGUGGUCGUGUCCUACAGUCAGCGUGUGCUCUGAUACCAUCUUGUAGCCACCAGACCUCAAACAGUCUGAUCUCUGUGCAUCAGUGUCAUCCCUGGAUCAGUAAUGCUGACACGCACAGUACUUGAAGGAUUUAUAACAGAAUAGCAAUCACACACUUAUUACAUCGAAUGUCUCCAGAGAGAACUUAUUACAAUAAAUAUGGCUUAAGGCCAUCUAAUAACGAUAACAGCGGAAGGCUUGGAAGAUAAGUGAGUCCAUCAACUCCAACGGCAUCACUGAGUAUAGAACCCCGAUCCUAAAGCAUCUUACUCGUCGUCUGAAAAGUCUGCAACAUGAACGUUGCAGCCCGAAAACAGGUCAGCACAUGGAAUAUGCUGGCAAAGUAACACAUAGAGAGUAAUGAAAGAGUAAAGCUAUACUACAUGCAUAUAUGGCUGGUGGAAAAGCUCUAUGGUUACAGUUUUGCGUAAAGCCAAUUUUUCCCUACUGCAAAGGAAUAAAUUUAUUUAACUAUCAUGGUGGUUGUUAAACAUUGAGAAUGGUUGACAGCAUUCGCAAUCCCAAUUAAGUAACAUCAUCAUUAAAACCCAACAAUAUUAAUUAAAGUAACAUGAUGAGAUUCACAUGAUAAUCCAAGUACUAGAUACUCAAAACGUCCAUAACCGUGGACACGGCUAAUCAUGAUUAGUUUAUACACUCUGUAGAGGUUUGCGCAAUUUUCCCCACACGACUCGAUCUCCUCCGUUGAUUUUCUCGCACUACAUGAUGUUUGAGAAACGGAUGACCAAGACAUAGUCUUUCAGAAGGGCUAGCACCUUACGAUGGGUACACCUGUACACCUACUUUCCCCUACAUCUGCUAGUCUACCAUUGUAAGAGUUUGCACGACUUAGUCAACUAUGCUAAAGCCCAUGAUAGCAUGUCGUUGCACACGGAAGUUUCUAGCAUGAAUAAUCUUAUGAUCCCUUUGAGCCUGGGUGGCGGUCCAAAAACAAACAGGCAAUCCUGAAAUACCCAGGUACCUCAAUCCACCCAGAUGUGUAUAAAUGUUGCCACCUUAAAUAAACCAUUAAUUAACAAUCUCACAUCUGUCAUGGAAAUUCACUCACCCAAUCCACAUAUACUAGCAUAGCAUGGCAUAAUAAGCAAACAUAGAAGUAACUCCCAAGGGUUUGAUAAUAAAACAGAUCCUAAUCAUGCAAUUGUUUGAGGAUUGAUCUAAUGCAUAAAACUGGGUAGUAAAGGGAUAUGAUCAAAGUGUUACUUGCCUUGCUGAUGAUCCGCAUAACCUAGGGAUUCGAAGUAGCAAGCGGCGCAAUCCGGGUACUCUAUCGCAAACAAACAAGAAAACAAGCAUACAAUAAGUACUCAUCUAAUGCACGGGUAAAACUCGAACAAGAGAUCUAACCAGAAAGUUCAACUUAAGAACUCCGGUUUGCAAAAAGAGUCAAAUCAAACGAAGAAACAAAACUCAAACGGCAAAAAAAAGAUUCAUUUACUAAUCUGGACCUAAGUCAAAUUUUAUAGAAGCAAAACUUGUUUGAGUUAGAUUAUUCGGAAAGAGGGUUUCGAGAAGAAACUCUAGGCGCUUGAAUCGCCUGAUUCCGAUAAACGAGCGAAAAGAUAAACUAAAACGAAAAUCGGAUCAGAAAUCGCGAUCAGAAAAAUCGCGGAAUAAACCCGAGAAAAGAAAAACGAUGAACAGAUUAACGAACAAACGUUCGUUAUCUGGAUCUAACCGACGGAUAUGUUUGUUAAGACGAACAAACGAGCGAACGCUCGCUAAAAAAAUAAACCGAGAAAAGAAAAAAAACAAUCUAAAAAACGAAUCGAUGGUUUUUUGAAAAUAAAACCGAAGUGGUUUUCUUAAAAAAAACAGACCGGCAGCGGCGGCUCGGGCAAUACCUCGGCGAGGCACUCCGGCGGGGCGGGGCGGCUCCGGUGGGGUGGUGAGGGGCGGCAGCGACUCAGCGGCAGGGCUCGGCGGCUCGGGUGGCGGCUCCGGCUGCGGUGGCAAGUGGCAGCUGUGGCAGCGCAAGACGGUGGGGCUGGCGGCUGCGGCGGCAGGGUUCGGCGGCGGCGGCUUGGGGCUCCAGGGGGGCGGGGGCGCUUUAUAUAUCUGAGGGCGGCGGUGGCUUGGGCGAGGGGGCGCCCGGGGAGGAGUCCGGCUCAGACUCUCCUCGGCGUCCGUGCUGCGCACGGCGGCGCGUGCGAGGGGAGGCGGCGGCACUGGGUUGGGCCGGCCUGGCUCGGCUGGGCUUCGGCCCAGUCGGGCGCGGGCGCGUUUUUUUUAAAUAAUUACGCCGAACUGCAAAAAAAUCUAGAAAAAUAAAUAAAAAUCUAAAAUACCCAAAAUAAAUUUUUAUCGUCCAAAUAAAAUAUUUUGAACUAGAUGAACAUUUUUUCGGUCCUAAAAUGCAUUUUUAAAAAUCGUGCAGUUUUUCCUAAAUUCAAAUAAAAUAGUAAAAACACCAAAAUAAAUUUUAUUUGAUUUUUUAUUAAAUCCUCAUUAUUUCUUUAUUUUGGGAAAGUCAUUUUAUUCCAUCUCUCAUAUUUUUUUAAUUGAAAUAAUUGAAGAUAAAAUAAAUAAAAUCAAAUGAUCCUAUUUUCAAGAUUUGAGAAAAACUCAAAUAUGAAAAUAACGAAAUGCCCAACUCUCUCCAUGGGUCCUUGAGUUGCGUAGAAUUUCCAGGAUCGACGCAAAAUGCAAAUAAAAUAUGAUAUGCAAUGAUGAUCUAUGUAUAACAUUCCAAAUUGAAAAUUAGAGAUGUUACAUUCCCCCUAUAUAUAGUGAGGGAGAGAGAGGGCAGCCUCACCCCUUGCCCCUGGCGCAGCCCUCCCCUCUCCAACUCCACCUCCUCCUCAGUAGUGCUUGGCGAAGCCCUGCCAAAGAACUGCAAGCUCCACCACCACGCCGUCGUGCUACCGGAGCUCUCCCUCAACUUCUCCUCUCCCCUUGCUGGAUCAAGAAGGAGGAGACGUCCCCGGGUUGUACUUGUGUUGAACGCGGAGGAGCCGUCCGCUUGGCGCUUAGAUCGGAAUCGACCGCGAUCUGAAUCGCUGUGUGUACGACUCGACCAACCGCGUUCUUGUAACGCUUCCGCAUCGUGAUCUUCAAGGGUAUGAAAAUACACUCAUCUUCUCCCUCUCUUGUUGCUAGAAUCUCCAUAGAUUGAUCUUGGUGACACGUAGGAAAUUUUUUAAUUAUUUCUACGUUCCCCAACAGUGGCAUCAUGAGCUAGGUCUAUGCGUAGUUUCUAUGCACGAGUAAAACACAAGCUGUUGUGGGCGUCGAUUUUGUCAAUUUACUUGCCGUUACUAGUCUUAUCUUGAUUCAGUGGCAUCGUAGGAUGAAGCGGCCCAGACCGACCAUACACGUACGCUUACGUGAGACAGGUUCCACCGACUGACAUGCACUAGUUGCAUGAGGUGGCUAGCAGGUGUCUGUCUCUCCCACUUUAGUCGGAUCAGAUUCGAUGAAAAGGGUCCUUAUGAAGGGUAAAUAGCAAUUGGCAUAUCACGUUGUCGUUUUGGCAUAGGUAAGAAACGUUCUUGCUAGAAACCUAUAGCAGCCACGUAAAAACUUGCAACAACAAUUAGAGGACGUCUAACUUGUUCUUGCAGCAUAUGUCGUGUGAUGUGAUAUGGCCAAAAGGAUGUGAUGAAGGAUAUAUAUGUGAUGUAUGAGAUUGAUCUUGUUCUUGUAAUAUGAAUCACGACUUGAAUGUCGAUGAGUAUGACAACCGGCAGGAGCCAUAGGAGUUGUCUUAAUUUAUUGUAUGACCUGCGUGUCAUUGAGUAAUGCCAUGUAAUUACUUUCCUUUAUUGCUAAACCAUUAGCCAUAGUACUAGAAGUAAUAGUUGGCAAGAGAACUUCAUGCAGACGGAGAUCAUGGUGUCAUGCCGGUGACGAUGAUGAUCAUGGCGCCGCGAAGAUGGAGAUGAGAAGGAGCAAAAUGAUAUUGGCCAUAUCGUGUCACUAUUUGAUUGCAUGUGAUGUUUAUCAUGUUUUUACAUCCUAUUUUCUUAGAACGACGGUAGCAUAAAUAAGAUGAUCCCUCGCUAAAAUUUCAAGAAAGUGUUCCCCCUAACUGUGCACCAUUGCGAAGGUUCAUUGUUUCGAAGCACCAUGUGAUGAUCGGGUGUGAUAGAUUCUAACGUUCGAAUACAACGGGUGUAAGCCAGAUUUACACAAGCAAAACACUUAGGUUGACCUGACGAGCCUAGCAUGUACAGACAUGGCCUCGGAACACAAGAGACCGAAAGGUCGAACAUGAGUCAUAUAGCAGAUACGAUCAACAGGAAGAUGUUCACCGAUGAUGACUACUCCGUCUCACGUGAUGAUCGGACACGGCCUAGUUGACUCGGAUCACGUAUCACUUAGAUGACUAGAGGGAUGUCCAUCUGAGUGCGAGUUCAUUAAAUUAGAUGAACUUAAUUAUAAUGAACAUAGUCAAAAGGUCUUUGCAAAUUAUGUCGUAACUUGUGCUUCAAUUCUACUGUCUUAGAUAUGUUCCUAGAGAAAAUUGAGUUGAAAGCUGAUAGUAGCAAUUAUGCGGACUAGGUCCGUAAACUGAGGAUUGUCCUCAUUGCUACGCAGAAGGCUUAUGUCCUUAAUGCACCACUCGGUGUGAUGAACCUCGAACAUCGUCUAUGGAUGUUGCGAACAUAUGGCAUACACGUUUUGAUGACUACGUGAUAGUUCAGUAAUGUUAAACGGUUUAGAAUGGAGGCGCCGAAGACGAUUUCGAAAUGUCACGGAACAUAUGAGAUGUUCAAAGGGCUGAAAGUGGGAUUUCAGGCUUGUGCCCAUGUCAAGAGGUAUGAGACCUCUGACGAGUUUCUUAAGCCUGCAAACUAAGGGAGAAAAGCUCAAUCGUUGAGCAUGUGCUCAGAUUGUCUGAUUACUACAAUCACUUGAAUCGAGUGGGAGUUAAUCUUCCUUAAGAGAUAGUGAUGGUUCUCCAAAGUCAUUGCCACCAAGCUACUAGAGCUUCGUGAUGAACUAUAACAUAUCAAGGAUAGAUAUGAUGAUCCUUGAGCUAUUCGCGAUGUUUGACACCGCGAAAGUAGAAAUCAAGAAGGAGCAUCAAUUGUUGAUGGUUAGUGAAACCACUAGUUUCAAGAAGGGCAAGGACAAGAAGGGAGACUUCAUGAAACGGCAAAUCAGUUGCUGCUCUAGUGAAGAAACCCAAUGUUUGAACCCAAACCCGAGACUAAGUGCUUCUAUAUUGAGGGGAACGGUCACUGAAGCAGAACUACCCUAGAUACUUGGUAGAUGAGAAGGCUGGCAAGGUCGACAGAAGUAUAUUGGAUAUACAUUAUAUUACUGUGUACAUUACUAGUACUCCUAGUAGCACCAGGGUAAUAGAUACCGGUUCGGUUGCUAAGUGUUAGUAACUCAAAAUAAAAGGCUACGGAAUUAACGGGGACUAACCAAAGGUGAGAUGACGAUAUGUGUUGGAAAUGUUUCCAAGGUUGAUGUGAUCAAAUAUCAUACGCUCCAUCUACCACCGGGAUUGGUGUUAAACCUAAAUAAUUGUUAUUUGGUGUUUGCGUUGAGCAUAGACAUGAUUGGAUUAUGUUUAUUGGAAUACGGUUGUUCAUUUAAGGAUAAUAAUGGUUACUCUGUUUAUUUGAAUAAUACCUUCAAUGGUCUUGCACCUAAAAUGAAUGGUUUAUUGAAUCUCGAUCAUAGUGAUACACAUGUUCAUGCCAAAAGAUAUAAGAUAGUAAUGAUAGUACCACCUACUUGUGGCACUGCCAUUUGAGUCAUAUUGGUAUAAAACGCAUGAAGAAGCUCCAUGUUGAUGGAUCUUCUGGACUCACUCAUUUUUUGAAAAGUUUGAGACAUGCGAACCAUGUCUAUUAAUAUGUACGGAUGAAGAAACUCCAUGCAGAUGGAUCAUUUGGACUCACUUGAUUUUGAAUCACUUGAGACAUGCAAAUCAUACCACAUGGGCAAGAUGACUAAAAAGCCUCGUUUUUAGUAAGAUGGAACAAGAAAGCAACUUGUUGGAAGUAAUACAUUUUGAUGUGUGCAGUUCAAUGAGUGUCGAGGCACGCAGUGGAUAUCGUUAUGUUCUUACUUCACUGAUCAUUUGAGUAGAUGCUGAGUAUAUUUACUUGAUGAAACACAAGUCUGAAUUAUUGAAAGGUUCUAGUAAUUUUAGAGUGAAGUUGAAGAUCAUCGUGACAAGAGGAUAAAAUGUCUAUGAUAUGAUCAUAGAGAUGAGUAUCUGAGUUAUGAGUUUGGUAUACAAUUAAGACAUUGUGGAAAUUGUUUCACAACUAAUACCGCCUGGAACACCAUAGUGUGAUGGUGUGUCCGAACAUCAUAGCUGCACCCUAUUGGAUAUAUAUGGUGCGUACCAUGAUGUCUCUUAUCUAAUUAACACUAUCGUUUAUGGGUUAGGCAUUAGAGACAACCGCAUUCACUUCAAUUAGGGCACCACGUAAUUCGUUGAGAUGAUAACGUAUGAACUAUGGUUUAGAGAAACCUAAGCUUACAUUUCUUAAAAGUUUGGGGUUGCGAAGCUUAUGUGGAAAAGUUUUAGCCUGAUAAGCUCGAACCCAAAGCGGAUAAAUGCAUCUUCAUAGGACACACAGAAUAGUUGGGUAUACCUCCUAAUUCAGAUCCGGAAGCAAAAGUGAUUGUCUCCAUAAACGGGUCCUUUAUUGAGGAAAAGUUUCUCUCGAAAGAAUUGAGUGGGAGGAUGGUGGAUACUUGAUGAGGUUAUUGAACCGUCACUUCAACUAGUGUGUAGAAGGGCACAGGAAGUUGUUCAUGUGGCGCCUACACCAAUUGAAGUGGAAGCUGAUGAUAGUGAUCAUGAAACUUCGGAUCAAGUCACUACCAAACCUUGUAGGUCGACAAGGAUGCGUACUACUUCAGAAUGGUACGUAAUCCUGCCUUGGAGGUCAUGUUGCUAGACAACAAUGAACCUACGAGCUAUGGAGAAGCGAUAGUGGGCCCGGAUUCCGGCGAAUGGCUCGAGGCCAUAAAAUCCGAGAGGAUCCAUGUAUGAAAACAAAGUAUAGACUUUGGAAGAAUCACUUGAUGGUCGUAAGGCUAUUGGAUACAGAUGGAUUUUAAAAGGAAGACGGACAAUGAAGGUAAGUAUCACCAUUAAGAAAGCUUGAUGAUGUCUACUACGCAACCUUCUUCUUUUAGACGUUGUUGGGCCUGCAAGUGCACAGGUUUGUAGGACAGUAGAAAAUUUCCCUCAAGUGGAUGACCUAAGGUUUAUCAAUCCAUGGGAGGCAUAGGAUGAAGAUGGUCUCUCUCAAACAACCCUGGAACCAAAUUACAAGGAGUCUCUUGUGUCCCCAACACACCCAAUACAAUGGUAAAUUAUAUAGGUGCACUAGUUCGGCGAAGAGAUGGUGAUAUAAGUGCAAUAUGGAUGGUAUUUGUAAUAUGAAAUUAUAAAAAUAGCAAGGUAGCAAGCGAUAAAAGUGAGAAUAAACGGUAUUGCAAUGGUAGGAAACAAGGCCUAGGGUUCACUAAUGGCGCACUAGUGGCGCACCAGUUUUGCCUACUAAUGGCGCACUACUGGUGCGCCACUAGUACCACGCCACUAGUAUUAUAUACUAAUGGCGCACCAUAGGUGCGCCAUUAGUAUACUAGAUACUAAUGGCGCACCAUGUGGUGCGCCAUUAGUAUACCAUUCGGUGCUCCACUAGUAUUCCCUCCAGGUGCGCCACUAAUAACCUUAUAGGUGCGCCACUAGUAAUAAAGGAAGGUGCGCCACUAAUACGGGCUUAAAUGCGCCACUAGUAAUGUAUUUGGAAAACAAAAAAAUCUAACUUUACAGAAAACAACCUAUAAGGAAAAAUAAUUUAAAAACAAAAAAUGAAAUAGAAUCAUAAUUUUUAUUAUAGUAAGAAUAUUACAAUGUCUUUACAAGUUUCCAAUAAAAGGAAAAUUGCAAGGAAAUAAAAGAAAAUCCUAAAACUAAUCUUCUAGUAAUCUUUUCUUCUUUUUCAUCACUUUAUCCCUGCAAAAUGUAACAAAAUAAAUAGAAAGACAAACAAACUAUUUAUAACAUGUCAAUACUGUCAUUUUUAUGCAAAACUAGAUAUGAGCAUAUAUUUCCAAAAUUACAUGGUGUGAAUAUGUAUGAGUAAGAUUAUAAUGGAAAUGAAUUUCGAUAGGAGCCCACUUUCGACGAGUAUUUAUCUGACAGAGCUAAAUAAUCAGGGUAUUUAUCUGCUUCUUACUGUACACAUGAAUACAAGGAGUACAUGGGUCUCUAUAACUACUUCAUGUCUACAUCAGUGCUUGUCUACAGGAGUAAUAUGAACAUCAUUCUACAUGGGUCUCUGAACAUCUUCUUACAAAGUUGGCUACAAAACAGAUCAAGACAACGCAAGAAUACUUUUGAGUACACUGUUGAUAUGCUCCAGCUAAAUGAGUACAGUACAAAUGAGUACUCCUGCUGCUUAAUGAUGCAUCUUAAUUAACAGAAAAUGUUUCAAUUAAUUUAAAUUAAAGUAAUAGUCGUGCUGCUUAAUGAUGCAUCUUAAACAGGCAAAUGAGUAGAAAAAUAUCAGUUAAUUUAAAUUAACUGAAAAGGUUUCAGUUAACCUCUUCACUGCCACAAACUGUCCAUUAGCAAGUUGUCCUUUGUACACCUCAGCAUGCCGUCCCUUUUUGAUCAAGUUAUCUACAGAAACAUUGUACAUUCAGUUUUCAAGCAAAAAUGUUUAGAGAUAAUUAAGAUACAGAAAACUAUGGCUGGUAAUGCUUCAUUAACAUAAGAAACUAAUUCUUACUUUGACAGUAAACACACAACAACUGAAAGUAGGGAGUAAAUAAGUUUUAAGUGUAUGAUGCAUCUUAAUUUCUCAUAAUUUUGAAGAAAGCAUCAAUGCUAACAGUAGGGAGUAAAUCAGUUAAGAAAUGUUUCAGUGUAUGAUCAUGAUAAUGUACACUACUGAACAAGAGCAGUACACUACUGAACAAGAAGAGAAGAGAAGACAAGAGAAUAGAGAAGAGAAGAACACUAAAUUCCUACACUACUAAACAAGAGCAGUACACUACUGAUGCACUUGCUACUCUAGAAUUUGGAAGCAAUACUCCAAUACCGCGGUAUUGGAAGGAAUACUGUAGUAGUUCAAGCAGUACUUCAGUGGAGUAGCUGCAAAGAAUUAACACUAAGCAUAAGAUACACUAAGAAUUUUUAGUGGAGCAGCUGCAUAGAAUUAACAGAAUUAAGAGAGCAUCAGCAAGUUAACAAGCUACUGAAAAAACACUGCAACCAAUACAGUACUGCAAAAUUACAUAAUUUGCAAAAUUUUGUAAACUGAAGUUUUUGCGAAGGAAACAAAAUUUUAUAGCUUCAGGCCUACAGAAUAGCUUCAGGCUGGAGAACUACAGUUGUUGGUAAGACUUCUUGUAGCUUUAGGCUGGUUGGAGUACUACAGCAGCAAACAUUUCAUGGUUAGAGUACUCCGUUUGCAGUAGCCAAACAUUCAGAUAUCUACAGUAGCUUCAGGCUGGUUGCCUGACUAAAUAGUCAUCCUCUCGUGAGGAUUCUGGAGCAAAAGAGCUGCUGCUUAGGUAGUGGGAGUAGUUGAUACUACACUAAAUUACUCUUUGCAAUUUUGGACUGAAUGUGUUGAGAUCUUUAGCUACUGUCAGCAGAGUUACAGAGUAGUGAUUGAUGGACGUGGUGUCAUGGGAUCACCGAGGUAGAAGGCGGCAUACUCGGCGUAGACCUCGCCACAGCGGUCGUAGGCAUCGCCCAGGAGGCCCCAGCCGAGCUUGGCGUCCCCCUCCUACUCGAGUUGCUCGUCCUGCCAUUGGCGACGCCUGCCCGCCUCGGCCUCCCGCACCCGCCGCCCCUACAGGUCCUCGACCAGCGUGGCCUGCCGCAGCUCGUACACCGCCUCCUCGGUCGCCGUCCACGCCGCGUACCUUCUUCACCUUCCAUUCCACUAAGAAAUCAGUGGAAAAAUUAGGGAGCAGAAGCUCAACAGAAUGCACCAAAUCGCCAAAAUUCCAUCCCAGCUACCUCCAGAAGCAGCAACCGGGAGUGAAGCUUCCGGCCUACACGCAACAUCCCCCGCAACCCACAAGAUAGUGGAGGAGGGAAGCACCUUGGCGGAGACCGCUCGGGAGGCGGGCUGGGCCAAAGGGAGAAGCCGCCAUAGGGACCCUCUGCCGCGGCGGGACGACGCUGUCGAGGCGGGAGACGGCAGGCGGAGACCUCCAUCGGCAGGCAAGCGCUCCGGUUGGUGGGGAAUUUUCACCUCUCCUCCGUCGCUAGUGGGGGUGGGGGAGAAGAAGAGGGAGGUGGAGCUCCUUGGAUUGCUCGUCAUGGAAGGUGGCUGGUGGCGGAAGGGGUGGCACCUGUAAAGCUCGUGGGGCGGAUCUGGCCGGUUCCCGGCGAGUGGAGACGGCGGCGGCUCCACCACUCCCAGAUCUAGCACCGAAGCUGCCUUCCGACCCGUCGCCGCCGAGCUCGGGCUCCUUGGCUGUGACAGCCGCGAGGAGGCGCGAAGGGGACCGAAGAGAGAGGAGGGCAAGGGCCGCCGCACAGGAAGAGGAUGGAGCACUGGGAGGCGGCAUCGAUCGGGGCCGGGGCGAGGCCGAGAGACGUGUGUGCGUGGGGUGAGGGAUAAGAGGAUAGGGUUCCUUGUGAGAGAGAGGAGAGAGAUGGUGGGCGGUCGGGCUGCGGCACUUACCUACAAAACCACAGUGGCGCACCGCAUGGAAAAGUGCGCUAUUAGUAUCAAAAAUAGCAAUGGUGCAUCAGGGAAAAGUGUGCCAUUACUAUGUCCAGAAGUGGGUCAAAGCUUGGUCAAACAUAGUAAUGGCGCACUUUUUACUCGGUGUGCCAUUAUUAUUUUAGAUACUAAUGGCGCACUAUGUAUAGGUGCGCCAUUACUAUAUAGUAGUGGCGCACCGCAUGUAUAAUGCGCCAUUAAUGUCUAUAUUAUCUAUAGCCUGUUUUCUAGUAGUGUUAUUGCAACUCCUACAAGCAUAUGUUCCUCCCUCAUAAUAAUUUUUAGUAGCAUCAUGAAUGAAUUCAACAAUAUAACCAGCACUUAAAGCAUUCUUUUCAUGAUCUACUAGCAUAGAAAAUUUACUACUCUCCACAUAAGCAAAAUUCUUCUCAUUCGGAAUAGUGGGAGUAUCCUAAGAGACUUGAACACUAAAAAUUGUUUCCACAUUAAAAGAGCAAUGUUCAGAAAAAGGGUAAUCAUAAUCAUGACAAGAUUUGUAAUUAUAAUCAUCACUACUUUUUAUAGCAUAAGUUUCAUCACAAUAAUCAUCAUAAGUAGCAACUUCGUUCUCAUCAUAAUCGAUUGAAACCUCUCCCAAGAUAGUGGAAUCACUAAAUAAAGUUGACACUCUUCCAAAUGCACUUUAAUAUUUAUCAGAAUAAAAUUCAACAUCCUAAAAAAUAGUGGGAUCACUACUUCCUAAAGUUGACUCUCUUCCGAACCCACUUUCAUCAAUAUAAUCAUCAUAGGUAGGAGGCAUGCUAUCAUCAUAACAACUUUGCAUAUCAAAACUUGGGAUGCUAAAAAUAUCAUCUUCAUUAAACAUAGCAUCCCCAAGCUUGGGACAAACAUUAAUUUCAGCAAAUAUAUUCUCAAAUAUUUCAUCCUCAUCAAACAUAGCUUCCCCAAGCUUGGGCCUUUUCAUAUCAUAAACAUAAUCACUCUCAUUAUUAAUAGUAUGGAUAGCACCAAUAGUAUAGCAAUUAUCGUCAUCACAAUGAGUAGUAGGAGCAACAUCAUUUGGAAGGGAUACCUUUUUACCUUUGUUGCCCCUUGUCGGUGUCAAAACCGGCGGAUCUCGGGUAGGGGGUCCCGAACUGUGCGUCUAGGCGGAUGGUAACAGGAGACAAGGGACACGAUGUUUUACCCAGGUUCGGGCCCUCUUGAUGGAGGUAAAACCCUACGUCCUGCUUGUUUGAUAUUGAUGAUGUGGGUAUUACAGGAGUAGAUCUACCACGAGAUCAAGGAGGCUAAACCCUAGAAGCUAGCCUAUGGUAUGAUUGUUUUAUAUUGUAUAUCUGUCGACUAGCCUGGCCCUGGUUUAUAUAAUGCACCAGAGGCCUAGGAUAACAAGAGUCCUAGCCGAAUACGCCGGUGGGGGAGGAGUCCUUGUCUUGAUCGCCAUGUCUUGUGGAAUCUUCCUGGUAUGUGGCAACUGUCCGGACUGGCCCAUGAGUAUACGGCCAUGGGGAUCCUCGGCCCAAUCCAACUGAUUGGGAGACGACGUGGUAAGUACCCCCUAGUCCAGGACACCGUCAAUAGCCCCCUGAACCGGUCUUCAAGUUACGGACGCUCCUCGAUUCUUCCGAACUGUUCUUCAUCUUCGGUUGCCGGUCUUGAAAACUGGUUCAACAAAUCUUCUCAUCUUUGAUCUGGAGGAUCGCCGAAAUGCAUUCGACAAGUUUAUACGUUGGGUAUCCGAGGAGCCCCUUUAAGUUUUCGGGCUUUAUCCAUGCCUUGUUAUUUUUAUGCCACACCUCAGGUUUGAAGUUGUUCCCAGGUGGCAACGUCCUCUUGCGUCCGAGAUCCAACGCCGGACUACAUUCGAGGUAUCUUUUGCAGCCAAGCACCAAUGCCGGACCGCUUCCCAGCUCUAACGCCAAAAUGUAUCCGAGCUCCAACACCGGACUAUGUGUACGAGCUCCAACGCCAGACUAUGUGUCCGAGCUCCAACGCCGGACUAUGUAUCCGGGCUCCAACGCCGGACUGUAUCCGAGGUGUCGUAAAUCACCUUGGUUCAAAGAAGUUUGAAGGAGUUUAGCCAAGCUUAAUGCCGGAAAUGCCCUCUAAGGAGCCAGCCACUUGCAUCCGAACUAUAUGCCGAAUUGCUUCUGAGGUGGUGCACCACCCCGAAUGUGGGCUGAUUUUUGGUCAAUAUUUUUUAUUGAUGCAAUUUAUUCUCUGACGAGAUAUAUAGCCAGUAGCCCUCAAGGUGUCUAUCGGUCUAAAACCCGAGAUGCACCUGAAGGAUGACAUAAGACCGCUGAUCCCAGUAACCGCUGAGACUCAGCUUGAUUUGCCAAAUCGGCCUGAGGAUCAAGUCCUAGCUCGGCAGAAUACUUCGGGGCGCAAAAAGCGGCGUGCUCAGACCUCAAAACUCAGGUUGGGUGCGGCCGACCAACCUGAGGAUCAAAAUCUCCUCGGAAACUGUAUUGCACUUAAGAUUUUCUGCAUAGAACAAGCAAUCCAGUAGCCCCUGAGACACUGGUCGGGUGGCAACACCAGAUCAGGGGAUCAAUGUGCCCCUUUAAUAUUUGUAAAUAAUAAGCCCGAAGCCCAGUAGCCCCCGAGCCUUAAUGCGGGCACGGGAGGCCGAAUUAAGGAUCAAUAUCCAUAGUAAAAUCCCAAAUUAUGUGUAAUGACUCAAUGUAUCCAAGUACUUUAUGUCAUUAAUGCUCGGAUCCGCAUUGUACAAAACUUUGUUGACCGACCAUCGGCUUCAACCUCCUCGGCCAGUAGCCGAGGAGUGUUUGUCCUACUUUAUAAAGCCUUUAUGAGGGCAAAGAUUUACGACAAACAAGGCAAUCUCUCCAUACGGUUUUAUAAACAAAGGUACGUAGAGAGAUAUGUUAUAUUGCUGUUUAACAGAAGAAAUGUCUUUCAAAGAAAAUAGUCCCGCUAUCGGUUCCUUUCUAUGGUUGUCAUGCUAAGCAUGAUCAUGAAACCUCAUCUCCAAUGUAAGAGCAAAAGAUCGAGGAUUUAGUUUGGGAGGCCAGUUAAUAGCCCCCGGUAGUGUUCGGCGACAGUCGAGGUCAAGCCGGAAACACUUCGGCCAAUGUUAUGAAUGGCCCAUCAUUUAAUAUAGUCAUCGGAUUGCUGACCAGUUUACACCUAUUGUGACAGUCAGUUUUCGGCUUUCUCAAGUGAGGUGCUUGACCAUGCGAGCUGGAAGCACAAUCGCAAUGGUUCUCCCUUUGCACACCUAGCCGAACAAAGCGGAACGUAUGAGGCAAGCGCGGGAGCCGGGCAACCCAACUAUUGACCGAAGACACAAUUCGAAACUGAUGCAUAUAUAGCAAUAUCUGAGAAUGUUUUUGCCGAAUCUCUAAAGGUGUCCGGCGUUGCGCUGCGAGACUUGUGCUGAAAACACACAAAUAGUUAAAAUUUCCAAGAGCUUGGAAAACCAAAAAAAUGUCAGUAAAAACAUGACGUCCGAACAAGAUCAAGUGUUCGGUGCCAAUCAGAAAAUUGGUCUUUAGAAAAAAAAGGUGCUUCUGCCGUGCUUUAACUUUGCAAUGACUAAGAAGAAAAACACUUAGUAUGAAACGGCUCAAAUAAACAUAAGAGCCCCCAAGUGACUUGAGUAAAAGUUGACUAUAAAAUGUAAGGUGACAUGUAGAAUGCCUUCUAGCCGGAUUGUAGAUCGUUUGUCGUAGCGGACCUUUUCGCUUCAACCUCUGGACCCAAUAGUCCGGAGUGUGUCCGAAUACCCUCGCGGUUAUAAAAACCGGGGCAUGCGUGGAGACCAGGCGUAGGGGUCAUUAGUGCUUUAUCAGACAAGUGCCCAACUAGUUAUUUUAUAUUACAUGGUUAGUAAGAAACAUCUUCCAGGGAGAAUAGUUCCGUUAGGGGUUCCUUUCCCUGGGAGGCAUGCCCUAAAGUGCAUGUCCGGACUGCGAAAAGAGCAGAAAAACAUCUGGGGGCCAAUAAGUAGGUAAGAAAUCAUCUUUUAGUUCACCGACCGAGUAUUCCCUUAAGAACGCUAGCUUUCGGCUUCACCUAGUCUGAGGUACACAUCCGGCUGACCCGGCAGUAACAAUCGCAGAGGUGCUCCCUUUACAACCUAGCCGAACAAUUGGGAACGUAGCGGUAAGCACAGGAGCCAGGCAACCCAGCUUGGCCAAAACUUAAGUCAUAUCGAUGCAUAUAAUGGUGAAUAAAAGGUACAUGCAGAAGUGUGACACAUGUGUUGGGCAUAAAGCCCGUAGUAAUAAGCUUCUAUUAAAGAAGCCCCCAGGUAUAAUGAGCGCGGGUAGCGCGUCAAGGGUGUUCGAACAAAGUUUCGACACGGAAAAUUUUUACAAGCAACUUUUUUCCAAAAAAGUAUAAUGCUUGGUCGAACUGAACACAAGUUAGAAAUUUAAAACUUUGAGCAUGAAGGAAACUUAGCUGGUUAAUGUGUUCGGUAUUGACGAUGCGGUCCGAGCUUGAUGCGGGACAAGGUUCUAUCCCCCAAGUCGGUCCCGAGGUGGCGGAGCAAAGAGCUCAGCACUGUGAAGUGGUGACUUAGCACGGUCAAUGCAGGACGGCAGAGUGAUGCCGAAGUCCCUGGCAUGGAGUAAUGAAGUGUUGACGAAGCCCCCCGUCCAGCCGAGGUGACAUCAAAGGAUAUAGUCCGGCUGGAUCAGUUUCCUGUGCACAAAAAAUAGUGCAAACCAGAGAUAAAAAAAAUGUUGCAUAAUAAAUAAUUUAUGCAAAGCGAGUAAUAAAAGAAAUAUGGCCUGGCGCCGAAGUCGGUGCAAGGCGGCGGCGUGAUGCGGUAAAGGCAUGGCAAGUCCUGAAUUCGCAGGUCGGUUCGAGUUCUGGAUGCGGCGUUCGCCGGACUAUGUAUGGAAACUGACCGAACCAUCAUGCGACCAUCGAUAAUGCGGCCACCCCUUGAUAGACCUGUGUACAUAUGAUGGACAAACCAGAGUAAUAAUUCCUUGGAAAAAAUGAGCCCAAACAAGCAGAAAAUACUAGGAUUAAUAGCACCUGGUUUAUUUGUUGUAGUAAUCUGAAGGAAGGUGAUUCCCAGAAUCGGGACUCGAUCCGCGCACCCAUUGCCUGAUGGGCGAUAAAACGACGGCAUGGUAAUGCUGGCAAAGGUUGGCUUGCCGAGGCAAAGCCCUCGGCCCAGCUAACGUGACGGAGCUGGUCGGCUAGUGACGCCGAAGUGUCCGGAGUAGGUUGAUGAAGAGAUGAUGAAGCCCCUGGUCCAGCAAACGUGAUGAGGCCUUGGUGUCAGCCGAUGAGUCAAAGUAGGUCGGCGUGAUGGACACCAGCUUGAAGAAGCAAUAGUGUGGCCCUGCCGAUGCAGGUCGUGACAUGGUCGAUGCCGGCUUGAUGAAGCGACCAUGCGGCGAUGCCGGUAUGCCCGCUCUGUGUAAUCCAUGGGGCGGUGAUGUUGGUGAUGAUUUAUCCUUCGCGAUGCCGGACACUUGCUCGGAUUGCCAAGAUGAUGAUCCGAAGAAGUUGAGCUUGGCUCAACAAAGUGACGACCUGUCUAGCGCAGGUCGGCAGCCGUGGAGCAAUGUUGCCGGACUGGUUUGACACCAGCAUGAUGUCGAAGAUCAUGUUCAAAAGAUCUUAAAGUUAGUGGGAUGUGUUAGGGAACAAAACACAAUACCCCAUACAAAACUUCCUUCAAAACGGAUGUCCGAAAUCCCGUUCAUAAAAAAGACGAAUUCGGGUCGGAUUCGUUUUCGCGUAGAAAACAGAUCCAAAAAGUGAUGCACUAAUCGGAAGGUUCCCGGAGUUUGGACGGUCGGAUCGAGCUGAAAUUUUGAGUUGUGGUAGAUAUAGGAAUUCCGCAGCCGAUCAAUGGUUGGAUCUUCCAAAGGACGUCCGAGCUAGAAUCUGGACACCACGCCCUAAACUCGUCCGGAUUCUCGUCCAGAUUCAAUGCGGCUCCGAUAUAUCGGAGAUUGCCAGAGAUUCCCCAAUCGGAACUCGACGAAAUUUUCCAGGGUUGUUGUAGACUCAAUUCCGCACAGUUCCACCGACGAGGAGGCGGUCGCGGCGGGCACAAGUCCGCUGUCCAGAAAAAUAGUACGGUCGCCCGAGGGCAAUGUUGACGUUGAGCCGCCGGGCUCCCUGGAUGAUUCCUCCAUGAUCUUGAUAGAGAUCGGAGUUGAUGUUGAUGAAGGCCCUCAUCCAAACAUGACGAUCGGAGGUAGGGCGCAGUCCUUGAUCGAACCAAGGUGACCAGUCGAGCUGGUGACGAAGAUGCCGAAGUCGCAGUUGAUCUGCAGGCAAGCCAUCGACCUUUUGCCGAACACACAGAGGAACUCUCAAUGAAAGCACCAAUGUCGGUGUCAAAACCGGCGGAUCUCGGGUAGGGGGUCCCGAACUGUGCGUCUUGGCGGAUGGUAACAGGAUACAAGGGACACAAUGUUUUACCCAGGUUUGGGCCCUCUUGAUGGAGGUAAAACCCUACGUCCUGCUUGAUUGAUAUUGAUGAUGUGGGUAUUACAAGAGUAGAUCUACCACGAGAUCAAGGAGGCUAAACCCUAGAAGCUAGCCUAUGGUAUGAUUGUUGUAUAUUGUAUAUCUGUCGACUAGCCUGGCCCUGGUUUAUAUAAUGCACCAGAGGCCUAGGAUAACAAGAGUCCUAGACGAAUACGCCGGUGGGGGAGGAGUCCUUGUCUUGAUCGCCAAGUCUUGUGGAAUCUUCCUUGUAUGCGGCAACUGUCCGGACUGGCCCAUGAGUAUACGGCCAUGGGGGUCCUCGGCCCAAUCCAACUGAUCGGGAGACGACGUGGUGAGUACCCCCUAGUCCAGGACACCGUCACCCCUUCUUUCCCUUUUCUUCUUCACAUUAUGUGUGGGUUCAACCUUCCUCUUUGAGAUCCUUAUUGACGAGAUUGGUUGAAUAGAAAGCUCCUCCUCGUUACCUGAUUCAUCAUAAGAAAUAAUAGGAGGAUAUUGGGAAGUCUCUUCCCUUUCAUUAGUAUUCUCAUCAUCUUAUAUUUUCUUUCUUUUCUUUAUGUAAUUGGCAAUAUAAGGAUUUUCAAUGCAAUUCUCCGCACAAUACAAAUAAAUCUUCUCUAGAUCAAUAUCAAGGAAUUUCUUUUGGGCAAAUUCUGGAAGGUCCUGAAGUAACGUUUCAAUUCUUCAUAACCCAAAAGCAAACUAAGUUCCUUGUAAUGAGCAAGGGAGAUCAAAUCAUCAAAAAAAUUGGACACGAUUCGAUCAUGAAAGAAUUUGCAUAGGAGAUGUAAAUGGCCACGUUCAUUGGAAAGUUCACAAGUACGGCAAAGGAAAUUCAAAAUUUCAGCACUCACAUUUAGCCUUUCUUGCAACCAUUUAGUUUCUACAUGCUUAUGCCUCUUGCAAUAUAUAUCUUCUCUAUUUGGUGUGUUCAUGCAAACAUGCACUCCACAAAAGUUGACAUGCUCAAAAGAUAUAUUUUCAUCAUGACUAGAGCAAUCAUCAUUAGUACUAUGGAUAUUCAAGGAGUUUAUACUAACAACAUUGCAAUCAUACUCAUCAUUCAAAGAUUUAAUACCAAGCAUUUUAAAGCAUUCUUCUUCUAGCACUUGAGCAUAAUUUUCCUUUCCAUCGAACUCACGAAAGAUAUUAAAAAGACGAAGUGUAUGCGACAAACUUAACUCCAUGUUUUGUCAUUUUCUUUUAUAAACUAAACUAGUGAUAAAACAAGAAACAAAAAGAUUCGAUUGCAAGAUCUAAAGAUAUACCUUCAAGCACUCACCUCCCCGGCAAUGGCGCCAGAAAAGAGCUUGAUGUCUACUACGCAACCUUCUUCUUGUAGAUGUUGUUGGGCCUGCAAGUGCACAGGUUUGUAGGACAGUAGCAAAUUUCCCUCAUGUGGAUGACCUAAGGUUUAUCAAUCCGUGGGAGGAGUAGGAUGAAGAUGGUCUCUCUCAAACAACCCUGCAACCAAAUAACAAAGAGUCUCUUGUGUCCCCAACACACGCAAUACAAUGGUAAAUUGUAUAGGUGCACUAGUUUGGCGAAGAGAUGGUGAUACAAGUGCAAUAUGGAUGGUAGAUAAAGGUAUUUGUAAUCUGAAAUUAUAAAAACAGCAAGGUAGCAAGCGAUAAAAGUGAGCGUAAAACGGUAUUGCAAUGGUAGGAAACAAGGCCUAGGGUUCAUACUUUCACUAGUGCAAGUUCUCUCAACAAUAAUAACAUAGAUAGAUCAUAUAACAAGCCCUCAACAUGCAACAAAGAGUCACCCCAAAGCCACUAAUAGCGGAGUACAAAGAUAGAGAUUAUGGUAGGGUUCGAAACCACCUCAAAGUUAUUCUUUCAGAUCAAUCUAAUAAAGAGUUCGUACUAUAAUAACACCUUAAGACACAAAUCAACCAAAACCCUAAUGUCACCUAGAUACUCAAUUGUCACCUCAAGUAUUCGUGGGCAUGAUUAUAUGAUAUGCGUCACACAAUCUCAAAUUCAUCCAACCAACACAAAGUACUUCAAAGAGUGCCCCAAAGUUUCUACCAGAGAAUCAAGAAAAUGUGUGCCAGCCCCUAUGCAUAGGUUCAUGGGCGGAACCCGCAAGUUGGUGACCAAAACAUACAUCAAGUGGCACGUGAUAUCCCAUUGUCACCACAGAUAAACACGGCAAGACAUACAUCAAGUGUUCUCAAAGUAAAGACUCAAUCCGAUAAGAUAACUGCAACAAGGAAACUCAAUUCAUCACAAGAGAGUAGAGGGGGAGAAAAUUCAUAAGAUCCAACUAUAAUAGAAAAGAUCGCGAUAAAUCAAGAUCAUGCCAUAGAGAGAACACGAGAGAGAGAGAGAUCAAACACAUAGCUACUGGUACAUACCCUCAGCCCCGAGGGUGAACAACUCCCUCCUUGUCAUGGAGAGCGCCGGGAUGAUGAAGAUGGCCACUGGUGAUGGAUUCCCCCUCCGGCAGGGUACCGGAACGGGCUCCCGAGAGGUUUUUGGUGGCUACAGAGGCUUGCGGCGGCGGAACUCACAAUCUAUCUUGAUAUUCGAUGGUUUUAGGGUAUGUAGGGUUAUAUAGGCGAAAGAAGUCGGUCGGGGGGUGCUCGAGGAGUCCAUGAGACAGGGGGCGCACCCUGGGGGGCUAUCUCCUGGGCUCCUUGAGUAUCUUCUGACUUGAACUCCACGUCUCCAGGAUGAUACUCUUCCAAAAAAUCACAUUGCCGAAGGUUUCAUUCCGUUUGGACUCCGUUUGAUAUUUCUUUUCUUCGAAAUACUGAAAGAGGCAAUAAAACAACAAUAUGGGUUGGGCCUCCGGUUAAUAGGUUAGUCCCAAAAGUAAUAUAAAAGUGUAUAAUAAAGCCCAUAAUAAUUCAAAACAGAUAAUAAAAUAGCAUGAAUGCUUCAUAAAUUAUAGAUACGUUGGAGAUGUAUCACUCGACUUGUCGUUAACAUAUUUUCUGACAAGUUCAAGGAGUUGACUAUGAUGAGACUUUCUCACUCGUAGCGAUGCUAAGAGUCUGUUGGAAUUAUAUUAGCAAUUACUGCAUUAUUUACGAAAUCUUGCAGAUAGGAUGUCAAAACAUUGUUUCCUCCAUGAUUUUCUUGAGGAAAGGUUGUAUGUGAUACAACCAGAAGGUUUUGUCAAUCCUAAAAGAUGCUAACAAGUAUGCAAAGCUCCAGCAAUCCUUCUAAGGACUGGAGUAAGCAUCUCGGAGUUGGAAUAUACGCAUUGAUGAGAUGAUCAAAGAUUUUGGGUUUGUACAAAGUUUAUGAGAAACUUGUAUUUCCAAAGAAGUGAGUGGGAGCACUAUAGAAUUUCUGAUGAGUAUAUGUUGUUGACAUAUUGUUGAUCAGAAAUGAUGUAGAAUUUCUGGAAAGCAUAUAGGGUUAUUUGAAAAGUAUUUUUAAAUGGAAAACCUGGAUUAAGCUACUUGAACAUUGAGCAUCAAGAUCUACAAGGAUAGAUCAAAAGACGCUUAAUAGUACUUUCAAAUGAACACAUACCGUGACAAGAUAUUGAAGAAGUUCAAAAUAGAUCGGCAAAGAAGGAGUUCUUGGCUGUGUUAUAAUGUGUGAGUAUUGAGUAAGACUCAAGACCUGACCACGGCAGAAGGGAGAGAAAGGACGAAGGUCGUCCCCUAUGCUUUAGACAUAGGCUCCACAGUAUGCUAUGUUGUGUACCGCACCUAAAGUGUGCCUUGCCAUGAGUCAGUCAAGGGGUACAAGUGUGAUCCCAGAAUGGAUCACAGGACAGCGGUCAAGGUUAUCCUUAGUAACUAGUGGACUAAGGAAUUUUCUCGAUUAUGGAGGUGGUAAAAGAGUUCGUCGUAAAGGGUUAUGUCGAUGCAAACUUUCACACUAAUCUGGAUGACUCUGAGUAGUAGACUGGAUUCGUAUAGUAGAGCAGUUAUUUGGAAUAGUUCCAAAUAGUGCAUGGUAGCUGCAUCUAGGAGAUGACAUAGAGAUUUGUAAAGCACACACGGAUCUGAAAGAUUCAGACCCAUUGACUAAUAACCUCUCUCACAAGCGAGAUAUGAUCAAACCCAAUGAGUGUUGGAUUCAUUACAAUCACAUAGUGAUGUGAACUAGAUUAUUGACUAUAGUGCAAGUGGGAGACUGUUGGAAAUAUGCCCUAGAGGCAAUAAUAAAAUGGUUAUUAUUGUAUUUCCUUGUUCUUGAUAAUUGUCUAUUGUUCAUGCUAUAAUUGCAUUAACUGGAAACCGUAAUACAUGUGUGAAUACAUAGACCACAACAUGUCCCUAGUGAGCCUCUAGUUGACUAGCCAGUUCAUCAACAUAUGGUCAUGGUUUCCAGGCCAUGGGAAUUAGAUGUCAUUGAUAGCGGCAUCACAUCGUUAGUAGAAUGAUGUGAUGGACAAGACCCAAUCCUAAGCAUAGCACAAGAUCGUGUAGUUCGUUUUCUAAGAGCUUUUCUAAUGUCAAGUAUCAUUUCCUUAGACCAUGAUAUUUUGCAACUCCCGGAUACCAUAGCAAUGCUUUGGGUGUACCAAACGUCACAACAUAACUGGGUGGCUAUAAAGGUGCACUACAGGUAUCUCCGAAAGUGUCUGUUGGGUUGGCACGAAUCGAUACUGGGAUUUGUCACUCACUAUGACAGAGAGGUAUCUAUGGGCCCACUCGAUAAUCCAUCAUCAUAAUGAGCUCAAUUUGACUAAGUAGUUAGUCACGGGAUCAUGCAUUAUGGAAUGAGUAAAGUGACUUGCCGGUAACGAGAUUGAACGAGGUAUUGGGAUACCGACGAUCGAAUCUUUGGCAAGUAACAUACCGAUUGACAAAGGGAAUUGUAUACGGGAUUGAUUGAAUCCCCGACAUCGUGGUUCAUCCGAUGAGAUCAUCGUGGAACAUGUGGGAGCCAACAUGGGUAUCCAGAUCCCGCUGUUGGUUAUUAGUCAGAGAACAUCUCGGUCAUGUCUGCAUGGUUCCCGAACCCGUAGGGUCUACACACUUAAGGUUCGGUGACGCUAGAGUUGUUAUGGGAAAUAGUAUGUGGUUACCGAAGGUUAUUCGGAGUCCCGGAUGAGAUCCCGGACGUGACGAGGAACUCUGGAAUGUUCUGGAGGUGAAGAUCAAUAUAUUGGUUCAAGGGUAUUGGAGUCUGGAAUUGUUCUGGGAGUACCGGGUGACGACGAGCGUGACCGAAAGGUGUUUCGGAGGCCCCGGCAAGCGUUGGGGGGGCCUUAUGGGCCAAGGGGAGGGGGCACACCAGCCCACUAAGGGGCUGUGCGCCCCUCGCAACCCCUCUUACGUAACUUGGAGAGGUGGGGGCGCCUCCCCUAGGGCAGCCGCCCCUCCCGGCUUGGGGGCAAGUUUCCUAGGGGUGGGGCGCCCAAACCCAUCAAGGGUUUCCCCUGUGGCCGCCACCCCUCCCCUAGGGAACCCUAGGGCGCCUCAUCCACCCCUUCCCCCUAUAUAUAGUGAGUGAGAGAGAGGGCAGCCGCACCCCUUGCCCGUGGUGUAGCCCUCCCCCUCUCCAACUCCACCCCCUCCUUAGUAGUCCUUGGCAAAGGCCUGCCGGAGAACUGCAAGCUCCACCACCAUGCCGUCGUGCUGCCGAAGCUCUCCCUCAACUUAUCCUCUCCCCUUGCUGGAUCAAGAAGGAGGAGAAGUCCCCGGGUUGUACGUGUGUUGAACGCGGAGGCGCCGUCCGUUUAGCGCUUAGAUCGGAAUCGACCGCGAUCUGAAUCGCUGCGUGUACGACUCCACCAACUGCGUUCUUGUAACACUUCCGCAUCGUGAUCUUCAAGGGUAUGAACAUACAAUCAUCCUCUCCCUCUCUUGUUGCUAGAAUCUCCAUAGAAAGUGCCUCUCAUCGUGAUCUUGGUGACAUGUAGGAAAAUUUUGAAUUAUUGCUACGUUCCCCAACAAGGAAGUGCCUCCUUAUUGCGCACAAAAAAUGAAUACCCCCUGCCAGCUGGGACCCACCAUAGUGGGAGGCUGACUUGUGGGCCUACUAAGUUGACGGGGACGGAGGGCUUUGUCAACUUAGUCAAUAUGAACGAUUCUUGCUCCACUGACUGUACGAUGUCCAUCCAACGGCCAUAGUGCAUCUUCAACAUCUGGUCUUCUUGCUACAGCCGCCCAAUCCAGCACUGGUCGUGCCACAUGCUCCUGCCUCCCGUGGCCGACUGUGAUGUCAUGGAGGCCUCACCCACACCCCUUGUUAUUCUGCGGCGACGGCAGCCACACACCGCACCUGAACCAGUGAACCCUCGUACUCCACUCUGCGUGGGCUUCAACUAUCGCGUCUUCCCCGGAUCCGCGUCAUCCCCUUCCUAGGCCUCGCCGUCGUCCAUCACCCUGGUGCUCUCAGUGCCGCGUGGUCGACGUGGUCAGGGAACGACUUCCAUCGAAAGAGUAUUGUAUGUGGAGAGGCUGACAGCUGGGUCCACGGCAGCCGCAAGGAAGUGCCUCCUUAUUAUGGGCAAAAUAAUUAUUCCUCCACCUGACAGCAGGGACCCACCGGACGGGCCACGGUAUUUCGCGAAAAAAGUUCCCCCUGACUGUUGGGACCCACCACCUACAUCUUUGCAUGCAAGGAAGUAUGUCCGGGCAAAAAAAAUGAUUGGCCCCCUUGACUGCUGGGACCCACCAGCUACAUCUUCGCACGCAAGGAAGUGCCUGGCAGUCAGGACCCACCUGGUGGAAGCGUAUGUAGCAUUGUCAUUCUUGUGAGGAAUGUGUACGUACAUACAGGUCGAUCGGUCUGUCUUUAGGCUGCAGCGAUGAACCGUGACCGUGCAAGGAAGGAAGGGCACAUGUCGUAGUAGAGGCGCGCACGUAGCAUGUACACAUACGUACAGCGGCCAGGGUGCAAGAAAGUAAAUACGGCCACGUACGUACAUACGGGCGGGGUCUCAAAUGCCUACUUGCGCAUACAUAUGGUCCGGGCUCGUGUACAUAGCUGUGUCGAAACGGAGAAACUGCAUCUUCAUCGUGUUCUGGGGAGGCAACCGGCUGGGUCGGAACAGAAUGUGUCAUCGUGUUCAUCGUGUUCAUCAUGUUCAUCGGAACAGCCGAUAGAAAUGAGGCCUGGCGUACCGUAGAAUGGAGAAAAUGGCCCUGUGUUCGACCGGCCACGGUCGAAACUGGAUCAUGUUCAUCAAGAGGGGUCUGGCGUACCGCAAAACGGAGGAAACGGACUUAUGUUAGACCUCCUACAGUCGAGACGGGGUCUUGUUGAUCGGGAGGGGUGUGGCGUACCACAAAAUGGAGGAAACGGACUUGUGUUGGAGCGCUACGGUCGAAACAGGGGUUCUAUUCAUCGGGAGGGGUGUGGCAUACCGCAAAACGGGACUCCACGGGAUACUGUUCAUCUCCAUCGUCGACCUCCUCCAGCCUCCACGAGGUAUUGUUCAUCCACUGUCAACCUCCUCCAGCCUCCACCUGCGACUGUUCAUCCAUGGGCUCCUGUUCAUCCAGCCUCCACCGCGCUCCUCCACCGGCUACUGUUCAACCAGCCUCUCCAUGGGGUCCUGUUCAACCACCCCUCCACAGGCUACUAUUCAUCCAGCCCUCCACCGACUACUGUUCAACCAGCCCUCCACGGGGUCGUCCUAUUCAUCCAGCCCUCCACGGGGUCCUGUUCAUCCACCCCCAACCGGCUCGACCGAUGUCCUGUUCAUCCAGAGGCAACACCACAGGGUCCUGUUCAUCCACCCCCACCGGGAACUGUUCAUCCAAACCCCCCUGUCGGUGUCAAAACCGGCGGAUCUCGGGUAGGGGGUCCCGAUCUGUGCGUCAAAGCUGAUGGUAACAGGAAGCAAGGGACACAGAUGUCUACCCAGGUUCGGGCCCUCUCGAUGGAGGUAAAACCCUACUUCCUGCUUGAUUAAUAUUGAUGAUAUGGGUAGUACAAGAGUAGAUCUACCACGAGAUCCUAGAGGCUAAACCCUGAGAGCUAGCCUAUAUUGGUAUGAUUGUAAUUGUGAUCAGCCUUCUAAGGACCAACCUCUCUUGUUUAUAUAGACACCGGAGAGGGCUAGGGUUUACAUGGAGUCGGUUACAAGGAAGGGAAUAUAAUAUCCGGAUCGCCAAGCUUGCCUUCCACGUAAAGGAGAGUCCCAUCCAGACACGGGCUGAAGUCUUGAGUCUAGUAUCUUCACGCUUCAAUAGUCCGGACGUUGUACACAAUGCAGCUGUCCGGAUACCACCUAAUCCAGGACUCCCUCAGUAGCCCCUGAACCAGGCUUCAAUGACGAUGAGUCCGGCGCGCAGUAUUGUCUUCGGCAUUGCAGGGCGGGUUCCUCCUCCGAAUACUCCAAAGUGGUUAUCGAACACGUAGAUCAUGUCCGGAUCUGCAAGAUGAUCUUCAUAUGCCACUGUAGAGAGAAUGAUAUUUCACAAAUGCAAUCUGCUGACAACUUUUUUCGAUGACGUGACAUGUUAUUACGGCCGGAUCAUUAUUCUAUCCGUUUUGCCACAACCAGCUACAGCGCAUAUUACGAGGCGGUUUUUUUGACACGUCUUGUCAAAGCAGAGAUCGUGUCCCCUUAUCACGGGAUUCUCAUCAAUACGGGUAUGGGUAAUCUCACCCCGCCAUUAAUCAUGGCGCUUGGGAAACAAGUGAUUCUCAACGGGCAAGUGGGGAGGCGCACCGCUCUCGGCUCCUCUAUAAAGGGAUAAGAUUUUUCCCAUUUUCACCCACGCCUUCUUCCUCCUUUGCCCACUCUUGCCCCCUCGAGCUCCAGCGCCCAAGCCCAAAUCUUCUCCACACAGCUAAACAUGUCCGGAGCAGGAGGCAAGUGGGUGGCUUCCACCGUCAAGGAGAAGCACAUCGCAAAUCUUCGGACGGCCGGAUACUUGGCCGCGGACAUAGCGCACCGUCUACCAGACACCGGGCAGGUCAUUCCGACCCCAGGACCCCACGAAAGGGUCGUAUUCGUCGCCCACUUCGUCCGUGGACUGGGAUUUCCACUCCAUCCCUUCAUCUGCGGGCUCAUGUUCUACUACAGGCUAGAUUUCCAUGAUCUAGCCCCGAACUUCAUCCUCAACAUCUCGGCGUUCAUCAUCGUAUACGAGGCCUUCCUCUGCAUCCGGCCUCACUUUGGCCUAUGGCUGCAAACCUUUUGCGUGAAGCCGAAGGUUGUAAGCGGCCAACAAGCGAAGUGCGGAGGGGCCACGGUGGGCAAAAUGCCUAACGUCACAUGGCUCGACGGCUCCUUUGUGGAGACCGUAAAAGGAUGGCAAUCGGGGUGGUUCUACAUCACCGAGCCGCGCGGCGCCAAUUGGGCAGCGGCCCCCAAGUUCCGAUCCGGAGCCCCCAUGCGACUCACCUCUUGGGAGAAGAAGAGCCUGUCCUGGGGCGAUUCCACGAAGCUGGUCAGACUCCAGACAUGCAUCAAAAGCAUGAAGGAAAAGAACAUCAAGCUUGUCAACGUGAUCCAGGUCAUGCUCGUUCGGCGGAUCCUGCCCUGCUAGAGGCGGGCGAUCAAUCUGUGGGAGUUCGUCCCAACCGAACACCGGACGCUCCAGAAGCUCUAUGACAUGACGCACAAAGGCGCAUGGAAGGUGCUGUUCAAGGCCUCUGAAGUACCUCCUCCAACAUCCGAGGACCGCGGGCUUCAUGCUGCGCGGGCUCCUAGGCCGAUAAGUUCUCAGACUGACUCCGGACCCAGUUCUUCCCGAUAUAUUCAUGGGAGUGCCUUAAGUAGUUUGAGCAUAUUUGCUUCAGGACUAUGUGGAGAUAACGGAGCAGGUCUACUGUCUGGCUCCGCUGCCAGAAGGCCCAGCGGAUGCUCUCCUGACGGAGAUGCUGGUCCCGGCGCCGUACAUGGUGCCGGAGAAGAAGGCCGAGAAGAAGGCCGCGGGGAUCCGAAAGGGUCUCCGGCGUAAGGUUGUGCCGGAGGCCUCAUCCGAAGACAACGAGGCAGACUCCUCCCAUGAAGGGGAGGAGGAAGAAGAAGAGAACACCCCAUCUGAAGAGGAUGAGAGGCCCGGGGAAGCGGACCAGGGGCCGGAAAAGGCCCUCGGCGCAGGGCCGUCAUUCCCCUGUCGUCUGAUGACGACGAGACGGAUUCUUCCCACGGAGGCGGGGGGAAUCAGGAAGAGAUUCUACCUCACCACACUGGGGGGAGAAGAAGAGGAAAGCCGCCUCGGGAGGGGAGGCUGGGGCGUCCAAGAAGGGGAAGGGAUCCGUUUCGGACUAUUCUGUCACGACCGCUCACAGCAAGGAGGGGUGGCUGCCCAGGGGGAAGCCCCCAGUGCGAUCGUAAGUGUCCGCAUUCUAUCAUGUUUUCACUUCAUAGUUUUUGUAUUUAUAAUGCCAAAAAUACGUGCAGUCCGGCCAGGGAUCACCCUGAGGUAUCCUCCUCCAGGUCCCUGAGCAAUUUGGAGAUGAAUUCUCUUCCGAAGGCCACUACUCCUCAACCCGCGGACGACACAGAGGUGUUGUCCCAAAGGCUCCCAGAGCGGGGGGAGGUGACUCUGGAGACACCCCGAGGCGGGGUCCCAGACGUCGGACACGCGGGGUUCAAGAUCCCCGCGGAUCAUGUCGAUGAGAGCCAUGGCCAGCCGGGCUCUCAGCCGAACACAAUUCCAGAACCUUCGAUGGUUCCGGACACAGGCGGGCGUCCCCUCAUUAGGGAGGGCGAGCCGUCUAUAUCGAGGACUUCCGUUGCGCAUGAGGCGCCGGACUAUCUGCUGGAAGUGCUUCGCGGCGCUUCCAUAGAUGAAGAGCACCAUACUCAUAUGAGUACAGUGAUUCGAAGGGUUUUGUCCGCCAAAAGCGGACUAACCGAAGCUUGCACCAGCCUCCUGACAGGCUUUGAGGUAAGUAAUAAAUAUGUGCAAAAUUGCCACCCGAUAGUUAGUAGCCCUUGAUACUCUGUUUGGUGUUCGGAAAGAAAAACCAAACGGAGGGUCAAUAAUAAUCCGCAGGAGUCUAACAAUAAAUAUUUGUGUGUGUAAGCAGGCUGUGCUGCUUGCUGCUGCUGCCUGUACUGCCGAGGUUGCCGAACUGAAGCGGGGCCUAGAGCAGGCGCAGGGAGAGCUCAACCUCACGAGGAGGCAGCUCGAAGAGAACAGGGGUAAGUGAUUCCCCUCUCUUAUGUAUUUGAGAAUAUACCAAAUUGGCUAGUCUAACGCCAAAGCAUCGUGACUGCGAAACAGGGGCCACCACCGAAGUGGCAUCCCUGAAAAAGGUGCUAUCCGAGGCCGAAGAAAAGGCGGCCUCAGAGUGUAAGGAGCGCGAAAAGAAAAGUGCUAGGGUAGGUGAGGUACAGCAAGAGCUCCAGGACCUCGGCAAGAAAUGCGAGUCUGUGGAGCAUGAUCAGAAAGCGAAAGAGGCCGAGCUUGCGAAGGCCCUUGUGAAUUUGAAGGACGCCAAGGCCGAAGCCGAGAAAGCACAGCAGGAGAUCCAGGAGGCCAAGAAGAUAGCAGCGGGUAAGAAGUUCUUUAUGCAAAGCGAACAUGUGGAGGAGGCGUUUCUUUUACUUACUCGAAUUCGGAGCUCUCCAUGGGCGUUCGCAGAUCUGCCACACGGCGUAUCAGACGCUGCGGAGUUCUACCGUGCCCAGGAGGGCAACUCAACGGAGAAGCUGUUCUGGUCCCAGUAUGCUGGGGCUGAACACCCGAUGCCUCUGAGUGACCAACUGAAGCAGUUGGUCAAACUCCACAGGGCGGCCGAACUAGCUAUGAAAGGUUUCAUAGUCCGGAUGUGGCCUGGUGAGCUCAUGCCUAGUAGCUACUUCAGCCUGAUCAAGCGGAUGGUGGAUGCCUACCCGUGGCUUGAGGUGAUCAAGUGAUCCAUGUGCAUCGAGGGUGCCCGCCGGGCCUUUGCCCGCGUCAAGGUGCAUUGGGGCAAGCUGGAUGCGGAGAAGCUGGUCAAGGACGGGCCACCGGAGGGCAAGGUGCAUCGCCAUCCUGAGAUGUACUAUGAUGGCGUUAUGAAGGGUGCUCGUCUCGUCGCCGAUGAAUGUACCAAGGACACCAUUUUUGAAUGAAUUCGCUUCUGUCAUGUUUGUAAUUUAAGGACGAAGUUACUUGCGCUCUGUAGCGCUUUUGUUAUUUAAAAUAUUACCUUCUGUGCGGCUGUUUAUAAAAUUCUGAAAGUAGGCCAGUCGUCGGCUUCCUCCCCCGCGUAACUAGUAGUGGGGUGUUCGUGGAAAACCCGGACACUCUUUAUCCAAAUGUUUGGUCCCUUAAGGAGGUGUCCGGCACAGCGAACAAGGCAAUCGGACUAUACGACUUUAUAACUUUCACUUAGCCAUAGAAGUCUACAAUUUUAAAUUUCGGCGAAGCCCCUAGAAUACGGAAGACCGAAUCGGGGCGCUAUGCAUGGCUAGAUCGGACGAAGCCGAUAUAUCGCCUAAAGUAGAAAAUCUUUAAGGAUUUUAAGACCUCUCGAACAGCGACCAGCUCUCGCCACAUCAUGCCGGUCAGUUUUCGGCUUUCUCUACUGAGGUGCUCAUCCGGAAGAACCGGGACACAAUCGCAGUAGUUCUCCCUGCACUACCUUAGCCGAUAUAAUAGAAUGUAAGGCACCAAAACAAGGGAGCCGGGCUAUCCCAACUGUAGACCCAAGACAUGAUUCGGAGCUGAUGCAUAUAGUGCUAUAAGUUCGGGAUGCCGCACUAUUGAAAGUGUUCAGACUUUGCUUACCAUAUUACGGGGUGCCAUGAGAAGCCCCUGGCAAACCGACGGUACCAAGGUGUACGGAUGCGAUAUCGAAUAAACAUUUAUAAGAGAAAAAAUGCUCAAAUAAGAAUAAUAAGCUGACGCUAUAUAUAUAGUCUCCCAUUGACAAAAAAUGUAUUUAGGCGUAUGUUUACAAUGGAUGCAUUAAGCAGAGAUAAAAAUAGGACUAUUUGACAUGUCCUAUCCAUGGGCGGGCUGUGUACAGAUAGACAAAACAGGUAUAAUGAUCGUAAAUAGAUUCCACCUAGGUAUUUCCUUCUGUGCACACCGUCUGUUGCCUCCUUGGAUGUCUCUCCCAUAUGAGUCCGGCAAUUCGGCUCUUCUGAGGAUGCUGCACUAACGCGGUGUCCUGAAACGUGAGGGGAAAAGAGUAUGAAGGUAUUUGGCAGUUACCCGCACUAUUGAAUGAGUCGUUGAUGCGCCUCCGCUUAUGCCCAUGGUAUCUUGAGUGCGUAAUUGUGUACGCGUGGCGUGAAUGCUGCUUUGAAGGAGCUUGGGCGGAGGCCGGACUGCUAAUCACGCUCUUGGCGUUCAAGAUGAUCCUGUUGCGUGGUGCUCUAGACUCGCUUGACUGUACUCAAAGUUGUCGCCGGAUUGGUUUUUCGGAGUAGGCCCCAUUGUACUUCUGCCGCGAGGGCUGCCGUAUGUUCUUUUGUUCGAAGGGAGCAGUCCAUAUUUCCAUUGACAGUGAUGACCCCACGCAGUCCUGGCAUCUUGAGCUUGAGGUAUGCAUAAUGUGGUACCGCAUUGAAUCGAGCAAAUGCGGUUCAUCCGAGCAGUGCGUGGUAGCCACUUUGGAAAGGGAUGAUGUCGAAAAUUAAUUCUUCGCCCCUGAGGUUGUCCGGGGAUCCAAAGACCACUUCCAGUGUUAUAGAGCCUGUACAGCGGGCCUCUACUCCAGGAAUGACACCUUUAAAGGUGGUUUUAGUGGGCUUGAUCCUUGAAGGGUCAAUGCCCAUCUUGCGCAGUGUGUCCUGAUAAAGCAGGUUCAGGCUGCUGCCGCCGUCCAUAAGGACUCGCGUGAGGUGGAAUCCGUCAAUGAUUGGGUCUAAGACCAAUGUGGCUGAGCCGCCAUGACGGAUGCUGGUAGGAUGAUCCCUACGAUCAAAGGUGAUCGGACAAGCUGACCAUGGGUUGAAUUUGGGGGCGAUUGGCUCCAUCGCAUAGACGUCCCGUAGUGCUCAUUUCCGUUCCCGCUUGGGGAUGUGAGUGGCGUAGACCAUAUUGACAAUUUUCACCUGGGGGGAUUUCUUUUGUCACCCUGUAUUCAGACGUCGGGGAUCUUCGUCGUCAUCGAUGUUCAGCCCCUUGUCCUUGUUUUCAGCGUUUAUCUUACCGGCCUGUUUGAACACCCAACAGUCUCUAUUGGUGUGCUUGGCUGGCUUGUCCGGUGUGCCGUGAAUUUGGCACGGGCGCUCUAGUAUGCGGUCCAGACUAGACGGUCCCUGAUUAUUUCUUUUAAAUGGAUUUUUCCAUUGUCCGGACUUAGAUCCGCUGAAUCUGGCAUUGACUGUCGUGUCUUCAGUGCUGUCACCAUUGUUCCGUCUCUUAUGUCUAUUGCGCCAUGGCUUGCUGUUAGCAUCGCGGCCGUUCAAAGUGCCGGAAUGUGGCGUGGUGCCACUGCGAGCCAACCAACUAUCCUCACCUGCACAAAAACAGGUCAUUAGGGUUGUGAGAGCUGCCAUAGACUUGGGUUUUUCCUGGCCGAGGUGUCGAGCGAGCCACUCGUCACGGAUAUUAUGCUUAAAAGCCGCCAGAGCUUCGGCGUCCGGACAGUCGACUAUUUGGUUCUUUUUAGUGAGGAAACGAGUCCAGAAUUUCCGGGCGGACUAUCCGGGCUGUUGGGUAAUGUGGCUCAGGUCAUCAGCGUCUUGCGGUCGCACAUAUGUGCCCUGGAAGUUAUCAAGGAAUGCGUCCUCCAGGUUUUCCCAACUGCCAAUGGAAUUUGUUGGCAGGCUGUUUAACCAGUGCCGGGCUGGUCCUUUGACCUUAAGGGGAAGAUACUUGAUGGCAUGUAGAUCAUCUCUGCGGGCCAUGUGAAUGUGGAGAAGAAAAUCUUCAAUCCAUACUGCGGGCUCUGUUGUGCCAUCGUAUGAUUCGAUGUUUACGGGUUUGAACCCUUCUGGGAAUUCAUGAUCAAUUACUUCGUCAGUGAAGCAGAGGGGGUGUGCGGCGCCUCUGUGCCAGGCUAUGUGGCUACACAGCUCGAAUUGGUCUGGGUUGCUGUAUUCGGCCCGGCCGGACUUGUUGAUGAUGUAUCCAGCGCGACUUUCAUCGUCGCACGUUGGGGCGCCCCCCCGUAAUUCGUAGAUCGAUCUUGGCUGUCCUGCUUUAUUUUCCAGAAUAUCUUGCAGGUCUUGCCUGUUGCCCCGAGCCGUAGUGUAUCGGCGUGGGGGUGCGGGCUCGUAUCCGGGAUGAUAUCUCGUUUUAUCCCGGCCACGGGGUGGCCGGUCGGCCGUUUGGUGUUCGAGUCCAUAUUCCUAGGCUGCCAGGACUUCAGUCCAUCUAUCUGUGAGCAGAUCUUGAUCAGCUUGGAGUUGCUGCAGCUGCUUCUUCUGGCUCCCCCAGUGGCUAUAAGCCUGCGCUUGAAGUGCUCCUGUUCUACGGGAUACUCAGGCAUGCCGAAUUUGUCGGCGCCGAGGCUUAUCUUGUCUUCGGAGGGGGCAUGUAGUUGUCCUCCUCCGGGUAUGCGUCUGUUGCCUGUUCUUCUGGGCUGGCCUGCUCAUCUUCCUGUUCGGCCUGCUCGAAGGCGGGUUGGUCAGGGUCAUAUUCUUCUUCGGCGCCAUCCGGAAUAUUUUUCUCUCCGGGGCCGGUAUUGCUGUGGCGGGGCUUGGAGCGGCGCUGACGAUGCCGAUGCUUUGCCUUUCUUCCCGAGGGGUUAUCCUCCGUUGCCUCAUCGCCAUUUGUUUCCUUUGGAGUGUCCACCAUAUAUAUAUCAUAUGAGGAGGUGGCCGUCCACCGCCCGGUGAGCGGUGGCUCCUGUAAUUCUCCUACAUCGUCGUCCAUGCCGUCGAUGUCUUCGGAGUCGAAGUCAAGCACGUCGGUUAGAUCAUCGAUCGUGGCAAUGAAGUGGGUGGUGGGUGGGCAACGAAUUACGUCGUCGUCUGCUUCCCACCCAAGCCGGACAUAGUUUGGCCCAGAGUCUCCUGACAAAGAGAGAGACUUCAAUAAGUUCAGCAUGUCGCCAAAGGGCGAGUGCUGAAAAACGUCCGCCGCGGUGAACUCCAUCACCGGAGCCCAAUCAGGCUUGGCGGGCCCGGCCAGACUGGGAACUACAACCGGAUAUGAAUCUGGGGGUCCGGAGUCACAGGCUCUCUCAAGAGCGAGGCAUGUGUUCGGCUCCAUCGCCGACGAGGGUACGGCCUGCGGGGCGGGGUCCAGCCCUCCAUCCUUAGGCAACGCAAUCUGCCCCGGAUUUAAGUCUAAGGCUUCUGCCGGGGUGAUUUCCCGAGCAGCAUCCGACAGCAGGUCUAAGCCAUGCUCAUCAUGACUGUUCGGCGCUCCUGACGCUGGCCCGAAUCCGUCGAAGAUCAAGUCUCCUUGGAUGUCCGCCAUGCAGUUCCAGUUUCCGAACCUGACCUGGUGGCUGGAGGCAAAGCUAUCGAUCUUCUCCUAGUGGCCAAGCGAAUUGGCCCAUAGUGCGAAGGCGCCGAACACGAAGAUCUAUCCGGGGAGGAAAGUCUCGCCCUGGACAGCGUCGUUGAUGAUAAUCGUAGGAGCCAUCGAGCCUGACAGAGACGAGACAGAGGAACUCUCAAUGAAAGCACCAAUGUCGGUCUCAAAACCGGCGGAUCUCGGGUAGGGGGUCCCGAUCUGUGCGUCAAGGUUGAUGGUAACAGGAAGCAAGGGACACAGAUGUUUACCCAGGUUCGGGCCCUCUCGAUGGAGGUAAAACCCUACUUCCUGCUUGAUUAAUAUUGAUGAUAUGGGUAGUACAAGAGUACAUCUACCACGAGAUCAUAGAGGCUAAACCCUGAGAGCUAGCCUAUGAUGGUAUGAUUGUAAUUGUGAUCGGCCUUCUAAGGACCAACCUCUCCAGUUUAUAUAGACACCGGAGAGGGCUAGGGUUUACAUGGAGUCGGUUACAAGGAAGGGAAUAUAAUAUCCGGAUCGCCAAGCUUGCCUUCCACGCAAAGGAGAGUCCCAUCCGGACACGGGCCGAAGUCUUGAGUCUUGUAUCUUCACGCUUCAAUAGCCCGGACGUUGUACACAGUUCGGCUAUCCGGAUACCCCCUAAUCCAGGACUCCCUCACCCCCAGCAAUGCUCACUGUUCAUCAUGGGAAGGAGGCAACAGCGUUCGAUCAGCUUCAGUUAGCAGCUGUAGCAAAGAAAUCACUCGGGUUCAGUUAACAGUAAUGGAUCGAUCGCUCGGGUUCAGUAUCGUAGCUAGUGCGGUCGCUCGGGUUCAGUUAGAGCCCAACGCCUUGCUCGGGUUCAGUUAGAGCCCAAUGCCUUGCACAUAUGCGCGUACGUGAAUGAGAGAAACGCGCAUUUCUCGGCCCCGACCACCCACCGUAACCGGGAACUCCCCGAAAUUUUCCUCGCCCUUGCUUCUACCACGGUUUUUUUCCGUCAAGGACGGCCCAAAGAAUGUCAUGCAGCUGCGUCUCCGGCCCGCCUAGGACGAAAAGCCCAUUUUCUAUCAGGAUUUUUUGUCAUAGAAGUAGGAGCCCACCACAUAUAUGAUGAUACUGGGUUUUGUCACAAUUAUCGUCAUAGAAGUGUCAUAAGCAUGAAAAAAAAUUGUUCGGCCCAAAAUGUCACGGAUGUGUCAUUUUUUUGUAGUGAAAGUCUGGUACAUUCUCAGUUUGAUCUGCUUAUCAUAGGGAAUGGGAGCAUAAAUUUGGACAACAUAUGCAUGCGGAGGAUGGCCAAGGUCAAGCAAAUCCUAUCCCCAUUUGGGAUGACAUCUAGAAACUUAAGGUGCCGGCUAGUAUAACAUGGCAUCCUUCCCUGUAAAGGUGUACUAGCAAACAGACAUGUUUUAACACAAGCGCAAUGUCUGGUCUGCUUGAGGGGAACUGAUGAUAUUCAACACUGUCUUUUUAGCUGUAAGAGGGUUAAAUUUAUUUUGGUAACAGUUGGAUCUAACAGAGACGAUCAGGAAGGCCAUAUGUCGAGACCGAUCAUGUUUUUUAAACUUGAAUCAAUUUAAAGAUGAGAACUCAGGGAAGAGUAUUGGAGGUUUACAUAUACCCGAGAUUGUGAUCGCGGCAUCUUUGUACCUUUGGUGGCAAUGUCGACAGCUAAUAAAGAGUGCAUCAGUACUGCCAGCAGAUAGAACAACAACAUCCAUUCGAGCAAUUGCCACAAAUUUCUGGAGAGCAAUUGAAAAGAAGGAUGAAAGGAAGAAGGAACCGAAAAAGUGGUGCAAACCAUUGCAUGGCUUUAUGAAAAUUAAUGUAGAUGCUUUAUUCCACGUAAAAGACCGAUCAGGAGCAAGUGAGGAAGUCAUCAAAGAUGAAUUGGGUUAUUUUGUAGCUGCUGCAGCAUGUUCGUUCCACAUGUUUCUGAUGCGGCCUCUCAGGAAUGGUAUUAAUUUGGCAGCUCAUGUGGGAUGCUUGAGGAUAGAAGCUGAGUCAGAUUGUGAUCUUGUGAUUGAUGUAGUAAAAGAUACUUAUAGAUUCAAUGGUUCCCAGGCAGCAACAAUUAUUGAAUGCAUUCAACUCUCUUGUGACUUCGGACAGGUGAAAUUUUAUUUACGCAACCGAGAAGCAAAUAGUGUAGCAGAUGCUUUGGCUAAACAAAUAUGCUGAAGAAUUCUUAUGUUUGGGAAGAUGACCCGCCUGAUUUCAUUUCUUCUUUGAUUGUAAAUGCCAUUGCUAUUGUCCGAGAAACAAAAUCUUUACCCUGUCAAAAAAAAUUAUUUCUCCCCAAUUAUUUGCUCAUCAUUGGAAUUGUUCUCAAAGUUUAUAAAUUUAUUCCAUGCAAGAAACAAAAAUAUUGAUCCGCUUGCACCUUCAAUUAGUAAUUUGGACCAAAGUGUCUGGUCUGAACUAAAGUGCCUCUUUCUAGAUGCUUAAGAAAUGACACUUAAGAAUAUGACCGACCGUUUUGUAAAGAAAACAUGAUCGACCAUGAUCUAGAAGCCCCUAAACCAAACCAAGUUCGCCAAUUGGGACUGGAAAAAUGAUGCAAAAGAAUGAACACACCAGAAGGGGAACUCAGAUCCAAGCUGUAUUUUGCGGCCAUAGAAUAAAUCAAACAAUGAUCCAACUCAUGUUCUUCAAGGUACCCAUUUAGAAAUUUGUUAGCACUAUCAAAUAGCUCCUAAUCUGAAUACUAAGAAUGUGAUUUGUAUCCCUACUUUAAUGUGUAUUUGAUCCUUUGAAUCUACUCAACUAUAGCAAUUGCGGUAGAGGAAUGGUAUUAGGAAGACAUCUAGGAAAAAAUGAUUGAUUAAAUUAUUAAAUGACUACAUGGCAUAACAUUUUUAUUCCCACUCUUUUGUUUGUUUUUCUUAUCUUUCAAACUAACUAGAUACUUGCUUCCCUUUGAUCUCCACCGGUGAGCCCAUGGAUUCGCCUCCUCUCCGCCUGCUGCUCCGGCGGCUGGUGGCGGGUGAGGGAGUCCUGGAUUAGGGGGUAUCCGGACAGCCGGACUAUAUACUUUGGCCGGACUGUCGGACCGUGAAGAUACAAGACUCAAGACUUCGUCCCGUGUCCGGAUGGGACUCUCCUUUGUGUGGAAGACAAGCUUGGCGAUCCAGAUAUUAGAUCUCCUUCUUUGUAACCGACUAUGUGUAAACCCUGGUCCCCUCCGGUGUCUAUAUAAAUCGGAGGGUUUGGUCCGUAGAGGGACAAUCAUAAUCAUCAUAGGCUAGCUUCUAGGGUUUAGCCUCUACGAUCUCGUGGUAGAUCAAAUCUUGUAAUACUCAUAUCAUCAAGAUCAAUCAAGCAGGAAGUAGGGUUUUACCUCCAUCGAGAGGGCCCGAACUUGAGUAAAACAUCGUGUCCCUUGCCUCUUGUUACCAUUAGCCUUAGACGCACAGAUCGGGACCCCCCACCCGAGAUCCGCCGAUUUUGACACCGACAUUGGUGCUUUCAUUGAGAGUUCCUCUGUGUCGUCGCUGCAAGGCUUGAUGGCUCCUUCAAUCAUCAACAAUAACACGGUCCAGGGUGAGAAUUUUCUCCCCGGACAGACCUUCGUGUGCGGCGGCUUCGCACUGCGGGCCAAUUCGCUUGGGCAUCUGGAGCAGAUCAACAGCUACGCCCCUGGCCAGCAGGUCAGGUUUGGAAACUUGAACUACACGGCCGAUAUCCGCGGAGACUUGAUCUUCGACGGAUUCGGGCCUACGCCAGGAGCGCCGAACAGUCACGACGAGCACGACUUAGACCUGCUGUCGGACAAUACUCGGGAUAUCGCACCUGCAGGAACUCCAAACUUAAAUCCGGGGCAGAUUGCGUCGCCCGAGGACGGGUGGACGGACCCCGCCCCGGAGGCCGCACACUCAUCGGCGGUAGAGCCGAACACAGACUCCACCCCCAAGGAAGCCUGUGUCAUCGGACCCCCGGACUCGUGUCCAGAUGUAGGUUCCAAACCGCGUGCCCCCGAGCCCGCCAAAUCUGGUUGGGCUCUGGUAAUGGACUUCACCGCUGUGGACAUUUUCCAACACUCGCCUUUCGGUGACAUUCUGAACUCAUUAAAGUCUCUCUCUUUGUCAUGAGACUCUCAGCUGAACUAUGUCUGACUCGAGUGGGAAGUAGGCAACGAGGGAAUUCAUUGCCCACCCACCACCCACUUCGUUGCCACUAUCAAUGAUUUGACCGACGUGCUCGACUUCGACUCUAAAGACAUCGACGGUGUGGACGACAAUGUAGGAGAAGAACAGGAACCACCACCCACGGGGCGCUGGACAGCCACCUCCUCGUACGAUAUAUAUAUGGUGGACACUCCAAAAGAAACCAAUGGCGAUGAGGCAAUGGAGGAUAACCCCUCAAGGAACAAGGCAAAGCAUGGGCGUCAUCGGCACCGCUCCAAGCCUCGCCACAGCAAUACCGGCACAGGAGAUGAAAACAAUCCGGAUGGUGCCGAAGAAGAAUACAACCUAGGAAUUUUUACUGGUUGGUAAAAGAGGAAUUAUAGAAACCGUUGGACAUCUUGACAUAUGAUGUUCUUAGCCACGGCUAGCUCCUGAAGCCACAUGCACGGCUUGAGCUUGACUGAGCUAUGGACGGAACAGGCGGGUGUGGCUUGCCAAUGGACGAGCGGGCUGGCGUUUUUAUAGCCGGUGUGAGAGUGCGGGAAGCGGUCAUAUAGAGAAAAAUUCACUGUAGGUCACUAAACUUAAGGCGGUUGACAGUUUGGUAUCACUAUUUCAAAAUACAAAACUACGGUCCAAGUACUUGCGUAAGGGGUUCAUUUUGGUCCAUUUGUAUGUUUUCGUGUACGUAUUUGCUGACUUGGCCAAGUGAGCGGCCGCCAGCCCGCUUUGACCGCGACGUAGUCGAUUCUAGGGUGAAUACUAUUCGAUACAGUUUUUUUACAAAAACGCCAUGACCAGCUCCCUGUCUGUCUUCUUCCGCAUGGUUGGAUUCCUCAGGAACAGAUUGACCUUCCUGUCGAGCCAACCCACGGUGGUGGUGCUGUCCAUCCACCACGGAGAUUCGCUCCUCCUCUCCGUCGUGGAUUCGCUCCUCCUCCAAUCCCGCGGCACCGUCCUCCACCACGGCUCACUCGCCUCCCUCGAUGCUGCCCUCCUCUCACACGGCUUCGCCGUCCCCGCGCAGCUCAACCCGCUAGAGUACGCCCUCGAGGUCAUCCACUAGAUACCCCAUCCCUCGCCCUCCUCCCCUGAACCCAAGUCAGCGCAAGAUCUCACAACCAAGGCAUCGGAUUCGGACCGCCACAGGCCGGCCUUGUCGUGUACUUCGCUGUGCUCACGGAUACAUGAGUUCGUGGUUCUGUACAAGAGGGCGUGGAAGGUGGUGUAUCGCAGCAAGCAGCUGCUAUUGACCAACUUCCUCGAGGCUGUGAUCGUUGGGACGCUGCUGGGCACCAUCUACAUCAACGCCGGAUAUGGCAAGGCCGGCGCACACAAGCGACUGGGGCUCUUCGCCUUCAUGCUGACGUUCCUGCUCACCUCCACCAUGGAGACGCUGCCAACGUUCAUCACGGAGCGAGUAAAUUGCUCAAAGCCACCACAUUUGUGGCUAGGGUACUCCAAAACUACCAUUUUUGCCAAAAAUCAUAAAAAACCACCAAUUUUGUGGCAAGUGAGUCACAAAACGCACUGAUUCAAAACUGACCAACGCUUAAUAGCAAAACUGACAGGGUUGGCCCAACUGUCAGGCUGACUUGGCAUGCACAUCUGUACAAUAAAGUGAGGUGGAAGGGGGCCCCACCUGUCAUACUCCCAUCUCUCCCCCGUUGACUCUGGCCCUGCCCCGACUCUUGGUGCCCGGUGAGGUAGGCAUGCGAUGGCGAGCAGCGCCGCUUCAGCUUCGGCAAGCGCCCCUCCCAUCGAGGUAGCCAUGCCGGCGGCACACAAACCCAGCAAGCCGUGCCCGGAGCCUGAGCUAUCAAGCAGCGCCGCUCCAGCUCAGGUGGUGCUGUCGGUUCCCGCUGGAUCUGGUGCCCGCAGUACGGCGGGGAAGACCCAGGCCGGCAAUGGGCUCGAGCGCGGAAACAGUUGAGCACAAGCGCAAGGUGGCCUGGUCGGGGAUUGGUAGAUCUCUUCAGCCGGGGAGGGGAAGACAUCCGUGGGUCGGGGACUGGUGGAUCGCCGGCGGCCGUGAGUUUGCUCACCGGGCGGCACAUCCGUCUUGGUGUCCGGGUUGCGACGGCAAGCAGAAGGGUUGAGACGGGGGCUAGGGGAGGUCGGAGCACUAGUAGAAAAGGGGGCAAUGGUCCAGGCCGGGCCAUCCCAUUAGUCCCGGUUCAGUCUAGAACCGGGACCAAUGUGGGCAUUGGACCCGGUUCGUGAGCCCCGGGGGCCGGCCGGGCCACGUGGGCCAUUGUCCCAGUUCGUCUGGACCUUUUCGUCCCAGUUGGAGGGACGAACUGGGACCAAUGGUCCUCGCUCCUGGCCCACCACUAUUGGUCCUGGUUGGAGGCAUGAACCGGGACCAAAGGCUGCCCAUUAGUCCCGGUUCAUGCCACCAACCGGGACUAAAGGGUUGGUCCUCGUUGCGGCCAGAGGUUAGUCCACCUCGCCAACCGAAGGGGGCUCACACCGGUUUAUAAGCCCCUCCCACUCUGCCUUGUUGAGCUCCUCUCAAAAUGAAAAUAGAUGCCCUUAUACAGGGAAUUUGACCUAAAUUCAUACUGAAUUUCUCUGAAGUUAGUAGAAAUUUAUUGUGAAUUUAGGUUGAAUUUUCUCUAUAAGCGCAUCUAUGCUCAUUUUUUUAGUAAAGUUAAUCACAACUAUUUUUUCUUCUAUUUAUUUCUAAGUAGUUUUUUAUAUAGUUUUUUUUCUUUUCUACUAUAUUUAUUUUUUUCUUUUUAAUUCUGAGUUGUAGUAAGUCAUUAAAAAUAAGCAUCUAUGCUCAUUUUUUUAGUAAAGUUAAUCACAACUAUUUUUUCUUCUAUUUAUUUCUGAGUUGUAAUAAGUCANNNNNNNNNNNNNNNNNNNNNNNNNNNNNNNNNNNNNNNNNNNNNNNNNNNNNNNNNNNNNNNNNNNNNNNNNNNNNNNNNNNNNNNNNNNNNNNNNNNNNNNNNNNNNNNNNNNNNNNNNNNNNNNNNNNNNNNNNNNNNNNNNNNNNNNNNNNNNNNNNNNNNNNNNNNNNNNNNNNNNNNNNNNNNNNNNNNNNNNNNNNNNNNNNNNNNNNNNNNNNNNNNNNNNNNNNNUAAUCACAACUAUUUUUUCUUCUAUUUAUUUCUGAGUUGUAGUAAGUCAUUAAAGAUAAGCAUCUAUGCUCAUUUUUUUUAGUAAAGUUAAUCACAACUAUUUUUUCUUCUAUUUAUUUCUGAGUUGUAAUAAGUCAUUAAAAAUAAGCAUUUAUGCUCAUUUUUUAGUAAAGUUAAUCACAACUAUUUUUUCUUCUAUUUAUUUCUGAGUAGUUUUUUAUAUAGUUUUUUUUCUUUUCUGCUAUAUUUAUUUUUUUCUAUUUUUUCCUGAGUUGUAAUAAGUCAUUAAAAAUAAAAAAGAGGCGCAAUGCUCGUUAAUUAGCUUCAAGCCUUUCGGAAUAGUGUAAACUGCACUACGCAUAGCUCCGUGCAGUCUACCCUAAUCCUAAAGGCUUGAAGCUCACCAACGUGCAGGUGAGCAUUGAGCCUCUUCUUCAUCGUCUCUGCACUCAGGGCUUAUAAACCGCUGCGAGUGCCUCUCGCUUGGCGAGGUGGGACUAAUUAAAAACGGCUGCAGAAAGAAUCAACUAAAAAACAGCUGCAGAAAAUAAAUAAGUAAUUAGACAGGUGCAUUGGUACCGGUUGGUGGCUCCAACCGGUACCAAUGCCCCUCUUUAGUCCCGGUUGGUGGCACCAACCGGGACCAAUGCCCCUCUUUUGUCCCAGUUGGAGCCACCAACCGGGACAAAAGGUCUUUGUUUCCCGUCCUUUGGGCUGCUGAAAAGAGGCCUUUGGUCCCGGUUGGUGGCAACAACCGGGACUAAAGGGGUAUUAGUCCCGGUUUGGGUCACGAACCGGGACCAAAGCCUUUGCUAUAUAAGUAGCACUUAGGAAAAUUUCAGAACCGCGCAUCCCCACUUCGAUCUCUCCUCCUCCUCUCCAGACGCCGCCGUCCCCUGCCGCCCCGACGCCGUCGCCGCCCCGCCCCACCCCGACGCCGUNNNNNNNNNNNNNNNNNNNNNNNNNNNNNNNNNNNNNNNNNNNNNNNNNNNNNNNNNNNNNNNNNNNNNNNNNNNNNNNNNNNNNNNNNNNNNNNNNNNNNNNNNNNNNNNNNNNNNNNNNNNNNNNNNNNNNNNNNNNNNNNNNNNNNNNNNNNNNNNNNNNNNNNNNNNNNNNNNNNNNNNNNNNNNNNNNNNNNNNNNNNNNNNNNNNNNNNNNNNNNNNNNNNNNNNNNNNNNNNNNNNNNNNNNNNNNNNNNNNNNNNNNNNNNNNNNNNNNNNNNNNNNNNNNNNNNNNNNNNNNNNNNNNNNNNNNNNNNNNNNNNNNNNNNNNNNNNNNNNNNNNNNNNNNNNNNNNNNNNNNNNNNNNNNNNNNNNNNNNNNNNNNNNNNNNNNNNNNNNNNNNNNNNNNNNNNNNCGCCGUCGCCGUCGCCGUGAGCAACUUUUUAUGAUUUUUGUUAGAUUUUGUUAGAUUUUUUAGAUUUUUUUGUAGUUCCUAGAUUUUUUUGUUAGAUUAGAUGUGUAGUUCAUAGUAUGUUAAUUUAGAUUGUGUAAUUAAUUUGUUCAUAUUGUGUUAGAUUUUUUUCUGUUACUAGAUUUUUUUGGUGAUGUUAUUGUUGAAUAUGCAUGUUUGUAUGUUCAUAUAUAUGCAAAGAUCGAAUAUGUCAAAUUUUUAUGAUUUUUUUCUGUUCAUAAUUUUGUUCAUAGAAUUUUAAUGAUUUUUUUGUUCAUAGUAUUUAGAAAAAGGAAAAAAUAAGAAGAGAAAGUGUUUAAUAUAAUUAGUUAGAAAAAUACUAGUAUAUUUUUAGUAAGUACUAUUUUAUUUUAUUUAUAGUAAGUGCUUCAUAUAUAGUUGAACUAGCUAGUUGAUUUAAUAAACUACUUUAUUUUACUAUAUAUAGAAGUAGUUUGUUUUUAAUAAGUACUACUUUAUUUAUUUAUAGUAAGUGCUUAGUAGUUGAACUAGCUAGUUGAUUUAAUUAAUAAGACUACUUUAUUUAACUAUAUAUAGAAGUAGUUCCCGCAUCGACGUUAGCGAUGCCUAUCCCGCAUCCUCGUCGUCGUCGACUCGGCGGUGGAGGCUUGUUUGAUCAGGGCCAUGUUCGGGACUGGGCUCCGCCGGGCUGGUAUUGGGAGGUGCUACCUUUCGGGGGACGUAGGUUGUUGAGGAGGCAACCCGUUGUUGACCCGAUUCUUGUUUGGUGGUGGUCGCGUGGGCCAGUGAUGGUGCUGAGGCUUCCGGACACCGCGGAGGUGGUACGUCACCGUGUCAGCGAGGAGGACGAGCACGUCCGUCGCUACAUGGUUACAUUGGAGGGCAGGUUCGACAAUACCUGGCAGGUUCUUCAGGGAUCUCACUGGAGCUAUGAUCCUGUGAUGGUUCCUUAUCUUUGGGUGUCCACUGCCCGCGACGAUACCCGUCGGGCGCUACGAUUCUAGUUGUAUUAGUGAUGCUAUAUUAGUGAUAAUAUUCGACGAUGUACGGACACCAAGAAAUGAUGUACUUUUGCUUAUAAUUAUUGAAUGCAUGCUAAUUUGAAUACUCCUUUAUUUUAUGAUUUGGUUUUGCUUAUUUUAUGAUUUGGUUUUGCUUAUUGAAUGGUCAUAUUGGAUAAGUUCUCCUUCAUUCCCGUGUGCUAGACAAUUUGGUGUAAUAAUGCACUCGGGAAUGAAAGGAGGAGCUACGUACAUCACCGAUAGUCAACCCGUGAUUAAUAAUAAUGAUCUAGUUUAAUAUUUGAAUUAUGAACAUAGGCCGGAAAUGCCGUACUCGGACGACGAAAACCGCCCAGGGGAGUGUGACUGGUGCCACGACGACCAAGGUAUGUGCCACAGGUUCAUUUAGCUGGACGAAGAUCGGCACUUCAGCAUUAAGCUCGAGAAGACCUUCGAUGUUCAUACGGUACGCAACGAUGACAAUAGUUUUUUUUCGUAAUUAAGCACGACUUCAACUAUUUUAACGUGUAUUUUUCAUCUUUUCCAAUUCGAAUAGCUUAUCCCAUGCUAUGCAAGACGCUAUGUCUUGGAGAGGAUGGCUUUUGAAGACCAUGAAAGUAUGGAAACCAAAAAAUUAUCCUAAGUACCCAUCAUGAUGUGGAUUUUCAAGUAAAGUUGUACAAUGCUGAGAGUGUAACCCAUUUUGGUUGCAAAAAUUAGGAAGCACUUUGCAAGAUGUAUGGUUUUGAUGAGGGUAUGCUUGUCACCAUGGAUCUUGGUGAUCCUACAAUCGAGCAAGAGAGACCUUCAAUUUGGGUCCUUGUGGAUACACCUCCAAUUCUUCCUCCAUGUGAGCUUAACAUAGUUAUUAAGUAAUUUAUAUUGUUUAUUUCAAAAUAGUUGACAACUUAUUUCCAUUGACAGCUUAUUUUCAUUCUUCAAAGAAUGUGCGGAAGAUGGUAGACAGAACCUACUAUACCGAAGGCUCCGAAUUAACUUAUCAGGAGAAAAAUCAUCUGGUCGCAUUUUGCACUAAUCUUGAGAAUUACAAUAUCUACAAUCAAACUCCUCAACAUUAUGGUCAAUACGUGCCAGUAGUGCACGUGUUGAACUACGGUAACUACCAUGGAGAUGCCCUGGUAAGAUUUUUUACUAUUACGACAUCCGUGCAUCUUUUUGCACACUUCUAAAACUAGUACAUCAUUGCUAACUAUGAAUUUAUUACUAUGUUUUUCAACAGAUAAUCCCGAAUGAUUGUGUGCCUCAUCUGAUGUAUACGCACGGUACCCUUCAUGUUUUGAACAUACAACCAGGUCUUCCUACGAAUCUCAACUGUCCAUACCGGGUUUCUAAAAGAAGUGAAGACAUGACAAUCAAAGAAUGGAAAAAAAUGUAUGGACAGUCGUAAGGAGCUUCUUGGAAGCAAAAGGCAGCGAAGGGCAAGAAUUGGAGACAGGAUGAUCGCCAUUCUUCAUAAUGAAGAGUCAGGGUCUAUAUUGUUUUAUGCUAUUUUACCUUAAGGGUGUUUAGGUCCUACCUGAUACUGAUGAUCAUGUGCUAAGAACAAUUAUGUAGGGUUGGGUUCGAUGACUAUGAGGAUGAUGAUCGUAUGACUUAUUAUUAAUAACGAGUAGAAGUUGUAUGAUGAUGCAUGAUUAGUAGGACUUGUUAUUAUAUAUGAUGGUGUAUGAUGCAUGAGUUAUUAUAUCAGCGGGUGAAAUGGACAUAGCAGCAGCGUUGGUAAACCAAGAACGAAGAUAUAAGAGAGGACACUUCUCUCUAUUAGCUAGCUAAUAACAACCUAAAAAUAACCCCCAAAACCCCUAAAGCAGCCACUUUUUUAAAAAAAAAGAAAAACAUGGACUUUUGGUCCCGGUUGGUGCCACCAACCGGGACCAAAUGCCCCCCUGACUGGGCUCGGCGCACCGGCCACGUGAAGGCACAUCUGUCCCGGUUCGUGUUUGAACCGGGACUAAAGGGUGGAGAUAUUAGUAACGACCCAUUAGUCCCAGUUAAUGAACCGGGACUAAAGGCCCUUACGAACCGGAACAAAUGCCCCCUUUUCUACUAGUGGGGACGCGUGGAUCGCCGGCGAUCGGGGCCAGGGGUGGCCUAGCUAGCAGAGUACGGAUCUCACGGAGCACAAGCCCGACUCAGCCUGACUCAGUAUGUCUGCGUGGCUUUCUUUUUUGCCAGCUCAGUCUGACAGAUGGGCUAGCCCUAUCAGUUUUGCUAUUAAGCGCUGCUCAGUUCCGAAUCAGUGCACUUUGUGAUUCACUUGCCACAAAAGUGAUGGUUUUUUGUGAUUUUUGGACAAAACGGUAGUUUUGAAGUACUCUAACCACAAAUGUGGUGGCUUUGAGCAAUUUACUCUCAUGGAGCGGCUGAUCGUGCUCGCUGAGACGGCGGCAGGUCUGUACCGGCUGUCCACCCAUGCCACCGCGGCGGCACGAUGGUGUUCCUCCCGUACCUCCUGGCGGUGGCGUUGCUCUACUCCUCGUGCGUCUACUUCCCCGUCGGCCUCUGCCCGUCGCCGGCGGCAUUCGCAGUGUUUGUGCUGGCGGUGUGGGCGGUGGUGCUCAUGGCCAACUCCUUCGUACUGUUCAUAAGCUCGUUCGUGCCGGAGCCAAGUGCCGGGCAACUGGGAGCCGUCAGACAUCCAUGUCGCCUUCACGGCCCUAGUCUCUGCGAACGAAGCUGCUCCCAGCGCGCCACUGGCAGCCACGGCCUCCUCUUGAAGGCGCCUUCUUGCUCGCAGCUCCUCGCCGGCGUUGUAUUUGUACGCGUCAGAGCGCCGUUGGAUCGCAUCUGUCAGCGAGUUGACCCGCACCUUGAACUCGUCGUACUCCCACUUCACCUUCUGCCUCUCACGGAUGAAGUCCAGCCACACCUUGUUCUUGAGGAAAUCCCGCUUCUGGCCGAAGUAUGACUCUGGGCAGCGCGGCUCGACGCCGUGCUUCCGGCAGAACUGCACCCACGUGCGCGCGAAGCUGGCGGUCUCGGCGAGCGCGUCGAAGGUGAGGAGCGCGCCGCUAUCAUCGCAGAGGUAGUAGGCGAGCUUCUUGACCGGGUAGUCGGCGGCGAGGAUGGAGAGGAUGGUGUUCGCGGUGACAAGCGGCGGCUCUUCUCCGGGUUAGCGCUGGAGACGAAAACGUCAAUGUCGGGGAGGUCGGAGCGGCCCUUGGGGUUGCGUGCGGUGGGCAACUCGAAGCGGUCGGCGGCGGCUCCUUCUUCUCCAUGCAUGCGUUCACACACACUCGUAUACGCACUACGUAGUGUAGUAAAGGGAGGAGAAGAAAUUCAUGGAUUGAUCAAUGGUCACCUCUUGGAUCUGGACGCUCUCCGGCUGAGCACGACCCAGUAGAGCACCCGGUAGAGGAGGAAAAAUCCAAACAGCACCUGCACUCCCGUCCACCGCUCCUCCGCCGUGAGGCCCCUCGCCGCCAGCACGUCGCGCCCCAUCUCCGAGCACUCCUCUCCGGCGCCGGCCACCCCGAAGCACCGGUUCGCCGCGCACGAGUACUCGUUGGCGAGCAUGGCGUCCAGCGUGUGCUUGUAGGGAGAGGCGUAAUGCAUGAACACCCAGUACGCCGGCGCCCCUCCUCCUCAGCUGCGGGCGCGUCCGUGGACGCGGACGCCGUGGUCCUGUCCGGCGUGGGCGGGAUGUGCACGGUGUAGUGCACGAACUCGGCGCUCGCGUCGGCACCGUCCCUCGACGCGUACCGGCUCUCCCCCGCUCCGGCGCACCGGCGAGACCUGCAGCAUCGUGGUGGAGGAGCCGAUGGAGUACCUGGGCACGGGACUGGUGAGGCCGGACCCCCUCCUCACGACCCCAUCCCCGGGGCUCCCGCAGCCAGCACCCUUCCCUCUCAUCGGCGACAUGAUCACCGUCACCGGCGAGCCCGCCGGCAAUGACAGGCGCCGCGACAUCCCUCCACCGGUUCACCCCCGCCUCCUCCAAAUCAGCUCAAAACUCCAGACGAUCAAGAACCAACAGCAAGCAGGGCAAUCAGCAGCUCUAACUGAUUCCUCGUGCUCAAAGAAGAGAAAAGAAGUGUAGUCACGGCGUUUUUGCAAAAAAAAAAACGAUCGAGUAGUAUACACCCUAGGAUCGGCUAAGUGGCGGUUAAAGCGAGCUGGCGGCCACUGACUCGGCCAAGUCAGCAAAUAUGUAUACGAAAUCGUAUAAGUGGACCAAAGUGAAUCCUUGCGCAAAUACUUGGACCGUAGUUUGGGUAUUUUGAAGCAGUGGUACAAAUCUGUCACCCGGCUCAAGUUUGAUGAUUACAGUGAAUUUUUCUCGGUCAUAUAAAUCUGACUGUGUAGGUACUGCACCGUCGAAUCCGAUGCCGAUCGUCGUGCACGAGAGCGUGUGGCGCUAUUGAGGUCGUGGGCGAUCAGGGCACAGCUCUACUGUUUACGCCCGUACCUUAGUGCAUCCAUGGUCAUUGAAUGUUAUUGCUGCCUGAUGGCAGCACCACGUACCAUGCUGUACCUGGAUGGUUACAAGUCUCGCUGGACUUCUCGAUGUGGAUGCACAUAUGAACGGCGUACGUGCAGUCGUGCAUCCUUGGAUUUAAAAUAUUUUUCGGAGUGUGACACACACUUACGGCGCAGAAAAUCAAAUACCAUUUCUGCUUAUAAUUUGAGAGGGGGAGGCAGAUAGGCACCGGGGAAUAACAAGGUCGCUAUUCAGAACGAAAAGACGAUGCAUGUCUUGUUGUGCGCACGUGCCCUACCGCUCAUGGCAUCGCCGGGUGGUCGCGGUCGACGUACCAUUUCAGGAUAGACAAUGCCACGUGCCCGCAGAUGGUCGUCCGCCCGUCGAGAAUUUCUGUGCACCCGGGUUAACGGCGUCACGGGCCAAGCCGCCCAGAGUAGCAUGGCGGGCACAUGUAUGACCGGUCGUGUUAAUCAAUCCGCUGCCGCGCGCCUUUCCAUGGAGGCAUGCGUACGAACGUAGAUGCCCUCGCCAAUUUAUAUCGUUUCGAUGAUAGACAUGUUCCUGUUCUGGAAUUGUGCCAUCCACCUCUCCACUUUAACAACUCUUACUGAUCUUUGUUAUAAGAAAAGGGCAAUGCCAACAAGUCUUUUUUUCACCGCUAUCCUAUUCUGUCACUCAUUCCCUGGACGAGCACGGUUCACUUCCGUUCGCUUAAUGAUGACGUGGCCGUGACAUCCGUGUCCCGCUACAUGAUCACCGAGUCCGUCCUCACCUUCGAGCUCGUCCAGAUGCAACCGGUGCUAACACUACUAGGGAAAAGGCUAGCAGCAGCGCGGGUUUUAGAUGUAUCAGUAGCGCGGGGAUAGGCGCUACUAAUAAGGCGCUACAACUAACACAUAGCAGUAGCGCUUGCUCACCGGCGCUACUGCUACACAAGUGUAGUAGCAGCGCUGUUAGCGGAAGCUCGCUACUGCUAGUAGCUCUAGCGCGCUUUGCCUGGACGCACUACUGCUAUCACGGCGCUGCUGCUAACUUUUAUACACUCGCCACUGCUAAUUUAAGUAGUUUUUUGUUUUUUUGGCAUAUUUGUUUUGUAUUUGAACAGCCUUUAUAGAAGAAUCUUUAGCACAUAGAAAUGUCAUCAUGAUACACAUACAAAUGCCUGCGAGACCACAAAUGUAAUCAUAGCAUGUACAUACAAAUAGUCUCAUCAUAAUCAUCAUCCAACACAGCGGUAUCUUGUCAUCAUCUCGAAAAUAGCGAUACAUGCAUGUCUCGAAUACUUGCAACUACAACAACGUCAUCCAUCUAAACAAAGGUAUACGCAAGAAGAGCUAUCACUAUGAGUGAGAGGGGAACUAUGCAGUACAUGAGGUGGCGGUUACGAGUCCUCUCUCGCGCUAGCGUGAACCUCAAGUAACUAGCUUCUCCUUCUUGUCUGCUUUUGAAGCCUUUAUGGCUGGCGCCCGUGAACCCAUCCACUUGCGCCUGAUACUCAUGCCACUCGUUGUACACCCCCGGAACCUUCCCUUUGUACACGACAUAGCAAUUCCAUCUCGCCACCAAGAAACUAGGUACCUGUUAGAGAUGCAUGUUCAUGAAGAGGAUGUACAAUCAUAUAUAUGCAACAAAAUAUACUAGAGCAACACCGAAAAAUAAAGGGUUAGCAACUAGAUGCAACAUACAGUAUGCAAAUUAAUUAACUAGAGGUACACACGUCAUCGUACGCAAACUAACAAAGUAGCGUUAUGCAAGUUCGGUAGGGACUGUGGACAUCACAAAGUUUCAUCUCUACAAAAAGUAUACAAGUUCAACCGACACAUGUCAUCAUCAUCGGCAUCAUAAAUCACUAGAAGUUCCAUCCUUCCAUAACAUCGAGGAUGAACCCUAGCUUCUUGAACAGUGUGAGGUCUAGACGUUGCAUGCCUAUGCGAGUUCGGACGUCAGCUCGCGAUAGAGGGCCGUGGUGGAACAUCCCCUUCUCAUCGACGACUUCUUUCAUGAUGAUCGUCGCAAUGUCGCUUUGGAUGCGAAAGAAGUCAUCUCUAAGUUUAUAAUCCGCUUCUCCAUGAGAUUCUAGCCACUUGUGGAUAUGAUCAUCAUUUCUGCUGUUAAUGCGAAGCUUUUGGUGAUCCGUGUUGAACUGAAUCAUGAGAUGGACGAUGUAGAAUCCAUCCUUAUUGCUUCGUUUUGGAACAUGGAUGCAGGAAAAGUUAGUUUUAUGCGCGAAACCCAUCUUCAUGUUCCUUUGUUUCAUGAUCUGCACGUGGCCACCUCUAAAGCUGAAGCCUUGGAGAGCAUCAUCUAGAAUAUUCAUUAUGUGGGUGUAGUCUUUUUUCUCGUAAUCUCUGGAAGGGUCAAAAUACACGGCGUGGGAGACUUGCGGGUAAAGAACGAUAAGGACGGCGCGCCCGUUGCUGCAGGGAAAAGACACCUCAAAUUAUUCCCCAUAUGAGAGAGAAGGAAUGAUUGAAAUGUACGAAAGGGUUGUCCGAAACUGACUUACUUUGGAUGAUAAGGCACGAGGAAAAUUUCCCGGUCCUUAUUCUGUACCAUGAAGUUUUGGAGGCACUCCCUAGCAGUUUCACGCUCAAAGUCGCCGAGGCUCAAGAAAGACUCGUGCAUGUAGUACGGAUCCACCACACAGAUUUGCGAGACUUCUUCACUCUUCAUGACGGAGCUCAUAUGUAGCGCAAAAAGGCGGACGAUUGUAAAAUCGAGCCGCCUUGUUAGAAACAUCUCAAAGAUAUGGGCAAACCGCAGGAAGAACACCUCCACGGCCCGUGUGUCGACGUAGCACUUCCCCUCAGGCACACGAGCCGCGUAUGUCGGAUAUCCUGGAUCCUGUCAGGCUAGUAGGCUUUUCUCAGUCGACAGCACAUGGUCGUGCAGUCUCCUGAGAUCCCCUGAUAGUGCCUCCAGCGGUUUCGGCGGUAGCAUCAGCUCGCCCGUGAGAUGGAACAUGACCGCACCUUUCACGGGUACAUGCUCUUCAGAAUGCAUCGUCUGGCUGCUAUGUGCUCUGGCUUGUUUGGAGGCAGUUAUCUUCCCCGAUCUCUUCCUCUCCUUUUUCUUGGGCACACCUUCCAGACCCUUCCUUAACCCCUGCCCCAGUGUUCCCGGGCUAAGUACUGUACAACCCUCGCGCCCGGCUAGUUGAGCCAGUGUUGAGGCGGCAUCUUCAGGCGUGUCCUGUGAGGAUUUCAUGAAGAGAGACUUUUUGCAAUCCUUGCUACGACCCUGCCCGGGCAUAUCAUCCAUAUCCUCAUUAGCAAGUUGAUAGCCUGAUUCGUCAUAUGGUUGACUCAUCAUAUCUAUGUCACAGUCAUACGCGUUUGUAUUGAGGAAAUCCAUAGGGUCGACCUCCGUCUCAUCAUCCAUUCUCUGUUCUACAGGAGAAAUUACAUCAGCCAGUACUAUUGCACCCCGUUCAUCAUGUCGUCCGCCGCUCUCACCCGGCCCUACAGGAGCUGGUAAUUGCGUAGGCGGGGUGGUGGUCUCCGCACAUGCUUGUUGAUGUGUGGUUAUUGGUGUAUUGUCGACCGGCUCCAGACGAAUAAGAUUCUUCGGCCAUAGCUGCACCCAACCCUUGCAGCUUCCAAUCCACGGCGGGGUCUCGUCGUCCGCUCCCACAUGUUGUACUAGAGGAGGCAAAUCCUCGUGCCCCGAUUUCACACUGGUCAAGCUAACCCUGAAGUGCCCAGCGGGGAUCGCCUGGUUGUGGAACGUGGCUUGCGAGGGGUCCAUUAUCAUCCCCUUUCCCACGUCCACCUUCUGGCCUUUGAUCAAGUAGAGUAUGGUGCAUGGGGUUUCUUUUGCCUGCAAACACAUAUGUCUGUGGCGUAAAACAACCGAAAGGCAACAAAAAUGGAAUAUUAUAUAUAUAUAUAUGCUGGUGCGACAUGUAAUUACCGUGAUGGCAUCGAGCUCAGCCAAAGACGAAGUCCCACCUAGCGCGCCUGAGACUGAAGACGGGCUGCUAUGAGCGGGAGCGGCUGCGAGAGGAGGCCCGGUUGCGUGAGCAAGUGAUGGUGCGAUGGUAUUGUUGUUCAUGGAGUUGCUCCCGACGAAACUGGGCAACGGGAAAUCAUGUACCAUCUUGUCUGGAAUUUCCUUUGUCCAGUUGAUGAUAACUGGAACCAAGUUAGUAGCAAAAUCAUUUCUGCAGGCAGUUACAACUGCAUUGACUGCCUGCUGUAGCAACUCAUAUUUGUCCUCGGCUGCUUUUUUUGCGUCCUCAGCUGCUUUUUUCUCGACUGCAAGCUUCACCUUCGCGUCGAUGUCCGCCUGACUAAACUUCUUUUUCUGCUUCUUGGCCUCCGGGCCCUCGUAGUAAAACACCUUCCACGUGGCGCCGUCUCCAGCGCCGUGCACACGACCAUAUUGCGGCCGCUGGCCCAAAGGGAGUCCCUUAAGUUCGUUCAAGGCCCGUUUGAGAGGGGUGUCCCACUUGGGCCUCAUCGAAGAAGUAGGGCAUUCGGCUGCAAGCUGGUGUUGCUUCUCCAGUAGUCUAAUCAAUUUCCUCGUGAUCUUGUCCGUGUAAAAAACCUUUUUCUCCUUGUCCCACUUGUAGCGGGCCCUGAUGAAGUCACGCUCCAACGGGUUGGUGAACUUCGCGAAGGGGUCUGGGAGACCCGCGGCUUCAAGUUCCGCGUCCUCCUUAUCCCAUAUGGGCCUUUUACCGAGGUAGCCAUGGUUUCCGAGGCGAUGCUUCCCCGUGUUCCUUUGCUGAAGGCUCUUGAAUUUUGCAGCCUUAGCCUUGGCUGCCUCGGUAGCCCAAGUGUCCUUGAACUUUUUGAACUCCUCUUCCGUAAGUGUCGAAUUUUCCUCCAGAAUCUUGGACAGGGGUUCAUCAGCCUCAAUAGCUCAUUUCACCCUCCCUUUCUAGGAGGCCAAAUCAUUGUUGAAUAUGCCCAUGGCAUGAUUGUUAAUCUUUUUCAUCUUCGGAUCAUCCCACGGUUGUUCUAUGUUAUCAUCCCGGUCGGGGAACUUGAAUCUCUUGUGCAACUUUGUUAGGUGCAACUACAUCAAAUGUUCUUUACUCCAUAAGUCAUCGUCGUUGAUGCUCGCACAUUCCCGUAGGACGCAUCCUACUUGGUUCCCAUAGCACUUGCGAGGUUCUUCCGGCUCUAACGGCUCAAACUUGCCAGGUGCCAUCUUUGUGAUCACAAGUCGUCCAAUCCCUAGUUUGUUAGGUUUUCGUAUCCUCUGCUUCUUAUGCUUCCUCUUUUCGGUAGCGGCAUCGGGGCUGGUACCAUCCACGCCGGUAUCUUCCCCGCCGGUACCUUCCCCACCGGUCUCGGCGCCGCCAUCAGUGCCGGCACCGUCGGUGUCGAUGUCGGCGUCAGUACCAUCAUCGAGGCCGACCUGCAAACCUUGCUUAGCAGUCAAAUAGUCGAGGUACUCUUGUUCACCCUCAUAAUCCAUCUCGUCUGCAUCUUGGUUAGAAGGCCCAGUUUCUUUGUUGUUCGACAUGUUUCCUAUGAUUAAGUGUCCUCAUUUAUUUCUAGAAGUAUGAAUAAAUGAGAAAUGACAGAAAAAGAAAUCUAUGUGCCAGCACUCGAUAUACCAACUAUGUAGCACAAAUCAUGCCUCUAUUCACGGGAAAUUUCGGCAUGACCUUUGCUAAAAAUGGACAUAUCGAGCACCUGAAAUUCACCGGAACGGAAAUGAAUCAACAUUCCAGCGUAACAGAGGCCACUCAGAUCAUUUUCCAAACAUGACAUGUCCAAAAUAUAACAUAUCCACAUAUCACAUGUCCAGUUCAAAUUUGCAUAUAAAUUUAGCUAAUUUUGAAACCUAGCUAAAUUCAUAACUAAAUAGAUAACCUAAUUAACAGACUUCCCUAACUAAAACCUAAGUAAAUUAACCGAAGAACCCUAGCAGAGAGAGAGGGGGGGUUUACAGAGGGUGCAGGGGCGAGGAGGCAGGCCCGAAGACGGCCGAGGUUGNNNNNNNNNNNNNNNNNNNNNNNNNNNNNNNNNNNNNNNNNNNNNNNNNNNNNNNNNNNNNNNNNNNNNNNNNNNNNNNNNNNNNNNNNNNNNNNNNNNNNNNNNNNNNNNNNNNNNNNNNNNNNNNNNNNNNNNNNNNNNNNNNNNNNNNNNNNNNNNNNNNNNNNNNNNNNNNNNNNNNNNNNNNNNNNNNNNNNNNNNNNNNNNNNNNNNNNNNNNNNNNNNNNNNNNNNNNNNNNNNNNNNNNNNNNNNNNNNNNNNNNNNNNNNNNNNNNNNNNNNNNNNNNNNNNNNNNNNNNNNNNNNNNNNNNNNNNNNNNNNNNNNNNNNNNNNNNNNNNNNNNNNNNNNNNNNNNNNNNNNNNNNNNNNNNNNNNNNNNNNNNNNNNNNNNNNNNNNNNNNNNNNNNNNNNNNNNNNNNNNNNNNNNNNNNNNNNNNNNNNNNNNNNNNNNNNNNNNNNNNNNNNNNNNNNNNNNNNNNNNNNNNNNNNNNNNNNNNNNNNNNNNNNNNNNNNNNNNNNNNNNNNNNNNNNNNNNNNNNNNNNNNNNNNNNNNNNNNNNNNNNNNNNNNNNNNNNNNNNNNNNNNNNNNNNNNNNNNNNNNNNNNNNNNNNNNNNNNNNNNNNNGAGGAAGCAGAGGAGGUAGGUGAGGGGCGACGGGUCGGGGGCGAGCGCCGGUGCCGGGGUCGGGGGCGAGGGACGGGUCGGGGGUGAGCGCCGGGGUCGGGUCGGGGGCUAGCGCCUGGGUCAGGGGCGAGCGCCGGCGCCGGGGUCGGGGGCGAGCGACGGGGGAAGAGAGAGUGGGGAUUUGGGGGGAAAAGGCGGGAUGAAGCAGGGAUAGUGAGAAUUUUGGGUUAAGUGGACGUAGCAGCAGCGCGUAUGGACAAAACGCGCUGCUACUACCUUCAGUAGCUGUAGCGGUUUAUAUGAAAUGUGCUACUACUACCUUCAGUAGCUGUAGUGGUGUAUACGAACUGUGCUGCUACUACUACUGCCAGUUUUCCUUUUUCUUUUCCUUUAUUUUCUCCCACUUUUAUUUCUCGAGAGCAGUGAACGAAGGGAGGGCGAUAUAUAUUGCAUCAUUUGACGGUUAAAUAUGUAUGCAAAAUAGGAACAUUAUAUUACAUCAUUGGACCCAUGCAUAAUAAUGGCUAAGUGUGUAUACAAAAUAGGAACAUAUAUAUAUAUAUAUAUAUAUAUAUAUAUAUAUAUAUAUUACAUCAUUUGACCGAUAACAAACGGUUCCUCAGCGCUGACGUUUUCGUUUUUGAGUCAGCUUCUUUCCCUUCUUGUUCGUCGAAGAAUAGUUGAGCCCCUCAUUGUGACUUUGCCUUUUCCAUGGAGUACGAUUUUUCUUAGGUAAUGUAGUAUUGAUUCUUCUUUUGACGUAUACUUUAUCAUCAUCGUCAUCUUCCCUCAUUGGGUUGUCAUACUGAUCAUAGUCUUCCUCGUUGGCGACUCCAUCCAUUCCAAUGAUGUUCCUUUUGCCUCUCCUCACGACAACACGACUGGGAUUGCAUGGGUCGGUUAUGAAGAAGCAUUGUGUCACAUGCUUAGCGUGUACCCAUGGCUCGUUUUUUGCGAUAGCGUUCACGGUAGCGCUCUUGGCGUCGGGUAUACUCAUGGUAGUGAAAAUCUGGUUUUCUCUUUCGACAUUCUUUGCCCAUCUGACAUGGAACAUCGUCGUGCUGUGCAGUCCAGAGUAGUCAAGCUUCCAGAUCUCCUCGACCCUUCCAUAAAAUCGUUCAGUUGCGCCGUUGUCGCUGCCGGUCAUGCAUUCCAUCGUCACCCCUGAGUUCUGAUCAUCAUUGUCCAUAUCUUUGGCCUCCGUGUAGAACGUGUAUCCGUUGAUAUCAUAUUCCUGAUAAGUUACGAGGUUGGGCGAGGGGCCAUGUGCUAAGGCGUAUAUGAGCAAUCCGUCCUUAGAGCCCUCCUCCGGGGGACUAGCAAUAAUAUGCUCUUUGAACUAAUGCAGGAAAGUGGAGUUGUGCUCUCUAGUAACUUCGGCAUUCGUCCUGCAUAACCCCCGGUCAUGAUACUUCUUUGCGAUAAUUUCUUUGUGCAGUGCCACGAAAGGAUCUACCUCGUCUAGGUGUUGUAGCACUACCAAGUUUGCUCUGUCAAAGUCGCUGCGUCGAUCUGAGUGUGCCACCUGCAGUUCCCUGCGACCGUUGCAGUGACCAUCUCCUUUGAGCCUCCCAUCAUGCUUGUUAACGGGCAAACCAACACUAACCCCAGGCGGCUGGUCUGCGCCAUAUAGAAAAUUCUCACAGAAAGAGAUGCACUCUUGUGCCAAAUAGCCCUGGACGAUGCUUCCAUCCUGACAGGACAUGUUACGAACGAAUCCUUUGAUGAUCCCAUUCAUCCUCUCAAAUGGCAUCAUGUUGUGCAGGAAUGACGGCCCCGGGUCUAUUAUGUCAUCCACAAUAUGGACACACAGAUGCACCAUCACGUCAAAGAACGCGGGCGGGAAGUACAUCUCAAGCUCAUUCAGUAUCACAAUGAUCUCUUCCUGUAGCCUUCGGAGCUGCUUCACACUGAUCGACUUUCGAGAGAUGACGUCGAAAAAGUUGCAGAGACCAAUAAGCGUGUCACGGACGUGCUUGUCCAUUAUCCCUCUAAGGGAAACAGGUAGUAUCUCUGUCAUCAUCACAUGACAGUCAUGAGACUUCAUCCCGUUGAACCUUUUCUUGUCUGUGUCUAGAUAUCUGCUUAUCUUGCCACAAUAACCGGAACUAACUUUGACUCCGGUAAGGCACUUAAAGAAUUGAUUGAUCUCAGCCUAACUUAAGGUGAAGCAAGAAGGGGGGCAAUAAUCCUCUUUCUUUAUUUUCUUGCCCUUCUUCUCCCGUGCCUCUGUCUCCGUCUCUGUCUCGUCUGACAUUUUACGGGGCGGCAUGUGCAGAUCUUCCCUGAUUUUCAAAUCUUGCAAGUCUUUUCUUGCCUUCGGCCCAUCCUUGGUCUUAUCCGGCAUGUUCAUCAGUGUUGCGAGCAAGCUCUCGAGGACAUUCUUACAGAUAUGCAUUUGAUCAAGGCAAUGAGGUGUAUCGAGUUUGUGCCAGUACUCCAAGUCCCAGAACACAGACCUCGUCUUCCAUACCUUCAGCAGCGGCUCCGGCGCCUUUCUCAUCGUCUUUCCCGGCGCGGGGCACUCCUUCUAGUUUUUCAACAGCUCAUCAAUUUCAGCACCGCUUCGCUUACGUGGAGGUCCUCGAUGCUCAGCGUGACCAUUGAAUAGAUCUCCACGGUUUCUCCGCGGGUCGUCCUAUUCAAGCCAUCUUCGAUGCCCCAUGUACACGAUUUUCCCAGACCCGCCAUCUUUCCUUGAUGUUAGCUACUGAGACGUCGUAUCAUCCAUGCACCGCGUGCAUCCGCAAUAUCCAUGGCACACCUGGCCUGCCACAUAUCCGUAACCGAGAUAGUCCUGCACUGUCGUGAUCAGCGCGGCUCUCAUGUUGAAAUACUCACCUUUGCUGGCGUCUCAUGUCUUGGCCGGUGUUUUCCAUAACGUGUCUAACUACUCUUGAAGUAGCCCAGAUACAAAUUAAUAUUAUUUCCUGGUUGUUUCGGCCCUUGAAUAAGCAUGCUCAUGUGAAUGUACUUCGAUUUCAUGCACAAUCAGGGGGCAGGUUGUAUAUCCAUACAAACACGGGCCAUGUGCUAUGGUUGGUGUUCUGGUUGCCAAACGGAUUCAUGCCAUCGAUACACGCGCCAAGCAUGAUGUUCCUUGCAUCACAUUCAAAAUACCGAUAGAAGCUGUUCAACACUCUCCACUGGCUUCCAUCCUUCAUGUGUCUCAGCUUCGGAUCAUCUCCAUCGUCGGGCUUCUUCCUCUCCGCGUGCCAGCGCAUUAGCUUUGCUUCCUUGGGAUCUACAAAAUACCUCUGGAGACGGGGAGUGAUCGGUAAGUACCAUACAACUUUCUGGGGACAUUUCUUCCAAGCCUUCUUGUAUCGAGAAGCAUUGCACACCGGACAGCUUGUUUUUUCCGCAUGCUCCUUCCGAUAAAUUAUGCAAUCGUUGAUGCAUGCAUGGUAUCUAACGUGUGGCAGAUCAAGAGGGCACACGAUCUUCUUGGCCUCAUCAACACUAGUAGGACACAGAUUACCCGCGGGAAGAACAUCCUUUAGCUACUUGAGAUGCUCAUCGAGGCUAGUGUCGGUCCAUUUGUUUUUAGGGUUCGUCUUCAGGAGUUGGAGCAUGAAACUCAAGCGGGUCACCUUAGGAUUGCAACCAUCAUAUAAUGGAGUGUUCGAGUCUACCACUAGUUGCUCCAGCUUAGCCUCCUCCCUAGAAGCAACUCUCUCAGUACUCGUCUCCUUCCAAAGCAAUGCUUGAACAUGAGGGUCCCGCACGAUUGAACUUAGUACCGAUGAACUCUUCUGCGUGGAGUCCAUGUCGUUCUCUCUGCCGCCAUGUCCGGCCCCUUCUCCUCCGCCAUGUCCGGCCCCUUCUCCGCCGCCAUGUGCGGCCUCUUCCCCGCCGCCAUUAUCAAUCAUCUCUUCAUCUUGCCCCGUGUCAUCAUUGCCUGCCCCGUCGACAUCCUCAACAUCGUCAUCCUCAUCUUCAAUUAUCCACCGAGUAUAGCCAUCCAUGAAACCAGUCAUGAGCAGGUGCGCUUUGACACGACCAUCAUCAUGGGGGUCGAGCCAAACUAUUCCUUUGCAUUUUUGACACAAACAUAAAACCUCUGUCCGGUUAUUUUCUUUCAUGUCCUGCACCGCCGACCGCAACCACCUGUCCACCAUCGUUCCACUGACCAUCGUCAACUCUGCACGGUAAUAAUAAACAACUUGAUUGUAAAAAUGCAUGCAUGCAUCAAAGUCAUACAAAAACUCGGCAUGACCUUCCCUAAAAAUAGGACAUAUAUAGAUCUAGAGUUUGCCCGGAAUUCGCCAAAACGGAAAUAAAUUGACAUUUCGGCAAAACAUAGGCAACUCAAAAGAACAAUUCGGCGUCAACUCAUGCCACACACAGAAUUUCCACAAACAUAUCACACACACAUAAACAUAUUUCCAUUUUGCAAAAGCAUGAAAUUUUCAUGACCUCUAUCUCGAGAUCGAGCACACGGUGGAGAUGACGUUAUAGGGAGAUCAAAAGUGCACAAAGCUCUUCUUGACAAAGAUAGAUCUAGUUAGGGGGCAAAUAGGUCACUUAACUAAAUCCUACAUCUACCUAGCUACCUAAUUUGGGAGGAGACAACUUCAACUAGUGGAGGGGAAAGGAAAAAAGAGAAAGGAGAUGCAUUAAUGGAGGUGGUGUAGUUAGGUAGGAGUAAUGAAGAGAGAGAAAGGUGGAUAGAAGAGAGAGAGUAAUGGGGGAGAAGUAUUGAGGAAGAAGAAGAGUGAGAGUGGGAGGAUGUGGGGGAGGUAGGGGAAAGGGAAGAGAGGAGGGGGAGGGGGAGGGACGGGUGGGAAAAAGGUGGUGGGUUGGUGCGGAUUAGCAGUAGCGUGGGAGCUAAAACGCAUUGCUGCUAAGGAAUUAGCAGCAACGCGCUUUGGGCGAUGGCGCUACUACUAACAGGGACAAAAAAGUGUGCCAAUUUGAAAUUUAGCAGCAGCGAUCUCAGAAAAAGCGCGCUACUACUACAUAUGUAGCAGUAGCGUCGUUCGCGCCACCGCGCUACUGCUAAAUGGAGUUAGGUGGACACCGCCGGUCGAUAUUUCUAGCAGCGCGGUUUACACCGAGCGCGCUACUGCUAAAAACUUAUCAGUAGUGAGUUUCCCGCACACGCGCUACUACUAAUUAGCAGCAGCGCUCCUUUUUGAGCCACGCUGCUGCUAAGUUUCUGUCUAUAGGCUUUUCCCUAGUAGUGUAAGCCAGCUUUGGUGUAGCUCCAUUUACACCAUCCUCUCCACACGUUGAUCCACUUUCGUGCACACCACCACAGCAUGGUAGAUCAUACUGCCGGAGUUCUAGUGAGAUUUGUGUGCUUAAACAUGUGUGCAUAUUGUUUUGAGUAGCAGUAAAAUGUGAUGUUGCUUGUAUGUAAUCUUAAUGUCUCGCGUGUUUUUGUUUAAGUCUUUUUUUGAUUCUUUCUUUGGGUGUUCGGUGUCACCUUAUUUCCUCUUAUGUGCUCCCAUAGCCGUGAAUAUCUAGUAAUUGUUCCUAGACAGUAAUAGUGAUUAACCUCUUUAUGUAAUAUCUAUACGUAUGCUCAUUUCUUAGAGUCAAGAUCUGGUGUACCCAUUUUUUGUCCCGAUUUCUAUGUUUUCUAGAUGGAUUUCUUUGUUACUUGAUCAUGUAAUAUCAACAAGGACAUUCCUUCGCAUAUUGGAAGCCUAUUUUUUUUCUAUUUCGAUGUAUGUUAAAAUCCUAUGAAUCAAUGAGAACCAGUUAUCAUACCAAUGGAAACAACAAGUGACGAGGCUAUGCAAUUUUUUUAAUACACACAAAAAGGUCAAAUACACAUCAAAUGCCAUUCAUCUGACAUCAUUCUUUGCUUUAUUUAAUUAUUUCUCCAUUAUGAAAAUGGUCUUACACUUAAGGCCUAGGUACUUGCCGCGGGUGGAGGUGGUAGCUUUAUUUCCGGAACACGAUAACCUGCAAAAUUUCAUUCUUCACAUCAUAAUGAUGAACAUGAGAAAUUAUAUACAGUGUAAAUAUAUAUAUAUUUGUGUGGGUUUGUGUGUUUGUGUGUGCGCACGCAAAUAUGGCAAUAUACCAACCCGCACAGUGAGUGUCUAUGUGCAACCCAUUGCCGCAUACAUGUGUAGCCAUGGCAAACUUGGCUAGACUGAGCAAAGUCAGUUCGUGAGCGGUGAAGCGAUCAUAGACGCAGUGGAUGUCUUUUGCAUCUCUUAUUGUAUUGCAACAUGCGCUAUGGAGUGGCGGGUACUGGUCACCAAGUUUCUUUUCGAUGUGAUGCCAACAGUCUCGCAUCACCUUUUUUUAUCAAGGAGGCAGUGAUCUAUACUGUUGGCUUCUCGUGCAUGGAGCGAACAAGAAGAAAGAGCCACAAUGACUAGGAAGCAUAACACUCCAGCUACUUUUGCGUUGUUCAUGUUCUAUGUUGUGUAGCACUAUUGGUAUGUGUUUAUGCAGGACUUCUGUGCCACUCAGUCUCUAUAUAUAGUGGUCAUAGUGAAGUUUUUAGACUCCAUUCGCUCAUCAAUCGCUUAAUUGGACUCUUUUAACUAACUGAGAGAUAUAUGACUUGGAUAUGUUAUAAUUUAAUGUUUGCACAUCUAGAUCUUGUAUAAAGUUGUUGGCAAUGGAUGUGGAUGCAACCCAUUAAUUAUUGGCAAUGGAGUAGUUAAUUUCGAACUCUUAACAGAUAUGUGUACAUAAGUUGGGUAUGUUGAUAAUUAAUGUAGGGACAUGUGUGGUCCUUGUAGUAUCACAUCGAUGGUAAAGGAUACUUCUAAUUAAAUAUAGCUAGGUGCAUCCAUUUCUUGUAUCAAAUUGAUGGUAGCGGAUAUGUAGAUAAGCCUAUUUAUUUGUCUAUCUAUCUAUAUCUCUAUCUCUAUCACUAUCUCUAUCUCCAUCUCUAUCUAUCUAUCUAUCUAUCUAUCUAUCUAUCUAUCUAUCUAUCUCUAUGUCUAUCUCUAUCUCCAUCUCCAUCUAUCUAUCUAUCUAUCUAUCUAUCUAUCUAUCUAUCUAUCUAUAUAUCUAUAUCUAUAUCUAUAUCUAUCUCUAUCUCUAUCUCUAUCUCUAUCUCUAUCUAUCUAUCUAUAUAUCCAUCUAUCUAUGUCUAUAUCUAUCUGAUACUAAUAACGGACUCCCUACAUAUUAAAACUUCAAUCAGUGAAAACAAGAAAUAGAAACCAGUGAUUUUAGUUGGCCUGAAUUACUACGAUUAUGAUUUAUUAAUAAAUCCCUUGGAUAUUUCAAUUGAAAAAUAUAACUUGGAUCUCAAUCAGGAAAAAAAGUAAAAGAUAUGAUGCAAUCUAAACAACCGUUCAAAUUUGACACGGUAGCUGAGAAGUCAUGCAAUUGUCAAAAUCAUGACCGUGUUUCUUUGUGACUAACCUAGAUACGACCUGAUUCGUAUAUCUCCAGCCAAUUUGCAGUCCAUUGAUUAUUCCAUUGCCAUCUCAUGGCCUUGGCUUGGAGGAACUAUGCCACAUGAUAAAGCAGUCCCGAUGUAAUCUCCCUGACCUUCUCAGCAUUCGCCACGCCUGUUCCUAGCCAUGGAUAUCUGCCGGCACCAACCAGCACACAAACUGUAAGUAGAAAAAGACGAUCGAGAGUUAUGGUUAUAGGGAUUUAGACAUAGUUUUCUUAUCUUUUAGAUCCGCUGAGGAUGUUGUUACAGUGAUGGAACAUACGUCUGGCUACCUAUAUGCUCAACACGGGGUGGUGCAUAUUUGAUUCCAUCAAUAAUUUAACGCACUAACCGACAUGGAAUCUUUCUUUCUUUUUCUUUUUUACAUCCUCCGCUAGUUCUUGAAAUCUUCUAAAUAUGUCAUGUUCAGUUGGUCACUGUUUGUUCAUAGAGUUCUUUCAUGAUCAGUAGAAAGUUGAUGUGUGUUGACAUUGGCAUUGGCGGCCCAAAAUAAGGAUAUGAAUAUGUUGCAUUAAACUUCUCUCCUUGCCAUCGAUCCUCAUAUUUGCGCCUUGGGGGUGAUCUUGGUUUCUUUGCAUGAUUUGGCUGAUAAGCAUUCUUGUCUUCACUCUUCUUUUGGUAUUUAUCGAAUAGUUCAGCGAAGGUGAUUUUUAAUCUCUUACACUUGCGCUUAUUUUGGCCUUUGUUUUCUUUUCGUUUGCUUCGAUCAUUGGAGUUUCUUGUUGCCCCACAGUCCUUAGCGUUUUCAUUGUAGCUUCAAUAGAAUUUUCACCCUCAAGAAUAUUAUCAUUGAGCUCUUAAAAGAUUUUCCUACCUGAAAGCUUAAUCCCAUUUUCUGCAGUUUUUCCUUCUCUUGUUUAAAUAGACCAGCAUGAAGCAGCCGAUGCAAAAACUAUUUACCAUCAGAACCAAUCAGAAUAGACUGGUCAUCUCUUGGUGUCUCAACAAAUUUGAACCGUCCUUAUCAAUGGCCGAUUUAACUAUUUGAUGAAACAUAUUGCAAUCCUCGAAAUUAUGUUUGAACGAAUGAUCUAAUCUACAUCACAUUCGUCCUUGGUUUGAUGGCUUGACGUGGUGAUCAAGAAUUCUAAUGUAAUUAUUUUUCAGCAACAACUCAAAUAUUUGAUCAACAUGCUUGAAUUGAAAUUAAACCUUUUAUUUUCUAGACGAUCUUGUUGUGAGAAUGGCUUUAGAGGUAAGCACAAGAAUGGUUCAGAUUUGGAAUCUCCCCAUUCGGCUAUGAAUUUUCUUUUGCAUUAUUUUUCCGGUGUGAUUGGAUAACAUAUUAUACUAGCAUCGGUUUUCUCAAAAGAAUCUAAACUUGACAUUAUGUUUCUAAAAAAAAAUAGUUAGAACACACAUGUCUCAAUUGAGACGAAAAGCAUGCCAAGUAAGAAAUAAGGACUUGAUAUGAACUUUAGAUAAAGCAAUAGGGAAAGCCUUGGCUGUAACAAUAAGUCACUCUCGGUCUUUAUAAAUGGCGCAAUAUGUUGACCGAUAUGCUCUAUAACAAUUUUAUCGCUUACAAGUAAAUUACCCUUCUUCACUGGUCUUUCAAAAUUACUUAUUAGGAUUUUUUCUGAUAGAUGCAUCAACAAUAAAGUUGUGACCAAAUAUGAAAGCAAGUAAAUUACUUGAUAGACAUACCUCUUCAAAUUUGUUGGGAGAGCAUGACGGUGGUGUGACUUGAACAAUAUCUUGCUCCGUAUUUGGAUGGCUCCCCAAUGCCUUUUCAUCAUAUUCUUUAUUCUUGAUUCCGUGCAUUAUUACAUCGAAGAUCUUUGUCAGCCAAGCUUUUUCGGCUACUUGUUCUUGUCCUCGAGGCUUGUCAAUUUCUACGGCACAGAACUCAUACGGCAGGAAGUAGGUUCCAUUAACUUCAAAAAAAUCAGGCACGACUGUUUUCCUAUGCUUGCCAUGACCUUUCUCAAUAAUGCAUGCCUAUUUGGAUUUGAUUGAUUCAGAAUAUACACUACUUGAUUCGGGGUUUUCAACCAAAGCAUUUUCAUGUUACGAAUCAUCCUUAUUUUCAUUGACUCUACCAAUUGGCAAUGCUUCUUUUAUUUGAGCCAAUUCUUUUUCUGUUUGUUUCUGGCGGUGUGCGGAAAAAAUGGCUUUAAGUUGUUUCUCAAUUUCAGCCCACUCCGGAUAUGAUUGCCUCCAAAUGCUUUUAGAUUCUUUCGGCAAUCACACAUGAUUGUUGCCAAAACUUUGCAAUUGCAUAGGGGGGUUAUAAUAUUUGGGCAGUAUAACCGCACCUAAUCCCUGCUCUCUCACGCCAUUAGGCUUUGUGGCUGUUUGUUCUGCUGAUUUAACCAUUCUUGGCUGUCAGAUCUACUUGAUGUAGCAUCAUUGCCCAAUUCCUAUAGCAUCCAGGCCCAACUGUCGUAAGAGGCUGCUACUCUUGAAGAAAACCUUGAGGCCUCUUGUUAAUUGGGCCACUUGAGGAAGCCCAUUUAACCAUCCUGACUCCAAUCUGUCGAUGGCUCACUGCAGCUGUCCCUUGUACCUAAAAAACAAAUGUGCGGUCAAUAGGAUGUCUUGGACUCGAAUAGAGAAGGCGCUCGAGGGAGCCAGGCACGUGAGGGGAUCGAGCGGUGGCGAAACAAGAUGAGUCGAGCAACAGGAGCCGAGGCGCGCUAGUGGAUCCACCGUCACGCGGUUUAGCCGAUGCGUGCGAGGGGAACCGAUCCAACCUAAGAGGGGAUCCAGCGGAUGCGCGGGAUGCGGAUGAAUCAGGAGCAAGUGAGGCAGUCAUCGGAGAUGAAUUGGGUUAUUUUGUAGCUGUUGCAACUUGUUCUGCCACAUGUUUCAGAUGCCGCUACUCCUGAAGCAAUUGCUCUCAGGAAUGGUAUUAAUUUGGCAGCUCAUUUGGGAUGCUUGAGGAUAGAUGCUGAGUCAGAUUGUGAACUUGUGAUUGAUGCAGUAAAAGAUACUUAUAGAUUCAAUGGUUCCCAAGCAACAACAAUUAUUGAGUGCCCUCAACUCUCUUGUGACUUCGGACAGGUGAAAUGUUCUUUACGCAACCGAGAAGCAAACAGUGUAGCAGAUGCUUUGGCUAAGCAAGCAUAUAUGCUGAAGAAUUCUUCUGUUUGGGAAGAUGGCCCACCUAAUUUCAUUUCUUCUUUGAUUGUAAAUGACAUUGCUAUUGUCUGAGAAACGAAAUCUUUACCUUGUCAAAAAAAAUUUAUUUCUCCCCAAUUAUUUGCCCAUCAUUGGAAUUGUUCUCAAAGUUGAUAAAAAUUACCCCAUGCAAAAGACAAAAAUAUUGAUCCGCUUGCACUUUCAAUCAGUAAUUUGGACCAAAGUGUCUGGUCUAAACCAAAGUUCCUCUUUCUAGAUGCUUAAGAAAUGACACUUCAAGAUAUAACUAGCCGUUUCGUAAAGAAAACAUGAUCGAUCAUGAUCUAGAAGCCUCUAAACAAAACCAAGUUUGCCAAUUGAAACUGGAAAAAUGAUGCAAAAGAAGGAACGCACCAGGAGGGGAACUCAAAUCCAAGUUGUAUUUUGCGCCCAUCUUAUACUAUUUACUAAUUGGAGGCACGAAGCGAGGUUCCAUGUUAAUCCCGGUAGUUAGAAAUUUUGGACCAUUAGAUUUACUAAUGAUACAUCGAUGGCCGUCAGAUAAUGUCUUGAUGCGCCUCUUCACGUGCGGGAGACAGACUCCUCUAUUUGCACCUCCUUAUGUGAUAACAAAUUGAAAUAAAAAUCAGCGGGGAAGCACCUCUUCACGUGGAGGAGACAGACUCCUCUCUUUCCACGUCCUUAUGCAUGAUAAAAAACUAAAAUAGAAACCAGAAAAAAAAACACGACUAUGUAAUCCUCGCCUCCUACCCUCCUGCCUCCCAUCGCCGCUUCUUCUCCGCAAGCAGGACUGAUCCCCUCGAUCUGCUGACCACCAAUCUCCCUCAUCUGGUCUUCAAGGCAGCUCCGGCACCAUCUAUCUCCUUCCUCGGGCUACCUUAGAGAUUGCCUCCCCAAUUUAUUGAGGUAUCAUCCCCCCUCCAUGCUCGCCACGUACUUAAGUAGGUCAGAAAAAUUGGCCACGUGUACAGUAGAAUUCAGCAGCAUGCGUUGCAUUGGAGAUGCAUGAGGAGAAUCGAGCCCCCUGCCCCUUUUUUGCUGCAGGUAGGUAUAUGGUUUCUAUCCAAUCAACUAUUUUGUAUCUAUAUAACAUGGGACACUAGCAACCAUGUAGAUUUAAAUCCUAUAGUUUUUACCAAUUCAACUAUUAUCCAUACAAUUGUCCAUCCUUAGAUUUGAGUUGAACCCAAAAUGAAUACCAAUCUGGCUGCUAGAGUAUGCAAUUUACUAAGGUUAGAUGGCAGUGGAAUUAAUUAGGUUUUUAUUCAAUCUGAUUUCUACUAUGUACAGCCAGUUUGGUUUCAAUGUCAAUGGAAUAAAAUACUGGACAAAUGAAUGUCAGAAUAAUUUUAUACAAAGACUAAAAAAUAUUCUCUCCUUGAUUUUAUUAUUUUGUUUCCAUAUCACACUGCACUAAAGAUAAAGAGCGGUGUGGGGAUGUUUUAAUAACUCAAGGGGUUCUGCCUGAGGGCGAGAGAUCUUGAUGGAGAAUGUGUGCUAGAGCUCAGAUAUAGAGGGGUCUGCGUCAAUGAACACUUGCAACAUACAGUAUACAGCCGUGUGGAGUUUGUUCCAGACGAAGUAGCAUUUACACACGUAAAUGUUGCGCUGUCGUAUAAGCAGUAGAAAAAGUGUUGCGACCGCCAUGUAUGGCUGUUUAAGGCAGACUGCUAGAUUAUGCAAUGAUUGGAAAUUGUUGAGCCUGAAUGACUCGAAGAGGAAUUCUAAUACUAUGGGAAACCAUUAUGAAUAAUUAACAAAUAUCUAGUAACAGAUGUUGAUUUUCAUUAUAACAUACCUAAAAUUCAUUAGAAAAGGAUGUGUAAUUUCUACCUAAUCACUAAGUGCAUAGUUUUAUCACCAAGUUAUCCUAGACAUACAUUCUCAGGAACAACAUCACCAAGUUGCUUGCAUACUUCACUGCAAGUUUAGAACAUUUGAUUGCUUAUGAUACAAACCAAAGCUCAAAUUUGAAGAAUUAUACUUUUUGGAUUAUGGUUCAAUUUUUUAUUUGACAAUCGAGGACACGUUUCUUCACUUCAAUUUCACAUGUGUAGGAUACGAGAAUGCCUUGGCCCAGGAUUCCUGGGCGGGGAGGUUGAGGUACAAAACCUUUCACUGAGUGGAGAUAUCAAACGUUGCCUUGGAAGGAGCACGAUCCAAGAUCUCAUAGGCAGGUAGCAGAAUCGCAUGGAGUGGAGCUCGCUUCCCCAAUGUCCUCUUGGCUGACUUAAAAACAAAUCGGGAAUCUCGUACGUGAGCACGUCCUCAAGCAUGCAUCCGUCACCUGUAGUAUUCAACUGGGCUCCGUUAGCACAUCAGCAGUCUCGAAGUUCAAACAUGCAUGCAGCCUUGUAGCAAGAAGCAAAGUAUAUACGAUCGUAUUGAAGACUUGGCUCAUAGUAGCAAUGUCUAAUCCAUGGAACCCAAAGCUAUGCACUACUGCACUAGCACAUGAUAGCUAGGUAUAUACAUUUUUCACUACUCCAUCUGUAUAAUACAACACACCCUCUACAUUUUAUCAGUAUCAACUGCAACUUAUGGACUAUGGGUGAAAAUUUUACUACAACAUAGUUUUGGAGUGUACAUUUGUGAAUUUAGGAUAUUUUUUUGUAACAAAACAGAUACAAAUGGUAUACAUAUUUUAGAUGACCAAUUUAUUUGCUCGAUGUUCACACAGAGGAAUGCCUAUGUGGAUAAAUUACUUUUAUUUGUCACCCAAACAUUGCUAUACAAUUCGACAUUUGCUUGCAAUUACGGGUUCCAUCCUUCAAGCCAUUUCUAGAUGGGAUGUGACAUUAAUUGUGCGAGUGACUAGAAAUAAGUUCUUAGCGAAUUAGGCACUGAAUAUGCAUCUGUACAGGUUACGUUGCUACAUAAAUAAAAGAGGCGGGCAUGCACAAUACGAUAGUUCAAAGAUAGUUGAAAAGAUAAAAUAAUUGAUAGGGUGUGCUAAUGGAGGGGUAGAUAUUAAUAGUAUAUGUGGACUAUCCAGUUACCCAUGACACUCAGAAUUACAAAUUGACAUGUGGGUUGUUACUCAACUUACUACACAUAUGUAUUAUUAAAUUUCAUAUAACCUUGGGAAUAUAAAAAAUUUCUUUUGCAACCAGCCAUCAAAUUUGAUAUUUGUAUCAAGAUUAUGUUUUCCAUCAAUUGGAACUUGCAGCUUUUAUUCUAUUUCUUUAUCGAAACCAAAAUAUACAAUUGAAAAACAUGAACAAGUAUAUUAUACCAUGUGCCCUUUAAACAUGCUACCAUUAUUUACACAAAAUAAAACAAUAUGAUGUCAUUACCAAAUUGUCUAAAGAUCUAGCAUGCGCAUCGAGCGGGCCACUUUGCUAGUUCAAGAAAAUGUCACGUCUUUACAGAAAUGUUCAAUUCCCCCUCAGUUUGAACUUGUAAGGUGUACUGAUUUUUUAAAAAUUCAAACCUACCUAAUUUUGACCAAGUUUAUAGAAUAAAACAUAAAUAUCUACUAUAGAAAAUCAGUAUCAUUAGAUUCAUAAUGAAGUAUAUUUCCAUACUUGAUUUAUUUAGGGGCUGUUCGGAAAGCCUCCACGCCCUCGCCACGGAGCGGAGCGGACGGAGCGACCUUCUGGCCACUCCGUAGAUUAUAGUUGCAUGCCACUCCGCUUCGGAGCGGAGCUGCGGAGUGGGAGUGAGUCCGAACAAGCCUUUAGUAUUGUAGGUGUUAGAUGUAUUUUACUACAGAUUUGAUCAAACAUAGGAAACUUUGACUUUUGGAAAUUUAAUUCACCUUAUAUUUUGACAGACAUGGAAUAGUAAUUGAUGGGACCAGAUCCAUGCACCAUCAUCUGAAACCCAUCUAUUCAUGAGGUGUGAUGUUAAUUUUAACAAAUCUGCCAAUGGACAGAACCUCGAUACCAUGAUUCACAGACCAACCCACAUAGAAUUUCUGUAGACUAACAUAUACGCCGAGUUCAUCUUGUGGUAUAUCCCUGAACUUUUCUGAUGAAAAUGCUCUUAGUUGGGAUACCAUCAGGCUCCAAACCAAACCAAAGCAAACCCGGGAGCACUUUACUUACCAAUAAAUUAAGAUAACUUUUGCAGAAGGUUUUGUCGUAAUUCGUUACCAAGAUGGGUAGCACUGUAUAGUUUCCUAGCAGCAACAUUUGGCCAGCUUCUUAGAUUUUAUCUAUAUGAAUAGUAGAUUUGCUCAUUUCGAUUUAUAACAUUGUAAAUUUUCACCUCAGCUGCCAGAUUAACAUAAUGGAACGUUGUCAGGUGUAUUUGAAGGUUGCCAGUUUAGGUGGGCCAAACAGCCAGUGCGUUGAGGUCAAAAUAAGCAUGACACCAGUUUGAUUCUUUUAGGGGUCACCUACAUGGUGAAAGAUGCUCAGGCACACAUCAUUGUUCUGUUUUCCCAUGUCAUGUCAUACUUGGUCUGUAACUGAAUCUUGAGAAUUCAUUUCUAUGACUUGAUGUACAAACGUGUUAUUCAUAAUGAAAAUAAUAUCAUUGUACGUGCUUAAAAUAUUAUGUCAUAAUUCUGUAAAAACACUGGCAUCUUCUACUAGAUAAAGAAGUGAUAACGGUAAAAAAAAAAUCUUUGGGCAGUUUCCAUGUGUAGAAGGUUGGAACGUUUAGAUAUUAGGAAGUGUGCAUUAAUUCUCCUGAUGGAAAAUCGCCCAACUAGGGAAUGAGAAUAGCGACACGAAAUAAAGAUUUUUGAUGUGUUUGUAUUUAAAACAAGAUAAGGGCAAGAUAAGAAAAAUUGAUGUAUGUUUUGAUAAAUGUUUAAAGAACUAUAGAUAAAAAUGUCUGCACACUAUCGAUACACACAUGCACUCACAUACAUGGAUGGGUAUCAUCACUAUCCUAACCAUUCAACUAUUGGCUGGUUUCAAUAACAUUUGGUUUAUCAGCCAAUAACAUAUUAUUGUGUUUGAUAGUAUGAUUUAUGUUAGUUGAUUGGAAAAAAAGAGACGCGUGUUCUUUUAGACGACAUUGUUCUCGGCUAUUUUAGCUUUAUGAAUUGCAUCUUAAAUUUUUGUAAAAGCACGUGGCAACGCACGGGCGUUAUACUAGUCAAUGUAAUGACAUACAGAUUAAACUUACUAUUUAUCUCUGUUACUCAACUGAAGUCCUCUUGGUGAUAAUAAUUUCAUGUAAUGCAUGAUGUGCUUCUAUGUUAUUGGUUUCCACAACGUAUCGGUGUCAGUUUUCUUUUUUUAAUAUGUUGAAGUAUAUAAGUAUUUAUAAUAUUACGUUGUACUGAAGUCACUAGUAUAAAAAGCCUCAUUCGUCCCGGUUCGUGAGGGCCAUUUGUCCCAGUUGCCGAACCGGGACUAAAGGGUCGGUACUAAAGACCUAUACCUUUAGUCCCGGUUCGCCCAGAAACUGGAACAGAUGAGGCUCCACGUGGCCGCUGUCGCUUGCCCAGGCAGGAGGACCGUACCUUUUGUCCCAAUUGGUUCCACCAACCAGGAUCAAAAGGUUUCCAGGCGUCAGCAGNNNNNNNNNNNNNNNNNNNNNNNNNNNNNNNNNNNNNNNNNNNNNNNNNNNNNNNNNNNNNNNNNNNNNNNNNNNNNNNNNNNNNNNNNNNNNNNNNNNNNNNNNNNNNNNNNNNNNNNNNNNNNNNNNNNNNNNNNNNNNNNNNNNNNNNNNNNNNNNNNNNNNNNNNNNNNNNNNNNNNNNNNNNNNNNNNNNNNNNNNNNNNNNNNNNNNNNNNNNNNNNNNNNNNNNNNNNNNNNNNNNNNNNNNNNNNNNNNNNNNNNNNNNNNNNNNNNNNNNNNNNNNNNNNNNNNNNNNNNNNNNNNNNNNNNNNNNNNNNNNNNNNNNNNNNNNNNNNNNNGGGUGGUUUUGUAGGGUUAAUUUAGGGAUUUCAUAUAUUGUGUUAGCUAGAUAAUAGAGAGAAGUGUCCUCUCUUAUCUCCGCGCUUGGUCGACGCUACGUAUAGAGAGGACUCGACACGCUAGCUAGCUAGUAAGCAAAUGAAGGAAACCAUUAAGUACAGAAGAUCGUCAUGAACAUAUAUACACAGAGAGAAGUGAUUGACCUCUCCUUCUCCGAUAGAUUUGUUGAACAACAAGUCUUCGUAUAUCUAUCCGACGCUACUGGCUACAUAUAUAUAUAUAUAUAUAUAUAUAUAUACACACACACAAUAUAAGAUCUCUUACAAAAUCCCCUAACAUCUGAACUCAACUUCCACAUGGUAUUCUCCGUGUUUGUCGAUGUCGUGGUCAAGAAAGAAUCCCGCCAAUUCCUCUAUGCGAUCUUGUGGUAGGAGUUCAUCCCGCAUCUGCCAAUUUCAAGAAGAGGGUCAAUACGUAUAUAUGAGUGAAACUGAACACAAAUGAUGGUAAUAGAAUAAAAUUGUGAAUAUUAUUGCUUACACACUUCAUAUUGUUGUUUAGAGUAGCCCCGCUCACAGGUGGUGUGGUGGAUGAACUCGCAAAUGUAGUAUCCACAGAAAUCAUUCCCGGGUUCCUGCCACAAUCACUUUACAAGAAAUAAAGGUCAAUAAAACUGAUAAGGAAGCAUGCUAAAUGGUAUUGAUGAAACUAGCUAGAAUCAAUGGGAGAUGCGCGGAACUAGCUAGUAGCUAGUACUUACUUUUGGGUGGUCAAAUCACAGUUGCGCCGGCAGUCCCGGAGCUUGUGCAGUGAAAUUUUUCCAAACCCUGCAAGACAAAGAAAACAAUUACUUGAUAUCAGGAAAUGAACAAAGUUGCCGAUAUGGUGCGAUAAUGAUUGAUUGAACUUACUUCUUGAGCAUUUUAGUCAUGGUCGCAUACUCCUCUCAAUUUUUUUGUUUGGAGUUUAUGACGGUUACUAGUCCCUGCUCAAGCUUAAUCUCUAGCAGAAUAAAGUGGAAGCUGUACACGCAUGCAUAACUCAUCAAUUACAUUAUUAUAACGUCGAGUAAUAAGGGAAACCGAAUAUGCACAAGACAGUAACACUCACUUGUAUUCGUAAGGAAAGAGUAUUGUAGCUUUGUUUUGAUUUCGAAGUAACGAUGCGAGCAAGUUGGCCUCGGUUUGUCUGGCAUCAUGUUUAACACUCAAUUCAUCCAUGAGAUUUAUGUUAAUGAACACAAUAUCACUUACCUGUCUUUUCUUCAAUUCGACGAUGUUCAAUCUGCAUAAUAUAGUGAGGAUAACUAUAUAUACAUGCAAUGAAAGACCUGAGCUAUAUAUAGACACUUAAUUAAUUACAAAGAAGUAGUACUAAUAGACAGUAGCAAGUGAUGAUUGUUUUAUCGAGCGCCUUUUGAUUGAAAAACUGAAAGACCUCCUCAUAUGGAACUAACAACAUCAAUUCCAACGAGGUCGUGUUCCUCUUUAACUCUCAGUGACAAAGUAUUUUUCUCAGACUUCCUCCGGAUGUCCAUGUAUCAAUCAUGGAAUCUUCGCAUCAUCGUUGUUAGGGAAGUACAAGGUCUGACGAGAGGCUUCCCGUGCUCGAAUCUUAAUGUUUCCACCUUCAUUGUUUCAAAAAUUAUUGCAUCGUCGUCAGUCAUGUAAUCUCCAGGAUUGGUACCGGGCAGCAUCGCCGGAAGAUUAGCGAUGAUAUCGCUAGACAAAUUGAGCGGGGGGCACAAUUGCUUCGCUUGUUCGCCGAGAUGGGGAUUUUUUCCCCUUUUCUUUGUUCUGCUAGCCUUUGAUCAGUGCAAGUACUUCCCGACCGCUCCUCCUCCUUAUAUGUCCUUCCAAUGAUGCGGUCAUAGUUGGAUUGCGGCGGAGGCGGUGAUGGUCGCUGUAGGGCAUCCAAAGUGCACUUCGCUUUCAUCGGAUCUAUCUUCGCCGGAGGUGGAUGUUUCUUAGCUUUUACCGAUUGAAAGAAGUCUCUUGUCGUGCUUCUUCAGUCUGUGAUCUUCCUGCUCCAGCCGCCCAAACCAGCGCCGGCAGAACCGCCUGCUCUCUCCUCCCGUUGCCGGCUGUGCUGUCGGGCAGGCCUCAAGGCCCCACCAUACUCGCAUCCCUGGCCUGUCUAUCCCUCUACUCACCCACACCUCCUGUUAUUUUCCGGCGACGGCGGCCGAACCAGUCAACCUUCAUACUCCACACCGCGUGAGCAGCCACUAUCGUGUCUUCUCUGGCUCCAUGUCGUUCCCUUUGUAGGCCUCGCCGUCGUCCAUCGCCCUGGUGCUCUCGGCGCAGCGUGGUCAACGUGGUCAACGAACGACUUCCAUCGGAAGUGGACUGUACAUGAAGAGGCUGGCAGCUGGGUCCACGGCCGCACACAAGGAAAUGCCUCCUUAUUACGCGCAAAAUAAUAAUUCCUUCCCCUGACAUCUGGGACCCACGAGAAGGGCCUCUAUAUUUUUCGCGAAAAAACCCUCCCCCCGCUGACAAGUCGGACCCACCAGCUAUAUCUUCGCAUGCAAGGAAGUGUCUCCUUAUUGCGCACAAAAAAAUGAAUACCCCCUGCCUGCUGAGACCUACCAUAGUGGGAGGCUGACUUGUGGGCCUACUAAGUUGACGGGGACGGAGGGCUUUGUCAACUUAGUCAAUAUGAACGAUUCUUGCUCCAGUGACCAUACGAUGUCCAUCCAAUGGCCAUAGGGCUUCUUCAACCUCUGGUCUUCUUGCUCCAGCCGCCCAAACCAGCACCGGUCGUGCCGCAUGCUCCUGCCUCCCGUGGCCGUUUGUGAUGUCACGGAGGCCUCACCCACACCCCUUGUUAUUCUGCGGCGACGGCAUUCUCACACCGCAGCCGAAACAGUGAACCCUCGUACUCCACUCCGCGUGGGCUUCCACUGCCACGUCUUCCUCGGCUCUGCGUCGUCCGCUUCCUAUGCCUUGCCGUCGUCCACCGCCCUGGUGCUCUUGGCGCGGCGUGGUCGACGUGGUCAAGGAACAACUUCCAUCGGAGAGUACUGUACAUGGAGAGGCAUACAGCUGGGUCCACGGCAGCCGCAAGGAAGGGCCUCCUUAUUAUGCGCAAAAUAAUUAUUCCUCCACCUGACGGCAGGGACCCACUGGACGGGCCACGGUAUUUCAUGAAAAAAAGUUUCCCCCCGACUGCUGGGACCCACCAGCUACAUCUUCGCACGCAAGGAAGUGCGUUCCGGCAAAAAAAACGAUUCGCCCCCUUGACUGCUGGGACCCACCAGCUACAUCUUUGCACGCAAGAAAGUGCCUGGCAGUCAGGACCCACCUAGACGAAGCGUACGUAGCUUUGUCAUUCUGGUCAGGAACGUGUAUGUACAUACUGGUCGAUCGGUCUGUCUGUAGGCUGCAGCGAUGGACCGUGGCCGUGCAAGGAAGGUAGGGCACGUGUCGUAGUAGAGGCGCACAUGUAGCAUGUACACGUACGUACAGCGGUUAGGGUGCAAGAAAGUAAAUACGUCCAAGUACGUACAUACGGGCGGGGUCUCAAACGCCUACUUGCGCAUAUGUACGGUCAAGGCUCGUGUACAUGGCUGUGUUGGAACGGAGAAACUGCGUCAUCAUCGUGUUCAUGGAGAGGCGACCGGCUGGGUCGGAACGGAAUGUGUCAUCGUGUUCGUCGGGAGGGCUUGGAUGGAAACGCCGAUGGAAACGAGGCAUGGCGUACCGCAGAACGGAUAAAACGGCCUUGUGUUCGACCGGCCACGGUCGAAACGGGAUCAUGUUCAUCAAGACAGGUCUAGCGUACCGCAAAACGGAGGAAACGGACUUAUGUUGGACCUCCUAUGGUCGAAACGGGGUCCUGUUGAUCGGGAGGGGUGUGGUGUACCGCAAAACAGAGGAAACGGACUUGUGUUGGAGCGCUACGGUCGAAACAGGGGUCCUGUUCAUCGGGAGGGGUGUGGCAUACCGGAAAACGGGACUCCACGGGAUACUGUUCAUCUCCACCGUCGACCUCCUCCAGCCUCCACGGGCUACUGUUCAUCCGCUGUCGACCUCCUCCAGCCUCCACCUAUGACUGUUCAUCCACGGGCUCCUGUUCACCCAGCCUCCACCGCACUCCUCCACCGGCUGAUGUUCAACCAGCUUCUCCACGGGGUCCUGUUCAACCACCCCUCCACGGGCUACUGUUCAUCUAGCCCUCCACCGGCUACUGUUCAACCAGCCCUCCACGGGGUCGUCCUGUUCAUCCAGCCCUCCACGGGGUCCUGUUCAUCCACCCCCAACCGGCUCGACCGGGGUCCUGUUCAUCCAGAGGCAACACCACAGGGUCCUGUUCAUCCAUCCCCACCAAGAACUGUUCAUCCAACCCCCCCCCAACAACGCUCGCUGUUCAUCACGGGAAGGAGGUAGCAGGGUUCGAUCGGCUUCAGUUAGCAGCUCUAGCGAAGGAAUCACUCGGGUUCAGUUAACAGUAAGGGAUCGAUCGCUCGGGUUCAGUAUCGUAGCUAGUGCGAUCGCUCGGGUUCAGUUAGAGCCCAACGCCUUGCUCGGGUUCAGUUAGAGCCCAAUGCCUCGCACACACACGCGUGCGUGUACGAGACAAACGCGCAUCGCUCGGCCCCUGACCACCCACCGUAACCGGGAACUCCGCGAAAUUUUCCUCGCCCUCGGUUCUACCAUGGUUUUUUCCGUCAUGGACGGCCCAAAGAAUGUCAUGCAGCUGCGUCUCCGGCCCGCCCAGGACGAAAAGCCCAUUUUCUGUCAUGAUUUUUUGUCAUAGAAGUAGGAGCCGACCACAUCUAUUAUGAUACCGGAUUUUGUCACAAUUAUCAUCAUAGAAGUGGCAUAAGCAUGAAAAAAAUUGUUCGGCCCAAAAUGUCACGGAUGUGUUUUUUUUUGUAGUGAAAGUCUAGUACAUUCUCAGUUUGAUCUGCUUAUCAUAGGGAAUGGAAGCAUAAAUUUGGACAACAUAUGCAUGCGGAGGAUGGCCAAGGUCGAGCAAAUCCUAUCCCCAUUUGGGAUGACAUCUCGAAACUUAAGGUGUCGGCUAGUAUAACAUGGGAUCCUUCCCUGAAAGGGUGUACUAGCAAACAGACAUGUUUUAACACAAGCACAAUGUCCGGUCUGCUUGAGGGGAACUGAUGAUAUUCAACACUGUCUUUUCAGCUGUAAGAGGGUUAAAUUUAUUUGAUAACAGUUGGAUCUAACAGAGACGAUCAGGAAGGCCAUAUGUCGAGACCGAUCAUGUUUUUUAAACUUGAAUCAAAUUACAGAUGAGAACUCAGGGAAGAGUAUUGGAGGUCUACAUAUACCCAAGCUUGUGAUCGUGGCAUCUUGGUACCUUUGGUGGCAAUGUCGACAGCUAAUAAAGAGUGCAUUAGUACUGCCAGCAGAUAGAACAACAACAUCCAUCAGAGCAAUUGCCACCAAUUUCUGGAGAGCAAUUGAAAAGAAGGACGAAAGGAGGAAAACCAAAAAAGUGGUGCAAACCAUUGCACGGCUUUAUGAAAAUUAAUGUAGAUGCUUUAUUCCACGUAAAAGACUGAUCAGGAGCAAGUGAGGCAGUCAUCAAAGAUGAAUUGGGUUAUUUUGUAGCCGCUGCAGCAUGUUCGUUCCACAUGUUUCUGAUGUGGCCUCUCAGGAAUGGUAUUAAUUUGGCAGCUCAUGUGGGAUGCUUGAGGAUAGAAGUUGAGUCAGAUUGUGAACUUGUGAUUGAUGCAGUAAAAGAUACUUAUAGAUUCAAUGGUUCCCAAGCAGCAACAAUUAUUGAAUGCAUUCAACUCUCUUGUGACUUCGGAUAGGUGAAAUUUUCAUUAUGCAACCGAGAAGCAAACAGUGUAGCAGAUGCUUUGGCUAAACAAAUAUGCUGAAGAAUUCUUCUGUUUGGGAAGAUGACCCGCCUGAUUUCAUUUCUUCUUUGAUUGUAAAUGCCAUUGCUAUUGUUCGAGAAACAAAAUCUUUACCCUGUCAAAAAAUAAUAUUAUUUCUCCCCAAUUAUUUGCUCAUCAUUGGAAUUGUUCUCAAAGUUGAUAAAUUUACUCCAUGCAAAAAACAAAAAUAUUGAUCCGCUUGCACCUUCAAUUAGUAACUUGGACCAAAGUGUCUGGUCUGAACUAAAGUGCCUCUUUCUAGAUGCUUAAGAAAUGACACUUCAGAAUAUGACCGACCGUUUCGUAAAGAAAACAUGAUCGACCAUGAUCUAGAAGCCCCUAAACCAAACCAAGUUCGCCAAUUGGGACUGGAAAAAUGAUGCAAAAGGAUGAACACACCAGAAGGGGAACUCAGAUCCAAGCUGUAUUUUGCGGCCAUAGAAUAAAUCAAACAAUGAUCCAACUCAUGUUCUUCAAGGUACCCAUUUAGAAAUUUCUUAACACUAUCAAUAGCUCCUAAUCUAGAUACUAAGAAUGUGAUUUGUAUCCCUACUCUAAUGUGUAUUUGAUCCUUUGAAUCUACUUAACUAUAGCAGUUGCGGUAGAGGAAUGGUAUUAGGAAGACAUCUAGGAAAAAAAGUGAUUGAUUAAAUUAUUAAAUGACUACAUGGCGUUACGACUUUUUCUUCCCACUCUUUUGUUUGUUUUUCUUAUCUUUCAAACUAACUAGAUACUUGCUUUCCUUCGAUCUCCACCGAUGAGCCCGUGGAUUCGCCUCCUCUCCGCCUGCUGCUCCGGCGGCUGGUGGCGGGGGCGGGUAUUCCUGGUACCUCGUCUUAGAUAGGUAGGGUUUUAGUUCUCGCAAGGACGGCACUCGGACGGAUGGCGGCGCUUCUUCUUCAAGUCAGUCUUCCGGGCUCCGAUCCUCCUCAAGUUUGUCCUUCAGAACAGAUUAGACAGAGCUCCGAUGUAGAUUCCUGCCAGCUCCUCGGAGCGGCAAGGUUAGGGUUUCUCAACAUGCGUACACAACAGCGAGAUUUGGUGUUAGGGUUUCUCAACAUGCGUACACAACUGCGGCUCCAGAAUGCUGGUCCUUAGGGGCACGUGCAUGAAGACCUCCCGGCUGUCAUCGACAAGGUCAGGUCGGAUCCGGUAUUGGAGCAGCGACAGCGAUGCGAGGCGGCUUGUUCAACCGGCGGCAAUGGUCGUUCGGUUGUCCUUGGACCUCGAUGUAAUUUUUGUUAUGUUUGGGUGCUUUGUAUUUCUGAUGAAUCUUUAUAAUAAAUCUGAUAUUUUCGCAAAAAUAAAAACCUAACUAGAUACUUAAUUUCUGUUUAUGUAUUUGGAUUGCUAAACUUCAGUCGACUAAGACUUAACAAAAUCUCAGUCGAUGCUAUAUUCAUGAGAUCUUAUGUGGUGAUUGAUGCAAAAUUUUCUAUUUAAUUUUUCUUUUUUUAUAUGUUAUACAUCAUUUGACUGAGACUUGGUUAAGUCUCAAUCGACUGAGAUCUAGCCACACCCUUUAUGUAUUUUUAGGCUAAGGACAUUUUUUCCAUUGCAGCGCACAGGCAUUUUUACUGGUUGGUAAAAGAGGAAUUAUAGAAACCGUUGGACAUCUUGACGUAUGAAGUUCUUAGCCACGGCUAUCUCCUGAAGUCACACGCACGGCUUGAGCUUGACUGAGCUAUGGACGGAACAGGCGGUUGUGGCUUGCCAAUGGACGAGCGGGCUGGCGUUUUUAUAGCCGGCGCGAGAGUGCGGGAAGCGGUCACAUAAUUCUGACUGUGUAGGUACUGCACCGUCGAAUCAGAUGCCGAUCGUCGUGCACGAGAGCGUGUGGCGCUGUUGAGGUCGUGGGCGAUCAGGGCACAACUCUACUGUUUACGUCCGUACCUUAGUGCAUCCAUGGUCAUUGAAUGCUAUUGCUGCCUCAUGGUAGCACCACGUACCGUGCUGUACCUGGAUGGUUACAAGUCUCGCUGGACUUCUCCGCGUGGAUGCACCGCGUACCUGCAGUCAUGCAUCCUUGGAUUUAAAAUAUUUUUUCGGAGUGUGACACACUCACUUACGGCGCAGAAAAUCAAAUAGCAUUUCAGCUUAUAAUUUGAGAGGGGGAGGCAGAUAGGCACCGGGGAAUAACAAGGUCGCUGUCCGGAAUGAAAAGACGACAUGUCUUGUUGUGCGCGCGUGCCCUGCCACUCAUGGCAUCGCCGGCUGGUAGCGGCCGACGUACCAUUUCCGGAUAGACGACGUCACGUGCCCGCAGAUGGUCGUCCGGCCGUCGAGAAUUUCUAUGGACCCGGGUUAACGCGUCGCGGGCCAAGCCGCCCAAAGUAGCACGGCGGGCACAUGUAUGACUGGUCGUGUUAAUCAAUCCGCUGCCGCGCGCGCCUUUCUGUGGAGGCAUGCGUACGAACGUAGAUGCCCUCGCCAAUGUAUAUCGUUUCGGUGAUAGACAUGUUUCUAUUCUGGAAUUAUGCCAUCCACCUUUCCACUAUGACAACCCUUACUGAUCUUCAUUAUCAGAAAAGGGCAAUGCUAGCAAGCCUUUUUUUCACCGCUAUCCUACCCUGUCACUCAUUCCCUGGACGAGCACGGUUCGCUUCCGUUCGCUUAAUAAUGACGUGGCCGUGACAUCCGUGUCCCGCUACAUGAUCACUGAGUCCGUCCGCACCUCCGAGCCCGUCCAGAUGCAACCGGUGCUAAGCUAGCUUUGGUGUAGCUCCAUUUACACCAACCUCUCCACACGUUAGUCCACUUUCGUGCACACCGCCACGGCAUGGUAGAUCGUAGUGCCGGAGUUCUAGCGAGGUUUGUGUGCUUAAACAUGUGUGGAUAUUGUUGUGAGUAGCAGUAAAAUGUGAUGUUGCUUGUAUGUAAUCUUAAUGUCUCGCGUGUUUUUGUUUAAGUCGUUUUUCUGCUUUUUUCUUUGGGCGUUCGCUGUCGCCUUAUUUCCCCUUAUGUGCUCCCAUAGCCGUGAUUAUCUAGUAAAUGUUCCUAGACAGUAAUAGUGAUUAACCUCUUUAUGUAAUGUCUAUACUUAUGUUCAUUUCUGUAGAGUUGAGAUCUGGUGUGCCCAUUUUUUGUCCCUAUUUCUAUGCUUUCUAGAUGGAUUUCUUUGUUUCUUGAUCAUGUAAGAUCAACGAGGACAUUCCUUCGCUUAUUGGAAGCCUAUUUUUUUUCUAUUUCGAUGUCUGUUAAAAUCCUAUGAAUCAAUGAGAACCAGUUAUCAUACAAAUGCAAACAACAAGUGACUAGGCUAUGCCCAAUUUUUUUUAAUACACACAAAAAAGGUCAAAUACACAGCAAAUGCCAUUCAUCUGACAUCAUUCUUUGCUUUAUUUAAUUAUUUCUCCAUUAUGAAAAUGGUCUUACACUUAAGGCCUAGGUACUUGCCGCGGGUGGAGGUGGUAGCUUUAUUUCUGGAACAUGAUAACCUGCAAAAUUUCAUUCUUCACAUCAUAAUGAUGAACAUGAGAAAUUAUAUAAAGUGUGUGUNNNNNNNNNNNNNNNNNNNNNNNNNNNNNNNNNNNNNNNNNNNNNNNNNNNNNNNNNNNNNNNNNNNNNNNNNNNNNNNNNNNNNNNNNNNNNNNNNNNNNNNNNNNNNNNNNNNNNNNNNNNNNNNNNNNNNNNNNNNNNNNNNNNNNNNNNNNNNNNNNNNNNNNNNNNNNNNNNNNNNNNNNNNNNNNNNNNNNNNNNNNNNNNNNNNNNNNNNNNNNNNNNNNNNNNNNNNNNNNNNNNNNNNNNNNNNNNNNNNNNNNNNNNNNNNNNNNNNNNNNNNNNNNNNNNNNNNNNNNNNNNNNNNNNNNNNNNNNNNNNNNNNNNNNNNNNNNNNNNNNNNNNNNNNNNNNNNNNNNNNNNNNNNNNNNNNNNNNNNNNNNNNNNNNNNNNNNNNNNNNNNNNNNNNNNNNNNNNNNNNNNNNNNNNNNNNNNNNNNNNNNNNNNNNNNNNNNNNNNNNNNNNNNNNNNNNNNNNNNNNNNNNNNNNNNNNNNNNNNNNNNNNNNNNNNNNNNNNNNNNNNNNNNNNNNNNNNNNNNNNNNNNNNNNNNNNNNNNNNNNNNNNNNNNNNNNNNNNNNNNNNNNNNNNNNNNNNNNNNNNNNNNNNNNNNNNNNNNNNNNNNNNNNNNNNNNNNNNNNNNNNNNNNNNNNNNNNNNNNNNNNNNNNNNNNNNNNNNNNNNNNNNNNNNNNNNNNNNNNNNNNNNNNNNNNNNNNNNNNNNNNNNNNNNNNNNNNNNNNNNNNNNNNNNNUGCCAACAGUCUCGCAUCACCUUUUUUUUAUCAAGGAGGCAGUGAUCUAUGUCGUUGGCUGCUCGUGCAUGGAGCGAACAAGAAGAGAGAGCCACAAGCACUAGGAAGCAUAACACUCCAGCUACUUUUGCGUUGUUCAUGAUCUAUGUUGUGUAGCACUAUUGGUAUGUGUUUAUGCAGGACUUCUGUGCCACUCAGUCUCUAUAUAUAGUGGUCAUAGUGAAGCUUUUAGACUCCAUUCUCUCAUCAAUCGCUUAAUUGGACUCUUUUAACUAAGUGAGAGAUAUAUGACUUGGAUAUGUUAUAAUCUAAUGUUUGCACAUUUAUAUCUUGUAUAAAGUUGUUGGCAAUGGAUGUGGAUGCAACCUAUUAAUUAUUGGCAAUGGAGUAGUUGAUUUCGAACUCUUAACAGAUAUGUGUACAUAAUUUGGGUAUGUUCAUAAUUAAUGUAGGGACAUGUGUGGUCCUUGUAGUAUCACAUCGAUAGUAAAGGAUACUUCUAAUUAAAUAUAGCUAGGUGCAUCCAUUUCUUGUAUCAUAUUGAUGGUAACGGAUAUGUAGAAAAGCCUAUUUAUUUGUCUAUCUAUCUAUAUCUCUAUCUCUAUCACUAUCUCUAUCUCUAUCUCUAUCUCCAUCUAUCUAUCUAUCUAUCUAUCUACCUAUCCAUAUCUAUAUCUAUCUCUAUCUCUAUCUAUAUCUCUAUCUCUAUCUAUCUAUCUAUCUAUCUAUCUAUGUCUAUAUCUAUCUGAUACUAAUAACGGACUCCCUACAUAUUAAAACAUUAAUCAGUGAAAACAAGAAAUAGAAACCAGUGAUUUUAGCUGGCCUGAAUUACUACGAUUACGAUCUAUUAAUAAAUCCCUUGGAUAUUUCAAUUGAAAAACAGAACUUGGAUCUCAAUCAGGGGAAAAAAAGGAAAAGAUAUGAUGCAAUCUAAACAACCGUUCAGAUUUGACACGGUAGCUGAGACGUCAUGCAAUUGUCAAAAUCAUGAUCGUGUUUCUUUGUGACUAACCAAGAUACGACCUGAUUCGUAUAUCUCCAGCCAAUUUGCAGUCCAUCAAUUAUUCCAUUGCCAUCUCAUGGCCUUGGCUUGGAGGAACUAGGCCACAUGAUAAAGCAGUCCCAAUGUAAUCUCUGUGACCUUCUCAGCAUUCGCCAUGCCUGUUCCUAGCCAUGGAUAUCUGCCGGCACCAACCAGCACACAAACUGUAAGUAGAAAAGACAAUCGAGGGUUAUGGUUAUAGGGAUUUACACAUAGUUUUCUUAUCUUUUAGAUACACUGAGGAUGUUGUUACAGUGAUGGAACAUCCGUUUGGCUACCUAUAUGCUCAACAUAGGGUGGUGCAUAUUUCAUUCCAUCAAUAAUUUAACGCACUAACCGACAUGGAAUCUUUCUUUGUCUUUUGUUCUUUUUUACAUCCUCCGCUAGUUCUUGCAAUCUUCUAAAUAACUCACGUUCAGUUGGUAACUAUUUGCUCAUAGAGUUCUUUCAUGAUCAGUAGAAACUUGAUAUGUGUUGACACUGGCAUUGGCGGCCCAAAAUAAGAAUAUGAAAAUGUUGCGUUAAUUAUUUCUCCAUUAUUCUUUGCUUUAUUUAAUUAUUUCUCCAUUAUGAAAAUGGUCUUACACUUAAGGCUUAGGUACUUGCCGCGGGUGGAGGUGGUAGCUUUAUUUCUGGAACAUGAUAACCUGCAAAAUUUCAUUCUUCACAUCAUAAUGAUGAACAUGAGAAAUUAUAUAAAGUGUGUGUGUGUGUGUCUAUAUAUAUAUAUAUAUAUAUAUAUAUAUAUAUAUAUAUAUAUAUAUAUNNNNNNNNNNNNNNNNNNNNNNNNNNNNNNNNNNNNNNNNNNNNNNNNNNNNNNNNNNNNNNNNNNNNNNNNNNNNNNNNNNNNNNNNNNNNNNNNNNNNNNNNNNNNNNNNNNNNNNNNNNNNNNNNNNNNNNNNNNNNNNNNNNNNNNNNNNNNNNNNNNNNNNNNNNNNNNNNNNNNNNNNNNNNNNNNNNNNNNNNNNNNNNNNNNNNNNNNNNNNNNNNNNNNNNNNNNNNNNNNNNNNNNNNNNNNNNNNNNNNNNNNNNNNNNNNNNNNNNNNNNNNNNNNNNNNNNNNNNNNNNNNNNNNNNNNNNNNNNNNNNNNNNNNNNNNNNNNNNNNNNNNNNNNNNNNNNNNNNNNNNNNNNNNNNNNNNNNNNNNNNNNNNNNNNNNNNNNNNNNNNNNNNNNNNNNNNNNNNNNNNNNNNNNNNNNNNNNNNNNNNNNNNNNNNNNNNNNNNNNNNNNNNNNNNNNNNNNNNNNNNNNNNNNNNNNNNNNNNNNNNNNNNNUGCCAACAGUCUCGCAUCACCUUUUUUUUAUCAAGGAGGCAGUGAUCUAUGUCGUUGGCUGCUCGUGCAUGGAGCGAACAAGAAGAGAGAGCCACAAGGACUAGGAAGCAUAACACUCCAGCUACUUUUGCGUUGUUCAUGAUCUAUGUUGUGUAGCACUAUUGGUAUGUGUUUAUGCAGGACUUAUGUGCCACUCAGUCUCUAUAUAUAGUGGUCAUAGUGAAGCUUUUAGACUCCAUUCGCUCAUCAAUCGCUUAAUUGGACUCUUUUAACUAAGUGAGAGAUAUAUGACUUGGAUAUGUUAUAAUCUAAUGUUUGCACAUUUAGAUCUUGUAUAAAGUUGUUGGCACUGGAUGUGGAUGCAACCUAUUAAUUAUUGGCAAUGGAGUAGUUGAUUUCGAACUAUUAACAGAUAUGUGUACAUAAUUUGGGUAUGUUCAUAAUUAAUGUAGGGACAUGUGUGGUCCUUGUAGUAUCACAUCGAUAGUAAAGGAUACUUCUAAUUAAAUAUAGCUAGGUGCAUCCAUUUCUUGUAUCAUAUUGAUGGUAACGGAUAUGUAGAUAAGCCUAUUUAUUUGUCUAUCUAUCUAUAUCUCUAUCUCUAUCACUAUCUCUAUCUAUCUAUCUACCUAUCUCUAUCUCUAUCUCUAUCUCCAUCUAUCUAUCUAUCUAUCUAUCUACCUAUCCAUAUCUAUAUCUAUCUCUAUCUCUAUCUCUAUCUCUAUCUAUCUAUCUACCUAUCUAUCUAUCUAUGUCUAUAUCUAUCUGAUACUAAUAACGGACUCCCUACAUAUUAAAACAUUAAUCAGUGAAAACAAGAAAUAGAAACCAGUGAUUUUAGCUGGCCUGAAUUACUAUGAUUACGAUCUAUUAAUAAAUCCCUUGGAUAUUUCAAUUGAAAAACAGAACUUGGAUCUCAAUCAGGGGAAAAAAAGGAAAAGAUAUGAUGCAAUCUAAACAACCGUUCAGAUUUGACACGGUAGCUGAGACGUCAUGCAAUUGUCAAAAUCAUGAUCGUGUUUCUUUGUGACUAACCAAGAUACGACCUGAUUCGUAUAUCUCCAGCCAAUUUGCAGUCCAUCAAUUAUUCCAUUGCCAUCUCAUGGCCUUGGCUUGGAGGAACUAGGCCACAUGGUAAAGCAGUCCCAAUGUAAUCUCUGUGACCUUCUCAGCAUUCGCCAUGUCUGUUCCUAGCCAUGGAUAUCUGCCGGCACCAACCAGCACACAAACUGUAGGUAGAAAAGACGAUCGAGGGUUAUGGUUAUAGGGAUUUACACAUAGUUUUCUUAUCUUUUAGAUCCCCUGAGGAUGUUGUUACAGUGAUGGAACAUACGUUUGGCUACCUAUAUGCUCAACAUAGGGUGGUGCAUAUUUGAUUCCAUCAAUAAUUUAACGCACUAACCGACAUGGAAUCUUUCUUUGUCUUUUGUUCUUUUUUACAUCCUCCGCUAGUUCUUGCAAUCUUCUAAAUAACUCACGUUCAGUUGGUAACUGUUUGUUCAUAGAGUUCUUUCAUGAUCAGUAGAAACUUGAUGUGUGUUGACACUGGCAUUGUCAGCCCAAAAUAAGAAUAUGAAAAUGUUGCGUUAAACUUCUCUCCUUACAAUCGAUCCUCAUAUUUGCGCCUUGGGGGUGAUCUUGGUUUCUUUGCAUGAUUUGGCCGAUAAGCAUUCUUGUCUUCACUCUUCUUUUGGUAUUUAUUAAAUAGUUCAGCGAAUGUGAUUUUUAAUCUCUUACACUUGCGCUUAUUUUGGCCUUUGUUUUCUUUUUGUUUGCUUUGAUCGAUCAUUGGAGUUUCUUGUUGCCCCCCAGUCCUUAGCGUCUUCAUUGUAGCUUCAUAGAAUUUUCACCCUCAAGAAUAUUCCCAUUGUGCUCUUAAAAGAUUUUCCUACCUGAAAGCUUAAUCCCAUUUUCUGCAGUUUUUACCUUCUCAUGUUUAAAUAGACCAGCAUGAAGCAGCCGAUGCAAAAACUGUUUACCAUCAAAACCAAUUAGAAUAGACUGGUCAUCUCUUGGUGUCUCAACAAAUUUGAACUGUCCUUAUCAAUGGUCGAUUUAACUAUUUGAUGAAACAUAUUGCAAUCCUCGAAAUUAUGUUUGAACGAAUGAUGCAAUCUGCAUCACAUUCGUCCUUGGUUUGAUGGCUUGACAUGGUGAUCAUGAAUUCUAAUGUAAUUAUUUUUCAGCAACAACUCAAAUAUUUGAUCACACAUGCUUGUAUUGAAGAUAACCUUUUAUUUUCUAGACGAUCUUGUUGUGAGAAUGGCUUUAGAGGUAAGCACACGAAUGGUUCAGAUUUGGAAUCUCCCCGUUCGGCUAUGAAUUUUCUUUUGCAUUAUUUUUCCGUGUCAUUGGAUAAUAUAUUAUACUAGCAUCGGUUUUCUCAAAAGAAUCUAAACUUGACAUUAUGUUUCUGAAAUUAAAAUAGUUAGAACAACAUGUAUCAAUUGAGACGAAAAUCAUGCCAAGUAAGAAAUAAGGAAAGCUACCCAACUAGAUAUGAACUUUAGAUAAAGCAAUGAGGAAAGCCUUGGCUGUAACAAUAAGUCACUCUCGGUCUUUAUAAAUGGCGCAAUGGGUUGACCAGUUUGCUCUAUAACAAUUUUAUCGCUUACAAGUAAAUUACCCUUCUUCACUGGUCUUUCAAAAUUACUUAUUAGGAUUUUUUUUUCUAAUAGAUGCAUCAACAAUAAAGUUGUGACCAAAUAUGAAAACAAGUAAAUUACUUGAUAGACAUACCUAUUCAAAUUUGUUGAGAGAGCAUGAUGGUGGUGUGACUUGAACAAUAUCUUGCUCCGUCUUUGGAUGGCUCCCCAAUGCCUUUUCAUCAUAUUCUUUAUUCUUGAUUCCGUGCAUUAUUACAUAGAAGAUCUGUGUCGGCCGAGAUUUUUCGGCUACUUGUUCUUGUCCUCGAGACUUGUCAAUUUCUACGGCACGGAACUCAUAGGCCAGGAAGUAGGUUCCAUCAACUUUAAAAAAAAUCAGGCACGACAAAAACUGGAUGCACUUCGUGUACAAAACAGACAAUCUCUUUGGAAGUAUCAGGGUUUCGAACGAAAACUCAUCUGUUACAAAGGGAUUUCAUUUGUUCAAAUGUAACUGUAGUGCAAUUCUACAUCGUCAAGGCAUCAUCAUAAUAGUUGUUGAUAGAAAGUCUUGACUUUUUCUUCGCUUAUGUUCUUUGCUUAUUGCGCCGUAAUCAUGGAUAAUAUUCAUCGUUUAACAGGGUGCUUGGGUCAGCCUUGACUUUGAAGGGAGGAAUUUGAUGAAACUUUUCAUAAUCUUCAGACACAUUUGUCUUGCCCUCCAAUCCCAUCAUGUCUCUUUUCCUGAAAGAACUAUGUGGCGCUUUGGCUCAUCGUAUGAUGUAUCCGCUUCCUUAUCUUUUCUUUUUCUCGAUUUGGUAGACAUGUCCUUCACAUAGAGAACCUGCGCCACAUCAUUGGCUAGGACGAAUGGCUCAUUUAUGUACCCUAGAUUGUUCAGAUCCACUGUUGUCAUUCUGUACUGUGGGUCUACAUGUACCCCGCCUCCUGACAGAUUGACCCAUUUGCACUUAAACAAAGGGACCUUAAUAUCAUAUCCAUAGUCAAGUUCCCAUAUGUCCACUAUGUAACCAUAAUAUGUGUCCUUUUCCCUCUUGGUUGCUGCAUCAAAGCGGACACCACUGUUUUGGUUGGUUCUCUUUUGAUCUUGGGUGAUCGUGUAAAAUGUAUUCCCAUUUAUCUCGUACCCUUUGCAAGUCAUUACAGUCGAACAUGGUUCCCUGGCUAACGAGUACAGGUCAUCAGAAACAGUGUUGUUACACCUGAGACGUGAUUGGAACCAACUACCGAAACUCCUGAUGUGUUCACAUGUAAUCCAGUCGUCACACUGGUCCGGGUGUUUGGAGCACAGAAUGUUCUUGUGUUAAUCGACAUACGGGGUCACCAAGGUAGAAUUCUGUAGAACCGUGUAGUGUGCUUGAGACCAAGAAUGCCCGUCCCUACAUAUUAUUGAGUCCCUUCCUAUGGUGCCUUUUCCACCCGGUCUCCCCUCAUACCGCAAUUGAGGGAGACCUAUCUUCUUAAGGUCAGGAAUGAAGUCAACACAAAACCCAAUGACAUCCUCUUUUUGAUGGCCCAUGGAGAUGCUUCCUUAUGGCCUAGCGCGGUUACGGACAUAUUUCUUUAGGACUCCCAUGAACUUCUCAAAGGGGAACAUAUCACUACUAGAAUCAGGGAUUUUGCCAUCUGCCAGAUCUUUGCCGUCUGCUUGUGGACGUCAAAGAAGGUCUUUGCCAUCAGCUACCAAACAACAGACGGCAAAGAACUGGCAGACGGCAAAGAAGGUCUUUGCCAUGUGUCAUUUCUUUGCCGUCAGCUGGCAGAUGGCAAAGAAUCUUUGCCAUCUGUUAGUGGACGGCAAAGAGGUGCCACCGGAUGCCUGUAGACUGCAAUGGUCCACCCCACUCUUUGUCGUCUGCUCGCGGACGGCAAAGAUUCUUUGCCAUCUGCUGGCGGACGGCAAAGAGGGGGCUAUCUUUUUUUUUGCGGUAAAAAAACCGUUGCCCCACCUCCUCUAUCUCUAUCCCCUCCCUCUCCGCCCCUAUCUCUCUGCCCCACCCCUCUCUCUCUCUCCCACUCGUCUCUCCCUCUCCCUCCCCCGAGAAGCUACGCCGGCCGAUUCCGGCGGGAUUCGACGAUGCCCACCCCACAGCCAAGAUCCUCCCGACCCCGCCUUCCNNNNNNNNNNNNNNNNNNNNNNNNNNNNNNNNNNNNNNNNNNNNNNNNNNNNNNNNNNNNNNNNNNNNNNNNNNNNNNNNNNNNNNNNNNNNNNNNNNNNNNNNNNNNNNNNNNNNNNNNNNNNNNNNNNNNNNNNNNNNNNNNNNNNNNNNNNNNNNNNNNNNNNNNNNNNNNNNNNNNNNNNNNNNNNNNNNNNNNNNNNNNNNNNNNNNNNNNNNNNNNNNNNNNNNNNNNNNNNNNNNNNNNNNNNNNNNNNNNNNNNNNNNNNNNNNNNNNNNNNNNNNNNNNNNNNNNNNNNNNNNNNNNNNNNNNNNNNNNNNNNNNNNNNNNNNNNNNNNNNNNGCCCCCUCGCCUCCUCCCGCCGGUGCGUGCUGCCACCUCACCGGACCCCAGGAGCCCCGCCGCCUCAUGCUGCCGCCUGCGCCGCGUCGCGCGCCGCCGCCUUCCCACAAGCUCGCCGCCCCGCCGCGGAAGCCUCGUCGCCGGUUGCCCCGACCUCGAGAUCUGCCUCCGCCAUGGGAGCCGAGCACCGAGCUCCGAUGUGCCCCGCCCGCCAUGGGAGAUCUGAGGCCGACCAGGAGGUGGGGACGGGGCACUGGUGGGCCCUGGGGAUUUGCGCGGUGGUGCUGCUCUGGCUCGCCGCGGCCGCAACCGAAGAUCCCGAUCCCGAUGAGCUCGAGCGUGCGUGAGUCCCGCUCCUCCGCCCUAUUUUUUCCGUGCCUGCUUGCUUGCUCUGUAUGUGGCUCAGUACUGUCGAUUGCUGGAUGUGCAUUUAGGUUCGGUCGCCGUGAGGAUCCUCCGACGGUGCUGGAUGUGUCGUGGCGCGGUGGUGCCCCUGGGUGGCACCUCCGUGCUGUGGUGCCCCUGGGUGGCACCUCCGUGCUGUGGUGCCCCUGGUUGGCGCCUUCGUGCCCGUGCUCUCACUGGCGCCGCCGUUGUGGUGCUCUCUGGCUAGCUCCGACUUGUUGUGGUGGUGUUGGUUGUGAUGUUGGUCACACCAUAGUGAUGGUGUGGCUGCAACCUGCUUCGGCUACAACUCCUCUUGGUGAGCUUGUCCUUGCUCCCCUCCUGAUCUCUCUAACGCAUAGCUGUAGCAUUUGAUCUUGUUGGAUGUGAGGCUCUAUUAGCUGUGGUUAGCUGCUGUAGAUGAGCAUCAACUUGUAUUGGAGCUCUCUGUGAUGGAUUCUUGCUGUGUCAGAGUUUUGGUCAGUGACCAUCUAUGUGUAUUUGUGAAGUAUAUAUACUCCUGUACUGCUCUGUUCUGUGUAUUUGAUCCUGGAGUUGUUACUUUGGUCAGUAACUUUAGUCAUGAACAGAUACUCACUUGUUCGUAGUUAUUUUACUUCUAAUACUGAUAUGAACAGAUACCACUUGGUUUGGCUAUUCCUAUUUGUCUCUUUCUAAUAGCCUAUGAACAUAUGCUAUACUUGGUUUUGGCUGUUACUUUCCUAGUCUUCUUCUGAUAAGAUAGAUACUACAUCUGAUUUGGGCAGUGAUGCUGGUCUGAGCCCCCCUCUCUUAGGCUUAAUUUACAUGUGGCUAUCCCUGUGUUGUGAUGAACUAGCCUUGGCACUUCCAGGCUGUCUGAGCACAUAAUCCCUCAAGUAUACCUUGAGGUCUUCUGUACCUCUCCUUAAUGGUUACCUAUUCUAAGCUGCUUGUGGCUGGAUGUGUUGGGACUUGGUUUGGUUGGCUGGUUGUGCUGUAUAUCUCCUCCUGGAGCUUUGUUUUUGGCGUUGCACAAUGACAUGUACCUAUUGUCACUGGACAAAACUGAUUGUGGUGAUGAAGUCUAAUCUUUGGCUUUAAUCACUAGUUUUUAGUUGGCUUAAUUCCUGGAGCUAGUACUGAUAGUGGUCUUUGUGUUGGCAUUUAACUAACUCCUAAUUGUGGUGGCUUCUUGAUUGGGUCCUUGGCUGGUUCUCUCCUUUGGCUCUUUGGUAUUGGUUUACUCUAUUUGGCUUUCUAAUUAAGAUCACUUUGAAAAUCAGGAUCUUAACUAAGAUUAUCUUGAUCUCAAGUACUGGUUCCUACAGCAUUGCAUUUCACCAAGUGAAAUGCUACAUUUCUACUCCUAACCCAUUCUCUCUUUCUUAGUGUUUUUGUUAUGCAGGUUGGUAGAAAAGAAGAAGAUCCAGAGAAGAUCUUAGUAAUAAGAUAGUUUUUAGGGAAAUAGAUAUUUAGUUUUAGAUCAUUCCUUGUAAUAUUUGUUGGAUAUGUGUUCAUGGAUAUGUGUUGGAUAUAUAUGUGUUCAUGACUAUAUAUUGAUAACAUGUGUUGGAUAUAUAUGUAUUCAUGAGUAUUGGUAAUAUGUGUUGGAUAUGCUAUAUUAUAUAUAUAUAUAUAUAUAUAUAUAUAUGUGUGUGUGUGUGUGUGUGUGUGUGUGUUUGAUUUUCUAUGAAAAUGAAUUGAUAUAAGAAGAAACAGAAUUAAUGCCUAUUUGGUCUCUUUGCCAUCUGCCAGCAGAUGGCAAAGAGCCUGCAGUCUUUGCCGUCUGCCAGCAGAUGGCAAAGAGCCAUGACAUUUGCCGUCUGCCAGCAGAUGGCAAAGAGCCAUGCCCUUUGUCGUCAGCCACUGAUGGCAAAGGCCCCUUUGCCGUCCGCCAACAAAAGCAGACGGCAAAGUAGCUCUUUACCGGCCCUUUCUUUGCCGUCCGUGGCGGACGGCAAAGACCUUUGCCGUCCGCCAUUCAUGCCUUUGACGUCCGCCUUGGCGGAUGGCAAAGUAGCUGAUUCCUGUAGUGUAUUAUCCCUCUACUCACCCACACCUCCUGUUAUUUUCCGGCGACGGCGGCAGAACCAGUCAACCUUCAUACUCCACACCGCGUGAGCAGCCACUAUCGUGUCUUCUCUGGCUCCAUGUCGUUCCCUUUGUAGGCCUCGCCGUCGUCCACCGCCCUGGUGCUCUCGACGCGGCGUGGUCAACGUGGUCAACGAACGACUUCCAUCGGAAGUGGACUGUACAUGGAGAGGCUGGCAGCUGGGUCCAUGGCCGCACACAAGGAAAUGCAUCCUUAUUACGCGCAAAAUAAUAAUUCCUUCCCCUGACAUCUGGGACCCACGAGAAGGGCCUCUAUAUUUUUCACGAAAAAACCCUCCCCCCGCUGACAAGUCGGACCCACCAGCUAUAUCUUCGCAUGCAAGGAAGUGCCUCCUUAUUGCGCACAAAAAAAUGAAUACCCCCUGCCAGCUGCGACCUACCAUAGUGGGAGGCUGACUUGUGGGCCUACUAAGUUGACGGGGACGGAGGGCUUUGUCAACUUAGUCAAUAUGAACGAUUCUUGCUCUAGUGACCAUACGAUGUCCAUCCAAUGGCCAUAGGGCUUCUUCAACCUCUGGUCUUCUUGCUCCAGCCGCCCAAACCAGCACCGGUCGUGCCGCAUGCUCCUGCCUCCCGUGGCCGUUUGUGAUGUCACGGAGGCCUCACCCACACCCCUUGUUAUUCUGCGGCGACGGCAGCCUCACACCGCAGCCGAAACAGUGAACCCUCGUACUCCACUCCGCGUGGGCUUCCACUGCCACGUCUUCCUCGGCUCUGCGUUGUCCGCUUCCUAUGCCUUUCUGUCGUCCACCGCCCUGGUGCUCUUGGCGCGGCGUGGUCGACGUGGUCAAGGAACAACUUCUAUCGGAAGAGUACUGUACAUGGAGAGGCAUACAGCUGGGUCCACGGCAGCCACCAGGAAGGGCCUCCUUAUUAUGCGCAAAAUAAUUAUUCCUCCACCUGACGGCAGGGACCCACUGGACGGGCCACGGUAUUUCAUGAAAAAAAGUUCCCCCCCGACUGCUGGGACCCACCAGCUACAUCUUCGCACGCAAGGAAGUGCGUUCCGGCAAAAAAAACGAUUCGCCCCCUUGACUGUUGGGACCCACCAGCUACAUCUUUGCACGCAAGAAAGUGCCUGGCAGUCAGGACCCACCUAGACGAAGCGUACGUAGCUUUGUCAUUCUGGUCAGGAACGUGUAUGUACAUACUGGUCGAUCGGUCUGUCUGUAGGCUGCAGCGAUGAACCGUGGCCGUGCAAGGAAGGUAGGGCACGUGUCGUAGUAGAGGCGCACAUGUAGCAUGUACACGUACGUACAGCGGCUAGGGUGCAAGAAAGUAAAUACGUCCAAGUACGUACAUACGGGUGGGGUCUCAAACGCCUACUUGCGCAUAUGUACGGUCAAGGCUCGUGUACAUGGCUGUGUUGGAACGGAGAAACUGCGUCAUCAUCGUGUUCAUGGAGAGGCGACCGGCUGGGUCGGAACGGAAUGUGUCAUCGUGUUCGUCGGGAGGGCUUGGAUGGAAACGCCGAUGGAAACGAGGCAUGGCGUACCGCAGAACAGAUAAAACGGCCUUGUGUUCGACCGGCCACGGUCGAAACGGGAUCAUGUUCAUCAAGACAGGUCUAGCGUACCGCAAAACGGAGGAAACGGACUUAUGUUGGACCUCCUACGGUCGAAACGGGGUCCUGUUGAUCGGGAGGGGUGUGGUGUACCGCAAAACAGAGGAAACGGACUUGUGUUGGAGCGCUACGGUCGAAACAGGGGUCCUGUUCAUCGGGAGGGGUGUGGCAUACCGGAAAACGGGACUCCACGGGAUACUGUUCAUCUCCACCGUCGACCUCCUCCAGCCUCCACGGGCUACUGUUCAUCCGCUGUCGACCUCCUCCAGCCUCCACCUAUGACUGUUCAUCCACGGGCUCCUGUUCACCCAGCCUCCACCGCACUCCUCCACCGGCUGAUGUUCAACCAGCUUCUCCACGGGGUCCUGUUCAACCACCCCUCCACGGGCUACUGUUCAUCUAGCCCUACACCGGCUACUGUUCAACCAGCCCUCCACGGGGUCGUCCUGUUCAUCCAGCCCUCCACGGGGUCCUGUUCAUCCACCCCCAACCGGCUCGACCGGGGUCCUGUUCAUCCAGAGGCAACACCACAGGGUCCUGUUCAUCCAUCCCCACCGAGAACUGUUCAUCCAACCCCCCCCCCCACAACGCUCNNNNNNNNNNNNNNNNNNNNNNNNNNNNNNNNNNNNNNNNNNNNNNNNNNNNNNNNNNNNNNNNNNNNNNCCCCCCCCCAACAACGCUCGCUGUUCAUCACGGGAAGGAGGUAGCAGGGUUCGAUCGGCUUCAGUUAGCAGCUCUAGCGAAGGAAUCACUCGGGUUCAGUUAACAGUAAGGGAUCGAUCGCUCGGGUUCAGUAUCGUAGCUAGUGCGAUCGCUCGGGUUCAGUUAGAGCCCAACGCCUUGCUCGGGUUCAGUUAGAGCCCAAUGCCUCGCACACACACGCGUGCGUGUACGAGAGAAACGCGCAUCGCUCGGCCCCUGACCACCCACCGUAACCGGGAACACCCCGAAAUUUUCCUCGCCCUCGCUUCUACCAUGGUUUUUUCCGUCAUGGACGGCCUAAAGAAUGUCAUGCAGCUGCGUCUCCGGCCCGCCCAGGACGAAAAGCCCAUUUUCUGUCAUGAUUUUUUGUCAUAGAAGUAGGAGCCGACCACAUCUAUUAUGAUACCGGAUUUUGUCACAAUUAUCAUCAUAGAAGUGGCAUAAGCAUGAAAAAAAUUGUUCGGCCCAAAAUGUCACAGAUGUGUCUUUUUUUUGUAGUGAAAGUCUAGUACAUUCUCAGUUUGAUCUGCUUAUCAUAGGGAAUGGAAGCAUAAAUUUGGACAACAUAUGCAUGCGGAGGAUGGCCAAGGUCGAGCAAAUCCUAUCCCCAUUUGGGAUGACAUCUAGAAACCUAANNNNNNNNNNNNNNNNNNNNNNNNNNNNNNNNNNNNNNNNNNNNNNNNNNNNNNNNNNNNNNNNNNNNNNNNNNNNNNNNNNNNNNNNNNNNNNNNNNNNNNNNNNNNNNNNNNNNNNNNNNNNNNNNNNNNNNNNNNNNNNNNNNNNNNNNNNNNNNNNNNNNNNNNNNNNNNNNNNNNNNNNNNNNNNNNNNUGGAUCUAACAGAGACGAUCAGGAAGGCCAUAUGUCGAGACCGAUCAUGUUUUUUAAACUUGAAUCAAAUUACAGAUGAGAACUCAGGGAAGAGUAUUGGAGGUCUACAUAUACCCAAGCUUGUGAUCGUGGCAUCUUGGUACCUUUGGUGGCAAUGUCGACAGCUAAUAAAGAGUGCAUUAGUACUGCCAGCAGAUAGAACAACAACAUCCAUCAGAGCAAUUGCCACCAAUUUCUGGAGAGCAAUUGAAAAGAAGGACGAAAGGAGGAAAACCAAAAAAGUGGUGCAAACCAUUGCACGGCUUUAUGAAAAUUAAUGUAGAUGCUUUAUUCCACGUAAAAGACUGAUCAGGAGCAAGUGAGGCAGUCAUCAAAGAUGAAUUGGGUUAUUUUGUAGCCGCUGCAGCAUGUUCGUUCCACAUGUUUCUGAUGUGGCCUCUCAGGAAUGGUAUUAAUUUGGCAGCUCAUGUGGGAUGCUUGAGGAUAGAAGUUGAGUCAGAUUGUGAACUUGUGAUUGAUGCAGUAAAAGAUACUUAUAGAUUCAAUGGUUCCCAAGCAGCAACAAUUAUUGAAUGCAUUCAACUCUCUUGUGACAUCGGAUAGGUGAAAUUUUCAUUAUGCAACCGAGAAGCAAACAGUGUAGCAGAUGCUUUGGCUAAACAAAUAUGCUAAAGAAUUCUUCUGUUUGGGAAGAUGACCCGCCUGAUUUCAUUUCUUCUUUGAUUGUAAAUGCCAUUGCUAUUGUUCGAGAAACAAAAUCUUUACCCUGUCAAAAAAUAAUAUUAUUUCUCCCCAAUUAUUUGCUCAUCAUUGGAAUUGUUCUCAAAGUUGAUAAAUUUACUCCAUGCAAAAAACAAAAAUAUUGAUCCGCUUGCACCUUCAAUUAGUAACUUGGACCAAAGUGUCUGGUCUGAACUAAAGUGCCUUUUUCUAGAUGCUUAAGAAAUGACACUUCAGAAUAUGACCGACCGUUUCGUAAAGAAAACAUGAUCGACCAUGAUCUAGAAGCCCCUAAACCAAACCAAGUUCGCCAAUUGGGACUGGAAAAAUGAUGCAAAAGAAUGAACACACCAGAAGGGGAACUCAGAUCCAAGCUGUAUUUUGCGGCCAUAGAAUAAAUCAAACAAUGAUCCAACUCAUGUUCUUCAAGGUACCCAUUUAGAAAUUUCUUAACACUAUCAAUAGCUCCUAAUCUGGAUACUAAGAAUGUGAUUUGUAUCCCUACUCUAAUGUGUAUUUGAUCCUUUGAAUCUACUUAACUAUAGCAGUUGCGGUAGAGGAAUGGUAUUAGGAAGACAUCUAGGAGAAAAAGUGAUUGAUUAAAUUAUUAAAUGACUACAUGGCGUUACGACUUUUUCUUCCCACUCUUUUGUUUGUUUUUCUUAUCUUUCAAACUAACUAGAUACUUGCUUUCCUUCGAUCUUCACCGAUGAGCCCGUGGAUUCGCCUCCUCUCCGCCUGCUGCUCCGGCGGCUGGUGGCGGGGGCGGGUAUUCCUGGUACCUCGUCUUAGAUAGGUAGGGUUUUAGUUCUCGCAAGGACGGCACUCGGACGGAUGGCGGCGCUUCUUCUUCAAGUCAGUCUUCCGGGCUCCGAUCCUCCUCAAGUUCGUCCUUCAGAACAGAUUAGACAGAGCUCCGAUGUAGAUUCCUGCCAGCUCCUCGGAGCGGCAAGGUUAGGGUUUCUCAACAUGCGUACACAACAGCGAGAUUUGGUGUUAGGGUUUCUCAACAUGCGUACACAACUGCGGCUCCAGAAUGCUGGUCCUUAGGGGCACGUGCAUGAAGACCUCCCGGCUGUCAUCGACAAGGUCAGGUCGGAUCCGGUAUUGGAGCAGCGACAGCGAUGCGAGGCGGCUUGUUCAACCGGCGGCAAUGGUCGUUCGGUUGUCCUUGGACCUCGAUGUAAUUUUUGUUAUGUUUGGGUGCUUUGUAUUUCUGAUGAAUCUUUAUAAUAAAUCUGAUAUUUUCGCAAAAAUAAAAACCUAACUAGAUACUUAAUUUCUGUUUAUGUAUUUGGAUUGCUAAACUUCAGUCAACUAAGACUUAACAAAAUCUCAGUCGAUGCUAUAUUCAUGAGAUCUUAUGUGGUGAUUGAUGCAAAAUUUUCUAUUUAAUUUUUCUUUUUUUAUAUGUUAUAUCAUUUGACUGAGACUUGGUUAAGUCUCAAUCGACUGAGAUCUAGCCACACCCUUUAUGUAUUUUUAGGCUAAGGGCAUUUUUUCCAUUGCAGCGCACAGGCAUUUUUACUGGUUGGUAAAAGAGGAAUUAUAGAAACCGUUGGACAUCUUGACGUAUGAAGUUCUUAGCCACGGCUAUCUCCUGAAGUCACACGCACGGCUUGAGCUUGACUGAGCUAUGGACGGAACAGGCGGGCGUGGCUUGCCAAUGGACGAGCGGGCUGGCGUUUUUAUAGCCGGCGCGAGAGUGCGGGAAGCGGUCACAUAAUUCUGACUGUGUAGGUACUGCACCGUCGAAUCAGAUGCCGAUCGUCGUGCACGAGAGCGUGUGGCGCUGUUGAGGUCGUGGGCGAUCAGGGCACAACUCUACUGUUUACGUCCGUACCUUAGUGCAUCCAUGGUCAUUGAAUGCUAUUGCUGCCUCAUGGUAGCACCACGUACCGUGCUGUACCUGGAUGGUUACAAGUCUCGCUGGACUUCUCCGCGUGGAUGCACUGCGUACCUGCAGUCAUGCAUCCUUGGAUUUAAAAUAUUUUUUCGGAGUGUGACACACUCACUUACGGCGCAGAAAAUCAAAUAGCAUUUCAGCUUAUAAUUUGAGAGGGGGAGGCAGAUAGGCACCGGGGAAUAACAAGGUCGCUGUCCGGAAUGAAAAGACGACAUGUCUUGUUGUGCGCGCGUGCCCUGCCACUCAUGGCAUCGCCGGCUGGUAGCGGCCGACGUACCAUUUCCGGAUAGACGACGUCACGUGCCCGCAGAUGGUCGUCCGGCCGUCGAGAAUUUCUAUGGACCCGGGUUAACGCGUCGCGGGCCAAGCCGCCCAAAGUAGCACGGCGGGCACAUGUAUGACUGGUCGUGUUAAUCAAUCCGCUGCCGCGCGUGCCUUUCUGUGGAGGCAUGCGUACGAACGUAGAUGCCCUCGCCAAUGUAUAUCGUUUCGGUGAUAGACAUGUUUCUAUUCUGGAAUUAUGCCAUCCACCUUUCCACUAUGACAACCCUUACUGAUCUUCAUUAUCAGAAAAGGGCAAUGCCAGCAAGCCUUUUUUUCACCGCUAUCCUACCCUGUCACUCAUUCCCUGGACGAGCACGGUUCGCUUCCGUUCGCUUAAUGAUGACGUGGCCGUGACAUCCGUGUCCCGCUACAUGAUCACUGAGUCCGUCCGCACCUCCGAGCCCGUCCAGAUGCAACCGGUGCUAAGCUAGCUUUGGUGUAGCUCCAUUUACACCAACCUCUCCACACGUUGGUCCACUUUCGUGCACACCGCCACGGCAUGGUAGAUCGUAGUGCCGGAGUUCUAGCGAGGUUUGUGUGCUUAAACAUGUGUGGAUAUUGUUGUGAGUAGCAGUAAAAUGUGAUGUUGCUUGUAUGUAAUCUUAAUGUCUCGCGUGUUUUUGUUUAAGUCGUUUUUCUGCUUUUUUCUUUGGGCGUUCGCUGUCGCCUUAUUUCCCCUUAUGUGCUCCCAUAGCCGUGAUUAUCUAGUAAAUAUUCCUAGACAGUAAUAGUGAUUAACCUCUUUAUGUAAUGUCUAUACUUAUGUUCAUUUCUGUAGAGUUGAGAUCUGGUGUGCCCAUUUUUUGUCCCUAUUUCUAUGCUUUCUAGAUGGAUUUCUUUGUUUCUUGAUCAUGUAAGAUCAACGAGGACAUUCCUUCGCAUAUUGGAAGCCUAUUUUUUUUUUCUAUUUCGAUGUCUGUUAAAAUCCUAUGAAUCAAUGAGAACCAGUUAUCAUACAAAUGCAAACAACAAGUGACGAGGCUAUGCCCAAUUUUUUUUAAUACACACAAAAAAGGUCAAAUACACAGCAAAUGCCAUUCAUCUGACAUCAUUCUUUGCUUUAUUUAAUUAUUUCUCCAUUAUGAAAAUGGUCUUACACUUAAGGCCUAGGUACUUGCCGCGGGUGGAGGUGGUAGCUUUAUUUCUGGAACA